UAAAGCAGUGAACUGUAAUUGCAUUAUUAUCUGGGUCCGGCUACUAUACUAUUAUGAGUACGAUCGCUUUCGUACUCAUAAAUCGUUUUCGAUGAUAAAGCUUCCAAAUCGACGAUCUAUACCGUUAAACGUUAUUUACAGCAUUUAAAACUUCUAGAAAUUAAAUUUUAUAAUUUUUCAACAUCAUUUACCUUACGAUCAAGAAGUCACAAAUUUGACAAUUUUUAAUGACCGGUAUGGAAUACUUGCUAGUUUAACGGUGUAAAAGAAUCGAAAUUUGUUGAAUUUUUGAUAGAAAAUUCUAUUCACUACCUAGAUAAAAAUCAAUCACUCCGAGGAUCAUCCUUUUUUAGGACGUCGUUCGAUUUUGACCGUUCAUUUUAUGCCCGCUUGAUGGACUUUAUUAUGAUUUCGAAAAUUUACGAAAUUUAUUUUCUAGAAGUUUCAAAUACUCUAGAUCAUAUUUAACGGAGUGGAUCGUCGAUUUGGAAGCUCCAUCAUCGAAAACAACUUAUGAGUACGAGGGCUCCAAUACUCAUAAUAGUAUAGUAGCGAUGGCCUUAUCAUCUGUAUGAAUUUUGAGAAAAGUAUGAAUUGAGAUAUGCUAAAAUACUAGGAAAUAAACAAAAUAACAAGGAAAUGAUGAUUGUUCUGCAUCUACAUGCUCCUAGUUCUUGCCCAGAUUUGUUGUUUUCUGGUGGGUCUAGUUGCACACCAGAAUCUAAUUUUCUCAUUCCAUAAUUAGAAAAGACAGACAACUGGUCCCUUUUUUUCCAACUGUAACAUCACACUGUCUUAUGGUACAGAGAUAUAUUAGCCAUCCAUCUGUUUUACUGUGAAUUGCUCAGGAAAAUGCCCUUCUGGCAUCCUGAAACUCUAUUGAUAAUAGAGUAGAGAGAGAGAGAGAGAGGUGGAUAGAGCCAAGAUGGAUAAAUAAAUAUUUGAAUGAUGAGCUCCUUUAUCCUUUUCUUAUUGGACUCUUUCUGUAUAUCUAACUAUAUUGGAGGUAUCGGACGAAUCACACAGCUUACCAAAUUGUCUCAGCGAGAUUUCAAUAAGGUGCUUUCAACGAAGUAAUAUGAGCAACUGGAUGAAAAAAUAUAUUAGUUAUACUCCUUUUUGAAGUGUACAGAUGUCGUUACUUUGAAGCACUAAGUAUGUGAAAUCUUCUAUACCAAAGUCGCUAUAUCACGACAAUAGAGGGACUACCCAUGCAUCUUUAUCCUUAUAAUUUUGUAACAUUUUAAUAAUCCCACGGAGAGUCUUAUAGAUUUAUAAAUAAUGGACACACUAGUAAUAUUAACUGGCCUGGCUAAAGCAUUUUAAGCCGGUGAUUUGGACCUAACGAGUUAUUAUUAUUAGGGGUCGGAUCGUUAUAAUUUUUCUCUGCAAUAAUAAUUCAGAGGUGCUACAAUGUAUGGAACAAGUAAUUAGCCGCAACAUCUAUCCUUUUCAUCCAGCCAUGCAGUUGCUGGGCUUCACAUGCAUUAUGCAUGAUUCUGAGCACGAGCUUUUUUCCCUCUUUUUAUUAAGUAAAAAUGUACAAGAAUUAUUUAAACUAUAGGCCAUUUUAUAUAAUUUGGCUUUUCAAUCCUUUAAAAUUUUGAUUUUAUUAUUUUAUCUUUUAAUUUAUUUGAUUUGAAUCGGUCAAAGACAUUUUGACUUUAAAAUUUGAAUGUGUUCUUUAUAUUUUAAAGUUUAAUUAAUUAGUACACUUUGUAUAAUUAUUAUAAUUACUAUAAUUUAAUUAUAAAUUUAUUAAAGUUAGUCAUUAGUUUUAAUUUGAAAGGCAAAGUGCUGUUGACUGAUUCAAAUCAAACAAAUUAAAAGAUUGAAUAAUAAAAUUAAAAUUUUAAAUAUUUAAAUAUUUAAUUCAAAAUGAUCUAUAGUCUAGAUAAGUUUUAUAUAUAUAUAUAUAUAUAUAUAUGUAAUUUACUUCUAGAACCCACCAAAAGUUGGCUCACAUAUUUAAACAAACGCAUAAUCCCAAAUAUUCCGUAAUUGUGGCAAAAACAUAAUCAACCAAUCACUCAACCAAAUAAUAAAACUUGGAUCCAAUAAGAAUUAAUUGUUCGCUUUUGAUAUAUAUAUGCUCAAGUAACAUAACACUAUAUCCACUGUACCUAGCUAACAUAGUUGGUUAAAGAUUUGAUGAUUAAUGAUAUCUGAGUUUCUACGUUCAAAAUUUAAUUAUUUAAUAUUUCUAACCGAAUUCAUUUUUAAAAAAGUUAACUUAGGAUUAAUUAAUGCCUAAUAGCUAACACAGUUGAGCUCUCAACUUAUUAAUCUAAAAAUAACUCAAAUUUAGAAAUAAAUAUAUGAAAGGAGUUAAGUUGAAGGGCUUACUUUAAAAAUGGCCAUUUGUUGAGGGGUCACCUGAUUAACAUAUUCCUCUCAUCAACUCACUGUAUUGUAUAGGGUUUUUUUUGGCUGAGAAGGUAAAUCAAUGGAUGCAUUGGAUCCCUUCAUACAUACAUUUUUUAUAACAUUAUUCUUUAAACUAAAUUCUAAUAUUAAUUUGAUGGCAUAGGAUAAUAUAGUUUUCAAUUAUAAUUAAUUUUUGCUCAAUAUGGAACUACAUAUUUGACCCUUCCUCAUGAGGCAAAUAAUCACAUCCACAUAUAAAGGGCUCUUUGGAGAAGCAACUUUGUUAUAUAAUUAUUGUUUUGCAUGCUUGCUUUUCUUAGAUACUUCGAAUUAAUCAUACAAAUAAUGCUUAUUUAGAUUCCUAGAAUCACUUGUGUACUAUAAAACUGCUUAAUUUAAUUAGCCCUAAUUGGUUGUCACAAGCUUUUCAUUUUUUGCCUACAUCUAUGGAGAAAAAUUAAAUAAUUAGGAAACAAAAAACAAUUACUAGAUAUUUAAUUGAAACUGAUUGAUUGUAUUAUUAAAUAAUAUGAAACAACUAUUAUUCUCUAAAAGCUUAAAUAGUAUUUUAAAUAUUUUUAUAUUUAAUACUUUUCCUUAGGUCUGAACUCGAGAAUUUUCGCUAGGCCCAUGGCGUGAAUUUGAAUUAAAUAGGAGAAAACAGUAAUUUCACAAAGAUAACGGCUAUUGCUAAUAGUUCACAAACAGAAUUUAACUCUAGAGAUAUAUUUGAAAUAACUUGGAACGUAAAAAAGUAUUUUUAAUAUUAGCCUUCUAAGAGGAGCAAAUCAAAAAGUCGGAAACUUUUCAGAGGGUAUAUAAGCAAUUUUCCCUUAAUAAUACUAGGAGUUUAGUAUGACUGAAAUCCAGAACCUCCUAUUCUGAUAUAAUGGUAAAUAAUACGAAACAACUGUUAUCUCUAAAAACUCAAGCUUUUAGAGAACGGUGUUUUAAAUAUUUCUAUAUUUGACAUGUAUAUUUAUAAUUUCACUAGCUAGCUGUUCAUACUUGUUCACAAGAUUAAUGACAUUCUUAAUUUAAUCUUCGAUUAGUCAACAAUAUUUGAGGUGUUUGCGGUGUUCUUUUUUCCAUUCAAAAUUUUUGAACUUUAUCUCGGUGGCUUUAUGCUAAUUAUUAAUUCCACUCUAUUUUCACUCUUGAUCCAUGCCAACAUGUGAUUUUAAAGUAAUUACCUCAAUUAAUCACUACAUUUAUAAUUAUUAUGGACUAAUUAUGAAGGUUUUUUUUUAAUUAUCAUAAACUAUAAGCACUUUUUUCUGAUAGAGUUUUAGUUCCACACAGUGAACCUACAAAAAAAGAAGAGACCCUCUUUGGACAUAAAUAAUUCACUUUUCAAUAUGCAUCUUUUUUUGGAAUUAAAGGGUUUUGUCUUUUAUUUUCUCUCUUUUUUAAAUUUUUAUAAAGGUAAAAAUAUGAAGAAUUUACCUAAACUUUGAUCCGUGUUGAUUCAACUAUUCGACUUUUAAAAUUUUAAUUUUGAUACUCAACCUUUCAAUUCAUCUGAUAUAAGUCAUUUGAUGGUUCUUACGGUGCAAAUUUUAACCUCAUUACUUACUUUAAUAAAAUAGAGUUGCAUAAAUUAUAUAAAACAUGCUAAUCAGGCCUCAAAAGAUUAAAAAUAUAUUCAAAAUUUAAGAGAUUGGAUAAGAAAAUUUAAUUUUUACGCGUGAAAUAGUUGGAUCCAAAAGAUUAUAGUUCAUAUAAAUUCCAUACAUUUUUAUCUUUUUAUAGGUUGAUUGGAUCAUUAGCCUUUAAAAUAAUUAAGUCUUUUUUUUUAGCACUUUACAAAUUCAUUAAUUUGUCCAGUACAAAUGUUUUUAAAUGCCUCCAUGAUCUUCAUUAUUGCAAUAAAAUGGUACAUAAAUAGUAUUGGGGACCUGCAUUUAAAUCGACGUGUCAUUGUAUCGCACAAAUCACGCAAUUUAAUUCAAAAUCCAGUAAUCUAGUACUACGUUUUGAUCAUUUCAAAGAUCGACCCAGUAAUUUACUUUCCUUACUGCAUUAAAAGUGUGCAAAUUGUUGUACUCAAAUGUAGUACAUGCUUUGUAAAUAACAUACAAUAUCAUAUUUGGAUUUAAAUUGGAACGUGGUACAUAUAUAAUACCCGAUAUCUUAAUGGAUACAUCCGUUUCCGGUACGGAUCCUACCAAAAUCCCUGUUAAUAAUGGUACUAAUCCGAGCCCUUGUGGUUACCGAUAAGAGCCUAUUUGGUAUUAAGAACAGUUUGAUCUAAAAAAAAGUUAGAGAAAAAAAUAUAUAUCGAAGUACAUUUUUCUAUUCUUCAAUAACAUAAUAUAAAUUAUAUUUUAAUAAAUGAAUCAGCGUGAUUUACACAACAUAAAUUAUAUAUUUUGUUGUCAUACUUUGUUUACGUGUAAUCCUAAAUUGCAUUUUCUUAUCUCUAAUUUUUUUUAAAAAAAAUUAUAAUUAGAUGGAAAUAAAAAGUAGAAAAAAAGGGAGAAUCCCACUUGUCCUUUACCCAUUAAUAAAACAAAACGACAAAAAAAGACCAUGAUCACGCAUAGGACAUUAUCUCCCUAGGCCCGUAUAAUUCAGAACAAUCAUAUGUUAAAAAAUACGUACAUAUGUACUAACUCCUCCAAAUAAAUAAACAAGUACAGUAUAUUUUAAUUUACUAAUUAGUACAAGUCAUUUGAUUACGUACUAACUAUUAUAUUAGAGCGCUAAUCGGUGGAUUCAGAACUAAACUAAUCCAUUUUUGCAUGAAAAACUGCGUGACGUACCCUCGUGGCACACAAACAAAAUACAAUGCGCAUGAUUAUAUCAAAACUUAAUAUAUAUAUUAUGACACGCAUAUCUUAAAAUAUAUUUUAAUAUUGUUGUUAAAUCAGGUUUAUAUAAAUAAGAGUUAAUAACAAAUAGCAUAUAUAUAUCUCAAGUUUCAAAAGGUGAACCAUUACCAACUAAGAGGAGAAUAAAUUAAAUGGAUUCAUUAAUAUUUUUCUGAUGUAUAUUCAGAGGAUCAUCUAAUAUUAUUGUUCUUAUUUAAGUACCAAAUAAACAUGAUUAAAUACAUUGUGGUGACAAGGUGAUCAGCUUCAUUUGCACGUGCAUUAAUUUUGACGAGUAAAAUGACGUCACUUAUUAGAUCAAUAUUAUAAUUAACUUUAUAUAUUUUUAAACUUAAUACUAUUUUUCUUUUUCUUUUUUUUUGAGGCAUGUGCUCGAAACCAACAAAUAUUAAUAUGGAAGUUGUAUAAAAAUGUGUUUCUAUAUUUUAAGAAGCAUUAUUUAUAUUAUCGGCAACUUAUGAUCUCACAUAUAAUUUAUUAAAUAAAAUUCCAAUCGUGGUAUUUUGAUGUUACAGGUGCAUCAAUGUAGAAAUAGCUAAUGUUAUAUUGCAAAAGACUAAAUUAGCACUUUAAUUUGGGAUUAAAAUUAUAGUGCCCACAGUAACAUACUAACUGUUUAAAUAUUUGCUUUUUAUACUUCUUUGGCGAAUUUACAAAAUCAUACCGAAAAACAACCAAGUUUAGCGCACGAAACUCAAAGCAUCCGACGAGUGGAAUUUAUCUCGACACGAAUCUUAAAGCGCCGCGCCCUCGAGAUUCGUGGUGCAACGCAUGGGGGGGCGGUUCGGGUGCGCUACGGCCUACGGCUAAGUUCGGUGGUCCCGGUGCACCGGUCCCAUUUUCCUGGUCCUUUUCCUUUUUUCCACUUUAUUUUUUUUCUCAAAAAAAAAAUGAUCGUAAUUAUGGGGACGUCCCCGCACCGUGUCCAGCGAAUAUGUCCUUUUAUGGGGACGACCGGACGAAUUGUUCGUACGCAUAGAAAUGUUCGGCAAAAUGUGUACCCAUCGCGCUCGUACUGUUUCAAUAUCAUUACCAAUAUAUUUUUAAUUUAUUUUAUAUAUAAAAUAAAUAAUUCAGUUUGCAAAUGAUAAUGGAAUGAUCCACGUAAUUAGAUAAAGAAACUGGGUAUGGGUAUUUAUUAAAGAGCAAUACUAUUUAUACAUUUCAAAUGGGAUGUAAAUUAUACAACUUAUUAUUCAUUCUAUAUAAAAAAAAUUCAUCUUAUUUCUAGAAUACGUGGAAUAUACAAUUUACAUCUAAAAAAAAUUAUUAGAAGAUUAAAUGGUAUUUUGCAAAAAUAAAAAAAUAGCAGCUAUUUAAGAUAAUGAAUGAAUAAAUUAUAAUAUAUAUAAAAUUCUUUAGGCGAUGAACUGUUAAAAUAAAAAGCUAUGAAGUAAGGAUCUUUUUAGCCUAACCAUUGGUGAUCUUAGACCGUCUUCUAUUUAUAAUUAAAAUUUAUUUUAAGCGUUACAAUUUUAUAUAUUUUCAUGUCAUAUUACGCACUUUAAUUUUUUUUUUUUAACACCCGAUAAUUAUUAUACUAACUAUGACUUAUUUUGAAUGUCUAAAUAAAAGUAAAUUUGAACAUACAUGUAGUCAUAAAUAGAGAUAAAGUCGCAUGAAAUUUAUGCUGGAAAAAUAUAUCGUAGAUGACUACAUCUUAAGUAAUGAUUUUUAUUAUUCUAAUACAGAAAAAAUAUGAGACUUUUGUUUUUUCAAAAUAAAAUUUCUCGCUAACAAAAAAAAAUAAUCUACAAAAUGUCCCCGUCUCCUACUCCAAAUCUAUAAUUUUAUGAAUUUUUUUUUUAAAAGCCAUAAUUUUAUUUAUUUCUUAUCAUUUGAUCAGAUGAUUCAGAUCAAGUGGACGGCAGAUACGGUCCACCGCAUACGAAGCUUUAUGCGGAUAAUCGGACUCCGCUUUAGCGAGGAUACCUCCGAUAUCCGUUAAAAAGAGGAGGAGAAUCCUCCGAUGACGUCAGCGCGUGGAGCGGAUCUUAGCGCGACGCCACGUGGCUACAAGUAGGAUAAGUGGGCCCCCACGUCCCCACUCGGUGGGUCCCACCUUGCGAAUCAAUCGGAGCCGUACAAAUUUUGGUGGGUCUGUUAACGACGCCCGGCCUAUUUUAUAUUGGGCUUUAGUGUAUGCUUAGGCCCAUUUCAUUUGUUAUUAUAUACUUUUUUCUUGUAUAUCCUAGAAAAUUAUUUUAUGAUCUCCAAAUUCGGAAUUUAUUACUCCCAUGUUGUGGCUUUAAGUAUGGAUUUAAUUUCUGUGCACUUAUUCAAAUUUGAAAUUAUUAGAGUGUGACACAAUUACAACUCCAAUUUGAUGGUUAACAUGUUGUUUAUAGUAUAUCAAAAAGUGGACGACGCUAUUAUAUUAGAAUAACUAUUUGUUGUAAUUAUGAUAUAACAGUUUGUCCAUGUAGCUUAGAUAUGUUGCCAGUUACUGAGUAACUGAUGACCUUAGCAUCGUUGUAACUUGAUUUUACUAGUGAACUGUAAUUAUACCAAUCAACAUGUAUAUAGGAUACUCACGUAGGAAAAAUGAACACCUUUUCGGUGAUUAUCGAAGUUAUUUGAUAAAUAAUUAAAAGAUUACAAAAAUCAAAAUGAUUUAGAAAGGAUUGGACUGUACAAUGGUGGACCAAGUUCGUUAAUUUUUUCCCCGAAUCAACUGAACAAGUUGAAUAAUGGACCAUCCAGGGACGGAGCCAGGAGGUAAGGUUCCACCGUUCGGGUGGGUGGUGGCGGCAAGAUUUCCGUUUCAGAUUGUAAGAAAAGGAGUUUGUUAGGUUUGCUGAUCAUCUAUUACUAACGACGACAGUGACAAUGUGCUCAAAAAGAAAUAAGACUAUAAGAGCUGAAGGAAAAAGACCGAAGAGUUUAUGAAAAGAUUGGGACAUAAGUUUUAUUAAAAAAAUAUCAAUUUGGGCGCCCAUAAAGCUAAAAUUUGUAAUAUUUUAAUUUUUUUAUUAUAAAGGAUUUAUAUGUAAUUUUUAAAAGUUGAGCAAAGCCAUGGUCACUGUGAGCCUCACUAUGGCUCUGUCCCUAGGACCAUCUAUGAAUAGUAAGUAUUAACCAACUAUUUUAAAAGUAUGUGCAGAAAGAAAAAAAACGCAUUUAUCGUACUUAGAGGCUCAGCUACAACAUUCAUGAAUUUUGAUCUAAUUAAAUUUAUCUGGACGUUAGAUCUAUUAUGGACCAAAACACUUCUCAACUUAUUACUAUUCUGGACUUAUUACUGUAGAGCAGGAAGUUGGAUCUAUUUUUAGCUAACACCAUUAUACUAAGCAUUUUCUCUAAAUUUGGAAAAUUUUGUAACAACACAACAUUACCUUUUUUUGUGGUUUAAAUUCAUUUUUGGUGAUGAUUCUUUGACUUUGAGGUAGUAAAUGUUGAAAAUUUGGCUUAUUCUAUUAUAGUGCUUUACCCUUACAUGUUGUCAAAUACCUUUUGAUUAGGAUAUCUAAUUAUAGGUGCCCUAGCUAAAAAAGCCUAUAAUAUGGUCCAUAACCUAUAGUUACAUUGGAAUAAAUAUUAUUACUCCAUGAUGAACAUAAGAUUAUAUUAUAUAUAGUAAUGAAAUGCUCAUUGCACCUUUCCGUUACGAUAACCAUAGUUUAGUUGCAUAAUUAAUAUCUACAUUAUACAAUUCACAAUGGAAUUUGUUUAUUUCAGUGCCACCUAAGUGUUUACAAAUUAAUAGUUUAUUAAAGGAUUAAUUGUGGGCAUUAACAAAUUCGAGUAGAAAUUUAUUGUGUAAAUAUCAAUUUCAAUUUCAAUUUCAAUUUCAUAAGAAUAAUGAUUUUAGAAGUACUAAAAUAAUCGCCAUUUUUAUUUAUAUAAAAAAUAGCAGAGUUUUAAAUCUAAUUAAAAUAAAUUACUGGAAAUAUUAUUGCAAAAAAAAAGAAACUUGUUCUUUUAUUAACAUUUCCCAAAUUAAGAAAGCAAUUGUUGAACAUGCAUGCGAAUAAUGAAUUCCUGAACCUAGACCUCCUCGAAAUUAAUAAAUAGUAAAUGUUGUAAUUAAUAUCUAAUAAUGGCCCUAAAAACCAUAAUAAUUAGGGUAAAUUUCAAUUUAUCAUUAAAUAUAUUUUUACUUUAUCACCAUUUGUUUUAAAAAAUUACACAAAUACAGCGAUUUAGCACGUUUUACACUUAAGAAUACUAUAGUUUUAUUUUUAUUUUACUAUAAAAUUUUAUUAUUAGACAGAGUAUCAUUCUAUAGCUUUCAAAAAAAUUCACUUUACUAUUUUAUAUGAUAGCAGAUUUUUUUUUGGUAAAUUAAAAAAUUAAUUACAGAAUAAUUAAGUAUAAGUUUAUAAAACAUGAAACUAGAGGGGGCUAAAUUGAAGUUUAUGGAAGUAAUUAAUAAUUUGAGCCGGGCCGGUAAUUCUUAUAGAACCGGUGAACCGACUCACCGAGCCGGCCUGGUCGAGCAAGCAGGCACCGGCUCACCUUCUAACGGCGUUUGCCGAUAACGGGAGCCGUCUUAACGCCGUUAGUGGCGCCGUUAAGUGCUCCGCUGGGGAGCGAUCGGGUGCGCUUAGGGUUCGCUGAAUGGGCCAGCUGGCACGGGCACGCCGCACAUGGCCAGCUGCCCCCUGUCUCGUGCCAACUCGAAUUUACCAAAAUGCCCCCCACACCGCUAAGGGUUUUUUUUUUUUUUUUUUUUAAACCCAUUAUUAAUCAAAAUUGUUUAUUAAUUAUUUUAUCUGUUCACUGUGGUGGAAAUUCAAUGCCCGGGCCGGUUCAGUGUGUUUCUUCAACGGUGGAAGAAAAAGUGAUAUUGUUUUUUAGAGGUGGGGGGUGUUUGGAAUUUAUGAUGUAAUGGAGGGUAUUUUGGUCAUUCUACUUGUGGUGAAAUCUUGUAGUCUACUGGCUUGCCGGGGUGCUGAAGGCUCGAAAGUACGAAAUCUAGUCGUAAAUUAUUUUAUAAAAAUUAAUUAAAAAUAUUAGAAAAUAAAGAAAUAUAAUUGGUUAUUAUACAUUAGAAGGAAAAAAAAUUGAUAUGAAUAAUUAGAAAUUAAAUAGAUAAAAAAUAUAUUUUCUGUAUUCUAUUAGUGUAGAAAUUUUAUAAUUAAAAAAUGAUCUCUUACUCCUUUUAGCAACAAAAUAAAUUUAUAAAUUUGCAUUUAUCUUCGAAUUUAUUUCACCAUUAAAGAUUCGUGGGAAUAAUAAAAAUUUUAAGAUACAUACCUGAUAUUAAGACUUGAGCACUAAUCACAUAAAAAUCUUAAUCCAUGCGUAAUGUAACGUGGAUAUAUAGAGUAGGGCUAGAAUACUUUUACAAGUAUCACCCAAGUGAUACUUGUAUGUUUUUAGUCAUUGGAUCUACUUUUUGAUUACUAAUAGUCCUUGGAUCAAACACUUUUCCACCUACCACCACCUAUCACCAACCUACCACCAUCAUCUCAACCUCACAUCUCUCCAUCCAAGAGCUAAAAACACACAAGUAUCACUUGGGUGAUACUUUUACAAGUAUUCUAGCUCUACUCUGGAUAUAUAUAUAUAUAUAUAUAUAUAUAUAUAUAUAUAGAAGAGAGAGAGAAGAGAGAGAGAGAGAGAGGAGAGAGAGAGAGAGAGUUGAGCUAGAUACUAUCGAAGUAAACGAGCCGUUUGACUACCGAUUUGUUUUUAAUGAUAGAGCUUCCAAAUUGACCAUCGGCUCCGUUAAAUAUGAUCUAAACCAUUUAAAUACUAGAAAUCAAAUUUCACGCACUUUCGAUAUUGUUUUUAUCCAUCAAGUGAACAGAAAUGAAUGGCUGAAAAUGAAUAUUCUUUAAAAAAUGAUGAUAGGAGUAUUGUAAUCAAGAUCAAGAGUAUAGAUCUUGUUUUAAAUAGUUUAUAAGAAUUUUCUAUAAAAAUUCAAUUGAUUUGGAUAUCUUAUACCGUUAAACGAGAAAACACUUCUUAUCGACCAUUAAAAUUACAAAUUUUGAAAGCCUUUGAUCAUUAGGCAAAUGAUGUCGAAAGAUUUGAAAUUUGAUUUCUAAAUACUUCAAGUGGUAUAGAUCAUGUUCAACGGAGCCGAUCGUCAAUUUGAAGCUCUAUCAUCGAAAACAAAUAGGUAGUAAAACGGCUCAUUUACUAUCGAUAGUAUUCUAGCAAAACUCUCUCUCUCUCUCUCUCUCUCUCUCUCUCUCUAUAUAUAUAUAUAUAUAUAUAUAUAUAUACAUAGAGUCCGGCUACUUAUACUAUCGAUAGUAUCAAGCCUUGGUACUAUUGAGUUUCUACAUUAGAUCUACCCUUAUAUAAUAUAUAUAUAUAUAUGUAUAUAUAUAUAUAAUAUAUGUAUUAUAUAUUAUAUAUAUGUAUAUAUAUAUAUAUACAUAGAGUCGGCUACUAUCUAUCGAUAGUAUCAAGCCUUGGUACUAUUGAGUUUUCUACCAUUAGAUCUACCCUUUCAUCAUUUCUACCCGUUAGAUUAUACUAUUAAACCAACCACCACUCAACCCUAGGGGACACUAUAAUCCUAACCGCUCAUCUAUUCAUCCAACGGCCGAAAACUCAAUAGUACCAAUGGCUUGGUACUAUUGAUAGUAUAGUAGCAUAAUUCUAUAUAUAUAUAUAUAUAGAGAGAGAGAGAGAGAGAGAGAGUUUUGCUAGAAUAUUAUUGGUAGUAAACCGAGCCGUUUACUACUGAUUUGUUUUCGAUAAUAGAGCUUCCAAAUUGAUGAUCGGCACCGUUAAACAUGAUCUAAACUAUUUAAACUAUCUGGAAAUCAAAUUUCACAUAUUUUCGAUAUUGUUCUCUUGUCCAUCAAGUGAACAGAAAAAUGAAUGGCUGGAAAUGAAUAUCCUUCAAAAAGUGAUGAUAUAAUUUUUAAAUUUGAUAUAUAGAAUCUAGAUCUUAUUUUAAAUAGUUUAAAGAAUUUUCUAACAAAAAUUUAGUUGAUUUGAAUUCUUCUAUACCGUUAAACGAGCAAACGCACCAUAUCGGCCAUUAAAAUUAUAGAUUUUGUGACCCUUUGAUCGUUCAGUUAGUGAUGCCAAAAAAUCAUGAAAUUUGAUUUCUAGGUAAUUUAAAUGGUCUAGAUCAUGUUCAACUGUGCCGAUCAUCGAUUUGGAAGCUGUAUCAUCAGAAACAAAUCGGUAGUAAACCGAGCAGUUUACUACCGAUAGUAGCCCAGUCAAACUCUCUCUCUCUCUCUCUCUCUCUCUCUCUCUAUAUAUAUAUAUAUAUAUAUAUAUAUAUUUCUAAACAACAAUGCAGCAGGAUAUAUCCGGUGGUCCACAGGCGAUCUAGUGCACCCGGUCCACGCACCAAUUUCCCGCAAAACAAAUGCAGACAACGGGGUUUCUCGUGAAUCUAGAGAGAGAGAAGAAGAAGAAGAAGAUACAUAGAAACUAGAAAGAGUGAGAAGUAGAGUGAGUGUGGGAGGAGGGCAAAAAGGGAAUUCACAUCCCACCUCUUAUUUGUUCCCCCUACUCCUCCCUCUUCUAUUUUUUCUUCUCUCUCCUCCCCCUCUGCUUCUUCUUCAUCUUCUUCUUCUUCUUCUUCUUCUCUCUCACUACCCAUCUCCAUAUCUACCCACAUUCAUUCCCUGGUUCCUCCUUUCCAACUCACGAGAUCCCCAAUUCCCCAUCUCCCCCACUUUUCCUCCUCUCUCUCUCUCUCUCUCUCUCUCUCUCUCUCUCUCUCGUCUAUGUCCUUGUUCGCAUCUACGAACCCACCAUUUUCCUCCUCGCGCACCAUUCUCUGUGCCCAUUGCGAUUAGCUGCGUGAAUCGACCCCAAAGUUGCGAACUUUGGCGCCGCGGGAGGGUCGGUGGAGAGAGAGAGAUCGGCGAUGUCGCGCUCCGACUCGGCCCGGUUCGACCCGGACAGGCUCGACGCGGCCCUGCGCCUGGACGAGCCCAACAAGCCCGACUCCAAGCCCCUCCCCGACCUCGGCUCCCCCGUCUCCCCCCUCCGCCCCCGCGGCCCCGCCCCCGCCACAAGCGGCAGCUCCGGCUCCUCCGGCUCCUUCUCCUCCAAACCCCCCUCCUCCUCCUCCGCCGCCGCCGCCGCCUCCUCGGGGCGCCGGAGCCACUCCGGCGAGCUCCCCGGCGGAGGAGGAGGAGGAGGAGGAGGGGGGAGCACGGCGAGCUCGCCGGCGACCAAUGUGCUUCCCGCGGGGAACAUAUGCCCCUCGGGGAAGAUCGCGAAGAUGGGCGCCGCGGCGCCGCGGAGCGAUGUGCUUGGCUCCGGGACGGGCCACUACGGCCACGGGAGCAUAAUGUGGGGCGGCUCCGCCUCCGCCUCCGCCUCCGCCGCCGCGACCUCCGGCGACUCCCCGUCCUCGUCGUCGAAGCGGGCUCCCACAGCUGCGACCCUACAAGACGUGAUCAAGGUCGGGAACGAGCACUACAAGAAGGGGAACUACGCGGAGGCGCUCAGGCUCUACGACCGGGCCGUCGCGAUGUGCCCCGACAGCGCCUCCUGCCGGAGCAACCGCGCCGCCGCUCUGGUCGGGCUGGGGAGGCUCUGCGAUGCGGCCAAGGAGUGCGAGGAGGCCCUGCAGCUCGAUCCCGCGAACACCCGAGCUCAUCAUCGCCUCGCCUCCGUAAAUCUGCGGUGAGCACGACAAUGCCUUGCAAUUCAGAUUUGAUCUCUCUGUUUAUUAGUUCACUGUAUUCUGUUAUAUCAUGAUCCAUUUCCGAUAUCCGAUCCCGGGGCGACAUUGUUGUUUUCGCGCAUCCCCUGCUGUUUGGUGUGAGCGCGUCUUAUGCGAAAAGAAACCCUAAUUUUUCCCUGCACAACGCAUUGUGUAUAACCAACCAAUUGAGGAUACGCUUUUAAUCCCUAGUUUUCCUAAAAUUGCUUGUUGGAAUCACAUUGUGUGAAAUUUGUUGUUAUAGGUUAGGGUUGAUAGCGAAUGCGAGGCGGCACAUCUCACUAGCGGGGCCGGGGCAGCAGCCCAAUCCGUCCGAGUGGAAGAAGAUGCAAGAGGUGGAGCGGCAUUUGGGGAGGUGCGAAGAUUCUAGAAAGGCAGGAGAUUGGAAAAGCGCGCUUAGAGAAGCCGAUGCCGCCAUCGCUGCAGGAGCCGACUCUUCCCCAUUGGUAAAUAUAAUUGCAAGUUAUAUCUCGCUUAGUGCGAUUUACCGACGCAUUAUUUACCAUUCACUUGGAAUUUGCUGCAGCUCUUAGCGUCGAGGGCAGAAGCCCUUCUACGCCUCCAUAAGCUCGAAGAGGCUGAUUCGAGCUUAUCGAAAGCUCCUAAAUUGGAAAACUCGUCCUCGUCUUCCUCAUCAAGUAAAUUUUCUGGGAUGCUAUCCAAUUCCUACAUCUACAUUGUUCAAGCGCAAGUAGAUAUGGCAUUGGGAAGGUGGGAUUUUUAUUUGCAAUUAAACUCUUCAAAUUUUUUCAGUUAAUUUAGAAUUGGCUUUUUUUUUUUUUUUUCCUUUUUCGUUUACAGGUUUGAGAGUGCGGUAACAGCAGCGGAGAAGGCGAGGCAGGUAGAUCCUGGAAAUAUUGAGAUCUCAAUGGCGGCGAACAAUGUGAGAUUGGUGGCGAGGGCUCGAGCUCACGGAAAUGAGCUGUUUAAAUCAGGCAAUUUUGCUGAGGCUUGUAUAGCUUACGGGGAAGGACUCAAAUAUGAUUCAUAUAAUCCUGUUCUGUAUUGUAACAGAGCCGCUUGUCGGUUCAAGCUGGGACAGUGGGAAAAAUCUGUCGAGGACUGCAACGAAGCCCUCAGAAUACAACCCAGUUACACAAAAGCACUUCUAAGAAGAGCUGCUUCCUAUACCAAGGUGAAAAUUCUUCUUCUCUUCUAACUCGUGUUGUUUAGGAUUUGUAUAAAUUGCACUAGUGGGUCAAUCUUACCUUACAACAUAGUUUCAGUAAUUCUAACAGUUUGAUCCCUACCCAAACCUUCAUUAUUAGAUGUAAAUAUCCAUUUUAGCAUCAUCUUCUUUCCAUGUGAUUGACUUGUGCACGCCUCAUAUGCUAAUUUUGUGGACAUUCCCAUCCUACAUAACCUAAGAAUAUAGAGUGUAAGAUGGCAACAAAAUGCAAAAACUAGGGACCUGAUUAUAAUAGUUGAAAGCUCUAAUAAUGCUCUAAUACCUCCUUAAAAUGUUGCGAGACCCAAGUACAAUUUACCCUUGAAAUUUUGCUCUGGUAGCAACUUUUUGUUUCCCUAGAGAAAGCUUGUUUUGAUCCUUUUUUAAACCGAUAUAUAGCUUGAGCGAUGGGUUGAAUCUGUUAGAGACUAUGAAGUUCUUAGAAAGGAACUGCCAGAAGAUACCGAAGUGGCCGAAGCCUUAUUUCAUGCCCAAGUCGCACUGAAAACAUCUAGAGGCGAGGAAGUCUCCAAUAUGAAGUUCGGUGGUGAGGUUGAGGACGUUACUAGCGUGGAGCAAUUCCAAGCAGAAAUUUCUUUUCCUGGUGAGCUUUCUUUUUCCGUUGUUUACUGCUCCAUUUAAAGUUUGUUGGGCCAUUUUUCAGACAAAAGUUCAAUCUAGUUGGAUGUUCUUUUCAGCUUUGAUAGUAUGUCAGUGUGAUUUUAAUCUAUUUAUAUCCAACUGCAUAUUAAAUGAGGCAGCACUUUCCUACUAACAAUGUCAUAUCUAUUUAGGAGAGUUAUUAUUGCUUUAUGCUUUCUUUUUAAGUAUACUAAAUUACACCAUUGAACACUGAACAAAUUGCAAAUUUGCUGACCUAGGUAACAUUUUGUGAUAUUUUUAAUUACCAAUGGUGUAAUCUACCCUAUUAUUUUCACUAUGGACGUUCCAAACUACUGCUUAUUGGAGGGAAGGGGUAUGUCUAGAUAAUCAGAAACAUGUUUUUAAUUGCACAUGAUUUAAGAACCCAAUUUACUGUUUCUUGCUCGGUCAUCUUAUUGCGAUAAUCUGUCAAAUUUACAGGAGUUUCAGUUGUUUAUUUUACGGCGGCGUCGAAUCAGCAGUGCACCCAAAUUUCACCUUUUGUGGAUGCUCUGUGCAAACGAUACCCAUCCGCCAAUUUCCUUAAGGUGAGUCCAUAAUAUCUGUAAAAAUUCUUUACUCCCUUCCAUUUGUCAUCUUCCUUGUGCUUUAUCUUGGGCUUCUUUUUAUUCGAAAGGUCGACAUAAAUCAGAGCCCUCUGGUCGCAAGGGCGGAGAAUGUGAGAAUCGUCCCAACUUUUAAGAUCUACAAGAACGGGGCGCGGAUGAAGGAGAUGAUCUGCCCCAACCAGCAGGUUUUGGAGUACUCAGUGAGGCAUUAUAGUCUUUAGCAGUGAUGUUUUGAAAUGAAAUGGUUCCUUAAAUAUAUCCUUCCCUCCUUGGCCAUAAUCUAUUCAAAACCAUAACAUGAGCCCCAUCAAUCCAACCAACAUGAAUUUUUCCUCAGCCAAAAAGAAAAAAAAAAAAGAAAAAAGAGCCAGAGCCAUAGAGAGAGACCACCCCAUUUUUUCCUCCUUUUUUACCCUUAUUUACCUUUUUUUCGUUUUACUUGAUCUUUACCCAUCUUAUCAAUUCUUUUCUUCUGUGACUCCUCUCUCAUCUCUGCAUGUCAAUUCCAAUUCCAUUCCCUAGUUAGCAUAGGAUACUCUUCAUUUUGGUUUUAUACCCACCCACCAUUUAAUUCUUCUUGAGAAGCCUAUUUGUACUGUUCAUUUACUUCCUCUAGAGAGAGAGAGAGAGAGAGAGAGGGAAAUAUGGCUGGUUGAAAUUUAUUACAUGUAUAUAUGGUACACCAAAACAUGAGAAGCCAUAGUGGAGGUAGCACAGGGCUGGGUUUUUUUUUCUGCUUAGAAAGAGAGAGAGAUAGAGAGGUCAUUGCUGUAAUUGCUGCUGCCAGUGGUGGCAACUCUGAUAUAUAUGCUACAUUUCUUUCAAUAAAAAAGCUCAAAAUUCUUUCUAACUUUACCUAGUUUAUUAUAGGGCCUUCUUAUUUUGUUUUGCUAUAAAUGUUAAAGCUCAGAAAAAAUAUUACUGUUGAACUUUUUUUCAGUGAGAGAGAGAGAGAGAGAGGGAAAAUUAGGGAAAAUUUUUUUAAGUGUGGUAAACACACUGCAAAUCUAAGUAUAGGCCCACAUGAGUGACCUCAGCUUCAGGAAAAUUUUAAGUUUGCUCCAGCUCUUGUUUCUGAUGAUGGUGGGGUUCUGUUACUCUGAAACCAUUGUUUUUAUUUAGUUUAUUAUUAUCACACCUAUAUGUCCCAUCCACCACUGUACUUAAAUUACAAAUAGUGAGGACCAUUGGAUCAUAAGUCCUCUCUCUCUCUCUCUCUCUCUCUCACUCUCUCUAGAUGGGUGUCACAGUUUCCAAACCCUAAAUCUGGGGAGAUUAUUACAUGGAUCGCAACCAUCGGUGACCGUCGAUUGUGAUUUACAACUUCUAAUUAGGCUAUGUACAAGAGAUCAUAUAUCUUAAUACACUAUCAUCUACAUAAUCAUAUAAUUGUAAUAAUCAACAGUACUGAAAAACUCUGCAUUUUUGUUUGAGUUUUGGAAGACUCUGAUCUAUAAAAAGUGCAUGCAAUAAUAACCUAUCCUGCAAAUGUGGGGUAUCAAUGGUAUCAUUAUCAAUGGGAUGUUAAAUUGGAUUCACACAUAAUAAUUCAUAAGAAGAGUGUGCUCCAUAGUCCUUUUGAACAUGGUGGUUGAGUUCAUUCAUUGCCUUGAAAUAGACCAUCUCCUCUCUCUCUCUCUCUCUCUCUCUCUCUCUCUCUCUCUCUCACCACUUUUCAAAUGCUUAUGACUCUGUUGGAUAGUGCCCUAAUUAUUGACUGACAACAACCAAAAGUCAAAAAAAGGGUACUAGUAUGGUGGGGUUGCAUGUAAAAGCAUAGAUGCUCUUAAGCAAUGUAAAUGGACUACCCCCUAAAUAAAUAGUGAACAUAAAUAAAUGAAGUUGCUUAUGUGAGAGUUAAAUAGUUUCUGUGAGUAAAGCUCUCUUCUUCAAAUGGGUUGAGUGUUGUGCCUACAGUGAUGAGUUGGAUGUAUCUUACAAAAGAGGAAACAAUCCACGAGGCUUAAGUGGGGCUUCUUAAUUCCCAUUUUACUCCCUCUAGUUCAAGUUGUUUUGAUUGAUGAAAGGGCAUUGAUUAUGUAUUUUGAUGAAUAACAUCCUUCAACUUAUUGUGCUAUAUCAUGGCUUUAGGAUUUACUCACUUUCUUAUCAACAUUUUUUGAAUACUAAAAAUCCAAAAAAAAAAAAAAAACAUCCUAGAUCAUUGGGUAUAAGAAUUAUACCCUGUAAUGGAGUGUGUAGUUAGUAUUUUACUUUUGGCUAACCCUUAACUUUGACUUAACAAAACUGGAGCACAAAACACCUGUUUAUUAUAGUCUUUGACUAGAGCAAGGGAAACAUCAGAAGUUUCAAAUCUAAUGAAGAGUUACAUGAAACUUAUCAAAAGUUUAAGAAUUAUUUUUCACAUAUACUUGCAACUUUGACUUAAUUUUUUUCCUCAUAUAUAAAUAUAUUAUUUUUCUCUCAAAUUGGAGUUUCUAUAUUAUCCCUAUUCAAUACAAAGAGAGCCCUCACAACCUCUAAAAUAUGGAUCUAACUAUACUAAUGCGUGUUGCAUGGAGCAUAAUAGUUAUUACUACGCUGAUAAUAAUGAAGAAGUAAAGUCAUUGAUAAAUGUAUGGCUCUAAUUAUACUUGGAAUUGGUGGGAUUAAUAUAUAAUUUUGUCUUAACCCGUGAUUACAAUUGCAAUGCCCUUUGGUGCGCCAUUAUGGUUUCAGAUGAAUCAUGCUGUGUCAAGUCAUUUUUUAGAUAAUUUUUUUUUGAUUUUUCCUCUUCCGGGGUUAAAUUUGCGACGUCAUUUCAUAGAGUCAUACACUCUGAAUGCUACAUAACAAAUCUUAAGUCGCAUGACGCUCAUGAUCUUAAUGUGAUAAAAAAAAUGAAGCAUACUAUUUUGAUUCUGGCAAAUUCAUUGAGACCGUCGAUCGAUAUAUGCUGCAUUAUCUUAAAAUUCGUCGCUGCAGCUAAUAAAUAGUCAAAUUAAUCACAAGAAGAUGCUUGUAGACACCCUAAAAUUGGAUUUUUUUUUUUUAAAUAUUGAAACAAAUUACUCUCUUAAUGAUAUUAGCAACUUGACAAAAUGGAUCAAAUGAUCUAAUUCCUAUAAGAUACUUACCGACAGCUUAUUUAACAAUAUGUACGAUAUUAACAAAGAAUGAUAAGUUUAAUCUGUUGGAUUAAAUUGAUCAGUAUUCUGCCCACGACGAAGGCCGGAUUAAUAGGCCAUGUAACGGUCGAAACCCGCGAGUGUUGUGGGUCUAUACAUUUUAAAUGUGACUAGUGUGUCUUUUCCUUUAGCUCGAGGCUUUUGAAAUUUUUGAUUAACGCUUAUGAUCCACACAAUGGUAUGAUUAGUUGGUUGAUCAAUUUUGAAGGCUACCACAAGCCAAAAGCUAUAUAAUUAUUUAAGCAAAAUAAAGAAUAGUAGAGGUGGUAAAGUAUAGUCUUUUUUUUUUAAAAAAAAAAGAAACUAUUCCCAAUGAAAAUAAAUUAAUAUACCACCCCUUUAUGUGAUUCAAGCUCAUAUAUAUAGGGGCUAUUCCUUAAGAUCCGUGAGUUAGUAUAGGCUAGUAAUAGAGUCAUGUGUACAUAAACUCUUCUAAUCCCUUCAUAAGCACAUAUAAGUUUUCUUAUGUACUUGGUUUUGAACCAUCUCACACUCCAAUAUACCUUCCAAACUCUAUUCCCUUUUGUCCUAUUAAGGUGGAAUUUCAUAGGGAGCUUAGCAUGAGAGUGUGAAACAACAUAGCUUAGGACUAAUUAAUUCUUAUUUUAUAUGAGAAUAUAAUCUAUCAUCUAUAUAUGCAUAAUUUUAUGGCCUACAUUGCUAGGGUUUGCACUAUUUUAGCAAUGGCAAUAAAUAAAGCUUUUAUGUCAAACAAAAUAGUGGUGGUGUUCUUAAGGUGCCCUAGGGUCCUACUGAGUUCAGUUGGUUGGCCUUGUUGUCCUUUAAAUAAAAAAGAAAAAAAAAAGCCAAUAGUGAAUAUAUGUUAUUAAAAUGUUGUUAUUUUACACCAUUAAUUUAAUAUGAUAUUAGAAUAAGAGAAACUGAGCGGGAAUCUCGUUUCCUUCUAUUUUAUUAAAGUCCAUUUUGUAAGUCUGUGCAUGUAAGGAGGAAUGUUGAAUAUAUAUCAUUAAACGUUAUUCUCUAAUAACUGUUGUUUUAUAUUAUUUAAACGCCAAUCUCUCUAAAUAUUUGUUAAUUAAAGUUUACUAUCUGAAUUUAUUAAAAUUUAAAAUAAAUUGCUUGUAUUUUAGUUGAAAUAAAUCAACCAUCAAAUGCUGAAAUUUUGCUAUUUUUUUAUUUACAGAAUUCAAAAACAUGGAAUUCAAAUGAUUCAAAUGUUUCUCUUCUUUUGAAUGAUUCAAUAAUUUCGAAAAUACCUAAAUUAUUUUGUUUUCAUAUAAUAACAAAUUAUUAAGAAGUAACAGAACUAGGAGCUGGGCGAUCGAUUAAAACAUUCACUAUAGGUUGCGUUUGGUUCGCAUUAUGAAAGAUUACUAUGAAUGAAAAGAUGUCCGAGAAUCUUAUUCCUAUUCAUUCUAUUACUAAGAAUGUGAAAUUUCUGUGUUUGGUUCGCACGGUCAUAUUAAUUAUUUAGUCAUGUUAUUUAAGAUUACAAAAAAUGUACAAUUAAUUUAAUUAUCCUAUUACUAAGAAUGUGGAAUUCCUGUGUUUGGUUCGCAGGGUCAUAUUAUUUAGCCAUGUUAUUUAAGAUUACAAAAAAUAUACAAUUUAUUUAUUUAUUUUUUAAAUUAAUUUUAGAUAAUCUAUCAAAAAUUUCAACAUUUUUUUAGAAAAAAGAGAGAGAGAGUAUAGGUUAGAAAGAGAGAGCAUAAUUAAAAAAAUAGUAAGAAAAAUAAAGUCGAAAUUAGAGGAAGUGAGAGAGUUGAGAUUUAGAAAAAGAGGGAGAGAGAAAGCUUAGUUUAGAGAGAGAAAAAGAGUUAAAUUUUAGAGAGAAAGAUAAGUUUAGAGAGAGAUAUGAGGUUAUAGUGUAAAGAAAAAUAAUAUCAAUUAGCCGACGAGUAGGGAGAAAGAAAGAGAUUAGACAUAUUAUGAUUACCCCAAUCCAUAUUAUAGGAUACCCACUCUUCCUCAAGAGAAUGAGAUUAGUACUUUAUGAUGAAUCUUAUUCCCAAGUAAAUCCAAUAUUACCAACUAGAUUACUUAGUGCGUUUAGCCAAACACCGUCAUAUUUUUUUAUUUCUAUUAGAUUACUAGGAAUUUUUAAAAGAUAACGUGAACCAAACGCACCCAUAAAGUUUGUACAAAUAUUAUUUUUUUCUCCCCACCCUAUCUAUUAUUUGUUGAACAGCUGGAACUAGCUCAAAAGUUCCGGUCAAUAAAAAUAUAAGAUUAACUCUGAUACCAAAUUAUCAAAUCCAAAACCAACAAAAAAAAACUUUUAAAGUAAUAAAUAAAGAUACUAUCCCCAAAACACAUUUUACAUAUCAAAGUUUUAAUUUCUAUUAGAUAUGAAACUAUUAUUCUUAAUAUUAUGGAUCCAAUGAUUGCGAGAUUAAUUGGACAUAUUUUUCGCCUUAACGUACCUAACGUUUCACGGAGGGAGACUCGGCCCGUGAAUACCGUUGUUGCAGUGUCCAAAACCAUAGCAACUUUAAUUUCGCAGUGUCCACAUUAAACUAUAGGGAUUUUUUUUUUUUUCUUUUUUUGCAUGUAGCGCACAUAAUUAUCGAUAUAUAGGGGUUGACCCACUUGUAAUUAAAUUUGAUGUUCCUAGUCCAAAAAAGUGUUCACAUGUGCUCAUCAUGUUGGUAACAGUAGAGCAAAUUUAUUUGAUUCUGAUUUGAUUCGUACUAGUGAUCAAAAAAAAAAGGCCACCAUGGGUUAAAAUAUAUAGUACUAUGUUACUACGUACACUGUAAAAUUUGAUGGUACUAUUUUUCUUAAUAAAGGUACUAUUUGGAUUUAAAUCUAUUUUUUAUUGUACCUUACGUGGAGUAAAUUAAGGAGAUUAUUUAUGUGCAAAAUACCAAGGUUGAUCUUUGUCAGUGUCAACGAUCGAUUAACCCCUUUUUUAAUAAGGAAUAAACACACUUUAGCCCUACAUUUUAGGCAUAAUUAUAAUUAAUUAAUCUGUGUGUUGUAGUGUAUUAAUUUUUGCGUCUGCGCAGAAUCAAACUGCAUGGGGAUCUUUUGUUCUGCGUUGAAUAACUUUGCCCUCUUAGCUAAGAUUAAAACAGGUAGGGAUGAUGAUGAAGAAGAUUAUAUGAAUUAUUCAACCAAUUAUAUAUUACAUCUAUAAAAAAUGUAAAAUGUCCUUCGAUUUACAUGUCACCAAAAGAAACAACAAGAAAACACAUUCCUCAUGAAUAGAGUGUGAUUAAUUAGUAUUCCACAGGAUUGAUGAACUAAAACUGUGGAUAUUCAUUUUCUUGUUAUGAAGUUCAAUUUUGGUUUAUGAUCAAUAUCUUCGUUUUAAGGUUUCAUCUAAAUUCCUUUCUUUUGUGUCGAAGUUGCACUCAACUAAUUCUCAAAAUCUAUAAAUCAUUUGUUGUAGUGACCAGCAAAAAUGUAUUUCAGAGAGGCCCAACAUCACAAGUUUUUCUUUAAAAAACACCAAUUGAAAUAAUACGGUAGUUCUUUAAUUUAAAAUAAAAAUGGAUAAACUUAUCUGAGACCAUUUUGAAUUUACUAUCUAACCUUUCAAAGAUGUAAUUUUAUUAUUUAACUUUUCAAUUUGUUGAAUUUGACCUUGUUAACAAUGUUUUGACUUCAAAUUUUAAGCUGAUUUAUUACGUUAAUAAAUUUAUAGUUAUAAAAAUUAUAUAAAAUAUACUAAUUAAAUCUAUAGAGAUAAUCAAAGGAUUCAAAAUUUUGAAGUUGAAGUGCUAGCUGUUGACUUACUCAAAUCAACCAAAUUAAAAGAGCAGAUAGUAAAAUCAAAAUUCUAAAAAGAUUAGUUAGUUAAUUCAAAAUGGUUCAUAGUUAAAAUAGGUUCUAUGCAUAUUACCUUCUUUUAAUAGCAUUUUUUUAGACUAUACUUUACAUUACAAAAUAUCAUGAAUAAGCCUUAAUUUCUGCGGUACAAAUUAAACAUAUAUAUACUCUUACUUCGAAAAUUUUCUUAAAUACUUUAUAACUUAUUCCAUUUAUUCGAACUUGAAAAAUAUAACACUUAUUAAAUAACCAAAUUCCCCCCAACCCAAACCAUCAUCCAUAUGGCAAACCAUGCAUGCAUGCAACUCCCACAACACAAACAAACACUCAAAAAAAAAAAACAAAAACAACAACAACAACAACAUCCAAAUAACAAAAUCACUGCAAACACAUGACGUGCAUGCAUGCAUGCAUACAUAAAACGUGAGGUUAGUUUCUACUGCCCAGCAGCAAAAGCCUCGACUGGGAAGGUCUUGGUGACGCCGGCGAGGCUCUUGAAAUGCAUCUUCCCGGUCGGGGGGUCGUCGACGGCGAUCUCGUUCACCGGCGGCCACAGCAUCAGCUCUUUCGCCUUCACCCCCUUCAGCUUCUUGAUGCGCCGCUUCUCCACGUAGCCGCUGAUCUCCGUGUCGUAGCUCACCAGCUUGCUCACCAUCUUGAAGCUGUGCUGGAUCUGUCGAAUACGUGUAUAUAAAUAUUUAAAAUACUGUUCUCUAUGUAAAUUAAAAAAAAAAAAAAAAAAACUUCACAUAUAUGUAGUUUCAGGUUAAGAGGUUGGGAGUUCCAAUCUUAUUAGGCCUGAGCCCAAACGAGUAGCAUAUUUUAAAAUAGACAUGUGAAAUUUAUAAUUUCUAAUUUUACUAUCUAAUCAACCUUUCAAUGUUUUUAAAUUUUUUAAAUAGAUAUUGAAAUUUUAGAUGUUUUGAUUUUAUUAUAUGACAUUUACAGUAGUAUAACAUCUUAGUGAAAUAUUUUGUAGUCUCUACCAAAUUAAGUAUUCUAAAAUUAAAACUUAUAAAGUUCAAGCAUCUAUUUCAAAAGCACCAUGAGACUAUCAGGUUUUUAUAAAUUUUUACUCAAGUUUCAAGCAUAUAUAGUUUUCUGACGGCUUAAGUUUUUAGAGUAAUCAGUAAGUUUCAUGCAACCUUAUUCUUCUGCGUGAUCCACAUGUAUCCGGUAGCUUUCACAAAGCCGACCUCGGAGACGUCGGCGAGGGGGAGGAGGCCGAGCGGGAGCCCGAACUCCUCGAGGAGGGAGACCGCGAGCUUCAUGCCGGCGUCGUGGCCUGUCUUGACGACGGCUCCUUCUUUCUCGGCCAUGGUUUCGGUGUGAGAGAAGAGGGGAAUGGGGCGAGGGCAUAUAUAUAUACGAAAAGCGUAGGUACAAGACGUCGAAUGAAUCUCGACGGUAGGGUACAUGGUGUGUGGAAAGAGAGGUUGAGCUCUUGGGUUUCCUCGCCGCUUUUUGUAUUCAUAGUUUUGUAGUGCGUUGUGUUUUAGAUGUUAUGUUUGUUUCAUGCAUUUUUGGUGAUCUCUCGCGACUUUUUCGAAGUUACAUCCUCCACAUGUAUGGUCACUAACAACCUUAUAUAUAUAUAUUAAUAAUCUUAUAACAAAUUAGUGUCACACACCCUGUUUAUACAAAGCAUAAAUUUAAUGCCAGAUGUCCAAAAAUCUCUAAAUAGUUUAAAUUAGACAUAUCUGAAAAAAGAAAAAAAAAAAACUAUUCUAUUUUAAACUAACUAGUAUAAACAAUUAAUGGAUAAAAUUUUUAUAUAAUAGACGAAGAUAUAUAACACUUAUAUUUUUAACAGUGGACGUAAAUGAAAUGUUAACUAUUAGAGGAAUGCUUCGAUACACCAUAAGUAUUAAAAUUUAAUUCUUUAAUUAGUAAAGGGUAUAGUUGGGAUUUACACGAAGUAACCUGUUGAACAGGUUACCGAUUUAAAUUAAUUAACAUGACAAUAUUGAAAAAAAAAAAUAGUAUAUACCAAAUUUGUCAGUAUUCUUUAAAUAUUAAAUAUCUUAUUUAUUUUGAUAACUUACCAAAUUAGAUGAUACCCAAUUUAUUAAGUAUCCAUCUCAAAAAAAUAUUGAAUUUAAAUUUAAUUUUUGAAAUUAGUUUUGUAAUGUAAAAUUUUAAUUUUGAAAUUUAUAUUAAAAUUUUAAAUUUGAAUCUAAAUUGAACGUUUAAUCUUAAAGCCAAAUUUUAAUUUUUGAUUUAAAUUGAAAUUUUGAAUUGGAACAAAAAGUUUUAUUUUAAAUUUAUGUUUUAUAUUCAAAAAAAUUAAAUUUGAUUUAUAAAGUUUUAAAUGUUGUUUUGAAUUUAAAUUUACAGUUUGGUUGUAAUUUAAAAUUCAACUAUUGUUGUAGGUAUUUAAGAGGGUCAUAAUAUUCUUAGUUAGAUAAAACCAGUUUUGUGGACCAAACUAUUUUACAAAGACUAAAAUAUCCUUUAAAUGGGUAUCUGGUGAAUGGUACCUAUGCUUCAAUAGCACGUCACCUCUAGAAUCAUAUUAAAUCUAAACCAUCUAUUAAGAAAAAUAAAUGGUCAAGAUUUAUAUGGAGUAUUGAAGUAUUCCUCUAUUAAGACUCCAUGGGCCCAGCCCAGGCCUCCUCUUAUAUGGGCUAGCUACCACUUAAAAAAGAGAUGAGAUUGAUAACUUGAUGCUUGCACCCGGUGCACAGCAUCUUUUUGUGUUUCAUACUGAUCAUUCAUCAUAUCUCAUACUUUAAUUGCAAUAAUGUAAAUUAUGUCGAUUCUUAGGGAGCUGGAUAUUCACGUAACAAGUUUUGAUGCUCGCAGAAUAAUUUUUUCAAUUAUGUCGUUUGAGAAAUAACUGGUGUUGUCCGACGUUCUUUUUUUUAAACCGAGAGAAGUUUAUCAUUGAGUGGAGGAUGAGGGGAAUUGAAGCGAGAUCCGCGGAUAAAUUAUUGGCAAGGGUAGUGCACUGAGUGACUACAUGCACUUGGUGCAAGCAAAAAGGGCCAAACAAAGGAGCUGCACUAAAAGACUUUUAUUAUGCGGAUAAUCUAUUUAAUCUAUUUAUUUAACUACAUUAAAGGAGGGUUUGGGGGGACCUUAGAGUGACACGUGUCCCCCCAACCCUCCUCUUCUCUCUCCUUCUACACACACACACACACACACACACACACACACACACAUAUAUAUAUAUAAUACAAAAUUUAAAAUUUUGAUUUUUUAAAGUUUUAAAUUUUAAAUUUAAUAUUUUAUAUUUUAAAUUAUAAUAUUUAUUUCCAAAUUUUAAACUUUUCAAAAUUUAAAAUUUUGAUUUUUUAAAGUUUUAAAUUUUAAAUUUAAUAUUUUAUAUUUUAAAUUAUAAUAUUUAUUUCCAAAUUUUAAACUUUUCAAAAUUUAAAAUUUUAAAUUAUUUUUAUAUAACUUUUUAUUUAAUUAAUAAUUAGACUUAUAAAACUAUAUAAAAAUAUUAAAAAAUAUAUAAUUUAUUAUAAAAAUAAUUUUAUAUAUCCGCAGCAUCGCGCGGGUAAUUCACUAGUCUCUACAUAAAAAGACGACCAUUAUGUAAAAUAAAAAUUGAGGCUCCCCAUAUAUAUUUUUUUCUUUUUCUUUUUUUUUUGUCUAUAAAUUAUGGACACAAACGUUUACAUCAAAGUCAUCUUUUUGCUUUUUUGAAUUGGAAAAAAUAAAAGUCAACCUUUGAGCAAAUGCAAUCCAAAUAAAACUCUUUUUUCCUAUGAUUAAAACUCUUUUUUCCUACGAUUAAAGAAUUUCUCACGCAUGUUUCUUGCUUUUAAAUUUUGAUGUUGUCGGCAAAAUUAAAGUAAUGCUCUCUCUCUAUAUCUAUAAUAUAAGUGUAAAUCUUGCAUAUGAGUUUCGAGAAUUUUUUUAAAAAAAUUUAAACUCAUCUUUUUUAACUUUCCGCUUAUAUGAUGGUUCCAAACAAAAACCUAGUAUUUUUAUAAUUUCUUUUUCAGAUUUUAUAGAAAACUAGUAUUUUCGUUUUUCAAUUUAUUCCCCGCAAAAACUAGUUUUUCAGAAAAUAUAAAAAAAUUUAAAAAAUAGUUUGUUUUAGAACCAAACGGACAGAGAUUGAAUUCAAAAAUGAGGUUUUCCAAACAAAAAUUUCUCAAAAUUUUUUUUUUCAUAUUUUUCUGAGAAACCCAACAGCCUCUAAGGGGUGUUUGCUUUUCCAGAAAAUAUUUCUCUGACUAAAAAACUAUUUUUCAUCCGUUUAAUUCCUAGAAAAAAAAAGCAGUUUUUCUGAUUUUGUUUUUCAAAUUUUAUUAGAAAUUAGUACCUUCAUUUUUUUUUUCAAAUUUUUUAUCCAAAAAAUGAAAAGUAUAAAAAAAAAAAAUUCCACAUAACACUGUUUUCUAAAAGGCGCACUAUUUUUGUCAUUUUUUAAAGAACGAAACAGCCUCUAAAAAUGACAGGACGUAAGAUAUACAUCCUAUAAUAGUGUGCUGUACAUGCACCACUUUUCAUGUCUUUAUAAAUAAGAUAAGUAAUCAUGCACCAUUAAUUUAUUGACCAAUACAAUAUAAAUAGCGCAUGAGAACAACUUACGGGUCCAACCAAAACAACAGUAAUUAGUAACGUAUACACACACAUUGUUAAUUAUCUCGGUCAAGUAGGAAGCCUACAAGUCACUCCUUUUAGGUUGAACAACGUCUUAACUUCGAGUUGUUAAUUUCCAUGCCCUCUACUGGUGUGACUCUUCAAUGUUAAUGGUGUUGAAGAUGAAGAAGAUCCAUAGAUUUAUGUGGCCGUAAUUAGUUGACUAAUUCAUGACUCAUCAACUUAAAUUACCAUAACAAUUACUUCACUAGCUUUCGAGUCCCCACCUCAAAAGAUGCUACGCGUCAUGGACUUAAAAAUUUUGCUCAUAAAGUCCGUACAGUAUCCAUCUUUCGCUGCGAAAAUAAGCAAUGCUUGCUCUCUAUUUGCUGGUCGGCUGGAGCUCUACGUCUUAGGACUAAGUGCACAAAGGAGAAAAGAGAGGGACAGAGUUUCUGUGAAAAAAAACUAAGUACUCUAUUAUUUAGAAAAAUAAAAUUUUAAGUGUAUCUCUUUAUAUUUUGGCCUCAGCAAACCCUUUUACUUAUAGAUAGGCACAUAGUCAUUGAAUUCACCUAACUAGCCUAUAUUAACACACCCAAUAAAACCUAGAAAAACUGUAAAUGGGAAUCCAAAAGUUGCCUAUGACCUAGCAAUUUUGAAGGCUUUAAUGCUACAGUUAUAUGACCCUUUAUCUCCCAUAGAAGGUGUUGGAAUUGCGCAUCUUCGACCGUCAGUUUCAAUUAACAAAGCUGGGCCAGAGACUCGAGCUGGGCUGAAAUUUUUUUACGUCCCUGCGAUACAUGCAUAUUUGGUUUCAACUUCUGGUUUUUAGCUUUGAAUUAUAGUCACUUUAAAUUGAGGCAGCAUUUGGCCAACUUAAUUGGAGCUUCUACUUUAAUAAUAAGUCGAAAAUAAAAUUAUGGGACCAAGAAAUAAAAAUUAUUGACACAAAGAACUUGUGUACAAAGCUUCUCAUAGCAACACUACUCGAACAAUAAUUUAGAAAAAAAUUAAAAAAUUAUAUCCUACGAAAAAGCCAGAAACAUUUGUGUAUAGUGUAUACUCAACGUAUAUACUAUUCUCGAUGUGCUAAAUUUAAAUUCUGCUUAAUAUCGAUCAAAUCUCUAACGGUGGCAAUAUUAUUGACACAGCAGUUCUAUUAACAAUUAAUUAAUUGCUAAUACAACUAAUCCCGUAACCUAAAAUACAAAAAAAAAAAGAAAAAAAGAAUCAAAUUUGCUUAAUUACACCAACAAAUUAAGAAUGCAAUAAAAACACGAAAAUUAAACAAACUAAAAAAAACAUCUUACCAAGUAGUAGUAAUGUUUAGCUCUUCAUCCUCCAAGAAGCUUGCUCAACUCCUCAAGCGUCGGCACCCCCAAGACGAUCUCCUCCCCCUUCGAUCCUCCGCUGUCCGAUGAUCGCCGCCGAUCGCGAUCGGUAUCCAGCUUCUCCUCGCGGGCUUCGGGUCUCCGUCCCGUCGACCCGGAUCCGACCGUCGUGGGCAGCGGGGCGGCGCCUUUACCCGUUAGUCUCUGCACAACAGAUUUGAAGCUGGUUGCGUCCGUUUCCACGUACUGCGUCUCAAUAAUUUUCACGGAUAUGGGCUUCGUUGGUUCCUCGCUUGUUGACAUGGCCACACACAAAUGAGAGAGUUAUAUCUAUCUCUUCGAUAAAAAUAAGAAUAAGUAUUUCGAUGAUAACACAUAUUUAUAGUAGUACUACUUAUAUGUUAAUUGGUAUGUAUUAAUUAAGAUGGUUUAAACAUAGACGAAAUUGAAUAGCAUCAGUAUGACGUAAUAAAUACUUAAUAAAUAAAUCUUUUAUAAGGAGCAAUUUAGACAUUCGAACCUAAAACAUCGAACUUUUUUGGCGAAAAAGAAAAAAGAAAAACUCUCUUUGCUAUACAAAAAUUAAAAAGAAAGUAGUUGAGGCCUAGAAAUAUAGAAAUUAAAUGAGUAUCUUAGAAUAAUAUGGUCAUUUUGAUAUAUAGGGAGGAGUUAACUCUAAUCUCUCAACUAAAAAAAAGCCAAACUAGUCAACUAUACACUAUACGAAAAUGUAUUUUAUAAUAUAUAUAAUUGUUUAGGGACUAAUUUUGGUAAUAAAUAUCUAAUGAUUAAGAAAAGUCAAAGGCUAAUGUAGGAAGAAAUUAAUGGAGUGUAAACGGUCGGCUUGAUGUUAGCUAAGAAAAUAAAAUGCGCGUCGGUGGAAACAUGUUCCAAUUAGAUUUGGAAACAAUUCACGUGGGAUUAAAGGUCACACAUUUAAAAUUCGAGCAUGCCAAUUAUUUUCGCAUUUUUUAAGAGAUCUAAUUGAAUAUUUUUUUUUUUAAAUAAGAUAACAUACUAUCGCUUUAUUCAUUAGGAGAAUGAAUUGGGCUACGAAUUAAGACAACUCGGCCUCGAUAGGAAGGGAAAAAAAAAAAACUUGACAAAGUAAAUUCCAAGUGUGUCUAAGCAAGCGUAUUUCCGUCACUAAGACACAUGUUGAGCAUUUAGUAUUUUAAAACAUUCUUCUAUUCCGCUCCAGCCAAAUUACCCACCACGUUGUGGCGAUCGUCGCUAACUCCCUUCGUGUUGGCGCUCCUCCUUUAUCUCUGCUGGUACCCCAAAGCAAACCGGUAGAAGCACAGUUUUGAAGCGCUGACUUAUCUCUUCUGGUUUUUUUUUUUUUUUGAGAGAGAGAGAGAGAACAUUCAUUUUUUUUUAAAAAAAUAAACUUUAACUAUAAAUAUAAAGUAAUUAAAUUUCAAACUUAAGAUAUGAUGAAUCAACUAUUAAAUCCUUUACCAGUCGAUCCAGAAACAAUCACUUAUUCUCAUUAAGGUUUAUAUAUAUAUAUUUUUAAUCUUUUGUGACUCUCGUGAGGAUCAUGGUAGGAUUCAAAAACUCAAAAAACUCUAGUGACUCGAAAGUAAGCUAAGUAGAGUUUUUUAGCGACUCAGGUUGCACCAAGUUUUAAGCUUAAAACUCGAUACGCACAACCCAAUCCAAGGCCCCUUUGUUAUUUAUUUAUGAACUUUUCUGAAUAGUAAAAAUACUCAAGUAUUACUACUUAAUACUUUUACUAACUAGGAAAAAAUUAUGCAGCAAUAAUUAUAUUUCAAACUCGGUCUGAGUUUCAGGUAAUUCAACUGCAUGACCCAAAUUUAACUAGAUUUAACUUGAGUCACUACAACAGAAUUAGAUUAUAAGAACAUAUGUUUGGAACAUUUUUGUGUAAGUGUCUCAUUUAUGUCAAAACUUAAAAAGAAAUUUACUAAUGCUUAAAUAUAAAGCCCAAUCUAAUAAAAAAUAGAAGGUUACACUACUCAACUCACCCCAACCAGCCCAUUCGGCCUGAUUACAAACAGAAAAAAAAAAAAAAAAAAUCGAUUAUCAUCUCUCCUUCUCCCCUCACUCAAUCCACUGAAAUCUUAGACGAAAAGCCCUUCCCUCUCGUCCUCCUCCGCUACCGCAGCUAACAAGGCAGAAUUCCGGCAGUUGCUAAAUGCUUAAAUAAAUAUUAGUAAAUUAGCAACACUCUUUUAGGUUAUAGCGACACUCUUUAACUGUCACUAUAUACCUAGCGACCCCAUAUAUAGCAACACUUUUUAAAAGCGUCGGUAAUUUAGCGAGCAAUAUUUUUUUUGAUCUUUACCGAUAUUUAAAAGUAUCGUUAUAGAUCAUUUUUGUUGCAGUGAGUUCACGACAAUUUAAUUUGUGUACGAGUCACGUAUUGAAAUCAUUUACUGUAGUAUCACAAACUACGUGCAGAACCAAACAAGUCCUCAUUCUGAUUAGAUUGAGUUAAAAAGUUGUUUGGGUCAAUGGACAACUUUGAAGUAGUUAACAAGUAGUUAACUUGAAUCGCAAUGAUAACGUCGACAGUUUCCGCUCGAUCGGUCAAUCUUGCACGGCUCAAUUCUCUUAAUCCACCAUAAAAAAAAUACUUUGAUCUCUAUCACCAUUCAACAAGCAAAUAUGUUGGUAUUCUUUAGAGAGAUCAUGCCAACUCGCUACUGUAUUCGUCAUCAGAUUCGAUAAACAUUUCUAUCAAUAAUAAAAUGAACCAACUUCAACAAAAUAAAAAAUAUCUCUAUAUAUCAUAUAUGGCUUACAAGGUGGCCAGUUUUUUCUUUGCUUUCUUUUAAUUUAUACCGAAAAAGUACGAAAUUUAACUUCUCAGAUAAGCUAGCAUGCAAGAAUAUUAAUCGAUUGCUCUAAAAACAGCGAACAUAAAAAUAUUUAAUUAUGGCUACGACUUUUGAAUUUUAUAUAUAUAUAUAUAUAUAUAUAUAUAUAUAUAUAUAUAUAUAGUUGAGCUAGAAUACUAUCGAUAGCAAACGGAUUUCGUUGCCACUUAUUUAUUUUUUAUAAUGGAGCCUCCAAAUCGACGAUCGACACCGUUGAACAUGAUCUAUAUCACUUGAAGUAUUUAGAAAUCAAAUUUCAUACAAUUUCAACAUUGUUCUUUUAUCCAUCGAGUGGACACAAAAAUAAACGGCUGAAAAUAAAUAUUCUUUAAAAAAUAAUGAUAGAAGUCUUAUAAUCAAGAUCAAGAGUAUAGAUCUUAUUUUAAAUAGUUUAAAGAAUUUUCUAACAAAAAAUUAAUUGAUUUGGAUAUCUUUACGGCGUUAAACGAGAAAACGCCUCAUAUCGACCAUUAAAAUUACAAAAUUUGAAACAUUUUGAUCAUUAGGCAAAUAAUGUCGAAAAGAUUUCAAAUUUGAUUUCUAAACACUUCAAGUGGUAUAGAUCAUGUUCAACGGUACUGAUCGUCAAUUUGGAGGCUCUAUCAUCGAAAACAAAUGGAUGGCAAUGGAGCCCGUUUGCUAUCGAUAGUAUUCUAGCUCAACUCUAUCUAUAUAUAUAUAUAUAUAUAUAUAUAUAAAACUGGGUCGUCACGCUAUGAAUCUUUGAUUUGAUCCUCGUUUCAACAAGAGAAAAAAAAAAAAAAAAAACAAAAGAGAAAAUGUAAAGCAUCUAAAUGCCGAGAUUUAAAUUCAUUAAAUUAUUAUAUACCUUGAACUGGACGUGGUAUAAAGUAGAGGUGGCGCCUCUUCUAAGUUCUAAUUCUUUUUUUAUACAUAUUAAUUUCUUAAUGAGUAGAUAAAUUAAUGAGCUAAUCAAUGGCAUUGCAAGACUAAGCUUGCCUACUUGACUCUUGACUCUUGACUAAGUUGGUAAUAAUUAAAUAAUUACUGGUGUUACAUGUAUCUCCAAAAGUAUUAUAAAAAGAGAAAUGCUUCAAUACACUGUCCAAUUUAAAUUUGACCAUUUAAAUUUUUUAUAUUAAGAUUGACUUUUACGAUGAUAACUUGCUCAACAGGUUACCAAUUAAUCGUAAAGAUAAUAUUUGAAAAUAUAUAUUAGCUAAUUACCGAAUUUAAAAUUUAACUUGAGUUUAAACUUUAUAUUUAUAAUUGUAUAAAUUAAAUUUAAAUUUUAGAAAGAGAAUUUUAUAUUUAAAUGGGUAAACAUUUCAAUUCAAAUUGUUAAUUCAAUAUUAAACUAACAUGAAAGUUCAAAGAUGUUAAUCUCUUUAAAAUUGUAAUCUAAGUUAUAGUGUAUUUAUAAACUUUUAUUAUUUAUUUAAAUAAAAUAUUUUUAUAUUUUAAAGUAAGUUGGAAUUGUUAAUUCAAUAUUGAAAAACAAUAUUAAAUUUCAAAAAUAUUGAUCAAAUUUAAAUUAUAAAUUUAGAUUUAAUUUAUAUUAUAGUUAAAAAAAUAAAUUUUAUUAACUACAUAAACAUAAAAUUUUGAUGUUUGAAAAUUAAUUUUAAAUUAUAAAUUACUAAAUUUAUGACUCAAUGUUAUCACAAAUUAUUAUUAAAACCGGUAUUCAAAAUGGGUAAUCCAAUUAAAAACUCAUUCUCUCCUGGAUUCAAGGAUGGCAUGCAAAACUUUCCAAUAUUAGCUAUUUAACUUUUCAAUAUUACCUCUUUUAUUUUUUGAAAAAAUUUCUAGAUUCACAUACCUGGUGACCGGCACUGCUUGUGCAAUAGUGGAUCAUCUUUUUAUAUGCAUAAAUCUUAAUCCUUUAUUGAUUAAAGAUAAGCGGCUAAUAUUAGAACAGAUUAUUGAAGUAUUGCUCUUGUAAAAAUACAGCUAAUAAGUCAGCAUUACUUAUGCAAACAGAUGUUGGUAAUUUGUAUAGUUUUUUAGAUUGCUCAUCCAAAUAUGACUCGGCAUCUAAGAUUUACGAGUCCAAUCGAUUACUUGUUACUAAUUACAUUUAUAAUACCCACUUAUUAAUAAUAAUUUUGAAAACUACUAAGUGAAUAUGACAUUGCUNCCCCCCCCCCAAAAAAAUACAGGAGAAGAUCAAAUGAAAAAAUAUUUUUUUGAGAGAUAGGUAGCACGCUACCCGUUUCGUUUAUUUCGCUUAGAAAUAAACUUAGCUGAAAAUGUGAAUCAACUAGGAUUCGAACCUGGGACCUCAGAUACCAACCACCAAACCUUUUGCCACUUGUUCUAGAGACGGUCGGUGAUCAAAUGAAAAUGUGAUCUUCUUCUUGGUGGUUUUUAGCUAAAGCAUAUAUGAUUCCACAAAACUAUUUCCUUUAACAGCGGUUUCCCCUCUCUCCAGUAUCUACUGGUCUCUAAUUUCCAAAGAGUUGUUACAUUACAAAUAUUAUUUUAGUACAAACUAACGUAGCACUAGUUUUAAUUUCCCCUUAUUCGGCGCAACAAAUUCAGAGACAUAUACUUUUUCGCACUGAAAUGGUAAAAUUGGAGACCCUCUGAAACACAUCUGAAUAAUUCCACCAUUCUAGAAGAAGAUUUAAAGAUUUUUUGGCCAUUUUAUAGGAAAAAAGAAACUUAAUAGAGGAUUUUUUUUUUUUCCCUCCUAUAUAAAUUUGGACGCGUGAUGAUUUUUUAUGUACAUCCAAUGAAAAUAAUCACAGGAGAUUCUACAAGCAGGGGAAAAAUUAAAAGCCAAAUAUAUCCUUCCUUUCAUAGUAGAUACAUACGAUAUAAGACGAAACAAAUCCACGGAUUUGUGACAACACAAUACGGAGAAUGCGUCAGUGAAAAGUACUUUAUUUUUAUAAAAUUUAUCACCUUGUUUAUGUGGUAUUGUUUGGUCGUAAUGUUAUUUUCCUUUUUGGUUACGCGUAAUUUUCAUGAUCUCAUCCAAAAAUAUAAAAGUGUAUUUUUAUUAUUUUUUUUGUUUAGAUUCUUUUAUCCCAAUAACAUUAGGUAAUCCUUAGCACCAAACUAGGCGUAAAUUACACUAUUAUCUUUUUGCAGCAUUUCGUUGGUAAACCCUAACCACGAAAAAGAAAAACAAAAUACAAGAGAGACCACGGAAUGGCGAAGAGUAAUGGAGAACGGGUAAUCCCAUGAGAAAGGUAAAACUAAGGGCCAGUUUGGGGAUUGAGACACAUCUAAUACUAUAAGCCAAAUAAAGUUAAGGCGCAGAUAUAUAUAUGAAUCUACUUUUCCCUUUAUUUGGUAGAAUCGCAAAAAAUAUAUCAUAACCGGUUAAACGCAAUAGAUGAAAUCCGAUAUUACGUACAGAAACUAAUGUACUUUCUAAAUGCAUAUAAUACAGUCUCUCCAUAGUUCCAAACAAAGCCUAAAAUAUAAUUAAUAAGUCAGGUUUGUUUACUUAAUUUAUAGUUUAAUUGUACUUCCGAUCAUCAAACUAUAAGAUGUAGGACACUUUGGUUCUCAAACUUUAUUAUUGUAAUUUCUAGCUCAAAUUUUAAAAAUUAUUACAAUCAAAUCCGGCAAUUCAAUCUAGUUGACCAAAUGUUGACGUAUAGAUGAUGUAUACGUGGCAUGACAUUCUAAUUAUUGCCGUAUCAUCAGUCCCCAAUACUGUUAUCUUACUUUUAUAUUAAUGACACAUCAAUAUUUAAUUAACUAAAACAAAUUGUGAAACUUAACAGUCAUAAUCAAAAAGUUCAAUAAAAAAUUACAACUGAUUAAAAUUUCAGGAUCAAAAUGUUGGGCCUCUUAUAGUUUGAGGACCAUAAAUGUAAUUUAGCCAAAUUUUAUUGUACAUAUGGCUUGGCAAAAGUUGAUUACCAACACAUGCAUUAUGUCAGCAAACUAAAAUGUUAAACAAAAAGAUGGCACAGUUUCUCACGUUUUUGGUUGAAAACACACACACACACACCCCCCUCCUAUGGUCAAACUGAGAUACGCUCAAGGAUAAAAAAAUAAAUUAUAUGUUUAUCGUACUUUUUGACGGUGACUUAUUCCACUAGUUUAAACGGCUAGUACAUUCAUAAUAUAUAUCAAUAUAUCAUUACUCCAUAUAAAAUGGAAAGGAGAAAUGUGUCACGCUAGUUUUUUUCUCAGAACAAAAUUAAUUCUCAAAUUAUGUUUGAAUCAUUUUUUUUUGAUUCCCCACAACCCAGACUUCAGAUUAAACAUUGGUUUUGAUUAAACUAAAGUUGAGAUAAAAUUAAUUCCAUAACUAGACUUGGUAUUAAACAUAAAUUUAACUAAACUAAAAUUUAGAUAAAAAUUAACUUCCAAACUGCUAUUUGCUUCCCCGAAAUCGUGUCGCAACCGAACUUGAUUUACGGCGAAUCAAACAACAAAAGUGAGAAUUUAGUCCCGAACGUGACUUCACCCCCUCGGCUGUCGGUGGAACAAUGAUGCCGUUUGCAUAACCAAUUGAAUCCUCACUUUGUUCUCGAACUUUGUAAAAUUUUUGCAAGCAAACACCUAAUCUCUGUUAUCAAGUUUAUUUAUAGAAUGAAAGAAAGAAAAGAUUACAAUGAAUCGAAACAAGAACCAAGUUGUGGAUAUUACUGGAUAGAGACCAAAACGAAAAAUCACGCUGGUGAUAGUGCAACUUAUAAACAUUCACAAGGUUCCUACACAAAAAUGGUGAAUAACACGAGAUUAGUACUUACCCCUUGCGAAGCAGGCUAGGCCAUGCGCCGUGCUCAAAUUACUUCAAUCCCCACCAUCCAACUUAUUUUUAACUAUUAUAUAUAUAUAUAUAUAUAUAUAUAUAUAUAUAUAAAAAGAGGCUUCUUUUAUUGGAUGCUCGUACUUCAAUCCCCACCAUCCAACUUAUUUUUAACCAUUACAUCGACAAAAUGCAGCCUUCUCAUCGAAUGGCAGAGACGACAGCUCUGAAGACACAGUGGUGCACGAGAUGACNCCCACCAUCCAACUUAUUUUUAACCAUUACAUCGACAAAAUGCAGCCUUCUCAUCGAAUGGCAGAGACGACAGCUCUGAAGACACAGUGGUGCACUAAAUGUACCAAUAAUCAGCCAUUGGAUAGUAUAUAUUAAUAUGACAAAGGCAAAAAUAGAGCCAAAAAAACUAAGAUAAUGGGAAAGUAUCUAUUAAUAUAGCCAGGGCAAAAGAGAGUAAAAUAGGGGGGAAAAAAAAAAGAAGAAAAAAAAAGAAGGGAACAAUACCGAAGCAGCAGGAACUGAUUACUUAAUUAAACAUGGAACGACGAAAUAUGAAGCUAUAUGGAGCUAGCCUUCCCCAACCCCCAAACGCUGCAUUGAGGAAUACCAACACUAGAAGCCGGCAUACUGCAAAUCAAAACAAAGCUACCGUCAGCUUAAACCUGUCCGAAAAGAAGAAAAAGAAAUUGCUCGAGCAAAAUAAAAUGCCGCCGAAUGGCUUUCAAAAGCAUGAUUUUGGGCAGCUGAUAUUAGAACAAAAGAUCUAGGAUAAAGAGAUCUUAGGGUAACAACGGUAACAGCACAUGGUUUUUAACAUUUGAAUCAACAUAUGUUAAUGCAAAGUGUUGGAAGCUUGAAAUUUGAGAGAAAUGGAUAAAACUUGAUUACUGCAAGCAAACUAAAACAGACAAAGUUAUGCCUUUUUAAGUUUACUCUAAAGAUCACCAAAGUCACUUUACACAGUCCACGAGUAAGAUAUCAUUUUAUGUUUCGGCUUUUGCAGGAUUCAUGGAAUUUGGCUAUUUUACGUUUGAGCUUCUGCUUUUGAUAGUCUCUCCAAAAACUCUAAUUAGCCAACAUUACGUGGGUAAAUCUCCAGAAAUUCAAUAAGGAAUUUGUUUAGACUUUAGAUUGUCUUUGUAUAAAAUAUCAUUGAUUUCCAAAUUUAUGUGUAUUAAGAUAUAUCAAGAUAACAAGUAAUGAAAAGAGUUAGCACCAAUACAACUUAGAUAUAUGCCCACCAGAAUGCCAUAUGCAUGUUAUAUAUAACAAAGAGUAACUAUAAGAUAUAACAUAUAGACUAUAAACAAGCUUGGAACAGUAACUGUUUAUGUAUGCUUUUACUUUCGACACUUUCAAGAUCAAAAUCAUGUGAAAAAUUAGACAUCCUGGCUGCACACUUUGUGUGUUGUUUGUUGAAUAGAAAACUCUUGAAUUCUCAGCCCUCCAAAACUUUUAAGGAAAACUUAUACUUUGAACGAUUUUUCGACAAAACUGGCAAAAAAAAAAAGAAACAACAGCAGUUGCUAAGAUAACGAAACCUUAAGCAGUAUUGGAUUGUGUGGUCCUGAAAUUUCAAAAUUGCUGAAGAAUAAAAUUCCCAGCAAAUCUACGACAUUGGAACUAAAACCAGGAUUACCGUCCCAGUUGAUUGGUGUCAAAUACAAGUCCUUCUAAAGACCAAUUUCCUUUCAAAGAUAAGCCAGAACUUGCAGACUCUAAUUCUGCAACAAGAUGCUAAGAGCACCUGUCAAAACCGGUUAAACAUCACUUUUAGCCUAGGCAAUGGAAAGGUUCACUGCCCCUCCACAUGUUAUGUGGCUCGUCUCCUGAACAUAUCGCUAUCUUCCUAGUCUCUUCAACACAUCACCAUCUUCCUACUAAAGACCUGUCCCUCCAGGAAAAUAUACAACUGUCCCAGGGGGGAAAAAACAAAGAUAAUCAUUCUCUGCCAUAUUAUUAAACAUCUACACAAAUUCACCCUACUUGACUACCCAUAAUUCCAGAAAUACAAGUCAACAAAUUCAAGAUGAAUCAAACUAUCUGUUAAAAUCCAUAUUCUUAGACGACUCGCACUCAUUGGCGUAAUAUAUAUCACAUGCAGGAUCAAACAAAAAAAAAACAUCUGUCCACCAAUUCACCUCACAAUCCAAGCCAACCCAAAGAUUCUGUAUGAAAAGCUCUAUCAAAUUAAAAUUCCAAGAAAAGUCAUCAUAUUGGCAAAUUCCUCAGCCCUCCCAUUGCCAAGCCUGACCUCCAUCAACAUGAAUUACAUUAAUAUACUGCACAACACCCAUGCAUUGAAAAAGAAGUAAAAGAGCAUGUAAAGAGAAGGAAAAAAAAAAUGCCAUGAAAAGGAGGCCAUAAAAGUCAAUGCAAUAAAACAUUGUACGCUCUACACUUUAAACAAAAGGAAAUGGCAAGAGAUAACAAGCUUUGAAAGUCCAAGGGGAACAAUAAUUUGAUAGUAUAACAAGCAAUAUGUUCAAGACGGGAAAAAGAUCAAAUAACAAAGGAAAAACAUCAAGCCCCAUAACCGACCAUCUAUACUACAAAUUGACUAGGAUGCAUAUGAAAUAGAGUUUCGUCAACUGCUUCUUUGGUUUCCGAAUGUAAAAAAGAAGUACAGCCUUAGAGCCACCAGCAUCAUAAAAGAGAGGAGAAUUCAAUCACAAAAUCAAUCUGAAAAUGCUAGGAAAUUAAAGGCAAAACAGAAACAGGAACAAGUGAAGAUCAUGUAUUCCUUAAAUAACUAAACAUUAGCAAUGAUAUUUGCUGAUCGAACUAAACAUGAAAUAUAUAAGAAAAACAUAAAUGACAGGAAAGCUAGCCUUGACGGAAAUCAGUAACCUACCGAAGCCCCAGGGUCACCAUUAAUUACACCUUCUUUCUUUCCUGAUUGAUCGGCAGGGCGUGAACCCUUGCUGUCCCCCUUCAAGUUUGGACAAUAGAGAAUAAAAAGGUUAAAAUUUGCAGGGACUACCUCACCUAUAGACCAUUUUGUGAUACACCUCUCAACAUUUUUUUUUUCCGAUUGAUACACCCACGAUUUCUCCUUUUUUUAACUUUAAUUAAUUUUAAUAGUGAGUCUGGUAGAUUUCACUGUCCUGACAUUUUUUCAGUGGAUGGAAUCAAUUUUAACAAAACCACAAUUCAAUUUAGAAAGAAAACUUAAAACAAAGCAAUUAAAAGUUGAGAGAGAACCAUUUAUGGCAUAUAGUUGAGAGGUCACCAUACAUUUUUAGCAAAUGAUAAAAAGCCAACUCAUUCAAAUGUACUGGAUACUUCAAUUAAAAGGGUCGGUGUACAAAUUUUAUGACCAAAAUAAGUACCUCCAUCUGUAGCACCAGCAUCAUCAGUUUCAUAAUGCGUUCAGAUGCAGGGGAGCAAUUAACCACCGAAAAAAAAAAAGUAAGUUUUUUGAGAAAGGAAAGUAUUAAAUUCAAAAGAUAAGCAAUGAUUUGAUUGAUAUGAAAAUCUGAUAAAUAAAAGGCAAUUACUUCUCUAUAGAGCUGCAAAUAGAGCUUGAGGGGUUCGACGUAAUCCUCAAACCCUAGCGUCCCCAUCGCCCAGAGCAGGUCGUCGCCAUUGAUCGUCUUCCUCUUCUCCCUUUGGCACUUGUCGCUGGCCCUGCUCCAAAACCCUAGAAAUCACAACCAAAACAGCGGAAACGAAACCGACGGAGCGAGAAGAGGAGAGGAAGAGGAUGGGGUUAGGGCACCGAACUCGCUGGUGACGAAGCUGAUGAACUCGGAGACGCACUCCUGGAUGGAUUCCUUAGCGUCCUUGGAUAUCUUCCCGUUCUCCGGGAUCGCCUUCCUCAUGAUGCGCCCGAUGUUGGCGAUCGGGAGGAACCGGUCGUGCUCCCGCGAUCCCGCCGAGGUCGCCGGAGUGGCCGCUAUCGGGCGUGCCCGGGGCCGCGAACUCCGCCAUGGAGCCCUCCCCCGAGAUGCGUCCCAAACCCUAGACCUAAAUCCAUGAGGAGAAGAGAGAGAAGAGGGGGGGUUAGGGUUUGUACGUAGAAGAUGCGAGGAGUGUUUAAAAUGGGGGGGUGGAGGAGUACGCGAGGAGGAGGAAGGAGAAGAAGGCGAUGGACGGCGGAGAUGGGGGUUCGGAGGGCCGGGGUUGGGAUCAGAGCCGUCGAUUGGGUCGUGCGAUGGGAGUCGUUCAUCAGGGGGAGGAGAGAGAUCGCCCGGGACUGUUAACACCGAUGAGAGCGGGACGGAGACUAAUAUGAGAGAGAGAGAGAGAGAGAGAGAGAGAUGCGUUUUGGCCACAUGGUGGUGUACUUUAGAAAAAAACCGUGCUAAGUGGUGUGUACAUUACGUGUACUACCCUGCUUGGAGUACACGAGAAGCGCGUGAGAUAUAAUAAUAUCAUCAUAACAACAAGGUUAAAAAAAAAAAUAGAAAAAUUGUAAAAAUGUAGAUCCGCUGAUUCCGCUCUUGAAUUAAUUGAUUAAUUUAACCGAAAGUAACAAACUUUUGGAAACCUCUUUUAAACUGACCUACGGAAGAGGGGGGGGGGGGUCCUCAAAAAUCUUUACCUCCUUACUCAGAUUUUACCUUUGACCUUUUUACCUAAUAUAAAUAUAAAUAAAUAGAGUGGCCAAGUGAGUCACGCGCGACCCAAGUGAUGAGUCCAGAGGUAAAGUAAGGUGUGAGAUGGGCUUGCUGGAUCCUUACCUACAAGACCUAGCUGUCACGCCUGCCAAGUAAAAUAGGAGGAUUAGGAGUAGAGUAUAGUAGGAUAGUUAGAAUAAAAGUAAGGGUAGAGAGGAGGCUUAGCUUUUCUUUACUUCAAGUCUCAGGUUGUGAAGCCUCAACCGUCAAUCAUGGAGUCUGGGGGAAGACCGCAGUGAGGGAGGUAUCGGUGGAGAUGAGGGCGAUGGUAGUGAGGGGAAGAAGGGGGCGAACGGACGAGGAGGCUAGGGUAGCCGACCGUUCUGAGGUUCUAGUCAGUUCUGAUGGAUCCGGGCGUGAAGAAGGGCGGACCCGACAAGCCAUCCGGAGGUGACCCAAUGAAGAGGCCCACGCAGGGGGCCCAUAACUUCAGGAAAAGGCCCAGAGAAAGGCUGCGCUAGUGGCGGGAAGCAACAGAGCUUGGGAUAGUCCAAUUAGGAUUAGGGUUUUGUUUCUAUUCUAUUGUUGAGAAUAAAAGGGCAGCGUGUAAUCAAAGAAAUUAGGAAAAUAUUAAUGAAACUUUCUUCUUCCUCAUCUUCCCUUCCAUCCCCUUAAUCCCUCUUAAUCUUUCUCUUUCUUUUCCCUCUUUUCAUUCUUCCUGUUCCUCUUUUUCUAUUCUUUCUUUACCUUCUUAUUCACAGCAAUCACGAUUCGGGUCCAAAUCUGAUCCGAGUCAAGCAGUUACGUGAUCCAUCAUCCUCGGCGCCGUCCAACGUUUCAGCGACAUCUCAUCCUCGACGGGUUGCGCCGAGUCAGGUACGUAACAAUUGGUAUCAGAGCGGUACGACCCCAGGGCGUUGUGUGGUGAAAUCGCUUCCUAACUCCGAUCGAGUAUUGUCGAGUUUAAUCGCGAAAAGAUUUCCGCGCUGCCAAAUCUGAUCCGAGAUCGGGUUUGGACAAAGGAAACCACCACAGUAACAACCCUGUGCCGAAUCACGCUCGAAAUACAUUCAAUCAUUCUCGGAUUUUAGCAAGAUUGGGGGUAAACGAGGCAACAAGUUUAGAUUUAACCCAAAAGAAUAUCUUGAUGAGAUAGAGAUGGCUGAGGGGACUAGGUUGAGAGAUCUCAGUGAUCAUAUACGUACUUUAGAGGAGCAGUUCCAGAAACUAGGAACUGAGCAUCAGGCCGAGAUUGAGGUACUCAACCGACAGUUAGCCGAAGUCAAGGAGUCCGGGGAAAGGCAAUUCGAAGCAAUGCGGAUUGAAGCAACCAAAAGGCAUGAGGAGCUGCUCAAGCUGUUCGCAGCUAAGCCACCUCCACUCAAGAGCCCAGAUACAGCAAGCCCUCUCGAAGGGAAAUUCCCACAAUGCGGCAACCCUGGAAGCAGUAGAACACCAAUUGCGAUCAGAACGGAUAAAGGCAAGGGAAUUUUACCAACGCCGCUGCGGCAAAUUGAAGAGGAAGAGAAUCAUAGCUCACCAUGGGUCAACAAACACAAUCAUUACCAAUUACCUUACCCGAAACUGGAUUUUCCUUCCUUUGAUGGUGAUGACCCUCGAAAUUGGAUCGAAAAUUGCGAGCAAUAUUUUGAACUGUAUCAGAUACCCCAGCAUCAAUGGCUAAGUGUAGCAACCAUGCACUUAAUCGGUAAGGCAAGAACUUGGAAACAAGGGUAUUUUAUUAACAAACAACUCGUUUCUUGGAACGAGUUCACCGAAGCUAUAUGUAGAAGAUUUUCACAUAUGGGGGAGAGAUAUCUAAUUCGAGAGUUCAGUAACUUGAAGCACACAGGGACUUGCGAGAAAUAUCAAGAAAGGUUCGAGGAACUGAGAUUCCAGUUGCUCCAUUACAACCCACACUUGUCGGAGGAGUAUUUUAUUGCAUGCUUUAUUAACGGGCUCAAGGAAGAAUUAGUUCCCUUUCUUGACAUCGCUCAUCCUAACUCAUUAGAAGAAGCCUACGAACAAGCACAGUUACAUGAAAGGGCUAUUACAGUGAUCAAUCGAAAGAGUAGAUAUACUCCAAGACCGUAUCAAUCGAACUCUCUGUUUAAGAGCUCGGAGGGAAAUAAGCAGGCAAACCAAAAUCAAAACAAAACUGCUGCAAACCCUUACCAGAUCAACAAGCAAUUAAUGGAGCAACGUCGAGCAGCAGGGCUGUGUUUUCGGUGUGGAGAUAAGUAUCACCAGGGGCAUGUGUGUUCAAACAAAUCGCUGAACAUUCUACAAGCUACUGACAACAUUAUGGAGGUUUAUGAUGAAGAUUGCUUGCAAACAGGAAACAGUGAAGGGGCAAUCGCUGGGAGAGAAGGGGAGGAAGUUGAAAUUAUACCUGGCGGCGAGGAUCAGCAGGAAAUCGGAGUUUCUGUACAUGCCUUAUGUGGAGAAAUACCCCAGGAUACCAUUAAGAUACGAGGGGAGACCAACAAUCGGGCCCUUACCAUCUUGGUAGACACGGGAAGCACGCACAGCUUCAUCGACCUGCAAGUAGCCCAAGAAAUAGGAGCACGGAUGGAAGCAGCGCCACCUCUGACGGUGACAGUAGCAAAUGGGCACAAGGUUUUGAGUAAGCUCAGAUGCCCCGGAUUUACCUGGACUAUGCAAGGACACUCUUUUCAAACUGACUUGAGAGUAAUCAGAAUCGAAGGCUCGAAUGUGGUGUUAGGAAUCGAUUGGCUCAAAUCUUAUGGAUUAGUAACUUUUGAUUUCUUAUCCAACUCAGUAGUGAUCAUGAAAGAGGGACAAAAGCUUGAGUUGAAGGGGAUUGACGAAGGAGCUAAAUUAAGCUUAAUCUCUGCAGCUCAGUGGAGGCAAGAGAUCGAGAAGGGGGAAUGUUAUCUCCUCAGGCACCAAGCGUUAUCAGAAGAGGCCGAACAGGGAGUCAACCUGACUCCAGGGAUCCAACAGCUUCUGGAGGAGUUCCAGGAUGUGUUCGAGGAGCCACGGGAGUUACCCCCACCUCGCAUCGAGGAUCACAAGAUUCCUUUACAAUCCAACACGACACCGGUUAACAUUCGACCAUAUCGGUAUUCACAUGAUCAAAAGGAGGAGAUUGAAAAACAGAUAAAAGAAUUAUUGAGCCAUGAGAUCAUUCAGCGGAGUAAUAGUCCCUUUGCUUCCCCCGCCCUAUUGGUCAAAAAGAAGGAUGGGAGUUGGAGAAUGUGUAUAGAUUAUCGACAACUUAACAAAUGCACGGUGAAGGACAAGUUUCCAAUACCGAUUAUAGACGACCUGCUAGAUGAAUUGGGCGGGUCAAGGUGUUUUUCAAAGAUAGACCUCAGAUCGGGCUAUCAUCAAAUUCGGAUGAAUCCUGCUGACAUUCAUAAAACUGCAUUUCGGACGCAUCAAGGGCAUUACGAGUUCCUAGUCAUGCCGUUCGGUCUUACGAACGCUCCUGCCACAUUUCAAGCUGUGAUGAAUUGCACAUUUGAACCGUAUUUGAGGAAAUUUAUUCUGGUUUUCUUUGAUGACAUUCUAAUCUACAGUAAGAACAUGAAGGAUCAUGAAAGGCACUUGCGCAUCACGUUGGAAGAAUUGAGAAGGAAUAAAUUUUAUGCGAAGCGAAGUAAAUGCUACUUUGGACAGAACAGGGUGGAGUAUUUGGGUCAUAUAAUUUCAGAAGAGGGAGUGGCCACCGAUCCGUCCAAAAUUGAAGCUAUGACUAGCUGGCCCGUGCCUAAGUCGGUCAAGGAACUACGUGGGUUUCUAGGUUUCACCGGAUAUUAUAGGAAAUUCAUCAAGGGAUAUGGUAAAAUCAGUAAGCUCCUAACUGAUUUACUUAAAAAGGAUCAAUUCAGCUGGAAUAGAGAGGCACAAACAGCUUUUGAAGAAUUAAAGGUGUCUAUGACAAAGGCCCCAGUACUAGCUAUGCCUAACUUUAGUGAGCCAUUUACUAUCGAGGUGGAUGCUUGUGGCACAGGGAUUGGGGCAGUAUUAUCACAAGGAGGUAGACCCAUUGCCUACUUGAGCAAGGCCAUUGGCGGUAAGCAUAUGGGAUUGUCAACCUAUGAAAAGGAAUUCCUGGCUAUACUUAUGGCGGUACAAAAGUGGAAACACUAUAUUGGCACCGGUACAUUUGUGAUAAAAACAGAUCACGAGAGUCUAAAACACCUCUUGGAGCAAAGGAUAUCCACACCCAUGCAACAGAAAGGCAUGCUUAAGAUGAUGGGACUGAAUUACACAAUUCAGUAUAAGAAGGGUAAAGAGAAUGCAGCAGCUGACGCACUAUCUAGAAGAGAAGAAGGAGUUAUCUUAGCUAUCUCAGCGGUCGUACCAACCUGGGUGCGAGAAGUGGUGGCUAGUUACAAAGAAGACCCCCACUGUGAGAAAACAAUAUACGAGUUAACCUUACAGCCGAACCCUUCAGGGCCAUACACUUAUGGCAAUGAGUUGCUGCGUCACAAGGGAAGGCUAUAUGUGGGGCAGACCGGAUCUAUUAGAGAUAGCAUAUUGGAUCAAAUGCAUAACUCUGCCAUGGGAGGACAUUCAGGUAUCCAGAAUACAUAUCGGAGAGUUAAACAACACUUCUUUUGGCAGGGAUUGAGAAGAGAUGUUGCAGAAUGGGUCAAAAAGUGCACUGUUUGCGCUCAAAACAAGGUAGAUGGAACACCCUACGCUGGAUUACUGCAGCCAUUGCCUAUCCCUCACCGAAUUUGGGAAGACGUAAGUAUCGAUUUCAUUGAAUCAUUACCGAAAUCGGAAGGAUGCGAUACUAUCAUGGUAGUAGUUGACAGACUCACAAAAUAUGCCCAUUUUAUAUCGCUCAAACACCCAUUUACCGCGUCGGAUGUAGCUAAGGCUUUUAUGGGAACUAUCUAUAAACUUCACGGAUGUCCCAAGAGGAUUGUUUCUGAUAGGGACAAGAUAUUUGUAAGUCAAUUUUGGAGAGAGCUUUUCCAAUCCUUGGGGACCAAACUGCAUAUGAGCUCAGCCUAUCACCCGGAGACCGACGGGCAAACCGAAAGGGUUAAUAGGUGUUUGGAAACUUACUUGAGGUGUUUGUGUUUCCAACACCCAAAAAAAUGGCACUCGUGGUUAGCGUUAGCCGAAUGGUGGUAUAAUACUAAUUUCCACUCAUCCUUGGGUAUGACUCCAUUCGAGGCAUUAUAUGGGCAACCUCCUCCGAACUACCUGGUGGCCGCUGUGGAGACAGCUACCUCACAGGAGUUUAAAGAAUGGGCUACGGAAAGGGAGAAGCUGACUAGGGAAUUGAGGGAUCGAUUGCAAGUAGCCCAAAGCAGAAUGAAGGAACAGGCAGACAAGCACAGGAAGGAGAAGGAGUUCGCAGUGGGAGAUUGGGUUUACCUUAAGCUACAACCCUAUCGGCAAACCACCGUGGCAAUAAGGAAAAAUGUCAAGCUUACAGCGCGUUUUUUUGGUCCUUUUAAGAUACUGGAGCGCGUUGGGACCGUCGCGUAUAAACUGCAGUUACCCGAAGGAUCGCGGGUUCAUCCGGUGUUCCAUGUUUCCCUGUUAAAGAAGAGCCCGCCAUUAUCAGUCCAGGCAUCACCUAUGGCUCCCACUAUUGGAGACGAAGAAGAGUUGAGAGUCGAACCUGAAGAGAUUUUGGAAAGGAGAACGGUGAAGCGUGGGAAUCGAGCAGUGACCGAAGUGUUGGUGAAAUGGGCAAAUCUUUCGAGGGAUCUCGCAACGUGGGAAGAUUAUUGGUUCCUAAAAAGCCAAUAUCCAUCUUUUGAUCCUUGAGGGCAAGGAUCAGCUUAAGUAGGGGAGGAUUGUCACGCCUGCCAAGUAAAAUAGGAGGAUUAGGAGUAGAGUAUAGUAGGAUAGUUAGAGUAAAAGUAAAUGAAGAGAUGAGGCUUAGCUUUUCUUUACUCCAAGUCUCAAGUUGUGAAGCUUCGACCGUCAAUCAUGGAGUCUGGGGGAAGACCGCAGUGAGGGAGGUGUCGGUGGAGAUGAGGGCGAUGGUAGUGAGGGGAAGAAGAGAGCGAACGGACGAGGAGGCUAGGGCAGCCGACCGUUCUGAGGUUCUAGUCAGUUCUGACAGAUCCGGGCGUGAAGGAGGGCAGACCCGACAAGCCAUCCGAAGGUGACCCAAUGAAGAGGCCCACGCAGGGGGCCCAUAACUUCAGGAGAAGGCCCAGAGAAAGGCUGCGCUAGUGGCGGGAAGCAACAGAGCUUGGGAUAGUCUAAUUAGGAUUAGGGUUUUGUUUCUAUUCUAUUGUUGAGAAUAAAAGGGCAGCGUGUAAUCAAAGAAAUUAGGAAAAUAUUAAUGAAACUAUCUUCUUCCUCAUCUUCCCUUCCAUCCUCUUAAUCUCUCUUAAUCUUUCUCUUUCUUUUCCCUUUUUUCAUUCUUCAUGUUCCUCUUUUCUAUUCUUUCUUUACCUUCUUAUUCACAGCAAUCAUGAUUCGGGUCCGAUUGAUCCGAGUCAAGCAGUUACGUGAUCCAUCAUCCUCGGCGCCGUCCAACGUUUCAGCGACAUCUCAUCCUCGACGGGUUGCGCCGAGUCAGGUACGUAACACUAGCCCAUUAUCUAAUUUGGCCCGAAUUAAGAAACAUCGUCAUCAUCAAAGUUGAUGAAUUUUCAAUACAUUUAUUAUUUUUUUUUAUGGUAAUUUCAGGCUUACAAGAUAGCCUAGCUCUAGAGAUUCGCGUGGAAGUUUCAAUCUAGAUUAUCUAAGACAAAGCCGCAACUUUUCCAAAACCCAUUGAUCUCCAGCGCGCUUCUGAUAGUUUAAUUAGAUCCCAAACUGUACCCUGGGGGAGGGAAGGGGGAGAGAGAGACUUGUUAGUAAAUGUUUAAAUGGGAUAAAAAUGUUUUGAUGCCGUAAUUCUAAUCAGGCAAUCCUCUCCUCAACAGAUCACUAACACUGAUAACAUUUAACCCAAAAGAAGGACAAACGCAACCAUCUCCUACGUUCCUAAACUGUAAGGCUGUAGACCACCUCCAAGCUGUCCCAAAUCAUCGCCACAUUACAAGAACAUACAGACAAUAAAAAAUAAAAAAAAAAGAAAAAGAAAAGAACGAAUAGUAUACCGAGGGUAAAGAAUUAAAAGGAAAAUGUCUUAUGCACCGGCUUGUACAGGAGGCGCAGCCUCUUCAGGAACCGGAGCCUCCGGAGAAGGAGGCAGUUCAGCUCCCUCUGAAGAAGCAGCAGGAACUGGAGCUGGAGCUGGAGCUGGAGCUGGAGCCGCAGCCACAGGAUCAGCAGCAGGAGCAGCAGAAGCAGCUUCCGGGCUGCUCACAGCCUCCGAAGCUUCUGCAGGAGCUUUAUCCAAUUCCUCCGAACUCGGGGGCGCUUCCAACGCAAGCGGCUUCUCCGGCUGUGGCUCAGUCGAGCUUUUCUCAGAGGUGGGAUUGCUUUGUGUGGCACUUGGAGUAGGAUUCUGGGCUGUAGAGGGAGUGCUUUGUGCACUUUGUGGUGCAGCGCCAGCAGAAGCCAGAGACUUCUUGAUUGUGAUGGGAGCAGCUGUGAGAGAAGGCAUCCCAGGAGGAAGGAUUUCAAUUGGAGGCUUCUUUCCGGGUUCCCCUAAACUCGUGAGCUUGGGGUCCUCGAGAGAAGCCAAAAAUGCAGCAGCAGCAUCAGUUUUCACAGACGGUUUGUGUUCGAGCUCCUUCUGUAGCAUCUUGUUCCAUGCUUGGACCAGGCUCUUCAAAGUAGGACGACCGUGGGCCUGGGCAAAAUAAAGGAAUUAAAAGUGUCAGCAACUUGCGAGGAAAAGAAAAUACGGGAGAUGCCAUUCCAGGAGCUAUGUCAAACAAGCAGUGUCUAAAAGCUGAUUUCGUCCUUAUCUUCUGUGUAUACUUCGAAGCAGCACAUUGUGCACUCCAAAGCGUUUCCAACAAAUGAACAAAUAGUUUACGAAUAGAUCCAAUAAAUCCAAUAAACCUGGAGAUACUUACAUGAGCAUGAAGAACAGCCUCUGCGAGCAUUCCAGUGUCCUGCCAUGCCUUCUCCAUUAGAGCAUUAUCCCCUAAAACUGCAGCAGCAAAUGCUGCUUCGCGUCCAUGGCCUGCCGCAAUCAGGUUGUUCACCAAUCCCUGAGAGAUACAAAACAGAAUUAAGUAAUAAAGAAUUCUAGCAAACUACAACUUCAAAAUAAGUCAUCAACCUCGAAUGAUAUUUGUUUUCACCACGAAAGCUUGCCCUCUAACGUGCAAGAAGUGCUAGGGAGAAUAACAAUUGACUUGUUGCAGGGUUAAAGCUUAAUAAAAAUAUUACAGCUUGAGAAAAAAAACCAAAUGCACAUAUACAAAGUUUGAUAUUAAUUGAAUUCAAAACGAAUACUGCUGCUAUAAAUUAGACAAAAUUUAGUAUUGACGGUGUAAAUAGGUCGACCAUACGGGAUAGUUUAUUCAAAACUGAAAACAAAGAUGACAAGUCAACAUUACUGAGUACGGUUGAACUACUUAUAGCAUAACCUUAUAUCACGGCCAAAAGAUGCAGAUUCAAGGCUACAUACCGAAAGUCUAGUCAGCUCCCCAUGAUUUGCGAGUCGGAGAGCUAGCCCUCUCAGCAUUUGUCCAUGCAGAGCACCCUUAACGGAUCCUGCAGCAGCUAAUCUCUUGAGAACUUCACGGGCAAUGUCAGAUUGUCCCGUAGCAUCUGCCGCAUCAAUGAGAUCGAAAAACUCCUUCACAAAUUUCACUAUUCCUUGCACAGCAUCCACAAGGUUUUCUUGUUUAGCAGCUGUUAAACUUAGAAUCUCAGUUAUAUCAGCAGCAGCAGUUUCUUGUCCAAUAUCCCGGCUGUUGCUCAUUGUUAGCAAGCAUUGAAGUGCUCUUUUCAAGUCGUUGCUCUGCAUGGCUAAGUCAAACUCUAACCUGAGGGAAAUCAGUUGUAAAUUUCAUUCAUAAUUUUGUCCUUCAUACUUAAAUCUAUUACUACAUUUUGUUACAGUAGUGGGUGAAAAAGAGACAAAAGGGACAAUGGUAACAGUUAUUCAUUAUAGUAAUGUUCACUUAUGUGGACCUGCAAUUUAUCUGUCUACAUGCACAUCCCUAAUAAAUCCUAAAAUAAGCUUAUGAACUUAUGAUUGUAAAACUGCACCUUUUUUGACGUGAAUCUAUGUGAAAAUUCUGAUUCCACAAAAGAAUUAUACGUAGAUAGAUGAUCUUGCAGAGGUAUAAAUCUAAAAGCCCCCUUCACAACAAAAUGGUAUUCUACAAGGAUGUUAGGUAUGUUCAAUAUCUUCAGUCCCUACCUCUUAGAAAUUCCAGGUAAAUGAAGAGCUUCCGUUGCAUAUCCCAUCCCAAGCAAAAACUGAGCCAAGUCAUCAUGAUGCUCUCUACCCAGUCGACUUGCCCUGUGUAAGUUUCAUUAGAGUCAUACAUGUUUCCUGACUUUUGAAAGCGAUAUUUUCAUAACAGAAACUUCUAGAGUAGUACCAUUUCACUGCACUAACUGCAUCUCCAUAGGCAGCAAGGCACCGGCAUCGAAUACCUGGAUGACUAAGAGCCAAGGCAUGGGCACACAUAUACCUGAGACAACAGAUUACAGAAUCAGAGUCCAUAGAAUAUUCUGAAGAGUCUGUUUAUGUUGUGUGGUUCAUGUUGUGCUGUUUCAUUUUCUUCUGUCCCAUCUAGGAUUCAAGUGAUUCCCUCUUGACCCACCUAGCAUCUAUAUAAUCUUAUGAACCCAUGUAUUAACAAGCCAAAUUUUGUGACUGUAAUAGUAAUAACAAGCAAUUGGGGAUCACUUACCUGUCAAUGAGCCAAAGAACACCAUCUCUAACACCUACAACAAUAAGAGGCCCAAUAGGGCGUUUCUGCUCAGGAGGGAAGCGAGUGAUUGCCACAGAUACCCCUCCUCCAGCAACAGCAACUUCAUUGACUUUCCUUUCUUCCAUCUCUUUCUGCAAAGUAUCCUCCCCCUCUAUCUUGGACUGUUUUGGCAAUGUUAUGAAUGGUGGUAUAGAAGGAGCAUGCUGAAAGGAGGCUAAACGAACGACCUGGGAAACAUUUAAAAGCAAACAUUUGAAAUUCUGUUUUGCAUUUCUAACUAGGUUUGCUGUGUACAUUAUGCAUUCUCUUAAACCUUCGCUCUAUAUCUAAAUGAACAAUUCCCAAAAUAAUGGACAAGAAGUUCCAAAUACUUGAGGAGCAUUUAAUGCAGAACAACGAAAGAAAAAGAAAUUCCCACAUUAAAUUGAGUAAAUACUGAAAAAUAGUAGAGAUCUUAUAAACAACCUGCAGCAUUGGAGGCCUCAAUGAGAUUCUUUCAUUUGCCGUAACUUGUGGGCUAUCAACUGUGAUAAGUGCUAACUCUCCAUGUUCUGUCACUGCCCUAGUUUGAGCUUCUCUUGCUUUAAUUUCUUCUUUCCUCUUUCUUGUUUCAAUAUCAAUAGGUGCAACACCAGCAUCCACGAAUACACACCUAAAGAAGAGUUACAGUUAGCAAAAGCUACAGAGCUAGAAGACAUGCGCAAACAAAAAAAAAUUUAAAAAAAAAAAAACCACCUAUAGUACCUAAUUAGACUGAUAUAUGAGCUUCAGAUGAUAGUAGUGUCAUUUUCUUAUUUAUGGAGGGAAGAAAUAAAUCAAAUAAUUGCCUAACCACACCACUGCCAACUCCUGAGUAUAUACUUCGCUUUUGUUAAUUUUUUAAUUUAUUGCAGAAAUGAGUAGCUCCUGAUUGCUACUAUAUGCACCUAUUGUUAGAUUAUAUAUUGUCUUUUACCACCACAAUGUAGAGAAAAGGCACAUAAAAACAUCGUGUCCUUCACCAUAUGUAUCCAGAUGUUUGAAGUCAAUUUAAAAAGAGCAUUGUAUUCAGGGAGGUCAUUUAUCUUACUCAAUGGUAGUAGGUGUAGCAACAAACAAUUGCCUGCGAUGCCAAACACCACCGGUAGCAAAGGGAAUGGAAACAUCUCCAAGAAACCUAAACUGAGGGCGCAGGGAAGCAAUGACUAUGUACUGAUGGUAAGCGAAAGCACAAUACUCAACAGUUUGGUCCCAUGCAGUCCACUCUGGUUGUGCAAAGAGGCCGCUCACAGGUUGAUAGGUUUCCCAACUGCAUUAAUAAGAUAGUCAAGUUAGAGGCUGAAGCAAGAUAUCUUUCAAAAUCCAAUCAAUAUCCAAGCUAUCUGUGCAGUAUAUCCUAUAUGAGGUUUCUAAGAUAUAGCUGACAGUUUGAAAAAGCAACAAAAGUUAUCAAGGUUCCUGCAGACUCAACUGGUAUGCUUUGCCAGACUAGGUCAAACUGCGCAUAUUAUUUGCAUAAACUUAGUUACUUAUUACCAAUAUCCAUAUCAAUGCUAUAUGCCUAUAUCAUUGAUACAUGUGGAACAACCUAAACAUAUUUCUCUGAAUUAAGUUGCUUCAACAUCCAACACUGGGGAAGAUACACUCCCAAAUGGCUAAAUGAAUCAGAUUUUCAACACAACAUUCUUCGAACCUGUAGAGCUGGAAGUUUUGAGGUGGUGCCUCAGCAGAAGGUUUAUUGGAGGAAAAAGGGUCAUCAGCAGCCGCAAAAGAUGAAAGGGACCCGGUGUUGCCAAAGCCUGACAAUGGCAUUGUUGAUAUAGCGGUCGCAGCCAUAGGGCUGAUCCUCCGUGACAUCCGAUAUGCUACACCAAGCAACGCGCCUCCAUGCAAGCCGAUAACCUUCAAACAGAAAUAGAUGCAUUAACUAAUAUCAGAAAAUAACCUGCUAUUUACAUUAUACACAAAUAAUAUAUAAAGGAGGAAAUCCAUACACCUUCAAAUUAAAAUGUGGAUGAAAGAAGUGAAAACCACAAACAUUCUAGUAAAAUUCCUCACAAACUUAAAAAGCAUUGCUAUCAGGCCCAGACCAGAUCGCGCAGUUAGAUAAGUGAACUGGCCACUAGGCCAGUUCAGUUACAUUUUCGGACCAGAGAUGAAAUUGAACCAAAUGAAACUCAUCAAACCAGUGGUUAGACUGGCGAACUGGUCAAGCCUGAAGGGUUUGGGCAAACCUAUUCCAUUCAAUAGAUCAACCAACCAAACCAACUCAUCAAACCGGUGGUUAGACUGUGGUUAAGCCUGAAGGAUCUGGGCAAACCCGUUCCAUUCAAUUGAUCAACCAAUCAAACCAAUGACCCAGUGAACCAACAACCUUCACCAGGUCACUGUACUGUGGAAAUCCAAUAACUAAGCUUAAUAACACACAACCACAUGGAAGCAAUAAUAUGGCAAAACAAUGGGUAAUAAAAAGAUCAAGUCAUAAUCAAGGCAAUCACUCAAAACUACAAAUUGUCACACAACUGUUGAGCAUCUUAAAAAGGAAAUAAUGAAAAAAAUAAGCAGGAGAUGAGAUACUAACUGGUUCACUCCGCCCAUCAAUGGAUCUCUGCAGAACGUGUGCAGUUCCAUCAUCCAAUAAGAUUCGCACUUGUACGGUUGCUGCAGAAGCUGCAGCAGCAGCUGCUGCUGCUGCUUGAGCAGCAGCGGCAGCAGCUUCUUUCGCCUUUUUUGAUGAUCCACCUUUUGCAACAAGCGGUAUUCUAGGAGGCAUAGCAGUCUCCACCAAAGCAUAUCGGUCACGACAAGUGUCCCAGGCGAAAAGCCUUCCGGUGCCUGAAUCAACAACCGACCAAUCGCUGGCCUUGUAAAUUACAAAUGAAGGAAUGUCAGGCCAGACAAUUGCGACAUACCUGCAAGAAAAGGCAGAUUAAUGACAUACAAUUAUUAACAUUCUAUGUAAAACAAGGAUGAAAAGACAGGGUCCCCACAGUUAAUGUCAAAAGAGAGUUGAAUAGCUAUACAAAGCGGAAGAAGACGAUACAUUAUUUACUUGAUAAUUAAGAACUUGUGAAUUAAUGAGAUACGAGAGAAGAAAAUAGCAUGUUAAGAAAUAGCAACUCACUUUCCAGAACUGCUGACAGAGAGGACGGAAUAUGAUUCAUGAGGAGCAGGGGUACUUAUGUGCUUCUUAGUCUGCUUUACGACCAGUUGCUCUGGAUCUGCCCUCAUUCUUCCUGUGUCAGAUGCCAUAUUGGAACUUCCAAGAGACGGGUUUGCUGUGUUUGACAGCUGAAAAUUUAGUAACUUGAGUUCUCUCUCAACAAUAAAUACAGCAGAGUGUUCCCUGCUCCCUGCUGGUGUAGGUAGAGGAGCCACCGCCGGAAGUGCCCUGGCAUCAAACUCGCUUAAAAUAACCCCUAUAUUCGUUCCCGUGGCAACAAGGUGCGGCUGAAGCGGAUGAGCAACCAUGCAAUAAACCUGAAAUAAAGCUCAUAUAUUUAAGCUUUCUAAUUUGCUCGGAAGGCAGACAAUUACGCAUGAACAAAGAUGUGAAAUAUUCGCAAAUCUAUAGAUAAACAAAACCAUCACAAUUGGCCAAGUAAUAUAUGCAGUGAAGUAGAAUAGUUAGCUCAUUUAUGUCACAAAAGAAAAACUCUAAUAAACAGACUAUCACAAAGAUGGGAAGGCAAUUGAAAUAGCAUUUCAUUUUUAAUCAGAAAACAACAUCUGAUCUUCUAGAUCCACUUCAAAUAUCUUAGAAUAGAAGCUACAAGACUUCAAAAGAAAAUUAGACGUGUUUUACCGAGUUGUUCAAUUGUUGAAUUCAAGUUUAAGACAUACCCUUAGUUUCUUUGUAGCAGCAAGAACCUGCGGAGGAACAAGCGAAGAUAAUUCACACAGCGGUCUAGUUAAAGCAGAAUAUGUUGGAUGUUCAAUGGCCCUGUCACGGAGCAAAAAUAAGAGUUUGUGGUUCAUAAUGUACCGUAUCAGACCAAACUUGUUAUGUAGUUUGCACUGUCAAAAUUUAUCAUGACAAGUUGGACCAGAAAGCACAUAAUAUUACCAAAUAUGGGAGUCCUUAACACAAGUAAGGAUAUCAAGGUUUGGAGCCCGAGGGUGGCACCAAGAUGCUACACUAUGGCAGGAAAGUCUAGGUACUGGUUUAAUACGCCUUAAUUCCUGUAUAAAUAAUAAAGAUUGUUAACACAGAAUUCCCACAGCACUCAACUAAACAGGCAAUCAUGUAAGAGCCUCAAACAUACAACACCUUUAAUGUCAUAGUAUCCCAGAUAGCUAAUGUUUUGUCAGCACCAAUAGUAAUGAGUUGCGGAGCACUUCCCAUCACUCUUGAGAGUUCAACAGCUAUGACUCCUCCAUCAUGAGCCUUAGAAAGACAGACAGAAAAAUAUAAGUUUCAAAUUGAUAAAAUAUUACACUAGUGUUAUGUAGAUCAUGAUGUAAAUCAUGCCACAAUAGGAUGCCAUGAUCAUUGUACUUAUCGAUUGGCAAAAUUCAAUUAAACAAAGAUAACCAACUUCUCAAGUCACAAACACCAAAGAUUACUAGAAGACAGGAAGAGGAAAUGCUUAAGCAACAAAAGCUUGGAUAGACACCAACUAUAAACUAUCUGGAAAUCAAUAAAAAAAAUAGAAAUUUGAAUCACCUUCAAACUAUGCUUAGGAACAAGUUCACGUGAAUCGUACAUGUGAUCAGCACUCCAAAGUAUCAAGAAACCAUCACUAGCACCAGAAACUAAGAAUGCCUGAGAUCCAAUUGAUAAUGAAAAUGUAAUGUUAGAAGCAAAAGAAACUAAAAACUACAGCAUUAAACCAAUUCAUAUAAAACAUCAAAUGCCUUAAAAAGGGACAUAAUAACCAUCUUGCCAACAGUCAGUCAACCUCAAGGAUUAAAAAAAUCAAAAGCUUCACCUAAACAAACCAUUUAUUUACAAGGAAUUAUUGGUUAAUGACUUAAUGCAGAUAACAUGCAUAGUGAGAUAAAUGCAUAUAUGUACAUAUAUACUUUAUUUAAUGCAUAUUUUAGAUACUUAAAUUUCUUUAUAUGUACAGUAAGUAGUGAUUGAUUCGCCAUAACAUGCAAAAAAGUGAUAGUUUGCUUGGGAAAACUAACCCUCAAAUCAUAACAUGUCCAAGAGUAGUUUUGAUUGCCUCCAAGUUAGAUAAUGAUUAAGAUUUGAAAACCAAUUAUUCUACUGCGUAACUCAAAAUAAGUUUGUAAUAGCACAAAUAAGAUGAACAAGACCAUUACAUACAACUAAAGCAAACCCUGUAGGUAAUAUAAUGUGUAAAUGUGAAAAGUUACCUCACCGCUAGAUGCCAUGAAUGUCAUCAAGCAAGAAAUUGAUCCUUUGUGGCCACCAGUAUACCUUCGAACAAGCUGCAAAGAAUAAGUCUAGCAGCCAUCUUAAAAAAUUUUAGCAUGCAAAAUACAGAGGCAGGAGGAAAUAUGUCGAAACCUUCCAUGUUAUCAUUGAAAGAACUCUUAUCACACCAUCAGAUGCGCCAAAAGCAACAAGAGGACCAUCACCAGCAGAAGACCUCGAGAGGAAUGCCAUACUGUAAUAGCAAUAGAAAUUAGGGUAUAAUCAUUCAAAUAUCCAGAUAAAAGUCAUAAAGGAAUACUAAAUCAAUGGUUUCCAUAUAGUUGCACUGCGAAGUUUCCUGGUAGGUAUUUAGUAGGAAGAAAUGAAGAGAACGAAAAACUAGACUUGAAGAAGAGUUCUUAUCUUUUCUGUUUCUUAUUCAAUAACAUAACAAGGUUCUCCACUCCAAAGCACAGUUGGUCAAAGUGAAUGGAAAGGAAACAGCCAAAAAUCUAUAUAGAAAGAAUAUGUCUUGCAAAAAGAAUAUAAGUCUUGCAACUUGAAAACAAUAUGGCAAAGCGAGUACAAGAGGAUUAACACCCUACAGCAGCUAAGUCCAAAACAUUAACUAAUGGAACAUCAAAGGGCAUCACUUGAGUAAUAUACAGGUGAAACAAUGAAAGAGAUCGUAAAGCUCUAAGUAAUAGCUCACAUCUGCUCAAGGAAUCGAUCAAGUUAUGUCCUCAUGCCGCUUCACAAAUCCAGCACUGAGCAAUACCAGUUUGCCUGCUUUUAUUUUAAUCUAUCACUAUUUCACAAUAUUAUGUGCCUUACAUACCUAUGCUUUUUUAUUCUGUAAAUAGUUAUAUCUGGUUUCUAAGCUAUUCUCAUUUCUCAGGCAUCCUUCUUCGUGAAUUUAUUUUGUUAAUAAUUCAAACCUCCAAGAGCCUCAGAAAUUACUUUGCUUACUGCAUGAAUCCCUUCUUCCUCACAGCACAUCAGGCAGUAGUGCCAAUUUCGAUGUACCUCCGAAAGUUGUAGAUGCUGUUCUCAAGCAUUUAUUAUCUUAUGCCUGAAUAAAUUUAAAAUUCUUAGUCUAUUAGUUUCGACUGUUACUAAGUAAACGAUAUCCUGCACAAACGUUAGAAAGCUGAAAGAAACUUCCCCUGAUAGUUCGCACCUCAGCUUAAAUGAAUUUAAUUAGCAAUUCUCAUCUUUAAGGAAAAACUACUUUCUUCAUGUCGUGGAGCAAGGAAAUAAACACCAGAUAGAAUUUCAGUUAUGUACUAUUUUAACUUUUUAAGCACAGAACGAAUCAAGAAGUGACAAAUUCUUGUUUACUUCAAAUUAUAUGUAGAGUAAAAACAAAAGAAAAAAAAUUGUAUACCAAAGAAGUGACUUGUUGUCAAGCUCCUGCUUAGGAACAUCACGCCCUCUCAUGGUCACCAAGUCUAGAAAUAUUGCUUUAUUCUCACAGCAAAUGACAAGAAAAUGUCUUCCUCUGGUGGAGGGGGGAGGAGGCGUAAUGAAAGCAGAAGAAUGUUGAUUGGCUGCAAUUGGAGCCUCUGCAGCGGCAGUGCGGUUGCGCCAAUGUUGCCAGAAACAAACAUCAUCAUCAUAGAAAGUAACCUGCUUUACACUUGGUAAAGAAUAGUUGACCCCAUCUAGAUUUAGUAAAGCUGUGAAAAGCCAUUGAAAAGUGGAAUUCAAGUACUGCAAAGUCUCCUGAAUUAUUACCUUCCUCCCCGGAUAGCCUCUGUAGGUUUUCCUUUAGUAUCUGUACAAAGUGCAGAUGUUUAACUCAAAACAAAGUCUAUGUAUCAUAUUCAAAAAAUCAUAUACAAGUGAAGAAUAUAAACCCACAAGCAACAUAAAACUGAUAAGCAAUUUUGUUUAUUGCCAUAGGUGAUAAGAGACGAAAAAGAAAUUGCUGAGGUAGUCUAUAAUUUUUCGGUCAUGUUAAUAUUAUGCAUGAUCUAACAAGCCUUACUGCACUGUGUGGCAGCAACUGCAUGGUUCAUAAUUAAUCCUGCAUCACAGCCGGUAGUCAACGUCUAACUCAAGUUACUUCAUGCUUAUAUUUCUGGGAUAAACUUAGUUCAUUAUGCAGGAUGUUUUGAAUAUGCCAUGGGGUUUACAAUGAACAUUGUGUUUCUCAGGGAGAAACUGCAAGAGAUAUGCUGUAACAUUUGUAAGUAUGAAGUAUAAAACCAAACAUGUCACUAACUAAUACACUACUCAAAAUGCUAGUGAGCUUACACUAUUUACAGAGCUAUUCAGUUCAUGAAAUCAGGUUAUAAACUACUUUCUGUCAUUUAUACCCACUUUUCUUUCUUUCUUUCUUUCUCUUUUUUCUGGUUACUGUUAUAUUGUUAGAAUUUCUGGUUCCGAUAGUGGGGUUUGAAGAGCAAACUUCAUAUUGAAUAUAAUGAGUGCAGAAUGGCACAUCUUAACAAUAGAUAGCUUAAUUUGGCCAGUACUAGUUUGACAUUACUCUCAUGAAUCAUCUUCUCUCCUAAACUCCUAGGGAAUCAAUCUAGAGAAUGAAGGUACAUCAUUUAGCUUAAAAGAAUAACUCAUUAAAUAGUCCGUUAUUUCUGUGUGAAAAGUCUAGCCACAUCAACCAACACUAUUUAUCUAUAUACACACUUUACUAAUCUGCUAGAUCCUCUAUGAAAUGUAUUUAUUAUAAUUUGAAGAGAUAGAUCUAAUCACCUCCCUCUUACUUCAUUUUUUUUUUUUUGGAAGUAAACUAUUGUAGUUCAAACCAUGCUCUAGAGAUAAAGCGAGCAAAUAGAUUCUAAUUCGCCUACCAGAUUCUCCUUCCGCGAGCUUCUCCAGCUUCGCCCCAACCAAUCUCCUCUCAUCCACCCCACCCGCUUUGAGCUCAUAGAUUACCUACCAAUCCGAACACGAGUAGGUCGAUUAACCACACGACCGAGCACAAAAAACCACGAAAAACCAACAAAUACGGGGACAGAUCGGGACCUGGCGAUGCUCCCAGUUCCAAACUGAGACGUGAUCAGAAUCGUCGGCGGUGACGAGCCAUGGAUGCGUGGGGUGCAGCUGGAUCUUCACGAUCUUGCCGCUCGCUGGGCGAAACGCCCUCAAUCGCAGCAUCUCUCACCCCUCCUCCUCCUCCUCUUCCUCCUCCUCCAAACUAUCGUUCCUCUCCUCGAUCUCGAUCUCGAUCGAAGAAGAAGGAAAACAAGGGUUUGGGAUGUGGAGGCGUUAAUGGAGGUGCGAGAAACAGAGAGAGAGAGAGAGAGAGAGAGAGAGAGAGAGAGAAGGGAAAUGAUUUAGAUCUCUCGAAGGGAGGCGAGCGAGCUCAGAAAAUGGAGGAGAAGGCGAGGAAGGUCUCGUCCGAGUGGGCGUAGAGUCGAGCGGGUGCAAAUAUCACAUUUGCGAUUAGCACAUGUGGACCCCGCAAAAGUGGGGUCCACAUAUCAGAUUUGUAAGGCUGAUAUAUAAACGCCAGAAUAUCCGUGCUUUUCGAGGGAAAUGGACGAAUCUCGGACUAGGCUUUUCGCUUUUCUACUUUAGGCCCAAUUAAGAUCCAAUUGGGCUUUAACUGCCCUUGAAACUCGGCCCACUCACUAAGUUUUAGAGCAAUGGGCCAAAAGGAGUUGGGGGACAAAAACAUGUAGAGAGAUGCUCCUACAGUUUCUAUCAUACUCUAUAUAAUCGAGCGAUCUGCGACAUGAUAUUAUUUGCGAAAACAAAUGAAAUAUUGUAUCCUGCAAUGCUAAACGAAGUUUUUACCAUCUCACUACCGCAAUACAAAAAUACAUUCCCAAAACAUACUGCUGCUGCAGUAGUGACGGCCACACAAAGGAAUCGAAAGGCAUGCGAAAACGCGACUCAAUAUCCUAAAAAUGCUUCUAAAAAUUAAGCAUGGAAUAAGAGGUAUCUCAAGAUUUAAAUCGGAAAUAUAUUGUUGAGUUUGGAUUGAUCGGGCCAACCUCGAAGAAAAUACUUCAAAAUAGUCCAAACCUAGUCCAGCCCGUUACAAUUUUUUUUUUUUUUUAAGCAAGAUCUCGUCCUGGGUCAGAUUGGGCCUUGCAUACAAAUUUUCACGCUAGAAGUGCGACUUGAUUACUUGAACCCGAAAUCCACAUCUCAUCUUUUAUAUAUAUAUAUAUAUAUAUAUAUAUGAGUCCGGCAGCUAUGCUAUUAAUAGCACGAAGCACUUGGUGCUACCAAGUUUUCCGCCGUUAGAUCUACCAAUUUGAUCAUUUUCACCCGUUAGAUCAUACUAUUGAACCAACUACCCACUCAACCCUAGGGGGCCCACAUCAUUCUAACCGCACAUCUCUUACUUCAAUGGCCAAAAACUUGGUAGCACCAAUGACUUGGUGCUAUUAAUAGCAUAAUAGCCGAGUUCUAUAUAUAUUUUUUCUUCUCCAAACUCACUAUGCACAAAAGUUAAAACUUUUAUUUUGAAAAAAAAAAAAAAAAAAAAAAAAACAGAAAUUGGGAUAACAACCACUGCAUCAUGUUGAGUAGUUGGAGUACUAUUUUACUCUCUCCACAGGAUGUAGUUGGAGACAAUGACUCAUCUCCUAGAAACCCGUAUGAAUUAAUAACUGCUAGCGUUUGCCCUAGUCAGAGCCACGUGUAAUGUCGGGCACAUGACCCACCACGACACCCACCCACAGAUUUAGAGGGGCAUAGCCCCAGUGCCAUCACAUGCUCCACCCUUCCCCCCCUCCUCCGCGGGGAAAAGAGAAAUUAAAAGAGGAAAAUUAAAAAAAAAGAAAAGAAAAGAAGCUCACCGUAUAUAGCCUAAUCCCCACAUCAAAUCCCAACAUAUUAUCCAUAUAUAGUUCCCUCUCUUUUAGGGGAAUAGGGAUAAUAAGAUCAUUCUAUUUUUUUUUCUUUUUAUAGAUAUUUUGUUUGGAUGUCAGAAUUAUUAAUUGAGAGAUAACUCAUUUCCCGAUAUAAACUAUUUUGAGUAAUGCUAUUUCGAAAAGGAUAUAAAAUCUUACAUUUUUCUAUCCAAGGACCAGUAUAUGAUGCUUGUCUUGUCGACUUUUUUGUGUUUAAAUAUUAAAAAGUUCAAAGAAUUUGUGGAUUCUAGAUUAAGGAAUGUAAUUCUUAUACAUGCACCGCUCUCUAGAGUAAGUACAGCUAACAUUUUCUAGGGUGGGCCUUUCACCAUUCAAACUGAAAACCAAUACCGCUUUUGCUCGAUCUACCUCUUCGCAACAGGCAAGGCGAGAGGACUAGUUUUGUUUUGGCCGAGUUUGAUUUUAGCUUCUCGAAAGGACUUGGUAUUGGCCGAGUUUGAUUUUAACUUCUUGAAAGCUCUUGCUACUUACAUCUGGUAGGACUUGUAUUUUACCGGCCGAUAGUGUGACGUAUGUUGUUUCAAAAAACUAACUUGAAGAUCGAAUAUCGUAUAUUUUAAAAAAUAUUUGAUAAUCUUUCUCACUAACGGGCGAUAUAUUGUUGGAAAGGAUAUGUUCAUGCAUGCAAAUAUAACUGAAAUGCUUCGAGACCCCAAGCUAUUGUCCUUGUGGAUUGCAUGUGUCGACAAAUUUAUAUGAUAUUGUUGGACUACGCGAAUUUACCAAUCAAAACACUCCACGUCAUAAGUAUAUCGAGAUUAAAGGGGGGCCUAUACUCCCCAACAAUUUAUGUAACCAAGUUUUAUUUUGCUUUGGUAUUAGAAACUUUUAAAUUUGACAUUUGAGACACCAAGCUCCUAAAAGAACUUCAAAUUCUAGCUCUUAUUCAUAUUUACUAUUUACAAAAAAUAUAUGUUAAAAUUAUAGAAUUUAAAGAACUUUUUAUAGUUCAGUGACUAGCUAUAUACAGUAGUGCCACAAAACCCCCUAUGUAUGGCCUAUGUGGGACACCUAUACACACCCUACACACGUUGCAUGGUCAGAUACUCCCCGCUAUUCACGUGGCGGGAUAAGACACGUACACUGCAUGGGGUGGUCUCGGAAUAGUAUAUUCGGGAUAAGAUAUCGUGGGGAGUUAUCCCCUUGUCCUAUUCCAGUAGAGUAAUAAACUAAUAACAAUAAUAUAAGUUUCCAAAAAAACCCAAAAUAAAUAAAAAAAAAAAAAAGAAAAGAAAAAGAAACGGUCGAGUGUGUAGGGGCCGGAUUAGGUUUUUUGGCGGUUAAAGGGCCACCUCACUGGGGAUAGCAUGGGGGAUUCGGUAUCUUUCCUUAUAAGAGGCUCGCCUCACCAGAUCAAUUGGGUCUUGAUCAGUUGGGUUCGAUCGAGGGUUUGAUCAAUUAGGGUUAGACAACCCUCGUGGGGGGUGUGUUCUCUCCCGCCGCGCGCGGGCCCCGCUUCGAAUCGACCUUCGGAAGCGGCUCAGAUCUAAUCCACAAACUUAAGCUGAUAGCUGUAGCUUAUCCGAUUAUAAUUUACUAGUACGCUCUUUUUCUGGGCCAGAAUACUAAACUAAGGCUUAAAUCCUACGAAUCAGACAACGAUACAGCAUUUUGUAGUCACCGUAAAGAGAAAUAAAUUUGGAUAGGGCUAAAUUAAUAUUUGGUUCGAAAAAAUCGACUUGCUGGAGCAUAAUAAAGAAGGUUCUACUUUAUUAGGAAAAGUGAUACCUAUGUUAGGAGACUAUACAUGUUACCAAAGUUACAAAUUGUCACUUCCACUUGAGCCUUAUAUAUAUUGUAGUAUCAUUUUUUUAUAUAAUAAAUACAUAUAGCCAGAUCUAUCAUGUUUAUAGUAUAGAUUAAGCUACAUAUGUUGAAUAUAGAUUAAGCUACCUUUGGUUGUCUUCUAUUAGAUCAACUUUUAAGAUAACUUAGUGUGAGAGUCAAUUCUAAGUUUCCGUCUUAAUUUGUUUAUACUUUUUAGAUCUUAGGGACACAUUUCAACUUUGCACCCUCUCUACUUCUCUAGUCAUAAACCUUUUAUUUAUUUACUAAUUAACACUCCAGUUUUAAUUUGUUUUUCAUUAAUAACAAAGUUGUUCUAGAAGAUAUAGAAAAGGCCAUUUUGUGACGCGUCCAUGAGAAUAAUAACAAGCCUAAUUAAGUUAGGUCCUUAAUGGUGGUCAAAGCAGGGAUUGAAAACAAAUACAUUAAUAUUUCAACAUGCUACCUAUGCUUAUAUAUUGGUCCUAAUAAAGGAUAGAGAGCCUAAGCCCUUCACCAAACCCAUAUAUCAACAUUUUUCAUUUUGUCAGGAAAAAAAAAUCCAAAUAUUAAUAUUCGAAAAAAAAAUCAACAUAGAGUUUAUAAACUCAAAAAUAAGUAAAAUAUGAAAAUUUACACCCUAUAAAUAGGUGUAUGUAUAUGCAUGUUAGGACUCAUGGUCAAAAAUAUGACCUUGACAAACAAUUACAAAUCAAAAGCGUGGCAUGACCUCUUUAUUGACAAAUUAACAUUUUCAUUUACAUUCCGUUGAAAAGUAAAUAAAAAUUUAUUAAUUUGACCAACCCUCAAUUGAAAAUCUAACGUCACGCAUUAGACAAUUGAGAUCCCACUUGCUCUCUUUUUUCUUUAAACGUACAUUUCUAAUUACCAUUAUCUAUCUAUAUAAAGAAUAGAAUAUUUAUAUUUUUUUUCCUUCCUGGUGUAAAUAUGUACGUAAAUGAUAACAUGGUACUAUAUAUAUUUUCUACACCAAUAAAUUGCAAGUACUCAAGAAAAAUACAUAUUUGGCCGUAAAUGAUGUGCCUGGCAUUAAUUAUAUGCUUAGGGCCUAUCUGGUUUCACCCCAAGUUUGAGUGAGUCGGCGUAACCCAGAAGCAUCGUCUUAUCGAACUCCGCUUUGGAACAAAGUGGUUGAUAAAAAUUCUCUAAAUGCUCAGAAACACAUUGUAGCGUAUAUGAAUGCACGAAAACAAAAUAUGACUUGUUUAACUUUACUAGUUUUGAAAUGUUAGUUUUUCAUAUAAUUAUAUAAUAAAGAAUGUAGAAGCCAGCACUCUAUUAUUUUUUUUUUCGUCUAAAAUAGCUUUUUAACUUUUUUUUACCAAUAAAUUUUUUUUUUCAAAUCAUUUACACAUAUAUGCUUGAUUUUUUAAAAAAAUUCAAAGCCCAUGCGGAAAGGGCAAAAUUGUAAAUUAACAAAUGCUACGAGGAUUGUAAUAUCCAACAUCAAUCAAUCCGAAGAACAAGGACAAACUGAGGAGGAGAUUAGAAAUUAUUAAUUAAUUUAAUUAUAUAUUUUAUUUUUCAUUGUAGUUAUCACGCAAUAUUAGUACACAUACGACCAUAUCGGGGUGUAAGUACACAUAUGAUGAGUCACCUCCGACGAGGCUCCACGUUGCAUGGCAUGGGCGAAGUCGCAUUUCAAAUUUUCAAUUGUGGAAUCAACCCAAACUUGGGAAAAUGCUACACGUAUACACGUGGAAUUAAUUAAGUGCUUUGGGGAAAUAAUUUAUUUAUUUCUUAGUCCAAUGUUUAAUUAAUUUAAUAUUUUAUAUUAUUUUAUUUUAUUUGGAGGCCACGUACUCUUUCUUGACCAUGACAGUUGACGUUUAUUUUCUUGGUUAAAUUGCUUUUUCUUUUGGUGCUCGAAUUAGGAGUUUUUACUCAAAUUUUUUAUUUCCACAAUAUAAUUUAUCCCUCAAUUUAUUUUUCUAUUAUAUUAUAUUAUAUUAAUGAAGUUAAAAAAUUUUGUUAAAUUUUAUAGCUUAAUGAGUUAUUAAUAGGUAAUUAAUUUGUUUAUUUUUAUAUUUCUGCACGUACUGUAUUUUAAACUGUAUUGCACGAUCAUAAUUUUAUGGAUAGAAUAUGUGAAGCGUGACCGAGAAAAUUUUACAACCAACGCAGCCUAUUAAGUAAUUUGUAUUAUCAUCGCUUGUGCAAAAACCUUAUCCAAUUAAUCAAAAUAAAAAGAAAAAAAUGGAGAAAAAAAUUAAGAUGAGAUUUUGUAUCUCAACUAACUAAAUGUAUGAGUCUAUAAUCACAACCUCCCACGGCCCCACUUUACUCGUACAAUAAAAAAAACAAGUCCGUAGUACCAUCUUAUUCCACAAUUAGUCCACGUCCCUUUUGGAUGUUACCCCUACUAUGAAAUCGUGUUAAUAAAAAGGAAAAAUGCAAUUUGUAUACUCUAAUUAUAGUGUGUACAUUUUGUACCUACCAUCUAUGUGGAUGUUUUGUUCCUUAUUGUGAAAAUUACAUUUUUAUAACUUUAGCAAGAAAUCUGUAUGUAUAUAUAUAGUUGAGUUGGAAUACUAUCGGUAGCAAAUAGGUCCCGUUGUCACCUAUUUAUUUUCACUGAUGAAGCCUCCAAAUCAACGAUCGGUACCGUUGAAUAUGAUCUAUACCACUUGAAAUAUCUAGAAAUCAAAUUUCAAAUCUUUUUGACAUCAUUAACCUAAUGAUCAAAAGGUUUUAAAAUUUGUAAUUUUAAUGAUAGCUAUGAGGCAUUUUUUUGCUUAACGGUGUAAAGUGAUCCAAAUCAAUUGAAUUUUAGUUAGAAAUUUUUUUAAACUAUUUAGAACAAGAUCUAAACUCUCGAUCUUGAUUACAAAAUUUCUAUCAUCACUUUUUAGAGAAUAUUCAUUUUCAGCCGUUCAUUUUUAUGCUCACUCGAUGGACAAGAAAACAAUAUCGAAAAAAGCAUGAAAUUUGAUUUUUAGAUACUUUAAGUGGUAGAGAUCAUUUCAACGGUGCCGAUCGUUGAUCUGGAGCCUCCAUCAUCGAAAAUAAAUGUGUGGCAACGGAGCCCGUUUGUUACUAAUAGUAUUCCAGUUCAACUUUAUAUAUAUAUAUAGAGUAGGGCUACUGUGCUAUUAGGAGCACAUCAGCCCUUAUACUCCUAAAUUUCUAACUGCCCAUCAAAUUUGAUGGAUGGUUAGGGUGAGAGAGAAAAGAAAAAUUGGAGAGAAAUUCAAAGAGAAGAGAAAUUGAAGAGAAUAUAUAUAGAGAGCAGGGCUGCUGUGCUCUCAGGAGGACCUUAACCACCCAUCAAAUUUGAUGGACGGUCAAGAACUUAGGAGCACAAGGGCUGAUGUGCUCCUAAUAGCAUAGUAGCCCUACUAUAUAAUAUAUAUAUAUAUAUAUAUAUAUAUAUAUAUAUAUAUAUUAUAUAUAUAAUAUAUAUAUAUAUAUAUAUAUAGUAUAUUAAAAUCUAGCCGGAAUACUAUCGAUUAUAUCAAAGAUUUGGUACUAUUGAAUUUUCUACCGUUAGAUUUAACUUUUUGAUUAUUUUAACUCGUUAGAUUAUACUAUUCAACCAAUUACUCACUCAAUCCUAGAUGGCCUACAUCAUUCUAACCACACAUUUCUCAAUUUAAGGGCUUAAAAACUAAUAGCACCAAUAGCUUGGUGCUAUUGAUAGUAUUUCAGCCUAGUUCUUUCUCUCUCUCUCUCUAUAUAUAUAUAUAUAAUUUUUUUUAGGAGUCAGAUGAGCUAGAAAUAUUUUUUUCAACCGAAAAAAUCAAUGCUAAUCAUUAAUUCUAAAAGUUCGAGCUGUUAGAAAUUUACAACUAAUUCAUUUAAAACGUACAGACAUAAACGUCCAUAAAUUUUGAUUGUGACUCAUUCUAACCAGCCUCAUAUCACUCCAAACAUGAUUCGAUCAAAUCUGACUUAUUACUAUAUAUUUCGAAUAUGAUCCGGUUCAAUCUUGCUUCUCAUCAUAUAUAGAGUAGGAUACUAGUCCUUUCAAGCCAACACACUAUGAUACAAAACUUGACUAUAAUUUUCUCUCAAUCCGCCGCAUCAAAUCGCAUCUUUUAUCCUGGGGAUAAGCUCUAUACAUGUUAUCCGUAUUCUCAACCUACUUUGAGAACGACGUAUAUAUAUAUAUUUCUUUUCCUGAGAAAGAACACGCACAUAAAUUAAAGCAGAGCACACAGCGCGUGCUUCGUUUUCUCCUCCCCCCGGAUCGAGCUGCGGCAGCGGCAGCAGCAGCAGCAGCACACGCGGAGCCAACUCAGCGCCGACGCAGCGCACCGAUCCUGCGACGUGCCACCGACGUGUCGCGACGUCGACGGCUUGAUUCCCUACCUCUUUGGAAAUUGCGGUGUCCGAACGCACCUGCGUUUUUCUUUUUAAUAUUGCCAACUAUAUAUAUAUACAUAUUUUGUAUCACUAAAUAUGUACUUGUUCAGAAGCACGUUGAAACGCUCAGCUUAAUUGUGGUGUUUAAACCCAUUUGAAUGUAAUAUUAGUGUGACAGUUACCGACACCAUCCCUAAAGCAUAUGAUAAAGGACUUGAUGGUUGGUGCCCAAGAUCCAAGUUCGAAUCCUAAUUGAUUCAUAUUUUCAACUAAGUUUAUUUCUAAAUGAAAUAAACGAAGCAGGUAUCUAUCUCUCAAAAAAAAAAAAAUUAGUGUGACAGUUUCUGCCACCAUUAUUAUAAUUUUUUGAGAAUAAUAUCUAAUAAUAUUGUUCAAAACUUUAAAAUAUUUUAUUUAUUUAAGAAAAAAAUAAAAAAAAAUUCAAAUAUUUUCUUUUCCUCUAUGAUUUAAUAUCAGGAUUGGAUUCGCAAAGGUGUUUUAGAUAUUAAGAAAUAAACUUAAACAUUUUCAACAAUAGUACGGAACAUAUAAGCAAAAGUUUUAUUUUUUUAGUAGAUCGGAAUGCCUUUUGAGAGAGAAAAAAUAAAAGCAACACAUCGAAUACUCUGUCAAAUUUAUUUGACUCUAACAAAAACUAUACACAAAACUCAUAAAUUAUUUUUAAUUCAGUAUAUAGAUUGAUUCGUGUGUUGGUAAAGCUGCGUGACGUUUUGAAUAUAAUAUAAAAUUAUUAAAGAGUCACAAACUAUUUUGUAAUUUUGAAUUUUAAAGUCUAUAUAUAUGACUUUUGAUAUGAGAUAUGUCACAAGGGCACUCCUGCAUUAAAUGCGUGCAAUUUAAUUAAUUAAAUAUAAUAUAAUUUCCCCACUCGGGAGACAAAUUCCACGACGCAAACUCCCCUUUACAUCCAUGAUCCAUACUAGAAAAUCUCAACUACCACGUAUUUAUUUACCAAACACUCAAGACUUUUAAUACACUCCCUAAUAAUCUUAUCCUUUGAUUGUUAUUAAAAUAUAUUAUCAAAGAGAUUUUAAUUAAGUAAUUAAUUAUGUGGUUAAUUAAUUAAUUAAGUAAUUAAUUUGGAAAAUUUUGGUUGUACGGUGCAAUGACCGGUCGACGUGGCGGAAGAGACCUCCGAACGUCCGCCGUGGACCAAAUGCUGUCGCCAGGAACGCCGACACGUCGGCGUGCGGUGGAGAUCACGAGGUGGCGCCCGAUUGACGCUGACCCGCCGUCCGAUCGGAAAGGUAUCGUCUCGGCCUCUCGGGAGACAUUUAUUUCCGUGGACCCGGUGGUCCAUAGGCCGGGUCUUGUUAGGUAACGCGGUGGCUAAAAAAUAUUUUUAAUUUUGUUAUAUGUGUUAUGUAAUUACAGUUACAACCGCCACCGAAAAAAUAUUGGAGGAGAAAAAAAAUCACAAGAAUUUUUCAAUUUUUUAGGAAUUUUUUCGUAGAAUAAAAAUUAAUAUUUUUAGGCACUAAAUUAUCAAACUAUGCAUAAAUUAUACUUGUGGCUCUCAAAUCAUGAGACACGUCAAUUUUUUUGUUCUCAAACUUUAAUUUAUUAUACUCCGACUUUUAAAUGAUCAUAAUUGAAUAGAUGUUAACAUAUUAUUGAUAUAGAAAAUAUAUAAGAUCUUAAUCAUUAUUGUAUUGUCAAACAUAAUACUGCAUGUGUGCUAUAUUACUUUCAAACACUGAUCUAAUGCUAGAUGAAAAUGAUCUUCUAGCCAUUUUAAGUGUUAGUUUGAAUGAAAUGAACAUUUUAUAUAAUAAUUAGUUUUUUCUUACUCACAAAUAAUUCAAAAACUGAUAAAUGACAAAUAUGAAAAUGCAUUAGUCGUAAAUUAUAAUGAUUGAGGAAGAUUUUGGCAAUUAAUGCAUUAGUUAUCACCAAACAACUCAUUACAGUAUAAACCAGCUAAAAUUAUAAUUUUUUGAAAGCUUUUUUUUCCAUACAUAACACAUUCAUUUCUACGACUGAUAAAUGAUAAAUAUGAAAAUGCAUUACCUGUGAAUUAUAAUGAUUAAGAAAGAUUUUGGCAACUAAUGCAUUGGUUAUCACCAAAGAACUCAUUCCGGUAUAAACCAACUAAAAUUAUAAAUUUUCGAAAGCUUUUUCCCCAUACAUAACACAUUCAUUUCUACAACUGAUAAAUGAUAAAUAUGAAAAUGCAUUAGCUGUAAAUUAUAAUGAUUAAGAAAGAGUUUGGCAACUAAUGCAUUGAUUACCACCAAAGAACUCAUUGUGGUAUAUACCAGCUAAAAUUAUAAAUUUUUGAAAGAUUUUUUUUCCGUACAUAACACAUUCAUUUCUACGAUUGGUAAAUGAUAAAUAUGAAAAUGUAUUAGCUGUAAAUUAUAAUGAUUAAGAAAGAUUUUGGCGACUAAUGCAUUGGUUAUCACCAAAGAACUCAUUAUGGUAUAAACCAGUCAAAAUUAUAAACUUUUGAAAGCUUUUUCUCCAUACAUAACACAUUCAUUUCUACGACAUGAUGAUACUUAGGCCACGAAUUUCUAUAACUGAGAAUUUUUUUUUAUUUUUUUUUUUUUUGAAAGAUAGGUACAUUUAGAAAUAAACUUAACUGGAAAUAUGAAUCAACUAGAAUUCGAACUUGGGUCUCGGAUACCAACCACCAAACCCUUUGUCACUUGCUCUAGGAACGGUCAGUUAAUUUUUUUACACCGACAAAUUAGAGAGUUAUAGAUCACAUCUGACUAUUCAUAUAUAGCCAACGGAAAGCGUUUAAAUUUCGGUCCAUGCAAUAAUAUCUCUCAUCUCACAAUUAUAAAUGUUGGAAUCUCUGAUUAUAUAUUCUUUUUUUUUUGAGAUAUUUAAACUCUUUUUUUUGAGAUAUCUGAUUAUAUAUUCGAAUAAAACUAAUUAUCCAUCGACCUACUUUAUUGUUAAACCUCCGUUUGUUGGUGGUUAAGGAUUAUCCUUUGGAUUUAAGAUCAUGAUGGGUGUGUGUGUGAUUGUGGUCCACUGAUCGGACGGUUGAGAUGUUCCAAUCAAAAGACAUUAUCACUCUCCAAAUAAUAAUAAUAAUAAUAAUACGGUCAACUUUAAUUCACAUUCUGUGGUUUAGGGGCUGUUUGGUUCGACGUAAAAGUAAAACUCGGAAAAAAAAAAUUUUGGUGGAAAAAAAUUUUCGAUGAAAAUUUUUUUUUACGUAGUUUAGUAUAUAGUUUGUAGGAAAAGAAAAAUAAUUUUCCAUGAUGAUUAUUUGGUUGAAAGGAAAAAAACAAAACAAAAAACCUGUGUAAUAUAUUUUUUAUUAUAUAUUAUUAUUAUUAUUAUUAUUAUUAUAUAAUAAUUAAUAUACUAUAUAUAAUAUUAUUAUAAUUUUUAUAUAUAGAUUAAAUAUAUUUACAUUUAUAAUAAAUAUAUUACAUAAUAUAUAAAAGUUAUAUAUUUAAAAAUAUUAAUAAAUAAUUACAAAUUUAUAAAUAAAAUAUUAUAUAAUAAUAUUUCUAUAUAAAAAUAAAUGAAUAUAUAAUAAAUAAAUAUAUAUUUAUAACUAAUAUAUAUAUAUAUAUAGAGUAGGGCUAGAAUACUUGUAAAAGUAUCAUGGGGGGUGAUACUUGUGUGUUUUUAGCCCUUGGAUGGAGAGAUGUGAGGUUGAUAUGAUAGUGGUAGGUGGUGGUAUAUAUAUAUAUAUAUAUAUAUAUAUAUAUAUAUAUAUAAUUGAGCUCCUAUAUUUUUAAAAGUAAGAGAGAGGUCUACUGUGGUGUGGACCUCCCUCUCACACGGUCCACGAGGUGAGAAUGACCUCGUGGACCGCGUGCUCAAAUCUUUUGUGCCGCGCCUUUUUCAAUGGGUUUUCGUUUUUGCGAGUGCACCUUCGUCUCACGCGGUGCACGAGGCGAGGAUGACCUCAUGGACCCCGUGCUCAAACCUCUCUUGAGCCGUGCCUUUUCAUCAAUGGUUUUCGUUUUCUACGGACGGCAAGCGAAAGACGAAAACUUGAGUUCUUCAAAGAAUCUGUAAACAAAAUUUUUCAAAAAAUUUUUUUACAGGCAACCAAACAUUGGAAAAAAAAUUUUCAACCGAAAAAAAUUUUCGGAGCAAUUUUACAAGAAUACAAACACACCCUUAGCGUAUUUUUAUUUUACACUCAUUGUUAUAAUGUAGCACUUACUCUUAACUUAGAAUAUUUUAACUUUACCAUUUUGUAAUUCAACAAUCUUUACUCAAGGAACAUAUAGUUUAGUGUGUUUUAACUGUCAUAACAUAAUGUAGUUUAAAAGUUACACAUAACUACUUCAUAGUUUUAUUUUUAUUCCUCGGUAAAGAUUUAUUAAACGUGAUACCACUCUAUGGUUUGUUAAAACAAUUAUUUUGUACGACUUUUUAAAAUUAUAGGCGAUAAAAUGAAAAUACAUUAAACUAUGGAGGGACAAAUUAAAAUUUACCCUAAUAAUAAUAAUAUAAAAAUGUAAAGAACAUGCUUGAACUAUAAACUAUUUUGAUUCGACUAUCCAACUUUUUAGAAUUUUGAUUUUAGUACCCAAGCCCUUUAAUUUAUUAAAUUUAAGUUAUUUGAUGAUUAUUUUGAUACUAACUAAACAUGCAAAGAUAAAAUAAUAAAUUUUAAUUUUUGAAGUAAAGAAUCAUUAGUUGACUUAAAUCAAAUAAAACAAAAAUUCAUAUGGCAGAAAUUAAAACUUCUAAAAAUAGAUAAUAGUUAAGAUAAAUUAUAUACAAAAUUUACCCAAUCAUAUAUAUUUUUAGGGUAAAUUUCAGAUACCACUCUUAUGGUUUCACACUUUCUCACUUUAGUACCAUGUGGCUUAAAGUGUGUCAAGUUAGUGUCCUGUGAUUUUAUUUUUAUCUUUUCGUCAGUUUUUCUGUUAACAUUUCAUUAAAUUAUAUAUAAAAAACUUUACCUAGAUUUAUCAAAUAUUCACUUUAAUUAGUACCGUUUAGUUUUAACUUUGUCACUGAUUUAACGAAAAAAAUUAGUAAAAUCGAUAAUAAAAAAAAAUCAUAAAACACUAAUUUGAUACACUUUAAACCACAUGAUACUAAAGUUACAAAAUAUAAAACCACAUAUCAUAGGUGGUAUUUAAAAUUUUUUCAUAAUUUUUAUUUAACGGGCUUUAACUACCAACAACGGUCGGUUCCAGAAAAAAAAAAAAAAGAAAAAAAAACUACCAACUGUUUGUAUUUGCGGUGCCACGUGGCUGCGGCAAUGUCGGCAGCAGGUGAAGCCGCGUGGGGUCGCAGGGGAGCGGAGACGAAUCGGUGCGACCCCACCAACGAUUCGCCACGUGGGACCCGGGUAAAUAUGGGCUGGUUACGUGGCGUGCUGUGGUAGGGCCAUUUGGUGGAAUCGGAUUCGGUGGGCCCUGCAGGAAAUCCUAGGAACAGUGAAAGUUCCUACUAGACCAGCUUUGCCGACGAUGAAAAAUAGUUAUCGUAUCAACAUCUCUUAGCAUCUUACUUUUGAAAUUUUGUUAAUUGAUGCAACUUAUAAGGUAAGGUUUCUAUCGACUAGUUUUACGUAAUUUUGAUAAUUAUACUCAGACAACGCUUCUGUAGGGAUAGUGAAAGUUCCUACGCGGGAAUGUGAAUAAACCAGCUUUGCUGACGAUGAAAAAUAGUUAUGGUAUCAACAUCUCUUAGCAUCUUACUUUUGAAAUUUUGUUAAUUGAUGUGACUUAUAAGGUAAGAUUUCUACCGACUAGUACUGUUACGUAAGUUUGAUAACUAUACUCAAACAGUGUUUCUGUAGGGAUAGUGAAAGUACCUACGCGGAAACGUGAAUAGACCAGCUUUGCCGAUGAUGAAAAAUAGUUAUCAUAUCAACAUCUCUUAGCAACUUACUUUUGAAAUUUUGUUAAUUGAUGUAACUUAUAAGGUUUCUAUCGACUAUUGCUACGUAAUUUUGAUAACUAUAUUCAAACAGUACUUCUAUAGGGAUGGUACAGAGCAUAUUAUUAGUAAAGUACAUGUAAAACCAUGCGAAUAUGAUUCAUGGCCCGACUUGGUCUGAUUGAAGACACUUAAGUAGGCUAGAUUUAAAAGUAGAGUUAUUUGCACCAUUUAUUUAAACCUAUUUGAUGUAAACAAUAAGGCCUUUUUUUUUUAUUUUCUGACUCUAGGGAGUGAACGUUAUAAGCUGUAUAAAAUUGUUCCAUAGAAAAUAUUUCUUUUUCGGUGUAAGGAGCAGCACAUCUAUUAGAUCUUUUACAGAAAUUGAUUUAGCAUAUGAUUUUCUACAGUUUCACGAGAAGAUGGAAAAAUAUAUUUCUAUAUUUUUCACAUUUAUGUAUAAUUUAUUUAUCAAUUCUUUUUGCUUGCAGCUGUAACUCUCAGAAUAGGAAAAUAUAAAAAGCAAAAAAAAAAAAAGGUGUUCUUUUGAUACCAUAAUUAAUCACUUUGAUCACCAAUCAAAGGACAAAGUUUGUCAAAACACCAGCAUGUUCUGGUCAGUGAUGCUGACAAAGCUGACAAAUUGAAUCUAGCCAGAUAUACUUUUGAACAGGAAUGAAAGUAAGUGCCCAUUGACCCCCACUUCUGAUUCCACCAACAAUCGAUUUUAAUUUACGGACCGUUUUUAGCGCAAGUGGCAAAAAUCUGGAUGAUUAAUAUCCGAAAUUUUAAGUUCGAAUGUUAAUUAAUUUAUAUUUUUAGUUAAAUUUACUUUCAAAAAAAAAACAAAGCAGAUAAUAUUCUAUCUUUCUCUCUCAAAAAAAAAAAAUUGAAUUUUGAUUUAGUGAGUGCAUUAUAAACUAGAAAAAUUUACUACAUUAGCUUCAAUGAGAAUCAGCGAUUAAGUUUUGAGACCUAAAACACAAAGUUCAAAUUUGGCGUUUUACUUCUCUGCAGAGACAGCCCUAAGAUAGAAUUUUAGUAUGAUAUUUAUUUUAAAAAAUAUUAAUUAAGAACAGUUCAUUCAGUAAUAUUACAUCCUACUGUUGAAAUGCCAGAAAAGACUUGAUUUUUUGUGUGUGUUUGUUUGCCCUUAGGGCUCGACUCAAGCGUCGUUUAAAAAAUGUCUUUAUAAUGAGAUUUUCUUGCAGUGAAUUAAUGUGAUAUUUAUUCUAAAAAUGCUAAUUAACAACAGUUCAUCCAAUAAUAUUACAUCAUACUCUUGAGGGAUAAAAAGAAUGUUUUUUUUUUCUUUUUGUGUGUGUGCACGCGCGUCCCCUUAGGGCUCUAUCCUGAUCUCCUUAGGUAUCGUUUGGUUCGGGAAUAAGCAAAAAGUAUCUACUCCAAGAAUAGGUAUAAAUUGAGGUAUAAGCAUGGAUUGGAUCAAUUUUGCAUUUGGAUGAAAAUUAGGUUACUCAUGAAAAUAAAAAAAUAGAGUUUGGUUAGGUAAGAUGGAAUAAGAAGGAUAGUAAAUUUUUAUAAAUAAAAAAAUAAUAUUACACUCUUGUUAUUUUUGAAUUUGAAAUUUGAAAUUUUUAAAUUUUAAAUUUUAACUUUGAAAUUUUAAAAUUUUAAAUUAAAACUUUAAUUAAGAUCAAAUUUAAAUUUGAAAAAUAUUAUUAUAAUAUUUAAAUAUAAUUUAUUAUAAAAUUUAUUAUAAUAUUUAAAUAUAAAUAAUAUGUAUUAAUAUAGUACAAUUAAUAAUUUUAUAAUAAAAAUAAUGUAUUAUAAUAUAGAACAUAUUAUUUUUAUAUAAUUUAGUUUUAAUAAUUUAUAAUUUUAAUUAGGUUUGAAAUUAAGCAUUGGAAUAGCACUAUUCCACCAAAAUGGUGGAAUAGAAAAUUCCUUACUAUUCCGGGAUAACCGGAAAUAGAAAAGUUUGAUCGAGAUAAAAUAUUUCGGUAAAAACUCACCAUGUUUGGCGGAAGAGCAGGGAUAACUUUCGUUAUUCCUAUUUAUUUCUUAAACCAAACGGGGCCUCAGUAUAUACACUAUUUUAAUACUGAAAAAAUACAAGGGACAUGAACCUUUUUUUUCUUUUUCUUUUUUCUCUAAAAGCUCAAUCAGGGAUCAAACCCUGGAAUCAAAGGUCAGAAACCAGUGGUUGCUACAUCUAAAUCAAUAUUAUUCUUCCUAUGUACUUGCCAUUUGCUUAAUACCACAGAUGAUCCAAAUCAUGGCCACCAAAUUCCAAGAUUAAGAUAAUUAUUUUGCUUCAAACUAGGGAAAAAGAAUUUACUAUUGUAAUUAUAUAUUGGACUUUUAUGUUCAAAAGUUGGCGUAAAUCUUAUACUUCACAUACUUAAUUAAGGGUUGAUUAUAUUACAAUAAUCUUAUCCCAAUCUUAUUUUCUUAAAACUAAAAAUCUUAAAAGAGAUAUGAGUUGUAAGAUGUAUAUGCUUCAAUUUUGGAAGCAAAGAUAAUAUUUUUGUUUCAAGUUAAGGAACGUCAUAGAUAUUUGAGGGAUUUGAACUACAACAGAUUUAGAUUAUAGGGACACAUGUUUGGAACAUUUUUGUGUAAGUAUCCAAUUUAUGCCAAAACUUAAAAAAAAAAUCUACUAAUGCCUAAAUAUAAAGUCCAAUCCAACCAAAAAUAAAAGGUUACUCUACUCAACUCACCCCACCCAGCCCAUUCGGCCCGAUUACAAACAGAAAAGAAAAAGAAAAAAAAAAAUCGAUUACCAUUUCCCCUUUUCCCCUCACUCAAUCGACUGAAAUCCUAGAUUAAGAUUCCUUCCUCUCGUCCUCCCCCGCCACUGCAGCCAACGAGGUAGAGUUCCAGCGGCUACUAAAUGCUUAAAUAAAUAUUGGUAAAUUAGCAGCACUUUUUUAGGUUAUAGCGACACUAUUCAACUGUCACUAUAUACCUAGCGACCCCACAUAUAACAACAUUUUUUAAAAGUGUCGGUAAUUUAUCUAGCAGCACUUUUUUUGACCUGUACCGACAUUUAAAGUGUCGCUAUAGACCGUUUUUGUUGUGAGCUUCACUUGGGGCCUAUUUGUUUGCAAGGAAGUGGGAGGGAGGAAAUGAUUUUCGGUGAAAGCUGACCACUUUUAUUGUUUGGUUCGCCGUAAAAAAGUUACGGUCGAUACUCCGGUUAGGUAAAAAUAGUUAUAUUUAAAUAUAUUUAAUUAUGGUACUAAUUAUUUUUUUAUUCAUUUGGCAUAUAUAAAAUAUGAUAAAAAUUAAUUAAUUAAGUUUUAUUUUUUUUAUUUAGUUUGUAUAAUGAAAAUAUGAUAAAAAUUGAUUAAUUAAAUAUUAAUAUUUUUUACUUUAUAAUUUUAUCAUUGUAUUACUAUAAUUUAUAUAUAUAAAAAUAAUUUAGUUGUUUUAAGUUAAAUUUUAAUUAUAUAAAAAUAUAAUUAUAUUAUUUUUAUUUAUUAAAUUAUUUAUUAUUUAUAUAUAAAUUAUAGCUUACAUCAUACACUUUUUACCAAACAAACAGCAGAACUAAUAAAACUUCACUCCCAUAACUACAAAACAAACCGCGGAGGAGAAGUAGUUUUCACCGAGCUCCACUUCAACUCAAAAUUUAUUUCAACCCAAAUUUCAGUUCCGAUGAAACAAACAUGUCUUUGGCUUAACCUGUUAUUGGAAAAGUUAAAUAAUAAAGAAAUUAAAUGCGAAAAGGAUCAGGCGUAGGCACAUGGGGCCAUGCAUGUGUAUGUAUCAGUGUGGGUGGGGCUCAAAGCCUCAAAUGAAUGCAACGUUUUCAAGGUGUAAUAAGGACUCUAGCGCACCCUCACAUGCCCUUCAGAAACUUUUUGUCCGGUAUAUUCAGUUGGAAAUUUUUUUAAAAGAAAAUACAAAAAAAAAAAAACAAAGUUAGGGGGAUUUUAGUUCUUGUGGUUUGAAAAUACAAUAUUACCCUUAUAAUGUUUCAUUACCAUUUUAACUUGUAUAUUAAUAUGAUAAAUCUUCUUAGCUAUUAACCAUAGUAAGUAUCUAUUGGUGCAUAUCUAGAACCCUUCAUAUUCAUAAAUUAUUUUCAAUAAUAGAGCUUCCGAAUCGACGAUUCACACCGUCAAAUAUGAUUUAAAGUAUUUAAAAUUUCUAGAAAAUAAAUUUCAUAAUUUUUUGAAAUCAUAAUAAAGUCCAUCAAGCGAGCAUAAAAUAAAUGGUUAAAAUCGAACGAUGUCUUUAAAAUAGAUGGUCGGAUAUUUUAAUUUAUGAUCGGAGUUAUUGAUCUUUAUCUAGAUAGUGAACAGAACUUUCUAUUAAACAUUCAACCGAUUUUGAUUUUUUGUAUCGUUAAACUAACAAGUAUUCUAUAUUGGUCCUUAAAAAUUAUCAAUUUUAAAAUCUUUUGAUUGUAAGGUAAAUGAUAUCAAAAAUUAUAAAAUUUGAUUUCUAAAAGCUUUAAAUACUUUGGAUAAUGUUUAACGAUACAGAUCAGCGAUUUGAAAGCUCUAUCACCGAAAAUAACUUAUGAGUACUAAGACGAUCGUACUCAUAAUAAUAUAGUAGUCGAACUCUCUCUCUCUCUCUCUAUAUAUAGUAGGGCUACUGUGCUAUAGCACGGUAGCCUUUGUCCUCCUAACUUUCUAACCGUCCAUCAAUUUUAAUGGGUGGUUAGAAUGAGAAAGUGAAGAAAAUUUUGGGGGAAAUUAAGUGUCUCAAUUUCUUUUCUUUUUGAAUUUUUCUCCAAUUUCUCUUGUCUCUCUCUCUGGCCCUAAUCAUUCAUCAAAUUUGAUGGGUGAUUAGAAAGUUAGAAGCAUAAGGACUGCUAUACUCCUAAUAGCACAGUACCCCUAUUCUAUAUAUAUAUAGAAUUAGGCUGGAAUACUAUCAAUAGCACUAAGUUAUUUGUGCUAUUAGUUUUGUAGCCUUUGGAUUGAGAAAUGUGUGGUUAAGAUGAUAUGCGCCCCUAAGGUUGAGUGAGUAAUUGGUUGAAUAGUAUAAUGUAACGGAUAAAAAUAAUCAAAGGAUUAAAUCUAAUUGUGGAAACUUAAUAGCAUCAAGCCCUUAGUGUUAUCGAUAGUAUCCCAGCUGAACUCUAUCAGCUCAUUUGGAUUGGUGAUAAGGGGUGGAAUAACCCCUUAUCCCUCCUUUUGUACCCAAAUGCUAAUUUUUAUCCGAGAAUAGUAUUUCUCGGGUAUCUGAAAUAAGUUGGUAUAGCAAUCCCCACCAACACCUCCAUUUUCUAUAUAUAACUGCCCAUUAUUUUUCUUAUUCCAUAUCAUCUAUCCAAAUGCUAUUUUUCUUAUCCCAGGAAGCAAUCCAAUUUUCAUCCAAAAGCUAUUUUUCUUAUCUCCAUACUUGUAUCUAUUCCUGUGAUAGCUAAUUCUUGCUUAUAUCCGAACCAAACAGUGCCAUAUAUAUAUAUAAACAUAUAUAUAUAUAUAUAUAUAUAUAAACAUAUAUAUAUAUAUAUAUAUAUAUAUAUAUAUAUAUAUAUAUAUAUAUAUAUAUAUAUAUAUAUAUAUAUAUAUAUAAACAUUAUUAAUUAAUGCACAAGAUUCUACAACUACCACCAGACACCUAAACCGUUCGUAGAGACAGUUGCGACAGUUUUUUUGUUUUAAUAUAUAUAUAUAUAUAUAAAAUUUUCGUUUCUUUUACGAAAAUUAAUUAAUGCGACAACCGACACGGCAGUUGAAGAAGGCAUGCAGGGGCGUUGGAUCUCCCACCGGAAGCCAUGUUAGGUUAUGUUAAUGUUAGUGUCGUGCCUUUUUUAUUACAUAUAAAUACAUAAUAAUACAACCCCUGCAGCAGCUGCAGGCCAAGUGGUGGCGGGCCCCACCACGUGACGUCCGCGCGCAAACGCACUCGCCUAUCCUCGGGCGACGUGUUUCCCGCGCCGCGCGGGUCUCGCCAAUUUUUUCCACCACGAUCGAGUCCCCGCCACCAUUUAAGGAGGAGCGCCUUCCCCACCCGCACCUCCAUUAUCAUUAUCUAUAUCUAUAUAUAUAUAUAUAUAUAUAUAUAUUUACUAACUAACGAAUGAAGCUUAUAUUUCAAACGUACUUCUUUAGAAAACUUGGAACCUAGCUAGUUUGAUAACAUUAUGGUCAAAACGUACUUUUCUUUUUUAAUAAUAUUAAUUUUAUAUAAUUUUUUUUUGUAAAUAUAUUAAAUAGUAAAAUAUAUUUUUAAAAAAAUUAAAUUUUUUUUAUUUAUCUUUAAAAAAGUCCAGUAAUAUUCAUGUUUGUCUUUUUGGUUUAUUAUCCUUAAAAUACGAUUUAUUCUUUAACAGAAAAUAAGUAAAAUAAUAUUUUUGCCAUCACAAAUACCUUCCUCCAAAAAUUUCAACGGUUAGAAUUAAUGGUCAUUUCUUUCUUUCUACCAUCACAAAUAAUAAAAGAACGGUAAAAAUAUCAUUUUACCUUAUUUACUAACCAGAAUUAAGUAUUUUAUAUACAUAUAGUAGUUAACUAUAUUUCUCUAACGGAUUCUAAUAGCAGGAAUAUAUUUUAAAAAAUUUAGACUUUUGUUUGGACAUAUAUGCUAUUCGAUAUGUUUAUAGAGAGCUGUACGCAAUUAACCUUUUUUUAUAUUAUACAAAAUUUAAAAUUUUUUAUUUUAUAAAAUAACAUUGGUCACAGUAAUUUAUUCUUUUUUAUUUUUUGGAUUGUGUAUAGUGUAAAAGAUAUUUUCAGCCAUUAUAUUGCCAAACUAGCUUGGCCUUAUAAAAAUAUUUUUUUAUAAAAUUAUGAAUAGUAUUAUAAGAAUUUUGUUCGAAUUAAAAUAUGAAUUGAUAUAUAUUUGCUCCUCACUAUAGCUAACUACCGUAUAUAUAACUUGUAGCUUAUGUUCGAAUUUAUAUCACUUAAUUAGGGCUUUAUAAUUUGAACUUCUUUUUGGUUCAGCUUAUAUCGUCGUCUAUUUUUUUUUAUCUUAGUACUUGUUUUAUUUGAUAGAGUCUAAUUUAUCAUUUUAUUAAAUUAUGAGGCAGUGAUGACACUCAGGUAGAGAGUUAAAACAGAUAUUUACCAAUAUUUGUUUGACAUAAGGUUAGUAAUAUGGACAAGUUUAAUAAUUUUUUAAAAUUUUGAAGCGUGUUUUUAAUGUUGACAAUUUUUUUUCAAAAAUUCUAAGAAAUUAUGGAUGGACGAAAGGUUACAAACAAAUUAACCCGUUAAUCACGGAGUUAGUUUUAAUUGUUUACAACCCCAUUCAAAAUAUUUAAAAGUAAAAAUUCUCUAAAAAUGGGAUUUGAACUUAGAGUCUCAUAACUCGAGGAGUCGAGGGUAAUUAAUACUAUUGGAUCAUAUCGAUGUUGUUUAGUGUGAAAUAACCGUUGUACUCUAAAAACUUGAGCUUUUAGAGAGCGGUGUUUAAAUAUUUUUAUAUUUAACAUCUAGUGUUAGAAUAAUUGAGAAAAAAAAAUACUGCAUUAGAAAAGUGGCUUUCAAUAAAAUAUUUUUCUUGUAGAAGGAGGAAGAAGAAAAAAGAAGAAUUCGGAGAUCUUUUAUUUCGGGCCUUUCUUCUGAUUAAUUCACAGUACAGUAAUUAGAUGCUCUGCUGAAAAUGACUAUUGUCGAAAGCGAAAAAGUUUUUUCUGAUUAAUUCACGGUACAGCGAUUAGAUUCUCUACUAAAAUGACUGUUGUCGAAAGCAGAAGAAGCGAUCCAAACAUACAAUAAUUAGUGCAGGUGCUGCUAAAUUAUCCAACAGCUCCUCAGAUACUGAUUCGCAGAGAAGCAUUAUGCUAUCACAGUUGGGGGUUUUGGAGUUGUGUGAAGCUCACUAUUACAUGUCCACGUAUUUGGUUUUGCUCAUUACAUAUUUUCUUCAUUUUGAAGCACCAAUAAGAUGUUGGAUCAGAUCAUAUAGUAUCUAUAUUUUAUUACAAUUUUAUUUUAUCAUAUUUUCAAAUCUAUAGUGAUACUCAAAGGAAUCUUCCUGAUAAUCAUCAUAAGGAUAUCUCUUGUACAUGCAGGGUUUUUUUAUAUAUAUAACUUUUUGAAGGGUUCAAUUGAAUAUGUUUAAUUAAAAAGCCACAUGAUUAAAGUCGCAACAACUUACUAGCCGAAAUUAGAAUUCUAAACCAACUUAUGAAAUUGAUCAAAAAGAUAUAUAAUUUUUCAUUAUAUUUUUAAUAAAAUAACUUAAAGGGAAUAUGCAUUUGUCAAGGACUUCUCUUGCAGAGAUCAAAUGAUAAAUGCACCAUAAAUAUAUAAUAAUUAACACUCACCAAUGUUAAAAUAAAUUAAUGGAGCAUAAAUUAACUAAUUACUGUCACAUGGAUUUCAACAUGAAUUAAUCUCAAGCUUAAUGGAAAGUUAUGCACCCAUGUAGCCUAAAACCACUACAUAUAUAUAAUUAUAUAUUAUUAUAUAUAACUAUCAGUAGGGAUCAUGUAGGGUGAUUUCCAAAUCUACUUUAAUAUCAAUGUUGUCUAAUAUAAUCUUAUCCCUUUUUUUUUUUUGAUAGUUCGUAAAUUAAUUAAUGCCGCAUCAUUAUAUCAAAUUUACAUAAAACUAUUAUUUUAAAUACCUUUUAAUAUAAAAAUAUGAAGUUAAGGCUCUUCAACCGGUAAUUAUAAUUAUAAAUUAAUAUUAGACGGCGAUUAAGCGAAAACAUAUAUUCAUGAUCAACCAAAGUCAAAACUCUUAAUUAUAGUUUGUGAUCUUUGUCCACUGUGUGGUCUGUGUGGCAUGCAUGUGAAGUGAUAAUGCGCUGAUUAUUUUAUAACUAAAUAAAUUAAUCAAACCAUUAAUUAUAAAUUAUUUUCUCAAUUGUUUAGAUUGAUGAAGCGAUUAAAGUAUUGAUAUGCGAUCGAGUAGUUUAAUUUCCCCAAUGAUGCAAAACCUGUGUGAGGCUUGAUUUGCAUGAGAGCUUGUUCUUAUUUGCAGUACUUAGGAAGUGUCAGGUAUUAACUUAUAAUCCUUAAUAAUAAUUAAUUAUGUAUCUACUUUUUUAUAUUUUGUGAUAAGCUUAGCUGGUUGUGUCCAAAUUAUGAACUAAUAAUUUGUACAUUUGUAAUUUUUAAUUAAGCCUAUAUCUAUAUAUUCUCGUAGGGCACUUGCAAUCAAAGCAAAUCUAUAUAUAUAUAUAUAUAUAUAUAUAUNUUUGUAGUUAAUUUGAUCCCUAGCCUAUAAAAGGCCACUAAAAUAAUGAGUCCUCUUAAUAAGUAUAUAAAAUAUAGAAUUAAUUUCAGAUAGGUUUCUUCAAAUAUAGUGAAUUACAAAUAUGUUUCUAUAAAGUUCAAUUUUAAUAUAUUGUUCUUACAAAAGUUCUGAUAUUUUUAAAUAUGUCCCUGCUAUUAGGAUCCGUCAGACAAAAUUAGUUAACCAUAAGUAAAAUACUUAACUCUAGUUAGUUACUGAGGUGAAUUGACCUUUUUACCCCUCUUCAAUUAGCAGCAAUUCACUAUAUUUGAAUUGCAGUUAUAAAAUAAACAGUAUUUUAACGAUAACAAAUCAGAGCAAUAUAUUUAAAAAUAUUAUGAUUUUUGUAGCAACAUCAUAUGAAAGUUGAAUUUUAUAGGAAUAUAUUUAUAAUUUACUAUGUUUGUAAGAAUAUGUAUAAAAUUAACCAUAAAAUAUAUUAGUGACGGAAUCUUGGUGCAGAAGCAUUACAAUAUGUAAGGAUAUGUAUUUUUUUAUUAUUAUUUUAGGAUCAUGUUCGGGCGUUACAUUCGGUUAUUUAGUUGAAAAUUAUGUGUUAUGAAGAGUGAGGAAUUUGAUCUCUAGUUCCUAUUUACGAAAUGAUCUAUUUUAUUUCGAAAAAAUGAAUAAAACGUCAAAUAUGCUACGUGUAAAUUUUGAAAAUCAAUUAAUUCAUUAAUAAAAAUUAACACUGAAUACAAUAUUUAUUAUGUAUUUAAACAGGACCUGAAUAAAUAAAUCCAGUGUGAAAAAUGCCACAAUUUAUUCGUCCUGUACGCAGUCCUGCGUCCUUUCAACUGAAACCGGAUCUGAUCCGAAUCACAAUAUCUUCGUACGUUAAUUUCUAUUCAAAGCUUAAAAAAAAAAUCAAAUCAAAUCAAGUAAAACCAAAUCAAAUCAAGUUAAUUUGGUCCACGUGAUUUGGUUCCCGUAACAUCCAAUUGAGGUUCGUCAAAGAAAGGUUUUAAAUGUGUCUUUCCAAAUUUAAUACGUUCGCCACGUGUACUACUUAGGUUUGCAUGAUCCAACAAUAGAAUAAUUAUUAUUAUUAUUAUUAUUAUUAUGUAAAAAAUUAUGUAAAGUAAUUAUUGUAUAAAUAUAAAAGGCUUUUUAAAACCAGAGAAGAUCUUUUGUUCUAAUACUUAAUUUCAGAACAAAAAAACUUAAAUCUUAUUAAAGCUACUAUUUUCCUAUCUUUUAUAUUUAUACAAUAAUUACUUUACAUAAUUUUUUACAUAAAACCAGAGAAGAUCUUUUGUUCUAAUACUUAAUUUCAGAACAAAAAAACUUAAAUCUUAUUAAAGCUACUAUUUUCCUAUCUUUUAUAACAAGAUUAUAAUCAUUUAAAUAGUUUCAUCUUUUAAAAAUAAACUUUUUUUAAAAAAACAACUUUUGUUUAAAUUCCCACCGUAUAAAUGUGAGACCCCAGAUAGUCCUAUAUAUGAAAUAUAAUAGGGCUAAACUCUUAACCCGACUUAAACAUUUUGAGUGGUGGCAAGGCCCAAGACGUUAAGAGAGUUAAGCGUGCUAAGACGGAAGUAGUUCUAGGAUGGGUGAUCCUCUGGAAAGUUGGGGCGCCACAGAUAGUAUCAGAGCUAAUUACCAGCCGGAAGUGUGAGAUGAGUCUCAGCUGAGCCAGAGUCUAGAUGACGGGCUAGCGAGACGAGUCUCACAUCGCCUGAUACUUGUGAGUCUGAGCCUGACGAGUACGUCAAGGCUUAAAGGAGGGGAGAUUGUGAGACCCCAAAUAGUCCUAUAUAUGAAAUAUAAUAGGGCUAAACUCUUAACCCGGCUUAAGUAUUUUGGGUGGUGGCAAGGCCCAAGAGAUUAACAGAGUUAAAAGUGCUAGGACAGGAUUAGUCAUAGAAUGAAUGACCGCCUGGAAAGUUGGCGCGCCACAAUAAACGUGCAAGCCCAAGACCGAAUUCGAGUACUCUUUAGGCUCUUGCCGAUCCUUACUACUGUAUUUGUAUCAGAUUAAAAGAUUCCGUGAACAAAAAACCUUAUGUCAUUCGCAGACGUGGGUGUGCCAAAUGUUAUCUCCGGGAAGGACAAACACAAUAAAAAAGUAAAAAAUAAAUUUAUUUAGCUGAUGACGAUAUUUUGUUUACUCGGAAUAAAGAAUCGUCGAAAUUAUUCUUUCUUUUCUUAGAAUGAAAGGAUUAGUCGUUCUCCCCGGCCCCUCUUUCCACAACCUCGUUACUUAGUCACAAAAUUCCGAAUAUUCUUUUUCGUUGUGGAAUAAAAGCAAUGCUUUGUUAUCACCCCCUUCUUUAGUUUUUCCACAUUCUUUUUAUUUUUAGAAAAAAACAAUAUUGUUAAAACUAGUUUUGAUAUUGAUAUAUAACGCAAAUACAUUAUAUCUGACUAUAAUUUGCAUUUUUCUAAAGCGGUGAUAGUGUAAACUACUUUGACAACAUCAGAUCCCUUUUUAAAAACUAUGUAUGUGUAAUUUAUUGUGGAUAAUUCAAAAAUAUAAGUCAGAAGAUUGUACUAUAUAUAUAUAUAUAUAUAUAUAUAUAUAUAUAUAUAUAUAUAUAUAUAUAUAUAAUAUUUAUUAUAAUAUCGAGCUUAGUAUUAGAAAAAACUAAUCUCAUUUUUAUUUCGAUAUGGACGCCUCCAAAUCGAUGAUGGUACCGUUGAAUAUGAUCUAUACCAUUUGAAGUAUAUUAGAAUCAAAUUCAUAUAAUUUUCGAUAUUGUUCUCUAUCCAUCGAGUGGGCAUAAAAAUGAACGGCUGAAAAUGAAUAUUUUAAUAAAAUGAUGAUAGGACUCCUUGUAAUCAAGAUAAAGAUAUAGAUCUUUUUUUUAAAUGGUUUAAAGAAUUUUCUAACCAAAAAUUCAAUUGAUUUGAUAUCUUAGGCCGUUAAACGAGAAAAACGCCUCAUAUCUACCAUUAAAAUGAUAAAUUUUGAAACCCUUUGAUCAUUAGCAAAUGAUGUCGAAAAGAUUUGAAAUUUUUUUUUAAAUACUUAAGUGAUAUAAUCAUGUUCAAUGAUACCGAUUGUCGAUUUGGAGCUCCAUCAUCGAAAAUAAAUGAAUUGACAACAGGAGCCCGUUUGCUAUCGAAUAGUAUUAUAGCUCAACUCUAUAUAUAUAUAUAUAAUAUAUAUAUAUAGAGAGAAGAGAGAGAGAGAGAGAGAGAGAGAGAGAGAGAGAGAGAGAGAGAGAGCGCUAGCUUCUAUGCUUCGAAAGACAGAGCAUCUGUGCUUGUAAGUUGUUUUCAAUGAUGAGACGUCCAAUCGACGAUCAGUUCGCGUUAAACAUGAUCUACCCUAUUAGAACUAUCUAAACCAAAUUUCAUAAUUUUUGAGACUUCAUUGUCUAGUGAACGAGUAGCCUUAAAAUGAACGGUUGAAAAAUAAAAAUCUCAUAAAAAAUAGUGAUAAAUGAUUCAAAUUUCAAAUCGAAUAAUUGUUCUUACUUUUGAUGUAAGUAGAAUUUUCCAUUAAAGUUUCAUAUAAUUUGGAUACUUCUAUACGUUGAAUUAAAAACGUACCACAUCGUUAAAAUAGUCCAUUUUGAGACCCUGUGAUCGCUUUGUAAAUGAUGUCGAAAAUAUAAAAUUGUUUAAUGAUAGUUCCAAUAGCAUAGAUUAUGUCUAACGGAGCCGAUCGUCGAAUUGGAUAUCCUAUCAUCGAAACAACUUACAAGUACAGAGGCCUCCGUACUUUCGAAAGCACGGAGACGUACUAUAUAUAUAUAUAUACAGAGAGAGAGAGAGAGAGAGAGAGAGGAGAGAGAGUGAGAGAGAGCUACUAUGGCUAUCUGGAGCACGAGCCUUCCGUGCUUCGCUUCGUUUUGAUGUUGGCGACUUUCGACAUCGUCGAUACGGCUCCGUUAAAAUGUAGAGUAUUUUUGAGUACCUAGAAAAUAAAUUUUAUUAUUUUUCGAUAUCAUUUGCCUAGUGAUCGAAUGGCGCUCAAAUCAACAAUUUUCAAUGGCCGUAGUGAGAUGUUUGCAAGUUAACGUGUAAGAAAUAUCAAAAUCACGUGAAAUUUUGAUAGAAAAUUCUUUAUACUAUAUAAAACAAGAUCAAUAUCUUUGAUUUAAAAUUUUAAUGUCAUAUUAACAUUUUUAGGAUUUUUUUUUUCAGCCGUUGAUUUUGAGCCCUUCGUUCACUAGGCAAAUAUAUCAUAAAAUAAUAAAAUUAUUUUCUAGGUACUUAAAUACUCUAGAUCAAGUAAUAUGGAGCCGAUCGACGAUUCGAAAGUCGCAACAUCGAAAACAAGCUGAAAGCAUGAAAGACUCCGUACUUCGAUAGCACAGUAAUCACUAUAAUUAUAAUAUAUAUAUAUAUAUAUAUAUAUAUAUAUAUAUAUAUCAUAAUAUAAUAGCUUGUAAUUUACAUUUUAUCAUGCUUAUAACAAAAAGUAGUUUGUUAUUCGCUUUCACUCAGAUCUUAUGCAUAAAUGAAGCAAAAGUUCUUAUAUGCGAGUCAAAAUACUUUCAUUCACUUUUUAACUUUCGAUCUGACCGUGCCUAACCAACCCAAAAACCGUCAAUCAGAGAAUCACAUCCAUCAUGUUUGGAUAUCUAAAUAAGUACAUUCCACCUAUACUAUUAUUCCAGUAUUAUAUUGUGAUGAAAUAAGAGAGAUUUAUUAAUAGAAUAAUAAUAAUUUUAUUACGAGAAAUUAUCUUUAGUUUGAAAAAAAACUAAUUAUAUCAUUUAUUAAGAUAUUUGAUACAUUUUUACCUAUAAAUACUAUAUAUUUUAAAAUAAAUUAAUAUAUAUAAUAGUCAAAUAAUAAAUAUUCACAGCACCAAACAAAAUCAUUGCAUUUCUAUAUUCAAAAACUAUGCUGACCUUUUAACUAUAUAUUUAUUUUUAAUCUUUCACGACAUUAGUAUAGGUAAGCAAUUACUCGGAUUAUAUUUGGCUAUUAUUUAGCAAUAGCAUGAAAUCUAUUCUUUCUUUUAUUUUUAGCACUUUCUUUUUAAGAAGCCACUUUGAAAGAUCUAGCAUUCUAAUUACCCAUAUAAUACAGUCUGGUUACUAUAUAUCUUUAAUAGUAAUGAUUUUUUUUACGCAUAGAGUUUUUUGAUCUGUUGAUCUAUCUCUUGAUAUUUUCGUUACGUUAAAUAAUACUAUGUCAACAAGACCGCUCACUCAGGAGAACAGCUAUUCAUUUUAAUCUAAAUUAAAAUUUUUUAUUUAAUAAUAAAAUUAUAAUAUAAAAUUUUUUUUAUAUUUAAAAGUAUAGUAAAUUUAAUCUAUAAAUAUUUUUUUUUCCAUACUAGAGGCGUAGAGAGAGAAAUAGUAGAAGAGAGAGACGAGAGAGAGAGAGGGGGGAGGGUGGAAGUUGAAAAAGUCGGUGCCAGUAUCGACUCUGAAAAGGCGCGUUUCAUUGACCGCGCGUCCACUACUGGCUCACGGCUGGAGUGGGCUACUACUACGGGUACAAACGCAUGAGAUUUUUUAUGUGUUAUUAUUGAUAAUAUUAAUUAUUAAUUAAUUAAUUAUCCACCGGUUUUUUUUUGUCCUUUUAUAUGGGUAACUUUCAAUUACACCUCCGUAAAUUACAUAAAUUAUGUUACUUAAUAUUAUGUGUUUAAACUAUAUCGUUUUAAUAAUUUCGUGGUUUUAUUUUUCCUUUUCGUCGUGUCCUACGUUAACUCUCUGUUAAAUUGUUUACAGAAAAUCUUAGAUAUUGCGUUAUGGUUAUUGAAUAUUCACUUUAUUACAAUGUGGUACCGAAAUUUUUAUUUUAGUAUUCUUGGUUUAACUUUAUCAUUAUUUAACCAAAAAAAAAUUAAUAUAGAGAAUAAUGAAAGAGAAAAAUAAUCAUUCACGGGGAGUAAAGUGAUACAUUUUAAAACACAUGGACUAAAAUAAAAAGCGUGAAACCACAAGGAUAAUAUUAAACGUUUCUUAUUUUUUAAAGUGUGCUGCCGUACAAAGCUUUGUUUCGUUCAAUAUAAUAAAAAUAUUAUUUCAUAUGAUAACAAAUUUAGAUUAUAACAGAAAACUAGCAUAAAUUUUAUUUGGUUGAAAAUUGAAUUGUUUCUGCGAAUAAGUUAAAAGUAUUUGAAUACUUAUAGCAAAACAAAAGUAAUAUAAUUUUUAAUUAAUAAUAUUUUAUUAAUCAAUUAAUAUUAAAAUAUUAAUUAAAAUAAUUUAAUAAAUAUAAAUUUGUAUCAACAUGAAUAUUGUACAAGAUAAUGAAAAAACAUAUAAUUAAUUAAUUAAUAUUAAUAUUUAAAUUAUAAAUAUAACUUAACGUUUAAUUAAUUAGUCAAAUUAUUAAUUAGUAGAUGAUUCUAAAGAAAUUAAUUUAAUUAGUGGCCAAUGUAAUAAUAGUUAAUUAUUAGAUAAACACAUUAAAUAAUUAAUGGUCAAAUGCAUACAGCCUGCAAACAUAGCCAAUUGCGGAAAAAUCCCCUACAAAAAAAAUCCAUAAGUGUGCCCGCAAAAGUCUUAAGUUAUGUAGAUAUGUCCUCCGGUUAACAUCCGUUAGUGAUCUGUUAUUUUUUAACAGGGAGUCGUGAAAUGACCAUUUUACCCUCACAAAUAUAUCCUCCAAAAGUUUUCCUCAUUUUCCCUUCUCUUUCUCUUCCUCUCGGAUCAUCGAAGCGGACGACGGCGCGGCGGCGCGGGUCGGUUCGCCGCGACGAAGAAGAGGAAAAACUCCGGGCACCCGAGCUCUCAACGCCCAGUCUCGUCGCCUCAAUGCCGCCUCUCCCUCGUUGGCCUCCCGCACGACAUCGCGACAUCGCCAUCGACUCGUCUGCCGCUCCUCACCUCCUCACCGACACCGACUCUGGCGUCACACGACGACCCCGUCGCCACGGCCCUCGUCGCCGCCCUUGUUGACAACAACCCCUCGAGCUUCUUGCCCGCCUUUCGGAGGCCGACCCGACGAGACUCUUCCCCUCGCCGGUGACAAAGAAGAGGAAGAAGAAGAGGAAGAAAGAAGAAGAAGAAGAAAGGAAAAGAGGAAGAGGAAGAGGAAAAAAGUAAUGAGGUUCGUUGUCGCCGCCACCGUCGCCAGCCGCCGCCGCAUCUCCUCGCCGGCGACGAAGAAGAACGAAAGAAGAGGAGAAAGAAAGAAGGUAAAUACGUCAAUUUACACUAUAAUAAACCAUGGUUAAGUAUUAACCGUGGUUAACGAAAAAUUUCUAACAGAUCUGGAACGGCAGGACAUAUCUGCAUAACUUAGGACUUUUGUAGGACAACUUAUGGAGUUUCCGUUUGUAGGGAUAUUUCGUAAUUCACUAGUAUUUGCAGGACCUGUAUGCAAUAAGCCAUAAUUAAUUCUAAAUGAGUUAAUUAACACAAAAUAAUAAACUAAUUAAUUACGUAACUAUUUAAACAAUAAUAAUGUACUUAAAAUAUAUCAUUAGAUUAAUUAUGAAGCAAUAAUUAAAAUUAGAUUAAAUUUUAACAUAGUUUGUUCUCAGCUGAGAACAAACUUGUUCCAUGGAAGGGUGGAACAAUUGCUCCACCCUUAUUCUCCUUUUAUAAUUAUGGAGAACUAGAAUUUUCAAAUCCUAAAAUUUGCGUUGUAUAAGGACGGAAUAAGGGCUUAUUCCCUUUUUAUACUCGAAUUAAACACUGCUAAGAGACUUUUGAUGAAUAAAUUAUAAUAUAAUACAUAAUUAAAUGAGUUUUUAAUUUGCAUAUUUUAAAAUUUAACACUAAUAAUUGAAACUAUAAGAGAUGCCAGCUCCAAUAGUUGAAAUAUGCUCAAAUUAAACUAUAAUCCUAUUGCAGGUAUUGGGGAGUAUUUUAAACAAAAAUAAAUCUACAUUUCUAAUUAUUGUUGAAACACAAAAUAUUUUAUCUUCCUAGAUUGAAGGUAAUCUAAGCACCACAUCUAACAGUGAUAAAAUAAAAAUAACUUUCAAUUGUAUGUAUUAAUUAAGCGAAUUAAUUAUAGUUACAUUACUCUCUACUAAUAUCUAUAUCAAUAAGAGCUAAUAUAGCGGUAUAUGUUAAAUUUUUUACUACAAAUAUAUUUAAUGAAUGUGAAUAAUGCACCUCUCUUGGCUUGUUUUUAGAUUCUCACGUGAGCACCAAUUUUGGAGAAGUAAUACAAGUCAACUCUCGAUCAAUUAUGAUUGAUAUUUACUGACUCACUAGUGUAGUUGACUAAAAAUUUAAUAUAUUGAAUAUCUAAAUUUUCAUAUUAAUCCUAUAAAAAAUAAAAGAGAGGUAGGUUGCCAACCUUCUAUCAUAAUACUUAUGUCGUUUUUGAUAUAGUUAUGUAAUUUAAAAAAAAAAAGUCUUGUUGGUAUUUAUAUUUUUAUUUUUAAAUUUAUACUAAUUUAAUAACUUGGUAUAUAGUAGAAUUUUUAAAAAAAUAAAAAUUGCUUCUAACUAUUUAUCCUUUUUGUUGGGAAUAAAUAUCUUACAUGUAAGGAUAAAAAGCAAUCCACUGUCUCCUCCUGCAUUACUUACAUUAAAAAUAUAUAUAUAAUAUAUAUAUAUAUAAUAUAUUAUAUAUAUAUUAUAUAUAUAUAAUAAUACGUAUAUAUAUAAGAAAAUAAUAAUAAUAUCAAACGAGGCAUUAAUUAGUAUUUAAUUUUUUAAUGUAAAACAUUAGUAUUAUAUUAUAAAAUUUAAAAUACAAUUUCUUUUAAUAGAAAUGUUGUUACGUAAAUCAUCUAAAGCUUAGUUUGGUAUUGAGGCUUAUCUAACGCUAUUAGAUAGAAUGGAGUUGAAGAAAAAGCAUAUAGGGAUAUGCUUCUGUGUUCUCCGGUGGGACUGCAGAAAAUAUAUCGUAACCGACUCAUUGUGAUAUGCGAAACAUAAUAUUACGUACAGAAACAAAUAGAGUAUUUUUCUUACGUAUUUUCUCACCACACGUUAAUAAUCAAAAGCUCGUUGAAAUUAAUUUUUGAGCUUUGUUGAAAUCCUAAUUUAAAUUGAUCCACCAGGGUAGGAUAAUACUGUAUUUAAAAUGUUGUUAGGUAGUUAUUGUUCCUGUUCCAAAAAUUUCAAAUAGAAUAAGACUUAUACCAGAUUCUGGUAAAGGAUUAAUGGAAGUAAGAAUAAAUACAUGUUUAUCUAUUUUUACAUGUUAUUUUUCUCUUAUUAGGGUAUGUUUGGUUGGCCGAAAGUGAAUCAUCGAAAGUGAUACUUUUGAAAACUAACGUUUUAUUAAUUGUUUGGUGUGUGAAAGUAAAUAUGAAAAUCACUUUAUAAAAUUGGGCCAAUAAAGUUAGUUAUAAUUAAAUCUCGCUUUUCUUACUUCGGCGCAAAAAAUUCAGAAGUUACCGAAGGUGAAAGGCUUAACUAAGAGAUUAUAUUCGGUCUUAACUUUAAUUUUUGAAUUUAUUUUUAAAGUGGAAUUUCAUUUUAAUUUUGAAUUAAAAUCAUGACAACAUUCUAAAUUUUAUUUGUAAAUUCAAAUUUAACAUAAUUUUUAUAUUCGAAUUUGUGACUUUAUAUAUAAAUUUAAAAUUUAAAAUCUUUAUUUUUAUUUAAAUUUGAAUUCUAGAAUUUAAAUUUAAAUUUUAAUCAAAUUAUUUUUAACUAAGAACUUUAAUUUGAACUUUGAAUUCAAAUUGUUCCAACUAUAAAUUCAAAGUAUUGACUAAAAUUUGACUUUAAAAUUUUAAAUUUUUAAGUUGAAAUUCAAAUUCAAAUUCAAAUUUGCUAUUUAUAUUUAAUUUCAAUAAUAAGUUUCAGUUUAAAUUUUUAAUUCAAAUUAUGAAUUCCAAUAUUCAGUUUAAAUUACGAAUAUCACCAUCAAAUUUUUUUUCACCUGCACUGGGGACAAAAAUUGUAUUUUAGUCAAAAUUUCUUUUACUUAAGUUUGAUAUAUUUUAUCUUUUAUCAAUAAAUAAGAUACUCUAUAAUGAGCUUUUUCAUAGUGGAACAGUUAAUGCUAGGAAGAGUAGGACUGAAAUACUAUCGGUAAUAAACAGCUUAGUUUACUAUAGAUUUAUUUUCGAUGAUAGAGUUUUCAAAUCGAUGAUCAAUACCAUCGAACAUAAUCUAGACUUUUUAAACUAUUUAGAAAUCAAAUUUCAUAAUUUUCUGACUUCACUAAUUAAAUGAUCAAAGUGCCACAAAUUUUGUAAUUUUAAUGGCCGAUAAGAUGUAUUUGCUCAUUUAACAAUAUAGUAAAGUCCAAAUUAGCUGAUUUUUCAUUAGAAUUUUUUUAAAAGUAUUUAAAACAAGAUCUAAACAUUAAUAGAUCCUAAAUACACAAAUUAUAUCAUCACUUUUUUAAAAAAAUUUACUUGCGGCUCUUCAUUUUAUGUUUACUUGAUAGAGAAGUGAAGAAUAUCGAAAAUAAAAUAAAAUUUAAUAUUUGAAUAAUUUAAAAAUACUAAAUCAUGUUUAAUGAUACCGAUCAUCGAUUUGAAAACUCUAUAAUAAAAAAUAAAUCAGUAAUAAACUGAACUAUUUACUACUGAUAGUUAUCUGGUCCUACUCACCUAAGAAAUCAAGUUUUCGCAAACUUUUAGAAUUUUCUUUUUUUUGAGAGAUAGGUAGCACGUUACCCGCUUCGUAUGGAUCAACUAAAAUUCGAACUUAGGUCUCGGGUACCAACCACCAAGCCUUUUGCCACUUGCUUUAGAGACAGUCGGUAAAAUUUUAAAAUUUUCAAAAUAGCAUACGUACAUAGAUAAAUUUACAGGGGUAUAUACGUAAUUUCAAGUUAAGUUCUUUGACUCCGUACUAGCCGCCUGGGACUGAACCUCUUGACGAUAAAAAGCCACAGGAAGGGCCAAAAGCCACCACCAAUGUAAUCGAAGGAGAAAAGCCAAAAAUAAAAUAAAACGAUAAAAAUAAAUCUACCUAACUAAGGAUAAUAUGUAACGUUAAUAAAAGAGGAUAAUGUAAUUUAAUUACUAAUAUAGGUGCUAACCAAUUAGGUUUUAGGACAAACUAUGACUACGAUUUGACCAAUGUAUGGGUAUUGUAUUAAUUCAACAACUUGGAAAUAACAUCACACACCCAUUACGUGUCAUGUUGCACCAAAUUACCCAGCUAAAAUUGUAGGACGUGUAUUUAAUUUUGGAAAAAAUGUACAGAAACCUUCUGGAUUUUAGCUUUUUUUUUUUUUAACAAUAGACGCCUGAACUUUUAAUUUUAAUAAUUAGACUGUUUAUACUUUCUCGGAUAAUUAAAUAGGUCCCUCUCCUCAGUUGAAGUUGCUCAUUAUACAAUCGUUUCGAUCUUUUUUAUUAUUAUUAUCAUAAGAAUAGAAAAACAAUAAAGUCGAACGUAGCUUCAUCUUAUUUUUCAAUUUUUAUGUUUAAGUAUUAAAAUUAGAAGAAAAUAAUAAUUUUUUGUAUAUUAUAAAGUCAUAUAGGAUUAAAUGCAAGGCAUGCGAUCAAAACAACUAUGUAAUUAAUGAUUUUGAUUGAAAAUUUUUUUAUUAAACCAUUUGAUAAAGUUUAUAAAAUUUAAAUUAAAGUCUAUGUGCAAAAAAGUUGCACUUUUUUUUUUUGGAUAAACCACCCUUUAUUUUGGGCUUCAAAAAAGUGUUUUUUUGGACAACCAGAGACGUAAGUGCAACAAUUCCAUGCUCAUUUUUGUUGAAGCUCUCGAGGCCAGUUCCCUUGCUUCUGUAUUUUUGUUUAUAUUCGUUAUGAAUAAAGCAGAUAGCAAACCUACCUUUCUCUUAAUUUUUUUUUUUUUGUUGAAGCUAUUUUAGAAUUAUUUUUUUCUUUUUCAUUAGUCAACGUUGAGAUGAUUAUUAUCUAUGAAAAUUGCCACUUAAUAGGAUAUAUAUAAUGUAUAAAAAUAUACAUUUUAUAUUAACAGGACAAAAAAAAACACUAUAGAAAAUGAGUUUGUGUAGUGUUAUAUGAGAGGAGAAACUAUGCAUGCAUCAGCCAAAAAAAAAAGAAAAAAAAGAAAAAAAAACUUGUAUAGCCAUAACAAUAUUAUUUAUUCCUAAAGUUGAUAUCAAUGUAUUAAUUUCUGCAAAUUCUAAAUCACUGCAUUUUCUAUUGAAUUUAAUUAAUAUUAGUUUACUCUCAAAUGUUAAUCAGUUUCUCUCUAAAUAAAAUUUCUGUAUUUUCAAUUUUGUCCAUUAAAAUUUCUUUAAAAAAUGCAUUGAAAAAAAUAACAAUGUAGGAGAGGGGUAAAUGGGUAAUACAAAAUUACUAUUUUUGUAGGCAAUCAUGAUAAUAUAUUAAGUUUAUAGAGAUAAAUAUGUAAUUAUACCAAAUUCUUUUAAAAUAAAAGAAAAUUUGGUACACUUUAGUAACUUUUUAUAUUUUAUAAAGUACUCUUGUGGAAAAUUUCCUUUGUGGAAUCGGAUUCUGUUAAAGGGUCUAGUCAUUGGACUAUUUAGUGUUAAAUAAAUAUAUGUAAUUAUCCGUGCCUAGUUCUAUUAAUGACAUGAUAAAAUAACGCCCAAAUAUUUUAAGCUAAAAAAUGAUAAAUUUAAGUUUAAUGCAAUACAAUUAAAACUAAAUUAUUUAAAAUUUCUGGUUACUUCACACUAUAUGUAAAUACAAAACCAGAUUUUCUAAAUUGUUAAUGAAUCUUCCACUUGAUAUUUAGCCCGUUUCCCUUUCUUGCGGGGAUUACUCCGUAUUAAAUCCACCAAGCAUUCGAAUUGACAUGUGCAUCCGUUGAACCAAUGGCGCGCUAAAUAUUUAGCGAUUUUGAUAGCACAUUUAAUUCAAAAAAUAGACUUGACUAGCUGAGUGGUUGAUUUAUCACUCCAUUAGUCUCUGAUUAUCAAUUUUGUGUUGAAUAUAUUUUUUUUUUGAGAAAAAGAUAGCAUACUAUCCGUUUCAUUCAUUCAGAAUGUGAAUUAAGCAACAUGGAUGAGGCAUCAUGGCCUCUAGGAUGACGGAGACAAAAAGAUAAAAGAUAGGGAAACAGGUGUUGUGAGUAAAGUACAGCUGAUACCUCUAUACGGUCUACGAGUUCUAACUACAGAUCUACAGAUCAGCACUACUCCACUGAGCUAACAGAUAACAGAUAAAUUCAGCCUCUUGGUCGAAUCCAAACCUGAUAUGUUGAUAUGUUGAAUGUGUUGAUAACAGAUAAAUUCGGUCUCUUGGUCGAAUCCAAACCUGAUAUCAGUAGUGCAUAAAUGUGAAAAUAUGAGAAAGCCUUGACUAAGAAAAGUAAUAGGAAUGUAUGCAAGUCUAAAAGAAAAAAUUAAAGAAAAAAGAAUCUAAGACACUAAUAAAGGGUAAAAGGAUAUAGAGAUCUCCAACUGUAUGUCAUACGAAAAUAGACCCUUUUGAGAGCCUUUUCUAUUGGAACUUUUUAUCUUUUGAUUUUUUUUUUUUUUCAGAAUUGAGUAAUUGCAGCUGAAUAAAUUAAAAUUUUCACAAAAUUAAUUAAUAUUUUUAAUAAAUUUGAAAAUUUAAAAUUAAUUUAAUUAAUAAUUUGAUAAUUUAAUAAAUUGUUAACUUAAUUAACUAUAAAAAAAUUUGCAUACAAAAAAAUUUAAAAAUGUCACCACAAAAAAAAAAAUUUAGGCGUCCAUUUAGAAUAUCCUAUAGUUAAGGGGGGUCCAUACAUUUUUACCCAAAGAUUACCCAAAAAAAAAAAGAAGAAGAAAAAGAGAAAGCAAAAAAGAAAACUCCGUUCCAAUUGUUAAAGGGUCAAAUCGAAAAUUGAAAUAUCUCAUAUUUUAUUUCCUUUUUUUUAAAAAAUUUAUAAGAGAGGGAGAGAGAGAGAGCCGAUGCAAGGGUUUUACGAAGCGGAGAGAGAAAGAGAGAGAGAGAGAGAGAGGGAGAGAGAGAGAGAGAGACAAAGCUCCCCUCCUCUUCUAUCCGCCGAUACUAUUUAAUCUCCCCCAACCCCCCUUUCUCCUCGACAUUCGCCUCCGCAUCAUUCCCCCCUCUCUUCGUCGUCUUCCUCUUUCUCCCAAACCCUAAUCCUCUCCACGCCGCCAUCGCCCGCGCGCCCCUCGCGAGCUGCGACAAAGCUCUGCUGCUUCUCCCCCUCGCCGCUCACGCCUCCCUCGUGCCGCCUCUUCCGCGCGCAGCGCGUGCUCUCUUUCUCUCUCUCGAAGCGAGCUCAGAUUGAGGAGAGGGAGGGAGGUGGUGGGGGAGGGGGGGAGAGAGAGAGAGAGAGAGAGGGGGGGAGGAGGAAGAUGAAGUAUGUGUUGGUGACGGGGGGAGUGGUGAGUGGAUUGGGGAAGGGAGUCACGGCGAGUAGUAUAGGCGUUGUUCUCAAAGCAUGCGGGCUGCGGGUUACUUCGAUAAAGAUUGGUACUUGUUGUUGCUCUCCUCUGAAUUUUUUUUUUCUUUUCGCUUGUAAUGAUCAUCCAAGCGACGAUUUAUGGCCACUUCUAUUUUUUUUGUAUCAUUAAGGCUGGAUUUAUAUAGUGAUUUAUCUUGCUUUCAUGCUGCCUACAUUAAAAAAGAGUGUUUUUGUUUUUUGUGGAUUUAGAUUACUAUGUUUGAGUAUGUAGGGAUAGUUUUAGGAAAGUGAUGCGCUUUUUCUUCAGUUUUCGAAUAAUAAAACCAGUUUCAGAAGAUUUGGAGGGUGUAAAAUGUCUUUAUACUUUUUCUGUUUAAUUUUUUUUUGCCCAAUCUGAAGUGGUCCCUUUUUUCCUUUUCCUUUCCAGUUCUCCUCUGAUGAAGAGGGCUUGAUAGUGGCAUAAAUCUUCUUUUAGUCUUUAUGCUUUGCUAGGGAUCAGAGAUUAGUGGUUAAUUUAUUCACAGUUUAUUUUCCCUAAUUAGGUGAGCCAAGUAGUUGGUAGAACUCGGAUUUGUUUGCUUUUUUACUUGAUUUUUGUUGCUUUAUCAAUUUUACUACGUGAUAUCAAUAAGUUGUGCUUUCUGUUCUUUACGCAGAUCCAUAUCUUAAUACCGAUGCUGGAACGAUGUCUCCCUUUGAGCAUGGGGAGGUGUUUGUUUUGGACGACGGUGGAGAGGUAAAGAAUGCUUUUGAGCAUGGGGAAGUGUCUGUUUUUUAUCCUAAUUGUUUUCUCAAUCUAAUAAAUUUACAACCCAAAUGCUCCAAGUAGCUACAUAGACACAUGAAACUCCACCUUGGACUCUAUGGCACCUUUGUACAAUGGCUGUAAACGCCUCAUGAGUUCUUAGUUGUCCCAGAAUGAUUAUUAGUUCUACAUAAAUUGCAUAAUUGCCAUGCUGCCUUUUGAUUAAACUUACAAUAUCUAUCUUAUUCCUAAGUGUUCUGGUUUGAUUAGUUUCCUUCUGGUGCUAUUUAUACUUUGGAAUUUAUUCUUCAGCAUUUCUGUGGCUUCUUUCCAGAGAACUUUUGAGCUUUUGCUUACUGCUUGUGACCAUUUGAUGCAGUGUUCUUGUUCGACUUAUUUGACUUCGUAUUAUUUUGAAGGUCGACUUGGAUCUUGGAAAUUAUGAACGGUUUCUAGAUAUCAAACUUACUCGAGAUAACAAUAUCACCACUGGAAAGAUCUACCAGGUGAGUUAGUUGAUUCUAAAAUGGGUAUCUCUUUGACUUAAUCUAAUCCUGAAAAUUUUUACAAAAUUAGCAGAGUUGGAGACUGCCAAGUUAUUUCGACAGUCGUUGAUUGCCAUUUCUUUGAAGGAGCCAUUCAUGAGAAGUUACUUUUAAAACCGUCCAAUAUCAAAAAAUUCAAAAAAAAUUAUAUAAACCUCCAUAUGCACUUACAAGUCUGCCUACGAUAAAAUAGUGGACGGUCUUCAGUAUGCAAUUGGUGCUUGAAGCACUUCAAGUAAGAACUUAUUGUCGCUUAUAUGGACUGUUGAUUGGCAAUGUGCUUGAUGAGAAACAGAAUGGGCAUCUCAAGUGGUAUGAUUGUCAAUUCAAAUGAGAAGCAAAGAAGACCUCCUCAUGCCUUAUCAAUGAGUUCUUGAUACUAUACAUAAUAGAUUCUCACUUAGAAACUAUCUGAGAAGCAACAUCUUGGCUAUGGUUUCUUACAAAAGUACAAUUUGGCUUGUUUCAUUCUUUCCCAGUCAUUCAUUCAGUUUUUUUAUGCCCAAUGACAGUCUGUAAUCCAUAAGGAGAGGAAGGGAGACUAUUUGGGGAAAACAGUCCAGGUGUGAAUUUCUUGUCAGCGUCAGUUUCUUUUGACUCUACAUCAGUUGGAUGUCUUGUGCGUGACUAUUUUGUUACUCUUCCUAGUGUUCUAAAUUGAGUUAUUAUUUCCUUUUUUUCCUUUUUAAGGUUGUGCCACACAUUACAGAUGCUAUACAAGAGUGGAUUGAGCGUGUAGCACAUAUUCCUGUAGAUGGCAAAGAAGGACCACCUGAUGUUUGUGUUAUAGAACUGGGUGGAACUAUAGGUGAAAAUCAACUAUAGCUUUCUAAAUGGAGAAUGAAUAACAUUAUACUGGUUCUUGUAAAUCUUGUCGAGCUUCAAUUUGCUUAAAUAUUUCCUAUAGUCGUGUAAGUAUGCGGUGCAGGAGCCACGUUCUUUUCGCGGCAUAACGACAGUGGCAUGUUUGAUGCAGGGGAUAUUGAGUCGAUGCCAUUUAUCGAAGCUCUUGGUCAGUUCUCAUAUCGUGUAGGUGAGAAGCUGCACAGUAUUUCAUUUAGUACUGUCUUCCUUUUUUCUUAUGUUUUCCCUUUUUUUCCGGGGGUAGAAAUGUACAGAUAUCACCUGAACUAUAUCAUAUUUGGAAUAAAGUACUUGAACUUCAAAAAGUUUGGAUUGUACUACCUACCUCUCUCUGCUAUUUAUUUCAGAAAAUACUGUCUAGUUCUGUUAUAACGUAAUGGUUUCAAUUAGACAAAUUGUAAAUAUUCCAUCAAGUUGCAGAAUGCUCUGUUUGGUUACAGACUAUUACGUAAGAAAGUUCUGAAAAGACCAUCAAGUUCUGUCUGUUUUGUAGUUAAAUCAAAUAUACCAUAAAGUAAGGUUGUAGAGUCAACAUUUUGAAAGUAGGUGUCCAUUUCAACAUGCUUCAUAGAUCAGGUAUCUUCUGUAGAUUUUACCUAAAUUCUUUUUUCUUCUGAUGGUUCUCUUUUCAGGUCCUGGUAACUUCUGUCUUGUUCAUGUCAGUCUUGUUCCAGUUUUAAAUGUAGUUGGUGAACAGGUAAAUUUCUGUGCACUUCAUUGUAAUAUUUUUGUUUAUGUUUACAUAUUCUUCACUGACAACAAAUAUUUAACUUUUUCCAUAUUAGUUUGGUAUUUGGUUUUACUGAUAACUUCUUCGUAUGUUUUUGUAGAAAACUAAGCCAACCCAACACAGUGUUAGGGGACUAAGAGGACUAGGGCUAACACCAAAUAUCCUAGCAUGCCGCAGUUCUAAGGUCUUGAGCUGGCAUACUUUUUGUUUCUUAUGUUUACUUCGUUGAUCCUCCAAUUUAUUUCAAUUUCCUUUUGCUCUAAGAUAGUUUUUAUUGAAUGUUUUUGACAGGCGCUGGAUGAAAGUGUAAAAGAAAAACUCUCACAAUUUUGCCAUGUUCCGGUAGUGUAAUCAACACUUUUAUGGAUAUAUUUACUACAUUGAGUGUCUAUUAGGGGGCUAUAGCUGAUACUAAUUGGUACUAAGCAUUUUUCAGGCAUCAAAUAUUGUCACUCUUUAUGAUGUUACAAACAUCUGGCGUAUUCCCUUACUAUUAAGGGUAUGCUGUCUCUUUUCAUUUUCUGUGAUUUCAUGUGCUGAAUUGUGAUGUUCAUGCUAAUUUAUGUCAAAAUAUAUUUUUGAAAAUAUUCUCUCAUCCCCUAUACAGGACCAAAAGGCACAUGAAGCUAUUCUGAAAGUACUGAACCUUCGAAGGUACAUUUAUCAAAUUAUUUAUUUUUUCUGAUGAUAAGCACUUUGAUGUUUUCUUGGCAAUAUUCAUUUUUUAAGGCGCUUGUAAUGUAUUUAUUUUGGUUAAUUUUAUGCAGCGAUCCAAGAGUGAGUUGUAAACCAAUGCUGGAUGAAUGGACUGACCGAGCAACAACUUGUGAUGAACUGCAGGAUCCUGUUAGUUUCUCUUUUCUUUCUUUCUUUCUUUUUUCCCAAUCAUUAUUUUUUAUCUCAGCUGAAACCUUCUUAUUCUCUGCUGUGUAGGCUUAAACAUUGACUCCUCAUUUAUGUUUUCAGGUCAGGAUUGCAAUGGUUGGAAAGUAUACUGGUCUUUCUGAUUCUUAUCUCUCUGUAUUGAAGGUAAAUACUAUUUGUGGGGAGACUUGAGUUUCAUUUGACUCAUCUUAUAUUCCAUUGAAUAUUUCUUCCUUAUACUGUACAGAUGUCUUACUUCGUGACUAUGACAUGCAUACAAAUUACAAUCAGGGAACUUUUGAAUUAAUUGGAUGGUUUUUUGAGUUUGUCGUUAGUAGAUUUUCCCUCAUGCCCGUAUGUAUUGUGUAGCUAGUAUUUUUGGGGAUCAUUAGAUAGGUCAUGCUUGGAAAUGCUUGGAAAUUUUUAUGUUCGACAUAUCAAAGUGAUGUAAAUUACUCAUGAAUUUAUUCCUUUCUCUUCAUUCAAGCAACUGCCUCUUUACUUUGAAGUUAGUGUGCGUCUUGCUCUUCUGCCAUGUGCAAACUGCCGUUGAACUUGCUCUUUACUCUUUAUCUUUCUGCCACGCUGACUCAUCUUUGAAAUUUUGCAAAAUAAGUGAAGGAAGCGACAAAAAUGGUUGUAUUUCCUUUAUCUGCCUCUUAAUUUGCUUCUGAACUGCUUGUAGGCGCUUUUGCAUGCAUCUGUCGUUUGCCGUAGGAAACUUGUGGUGGAUUGGGUUCCUUCUUCUGAUCUUGAAGAUGCCACUGCUGAAGAGGUAUGUUCAUUUACCUUGUUUCUGCUUCUGCUUCUAUUAUUGGCUAGCAUCCUUGCACUGAUAUUUGGAAAUGAUUUCAAUUUAUAGGCUCCUGAUGCAUAUAAAACUGCCUGGGAUCUACUAAAGGUAAGGACAAUACUCUAUACUCCACUAAAAAGUGCGCGUAAGGAAAUUUGGUCCCUGGAAUUUGACCUGAACUCUUGAGCUCAAUUAUAAUUUUGUCCCUGAAGUUUGUUCCUUGUUACACAUCCUUCCUUCUACCUUUUGAGAAGGUGCCACAUCAACGACAUGAUGAAACUUUCUUUUAUAAAAUUGGAACUUAGAAAUUGAAAUUGAAGUCAAACUCCAGGGAUGAUAUUGAAAUUGAGGUCAAACUUCAGGGAUGAAGUCGAAAUACUAAGGAUGUUGAAAUUGGGGCCACACUUCAGGACGAAAAUUUACAACUUAACUCUUUGGAUGAAAUUGAAGACAUGGUCAAACUUCAGGGUCUAAAUUUGCAUUUAACCCAACAGGAAAUCACUUAACAGAAGUAUGUGGUCUUUGAGUAGAAUGAAAUAGUGGAAAUUUGUAUUUCUCUGGUAGCUUUCUGAAAUGAAUUUUCAGCUCAGGGUGCAGAUGGCAUACUCGUUCCAGGUGGUUUUGGUGACAGAGGGGUUCAAGGCAAAAUGCUGGCUGCUAAAUAUGCCCGUGAAAAUAAAGUUCCUUAUUUUGGUAUUUGUCUGGGCAUGCAAAUUGCUGUCAUUGAGUUUGCUCGCUCUGUUAUGAACUUGCGAGAUGCAAACAGUACGGAAUUUGAUCCUGAUACAAAUACGCCAUGUGUCAUUUUUAUGCCAGAGGUAAUUUUAUCACCAUUAUUUAUAAUGUUUUCGUUACAUGGAUAUCUCUGCAAAUUCUGAAUUUCUAUUUAUGCCCUUCAGAAACAUAGUUUCUUGGGUACCCUUGAACUUAGAUUGACCCUAAUUGGAGAACUAUUCCGAUAGAAAACCAAGUUGCCCUGUGAAUUGGGUAACUAACACUAUGACUAAGAUAGAGGUACUUUUAAGAAACUGUUUUUCGAGGGGUAUAUAGUCAGAUUUUAUGGGAAUAUUUAUGUCAAAAGAUGACUUUUCUGGGACAUAUGUGUGAAUACCUUUUUUGUUAUUUAUUUAGAUUUCUCAUGCAAUUGUCAUGUUCCAUUCAUUUCUCACGUAUUUCAUGGGCCAGGGUUCAAAAACUCAUAUGGGUGGCACCAUGAGACUUGGAUCAAGGAGGACAUUUUUUCAGGCUAUUGACUGCAAAUCAGCUAAGCUGUGAGAACAUGCCUCCCUUGAAAUUUUAUUAUAAAGUUUUCUAUGAUUUUGCAUUCGUGGUUUUCUGUUGAUUUAUGGAAAUUAAUCUUUAUUACAUUGUUUCUUUGUUAGGUAUGGCAAUGUUAGCUAUGUAGACGAACGACAUCGGCAUAGAUAUGAGGUAUUAUUUGUCUGCAAUUAUGCUUCCCGUUCUCAUUUUAGGAUUACUAACCUUUUGAUUUAUUAUGUGCCAGCUCGUGCGAUAGCCCUUUUUUGUGAUAGUUGCUGAAAUUGCUAAAUUAUAAAUGACUUAACAGGUGAAUCCUGAUAUGGUACCUGAAUUUGAAAGAGCAGGUCUCCUAUUUGUUGGUAAAGAUCAAAGUGGGAAGAGAAUGGAGGUAUAAAUCUGGAAAUGUUGCCAAGUUCCAAUCCAGACUGUUAUGCUUCUGAAUAUUGAUGUUAAUGUACCAAUAUUGCAGAUUAUUGAACUCCCAAGCCACCCAUUCUUCGUUGGCGUCCAAUUUCAUCCGGAGUUCAAGUCAAGACCUGGAAAGCCUUCGGCACUUUUCUUAGGUAAUUUUGCUUUUGCACGUUGCUCUUUUGGCAUGAUGUAAUAUGUUGAUCCUGCUGAGAUACAGUGUCAACUAAAACUGAUUGAGUUCCUUCAAAUGCAUAGCUUAAGCUGUCCUCACAACCCGGGGCCUGGAAUUUUGUUUAGUAAGCUAUACAUAUCUUAUAUUUACACUUUUUUCACAGGAUUGAUCGCUGCCUCAUCGAGACAAUUGGGUUCUCUCCUGCAAAACCUGAACCAUAAUAGCAUUCCAAGUGCCAAACGUCUUUUAGGCAAUGGUUUGACCCCAAAAAUAUACUCAAAUGGGCAUUCGAAGAAGCUGACUAAAACCCUUGUUAACGGAAAUGGAAACUGCUAUGCCAAUGGCAAUGGUGUGCACUAUUAAAAGGAAAUCCGACAAUCUACCUGAGUUUGUGCUUUUACUUUUUGUGUCAGUUUGGUUCUCCAGGAUCAGACUCCUCUUUCCUGCGAAAUAUGAGAGAGAGAGAAGUUGCUAGAGCUUUGGAGUGUUUGCUACAUUGCUGCUUGUUCCAGGUUUUAUCGAGGAACGGCGUUUUAUCUCUUGAAAGUGAGGUUGGGGUUUUAGCGUGCGCUUCUUCUAUGUUUUGGUUGCUUUUUAGGCUGAAAGAAUUUUCGCUUUCUUGGACUGGACUUUCCCUGUCUCUCUCCUGUAUAUUGAGAAAUAACUUAUUUUGUUAACUAAAUAUAUGAUGCAUGUUACAGCUUCAUAACUCCUCAGAGUGAUUAUGAUAUUGAGUUUUUAUUAAUCACACUGUUUCUUUUGUUACUUCUCUUUAGAAACCACUUAUCCUCACUUUGCUCUCUUGGUUCAUUUUUCAUUUUUAUUCUCUCGAGCGUACCUUGGCUAAUGAUACGGGAAGCAAAAGCAAAAGAUUGCAUCGGCUGAUUUAUGGAUGUUGAAGUGAUAGGAACUUCCAAAUUGUCUCGCUUUCGCAAUUAAACAGUGAUGUGUAGGCUUACUCUUUGUGAUGAGGAGUGCACCGAUUCGUGUUAGUAAAUUCUGUAACAUUUUCUAUUCUCCACGAUAUCCAGUCUAUAUAAAAUAGAAUAGAAUUAGACAGCAGACAGCUCCACUUACACUUUGCUAAUAAAUGAAGUCAUGAGAUGAGAAUUUCAAGUUUGCCUGCCAUUUGAUUGCCUUCGGAUGAACAUAACAACCUUAGUUGCAGAAAAGCUUGAAGAUUUUGAUGCCGUGGGAAAUAAAAAUGAGAUUUUGAUAUUUAGAAACAGACGCUUCCGAAAUUUGCUGUGAAAUAUAAACUAUUCAAGUUGUAAUGAGAAUAUUUCACCAUAUAACGUUACGCUCUACCCUAAUUAUAGUAAAAUUAUAGUAAAUAUCAGUUUAUACAGUGUAAAAGGAAAACAUAAGGAGCCAUACCACUGGCAGAUGCCAUAUCAAUCCUUUCUCAACUGCUAAGGAACUGAUACCUGAUUUAACUUUUACACGAAGGCUCUCUAGUACAGUUUUCAACUAGCAUAGUCAGGGUGUAAUCAGUUGCUACAUUUAUCAGAAAGUUUCGUACAAACUUUUCAACUUGGAUUCUAACAGCCAUAGAAAAAGAAGAGCAAGAAAAACACAACACGCUAUACUUAGAAGAUCAAUACAGUGCUGUUUCCCUGCAUAUUUUAUUCCGCAGGAGCCGUGUGAUAGCGAAUUUCUUGUCAUCAGCUUUCUCAUUCUUGGUGCUUUGCUGUAUAUUCCCCGAUGUUCAGAGAGAGUUAAAUGGCAAAAAUGGUUCAGUGACUGGAAUAAACUCAACCGCUGCUCAGAUAUUAUACGGCUGAAGAACUGAUGUCAUUGUAAUGUUUCCAGAGAAAAUGUGUAUAAAAAUUUCUGCUAUAAGGCCCGUGUCCUUCAAGCUUCAUAAUCAUAUAAAUAAACAAGUCUGCAGAAAUUCACAUAGUAAGAAAUCCUUGAGAAGAAAGGACACAAAUUUUAAAGUGGUUGGAUCUAAAGAACCAGCUUCUUACCGUGAAAAGUGACUGGUUGUGCUGGUUAUUGUAAAACUAUCAAUGAAUAAAGCAUCUUAGCGAAGGUAAUGAUUGAUAGGACAGUUCCACCAAACAGGCAAAUUGAGAGGACUUUAUGCCGCUGCCUUCGAGUAAGCCAAGUGAUGUAGCAAAUGCUAGUCUCUAAGAUUGACUCGCCGUCCAGGAAAUAUACCUGCAAAUUUGGCAAAUGAAUAAAGUUGAUAAAUGAAAAGUGCAUGAGAAAUGACAGAACAUAAUAAGAAUCUGUAUGCAAAGCAAUCUAAUCAUCCUGCUGAGCAACGGAAGAAAAAGGAUCGUGAAAGUUGCUUUAAAGAGAUUAAGCUUCAAAAUAACGAUGCCAGAGGCCUUUGCACAACAUAAUGACCUACCGGCAAACAAUUUAUUAAACCCAAAGCUGCGGACAUGUGCAGCAUACAAACUAAAACCUUCUCCAAGAUAUGUGGAAUAUGUAUACUCCAAAUAAUCCACGCCCAUCGAGGCUGAUAUGAUGAUAACUGAAUAGAACGUGCCACAGAGACCACAUCACCGAUAAAAACAAAGGUCCCGUCACAAGGAUUUGAUUCGAGAUUCAGAUUCACAGAAUCUUUUGACGAUAGAUUUCUUGUAAGCUGCAAGCAGUUGGGAGAAUACGGGCUUUUAUAAGAGACCUCGACCCAUGUCAUGCCAGGGAUCUGAACCGGUGUCAUGCAUGAUUCUUGCUGUCAAGAUUGGUCAAAUAGCUUCAGAUUAAUAGAUGUAUUAUCAAUAAAUAUAAAGAGAAAAUAAAAAGGUGCCAUUUACCUCUGAACAUAUACAGCUGUUUCCAUCAGUUCCAAUAAUUUGCCAUCCAUUCCCACAUUUUUUAAGCUUGAUUACAUCUUUAGCAAUCAAACAAUGUUUAUGUUCGGUUUCCUCUCUUAAAUUGCUUCCAUCUGAAAGGCUCGAAUUAAUGCAGGAGUUCUGCACAAAUGGCACGAAAUCAUCGGGACAUGAGAAGUUGUCAUUUACUUCCUGAAUAAUCUUGCUUGCCUCUAUCCAUGAGUUAGGGACACAAUACCCUUUUUCUUCCUUAAUGGCCUUAUAGCUUUGGGAGUUUUCAAGGGGAGGAGAUCCAAGAAUUAUUUGUGAAUUAGCUUUAGCCAUCAUUUUCAUCCAAUCAUCAGGAUUUGUGAUGUUUGUCCCAUCCACUGAAACAAUAACAUCGUGGAGUGACAAGUAUCCAGACAAAGGAGAGGUAUGUGGGAUCCCCAAAACCUGUACCAACACUGGUUCAGAAUAAAAGGAUUAUUAUGAUGAGAUUUACAUAAGAUAAUUGUCCAGAGACUCACUAUAGGGCCUUCCCCGUGCGUAUAGAGAGGAGAUAAGACAAGAGGAAGUAAGAACAAUGCCAGUGCGCAAACUGCACAAAACUAUAAAGCAUGGAAUUAUCAUAGCAGCAAUUCGAAAAAGUCAAUAGCAAUUACAUUAUGCAGAAUAAACUUUCAAGAAGCAAAUUGGUACAGGCAACUAGCAGCAUAAUUCUCAUUACUAAGUGAUAGCAACUACAUAUGAUUCGUUAUGUAUUUGAUCGGUAUUUCCUCGAUGUCUCCAAAUUAUUUUUGGCAUGCUGAAGCAAACGUAUAAAAAGUAAAUUUCACAUUUUCUACAUAUGAAAAAUCUUGAUUUAUCAUGUAGAAUACUGCAGUAAGAACUCAAGUCAGUUUCCUUUCCCAUUUCUAUACAAAAAUAAAUAAAACCUGAAAGAAAUAGGAACGAGUCUCUUUAAACACACCACUUGAUAAACUUACCACAGCAUUAUGCCAAACACCAGCACAAUAAAUCCGCAGGGCAGCAAAAGGAGGUAAAGUUUGUAGCUGAUCAUAGUUCAAAGCAAUCAACGCACCAGGAAACAGGAUGGCUAGGAAUAUGGCAAUGUACUCAAUUUGCAGGCCUUCACUGUUUUAUAACAUGGAAAUACAGAUAUUUAGCAGCAAAAUGGAUGGUACUAAUGAACUUUUUGUAGUUGAGAAAUCAGUGGAUGCACAUAUCCAACUUUAAUCCAUCUUGGUAACAACUAAUUCUCUCAGGAGAAAAAGAAAAGGCUUAAAAUGGCUUGAAUGCAAUGGUAAAGAUAAGCUAACAUUUUAACUAUUCUCAUCCUUGCAAAUUUCUCUAUGUUUAACUCAAAAAUUAGAGCUCAAACAGAUAAUGGCAAUAUAUUGUUUUCCCAGCCCACAACAAGAUAAUAGCACAGAAUAUGACAUCAUAUGCCCCAAAAUAUAACAACAUAUCAUAAGCAAUGUGUGUGUGUGAGAGACCUUGCAGAAGCAACAGCGUGCCCAAAUUCAUGAAAAGCGACAGAGAUAAAUGUUGAAACUAUCACAACGGCAGCAUCCGUAACUGAUAUGCUUAGGCCAGAAGCCUAUAGUACAUAAAUGGAAUACUGUUUAGGCAUUGCCCCAUUUUGAGAACCAUAAUUCUCUACUUACAAUUAAGAAAUAAGAGAUGCCGAAAAAACAAGCUCACCAAAAUGUUUUCAAGCCCAAAUGAUACACCGUGGAAAUGAAAAGCACCAGCCAAAUCCCAAAGUAGCAUCUGGAAAAUAUUAAAACACAAAACAUAUACAGAAUGAGACUGAGCCAGAAAAACUCCACACUGUGGAACUAAGUAAAUGGAAAAAGGUAACACUGCUAGUUUGCUAAAAAUACUGCUAAGCACUAAUAUUUAUACAUAUUACUGCUCACGAUAUUAUGCAAGGAGCUAUAGUAAUAUUUUACUUAAGUUGCAAACCAAGCUAGAUGUACAAAUCUAAAACUUCAAAUUGACAGCUAUAUUAGGUGUCAUUUGAAAGAGAUUAAUACUCCACAACACUUUCAGGCUAUGUUGGAUACAUAUACUAAAAAUCACUUCGUAGUUUUGUUCCUGCCAUCAUAAAUCAGAUCUCUACAAAAAUGUCUGAUAGUUAUAAGACCUGGAUCAUAGCUGAAAUCACAAUAAACCACCAGUUGCCACUAACUCAUCAAGCAAUUUUGAUUAAAAUUCUAUGUCAUAUAAUGUUCAUUUAAAGCUGACUGAUUCAUGCGAUUCAAAUUAAAUAUGACAACUACUGCAUUUAAAAAGAAAUAAUUUGCUAACCUCACUAGUGAAGGGUGUACAUAUUACAUGAAAGUUGCAUAAUUAAAAGAAGUUGGAUGUUAUUCACUAACCAUUGAAACUCCAAUUAAGGCAGCAAGAACAAAGAAGACCCCGAGAGAAAACCACACUUUUAGAUAGCUGUAGCGAAUUAAAAAAGAAGUCAUUCUUAUCCCAGAAAACUUUCAACAUGUGAAAUAUCUGACAACUAUGAUGUGAACAUACGUGAACUCAAAAGAAGAUAAACUAGAGAAUAACUUCUAAAUGCAUGCAGCUGGUAGUGCUCAACUGGUUAGCUCAACAAAAUGAACAAAUAAGCUUUAUAAGAUCUGUAGCAUCAAUAUAAUGAGAAUGACUAUCAAGCAUCAUUAAAACAUAAGCUAAGCCUAAAGGAUAAGAUUUUAAAUAUCAAAAUAUACGUCAUUAUACAAAAUCUCUAGUAUCAAAAUUGGAUGCAAAAUAAUAAUUUGCAAAUCAGCAACAUCAUUUACCAUCAGCAGGCUGAAGAAGUUGCUGAUUCAUAAAAAGUUCACAAGACAUCCUCUGAUAAUCGGUAAUCGCAGAUUUAGGAGUUUAAAUCAUCUUUAUGCCACCCCAAGGUAGGGUGGGGCUUGAUGGAAGGGAUGAAAAUAACAUGAUCUCCUCAUAGAUCUUCAACAAGCAUGCAGAUCAUAAAAUGAAAGUAAAAAAUCCUCCAAAAUUACCGUGCAUAUCGAUAUCCGACAUAGAACAGAGAGUUGUUCAAGGCGUAAAUUUUGAAGUCGCAAUACCUGAAAGUAAUGAAAUAUGACCAAUAAGCCAAAUUACAGCGCAACGAAGAUCGCAUUACACACGGAAGAGUAAGUUAAGUCCUAUUCUUCUAUUCUUCACAUUCGAAAGAUGGAGAUUCCACUCAUUUUCAACACGCUAAUCUUAUAAUUUUCUCAUCUCAUUGGGCAACAUAAGAAUUUUUUAUAAUUAAUUAUAAAAGAUGUUUCAUCCUGAUCAAACUGGGACAUCUUUAUCUACUCAAAAGUAGAAGCCGAUUUUGGCAAACAAAAAGUUCAGAGCUUGCUUUGGUGAGAAGCCGAAUUAACUUCAGAAGCAAGCCAAAGUUGUUAAGGGCUUCUUCUAUCCGCUCCACUCAGACGAGCACUUGCUGCGAAUCACCCAAAUACUUAACAAGCAAGUAAUUUUCCAAGGAGAGUGAUAGAAUUGGAGACAAAGGGAGGAAUAGGAGAGGGGUGGAGAGAUUUACCAACAUGAAAUGGAAUUGACGUGGUGGUGAAUCGCGCUUGAGGGUAAAAGGGAUUGUGCUCGUCCUCGCCGCCUCGUGCGCCCCCGCGCCAUUAACGAAGAGUUUAGAGAGAGAGAGAGAGAGAGAGAGAGGGUUUUGGGUGGGAGAAGGGUUCGGGGGAGAGGAGAGGAAGACGCAGUUGGAUUAAAAGAGGCUUAACUUGAGGUCGAGAAUUUCGCUUCAAAGUCGGCGGCGAGACAUGAAUAAAUACUAAGUCGGCGGCGAAAUAGUGAGGUUGCCGAAUUUUACAUCGGACCGUGCAAAUUAAGGCGGUACAAAAAGCAGUCGGCGGCCAAGCGCAAAAUGUUGCCGACUUCUGAUUCGGUAGAGCGUCGCUCAUGAAAAAAAGUCGGCGCCGAGAAUAACCUGUAGUGCCGAAUUCACGGUUUGCAGUCGGCGGCGACGUGGCUGUAACAUCCGACUUUUUUAUUUUUAUUGCGAGCUUUUACUUUUAUCGCUUUUUUAUAUAUUAAAAUACAAAAACAGAUUUUUUUUCAUGUUAUGAAAUUUUAUAAUAAAAUUAUACAAAGUACAUGCAAUCAAAGCUAUUAGAUAAUUAAAAACUUUAACGAAAAAGAGGGGUGUCUCUGAAAAAUCUGACAAAGUUUAGGGACUCAAAUUGCCUAAACAAAAAAGUUGAGGCUCAACAUACAAAUUAGCUAACCUUCAGGGGCUCUUCGUACACUUUUUCCCAAAAAAACAAAAGCAAAAAGGAGAAGGGGAAAAAAAAAAAAAAUCAAACCUCCCUCUUUCUCCGACGAUUUUCUCUCUCUCUCUCUCUCUCUCUCUCUCUGCAUCGCCUCGAUUCUUCGGAGUUGGAGACGCCGCGAUGAUUCUGCUUCAGUCGCCAUCGAGGUUUUUGCUUCAGAUCUUACAAGAUCGCGUGCUUAGGUUACUCUUUCUUUCCCUUUCCCCCUGGUUCUCAUCUUUUUUCUCAGUUUGAUUCCUCAUUAUGCGUUUUCUCCUCACUUUUCUCCUUCGAAUCUCGCGUCGAUCGCUCUCUACUGAAAUUUCGCAAGAGAUUGGUUUCGCUAGCUCUCUAAUGGUGGUUUCGUUGCUCUAAUUGAUCGAAAUUUUGAAAAAAGUGGGGGAGAUUUGGAGCUUUUCGCGCUCUAGGGUUAUAGAUUCAAUUGUCUACUUGAUGUUGUAUGAAAUUUUGGCGAAAAUGUAGUGACUAUAGUUCCGUUUGGAAAUAACAGCCCACCUCAACUUAAUAGUUUUUUUAGUUAUUCUAUUUAGUUGAAUUGAGGAUUUUGCUAAAUUUAAUUGCCCUAUUAGCUAUUAGUCGUUAAUUAUUACAGCAUUUUAGUGAUUCUAAUUAUUAAAUCUGAUGGAAUCAUCAUUGGGUUUAGUAAAACUUCUAACUUAUUAGGCUAAAUUACUCAAAUAAAAAAAAUAAAUAAAAGUCAAGGGAGAAAAAUAAAGUUCAGGCCAUUUCAAAAUGGCCUAUAGUUGAGGCUGUUUCCUUACAUGUUAACCUAAACAGUUAGUAUAGUGGCCGAAUUUGUGAUAUCUAAUCAUUUGGUUGUUUACAGUCCUGACAAGGGAGUGGACAUCGAUUGCCAAACGGUGGAAUUUGAUGAUGUUCGCUAUCACAUUCAGGUCAUGUUCUUUUUUGGCCCUCAAAGAAUUACUUAAUUCUUAUUAUUGAAGAUGGAUAAUAGGGUUCCAUGUUCUUGUACCUGAUAUAAAGGUUUGGAAUUGGAUUACAGUUCUCUACGAGGAAUCCAAAGGUGAUGGUGUUGUCGGUUGCAUUGCCGGUCCCACCUCCAGAGGCUGUACUCUAUGACGGGCUUCCUUUCGGUGCAAUAGAGGCCAUUAAGAUGGCAUAUGGGCAGGCCGUGCAAAUUCUCGACCCUCCCAAGGAUGGAUUUGAUCUCACUAUGAAGAUCAAUCUAAAGAAGCUUCCGUCAGAUGAAGGUUCUACGAGUUUCCUUUACAAGGUCAUUAUGAUCUUGUUACAAUGUUACCGCAAAAUAAUGGCUGAUAGCACUGAAUGAGUUUAGUUGAUUAAGUUUGGUAGUUAUGUUAUUCAUAGGUAAUGUCUAUCUAUGGUAGCAAGUUUGGUAAGAGGUCAAACUUUUCUUAUUUUAAUUAGUUAGUGAACUUACAGUAAUGUCCGUUAAGUAGUUUGCAUUUGCCUAGUGAAUGUUACCAUACUAUUACAUACAGCAUUUUGUGGUAAAUUGGGCCAUUCUUUACUAAAGGUAUCUUUUUUUCAAUCUAGUAAUUGUGAAUUGUUAACAGGGUAAUGUACUGAACGAGAGAAGGGUGACGGAAAUGAAAUGGUGUUGUCAGUGCUUGUUCACCGUUGAAAUAUUGUAUGCUUGGUCAAAUAUAAUUAGUCGUUAGUUGGAGUUGUAAUUAUAUUUAAGUAGUUUAGGUUUUAGGGUCUUUAAGUGAUUUCUUCAUCAAGUUUUUAUGGUGAGUUGUCGUCACAUCCUAUUUUAUAGCCUAUCGGGUGCAUCAAAUGCCUUUGCUGACUGUUUAUACAUAUCUGCUUCUUUAAAAUGUAUGUUUGCUUGACUAAAUUUCUAGUUCUUCAUAGUUCUUUUGACUGAUGAUCUCAGUCUUGUCCAUGAGACGUUUUUUUUUUUUUUUUUUUUUUAAAAGCAUUGUUUCCUUUAUUGUGUUCCAGAACAAAGAAAUGCUCUUCUGGUGAAAAUUGCGUCAGUCAGAGAAGUUGUGCUAGGUGCCCCCUUAAAAGUGCUCCUGAAAUAUCUCGCAACGAAAACAGUGGCUCCUGAUGUGGAUCAGCUUGUUGCUCUUGUUCAUCGGCCUAAUGAAUCCUUUUUUCUUGUUCCUCAGGUAUAGAUGCCCAUACUUGCCAACUGUUUAAUUUCUUUGAAUUUAACAUUUAGCUACAUCCACAGAGUUUAAGGAGGAUUACGGCCAAAAAGAUAUAUGUUUGUUAGACUGGAUGUGUUUUUCCUGCUAACUUUAUUUGGUAAAUAAUGUACCUUUCUGAAUCCUUCAACUGUAUCUGUUUCUAGACUGUUCUGCAUGGAGUCAUAGGUCUUAGCGGUAUUACACUGCAUACUUUUUGCCAUUUCUUUGAUGCACCAAGUUUAUAUAUUUUAGACUAAAUACUUCUAUGUUGAAAUUGCUUGAUUAGAGUUCACUAAAUUCAAUUUGGUCUGUGUCCUACAUAAGAAGCAUAGGUAAAAAUCCAGGGGAAUAAUUUAUUGGACUCUUUGUUGCAGGCAGAUAAAGUCACUGUUGUUUACCCAAUGAGAUUCCAGGAUUCAACUGAUAUUGUUUUAGCUACUUCCUUUUUACAGGUAAAUGGACCUCUUGGUUUAAGCUCCUCUGCAUGUAGUAAAUGUUAGAACAUCUAUACAUAAUUUCUUUUAUAUGCUUGAAAUAACAGCUUGGUUUGCCGCAAUGAUUCCAUUCGAGGGUAAUGAACAGUAGUUUCUUAUGAGCUUUGGUAGUUUCCAUACACAAAGUUCUCUGCCUUCAUAAUAUACAGAAUGCUUUCAUUAUAAAAUAUAAAGUAACUUCCAGCUAAUAAAGCCAUACCUUAAAUAAAUAAGCCUAUUCUUAACAAUUUACAGUUGCCUUAUGAGUUCCUAUGAGCAGUCGCAUAGAUUUUGUCUGUCGUGUAUGUAAACCUUAUGAUUUUACUACUUUUUUUUUUCCUUUCUUUUUUAACCUUCCCAAACUGGAAUUGGGUGAGCUUCAGCAAUGCCACCCUUUGCGUUUUACUUUUUACUGUUUGCUUAUAAGAGAAAUCGAUGUUCAGGAAUUUGUGGAGGCAAGGCGAACAGCUGCACUAAAUAACGCCCCUUCUUGUAUGUGGUCAGCGGCCCCUCCUCUUGAGUUAACGGGAGCUCCUCCUGAAACACUAACUGCAAAUGCUGGAUUUGUUACUUUUGGUCAGGACAAGAUUAAAUUCAAUUUUCUUUUGCGCCUGUGCAUUCAUAUUUCUAAUAUGCACUUAUCAAUAUAUGCAGUGGUUUUCCCCCGCCAUGUUGAAGGCAAAAAACUGGACAAAACUGUUUGGAGUUUAUUGACCUUUCAUGCCUAUGUCAGUUAUCAUGUAAAGGUAGGAGGCUUUCUUAUUUUAAUCACAACGUGAUCUUCUUUCAACUAUGCUGUUGAUGAACUUUGCAUGGUGUGUUCCUUUUCUUUAGCUGUCGAUUUACUAAUGUAGCCAAUAAUGACUUGAAAUUUCAAUAUCUUGGAUUCAAAUCACUGGAAAGAAAAAAGAGAAAGAUGAUUUCCAACUGGAACAUCUGAAUUAUUGAGAUACCCUGGGAAAGUCUUGCAAUUUAUGGGUUGGAAAUUUAUAGAUUUGACUUAACUUCGUUUAUCGUGAUCCAUGUUGUUCAUGAGUUUGCAGUGUCCUCCUAUUUUUCUAGGCUUUAACUUUUUUAUCAGUGCAUGUUUCCAACAAACAGACUUUGUUAGCAUGAGGUUGCGUGGCUUUACCUCUCUUAUCUGAAUUUUGUUGUCUUCUUAUGAGCUCUUAUUGUUGUUAAAAGGGGAGCAAAUAGUUAAUUGCUAUUUGUCUGAAUGACAGUGCUCCGAAGGAUUCAUGCAUACCAGAAUGAGGCGCCGUGUGGAGUCAUUGAUUCAGGUAAGUGCUAUUCUCUUUUUGCUGGUGCUGGGUUUAUUUUAUCAAUAGAGUAAUAAGUCCAAGAACUUCAACUGUUCCUUAGAUACUUUUAAAGUACUGCUGCUGUAAGCCCUCAUGUGAGAUGAGAAUAAUCGAGAUUGAGUGUCAGAUGCCAAUGCCAAAACCAACAUUUUAUUGGUUUUUUUUUUUGUCGGGUUGCUAUUAUUCUUUUAAGUAUCAUAAGAUCUCCCUGCUUUGCUAUAAUUAUGUGGCUCACUGACAGUAUUACAAAAAUAUCUCCUUUGCUAUAUGUGAACUAGAAAUUAACAAUUUGUACUUUUUAUGAAAAAAAAAAAAACUGUUAAUCACUUUCUAUAAGAACAUAUCUUAUUCUAUUACCUUGUAUCUAGGCUUUGGAUCGGGCAAAACCAGAUGCGGAGAAGAAGAAGUUCGUGCAAGGGAAGUCUUUUAAGAAACUGGUUUGUGGCAUGACCUAAAACAUUAACAAUCAUUUUUUCCUCCAAACUGUUUGUUAUCAGGCACUAAUCCUAUAAUUUCUGCCUCCAGAGUUUGAAAGAAACAAGCUACACUUGAAAUUACUGGAAUCUGAAUCCCAGAAUUCUGUUCCAAAUGACCACGGCAGGACAUGAGGCCGAACUUGCAUCGGCAUUGGACUGCAAUCUUCAGUAUGUUCUUCCGGAUUAUGUUUAAGAAUGACUCAACUGGUCUAGUCUUUCAAACGAUAUAGCAAAACGGUACUCGAAUAUCACCAGGCCUCUCUCCAGCGGGGGGGCAUAUUUUUUCUGCAAAUUAGUGGGCUAGUUGAAUCAUUACAUUUGAGCACUGUCAACUCGUUCUGACAUACCGCCUGUACAAAUCGGUCUUUGGCUUGUGAUCAGGGCUUGCGAGUUUAUCUUUCUCGCUGGAGUGUUGUUAGUUAAACUAUUUUCACUCUGUUAAUUGAUGCACACUUUCAUUAACUCGCCUUAUGUGGAAUUAAGUGAACCUUUUCUCAGUGCUAGCAAUCAUGCCUAUUCCUAUUCUUGACCUUAUUUGGGGUUUUCCCUUUCUUUUCUUUUUUUAUGAGAAAUAUUUAUUUCAUUUAGAAAAUAAACUUAGCUGAAAAUGUGAAUCAAUUAGGAUUCGAACUUGGAUCUCGAGUACCAACCACAAAGUUUUUUGUCACUUGCUCUAGGGACGGUCGAUAGGUUUUCCUUUUCUUAGUGCGAGCAUCCCCGUACGAAGCAGGGUGGGUUUUCCUUUUCUUAGUGCGAGCAUCUCCGUAGGAAGCAGGAUAUUAAAUCAACUGUUCUUAGCAAUGAUAGCAUAAAGAAUGGAGGAUACCAUGCAAAAUUUUUGAUAGAAGAGCAGGAAAUAAAGUUGGGCUUUUGCUCAACAAUUUUCCAUUAAAAUUAGAGAAAUAGCAGUAUUCGUGACGAGAUGGUCGUCCGAACUGAAAACAAGUCUCGGUAAAGUUCUCAACAAAAUAUAUUAGAGCACGAAAACCUCUCCUCGCAUAAAUAGUUCAGUUCCAUGUUCCAAUUAAUGAGGACGAGAAGUCUAUCUUCUUUAUUCCAAACUUUUCUCAUCAGCAACACAAUCCAUUUUCCGCUAACCAUGAUCGCUGGUGAUUUUUCGGACAUAAAAGCAACCUGAGUAAGGCAAGGCAAAAAAUAAAUCACGAUCUGAAACAUUGAUACGUAUUUUUAAAAAAAGAAAGAAAAAGGUUCGGUUAGAAACAUCUUAAUCUUGUUGGAAAAAGGUUUCCAUACUUUCAUUUUCCCGAGAGUCUCGCUCUCAACUCAUCAGCUACAGUGUCGAUGAACUCCUCAGUAUUCAGAUAAUGGCUUCUGGUGACGCUGAAAAGAGAGGAAAAGAAAGAAAGAAAACAGGAGAGUGAGAAUGCCAGAUCAUCUACACUAGUAACAUGGGUAAGAAAAAAAAAACUAACGAAAUAAGUAAUACCUGGAUCCAUGAACGAGAAGAGCGAGAUCCUUGGUCAUUUUCCCAGACUCGACAGCCCCGACGCAUGCAGCUUCGAGCUUUUCAGUGAAAUCAAGUAGUCUAGCAUUGUUAUCUAGCUUUGCCCUGUUAACACACCAAAAAUUUCCAGGAAGCAAAAACAGAAAGGACUUUAGAUAGGCAUCUUUCAUACAUAAAAGAAAGUGAAAAACUAGAAAGAAAAUACCUGUGUGCAAGCCCCCUUGACCAGGCAAAGAUUGACGCAAUGCUAUUAGUACUAGUUUCGCCUCCUUUUUGGUGAACUCGAUAAUGACGGGUUACUGUGCCGUGAGCAGCUUCGGCUUCAAUGGUUUUACCAUCAGGGCACACCUACAACAGGAAGCAGAGCACAAACAUCAAUCAAUACUUCAAGAAGAAUUUGUUAUAUAUAGUAACUUCAUGAAAAGGCGGUAAAGGAGGAAAAACAAUUCCUAAAUAUUUAACAACAUGUGGUGCAGGUUAGGCAAAAUUUUUCAAAAGGUCAAAUAUAACACCGCAUACUUAACCCACAGUUACACUAGCUAUUCAGCAACAAAUAAGGACAAAAAUAAUCUUAAAAAAUCAUGCAUUGAUAUGAGGUAUAUAAUCAACAUUUUAUAGUAAAAGUACGACCCUUUUACUAGUCGUUGAUCAGUGGUCACCACAAAAGAAUAAAUCUAUUUACAGUCAAUAGUUUGCCGAGCAGAAAGAAGUCUAAGCUAGAGAUUAUAUACAUACCAGGACAGAUGUCAUCAAACCCAAAGAACCAAAACCUGCACAUAAAAUAAUGUUAUCCGGUGAUUAGAACAUACAAAAUUUUGGGACAAGAGCUGGCAACUCAUUAAACUAGAUUGAUACGUUAAUCAAAAAUUGCAUAAUUCACACAUUGACAAGAGUUACUUCAAGAAAAGCAGUGUCAAUCAAACCUUGAGCUAAGAAAUCGCUCUGCACAUCUCCAUCAUAGUUCUUGCAAGCCCAUACAUAACCACCUUCACUCUUAAGUGCAUAGGCAACCAUGUCAUCAAUAAGACGGUGCUCGUACCUAUCAGUUACCAACUCCUAUGAGAUAAAAAAGGUAAUGCUUUGGACUAAGCAAGAUGUAAAGAGCAGUUGGGAAAUACAUACCAUAUUCCUGCAGCUUCAAACCUGGACUUCCACUCCUUCUCGUAAACCUCCUGGAAUAUGUCCUUAAAUCUAGAGGAUAGAUAAAGAUGAGUAAGAUAGGAAAUAAAAAAUAAUGUGAGAAAAAAAAAAUAAAGUUCUCAUCUAUUCAUAUAUGAACUCCAGAAAAAUCUAAAAUAUUCAAUGUACCUCUGCAGUUUCUCAAAAAAAAUAAAAAAGAAAAAAAGAAAAAAAAUAAUAAAGAAACCCUUAAGCUGUGGGAGUCAUCCAAUUCAUCGACGAAGUACGUUUUGUAUUAAGAAAAAAGGAGCACUUUCGUAAGCACACGGGUGAAAAUGCAAAUGAAGUUACGGAGGUUCAGAAUUCUUGCAGAGAUACACAUAAAUAGAUAAUUUUGUAGAUGUAUACAUGUAAGAUAUCCUAGUGUUACUCGAAGUCGUGUAUAAAUUUUUUUUUUUUAAAAAAAAGUUGCUUCAUACCUUCCAUCGUACUUCUUCAAAAUUGUAUUUUUGGUGCUCAGAUACAGUGGCCACUUCUUCUGGUAAGCAGUGGCCAUUGAAGCCUCCGCAAAGGCAUGGAUGGACUGUACACGAUCAUGUUACAAAGAGUAACAAUGGCAAAUAAAGGUGAUGAUUUUAUUAAUUGCAAUAUAACGACAGGUUCUUUUACCUCAUCAGUAUUGUACAUAGAUAUGGCAACCCCUCCAACACCCGUGAAGUUAAAGACCUCUAGCUCGACAUGCUCUUCAUGUCCCUCUGAUAUGAAACAUAAAAUAUAAUCUCAAACUAAAGUUUAUGUUUUGUGUAACAUAAAAAGCAAAAGAACUAUUAAUAAGCCUACCGAAUACUAAUUUAAGCUUGCCAGGCCCUUUAAUAACUGUAUCAGUUGCUCGAUACUGAUCACCGAAAGCAUGCCUUCCAAUGCAUAUGGGUUUAGUCCAUCCUGAAAGCACCAAUCUUUACAUUAGAUGGUAAAAUCACAGCAUUUCAAAACAGUUUGAAAAACUGAAGUCCUUCAAUACCUGGAACAAGCCUUGGGAUGUUUUUACAGAUAAUUGGCUCUCUAAAUACUGUGCCUGAAGCGGAGGGAAAAAAGGAUUAAUGGGAAACAAUAUUAGCAAAGACAAAGGUGAGGACAAUAUUGCCAUCUGUCAAAUUGCCUAACCAUUAAGGAUGUUCCUGAUUGUCCCAUUUGGGCUUUUCCACAUGGACUUCAAGCCAAAUUCCUUAACGCGAGCUUCAUCUGUCGUUAUAUAAAAGUAAAAAAAUGAAAUUAAAAUGUCUCAAAAAUGUCUAUCAUAGUCAAACAUGUGGCUGGAUAAUAACAUCUUAUUUCCAAGUAAGCCAAUCUUAUUUCCAAGUAAGCCAACUUUACCUGGAGUAAUUGUUGCACAUUUGAUUGCGACAUUAUACCUGUGACAAGAUAAUUGCCAAAAAUUAAACGGGGAGACAAGGUAAUUUAAGUUGACAAUAAAAAUAUGAAUAUUACCAAUCUCAAAGUAAAACGCCUAAGGAAUAUUUCAGGUAAUAAAAACUCAACAAAAAGCAAAUUGGCAAACAAUGGCUCCAAAAGUAAAAAGGAAUAACUCUAAUUGUUCAGGUGAAGAGCAUAUACAAAUCAAAUCCAUAAAAACUACCAGUCAACACCAAACAAGCUGUGCUUCACAAAAGUACAAGAAAAGAAUAGGCGAUGAAUCCACAAGAAAGAAUAACACCAAACAAAUGGGAUCAAAGAUGGAGGGUAUAAUUAAAAGGAACAACUUAACUGAAAAGUAUCACUCAAGAUUUAUUACUCAAGAUUUAAAAGAUGACUUGACUACGAAAAAGAUACAAAAGAUGAUUCUUACUUAAGAGUAGCCUCCGCACUUUCUAUUGUAACUUUAUCAUCUGUAGCAUCACGAUUGGGAAGGCCCAAGUCAUAAUAUUUAAUGUCCAAGUCCAAGAAUGGGAAAAUAAGCUGCAUGAUCCGCCAAACCAUUAGUUUUGUAAGUUGUCAUGAAUAGAUUUUAAAGAAUAGAAAUCGACAAAAGAAAAUAUAAAAAAAAAUGAUCCAGCAUGUUGGAUGAAGGAGAAGUAAUCAAUCACCUUUUCCUUAAUAGAUUUCCAGAAGACUCGGGUCAUUUCAUCCCCUGUCCACCAAAAUAAGAUAGAGUAAAUUAAAAUGUUUACCGUGUAAAACCUCAAAUUUUUAUCUUAAAAAAAUAGACAAGACUCAUGAGCAUCACAAAUCUCAUAAAAACCAUAUUGCAGAAGCAACUACCAGCAAAUAUGACUAGAUAAGAUGAUACGGAGAUUGUUACUACGUUAAGUUGAGGUAAGAAAAGUUUGAAAUGUUAUAUCCAAGCAUGCUAUUCUACAUCUCAACAUACAGACAUCACCAUUGCAAAGUUAAGAUUAAGGGUCCAGGAGAUUCACUGUAUCGCAUAAAUAACAAUCAGGAGAGCAAUUCCACGAAAAGCAGAAUACUAUGCUGCCCCAGUGAAAAUCCAUUGGCAACAAGAGUAAUUAUACGCCGAACAGCUAAAAAAGAGUAACCAGGCACUGGUUUCCUCUCGUGCAUCUAACCAGUAGUAAAACAAUUAAAAUAAUUUAUUAUUCGGUACUUGAAGGAAUAGUAAGGAAUAGUAUCUUAUAGACCACAAGAAGAAUCACAAAAAAAAAAAAAAAGAAAAGAAAAGAAAAGGAGAACUAUAACAGCUAACGGACACGUAAUAAACAAAAUAUGCACUCAAACGGAUGUUUCACAAAAUAGAUCUCCGAACUUAAACACAUACCCAAGUAUACAGUAGGAACGAGAUGCAUCCCAUAUAACUAAUACAAAACCCUUACACUUAAAAAUAUAUCGACACCCACUAAAUCACUGGGCGUGCACUUUUCGACUAUUUAUGUUUAUCUCCACCUUAUUUUACUGCAAUUACUCUCUAAAAUUUCAAAUUAACCCUAAAAACGAAUCAGAUCCAAAAUUAGAACAAAGAUCAUAUGGAUAGCUCGGAAACUCUGCAAUCCAAAAUACUAACACUAACAUGAAUCGAUCCAUAUUUCAUCUAAAACAAGGUUAAAACCGAAGAUUAUAAAUGCCCUAAAACUAAACAUAAUCAAAAUCGCUACACCUCAAAAGUAUCAACCAACAAAAAAAGAGAUCCAUAGGCGAUGAUGAUCAAAUCCGCUAGCAUAACAUCGAAUCGAGUGAUCUAAAUAUGACAAGAUAAAAAAAUAGCAGAGAUCGAGGGGGGAGAGGGGUAAGGGUCUCUAACCGUCCAUCUCCACGAUCGGGUUCUCCACCUUGAUCUUCUCGAACGCCAUGGUCGACGAUGGGGAAGAGGAGAGAGAGAGAGAGAGAGAGAGAAAUGGAGGCGACGAGGAAAAAUGCGAGAUCGGAGGAGAGCAAGGAGCGUGAGCAAUGGACGAAAAGAAUUUAUAUAUACACAAGUCCGACCACCGCAUAGAAAAUUUUGUGCGACGCGACAUUUUCCCUGUAGCUUUUUUACAAGUACGUGGCAGAAAAUGAUUGGUGAUCGCCUGUCCAUUUUUCUCAUUGGUUAGCUAGAAUACGCCACCGCUAUGGCCGUAUGCGACUGAUUUGAAAAGCUCGCAUGAGCGAAUGUCACAGUGCAUGGACCCGGUCUGUAGACCGGGUGUAACUCAAACCCAUAAGCCUCAAAGUUUAAAAAUAUUGCAGGUAAAUAUUAUGCUCAGUAAAACCCCUCAAAAUGCAUCAAAACUUAAUCCAAACACAAAAAUUUUGUAGGCAAGAUAAAAACUUCCAUUGUUUAAUUCUAAACAAUCCGUAGGCCCGAUCCUAAGAAUUUUAUAAAAUUAGUCAUUUAUUUCUAAAAAAAAUGGAGCCCACUAAUCUCAUUUUUAAAUGAGCAUGCGAGAAAUUAACCCCCGAACUUUUGAUAGGCAAUCCAAGAUUUCUUUUGAAAAUUGGAGUACUCUCUUUAGAAAAAUAUAAAAUGAAGACAACUUUUUUUCUUUAAAGUCAUCAUGAACAGAUUUUAGGGUCUUUUUCUCUGAUGUUUCGGAGAGCCUGGUCUACAGACUGUGGUCCAUGCAAAGUUUUUCUACAGCAUUAAGUGGGGCCACGUGACCCAAUUUUUUUUUCCUAUGGUGCAUACUACUUGGGACAAAAAUUCUAUGGACAGCGUGCCCAAACUAAUUAGUUUGGGCACACUGCCGGAUGGGCGCCGCGUGNGCAUGGCGCAGGUGCCACGCGGCGCCCAUCCACCACUGCUCUCCCAGUAAUGGGGAGAGCAGUGGAACUUUCUGGGUGCACCUGGUGCAUCUAUACCAGGUGCACCAUAAUUAUAAUUUUAAAUUUUUAGUUUUUAAAAUUAUAAUUUUAUGUAAUAAUUUAUUUAUUUUUUUAGGAGUUAUCAUUGUAGAAAUUAAAAAUUUUAAUUUUAUAAAUCGAUAAUCAUGAAUUAUAGACCAUAUAAAUUUUAAAUCAUAACAUAUAUGCUAACAUAUUAAGUUAGAAUUUUAAAAAAUUUAAAAAAUAACAAUUAUGGUGCACCUGGUAUAGAUGCACCAGGUGCACCCAGAAAGUUCCACUGCUCUCCCCAUUAUUGGGAGAGCAGUGGUGGACAUCCGGCAGCGUGCCGCAUGCUGCCCAUAGAAUUUUUGUCCUACUGCUUGUAGAUUUCAAACUCAAUAGUGUCACGGUGUUGGAUAAAAAUAAAAUUAUUAUUAAAUAUACAAGAAAAUUCUAUUCUAAUAAUAAUAACUGAGUUUAAACAAUUUAGGCCGAUGAUUUGAACCCAACAAGUUAUUAUUAUUAACGGGUCGAAUCGUUAUAUUUAGUAUCGAAACCGAUUCACUAGCCGGAAGUAUGAGAUGAGUCUUCACUGAGCUAGAAUCGCCGUAAUAAGUUUAGCAAGACAAGUCCCACAUUGCUUGAUGAUUUUGACUCUACUUUAGUAAUAAUAACUGAAUUUAAGUAAUUUGGGUUGAUUAUUAUUGCUAAUGGGCUGAUUAUUAUUACUAGCGGGUCGAAUCGCUAUACGAGAUAUAUCGUGCUCACUCAUGUUUAAUUAGUAAUUCAAUCGAAACUAUUGAAUUGGUGAGGUGUACACAUUUGUUUAAUAUCUCUCUUCUUCUAUUCAUUUAUUUGAGGCCUCUAAAGUUGAAACAAGCCCCGGUUACUGUUGAAUUUACCUUGUUGCCAGUGCAUAAAAGCGUUACCUUUGUAGAGCCCAAUAUCCCUGCUGCAACGGUUUCAGAUAUUUGAUCCUUGAUGAUAUUUACAAAGUUGGUGUAACGUCGCAAUCAGGCCAAAAAACAAAAGAGUCAACGAAACGGAGUGCUUCAAAGUGUCAGCGAUUACGUAAGCUUUGUUCACGAAAAAUUGCCAUAAUAAAACUGCAAAUUUUGAAAAUUAUUAUUGUACUUAUUUAUAAUUUAUAAUUUACAAUUUUGUAGUUGGAAAUUUUGAAUGCAGUGCUUUGCUUUUUACGAUUUUUAUUGCAUUUUGGGAAAAAACAUAUAAAGAUGAUCUGAACUUUUGCAGUUUUGUAAACAAACUUAAAUUUUUAUUUCAAUUAUUAAUUUUUGUGGUUUAUUAAAUAGCUUAAUAGGUUUUAUUAGGUUAGCGAAGUUACUAAUUAAAUAGUGUUAAAUAUAAAAUUAUAUAAACAUUAUUUUCUAAUAACUUAAGCUUUUAGUGCAUAAUGAUUGUUAUACAUGGUAUCCUAGGUUGUUUCACAAAUUAUUAUUUUAAUCGUAUACUAAAUAAAAUUUGUUAUUUUUAUAACAAUUAAGGAUCGAAAUUAAAAGCCAUAGUGAAUUUAUUUUCUAUUUUUAUUAUUUUUCAUAUCUUAGAAUAAGUAAAAAUAAAAUUUUUUAUGUUUUAAAGUUGUACAAAUUUACAUGACGCAAAACUAACUACAAAACAACUACAUAAUAAAUAACUUUAAUUCAGGAGAGCCCGUUGAGCCAUUUAAUAAAUAUUGAAUCCGUUUUAGCAAAAGUGCUAAAGUUUAGGUAGUUUUUCCGCAUUUUUUAUUUUUUGUUUUCUAUUUACAGAUUAUAAAAUUUACGCUUUUACUGUAAUUAANGGGGGGGUUCUGUAAAUAAUAAAGGGUGGAGGGGUGUUUUCUUAAUUGCUAAUUAGUAAUUACUCCGGGAUUGAACCGUAGCUGAGCUAACUCACCGAACUCACCGCACUAGUACCACUUUAUUAUUAGAUCCAAUAUUUCAAUAAAUAUAAAAAAGGAAAUGCAACUUUACAAAGACUCCAAUUGGAUCUUUAAUUUAAUUUUCAAUCGACAUCUUCUACUGACUUUUAUUUUUUUAAAAAAAUAUUAUUAUAAUUUAAUUAAAGUUUUAUUAAAUUUGAUAAUUUUAUUAGCUACGAGGUGUCAACUGUUCUAGAUUUAUUAUUGAUCGAUUUAAUAAGACAUUUUAUUCAAAUAAACAAAAUUUACUCAAAAGAAUAGCUUAAAAUUACACAGGUGACCAUUGAAAAGGGUCAUUUCAAAAUAGUCGUAUAAUUUGAGGGGCUUCGUACAUGUUUUCACCGGAACUAAAUGGUGUAACGGAAGAACCAACAUCACAUGGUGGGGUUCGGUCCACCCACCAAUAUUCAUUAAUUCCACCGCACCUGACACCAUCGUCGUAUGCUUUUAAUUUUUCUAUUAUUAUUAUUAUUAUUAUCAUUAUUUGUUGAAUAUAAAAUUAUAUAAACAUUAUUCUUUAACAGUUUAAGCUUUUAGAGUACAACGGUUGUUUCACAUGAUAUGAGCAGAAGGUCCUGAGUUCAAGUCACGCCAGAUUCCUAAUAUAUUAAUUUCCUCAUUGGCAGACUAAAAAAGUCUCGAGCUCAGAUGUGUGAGGGCGAACGAUUGUUUAUAUAAUUUUAUAUUUAAUAUUAUUAUAAUUAUUAUUAUAUCUUAUCUAAUAAUUGGGAGCAUCUAAGUGCUGCAAAGUGUCCAUGUAAUAAAAAAAUAAUUUUAUUUUAAUUAUAUUUUAUUAAACUUCGUCACACGAAGCAAAAUCAGCAUGAAAGCAUUUGAUAUAUGACACAAAUUCAAUUCAUAAAUUAGACAUAACUAGCAUAAGAUAUGAACAACUUCACUAUUAAACACAAUUAUUAAAAGGCUCCGACCUAACCUAAAAAAAAGUUAAGUUGUUUGAUGGGAAUAUCCUUGGCAUGAUAAACAAGUCAAAGUUCUAUAUCAAAAAGUCAUUCAGAAAAUCCUUGCAUGAUAUAUAUAAUAUGCUUAGUUUGGUUCGGAUAUAAGGAAGAACUAGUUAUACUCGGGAUAGGUACAAGUAUAAAUUUUCGUAGAAACAAGAAUAUUUUUUUAUUUAGAUGAAAAUGUGAGUAUAAGUUAGAACUAGAAAAACUUUGUUUGGAUGAAAAUGUGAGUAUAAGCUGGAAUAGUUGGUAGUUAUAAAUAGAAAAUAAUAAUAAUUGAAUUUAAAUUUUUGAACUCAAAAUUUUAAAUUGAAAAAUUGAACUUUUAAUUUUUAAAAUUUGAAAUUAAAUUUAAAAUUUUAAUUUUAAAUAUCUAAUUUUAAAUUUAGGACCAAAUUUAAAUUCGAAAGAUAUAAAAUAUCAAAUUUAAAAUUUAAAAACUAAAAAUAUCAUAUUUAAAAUUUAAAAUUUAAAAAUAUCAAAUUUAAAAUUUAAAUUUUAAAAUUAAAAAUUUAAUUUUUAAAAUUAUAAAUUAUAAAUUAUAAAUUAUAAAUUUUAUAAAUUUAAAUUUAAAAUAAAAAUCUCUCUCUCUCUCUCUCUCUCUCUCUUGUACCUGGGGUGGAACAAGUUGUUCCACCCCAAGGUCGGAACACAGUGGGAACACUUGUUCCCACCUUGUACCCGGUUGUACCGGAUAGAUGAUAUAUAUGGCUACAUGAAGUUAUGCUAUUUGUAUAUUCAAAAAGUAGUUGUAAAUUGUACAUUGUUCCAAUUUACAACCCAUUUAUUUCACACUUGUGUUACCAUUUUUUUAAUAUUUAAAAUUCAAAAGAAAUGUCUAAACCUUUCGAUACAAAAGCAUACAAUUUAUAUCAAACUUUUUAGUGCAUAAAUAGUUUUUCUUUUUUUUUAUAUUGCUGCUGCCUAUGUUUAGUUAUGACUUCUAAAUGAAUAACAGCGAACUGUUCGUAUGAAACUACCGUCUCCUCAAAUAUAUCAUUCAGUAAAAGUCAGGAGUCAAAACUUUUUAAUUAUUCGAGUAACUUUUUUAUUGAAUGCGGUUUUUUUUUUAAUACAUUUUUAUUUUGCACGAAUUUUAAAGCAUCACAUCAAAAGAGUAGCCCAAUAGAUCAGGAUGCCACUACUACGUUAGUACGUUGCAAUUUCGUUUGAGUCCUGCAAUAGCGGAGUUCAAUGGGGGCCCAAUAUGGCCCUUCCCGAAAACACCGGUUUAUAUGCCCAUUAUUUCCGAAUCCUAAUGUAAUGAUCUGAAUCAGUAAAAGCCCAAAAACAUUUUCAGAAAAAAAAAAUUAUGCUAAUUUUCCGAAGAAACUAAAAUUAAAUAAGAUCCCAAAGCAUUUUUGGCAUAUCUAUUACACAUCGUAGCAAUCCAAAAAUACGUUUGUUAGGACUUAGAUAUACAAAAAGCAAUCCCUUUCAUACGCCGUUUUCUUUUGUGCAGCAUCAGUUAAUAAUUCAAAUGAAAAAGACAAACACGUCUAUAUUUGCUUUGCCUUGAAUACCUAGCAAACAUUAUCGUAGUUUAGAGGCCAUUUUCUCAUUUUCUUAUUAUUGUCAUCUAGCAAAUAUUACUUUGAAGAUGAAUAACCCACCCAUUUACAUCAAAUUUUUUUUUCCCGUGUUCUAACUUCUAAGAGAGAGAGAGAGAGAGAGAAGUUCUUCUCUCCACUGUGGCAGGGAAACCUUAGACUCAUCAUAUGCAUGCAUGUGCUUCAAACCCAAAAAAUUAAGAUGGUCACUACUGGGGCAUUGUUUAUAUACAUAUGUGUGUGUGUGUGUGUUAUUCAGAUACUUGGUAUCAAUGUAACACGCAUGACUUAUUAAGCGACGAUAUUAACGUCUCAGAAAUGAAACUGGAUGCUGAGUAUUAAUUUGUAGAGGAAGUGUAACAGAAAGUGUUUCAGCAUAGUUAGCAGAAGUAUAAUUCAGAAAAAAAUAAAGAAAAAAAAAAAAAAACUGGAGUGUAGUCAACUACUUAUUCUUCAGGAGAAGAUGAAGAUGAUGCUCUAGUACUUUCUCUGUUUCCCUUCUCCAGGGUAUACCUAUCCAAGCAUUCGACAACUCCGCCACAACACGAUGCCUCUGAUGUAUCUCAUCUCAUACUUUAAUCUCCAGCCAUCCAACCAUCGUGAUACUAUAAUUUGUUGAACGAAGAAAAAUUACCACGUAACGAACUGUAUCGGAGACGGAGGUUUGAGAUGUAAUAAUAGGAUGGUACACCUGUGAUGAAAUAGAUGGCCGACGGUCGAUGAUGUGUGGAUGCACCGAGUGCAUGCGGGCAGGGACAAGACCAUUGCGAGGCUCACAGCGGCCAUAGCCCCCCUCAAGGUUUGAAAAAUUAUACAGAAAUAAAUCCCUUUAGGUUCAAAUAGGGUAUACUCCUGUUUAAUCAAAAAAAAAUUCUUUUAUGGUCAAAAAUAAAAUAUUAAAAAUUUUAGUUUAAAUCCGCCGUCUCUAGUCCCGCUUCUCCGUGGACACAUCAUCGCCAGCAAUAGAUGGCCGGAGAAUCCAACAAGCUAUUUUCCUAAACUAAAUCUUGGAUCUCCCAAAUCUUAAUUUCUGGCUUCGUCCACGAAACAUACGGAUGAACUGCGUGUGGGCAAUAAUUUCUCAGCUCAACUUCUCUAGCAUCUCCUAAGUCAGUUCCAUGCCCUCAAUUAGAUCCCAGCUGCUCCAAAAGAGUCACCCACAGUUUCACCCCUAGUUUUCUGAAUCUGGAGUUUGGUUCUCUUUAUCACCGUCCCAAGCCUCUUCAUCUGCGACUCGAAUCGAAGGCCUCAGAUCUUUGUACCGAAGAGCUUCUUUAUCGGCCGGGACUCGAAUCGAAGACCUCUGAUGCUUCUACUGAAGAAAUAUUUGCGCGGUUGCGAUCUUUUUGUCGUCGUCGUCGUCGUCGUCGUCCUCGUCGCCACUGCGGCCGACGUUGAUCGAUCGGAGACCUUCGAUCGGGGUUCCGUGGUGCAUCAAAUGAGCUACAAAUGGAGCCCGAGUUCAAACUUUUUACAGAAAACUACAAUCUAUGUAGUUCUGAUCCAUUAACAGAGCUUUUAGGCACAAAGAACACGAGAACGUCAAAUAUAUUAUAUAAUAAUUUAGAUGGCGAGGAAACAGUGAGCUUGUGCUUUAGUUGCCAUUGUGGUCCAGAGCCUAACACACAAUAACGAGCAAACAAAAUAUUACAACACCAACUUUUUCUUUUUUAUUGAAAGAAAAUUAGCAUCACCAACUAUAUAUAUAUAUAUAUAUAUAUUCAACAUCUCCAUCUUUACUAGUGCCAUGUUCAUCUCUCACGAAAUUUAUCUUUUUAAUGCAAGUAAUUAAAAUAAAUUAAGCUUCGCUUAGCCUAAGCACCCGCUGAUGCGGCCGCCGGAGUCCGUGGAGCACCGCCGGCCACCGCGGACCACCGCGGUGGAUCAAGACGACGAUUAAUUAGUAGUUAAUUUCCUUGUUAAAGUUGCUUAAGAGAUGCCCCCAAAAUUAAUUAAAGGAAGAAAACAAAAGAAAAAAUAGUGCCUCACCAUGGAUCGAGUCGAUUUCAAACUAUUGUUUUUUUAACGAGAAAAAAAGGGGAAAAAAGAAAAAACUUAUUCACCCUCGCCUUGUAACAGCCCAAAUCGACUCAUCAAACUAGGGAAAAGGAACUAAAAGUUUACUUUAUUUUUUACAACAAAGUACCAACAAAAACUAAAAAAUAACAACAUCUCCAUUGAUCAACCUAGGAUACACCAAAUAGGCUAACAAGGCAUUAUUAAACUCAAGAACCUUUUUUUUAAAAAUAAAAUAUACAUAAUAAGUAAUAAAAACGCAUCAAAUAGGAGGAUGAGAAGAGAUCAAGCAAAGUUACUAAUCGCGUCGCGCUCCGCCUCGCCCGCCGCCGACCACCGCCGCCGCCGCGCCGGUCGCGGAGACGGAGACAAGUUAUUAACUUAUUAUUAGCGCCUACUGUUAAGCUCCUAUUUUAUUUGAAAUAUAUACAUGACCCGAAAAAAUAUGUUGAAAAUGGAUAAUGUUAACAAAAAGCACUAACAUUGCAGGAGAUAAAUAGUGCCUUUCUCCAUUAACCAUCACUCCACCAACACAAUCUAUUCGAAACCACCCAAGUUAGAGUCGAUUCCCACCUAAUUUUUUUGUUAAUUUUGUGAGUGAAAAAAAAGAAGAGGAAAAGUAUGUAUCCAUUGGGAUCUAAUGUUGGGUCUAAGUCGCCAUGUCCCAAGUUGACAUGUUCCCAAACAUAACACCAUUUAUGGGUUGACCAUGGGCGAUGAUAACUAUUCUACAUACAAUUAAUUGUUUCUUCUUUUUUUUUUUUUGGGUUCUUUUUACAGUUAACUGCAGAACCAAAAACAAAAAUAAAACUUUUUUAGAAUAUAAGAAAAAUUCUACAUUAAAUCGUUGCUACACAAACUCGUCUUCUUGGCUUUAAUGACUCUUUGAUCCACCCAAACUUUUCAUUACUAUGAGUCCAUGGAUAAUUCACCUUCGACCAAGCUAUGCGAAAAUGGGGAGCGACUCUUUAAUCCACCCAAAUUUGUUCUCUCCCCAUUCCGAGCUCAAAUUCGUCGCGAAAAAUAUCGAAAAAAUUACCCCAAAAAAAAAAAAAACCAUUCGUGUUCUUCUUCUGAUCUACACUUUUUUUGGCCUCAAAUUUGUACCUGCCAUUGAGAAAGCUCCCUAGCCAAAAAAAAAAAAAAAACAAACAAACAAAAUUUGGCUACAAACUAUGAAGUAAAAAAUUUACUCAAAUAUUUUGCAUCGAAUUAUUCAUCUUAAAAUACCCAUCAUCAUCUGUUUAGCUUCCUAUUCCAACUUUGCCAUGGGAACAAAUCUCUCACCUUAUUCCCCUUCGAAAAAACGUACACGAAGUUACAAAAAUGUUGGAUUAGAACCAUUCUUUGAUCCAAAUUUUCUUCUUCUGUAUCUUUCUAUGACUCGAUCACGAAUUAAAUUUAUAGCUUGGAGUGUAAGACCACCUCUCGACCGUGCCCAAAUUUUUGGUACACUACACAUAAUCUUUGUAGCCAAAAAUCGCACCAAAAAUACCUUAAAGAAAAAGAAAAAGAAACAAAAAUAAUUAAAAAAAAAAGUGAAAUCGCUACGAUGUAGAAGAAAAGGAGGUGGCAUGAAAAAAAAAAUAAAAAUAAAUUGAAAAAUUAAAAGAAAAUUAAAUUUCAGUCCCUCGUCGUAUUUCCAUAGCAGUUGGAGUCCCGAACGCUGAUAUCUUUCUCGUUCUUUCUCUCUCUUCUUUCUAUUUUUCUCUCUCUACUCUUUGCUUGCUCACGCCGCGUCGUGCGAACCCUCGCCCCCAAUUUCGUGCGGAAUUAGGGUUGCUUCCUCUCUUUGUGAAUCGUUUAUUGCCUGUUUGGAUCGGGAGCUCGUGGGAUCUUCGAACGCGAAUUCGAUCGAUUCUGAGGCGACGAUCCCCUUCUCGAUCGAGUUUGAGGGCUUGUGGUGCCGGAAUUAGGGUUUGGUGGGGCGGCGGAGAUGAUAAUUAAGCGGAGCCAGAGGGCGCAGAUGCCGACGCUGAAGCGGUGCAAUGCGGAGGAGGCGGCGGCGGCGGCGGCCUCCGCCGCCGGGGCGGCGCAGGGCGACGACGACGGAGAGGGCGGCGGGAGGCGGCGGAAGAGGCGGAAGGAGUGGGGGCUCUUCCCGCUCGAGGCGCUCGGGGACGUCCCCGCCGACGCGAUUCGGCACCGCACUCUGCGGCUGCUUUGGGGAGGAGUCGGAGUGCAGGGAUGGCCGCCGGAGGGAGAGCGCCCGCGCUUCACCGCCCGCUCCGUCUGCGCGGCCUCCGGUUGUGCGGACGUCGAGAGGCCGCGUUCAGGUGCUCCCGUCCCGGUUCAGCGACUCGGUCCUCAUUGACCCUUGGAAGAAGGAGAAGCCCAAGGCGAAGGUGAUUGACCCCGAUUUUGAGAUCAAGAAUGGUCUAGUGGAUGUUGAAACCAAAGAAUUUGAUCAUAGAUACCCCAAUUUUAGCUCAAUUAUCAACAAUUCCCUAACAAUGCUCGACGAAGAGGAACGGUAUCGGGCAUGCAGGAACUUCAGUACCAGAAAGCAUUCGAUUUCUAGGAGUACUCUAACGUCGCUGUAUGAGAGUUAUGGCGGAGAGGAGGAGAGGUUAAUGCCCGUGCCCAAGAAGGAAUAUCCACUUAGCUGUUAUUAUUCUGGGCCAAUGACGGUGGAAACAACGAUAGCAGAGGAAAGUUUUGAAAGGAGCGAUGAUUUCGAUUGGCCUGAAAAUGAGUUUGUUCAUGGUGAUAUCGUGUGGGCUAAGUUGCGAAAGAAGUGGCCAGCUUGGCCUGCAAUGGUUGUUGAUCCAAUGCGACAAGUUCCCGAAGCGAUUCUUCAAUCCUGCUUUCCUGGUGCUACGUGUGUCAUGUUGUUUGGGUACUCCGAAUAUGGAAAUAAUAGGGUAUUAUUGAUAUAAUUUAUAUUAUGCCUUCUCCGAUCACUUUUGUCUCCUUUUGGCUUGUCGAAUCAGCUUUACUGUUGUUUAUUAAUAUUACUGCAAACUGAUUGUCGGUAUUCGUUCGAAACAGGAGUAUGCAUGGGUGAAGCAGGGGAGGAUCUUUCCAUUUGUAGACAAUGUAGAUAGGUCAGUAAUGUCAAUGGAAUAUAAUGUGGAAAAUUCUUUGGCUGUUGUUCUCAAGAGUGUGAAAUCCAAUUGCAGAUUUCAGGGGCAGACAGAGUUAUGUGGGAGCAAGCCUUGUGAUUUUCGUCUUGCUAUAGAGGAAGCCUUUUUAGCUGAGCAUGGUUUCUCGGGAGCAAGGGUGGAUGCGACAACAAUAUCUGGCCAACCUGCAAAUUAUGUGUCUUUUCCCAUACAGGAGGCAACUGAUUCAAAUCAUGAACAAGAGUGCCAAUCGCGUAUUCAGGCAAGUAAAUGCAAUGUCAUUUAUGCUUAGAAUCAUAUCACUGUGUUGAUGAUAUAUCUGGUGCAAGUUGCAUUAAUGAUCUCUCAUAAUGCUGUAGUAUGUUGUAACUGUUUGGGCUAACGUAUGCAUAUUUUGGAUGAACUGUCCCGAUACAUCCGUUAAGCACUUCAAACAAACAUCCUUUGAAACGUGAAAGAUGGACAUAUAUUUCUAUCACAUGUUAACAGUUUCUUGAGUACAUGUAUUAUGUUAAAUCUAAGAUUGCUGCUUGUUAUUAUCAGUUGUUAUUGGUGACACUUACCCUGGAUGUGCUAUUUUCAUGUUGCAAAAUUUUUUCAGUCAAUUUGGAGGAUUUUUCCCUUUUUUUCCUUUUUUUUUUUUUUUUCCUCUUCUUUCUCCAAAUCUUUUGGCAGGCAACUGCCUAGAGCCCAGGUAUGCCUGGAAGUUUAUUGCACACUGUAUGACUUUCCAAAAAUAAAGAGAGCAAUUUAUACUUCAUUUAAGAUACAUUUUUUAUUGCAUAUUAGGUUGAUCUUUUUAGGCUUAUUUCCUGCAUUAGCUCUUCUGUUUUGUUGGCCUUUCAGACAUUGCUAAUCGUGCUUUCCGACAAUUAUAGCAACUGUUAUAGCAGUUUUGUUUGUACUAGUUUUGGUUUUGCAAGAUUGGUGGAGUAUAUAUGGCUGAUGCAGACCAAAAAUUUUCCCGCACUAAAUUCAUUUUACUUGUAUCUGCAGGCUGACCAAUCAGGCCUCCAUUGUGAAAGUUGUGGGUUGAGCCUUCCAAUCAAUGCUGCAAAAAAGAUCAAGAAUGACAUGGAACAAUUUGUGUGCAAACAUUGUGCUAAGGUUUGAAAACAUGAAACUAUGUUCCUUGUGUGUGUAGCCACCUGUCUUUUAAAUCUCUAAUGCUUGUCUUUGGCUAUAUUUGCAGCUUUUGAGGUCCAAACAGUAUUGUGGAAUAUGCAAAAAGAUUUGGCCUAAUACAGAUGGUGAGAGAUGGGUAAGAGGAUCUGUACCAUGAUUUGUUAUACUAUGAUUAUUUUAGAGUAGAACUUACAACUUUGCAAAUUGAAAUGUGACUGUUCUAAACCAUGUCAGGUUCGUUGUCAUGGAUGCAAAACUUUGAUUCAUGCGAAUUGUGACAAAACAUGCAGCAAACUUAAGGUUUGAUGUAAUCUUGAAUGUUAUCAUAAUAGGGUUAUAAUUUUGAAGUCUUGAAAGUUGAGACUGAUGGUUUACUAAUAUAUAUCAUCUGUUGUCAUAGGAUCUUCGGGGCAUCGAUUAUCAUUGUCCCGAGUGCAGGUUAAAGUUUAGUUUUGAAUCAUCAGUUAAAGAAAGAAAACAUUCUCAUGCAAGGUACAUAACAAUUGUAUAUGCAAAACUUUCUUUAUACCUUCUUGAAAGAUUUCCCUAGUUAGUUUAAUCUAAUCAAUGUUGUUUAUCUCCUCAACAGAUGUGAUAGUAACAGUUGGCAAGAUACUGCAGUUGAUGCAAUCACUGUUUGUUGCUUUGGUAUGGAGGGAACAUAUCUACCCGAGCAAGAGUUGUAAGCUCUGAGAAUUUGCCAAUUAGAGUAAAGAAAAUCAUCAAUAUAAUAUGCCCUUGCUUAUAAAAAUUGUUUCAUACUGCUACAUCGAUAUAAUAACUUGCUGGCUAUUAUCAUGAAUAAAUAUAAACAGACACAUCACUUUUGUAUGAAUUAUGAUAACCUCCCGCUACAACUAAUUCCUUUGCUCAUUCUUCUUUUGUUCUUAUUUUAUUGUUCUACUGUUGUAGCUGCUGCUGCUUCUGUUAUGUUGUGAUCUUGAUGGUUAGCAGUAGGGGUUUUGGUUCUUAUGACUGAUGUUUUUCUUUUCAUUACAUCUUAUUUCUAUCUUUGAACAGAAAAUUAACUCAAAGAGCACAUAUGUUCAAAUUGCUUAUUUAUUUUGAUCCUCUUCUAAAAAUAAGCCAAACUUAGAAAAUAGAGUUCUUAGUGGGUUGGAUUCACCUGUUUGUAGUCUAGGGCUCUAGGCUUUUAUUGCUACUAAAAAAACUAGAGCUAGCUGUUCAGGUAUUACGGCACUUUGUUUGAACCUUAAAAUCUGAGAAUUUGGGUUUGGUUCAUGCUUAUAACUUGUACAACAUGGUCCUACCUGGCUCAUUUCCUGUCUCACCCUGAAACAAAAACAUUAUGUGGUAAAAUGAGAUCAUUAACGCCAUGACCUCGAAACCCUUCCUGUCAUCCCUGCUAAUGAGCUGAAUGUAGUUGUAGACAGAGCUUGAGCUACGUCAAGUUCAUUGCUAGCGUUCAGCAUUAUCCUCAAAAGUCUAAAACAUUCAGGAUUCAAAAGGUAAUCCAGGUGGCAUCCAAAGUUGUUUUUUCAUUUAUAUUUCAUGCAGCUCGGGUAUGUCUUAAAAAUGUUGAUAGUUACUGUCCAUUACUUGUAACUGUUCUUUGUUCAUGUGUCCGCCAGUGAAUUGUUUUUGCUAUCUUAAUAUAGCAUCAUUUUUUCAAUACAUGCAUCCUGAAGUCCAUCAUUUUUCUAGUUAUGUUUUGGGUUUGGCAUUUUCUUAAGAUCAAUGUGUCUAAUGCAGGAUCUCAUGUCACUGUGGACCAUGCAAGGGACAGAAAUUUACAUUUAAUGAAUGGGAGCGUCAUACUGGUUGCAAGAGUAAAAAUUGGAGAUCCAGUAUGAAAGUCAAAAGUACAAUGAUGCCUUUGGGAAAAUGGGUAUGCAGCUAUGUAUUACUUCAAAAGAUUUACAAACUUAAACCAGUAUGGAGAUAAAAACUGUCGUCUCUCCAAGUAGUUAUGGCAGUUCCCCCCUUGAUAUCAUUCUAAAUAACUUGGUGAAUUCUUGAAGUCCAAGGAUAAAUCUUAUCCUUGGACAUCUAUCAGCCUUGUUGUCAUUCUAUUUUACACAGUUAACUUAUUUGAUUUCUUUAUCUUAUUUUGACUGUCAUCGUGUACAGCUAUCCGGUCUAAAUGUUGGAGCCAAAAUUUUAUCCAAUAUGAUGUAUGCAUAGAUGAGGAUUAAAAUUUGCUAUGGGGUUAAUUGUUAAUUAUUUCAUCCUGCAGAUAGAUCAUUAUCAAGCUAACAAGGCUCCUUCAAACCAUGCUAAACGUAUUACUCCAAAAAUGAGGAAACAAAGGCUGCUGGCUUCCCUGCAUGGUACAUAUUGUAGAACUCUUUCAUUCUUCCUUUUUGGCAUUUGCUGCUGAUGACUUGCCUAUAAUAUUUAAUAUGUGUUUCCUUUUUAUUGCAGAACCGUAUGAUCCCAUACAUGUUAAGUGGACCACUGAACGAUGCGCAAUCUGUAGAUGGGUUGAAGACUGGGAUUACAACAAAAUCAUUAUAUGUAACAGGUAAAUACAUGCCAUCUGAUCCUAACCUUGCCAUGGCUCACCAGCAUACUAUUUAUCUUGGUUGGACUUAGUUUAGACCUAUCAAUAAGGAAUAUGCAAAUAGUAAUGGUUGCACUUGCCCAGAUGUCAAAUAGCAGUCCACCAAGAAUGCUAUGGAGUGAGGGGUAAACAGGAUUUUACAUCUUGGGUUUGCCGGGCAUGCGAAGCACCUCAUCAGAAGAGAGAGUGCUGCCUUUGUCCUGUAAAAGGUACACUAUAUUGAAGUCUUGUACUUGGUUUUUGCUUUCUCUGUGAAAUUAGGAGUGUCAAUGUCUUCUUAUGCUUUUUAGUAGAUCUUUUCUCUGUAUGAAUGAUCAUAUGGUACUCAAAGCUUAAGGUGCUUUACUAUUCUUAAUGCUCAGAUACAGAAUUUAGAAGACACAUCGUACAUAAAUACAUAAUAAUACAAUGGGUCUUAUUAGAUUAAAAUGAACUGUUAAUUUCAAAGUUUUUUGUGAUAGCAGCUUGAUUUUUUAUACAUUAUUCUUAGCGUAAGGUCGGCUUAUCUGAUCGUUGGUGGCAUUAUGAUUUAUUCUGUUCAGGGGGUGCUCUGAAGCCAACAGAUAUUGAUUCACUGUGGGUCCAUGUGACAUGUGCAUGGUUUCAGCCUCAAGUCUCUUUCGCUAGUGAUGAAAUUAUGGAGCCUGCUAUUGGAAUAUUGAACAUCGCACCUCUGUCUUUUAUGAAGGUUGCGAUUGAGAUAAAUUUCACGAAUUUAAGUUAUUGUAUUGGUAUUACUGCAAGUUUUGUCCUUUCUGAGUUAUGAUAUUGAACUACUCUUUGUUUUCACGUAUGUCCAGAUUUGUGUCAUAUGUAGGCAAAUACAUGGUUCAUGUACGCAAUGCUACAGGUGUUCCACUUAUUACCAUGCUAUAUGUGCAUCAAGAGCUGGGUACCGCAUGGAGGUAGAUCACUCAGUCUAAAUACUUUCAUGACUGUAUUCUGAAGAAUAAACAAGCAAGUUCUUUAAGAUAUAUUGUAUAUUUGUUCUGAAAAUGCAGCUAGAUUAUCCAGCGGAUUUCUAGUAUUUUUCUUUUCUACUCUUCUCGUCAAAUUUACUGAGAGUUGAUUGUUACCAGUGAAAGAAAAUAAAUCUUCGAUAUUUACAUCAGCCUGGAUAUUGAACACUAGGUCGCUAAGCAUCUGAUACCUUGUAGUUCUGAACUUUGAAUAGUUAAUUCUGUACACUAGAUUUUGGAGAGAGGGGGGUUCCUUCAAUAGUGUUGAAUUGAAUAUAAUCAACGUUACUGUAUAUCUGUUUAAAAAUUGAGGAUAAGUAGCUGAUAUACAAGUAAUAACACUGCACAAAUAGGGAGCUGUUAAGAUGAGUUACGGACUAUGAAGUGUCAAUCCUGCUUUUUAUCUAGUGAUACAUGGCGAAAAUAAAACUGAGACCAUUGAACACAAUUACAAAUUCUAAAAGCUAAACAAGAGUGAUAAAUCAAGAUUUUGCUGAUUGGAGCUUACAGUGCUAUGUAAAUUUUUAAACAAGAGAUACAAAUCAUGGCCUAUAUGUUUUAUCUUUUGCCUCUCAGGUAACUAUUCCCGCCAGUGUACUUGAAAAUAUUUUGAGGGAUCACCUUCUUCACAUGCUAUCAUUCAAAAAUGUUCCUUGCGUAAACAGUAUGAUAUUAUUAAUAUUUUUGCCAAAAAUAACUUCUUUAAUUUUUUUGUUAUAACCUAUCAAAAAAAAAAAAUCAAUGAAGAUGAUGUUUGAAAAGUUUUUCCUAUUUUCUUCCUUUCUUUUGAUGCAAAGUUUUUGUGCUUUGUACCUCAUUCUUCUAUAUAUACGAAAUUGAUGCUUGCUUGAAUUCAAUUUUGAACACUCAAAGUGGUUUGACUUUGAUAUAGUUGCAUGUUUACUGCAGUUGCACUGCUUAGAAAGAAAUGGAAGGCAGACCACAAAAAUGAUUUCAUAUUGUGCGAAUCAUCGGUAAGCUUUUAAUUGUUGUUAAUAGUGUCUAGUUGUCUGUACAUUUGUAAUUAUGAUGCCCUCGCGCCUUCUAUCAUUAUUGUCCUUCGUUCUCCAACUAGUUCUAUUAUACCAUUACGCUUAAGAACAUCGCUUUUUGGUUUCAAUACAUGACAUAUAUCAAUUGUUAGGUAUUGUAAGUCUUGAUUUUACUGAUAAUAAAAAAGUUUAUCCUUUUGUCAUAUUCUCUGCUCAGAGCCUACUGCUUUUCUUCCCCGACUUUUUUAGGUGGAACAAGUGUCAUGUUUUAAUUUACUGUGCAGGGCUCCAAACCCAGAUAAUGUUUUGAUAAUACAAACUCCUUCAGGAGUCUUUUCUUCCAAAAAGCUUCUGCAAAAUAGUGUAAAGCAGACUGGUUCAAGACUUAUAAGGAAAGAUAUCCCCCAGGAAUCAACAUCACUUGCACAAUUACUGGAGACUUCAUGUGCUGCAAGAUGCAUGGUCUAUAAAAAAAUCGAAACUAAAGAGGUUUGUUAUAAAUGAAACCUUUUUUCUUUUUCACCAUUCUGUAGAAAAAAUAAUGGCUUGCAACGACAUGAAAUUCAACACUUUGCAUUGGUCUCUUAUAUUGAUCUGUUGCUUUAAAUGAUUUUUUAUGCAAAUCUGGUGAUGAAGUCGUAAAAUCGUCUCAGAUUUUAAAAUCUUGGUAUCAUGUUGUGCCUCCAAUAAUGUGAUGGACACAACAUUUUUGAAAGAAAACCUGCAUUUUCAUUUUGUGGGUGGUAAACUUUUUGAUAUAACAAAGAGCUUGGUCGUGCCCAUUAGCUGCAGGACUGAGCUUCAUUUGCAUCAGGCCAGACCCAGGUUGAAAUUAAGUGGGCUUUUGGAUUAUUAGUGAUUUUCAUUGUCAUUUGCUGGUUGUAAUCGGUGGAAAUGUAUGCCAUGGUGGUAAUAAUAUAUAGCUCCUUUUCAUGAAGAGAAAUUCUGUCUUUUUCGUUGAACUGGUUAACAUCAUAGUUCUUCUUAGAUGCAGGUGCAAAAUUUCCGAGGUGACUAGCUAUUCUUUCUUACUUUUCUUUUGUGCUGUUCAGAGAACGCGAGAAGGGGCCGUUGCACACCGAGUUAGGGGACCUUGUUAUCAUUCUCUUGAGGAAAUACAAAGACUGAAUGCACCUAGGGUAAUUUUCUUGUUCUUUUUUUUAAAAAAAAAAUCUGAGAUUUUGAAUAUGAUAUUCAAUUGGAAAAAUGACUGGAUUAUUUGCCUUCUUGAUUGGCAGGAGGAAAAGGAUCCUGAAUCAUUUUCAACGUUCAGAGAGCGUCUUCACUAUUUACAGGCAACUGAUUAUUUAUUUUAAGGCUUCAGCAUGUUACGAUACAUCUUUUGGAUUGAUUGCUAGACUUCUAUAAUUUUUCUGUUGUUUCUUGUCUUUCCAGUUAACAGAACAAAGUAGAGUUUGUUUUGGUAGAUCGGGAAUACAUGGAUGGGGCCUAUUUGCCCGUAGGAAUAUUCAAGAAGGAGAAAUGGUAUCUAAGUACUUCAAAGUGCUCUUUUUUUUUUUAUAAAAUAUAUCUUUGUCGUUGAUCAGAGAUUUAGCAUCUUUAUUAUGAUAUCAUUUUGACUGAUUAUGGUACAUAUGUAGUACCCCUUGUUCAAACUGCACAGCUGUAUGAACUUCCAUAUGAGUGUUCAAGAAAGUACCCUUGACUUUCAAAUUCCAACAAUGAGGCUAACAUUUCAAGCCUAUUUUCAGGUCAUUGAAUAUCGUGGUGAACAGGUUAGACGCAGUGUUGCGGAUUUGAGGGAGGCACGCUACCGGUUGGAGGGAAAAGAUUGCUAUGUGAGUUUCUCUGGUCUAAUCUAUUUAUGUUUUUAUAUGCUGCAUUGCUGUUGGUAAAUGCAAAUGUUCAACCUCAAUUGUGUCUUCUAGUUGUUUUCUUAAACCAUGUAAAAAAGGCAUAAAAACGUUUUAUAGUCAACAGUCGGUACUUAGUAAACUUGUCAAUGUUAUCCAGAAGGGUAAGUAGUUGGAGGCUAGGAUUGUCCAGCAAACUGUAUACAUUUGAGCUGUACUGCAGUAUUAGUGUUAACUUUCACUUUGGCUCUUAUUAAGUUAGCAUAUAUAGUUAUGUUUUGGAUUGCCUUGAACCUCCAAUAUUUAUGAGUUUCAUACAAAUGAAAAGGAUCAUGUGAGCCAAAGUUGCUUACUUUGUUUCAUUCUUUGAUCCCUUUUCUUCCGAAACUUCCCUAUCAGUUUUAUUGUGAUAAUACAGUGUAUCAUACUUGUUUUUCUUCUGCUGUUGCAGCUAUUUAAAAUCAGUGAAGAGGUAGUAGUUGAUGCUACAGAUAAAGGAAACAUCGCUCGUUUAAUCAAUCAUUCUGUAAGCCAUCAUAUGCAUGCCACGGUUUCACUUUUCUUUGAACUGUUUACAGAAUGCUGCUAUUGACACUUACCAAUUUAAAUAUUGAUACAGUGCAUGCCGAACUGCUAUGCAAGGAUUAUGAGUGUCGGCCACGAUGAGAGUCGGAUUGUUUUGAUAGCAAAGACGCAUGUCUGUGCUGGCGAUGAGUUAACGUAUGUCUGACUUACCCAUUUGUUUCUCAUAUUAUGUUCUCUCUUUUUGUACGAGUUGCUGUCGAUGGUAUACCUGUACCUUUCCUUAGCAGACCUUUACAGGGUUGAAUUAAGUUCUGCCCAUAUUUUCUCAAGAUAAAGGGUUGGUGAACUCGAGCAUGAGUUACGGGUGUAAUUUGUGAUUAUAACGCCCGAAUUUUGACACUUAAAAAUUCAGUUUCCAAUGAAGCGAUUAAAACAUUUAAGGAUAGGUAAUAUUGACUUUGAUCGUAAUGGCCAACAUUAUGAUAAAUCUCCAUCAAGUUGUUAUCCUUGGCGUCUGUGUUCAUUAGUGAUUAGUUUAUCUUGUUUCUAUUUAUAACUCUUUUCUUUAGCAAAUGAACUAAUAUAAAGGGCCCUGGCAAUUGAACCCACAAAAACUAUGCACUUGUUUCGGAAAUUUAACUUUCUACAUACUUCCAAAACAUACCUGUUUGAUCAUGGACGAUAGGCUACUGGAAUUGCAUGCCCUAGAUAUGGAUGAUUUUCUCUUUUUAAUUCCUAAGCUGAUCGAUCGUUUGCUUUUCGCAGGUACGACUACUUAUUCGACCCUGACGAAGGUGACGAGUGCAAAGUUCCUUGUCUCUGCAAAGCUCCAAACUGUCGGAAAUUUAUGAAUUAGGUUGCUGCAAAGGCCAAUUGGCUACUUUACAGUCUUCUCUUUUCUUUUCUUUUCUUUUCUUUUCUUAUCCUCCUUGAUCGAUGCUCCCCAUCUAUUAACAUCUUCAAGCUUGUAUUCAAUUUCUCAAUUUUUUUUUUUUAAUAAGUUCAAUUAAUUGAGGGUGCAAAAUUGCUGGGCUUCCAUUCUUUGUAAAUUCAUUUCGUUGUAUUAACUUUACAAUAGGUUAAUCAAUAUAGCAUUUUCUUUUUUUAACAUAAGAGCCACUGCAUCAUGUCUGAUUCGUGGAUUCGCCCUCUGUGGAGUCGUACGAAUGGCUACUGAGCAGUUAGCGUUCACUAUAUGUUGAAGAAAAAAAAUGAUCUUUAUUUAUUGGCAGGGUCUUUUGAUUCCAUGGACUUUUUUUUUUAAUAUUCCACAUUGAGUUUCACCUGUUUUCAUUGUUAACUUGAAAAUAAAGGGCAGAUUUUUAUUUUUUUCAGAAACAUUUCAAACUGCUGGAAAAAACAAAAAAACUUAUCUUCACCGAAUAUGCCCUUUCGAAAACACAAAAAUGAAAAUCAAGGAUCAUUGUGGCAUCAGCACAGAGGUGCGUUCGCUUCCCGUGUACCAAAUGCGAGAAAAUAUUACACUUCACAUUCCAAAUAUCACAGAGUGGGUGGGGUAUGGGGCGAACUGCAGACCCACUUUGGAACUGGUAAACAAGCAAAUCAAAUAAUCUAUUUUUUUUAUUAUUUUUUCCAAAUCGAUUGAGCUAACUUGAUUUAAAGAUGAAAAUGCAACUUACUCAAAACAGGAAAUGAUAGACUAUUAUACUCAAGAAAGGGCAAAACAGGAAAUGGGAAAAGGACGACAAGUUGCCGUAGCAAAUCAUGAAAAAUGCACCUCAAAGAUGAAGCAACAUACGCGGCGGCCCCUCGGAGCUCCCGGGGAAAGGAUGGCAUUAGAAAACGAAAAUAAAAACCGUCUCAAUGUGUACUUUCGGGAGAAUUAGGUAUCCGACUCAAAUUUACGCUAGUAGACUCCACUAAAGCCUCACUAUCCUGAGAAUCUUUAGUUAAAACAUCAGCAUUGGUGAUUAAAUCAGUUUUCCCUUCUUCCAUAUCAGUAGGGUGGUCACCAUCAGCAUCACUAGUCUUACCAUUCUCUUCGCCCAAACCAUCAGCACUCUCGGUGGAAUCAAGGAUUGCUGGGACGGGUUCUUCCAUGUUACCGGCAGGAAGAGAACUCUCUGAUGGUAUUUUAUCUACUAGAGCUAGAUCAGCUGUUGCUGAGAUUUCCUCAUUUCGAGCUUCAGGAGAAUCUUUCUCUGCUUCCAUGGAAACAACCGGAGUAGCGGGUUGCGGCGCUUUUACUCCAUUUUGCUUUUUGUAAAGUGACAUGGCUCUCUGUAAACACAUAGAAAAGGAUAGAAUUAUUAUUGCUGAUGCUCUGGGAUAUUGCACCAGGCGUAUACGAAAGCUGAUGAAGGUCAAAAGAAUACCUGGAAAAUAGCAUCUCUCCGUUUAGGAAAAAGCGUGGGCAGGAGGGUAUUACUUGUCAUCCUUUUCAUUUCCACUUUAUUGGCUUUGUCAUUCUCCUGCAACAAAUGAAACAAAUUCUCAAUGGUGGAAAAUUAGGAUUAUACAAUUAAAAAAGAGAAAAUAGAAGGAUACAUAGUUUCAUCCCAACUCGACUAGUUUCACAGUACCUGGGAGCAACCAUCCUUGGACACAUCGCGCUCUAGUUUUACAUCCAAUUCUCCCAGUACAGCCAUACACUUUGUGUACAAUUCUGAAGCAACGAAAUCAUGCGCAAUAUUGAUCCUCGAGAGGUACUUUUUAAUAAAGUUGGCAUUAUCAUCACCCGGCUUUUCGUAAGCUUCAGGAAUUGAUUCAGUUUUAUCUUCAUAAAGAGUUUUCUCUGCAAUCUUUGCUAGAGGUGCAUCAUUCUUCGCUUCAAUGCUUUCAGUUGGCAACGACUCUGAUCCAUGCUCACUUCGAGCAUACUCUCGCUCUCUCUGAGCAGUCGGAUAUUCCAGAUUACCAUUUUGCUCUUUCCAUGUAAGAGACCUAUUCUGAUCCCAGUGAGGCCUAUUAUAAAUAUGGGGUUCAUCAUUAAACAAACCAUCCAUUGAAUUAUGCCACCCAAAGGGGCGGACAUGGCCAGAAAACCUAUCGACCGCUUCAUGCAUGUGAUAAGGAACCCCGUUGUGUGUCAAAUCCAUUGGUGGUCUGAGAUUAAACAUAGGCGGAGAAGGGAAAGGGUGGACAGAAGGAUGGAAUCCAGGAGACGGGCCAUGCUGGAGGGGGAUGAAACCAUUAGCAACUGGUGAUGGCCAAGUAGGAGCAUUAUUCCAAGUAUUUCCACAUCCUCCUGAAUUGAGAUCACUCCUUUUUUGUCGAAAAUGUGAUUUCCAAUCUCCACUUUGAGAUCUGCUAUCAUCUUCAUCACGCCCUCUUCUGUAAGGUGGCGGAGGGGGAUUAUCGCUAUUAGUUGGUUUGUUAAUGAAGGAUGAAACAGCAGGAGUUCGCUCACGAGCCUCAGCUUGAGAAUGGUCAAAGCUAAUUGGCUUCUCCAGGAAUUCACUUUCUUCUCUAUUUCUGUCUUUGAAGUUGCUGCUUUUAUGUCCUAUCUCAGUAUCGAGGCUACGCCUGGGAGUGACUUUAUAAUCUGAAAACCGUCGCUCGCUCGUCGAUGGCGAUUUUGUGGUUAUGUCAUCCGGUGAGGGUUGGGUAGUUGAUCUUGGUGUCCUUGUAUAUUGCGAAGAUUCUAGAAUUUCCGGUAAGUCACAUGCAGGGAGUCUAGAAGCAGUUGUACGCUCUCCUGAAGACACUGUCCUGGAGCGAGUUCUCUCCUCUGAUGGUGAUCGUUUCCUUGCAGAAUCCAUCUGCUUAGAGUUGUGCCUGAACAUGUAUACCGAAUUGGAUAAUAUAAACAAUUUUUCAACGUCAAGUAACAUUCAGUUAGGAAUACACCUAAUGAAUGAAAAAUUAUAUAGCAUUAUGUCAACAGCAAGGAUGAGCUUUUACUAGAAGGGGGAAAGAAAAAACAAAAGAAGGUAACUGUCCAAGUUACAGAAUUUUAGGGAACUUACAUGGUUGAGAAAAAACAUCAAUAACAACUGAAAUUCCACAAUCUCUGUAUUCUAUCAAGCUGUUCAAAAUAUUGCCUUAUUGUACAUGCUACAGUAAAGAAUCCUAUAAACUUGCAGUACUCAUCUGACUUUCAGUAAUUUUCUUGAGAAGCACUACACCACAAAUAACAAAGCUACAAGUUCCACAACAUACUUUAUUCACUAGGUCAGACUCUAUCACAUGCUAAGUCUCUCUUUAAUGAAACCCAAUGAUCCCGUGGACAUUUAGCACAGACAAGUAUCACAGCCGUAGCAGGAGGAAACCUAGUACACAGACACCAUCAAAUUAUAUGAACUACGAAGUUUAAAUAAGAGUACAAAAAGACAGCAGUUCUUUUACCUGCUUUGACCUUUGCUGUGAUAAGAACUCGAGCUAGGAGAGCUUUUUGGACGAUUCUCACCCAGACCAGAAUCAACCUUCUCAGAAUGUCCAUAUUCCGGCAUUGCCUUCUCAACAUGGAAAUCAGAAGACCUACUAUCUGACCCAAUUCUUUCCACAUCUAUACGUGGUUCUUUCACACCUUGAGGCUUGAAAUCAGAAACAUCCUCUCUUUCGACAGAUGAUCUUUUCCUCCUAUUGUUAUCUUUGUGUUUGCUUUCAUAAGCAUCUUCAUCCUGCAAUUUACUCUUUCUGUAGCGGCUCUCUGAAGACUUCUUCUCAUCCCUAGAGCUCCUGUACUCAGACUUGCUGCUUGUAUAUUCUCUUGAGCGCUCAUCUUCACGCCUCUCAUCACGAUAUCUUUUAUCCCUGUCAGCGUCAUCCCUGUAUUUAUCAUAUUUAUCGUAUUUUUCAUAUUUAUCAUAUUUAUCUUUAUAUUUCUCAUCGUCAUGGCCUUGGUCUUUAUAGCUUCUAUGUUUUGAGUGAUCAUCUCUUGAGUAAUGUUUUCUAUCAUCGAUCUCCCUACCAUCGCCCAGCCGUUUAUCUUUGUCUUCAGACUCAUCUCUUCUCCUUGUAUGUUUUUGAGGCUCUUUUUCUGAAUUAAGAUUGCAUAACCUCUUUUAAUUUGCAUUAUGAUACAAAAUAUACAAUUUAACAAGAGACAACAGAGAGUAGAACAAGCAGCAUUAAACAAUUACACGUCUAAUUUGUCAAAAGAUGAUAAACUUAUCAUAAUGCCACAUCUUUACAGUAAUCACAAAAUGAGAAAAUAACAUUGAAGAAAUGUUAGAUGGUUGAGAGAGAAAAAGAAAAAGAAGUACAAAGAACCAAUAUUACAGCUCUGAGAAACACUUCAUAUAUAGGAAUACUGGAAGCAAAUGUGCCAAAUGGCCCUGAAGCUACCCAGACGCGUGCUAGGACAGCAAUUCAUAGUGAAAACGGAAUAACAUCAUAGUUACAACAUGAUGGCUAAAUGACAUUGAGCCUGUCUCAAUAUAAUUAUGGUUCUUGAUUUCUUGUAGUACGAGUACAGGAAUCUGAUAAAAAUUCAUAUCCCAGGAUUCAGAAAUUUCCAUUGUUUUUUUUUCCUCCCUGCAAGGGCUCUUAAUUCAAUAGAAGUUAUAAAUUUGAAUGACUUCAAGUUUACGAAUGCACUUCUUACAUGGCAUAAAAUAAGCUUUCUAUCAAAUAGGUUCAAGAGGGUUUUAGCCAAGUUACAAGUACGAAGAUUGCGAUCCUCGACAGUAAAUUACAACAUGACUUCCUAGUUCAAAUCCAGCACUAUAAGAAUACUGACUACAUCACUUACUAUUUGAUUCUGAAGUGUAUUGUUUUACAGUCAAAACUUGAACAACCAGGUCCUCUAACAAGAUUCUUCAUUUAGUUCCGUAGGGUAUUGAUCAUACAAAAUUCCUCUCUACUCCACCAGUCGUUCCUUAUUAUGACUGUAACACUCUUGAUCGAUCCCUCAGCAACAAAUCGCAAAAACAAAAGAAACAACAUUAAGCUUUCUUCACCUUGACAGCUAAGGUUACUGUCUUAGAUUUCUCAUGCUUAGUAUCAAGUCUAGUUAUUUUGACAAACUUUAGAUUCUAACAUUCUUCUCUUUAAUUCAACAAUGGAUUUGUAGCUGCUCUAGAAUCCUCAUGUAAGAGCUUAUUCACAUUCUGAAGUCAAAAGGGGGGAAAAAAUCAAAACAGUGCCAUUACCAGAACAAAAUAUACCUGUCUAUCCUAACAAUUUGAUGCCAUGUGAUUGUGAGGUAACAACAAAAUCUCAACCAUUAUAAAAAUAAACUUAACAGCAGUUGAUCAAAGCAACAUAAGGACAUCAAAAAUAUAUAUAAGGACAUAGUCAACAUAAUGAAAUUCCCUAUCACAAAAAGAGCAACCAGUGCGACUAUUCUCACCAUUAAACUUAUUUGAGACAGAAAAGAAACUAACACAACAGACUCAGCUAGAAGGAUAAAUAACCAACAUAAUAUAUGGGCUGUUUUUAUACUAUCUGACAUAAAAUGAACACUACAUUCUCCUUAGGAUCUUGGCUACAGAAUACGAAGUCAUCAGCUCAUUGACUUAUAUUAUAGGAACCCACUCAAAAGCCAAUCCGCAAAGGAUGAAAUUUGAAUGUUUAAAAUGUGGAGUUACGGUCAGUCUAUAUGAUUUUUUCUGGGGACUCAUGUAUUCAACUCAAAAGGUCCUGUGUUUCAGCAACUGCAUGUCCACCUUACAGCACUCCACAAAGUGAUAAGAUAUUCAAUUCAAUUUGUUAUGUCAAUUUUCAAGUUUAAUGUAGAUCCAACAAAGAUGCCCAGAAGCUACAAAAUGGGGUAUGGUUGCAUCUGCAUAUAGCAAGGUUUGGAUCUAAAACUAUGACUACAUGCAGCAUCCAAUGAUUUUUUUUUCCAGCCGAAUAAAAUGCUGUGGUAGAGCGAUUAUGAAUACAUAGACUUAGCAAAAUUGUAAAGAAAUUUGCACGAAUUGAAGAUUCCCAGCAUGAGAAAAACUGAUAAGCAAACAACAAAGGGGAGAAGGGAAGGAUGUAUAAGCAAAGUGGGAAAAAGUGUGAGGUAAAACUGAUUUUCCAAUAUAUCCAUACUUCUGAAUCAGGCCUAAAAGACUUACUAAACAACCAAAAUUGUAUCAAUUGUCUUAACUUCUCUUUGUUAACAACAAAAUUCGCCAUGGAAAAAGUGUGAGGUAAAACUGAUUUUCUAAUAUAUCAGUACUUCUAAAUCAAGCCUAACUUAAUAAUCAAAGUAUCAAUUGUCUUAACUUCUCUUUGUUAACAACAAAAUUCACCAAAACUUACAAGCCACUAAUAAAAAAUAUUUAGCUAAAAUGACUCAAGAGUCAAUGCAGUAGCAUUUCAAAAGCAAACAUUCAAACACUUGAAAUGUUAAUCAUACAUGGAUUCUCUUUUUCUUUAGCACAAAACAUUGAAUAAAACUAAAAAAUUGAGUUACCUUACCAGUAAAUUCCACAUCUCGCUUGGGAACAUGUUUAUCUUCAAUCCUGUCUGUUUUAGAACUACUCUUCCUACUUACAACAUCCUCAGAUCUCUCAUGCUUAGCAUCCUGGCUCUUCUUAUCCCUGUCGGACCCUCGCUCCCUAUCCUUGUCCUUCUCCUUCUCAUCCUUAUACUGUGCACUACUCUCUCUUCGGCUAGACUCCUUCUCCGACCUCCGCUUUGAUGAUUCCUUUCCCCCACUCUCCUCAUUCCUUUCAGUGGAAUCCUCCUGCCUUCUGCUGGACCUGCUUUUUGAUUCGCUAACCGAAAGCUUCGACUUCGAGCUUUUAUCCACAUCCUCAGGCCCAAAAACCUCUCCCUUGUACCUCUUCUCCGCCCCUAGAUCAUCACCACCGCCAUCUUUCCGCUUCUUUCCAUGCUCCCCAGGCAAAUCGCCAUUGCUGGCCACAACCAGGUCCUUCGCCAGAGACGAAUGCGACGACUUCCUCUUCUCUGCUUCCGCAUCCCUCGAAACCCUAGCCGGAUCCUCCUCCCUUGCCUUCCUCUCCUUCGAGCUACCCUCAUCCUCGGACUCCGACCAGUCCCUGGAGCUGUUCUUGUGGGACCUGUGGGACCUGUGGCGCGAGCUCCGCGGCAUCUCGUACCGCACCCCCCAAAACCCUAACUCCACUACCCCGAUCGAGAAACAAACGACUUAAAGCCACAACAAAACAGCACCAAAUCGACGAAUCCUUAACUCCAACAACAAAUCACCUGCUCCUCGCCUCGGAAUCGGAUCGAUCCGGGGCGACAACCGCGAAAUCGCCACCAAACGCCGCGACAGAGGCGGAGAAGAGAUCGGAUUGGGGAAGCCACGGGACGCGGGAGGAGCGCGAGAUCGACGAGGGGGUCGGGGGACGGAGCGAGAGCGGGGUGGAAUGGAAGAGGAAGGGGAAAUGGAGGAGGCGGCGGCGGAGAAGGGGAGGAGACGAAGAAGAGGGGGGAGAGAGAGAGAGAGAGAGAGAGAGAGAGAGAGAGAGGAGAAAAGGAGACGACGAGAUCGCGAAGGUGUAGGGACGAGGGAUAGGGGGGUUUGGGGGAUUGUGGGGUUCGGGUUCGCUUUUUGCUCGCGAGAUUGGAUUCGAGUCGAAGCGCGCGUGUCGUGGGUGAGGUUUAGUGGAGGCUUGUUUUCGCUGCGGAAUGACGGAUUUGCCCUUGGGGGGAGGUGGGGAACGGUGAGAACCGAUCCGGUGCGGGUUUCGACGGUCGAUAUUUUCGUUCGGACGUGGCGAGACCUGAUUGGUUGAGAGAUCUGUGCGUGGAUCGCAGUAAAUUUGGUGUUUUGCAAAGAUAAAAAAUACAAAACUCAUCCGAAUUGUAGGCUUUUUUUUUACUCGACUAUUUUAAUCCUUUAUUUUAAUAUUUAAGUUUUUAGUUUAUUUAAUUUAAAUAAUUUAAUAACUUUUUAAAUAUAAAAUUUAAAUAAAAAUUUUAUUUUAUUAAUUUAUAAUUAUAUAAAUGGUAUAAAAUAUACUAACUAAUCAUAGAGAUAAACGUCAUAUUUAUAUUUUAAAACUAAAAAUUUAAAUCUGCAUAUGAAAAAUCUAUAUUUUUUAAAUAGAAAAUGUAAAGACUAGUGGGUACACACUGAUAUGAAAAAUCUGUAUCCCACUAAAAGUUAAAAUUUUCGUCUGCCUAGUAUUGAAGUGUAAGAUACUCACUUUAACAAUCUUCGUAAAAAGAGGUUGGAGUUGAAGCAUAACUAUAUACUUUGCUUAGAUAAGGAAGAGACGAUUGACCAUAUUUUCACCGGUUGUGAAGUAACCAAAGUUUUAUUGGAGUGCUUGAUGUCCAAUAAGAAGGGAAUACGUUGUAGUUCUUUAGCUUACGCUCUUUGGGAAUCGAGUCGUCUUAGAGGAGGCUCAAUAAGGUCGAAGGAACUAGCAACAAUUAUUUGCAUCCGGUGGGUUACUUAGCUCAAACAAAAUAGACGUAUUUUUCAAAAGAAAAGGCACUCGCAAAAUCAGAUGUUAGCAGACGUCCGUAUAACUCGGGAUCAGUCUGCUAAACUUCAGGUAUUAUAACACCUCCUACAAGUCCCCGGUGGUGCGUCUACUUUUGCCUUUUUUAUGUUUUUGUAAAUAAUCUAUACUCUUCCCCUUUUUCCUCUUUUCCUUUUUUCCUCCUUUGUGUUUUUCUUUUUAUUUUCUUUCCUUGAGGUCUGGUUGUGUAAUUAAAUUCUUGAAUGAAACGAUAGCAUGCUAUCAAUUUUUCAAAAAAAAAUUGAAUUAAUUAAAAAAUAAUAUAAUAAAAUUAAAAUUUUUAAAAAUUAUAACCGUAAAGAUAAAUUUUAUACAGUUUUGUCUUUUGCAAUCGUGGAAACUGCCAAAGUCUAGUAUUGGAGUUUCGACAAAUUAAGGCCAUCAUUUGUCGUGCGGAAACUUAUAGAAUUACACGUGUAAUUUGUUCUUACUACACCGAGAGAUGCACAAAAAAAUCGGUCCCACACGUAUAACUCUAAUUUUUUUUUAAUCCAUUUUUUCUCUUUUUUUAAUGAAAGACAAAAACCGUUGGUUCUCGUCUCACCACAAAUAUAUAUAUAUNNAUAUAUAUAUAUAUAUAUAUCUUUUGCAAUGGUGUUGCACAAAAUAAAUCUUUAAUUUACACUAUUUUAAAUUACGUAUAUCAAAAUAUCAAAAUCUAAAUAAACUUUAUGAAAACACAUAAUAUACCAUAAUGAAAAUAAAACAUCAAAUUUAUUUACUGGCCUGUGAUGAUUUUGAAGAUUGAUGAGAGUAAUCUGCUCGUAAUAUGUUGAAAGUGCAUAAUACAACAAUCAUACUAAUGGUGUGACGUCUCAAUCAAUAUUUUUGUUAUGAACCUCAAUCAUUCCAUCAUAAUAUUUAUAAAUAAAUAUAUUUUUAUUGUAUUCUUUUACAAAAUAAUUAAUUCGUUAUAAACACGGUGGUGUAACUACUGCAUAAUAAACUUUCACGUGAUGUUCGGUGCAAGGCUACGGGCAUUUUUAAGGGCCGUAGUUAAACUGGUGCACUGAUACGAUAUUAUGGAUGGUAAUACAUCAAUAAUAACAUAUUUAGAAAUUGUUAAUACACUGAUAUAAAUUUGCACAUUUACUUUAGAUUUUACUUAUGAAUCAAGCAAAACAUAGCUUUUUGGGGGGGCAUCACCAUCACCUUGUUACCGUCCUUGACGCUCCGGGCGCGUCAACGAGUCUCUCUCCCUGACCCGUCAAAGUCUACACUAGUGAACCGAGUCUCAAUUAUGUCGCGUAUUAAUUAAUUAAAUAAAAUGAUUUCCUAUAAUCUCUUCACCCCCCAUCUCAAACGGGUAAAUUGCACAUUUUCGUCCUCAAACUAUGAAUCUGAUAACUCUUUGGUCCUCAAAAUUUUACAAUUUAUUAUAGUUUCUAACUUGAAUUUUUAGAGUUACAGUCAAUAAAUCUUAUAAUCUAUUUUAAUUGGGUAAAUAUUAAUAUAACGAUAACGUAGAGGUGAGAUGCAGUGGUAUCGUGAUUGAUAAUAUAUCAAUAAUUAAAUUAUUAAUUACAUCACUUUUAUAGCAACGAUGUAAUAAAAUUUAGUCAAUUAGAUUAAAUUAUAGGAUUUAAUUACAAUAAUUAUGAAAGUUGGAGUUUAAAUUAUAAUAAAUUAAAAUUUGAGUACUAAAGUGUCACCUAUGUGUCGGAUCGAUCGUUGAUGUUGACCAUUAAUUCAAAAAGCUCGAGCUGUUAUAAAUACGCAACCAAUUCACUUAAAGCGUACAAAUACAGUGCCCACGGAUCUCAAUUGUGAUUCGGCCCAUCCAGCCUCAUACCACUUCGAACAUUACUUGGUUUAUCCAGCCUCACACCAUUUCAAAUAUGACUCGAUCCAACCCGACUUCCCGCCACAAAGCAGAACGCUGGCUCUUUUAAGCCAACACUGUGUUCUAUUUUGAGGGCCAAACGUGCAAUUUACCCUACUCAAAACUAACUAUAAACUACUUCACUUCUAAUCCUCACUCAUCUCCCUAUAUAUAUAACCCACCACAUUCAUUUCCCCCCACCAAGCUUAAAACUCUAAUAAAAACACUCUCUCUUUCUCUCUAAUGGGGAAUUGCGUGGCUUGUUUAAUUUCUCAUGAACCAAAGAGGCCAAAGAGUAGAUCUCAUGGUUGUGUGGUUCCACUGAACCAGAUCUAUGGACCAGAUGAUUGCUCCGUCAAAGAGGAUGGCCGCGCGAAGGGAGUGACGAGAAUAAAGAUGGUCAUGACGAAGAAGGAGGCGGCCCAGUUGCUCUCUAAGCUCUCCGCCGAUCGCAUCGUCGAGCGUGUCAAACGGGAACUGGACAGAAGCAAGGGUUGUCGACUGCGCGCGGCGUGUCGAGAUCCGUGGAGGCCGGCGCUGGAGAGCAUCCCGGAGAAUUAACUGUUGAGGUGGUGAUGAGCUCUCAGAUGUUGAACUUACAAGUGGAUGUACACGUUUACAUUUAGUGAAGUGUUAUCAUGUUAAUUUAGAUGAAUGAAGAUAGAUGAUUUGAGUAUGCUACACUGUAAAUUAAAUCUCAUACAUAUAUGAGAAUGAAUAAAUCUCAUACAUAUAUAUGAGAAUGAAUUUAGGUGUAAGCAUACAUAUUCUUGCAAUACAUUUGAUGUUACACUAAAUUAAGAGAACUUUUCUCUGUAAGUUGAUUAAGAAUUUUUUUUUUUGAAAAAAUAUAGUAUGCUACCUCUUUAUUUAUUAAGUGAAUUUAGCAUUAGUGGGAAGCAACUGGGCUUCCGCUUGAUUAAAAAAGAAAAGAAAGAGAAAACUGAGACUACGUAGAAUAAAUCUCCCACAUGUUUCUAUACACACGUAAGUCCGCCAACAAGUGUUUUAUCGUGAGCUUUCUUUUCUUGAAAAUUCUUCUAUUCCGCUCUAACCAAAUAGCCCACCGAGCAGUAAUAAUAUCCGUUGAUUUCCUUCUCCCCAUCACUCUCCACCUAAUAUUGUUUAAUUUCCAAAGCGCAUGAACCGAAAUACAAAUAUUCAAGCUCCGUUUGUUUCGCAGUAAGCAGUCCAUUAGUGCAUGUGAGAAAUGGCAGUUCAUGAAAAGAUGAUCGACUGUCUCGGAUUAAUUAAGUUAAUUAAGAUUGAUUGUUGAUCUUGUGGGUAGUGAUUAUAUUCAAAUGCAAACUUAUAAUAGUUUUAACCUUUAACUUUUUUCACAGAAUACGUACUCAUAAAAAAAAAAAAAAUUUCCCCUAAAACCCAGAAAAUUAGAGUACCCUGUUUUUGUUUUUAACUUAAGAGGAGGAAACAAAUAAAACAACUGCAGUGAAGACUAAGUCAAGGGGAAGCGUAUAAUUUUUGUUUUUAACAGUCCAUGACCUAAGUCAAGGGGAAGCGUAUAAUUUUUAUGGACUAGUACUUAAAUUUGGUAAAGAGUCAUGUUACGAAAUGGUCAAUUUGCUGACCACACAAAGAGAUAACGUUGUCAAAAUUUUUACAAGUACUUUCACAUACAAAAAGAAAAAAAAGAAAAAGAAAAAAAAAAUUAUGCCUUAGAAUUAAAAUACUAGAUUGAUAUGGAAAAUUAAUCGAACAGUCUAGAGAACAAGGAUUGAUCGAUGCGGUUGAAAAAAAAAAAAAAACUUAAUCUGUAUUUUAUAUUUUUUUUUUACUUUUUAUACUUUUUUUUUUAAGACACUACUCAACUAUUUUCUUUUCUUAUAAUUAAUUCCUACACCAUAAAAUUGUGUUUGAAUAAUUUUUUUAAUUUUUUUUCUCAAAUUUAAUAUAAAAGAGGGUCUUCCUUUUUCAACUGGGACUGGGAUGCGGGUCGGGUUCUGAUGCAGUGAGUAUUCAUUAUCCCUAACAAUUAUCCGACACAGAUUUGAUUGGGAUUCGAAAUUUUGCCGCAACUAGCUGGGCUUUUGGUUUUGUGUAAAAUGCACUAAAAAAUUAUUUUCGAUAUGAAAAAUAUUUUUUCCACUUCUUCGAUUAAACAUAAAAAAUAUAUUUUUAUGAAUUUGAAAAAAAAAUUGAAGUUUUUGUUUUCGUUAUUUCUCGAAAGAAAAACAAAAACUGUGUAAAAUUUUUUCAUUCUUUUUUUCAAUCAAACUAAACAAACGUGAAUUAUUUUUCUCUCAACCAAACAAAUAUUGAUGAAAAAUUGUUUUUUUCAUACAAAUCCAAACACUUUAAAAUCUAAACUUUGUGCUGACUAAAAUAUUUUUUGGAGAAAAAGGGGAAUACAUAUAUUUUGGGGGUCAUCCAUGCAAAAAUUCCUAAAACUCGGAUCCUACGAAAGUGGGGAAGCGAAUUCAGAUCCAAAACUAGCGUACGCAGCGUGCGCACCCAAAACUCUUUUUAAGAACUCUACCAGAGAUCAACCCCGCGACCGAAAAUAAAUAAAACCAGGAACAAAAAAGGGGGAAAAAAAAAGGGGGGGAAAAAAAAGUUCCUGCAAAGAUGAUGAAAACGGAAACGAGAGGAGUUGGAAUUGGAGGAGGAGGAGGAGGUGAUAAAGGGAGGAGCUUAGCGUUCGAUCCCAAUCUCCCGAGAUGGGUUUGCCAAAAUUGUCGCCACGCUCUGUGCGUCGUCGGCGUCGAAUCCUACGCCGACAAGUUCUUCAACGACCCUUCUCGAUCCGGUUAGGGUUUCUCCCCGACGAUAUGCGAUCGCUUUAAUCGAUCUAUCUCAUAUAAUUGAUGUAGUGUGAUAAAUUCGUUGAAUUUGGUUGCAUUACUCUUCAAUUCCGUAUUUUAUUUAGUUGAUUGUGUUCGAAUUAUGCAAAUCAUGCUUUUUGUGUAUUCUGUAGAGCAAAUUUGGGUGUUUUUUAGUAGGAAUUUUACCACUCUGAUAUCCGAUUCACUGGUAAAACAUAGCAACUUACCUGAAUUAUUGUGCAUUUUUAGAUUUUUAGAUAUAGGAUACCUGGACUUUGAAACUUUUGAUUUUAUCAUCUUAAAAUUUAGAAAUUAUGAGCUAGUUACCUGAAUUCAAAAAGCCUCUGCCUUGAAGUAGAGGACACGCCGACACUGUUCCCUCGCGAUCUUAAUGUUGAUUAUUUCAUAGAGCUUCAGCAAUUAUGUUAACUUCUGCAUGCAGGAAUGCAAGCCUCUGCGUUCCAGGGCAGUGUGUUAGGAUCUUCCCGGAUAGAAAAUUCAUUCGUCGUGUUAUCGAGGAACAAGGCCCUGAUCCACGGCAUCCCUCCUCGCCCACGAAGCGGGGCCCAACAACACGAGGCUGGCCAAACUACGAAAGCCAUGGAAGAGUCCUAUGUUGUGUUGCCGCCGCCUGCUGCCUCUAUGUACAAGGGCGAGUCCCCGUCUGAAGGAGUCGGGGUCCAAUCACAAGCUUCUAGUUCGAACCAGACUAGCACUUUGCCAGCAAAUAACACUGGUUUCCACUUUAGUGUGACCGUCUUGAAGCGCGCAUUUGAGAUCGCUAGUUCUCAAACUCAGGUGAGGUCAGUUUCUUAGUUGUCAUAUAUCUUCAUGAUAAACAUGUACAAAGACCCCCUCCACUACUAGCUGCUUUGUAAUUGUCCCUUUAUUUAUUUCCGUUAUCACCUUCUCGAUCUUUUAUCAUUUUUUUUGGGCCUUAUUUUGUAAGUUGAAUAGGGGAGUCUGUUGAAAGUGUUGAAGGUUGAGGAUGUGUCAAUUAAGAAGGAUUAAUUUGAGAGAUCUAUUUCAAUAUGAUAUAUAGUGCAGGGGGUCUUUAUGCGCAUUUCCUUUUUUUGUUAACAAAACAAUUCAAAUUUUCUCUCUUUCCUACACAUUUUCUGUGUAUCUGUAUCUGCUUCAGUUUAUAGCUUGAAUGUUAUCCUGUAAAAUGGCAAAAAGACUUUGUAGGCAUCUGUAUUUGUGGAAUGUAUCCAUUGUAGCACGCUUGACAAAUGUGUUUUUUUUUGGGGGGGGGGGUUAUCUAAUAGGUUGAGCAACCUCUUUGUUUGGAAUGCAUGCGGGUGUUGUCAGAUAAGCUUGAUAAGGAGGUUGAAGAUGUGAAUAGAGACACAAAAGCUUAUGAAACAUGCCUUCAACGGUUGGAGAUGGAGUCUUAUAAUGUUCUCAGCGACGCUGACUUUCUAAAGGAGAAAGAGAAGGUAUUAAUUUCCACAAAAUUUAUGCUUUCUAUAUUUUUGCAGGCUGUUAUUCCACAUGAAAUGUGGAUUUAGGUUUUUUACUGCAUUAGUAACAAGAUUCUCUGGGUUACAUGUUAAGUAAAAUAUUCUUUAGUCGAUCUUUUGUGUGAACUGAUCCCAAAACUGAUACUUUGAUUUGAAAAAAGAACAAAAAUGACUGAAUAAUUUAACUAUGACAGAAUGUAUUGGGUCAAAUCCUUUACCGAAGUAUAAAGUUUUGUACCAAAUUAAAUUAAAUCAGUCUUACAUCUCUUUUAUAUUUUAUUUUUGUUAUACUUUUGACUGUUCAAGAUCGAGGAAGAAGAAAGGAAACUUCAAGCUGCAAUUGAAGAAACUGAUAGGCAGCAUUCAGAGGUUAAUGCUGAGAUGAAAGAUCUUGAAACAAAAUCCAAGCUUUUUAAUGAGUUGGAGGAAAGGUUGGUACUCCUUGUAACUCAUGCAUGUGCCCCAUUUCAUCUUUCUUUUUUUCUUUUUAUUGACCGCCUCAACAAAAGCAAGAAAUACUGGAGUAAGGUUCUGCACAUGAUGCAAGUUGGUUUUACAUAAUCAAUUUGCAUUCUUUUAUGCUAAGCUUUUGAUUUCAAAGAAAAGAAAUUGUUUUACACCUACCCUAUCUUAAUGCCUGUUAGUUCUACUUGAUAUAGAAUCUAGACAAUCUCACUUAUCUAUACCCCCUUCCCAGUUGUUUGAUGAAUAUUUUGCUGCCAAUUAGUCAUGACAUGGAGAUAUGGUGAAUCUGUACAAAACUGUAUAAUCAGUACAUUCUUAGUGGGGAUGAACUAGCAGUAGCUUGUUAUUCAGCACAUUUGGUUCUAAUUCUAUUCAUCAAACCUGUAACUUAAACAAGCUUUGAAUUAGCAUCAUAUGGUUCAAUUGCAUGUCUUAAACUAAAUAAUUCCUUUAGUUCUAUGUUCCUGCUUCCGAAGGACAACUCUUCAUGUGAACUACUGCUAGUGAGAUCAAAGCCAGUUCUUAGCCCUACACUCCCACUCCCUUUAUAACGCACCUACCGUGCUUCCUCUCAUCAUUCAUUUUAGUGCUCAUUUGAUGUUUUCUUUUGUGUUUAGUUCCUUAUUACCAAUCAAUAAAGGCUAGACAUCACAUUCUUUACAUUUUGCACAAUUUACCUUAUAGCAUGCAACUUAUGGAAUAACUAAUGUUUCCAGUCAGUACCUGUAAUCAGCUCGUUGGGUUAAAAAAUCAUUCACUAAAACUUUUAGUGGUCAUUCUACGUUUGCAUGAUUUUCCACAGAUGUAAGUUAUGUCUUUUCUCUUGAACAAGAAUUCUGAAUGUAUUAUAUCUCUUAAUUAGGUAUUGGCAUGAAUUCAACAAUUUCCAAUUCCAGCUAAUCUCACAUCAGGUAAUUAUAUAUAAACUGUCCUUGUUUCUUUCAAAUUGCCCCUUGUUGUGUGGUUUGUUUUCUGUUCUCUGUGGCAUGUAUGUUGUUUCAUUUAGCUUUUGUUUUUGUAGUGUUUAGAUGCUCUUAUCUUUUUACAAGCUUAGCACUCUUAACAACAGUCAAUUGUUCUGUAAUGUUUUCCAGUGGUAGAAUGUUGUAUAAUGGUUUUUUGAUUGGUCACUACCCUCGAGCAUAGAAAUUGCAGCAGGCAUCUGUAUCUGUGCGAAGUCUUCUUUAUUGACAUUGUAAUUCACUUCCCGGAGAGCUUUGCACAAUUUUGUACAUUGUAGAUGCGGAUGCUAAUAUUUGGGAGUAUUUUUCUUAUGUAUUAGCUUUGAUGCACUGUUUUCUGUGCAUUUGAGAGAAAACUCUUGGAUCACUAUGCAAUGUAUUGCACCUAUCAUAAGACAAUUUGGUACGCCUAGAGUCUUUCAAGGGCCAAGCGUGAAGAAAGAAAAGUUCCCAGUUAUCAUGGCAUAUUACCACUGAGCAGGUUUUGCUUUCGCCUUUCGCCCCCUUUUAAUUACGACCUCUUUUAAUUGUUUGAAAAUUAUCAUAGGUAGCAAUCUGUACAAUUCUAUCAGAAGAUGACCUUUUAUCUGAGCCAAUGUUUGCUUCUGUACUUUUACCUAGUCAUUAGCUUAAGUCAGUGAAAGGAAUACUCUUGUUUGUUCUCUGGGUACAAUUCUUAGUGUGCUAUUUCUACUGAAGUUUAAGAUCAUGAGAUCCUUAUGAAUUUUUUGACAAUGACCUUCAUAUCAACUUGACUCUUAAUAUAUUAUAUGCUGAUUGACUAUAAUCUCUGUAAUGCGAACCAACUCUAACAUGUGAUCUUAGAGAUUGGAAGGGCGAAAUUCCCCUUUUUCUGCUUUCUUUUUUGACUUCACCAUCUUUUGUGGAAAAUUAACUGUGUUAAGUGCAGGAAGAGAGAGAUGCAAUUUUGGCUAAGAUAGAAGUUUCGCAAGCACAUCUGGAGCUUCUAAAGCGUACGAAUGUGCUCGAAAAUGCCUUUCAUAUUACACAUGCUGGAGAAUUCGGAACUAUAAACAACUUCCGUCUUGGCCGCCUUCCUAUGUCUCCGGUACAAAAAUUCUAUGCCAAAUACUAGUCAUUGACCUUGCUGUUCCGCUCUUUUAGAACUAUUUUUAUAGGAUUGCUCAUGAAUUAAAUUACUUUACAUUUGCCUUUAUGGUAUUCAAUCCAAACUGGUAGGAGAACCUAAUAAAUAGACUCCAGAUAUUCCAGCUAAUGAUACUAUGCUAUUUACUAUCUCAAACGAUCAAUGAGAACUACAGAAUUUAUAGAGUUGACUAGUGCAGUAAAUUAAUAGGCUCACAAAAUAAUCUGUGAAGGAUUGACUGGGCACUUAGUGAUUCAACUAAUAAAAAUCUGAAAUUUACCAUCAGCUGUUAACCAUUUUUUGGUUGAUUUCUUAGUAAUGUACUUCUAAAAGUUUUGCAUACUUGCAAGGCUUAAAUCAAACUUACAGUUGUCAAAAAACAGACCUUGUUCUUUCACUUGCCCUUUCUUCUUUUAUUUAUUAAGCUAUUUAUUUGUUUUGGUGUUGCAUACUUGGCCUAUCAAUUUUUUAUUUGUUAGGUUGAAUGGGAUGAGAUAAAUGCUGCGUGGGGCCAGGCAUGCCUUCUUCUGAACACUAUGGCUCAAUACUUUCGGCCAAAAUUCCCGUAUCCUCAGACUGAUAAUCAUUUCUCAACUGUCUUUAUUUGCGUUUGGCAGUAAUUAUAUAAGCCACUGGAACCAUAAUGAUUCUAGUUAUUCUUUUGUACCAGUGAAGAUGUGUUCACUUUCACUUCAUUAAUAGUGCUAUUGCUAUAAUCCCUCAAAAGUCAUUCGCUGAUCUGAUUUCUAGUUUGUUCAUCUGUACUGAUAGUUUGACAGAGCCUUUCAGUUAGUGAUCAAGUUUAUUAGUGGAAAUAAUAAUUGGCGUUUUAGUGUUGAGGCAUUGGAUAGAGUAACUAGUAAUUUAAAUUUGCCUUUCGUUCUUUGAUCUUUUUAAUUGUGCAAGCCUUCAAACACUUAACUAUUAUAGCAUCUUUCUUGAACAAACAUGUGGUAAGCUGUAUUUAAGUGAUAAUUAUCACACACUUUUUUCCACCCGGGUUGGGAAUUUUGAUGUUUAAUCUAAUACUUGUUGGUAAUCUCAUAUGUGUGUUGAAAAAAUUUGCAAUCUUGCUCAUUACUACAUUAUUGUGUUGUUAUGCUUUGUAUUCUGUAGAUGAAUGAAUACUUUCGAACCUUCUAAGCUUUUCCAGCACUAAAGUUCUACAUUAAUUCUAUUCUAUAUUGUGCAUGCCAAAAAGCUAAUAUUACCUUGAUAUGACAUUGGAAUUCCUUAAUUUCCAUUAGAUAUCGAAUUAAGAUUCUUCCGAUGGGAAGUUAUCCGCGAAUUAUGGACACUAACAACAACACAUAUGAACUGUAAGCUCCCUUUGUGGCAUUUCCCUCCUGUCUCCGUGGUUAACUGGUUAUAAAGAUACUUUGUUCUCUUUCAUCAGCAGGUGCUUUUUAACUUCUAUGCGAAUUCCAAUAUUCUAUAAGCUUAUAUUUUAUUAAUACGUGAUCUGGUUUUCCCUUGUUUUGAAACUAUAAAUUAUGCACCAAAAAUAAGUUACCUCGCAUAAUUAGCUGGAAAGGGAUGACUUAGAUAAUGUUCAUUGUCUUGCACCUGAAAGUAGUAAAUUGUAGAAAUAAGACUCCAGAGAAGAUGCUACUAAUCUAUUAUGAGCUGGACAAUAAUAUCUAAUUUGACAGACAGCACACAUGGUGUUGAUGUAGUGCUGUUAUAAUCUGGAUAUUGGAGCUAAAAGGUUAUUGACAUUGAAGAUUAGCUUUAUGGAUUAGAUGGUGUGGUGGACAUGCGCCAACACAGGUGCCACUUGGAUCCUUUGCUUACCAAAGGAGAUGGAUCUAAGCAGUGAAUAUAUCAGUUCACAUGUAAUUAUGGCAUUGUCGUGUGAAAAGGAUGCCCAGUUAAGAGAGGAUCAAAAUAAUGGGAACUGAAAUUGAUUUUCAUAUUAAAAUAUAUAUAUGUCUUUUAAUAUUAGAAUCCUUUUUUCCUUUGUUUUUUUGGUAUUUGAAAUGUUCUUAUUUAUUUGAUUUGUUUGAGAUCAAUUCCCUUUUUGUUAGCUUUCUUUGUUUUUUUUAAAAAAGGAAAAUCUUCUCUUUUCAGGUUUGGUCCAGUGAAUUUGUUUUGGAGCACCCGCUAUGACAAAGCAAUGACAUUAUACUUAACGUGCCUGAAAGAUUUUGCCGAGUUUGCGCAUAUAAGGGAUCUAGAAAACAAUAUUCCACCAGAUAAAUGUUUCAAACUCCCUUACAGGUGAGGGCUCUUUUAAGUCGAAUUUUAGGCAACUUAAAUUGAUUAGUUGCAGUUUGCAGACCUGUUACCCCUUCAUGCGAAGUUGAUUUGGUUUUGUUUAUUUUACUAUCCUAUUAAGUGCUUGUAAUUUCUUUCUGUGGAUUUCACACAGUUUGACUUAGGAAAUUCAAUACAUUGAAGUCUUGCUAUUCAGCCGCGAUAAUUUCCUUUUUGGAGAAACAAGAGAGGAAUUGAAAUAAGAGAGAUAUUGCGAGGAAAUUUAGCAGAAGCCUUAGUUCGACAUUAAAUUAUAUGAGAGUUACGGAACAAAUUCUCUAAUAAAGCAACUGUAAUGUACACUUUUAAGACACUAAUAUUCAUCAGAACAAAAACCCCCUUCCAAGAUGAGAAACAAUACUAUCUUCAGGCUGUCUAUCUUUUGAAAGAAAGAAGAACGGAUCAUGGAUUUGUUGUCUUACAAAAAUGCAAUUAUCCUAUAUCUAUUUUUAACUUACAGUAGCAACAUUUUUAUUCGCAUGGGCAGAUUAGUUCUCUAUUAAAGAGAAUAUACUUUGCGUUGCAUUACUUAUCUGUUAGAUUUUUUUUUUUUUUUUUCUUAACAAAUUGUUUUCUAAUGACUCAAAUCUCAUUUUCAUAGGAUCGAAAACGAUAAAGUGGAAAAUCACACUAUCACCCAAAGCUUCAAUAAGCAGGAAAACUGGACGAAGGCCCUAAAGUACACACUGUGCAACUUGAAGUGGGUUAUGUAUUGGUUCAUUGGUAACACGAAUUUCCGGCCGCUAUGUCCAUUAGCUCCUUCUCAGGCUGAUGGUCCUUCCAUUGGAUAGCUCUUUAUGAGUAAAUCUGGUUAGAAUACUGAACUGAUUGAUGCUUUAAAUAGGAAAAGAAAAAAGGAGAAAAAAUGCUGACCCAAGAAGCCGAUUUUAGCUGCUUUUAGACUAUUUGGUUUCUCGUGUGUACAUAUAUAUAUAUAUAUAUAUAUAUAUAUAUAUAUAUAUAUAUAUAGGCUGGGACUACUAUACUUAUUUGUGAUUUCUUGUGCAGUGUAUUCACCUUUUCCGCUUUUUUUCCCUUUUGAUACUGCUGCUGCUACCUGCAGCUGCUCUACCUGUGUUUUCUCAAUCGUAAUAAUCAUAUGUAAAUUGCUGCAAGAAAAGCUUGAGGUGUCUUACUUUGAAUUAUUUUCUGAUACAUAUUCCUCAUUAACAACGAGUAUGAUGGAAUUGGAUAAUGUUCUUUCUGUUAUGCACAUUGUCCUGGUAUCUGAUUUCUAAGCGUCAGAUUGGUUAUUCUGAUUCUUAUUAUGUCAUUCUCGUUUGUGCAAGAGAAGAUUUUCUUAGGGUCGGUAAAUGUUCUAUUAAAUGUUCUAUUAUACCUCUAUGAUUCUAUACAAAGGACAGUAAAUUGUACUGUUUAAGCUCGGGUGCAACCUGAGGCGUGCAGAAAUUGCGCACGGUUGAUCGUGCCGCUCGCCAGGAUGACUGAGAAGCACCUCAGUGUGUAAUAUCCCAGUGGUUAAUCCGGACUUGUUGCAACCGCCAAUGAUGAGAAUUCGCUGCCAAUGAUGAGAAUUCGCUGAGGUCAGGAUGGCAACGGGGAUGAUGGUCCUUCAGUGGCAGGUCAAGAGGGAAUUGAGAUGGUCCUUCAGUGGCAGGUCAAGAGGGAAUUGAGAUAAGGGAGAAAAGGGACUGGGGGGAAUUGAGGGAAAUAAGAGAGAGAUAGAGGUGUAGAGGUAGAGAUAGAGAUAGAGAUAGAGAUAGAGGAGAAUUGGGAAGAGAAAUAGUAGAGAAGAAGAAGGGUUUGGAGAAGAACUUUUGGGGAAGAAAAUAGACUAAUUCAUUUCAUUCAUACCUUGCAAUUACAUCCUGCUAACUAUAUAUACCCCAUACAACUUGUACUGAAUUGAAAUUAAACUAUCCUAUGAGGGCUUAACAGCAAUUUGACACAAAAUGGGAAAUGUAGCCUGAUGGGUUGAAUCCGGUUGCUUGUGGGCCUCGGGUGGGCUUGUUUGGUCCGAAACUGCAUGAUAAACGGGUAAGCAGUUUGCGGGUCCGCCUACUCCGCACUAUCCACAACCGGGCGGGGCUUGGGUCUGCGUUUUACGCCCGAUCCAGUAAUCCGACCGCCCGCCACCCGCUAUCGAGUUACCUCUUCCUCCGCUCUCUUCCUCCGCCCUCCAGAUCCUGCAGAAGCCUCCGCCUAUCUACCUCGAUCCUCCCUCUUCUCCUUCGGAGCACCCAGGAUGCCCUAGUCCUCGACGGAGUUCCACCCGAGCACCUUCCCGCCGUCCCACUUGGCGCGCUUCCUCCUCUCCGACCGGCUGCCGCCCUUAUUCUCCAUCUUAACUAGUAAAACUGCUCCUUUUACUACUCUCCCAUGCUAACUCCUACUAUUACUACUAUUUCUACCAUUUAUUCUUCAGGGUUGUUAUACAGUGCUGAUGAGUAGUCGAACAAACUCGUGGAUAUGAACUUUAUUAAAUGGUUAGAAUGCAUUUUGCUGCUGAUGAAUGAAUAAAGAAGUUACCCAUCAGUAGAAUUGUUCACUCAUCUGUCGGGCUAUCAUGCCCGUUAAAAUGUGCAAUGCUUGGUAAAUUGGAACGUUGGUUAUAUCUGUGUUAUAAACUAAUCUGAUAUAAUUAUUUUAUUUUCUAUUUCACUUAAAAAAGUGGAUUAGUUUUGAUUAUUCGCGUCUUAUGCUUCAUCUUAUCAUUUAAAGACCUGUGCUCGUCAAAUCUGUUUCUAUAAUACACGAAUGUGACAACCGCACGUGUUUAUUUGGGAUCUAAUCUCCUAAUCUAAAUAUUAAUAAAGGUUUAGUUCGAGUUCUAAGCUAAAUCUUUAUUAUUGUCCCCCACUUGUGCUCUUAUAUAGCUGCACCAAUGAAAAACAUGUUAUUCCAUUUUAGACAUUUAAUUACAAUCUUCAUCUCCCAAACAUUAUUAACUUUUUUGAGUAUACCGAUAGCAUACUUUACCUAGAAUAAAAUACCCCCACCUAAAUAUAUUUUAACUAAUUUAUUAUAAUAUGCACAAUAUAUAACAUUAUUUAUGGGAACAAGGCAAUCCAUCUACAAUAUCAAAUGGAGACUAAUACUUCCGAUUUUUUUUAAAGAAAAGCAUUGUAAUAUUCUAACUCGAACCAUGAUUUGGUUCCACUUUUGUAUUUAUUAUUAUCUUUUGGUCUCAUUUUCAUGGACUUUUUUUUUUAUUUAUUUUUCGUUUUGGUCCGUCUCUCGUCGAGGCCUUGUUGCCUCACCCAUAUAACUUAAUUCACUUACUUUCUGAAUGAAGCGGGUAGCGUGUUAUUUUUCUCUCAAAAAAACAAAAAACACGUCAACUCGUGAAAGAAAUACUAACAUCGUGAUGCAGCAAUCCAUUUUCAAUCGUAAAAAACGUGGCUUGGUGGGUCUAUUCACGAGAUCUGUCGAUGAGCUUAAACAUGAUCUUGAUUCCUCCGCUGCAUGUUUAUCUUAAAUAAAAUGAUAUUGACAACAUCUUGUGUGUUAUUAAGGGUUAUCAAAUGUAGAACGAAUAUGUAAAACUAAAAAUUAUAUUUUAACUGAAUCUGUACAAUUUAUUUGGGCAACGAAGAUAAAGAUUGAAAACUCAAAAAAUAAAUUCACGAUGGUCAGAUAUAUUUUAAGAUUGGUUGUGGUAUAUAUAUAUAUAUAUAUAUAUAUAUAUAUAUAUAUAUAUAUAGGUAGCAAUUUUUUCGUUUCGUUUAUUUUAUUUAGAAAUAAGCUUAGCUAGAAAUGUGAAUCAUUUAUCAUUCGAAUUUGGGUCUCGAAUACCAACCACCAAAUCUUUUUUCACUUACUCUAGAAACGGUCGGUCUUUUUGUGAUAUGAAUUGUGGAUAAGGAUUAUAGNAAACUCAAUAGUACCAAGGGCUUGGUACUAUUGAUAGUAUAGUAGCAUAAUUCUAUAUAUAUAUAUAUAUAUAAAACUUGGAAUAGAUUAAGAGGGGUUAAGUAUGGAUUAUAGCCUGUUCUCAAAACUUGUGGUUUUUGAAAAUAAAGUUUCUAACAUGAUGUUUUAAAAAAUAAUUUUAGUUUCCUCAUAAACGAAAUGCUGAGAAUAGAUUUUCUGUAGUUUUUCAAAAGUCAAAACUUGUUUUCAGAAAGUAAAAUUUUAUAGUGUCAAAAGACUUGAUAGUUUUUUUAAGAAAAGAUAGCACGCUAUCUGCUUCAUUCAUUGAAUGUAUGAACUAGGCUACAGGAGUGAGGCAACCAGUGCCUCAAGAAAAGAAACAACAAUUAAAAAAAAAAAAAGAACAAAAAGGCUUGAUAGUUAAUACUCAUGUUCGAGUUUGAAGUUUAAUUACCUCACAUCUCCAGCUACAUUUAUUUCUAAAAUAAAAGAUAAAUGAAACACGCGACUGGUGCCAUACUAUUUUUCUCUCUCUCUUAAAAAAAAAAAACUCAUUUUGUGUCAUUUGCCAAAAACUCAAUUCAUUUUCAAAAAUCAAGAGAAUGUUUUUUAGUUUUCUAUAUUCGAAUUAUUAUUCACAUGUUCCGAAAAUCAAACAUGUUUUGAUCAUUUUUUUUUUUAAGCAUAGAUCAUAUAUGUUCCUCGCAAUCUCAAAAAGAGCUUUAUAAACACAACUUAGGCCUUCAUCCGGAAAUCCAAAGGGAUCAUUAGAUUUAGGGGCUUGUUUGAUUCACCUGAGACUGUAGAAUCGAAAUAAAAUUUAUUAAUUUUGAUAGUUGUUGUUGUUGUUGUUUUUUUUUUCUUUUUUCUUUUUUGAAAAGAACACCAUAAGGCAUUUAUUUUAUAGAAUAACUGGUCGGAAACUCCUCAAACUCUGCGAAAUAAGGCCAACUAAAAGCUACCUGGAAAACAAAACCCUAUUUGGCUAGUUGGUCAACACAUUAUGAAAAUAAACUAUAUCUAAAAGACCACCCUGUAAGAAUAUUAUUAUUAGAUUCCAAAAGGCGUCGAAGCAAAGCAAUUCGCUCUGCUACUUGCAGUGAAAUUGGGAUAUGCCGGUCCUCCUAAUACAAGCAGGAACGAAUGAUAGUUGUCGAAUCUAUGUAAAUUUGAGCACUUGAUAUUAGACCAAUUAUUUAGAAGCCACUUGACUGCCUUAGUACAUGCUUGUAUCUCAACAGCAAGAGCACUUUCUGAUUCGAUGGAAGGUGCUGCGUAAUAAUAAACGACCACAUCCCCUUGGCUUCAACGACUAACUUAUUGUUUAUUUUACAUAAAUUUAAUUCUGAUUUUCAUUAUAGCCCAAUCCGAUUUUGCAUUCUGGAGUAGCCACCCAUUCUAGAAUAAACCAUUCAAAACUUUGUUUCACGAACAACUCCCCUUCUUCUCCCUUCACCACUCUCCUUUUUCUUAACCAAAACUUUCUCAAAAUCUCAAAAUUUAGAUAUUUAUUUUGAUUUUUAUCAUAAUAAUCAAUCAAGUAAAAAAUUUUUUAAGUAAUUCAUCAUUUUACUUUUUAUUUCAGUACAAUCUAACUCUUUUUUUUUUUUUUUUUUUCAAUCAUGAACCAAAAACCGCGUAAACUUUUUCAUUAACAAUAAAUUUUUGCACUAUCUAUGGAAUUGGGUGGGUGGAGCUAGUUAAACAACGUUGUCACCAGGUUGUUGUCUUAAAGAAACUUGGGUCAACAUUCCACGAACAGGACGCAACUAAAAGUACGCAGUUUUUCCAACACGUUAUUAAUUGAUUUGAUUUGAUUUGAGUUGAAUUGAAUAUUCUCUCUCUCUCUCUUUCCUUAAAAAAAACGAAUUAUUAAUUGCGGCAUCAAUAAAUCGCACGGACCCACAUGUAAUUCCCUCUCUUUUGCAUCAAAUUGAAUCCUACAUUUUGCCACUGUUUCAAAUAGGAUACAAUAUUAGGAUGAAAAACUCCAACAAAAUGUUUAUAAAAGUUACAUCUUUAUAUAUAUAAGAUAUUUAAACUUAUGUAAACUUAUGAAACUUGGUUGUUUACAGAAAAACUUUAUUUAACUUAUAUGAUCAUAGUUUAUUGAAUAACGUAACCAUUGUUAUGGGCCAACUCAUUUCAUGAAAUUUUACAGAGUAGAGUAGUUAAACGUAGGAUCCAAAUUAAAGCAAAUAUUUGUAUAAGUGAUAAUUAAUUGAAACAAGAAGCAAAGCGCAAACCGGAGAUUUUACUAUUUAGCUCUAAUUUUCUUUUGAUAAAAAAGUACAAAACUCUCCUAUGGAGCAUUUUGAAUUCGUUAUCUAAUCUAUCGGAAUUUUGAUUUUACUGUCGAUUCUUUUAAUUUGUUUAAUUUGAGUCGGCCAACGUUAUUUUGACUUUAAAUUUUGAGUGCGACAUUUAUUUUUAUAAAUUUAGAUGGCAUACUUAAUAUAAUUCUCAUAACUAUAAAUUUAUUAAAAUAAAUAAUUAGCUUAAAUUUUAAUAUCGUUUACUAAAUGAAAUCAAACAAAUUAAAAAAUUGAAUAGCUAAAUUAAAUUUUUGAUAAUUUAUGUACUUUUUUUUUUUUCGGUCUUUCCUAAAACACCGUAGACUGCACGAUCUCCCAACCGUCAGAUCACCAUCCAACGGUCACCCGCAAGGUCAGUGCCCUGUUGCUUUCGCCCUGGAUUAUCCCCGCUUUUCUUUUCCUGAUAAAGACGCGUAAAACCCCCGCGUAGAUCCUAUGCCGCGCCAGUCGAAGGAAAAUUUGUACUUCAACCAAUAGAUGUUCGCCACGUGUCCGCCUUCGCAGGCUUCUCGUGGGCGACGCGCUUGGUUUGGACCGUGGAAAAAUUACGCUAAAAAAGUAUUCUGUAUGUUCUCAUACGUAAUAGAUUUUUUUUUUUUUUUUUUUUACAUUUGGCCCUUUCAAUAAAUUUAUUUUUAUAAAUAAAUUUAUCAAAUUUAUAAUUAUAAUUUUGGUCUUAUUUUUGCAACACAGGUGUCACGUAGGGGUGGUAAUCCAGCUCGCUGUUCGCUAGCCAGUUCGUGUUCGGAUCGAAAUGAGCUCGAGAUCGAAUCGCUCGUUUAGUAAAUAAGUCGAACAUGAGCUGAAUUUUUCAACUCGUUUAAUAAAUGAGCCGAACACGAGCUGGGGUCAGCUCAUUCGUGUUCGGCUCGAUAACAGCUCAAAUACAUAUAUUUAAUUUAAUAUAAUUUAUUUAUUUAUAAUUUUUAAUAUAAAUAAAUAAUAUAUAUAUAUAUAAUAUUAUUAUUAUUUAAUUUUUAGCAAAAUAAAAUAUAUAAAUGCAAGCUUAAUUAUAAAAAGACUCGUUUAUAUGUAAAGUUCAACUAUUAGAUUAAAAUCUAAUGAAUAAGAUUUUAUAAAUUUUUAUUAUAUAUAUAUAUAUAUAUAUAUAUAUAUAUAUAUAUAUAAUAUAUAUAUAUAUAUAUAUAUAUAUAUAUAUAUUUAAUUUUUUUAAUUUAUUGUUUGUUGGCCGCUCGUGAGCCAGCUCGUGUUCGGCUCGUUAAUAACGAGCCGAACAUGAGCCGAAUUUUUCGGUCCGAUACUUAACGAGCCAGCUCGUGUUCGGCUCGUUUAUUCCCAGUUCGCCUGUGUUCGGCUUGUUUCACCCUUAGUGCCACGUAGACGCCACACGAGCAUGAGUGAAGGGGUGGAAUAAGUUGAAUAUGGUAUUUCAUUCACCGUGUCUAAACACGAAAAAAAUAUAAGAAUAAAAAAGAUGGAAUAUAAGUAUGAAUACGGUGAAUCAUUCACCGUUUUUUAACACGGUGAAUGAUUCACCAUGUUCAACUUAAUGUCUCUCCUUCGUCGGCUUAUGUGACGCUAAUGUGACACCUACGUGACGGGGAUAGGAUCAAAAUUAUAAUUAUAAAUUUUAUAAAUUAUUUAUGAAAAAAAAAAUUAACAGGCCAAAUACAAAAAAAACUCUACGUAAUAUCGCGUUUCGCAUAUCUUGAUGGGCCGAUUAGAAUAUAUUUUUUUUAUGACCCCAUCAAAAAAUACAAAAUAUAUCUCCACAUUUUUUUAUUCUGAUUUUAUUUUAUUUUAUUUAAUAGCGGUAGAGGAAUCUCGAUACAACCAAAAUAAGUCAAGCCGAAGAUGACGACUCCUCUCAAUUGCGUUUAGAAACCGAGAAAGCGAGCGCAAGACAUGUAAUAAAAAAAAAAAAAGGGAAAAAGGAAAAAAAAAAGAAAAAGAAAAAAGGAGUCCAAUUUCUCCGCCACCCGCUUUGACAACCAUGCAGCGUUUCGAAUCUCUCCCUCUCAGAGGCGAAAAACGCACCGAGCCCCCUCAACUAUAGAACACGGUAAAACAGCCACCACUCAUUUGUUUUCAUUCUUUUUUUUUUUUAAGAGAUAGGUAGCACGCUACCGCUUCGUUUAUUUCAUUUAGAAAUAAACUUAGCUGAAAAUAUGAAUCAACUAGUAUUCGAACUUGGGACCUCAGAUACCAACCACCAAACCCUUUGCCACUUGCUCUAGGGCCGGUCAGUCUCAUUUGUUUUCAUUCUUAGUAAUAAUUGUUUUUUUUUUAUUUUUUUUUGAGAGAUAGGUAGCACGCUACCCGCUUCGUUUAUUUCAUUUAGAAAUAAACUUAGCUGAAAAUGUGAAUCAACUAGGAUUCGAACUCGGGUCUCGAAUAUCAACCACCAAAUUCUUUGCCAUUUACUCUAGGGACGGUUGGUUCUCAGUAAUAAUUGUUGCCUGUAAAAUCUCCCGAACUCGGUGAUAUUGCAUAGGUACUCGUAUAAAUUUUAAAACAUCUUAUAUAUUUCUGCAAAGUUUGUUAGAACGUUUUAAAAAUACCUGUGCACUAGUCAAAAUUUAUGGUUUUCAAGUACAAAGACUAUUUGGUGCCCAUCGUAAUCAGCAAUGACCAUCAAUUGAUAUUUAAUAUAAAAAUAUUUAAAUGAUCAUUUUUUACUGGUUUAAAUUUUUAGAGUACAACGAUUGUUUCGUAUUGUUUAAUAUAGUAUAGCGAUAAAAAAUAUUAAAUAUAAAAAUAUUUAAAUAUAUCAUUUCUUAUUAGCUUAACUUUUAGAGUGGAGCGGUCGUAUUAUUUAAUAUAGUAUCAAAGCAGAAGAUUCUGAAUUCGAUUCACGUCAUGUUCCUAACAUUAUUGAUUUUUUUCUAUUUAAUUCAAGUCCAUAUUAUGGACCUAUAAAAAGCCUCGAGUACAAACUCUCGAGAGAGUGUUAAUAUAAAAAUAUUUAAACAUCGUUCUCUAAUAGCUUAAACGAAAAUAUAGCAUAGAUACUUAUAUAAAUUUUAAAAUAUUAUAUAUAUAUUUCUGUAGAGCUUAUUAGAAUGUUAUAAAGAUACCUAUAGAUUAGUCAAAAUUUAUCGUUUUCCAGUAUAAGGACUAUUUUGUCCCCAGCAUAAUCUGCAGUGACCAUAAAUUGGUAUUAAAUAUAAAUAUAUUUAAACACACCGUUCUCUACCAGGUUAAAUUUUUCGAGUAUAGCGGUUGUUUCGUAUUAUUAAACGUGAUAUAAAUAUGAGAGAGUAUUAAAUAUAAAUAUAUUUAAACACAUCAUUCUCUACUAGCUUAAGAUUUUAGAGUGCAAUGGUUGUUUCGUAUUAUUUAACAUGGUAUUAGAGUUAUUUAAUAUGGUAUUAGAGUAGAAGAUUCUAAGUUUAAGUCACGCCAGAUUUCCAGCAUCAUUAAUUUCCUACUAUUUUUCAAAUCUACGUCAUUGACCUAUAAAAAAUCUCGAGCACAGACUUAAGGGAGAAUGUUAAAUAUAAAAAUAUUUAAACACCGUAUUCUAAUAUAUAGCUUACGCUUUUAGAGUAGAACGGUUGUUUAACAAUUGAUGUAAUGAAAUCAAACUUUAUUAUUUUUUAUUUGUAAAUUAAGACUAUUUGAUCUUAAAAAAUAUUUUUUAUAUAAUAUUUUAAAUUUUAGAGAGAUAAAUAUAUAAUAUUCUAUCUGUACACUGAUACUAGUAGAAGUGUGCAUGCAAUGAACGCUUUUAUAUAAAAAACUGUUGAAUUGAGACCUCUUGUCUACUAAUAAAAAUUUGUUGAAUUGAGAUCUCGUCUACUAAUAAAAAUUUGUCAAUUUUAGUAGUUUGAUUAGUUAUUAAUGAUUAAUUAAUCUAAUUUUAUUUACUAAAAUAUAAUUAAAAUUAUCCAAUUUGAUAAAAGAAGUUGAUGGGUCUCAACCAAAGAGCCAAAAAGUUAGGAAUAUUUUUAUUAAUAAAAUUAAAAAAAUUAUAAUUGUAAAUAUAGUUUUUUUAAAAAAUUAUUUACAAAACCUAGUCUUAUGCGUUUUAAAUGCACUAUACCGUUUACUGUUUAAUAUUAUAUAGUUUUUGAAGUUCAAAUAUAAAAAAUAUAUAAAUAUAAAUUAGUAAAAGCAGUAAAUUAUUCACCAUAUAUUUUAAAGCUAAUUUUAGAAGUAAAAAUCUAGAACGUCUAUUUUGUAAUUAAAAAACUUUGGAGGAUUACUCUGCCAAAAACACCGAGGAGCCGAUUUCAGAAUGUGCUAUAGUUGAGGGAUCGUCAUGCAUUUUUUUCAACCUUUCCUCAUCUCCACACACACGCCACCGUGCGAUAUGCUUCUCCCUCUGCUUUAUAUUUCGUUCCCAUCUUAAACGUAUAUAUAAAAUAAUAAUAAUACAGUAGCGAUCGAGAGAGCGAGGGUUAUAUAUAUUUACAUUAUUAUUAUAAUAUAAUAAUAAUAAGAGCGUAGUAGAGUAGUGGGAGGAGGAGGAGGAGGAGGAGGAGGAAGAAGCGGCGGAGGAGAUGAAGUACUUGGUGGAGGUGGAGAAGGGGAGGGAGGGGGUCGAUGGUGGGCCCUCGGUGGGGCCCGUUUACCGGAGCGUCUUCGCUGAGGACGGUUUCCCGCCGCCGAUCCCCGGCCUCGAUAGUUGCUGGGAUGUUUUCCGGUAAUUUUACGCCAUUGAUCGUUUAAUCUACUGGAGUUUGUGGCAAUCUCUUACUUUUCGAGUUACUUUUUUGGCGAUCUAUUCGCGUUGGAUCAUUAGUCAUUGUGUUUAAGUUGAUUUGAGGUGAUUUGUGGCGAUUUUUGUUUGAUUUUGGCUUGUUUUAUUUUUUUAGAUCAAUUGUUGAAGUUGCCAUCUUUUUAGUUUGAAUCAAAUUAAAUUAGUUUUUUUUUCGAUUUUUUUUUUCAACAUCUGUGAUCUAGUAUGGCGGUGGAGAAGUAUCCGAAUAAUAGGAUGCUCGGUCAGCGUGAGAUUGUUGAUGGAAAGGUAUGAACUUUAUGAUCCGUGGUUAAUUACAUUUUCUAUAAGUUUAUAUUUUGUUUACACUGCUUAUUUAUUUUUAUUUAUUUUUGUUUUUUGUUUUUGAGUUCAAAUUUGUGUUGUUUUGAUGUGUACUUAAUCAGGCUGGUAAAUAUGUUUGGAAGAGUUACAAAGAAGUGCAUGAAAUUGUUAUGAAAGUUGGGGCUUCGAUUCGGAGCUGCGGAGUUGAGCAGGUAAUUAACUAAUUAGCAUGUGAGAUUAUACUGGAAAAUGUGGAGCUGUGGAUAUUUAUAUUGUUUGUGAUUUUCUGUACUAUCCACUUAAGUCGUUAUGUGCUCUUUAUUGAAUAGGUUAUGGGUUUUGAGGGGGUAUUGUGUACUUGUUUUUGCAAAGCUAGUUCAUUUAUCCUGUAUAAAUUUUAGUGUCCAUGAAUGUUGUACCAAUCACAAAUUUAUUUUGUCCAACCGACUUAGUUUGGAGAUCGUUGAACGACUAAAUCCGAUGUUUCUUUAAUAGGAAAUGCAAUUUUUGUUGAACGACUAAAAUUGUAGUCAACAAGUUACCAGUUCUACCAAAGCAGCAUACCUCACCUGCGUAUAAAUGACGAAAUCGGCCUCGCAUAUCCUCUUUUAUUUGUUCGUUUACUCGUAGAAAUAGUGGCUAAAUAGUUUAGAAAAGAAGAACACAAGUUUUAUGCAUGGUAGCUGGUUAAUAGUGGUUCAUGCUGGCUAAGUUUUGCAAAUCAAAGGGAUUGUCAUUGAAUCCUUUUUUCUUUUGGCAACUAUGCUUACUCUGUACUCAAGAUUGAGCUUCGUUUGUUCCAAUAAACACUGCAGUUAUUAGAAUCAAAAGCUCCCACUUUUGGACAAUUGGCUGUAAUUUUAAGUCUAGUCGCUUGCAUUUUCUUCACUUGUGUGGAUACUUUAUCUUUCCUGCUCCCUAUUGUUUGCUAAAAUCAUGAUUGUUCCACUGCUGAGCUUUCAUUAGUUUGUAGGCAUAGUUGGGCUCUUAAAUAGCAAAUUAGAUAAACUUUUUUGGCACUCAUUGUUGAGCUUCUGAUUGGUCCUUGGCAGGGUCGUCGUUGUGGUAUCUAUGGUGCCAAUUGUCCUGAGUGGAUGAUCAGUAUGCAGGUAUAAUCCAUUCAAAUAUCUCUUUUUUUUUUUUUUUUUUGGAACUACUUUUAUUCACAAUGCUCUUUUCGGUCAUUUUCUUCUUUUAGCAAAGUCAACUUGUGACAAGUCUUGUUAUUUCUCAUUCUUUAUCCAUAUAUUCUGCAGGCCUGUAAUGCUCAUGGGAUUUAUUGCGUUCCCUUAUAUGAUACUCUUGGUAGGUGUCUUGCUUUUAAUUGUGUGAAAUCAUUUUGGUUUAUUAUGGCUCUUUUGACAGUUUUCUCUUAUGUGCACAACAAGAUUGCUUAACUAGCACUAAUCAUAAUAUUCUUAGAACGUAACUCAAUUUUCUUCUGAAUUGAGACUACGAACUGUAACAAUUUUGUCUUGGUUCUAGGUGCUGGUGCAGUAGAAUUCAUUUUAUGUCAUGCAGAAAUUCAGAUUGCUUUCGUGGAGGAAAAAAAGAUUGGAGAGGUACAUAUCCUUGAGUUGUUUUAAAGAUGUUGAGUGGAGGGUUAUGACGGUGGUGUUGUUGUUCUCUUAUUUUUAAGAUGAUGUUGUGUACUGUUAUGGUAAAGGCUUGACAAGUGUGCCUAGUGGCUAAGGCAGCAGCCUAUGCAAUAUUUUGCAUUUUUUUCUUUUGGUUAUAGAAGGGUGAUAAAGUUGUCGUAUAUCUUGUCCCAUCCUGGCCCUACAUUACUAAGAGCCUGUUUGUCAGAAGCUGUUGUUAUAUAUUUGUGUUGGCAUUUUCUUUUUCUAGAUGAAGCAAGUAAUACCAGAUCCUUCUAUUUUACAGAUGCUGAAGACCUUCCCCAAUUCAACCAAAUUCUUGAAAAGUAAGUUGCCUGUGGCUCAUCUAGAUCCACCAUUUAAUGUAAUAUGUUCCUCAAUGUGAUCAAUAUCAUUGUUUUUUGUGCAGCAAUUGUGAGCUUUGGCAAGGUAAACACGGAACAAAGAGAAGUGGCGGAGAAACACGGUUUGGCAUUCUAUUCUUGGGAUGAUUUUUUGCAGCUGGUAAGACUUAAAUUUGAGGUCUCGUCAAUGUGAAAUGAUUUUUCAUGUCUCAAGUAUACCUUCUUGUGGUGUCGGUAGAUUAAAAAGGCAAAUAAGUAUUUGCAUUGUCCUGUGUAAGAAAUCUGCCAAUUUUCAUUUAACAGAUACCAUUUACUUGCAUCAAAAUUAUUUGACAUAAGGAAAUAACCUGCUUAUAAGACGAUACUUCUGCUCUUUGUACAGUUUGCUAUGCUAUCCAAAAUUUUAGUCCAUGUUUAAUCCUUUACUGGAAUUCUUCUAUUUUGCUGGUAAUGACAUGUAUUGUAAUCUUAAGAAGUUUGAUGGUUUCGUACUUGUAGGGAGGUAGUCAACAGUUUGAUCUUCCAGUGAAGGAAAAGGCAGAUAUAUGUACUAUAAUGUAUACUAGUGGAACAACUGGUGAUCCCAAGGGGGUAAUGAUCUCCAAUAGAAGCAUUCUCUCUCUUAUUGCUGGUGUGAAUCGACUGCUUCAUUGUGUGAAUGAACAGGUGAGUUAUGUUUAUACCUUGUCCUUUUACAGAUGUUAAUCCUAAUUGUUGUCUAACUUGCUUUUGUCCUUUUUGAUUUUUGUGCAGUUGCAUGAAUAUGAUGUUUAUAUGUCUUAUCUUCCCCUUGCGCAUAUCUUUGACCGGGUGAUUGAAGAGUUGUUCAUUUUUAAUGGUGCCUCGAUUGGAUUUUGGCGUGGGGUAAGCUUCAACCCAAAUGUACUGUUUUCUUGCUGUAUAGACAUAGGACCCUUGAUUAGUUAAAAAUUUUGUCUUCAGGAUGUUAAAUUGUUAGUUGAGGACAUUGGGGAGCUGAAACCAACGAUAUUCUGUGCUGUUCCACGUGUGCUGGAACGGAUUUAUACAGGUAUAAAGUAUGAAUUUAAUUAUACCAAACCAUCAUAAAGCGAGAUAAAUAAGUUUUGACGCAUACUAUUCCUAAAUGUGCAAACUUGCAUUAUGUGGAUAUUUUUGCCUUUAUCAUGCAUCUUCAUGGUAUUCCUCUUGAUCUCCCAACUCCGUUUCCUUUUCUUUGUUUGUCUAAAUUUCAUUCACUUACACAGUUUACAAGUCUCAUGAGGCCGUUUCCUAGUAUAAUAUAAGGCAGAGCUUUAUAGGGCAGAUUUCGGAUGCCUUGACUGAUAUAUAUGUUGGCAUUUUUGGGGGUGAUUAGUGAGGUGCUAGAGAUACCUGUUAUGACUACCAUACUUAGUCUGUCCAUUCUAGUUACUUAAUUCUUCUAGUCUGGUUGAUAAGCUAUAUGUGAUGUAUAUACAUAGACAUCUUGAUAUGUCUGCUCUGUCUACUGAGUGUAAAAUUGGUUUUUAUUUCUAUGCCCAUUCUCUGGCACCAAAUAACAUUUUAACUCAAGAACUACUAGCACUUGACAUCUUUUGGUUGGCUGCUACUUUUCAGGAUUGCAAGAUAAGAUAUCUUCUGGGGGCUUACUGAAGCAUACAUUGUUUAAUGUUGCUUACAAAUAGUAAGUUUUGUACAUACUUUAGUCUACCAUUGCGAAUUUCCGUUUUGGCAGACGCAUAUAUCUUUUGUAUCCUUGUUAUUUUAUUUCUUCCUUCCCUCGUUACAUAGUGCUGUGAAGUUAUGCAGAUGUGUAUAAGUUGUGAAGGGGGAUUCCAUGUUUUUCAGAAUUACAACUUAUUAUUCUGGAUAAUUUGUUUCCUUCUGGAAAGUUAAGCUAUUUUCAGUGAUGGCUUAUUGAUGAUCAAUAUUCUUUGCGAUUCUACAGCAAGCAAUUUAACAUGUUGAGAGGGAGUAAGCACGAGGAUGCUGGUUUUAUUGUUGAUAAAGUAGUUUUUAAUAAGGUAAUUGUAAAGUGCAGCUGUUCUUUGUCCAGAUAUUUUAUCUUCUUAUUGGUUGUCCUCCUAGUAUUUUUUUUUUUUUACUUUCUCACAUGUUUUAUUUCCACAUAAAGGUAAAAGAAGGACUAGGUGGGAAUGUUCGUCUAAUCUUAUCUGGAGCUGCCCCUCUAGCUACACAUGUUGAAGAAUUUCUACGUGUGGUGUCAUGUGCCCAUGUUCUACAAGGCUACGGUAUGCAUUGCUGCAUAGCUGCGUCGUUUGCUUUAUACUGAAUAAACUGAAAAGUUCUGUUUGAGUGCACCGUAUGUAUUGGAUUUUACUCCGUGUUUGCUCUCGUCUUGUAAAUAUUGAUUUGACUUUCUUGAUUCAUAUAAAAAAUUGAUUAAUUGAUUCCAAUCUCUUUUUAUCUUUUUAGGUCUUACGGAGACCUGUGCUGGGACCUUUGUGUCAUUGCCAAAUGAAAUGUCCAUGUUAGGAACUGUGGGCCCACCAGUACCAAAUGUUGAUGUACGCCUGGAGUCUGUUCCUGAAAUGGGGUAUGAUGCUCUUUCAGAAUCAUUCCCUCGUGGUGAAAUCUGCAUCAGAGGGGAUACCUUGUUCUCGGGAUACUAUAAGCGUGAAGAUCUCACAAAGGAGGUUCUGACUGGGGGGUGGUUCCACACUGGUAUGCCUAUUUCACUAUACAACCUUUUAUAUGAUAUUCUGUGGUAGAAAAGGGUGAAGAAAUUCAUUGAAGCCAACAACCUUUUAUUGUUGUAACUCUGUACCUAGGUUGCAUCUCUUGUUUUUCAUGAAUGUUGCUGCUUCUCAGAUCGAGUAUCUAAUGCGUCUCUGUUGAUCUUUGUUGCUAGGUGACGUUGGAGAGUGGCAGCCAGAUGGAAGUAUGAAAAUCAUUGACCGGAAGAAAAACAUUUUUAAACUUUCACAAGGAGAAUAUGUUGCAGUUGAAAAUUUGGAGAACAUUUAUGGUCUAGUACCUGCUAUAGACUCGGUAUAUCUUGUGAACCAAGAAAUUCUUUUAUAUUGUCAUUCAAAAGUCAUCUUCCAUUCUGGUUACUCUAAUGUCAUCCAUGAGUUUCUUUUCCCAUUGGUUUGAUUGCCUGACAUUAUUGUUUUCUGAACAUCUUUCACUUAGAAGAUGAUACAUAGUUUACCUACUGCUGCCGUAAUUUACAACAGACCCUACAAUGUGACCUUUUUGGUGUCCUAUCUUUGCUGUGUUGAACAGUAUGUGCUUCUGUACAUAUUGCUUGUCGGUGAUUAGAGAGGCAUUUGUUAAAUUUAAUAUGAAAAGUAUUUAAGCUUGCACGAAGAAUCUUUGAUGAAAGAAAAAUAAAAUUGUGAGACCUUAGAUAAUCCUAUAUAUAAAAUAUGAUAGGGCUAAAACUCUUAACCCAGCUAUAGCAUUUUGAGUGGUGGCUAGGUCCAAGAAGUUAAAAGAGUUAAGCGUGUCAAGUCUAGAAUAGUCCUAGGAUGGGUGACCCUCUGGGAAGCGGGGCGUCACAGAAAUCAUACUAGUAAAUAUAUAACAGUGCGUGAUAAGCACGAGAGGACAUGUAAGCUGAGCUACUGUAAGGUGAACUUGAUAUUAACUAGUACAGAAUGGGUAUUAUAGAGAUUUAAAGUUAUGGAACUCACAGAUUUUAAGUUGAAUAUUAGUUUGGUAUGGUUAGUUGUUUGGCUCAACCAUAAUAUCUGCCGGCCAAGCCGAAUGUUCUCGCAUAUUUUUGAGGUACUUGGAUGUGAAUUUAUGACUAUAAUGUUCACCUCAUACUUAAAAUCUUGUGCACGAGUUGUCUGUUAGCUCUUUUGUAAUUUCUACUGAGUUAUCAUAUCCUGCAAGAAUUACCAGCUUCCUUUAUCCUUAAUUAACAUCGUAAAGUUUGUUUGACCAAAUUUUUUCCUCAUAUUGCCUCAGAUUUGGAUCUAUGGAAAUAGUUUUGAGUCCUUCCUUGUUGCUGUAAUUAAUCCCAAUAAGCAAGCUCUCGAGUGCUGGGCUGAAGCAAAUGGAGUAAGUGGGGACUUUGCCGCACUAUGUGAGAAUCCUAAAGCAAAAGAAUUCAUUUUGGGAGAACUUUCGAAGAUCGGUAAAGAAAAGAAGGUAGGUUUUGACAAUUCCCAGUUCACUCUUUCUAUCAUUAUCGUUAAUUUUUAACCCUUCAGCAGAACUUCAUAUUAAAAUUCUUAGAUAUGUUUAUGUCACUUUUCAUGCUUUUGACAGCUUAAAGGAUUUGAGUUCAUAAAAGCUAUUCACCUUGAACCUGUACCAUUUGACAUGGAUCGCGACCUGCUUACUCCAACAUACAAAAAGAAGCGUCCGCAGCUGCUCAAGUAUUACCAGGUACCACCGCAUCACGGAUAUCCAGCGAACUUGGAAAAACAUAUUUUGCACAUCAUAUGAAAAGUUCGAUCUGAUAUUCUGCAAAACGUAUUCCCUUUUUCAAGUUCUCCGAUUACACCCAUUUGAUCCUCGACUAACUAUAUACUGUUUAAUUCACAGAAUGUCAUCGAUAACCUAUACAAAAGCGCCAAAUGAGGUAUCAGGGCAAGAAUUCCUUCGAUUCGAAAGAAGCUUCCAGCACUUGCUGCCAAGGACUCUCUGUCACUGCAUCUUACAUUCGGAACAAUCAUGAAUAGCUCUAAUGUAAAUAUCAAUAUACUACUGAGACGAGGUGGUGAAACUAAUUUUCAUUAUCGUGUUCGUGCAUAAUAUAGUACAAAGUCUUUGGCUAACAAGAUCAACAUCUUUAUUGAUACUCUGAAGGCCAUAGCUGCUUCCAAAGUGUGUGAGAUGAUUCUACCCAUUUGGUUGUUCACAAUGGAUUGAUCAAUAAUUGCUGCUCUUGGAUUUCUGUUCUCUCUAGUUUCUGUUUAGGGUCAGAUUUUCUUAUAUUUUUACUUGUUUAAGGGGUGUCAUAAGAACGAUGUAAUGCGCGCUGGAGAUGAAUUAUAGAUCUGAUUUAACAUUUAAUUUUCUUGUAUAUGGUUAGGGUAAUUGAAUGAUCUUGUCAUCCUUUUCACCUGAGAUUCUUACUGGAAAUUUCUCAAUAGUUCCCGCACCCCUCCUUUCCUAGCCUGUUUUAAUCAGAAGCAAAUUAAGCUUAUACUGAGGAUGAUCUUAUAUUGUCCCUUUUCUCUAAUAGACCUUAUUAAAAAACAUUUCAUUUGACAUGCUAUUUUUAAGUAGCUAUAGCCAAAAAAAAAAGAAAAAAGAAUAAACCCCCAAUUCUUAUUCUACACAAUUUCUUUCAUACGUGGAGACAAUAUUCUCCAAUUUCCCAAGCCUCGGUUGUUCAGUGCAAUUCUGAUAUGAUCUCCUUUUCCGAGGAUGGUUGCUCGUUCAACCGCUGUACUCUUGAUUAGAUAUUUCAUCCCUUUCAACUUUUUGAUUAUAUUAUACCCCUUUGCGGUCAAAUGUAUCCAGAUGAAUUCGAGUUGGACUAAGUCCAAAUCCAACAUUUGGCGAACUCGUAUUAGUAGUCUCAUCGAACACGGAUGUUAUUUUCCAACCCAUUUUAACACCUAAUAUAAACCAACCACCGCAAUUGUAUGAUGUCAACAUAGUCAACCGUGCUUUAUAGAUUGCGUAAUACGCUGGAAUAAUAACGCAAGAGGAUUACUCAACGGGUCAAAAAGAAGGUAUAUGCCUUUCGUAUAGUUUUAAUACAUGUAGGAAUUGAUCGUUGCAAAAUUGAUGAUUAGAGUCCAUGAUUUGAUAUUUUUAUGUUGUGCACUCAUGAGAACAUGACACCUUGCCCCUAAGAAGCAUCCGACUGAAAAAAUAAAAAUUCAAGGGAAACUAUUUACUUACAGAAACUGUAUUGGGAUUUGUUGAUAUUGGUAAGCAUGAGUUUUGAAGUAGAAGCAAGGUAUAUAUAUUAAAUAUCCCAUUAAAGUUGUGAAGAUCAUGACCAGGUGCCUUUUUGGCUGCGCGGUCGAAUUGCGCAAAAAGCACUUUUGAAAAAGCUCUGCAAAAAAUACUUUUGAAAAAGCUCUACAAGAAGAGUUUACUCUUGAGAAAGCUCUACAAGAUGUGUUUUCUCAAAAAACAGGCUCCAAAACAUUACAAUCUAUACAACACAUUAUCAUUUAAAAAAAAAUAAAAUUUAUUAUCGUACUUUCCGACCGCACACUAUACUUAUUUUUUAAAACGGAUCCCAAAUGAGACCUUAAAAUAGUGCAUAUGCUUUAUUUUUGCGCAAUUUGCACUUAAACAAACUGCGAAUUUAAGAUGGUUUAUAUCUCAGAUUUGUGGUGCCAAUUACAACACUUUAGACAUCAAAUUUGUGGCGACAGAGAGAAUAAAAUCUCGGCCGCAUCCAAUUACCAGUUCCAUCAGAAGAGAUAUAUACACAUCAUUAGACUACCACUAAUUCACAUAUUAGCCCCUUCACACCUCCAUAAAAAUAAAAAAUUAAUAUCAAAUAAAAACAAAGACAAGCAAUACAUUGCGGAAAACAACUUAAACCAGAGCUUUCCAUUCCUUGCACGGCUCAGCACUGUUAAUGGUAUCAUACAUCGAUUAGAGCCCCUCCACCAUGGGAUUUCCCGUUUAGUAAUCCACUCAAAAAGUAAAAAGAACAAAUAUAUAGCCUAGAGAAAGCUUCGUUUUUUAAAUCAUCUAGACUUGUUAUGUAAUCUUCUCAACUCGACGACUACCACGCUAAUGUUGUCUUUACUCCCGCGAGACAUCGCCAGCUCCACCAGAAGAGCGGCGGCGUCGGCAGCGGUGCGGCCGCUGACGGCGUCAGGGAACGCCGCGGCCAUCCGCCCGCUAAGACAGUUUCUUGUUAUCUUGCACGCGACUUCGUUCGACACCACGUCCCACAGCCCGUCGGUCGCCAAGAUGAGGAACUCGUCCUUGUCCGUCCGGUCCAUAACGUUGAUCUCGGGCUCGGAUAUCACGUACGGCUUGAGAUAGUAGUCGCCUGCAGAAUUAACCCCCAAAAAAGACGAUUAAUCUCAUUCUUGUUCUUUCUACUUUUACGGACACUUCUGUAAAUUGCGGCUCGGAGUAACAAAAAACACAAUCUAUGAAUGCUUAAUAUAGUUCGCAGGGAAAAUUUGUUCAGUGAUUUUUCAAAGUCUAAUUCGAUGGUUGACUCCUUUUUUACUUCAUUCGUAUAGUAGCGGUAGCACGUGUAAUGGUAAUUUAAUACAGUUGUGAGAUCAAGGCAAACUAAUAGCAACAGUGCAAUUCCAAUUAUAACACUUUCUAAUUUUUCACACGGGCGUCUAGUAAUAUACCUAUUGAUCUAGAAGUGGCUAGGACUCCGAGGACGCGAUAACCAUUCCAGUUGAUCACCCUGCCACCAGCUGCUUCCACCCUCUCCAUCUCAUCUGGUCUAUCAGGCUGCACAGGUAGAGAAUUAUCAUAAACUAUAUGUUUAUAUCAAAGGGCUAAAAUCAGAUCUAAAACAUAAGACUAAACUUGAUACAUGUAAAAGAAAGGCAUAAAAGUGACAACUCAGAAUAAACUAUGCAAGCACUCGAAGCGUCAUAUAUCUCAUCCACCGCCCUCCGUCAGUCCUCCAUCCCUUCUCACAUUUUAAUCCCAAACUUGAAGAUUUUGUCUGUAUAGAAGUUGGAAGAUUCGGAAUAAAAUGCAAGAUAGAGUGGAAAGCCGACGCUCGUCAUUUUGUUAAACACUGGGAAGAGAACGAGCUACAUAUCAUGUGACCGAUUAGUUCACCAGAGAGGGCACUAAUUUGACCUAGCAUUGUGCUAUUGUAGUUAUGUCAUUCCACUAGUUCAGAGAUAAAACGUGUUAGCAUAACAAACAAAGUCAUUCAUUAGCUGUUUUUGUUUGUUGCCAUUGAACAACUUAUAUUCAGCUUUAUACUUGGUUACACGAGGGCAGGGAUAGGCUUGUUUGUUAAGCGAGCUGAGCUUGAGCUUUAGCUCAACUGGCUUGCAUUCCAAAUAAGAAAUAAAUAGAGAAAAUAUUGCAAAUAUAUAACAGUACAGUAUCGUCACGGAAAAAAAAAAAGAAGCUAAUUUACUGCUCUUUGUUAAACCAGCCAUGACUCGACAUUGUAUGAGCUAGCUCGAACUCAGCUCCAUAAUAAGUGAGCCAGGCUUGAGCUCAUCUUAGGAAGCUCAUGGAUACCCAUAGUUGAUGAAAAUUAGGGGCCCUUUGGUCAGGCACGAAAUGGUCCCGGACCACGGGUAAUGAUUUUCAGUUCAGAAACUUCCGCAAGAUUUUGUUUGCUCAUGAGUACUGGAUAGUCUGUUUCCGCACAACUCACACCUGACCAAGAGACCAGCUCACAUGAGCGAGCUGUGCGUGCGCACGCGCGCGCUCUCUCUCUCUUUCUCUCUCAACAGCAUAUAAAAUAUAAUGUAUAAUAAUAUAGUAUAUUAUUAUACGGCAAAGGGCUUAGUGGUUGGUACUCGAGACCCAAGUUCGAAUUCUAGUUGAUUCACAUUUUCAGCUAAGUUUAUUUCUAAAUGAAAUAAACGAAGUGGGUAGCGUGCUACCUAUCUCUCAAAUAUAUAUAUAUAUAUAUAUAUAUAUAUAUAUAUAUAUAUAGUAUAGCAAGAAAAUUAGAAUUAAUUAAUUUUAUUGCUUCGUAUUUCUUAUAUUAUAUUAUUAGUCGUAUUAUGUUAUAGUACGUCAUAUAAUAUGAUCUAAAAUUACAUCCGUAUAUUGCAUUACAUUUUGUUAUAUUGCACAUUUAUUUUUACAUGCCUCAUGCAUAUAUUUAUUUUAUGUAUAUCUUAAGCAUAAUAAAAAAUAGAAGACAUUAUUAGGUGAUGACCUCACAAUUUCGAUUGGAGGUACUGAUAACCCAAUUUUCCAAGCGGCAAGGGACCACAAAACUGUUUCUAUCUACUUUUCUUGCAAACCAAACAAUACACCUCGAAAACUGUUUUCACCCUAUGCAAACCAACAACUGCCGUUUCCCUUACAACGGAAAUCCUUUUCCCCUAAAGAAGGUUUUCCAUGGCAUUACAUAGAACCAAAUAACCCUAACCCCAAAUUAAAUAAAUAGGCACAUUCUCUCCUACCUUUUUUUUUUUUUGGCUUAAUUAUAAAAACGUCGUUUGCACUUUACAAUGCGUCUCAAGUACUAUCCUGUGUAAAAAAAUUUAAACAACGGAAACCACGCACUUUAGUCUUGUGUCAAAUAGAUUCAAUAUUUAUGAGAUUUUCUUAAUUUUUGAUGAAAGUAUGAACGAUGAAAAAUAUGACAAGAUCGCUUGAUGUUAAAAACGCUUAAAUUCCUACACACGAAUGCUGUUAUAUAAUUCUCUUUUAGGUUUUGACAUCCGAAGGUGUGCCUAAAAGAGCUUAAAAAUCGUGUCAUCUCAGUAUGUCACUGUUAAAAUUAAUGAAAAAUUGUAACAGAAGGACCUAAGUUGAGACAAAACUAGAGUGCAAAGUCGACAUUGUUUAAGCCUCUCUCUCUUUUUUUUUUUCUUCUUUUCCCUCCCGAUAAUUUAGAUAAUGCUUAACAGCGAAUUUAGUUUUGCAUUUAAUGGUCAUUUUUGCUCAAAUCGCACACACAUCAUAUAGUACAUACGAUGAACACACACCAAAAAAAAAAUGUGAAUUUUUUUUAAAAAAAAAAAAGGAAAAAGUGGGGAAAAAAAUGGGAUCCCAAUGUUUGUGAGGCAAGGGGGGUGGGGUUUAGAAAGUCUUAAUUGAGGGGACUCGGGGGAGGUAGCACUUAGCAGGUGUCUAAGCCUCGCACUUCUGGGAUUAAAAAAAAAAAUAAUAAUGAAUUAUAUAUGGGUAUUGACAAGAGAAUGAGGCAAAACUUAUCCUUAAACUAGUUCAGGAGCCGUACGUGCGUCAUAGAAUUGUUUUCUACCGCUUCUUUUUCUGCUUAAAAAUUUAAACAAUCACAAUAAUAAACGGAAACAUUCUCACUUUAUGAAACGGAUGCAUACGAAAUGCAAAGGGAAAUAAAAUCAAACGCUCUUUCGAACCCCUCACGAGGACUCCAAGUAGAGAUAAGGAAUUAAUAAAUUCAAUUAAAUUAAGUUGAGGAGAAGAGGUAUACCUUGUGGUCCGAGGAGAGGGGGACGGCGACGCCGCCGCGGGAGAGCACCGCCCUCGAGUCGCCGCAGUUGGCGACGACGAUGCGCCGCGCCCCCACCACGGCCACCACCGCCGUGGAGCCCACCGUCUUCUCCGCCGCCCCCGAUCCCCCUCCCUCCGCCGCCUCCGACACCUCCCCGUCCACCCUCGCGAAGCUCGCCGCCAUCGCCGCCCUCCACCUCCCCAGCUCCUCAUCCUCCUCAUCAUCUCCCAGCGCCAUCGCCAUCGCCAUCUCCAUCUCCAUCUCCUCUUCCCCCUUCACCGGCGUCGCCCUCCGCCGCCGGCGACGCUUCGCCGCCUCCUCGGCGAGCACGACGUGCAUCCGAUCCCGGCACGCCUGAGCCACCCGCGCCCCGCCGUGACCGUCGUACACCCCGAAGAAGUCGUACCCCGCCGCCGCCUCCGGCGACCCGGCGAACCCCAGCGCCACCGUCACCGCGUCCUCCAUCUCCCUCCGCCGCCCGAUCACCGACACCUCCCCGUGCGACAGGCUUGGGAAACCUAUCCCGGCCGCCGCCGCCGCCGCCAGGAUCCCCACGGCGGGGCCCUCCCCGUCCGGAUCUGACGCCGCCGAGGUCGGCGACGACGAAGACGACGACGGCGACGAGGAGGAGGAGGAGGACGAGGACGACGACGGCGGCGGCGAAUCGGGCUUCGCCUCACGAUUCCUCAGCCGCUUAGCGGACCCCGUUAGGGCUUCCGAUUUCAUGCGGCGGAGCGCCGCCCUCCGGCGACGCGCCGACGAGGAGGACACUUUGCACGGGGCCCCCUCCAAUUCCUCGCCGCAGCAAACGGGUACGGCCCUCUCGCCCUUGUCCUCGUCCUUUUUAUUGUCACUAUCUCUCGUUUUGUUCUCCAUCGCUCCCGCUCCAGCUCCCGCUCAUCGCUUGCGUUACAAAGCGAGGAAGAGAAGAGAGGGAAUGAGGCGAGAGAACAUUAUUAAUAGAGACGCGCGCGCGCACACGCCUCUGCGAUAGGUUAGCUAGGAACGGGAGAGAGAGAGAGAGAGAGAGAGAGAGAGAGAGAGAGAGAGAGGACGACGACGACGCAGGGCGCGCGAGUAAGNACAUGCAUUGGAGUCCACGUUAGAAGAGGCAAGGAGUAACAUAUUGUGUGGCCACGCCAAGUCAUUAAUUCAUGCGGCCUGAUAAUUACUUGCAACAAUCUGGUACUUACUUAAAUAUUGCUUGUUAAAUGGUCAUAGCUCUGUUGGAUACCCAUGAUAAAUUAGUGCAAAAGUUAAAUUUGUAUCGAAUGGCGUUUGACUUAAACGAAGUAGUUUUCUGACCUUCACUUUAUCAUAUAGCACUUUAUCAUGAGUGCAAAAGCCAAAUUUGUUCUUAUGUUUUAUUGAACCUUAAUUUGCAAAUUUAGUCAUGAUACUUCAUUGAAUUCCCUCAUUUUUUAGAAAAUGCACCCUCUUUCCCUAGGCAUAAGAGGACAUAAAAUAGAUAUCUAUUAUGUCUUUAAAAUGUAUGAUAUGGGACGGGCCUAUAUUUAUGCUCGUGAUCUAAUUCUUGAUUUAUGUAAUGAAUGGGGGGAAAAAAUAAUGUUAAGUUCAUUCUUGCUAGUUUAGAGGAUUAUCCACUUUCAAUAUUUAAUUUUUUUCUAUUCUCAUCUGUGUUCAAAGGCUGCUGGAAUUAAUGUUCCUAUAUUGUUGCAUUAUUUUUUAUAGAGGUAAAUAUUUUUUUUUUUUUUUUUUUUCUUGAGAGAGAGAUAAAUAGCAUAUUUUUUAUUUUAUUUAUUUUAUUAAAAAAUAAACUUAAUUAGAAAUGUGAAUCAAUUAGAUUUCUAACUUGAAAUCUCAUAUUCAUAAAGUUAUUUGCCACUUACUGUAGGAACGAUCGGUACCUUAUUCAAAAAUUUAUUAUUUACUAUGAUAUGGUAAUAUAUCAAAAUUUUAUGGACAUGCCUAUGGAUCGAAAAGAAAACCUAAAUAUCAACAAACUAUACUAAAAGAUAUUGAUAUUGAUCUUUUUAUCUUUUUUUUUAUACUUUAUAAAAUUAACUGUUUACCACCUAAUUUAUUUUUAGGUCAAAGAAUUUUGAAACCCUGUAUGUAUAACUUUAGAAGUUGAAUCUUGAAUUUCAAACUUACUAGGUAAGUGAACGAAGAAUAAAUCUAGAUUAGUACAGAGAAUUGGUAAAGGUUCUUAAUAUAGGUGUUUUUUUUUUUUUUUUAAGUAACACUUGAGCAUUUGUUCACUAGAUGACAUUAUAAUUUUUUGUUUGGUUCUGAUAUUGCUUAUAUUUUUAGUUAUAUUGGCGAUUUGUAAAAUUUGAUCAGCAGUAAGUAUUAAAAUUAUGAUUUUAAGCAUGAAGAACAAAAAAAUCAAUUUGAGUAUAUUUAUAAAUUCAAUAUAUUUCCUUUUCUUAUAUUGCCCUAUAUAUUAUGAACUAGUGCCAUACAAACCCUUAAUCCUGGAAAUUUUGAAUAACAUGUCUAUCAAGUGUACACAUCAAAAGCAUUUAAAAUAUCUACGUACUGAUGUAAAUAAUGUGUUUGUACAAUAAAAAUUUUACCUGUCAGUUUUUCAGACUAAUAAAUAUUUAAAGCCUUUUUAAAAAAAAUAAUAAUAUUUAAAACCUUCUUAGGCUAAAAAUAUAUAAAAAAAAUUCUAUUUGCAUAUUUUAUUUUAUUAGUGAGGUCUAAGUUGUACAUCCAUUAAUUAAAAAAUUUUAAAUUUUUAUAUAAAGAAGGUUAAAUUACAGAAAUUUUUUUUUCAAUAUCCGCUUUUUCAUUUUUCUUCUCUGAUUUUUAAAAAUCUAUAUUUUUCUCUUAAAAAAUAAAAAAAUAUUCAUAGAAAAAUACGGUGUUAAUUGUAACAAUAAAAAACCAAAUUGUCCUCUCCUUAUUCGCUUCCUACCCAACUUUCCUCCAUCCGUAGCCCCUCCUCCUCCAUCCUGCUCGCCAGCUCUCUUGAUUCGAGUUGCAACUUUGCUUACUCCAUGUUCUCUUCUUGCACUAUUGCCGUCCCUUCAUUUUGGCGAUGGUGAGGAGAAGGUCGGGGUGAGCGCGAAUGAAAGGGUGUGUGAGGGCUAGGCGACGAAUGAAAGGGGGCGUGGUGGCGUGGGCGAGUAGGUUGUCAGCGAGGAAGGAGGCAACACUGCUGAGAGAAAAAGCUUAAGGAUAUUUUGAAUAUAAAAAAAUAAUAAUUCAACAUAAAUAAAAUGCUAAUGAAAUACUGACGGGGAAAAUCAAAGUGAAUAUUUAUUAUUUUUUUAAUAAAAUAAUGUUAAAUAUAAAAAUAUUUAAAAUACCGUUCUCUAAUAGCUUAAACUUUUAGAGUACAACGGUUGUUUCACAUGAUAUCAGUGCAGGAGAUUUUAAUUUCGAGUCACGUCAGACUCCUAGCAUAUUAAUUUUUUUCUAUUUAAUUUAAGCCCACGUCAUGAGCAGACUAAAAAGUCUCGAACUCAGACGUAAGGUAAAAAUGUUAAAUAUAAAUUUUUAAUUAUCAGAAAGAAAAAUAAAAAAAACGAACAUUGAUUGAAAAAUUUUAUAUAAUUUAGUCUAUAAAUAAUAAUAAUAAUAAUAAUGAUGUUAGUGAAAGAAUAUUAGUCCCUAGAUGAUUGAGACGUAAGAUUUAUAUUGUACAACCCUUAUAAAUUUAUAAAGAUCUCAUAGCUGUGGAAAUAUAGAGUUGGUUUAUGGCCGAUAUGGUGGGCAUGGUUCAGUCGAUAAUAGAGAGAGAGAGAGAGUAAGUAGAGAAGGGACACGUGGAGGGUGAAUUAGAGCAGAGUUUGGCGUAUUCUAGAAGGAGCAUGUAACAUGUGGUCUGAUUCACCCGAGUUAGUAGUACUGGGGACAGGUCUUUUUGAUUUUUCUCCUUUUUUUUUCCUGAAUUACCCUUUUGGUUUUAAUUCGAGAUUUUCAAAAUAUAUUAUUACUUUUUUGAUUCAAAAUAAAAAUUGGGAGGAGAAUCGGACAGAAAAGCAAACUCCUAAUCUUGUAGCCAAUGGUGUUCAUAAUAAUUGUUGGAUUAAUAUGACAUAAUUUGAUAACGGAGUAGCUAUAAACAUUAUUUUCUUUAUUAUAAAAAGUCUAAAAAAAUUUAAAACGGGUGGCAUAAAAUAAACCUAAAAAUUAUUAUCAGUAUAAAAGAUUAUUUUUCGCUUGCUUGGUUCGGACGUAAAAUUAUCUUUCACGAAUUUGAAAAAGAAAUAAAAUUUUUGUUUUUUUCGUUGUUUUUUUGGCAGAAAACGAAAACUCAAACUGUGUAAAAAUUUUUCAUUCAUUUUUUCUACUAAACUAAUUAAAUGUGAAAUUUUUUUUUUAACCUAACAAAUAUUAAUACAUUUUUUUUUCCUAUAAAUCAAAUACUAUAAAAUAUAAUUUUUUUAUUAAUUUUUUUCUCAAGAAAUUGUUUUUUUCGAUUUUACGUUGAACCAAAUGUACACUUAUAAUUUGUAUAUAUUAGAAAAAGUAUAUUAUUGCAUAUUUAUUCCAUUGUAGUUACAAUCAUAAUUUUAUAAAUAAUAUAAAAAAUAAAAAUAUCUUUAAAUUUCUUAAUAUUGUAUAUUAUAAAAAUAAUUUUUUUAUACUCAGUGAUUGUUGUAGCUGUUUAUGUCGAUUAAAUCUCCUAAGUCUUGAUCAAAUAAGCUUUUGCGCAUAACCCUAUCAACUUUUACCUUUUCCGAAAAAUAAAAUAAAAAAAUAUGGAAAAACUUCAAAUAUCACUGCUGUACUUUCACACUUUUUUAUUUUAAUAUUCUGUAAUUUAAAUUAUAUCAAUUUAGUACCAUAUGGUUUUAUUUUUUUUUCUUUUUAUUAUUGUUUCCACUAAUUUUUUUCGUUAAAUCAAUGAUAAAAUUAAAACUAAAAAGUACUAAAGUGAAUAUUCGAUAAAUUUAGGUGGGGUAUCUGAAAUUUUUUCUAUAUAAUUUGACGAAAUACUAACGGAGAAGCUGACGAAAAAAUAAAAUAAAAUUAUAGAACACUAAUUUGAUAUAUAUUAAAUCAUAGGAUGCUAAAGUAAGAAGUACGAUAUCACAAGGUUGGUAUUUGAAGUUUACCCAAAAAAAAAAUCUAUUCUGUCACGUCAAAACAAAUCAAACGACGUGCACCACGCACAUACGAACCCAGACCAUGGUUGGAUCUGGUGUGAUUGGAUGCUUCGGUUCGGGUUAAUUAGCUAGGCUACAGUGAUCGAUUGUCAAGAAUUAAGGAUUAAGCUUAAUACUAUUUAAUUAAAAAAUUAAUGUAAUAAUUAACAUGGUUAAGAAAUAUAUAAUUAAUCAAUACUCCUGCUUCUUGCCCUUUGGUUCGGAUGCUAUUGAGAGAUAAAAAAUUAAACGAGCUAUUUGGACGUUUCUUCAAAAACUUUUCUACUUGAAUAUCAUAUUUAUACAUGGCAAGGUAAAGAGCUCACUAAUAAAAUAAUAAUAAUAAUAAUAAUAAUAAUAAUAAUAAAGCCUCAAUCUUAGGUAAUACUUUGUUUCUAAAAUAUAAAAAAUAGUAAACGGUGGAAAUAAAUGAUUUUUUUUUAAAAAAAUCAUAAUAAUAAUAAUGACAAAGCAAGUGAUAAGCAAUGUAGUUAAGCUUUUAGUUUUUAUUUCAUUAUUACUGUAAUCUUCAUCUGAACCGGAUCCCAAUUAUAGACGCUUAAUUUAGCCGUCCAAUAUAAAAAAAUGGCAUGCAUUUGUCCAAUACAAACAAGAAUAAGGCAAUAUCCAGGAACAUUCAUUCAAGUCCCAAAAGAAAAAGUUUAGCUACUAAAUGAUAACCAUACGAAUCAAACACUAUUCUUGUUUCUGAUCACGAAAAACGAACAAUUUCGUGAGUUCUAGGACUAUUUGGUAACGCAGACCCUUCAGUGAGUGCAACUGCUUGCUCAAUCACGUAAGCUCGACAUUGCCCUGCAUCCGUGAAAUCUAACAUCCGAGAAAUUCACCGACGGUCUCUAGCGCAAGUAAUAAAACGCUUGAUGAUUGAUAUCCGAGGUUCUAAAUUUAAAUUCUCAUUGAUUCACAUUUUCAGCUAAGUUUCUCUAAAAAAAAAAAAAAAUCGAAAAAUUCUCUGGCACUUCUAAAAAUGUAUGAUUCUCUUUAGUUUUUCGCGCUUGCGAUCGAGUUUCGCCUCACACUUGGGCUGGUGGAUAGAGCAUCACAACUUUCGAUGAUAAUCAUGUGGUUAUAUUUAAAACUUGUGAGAUUAUUAUUAUCAAAACCCGCGAAAUAAGUUAGGUAUGUCGGAUAAAACGUGGACCAAGAAACAAACGGUGGAAAGGUUUAAAAGGUUGAUACAUUACGUGUCGCUCAAUUGCCAUGAUCGAUGACUCGGUUCCUUAAUUAAUGAGUUCGUGAUCUAUAAAAGCAAUUAAUUGAGGAGCUAUAAUAAUGGUUGCGAAGAGAGGAGGCUCAAGUACUGAGUGAGUUUUAAGAAAUAGAGAUGGGUAAUUACUUAUAUAUAAUAUUCUCGAGAGAAAUGCUUGUAAAAUGUUAUUUUCCGAUUGAUUUAAAUUUUUUAGACAUAAAUAGUUAUAAUUUCAUAAGGUAUCAACACAAAACGUAAUGAGCGUAAAAUUAUGCGAUUCUUUGUGAUCUAUACAUAUUUCAAAAAAUCUUUAUAUAAUAAUAAUAAUAAUAAUAAUCUAUAAUAAAGUAGAUAGUUUAGUUUAACUCUUGUGAUUUAGCGCAUUUUCUUUCGAUAUCCUAUAUAUAGUUCUAAAAGUUACACUUUAAUUGCUCUAUUGUUUUAUAAAUUUUCUUCUCUCAAAGAUUUUUUAUUAAACAUCAUAGAAAAAUCAUAAAAUAAUAUAUUGCAAAAAAAAAUUUAUUAUUCUCAACAGUGAUACAAAAAUAUAACUGCAAAUUAAGUUAUGCGUGACACAGACUACAAAAUAGACUACAUAUAUAUACAGCAAGGGAGACAAAUUUAAGUUGUACCCCUAUACAUUCAAGUUAAAAAAAAUGCAAACUCCAAAAUGACUCGGAGGUGUGUCGAAACUCGCGAGUUUUGGAGACCAAAAAGUAAGUGUGGUCACCGACCGUCUCUAGAGUAAGUGGUAAAGAAUUUGAUGGUUGGUACUCGAGAUCCAAGUUCGAGUUCUAAUUGAUUCACAUUGCAAACUAAGUUUAUUUUUAAAGGAAAUAAACGAAACGGAUAACGUGCUUUCUAUCUCUCAAAAAAAAAAAAAGUGCGGUCACUUGCGAGCCAUGACCCUUUUCUUUUUUUUUUAUUUUUAAAAUUUUUUUGUCAUUUUUUAUUUUUGGUUUUUUUAAAAUUUAUGUAGGUGAGGCCACGUUAGGGCAUUGGUGGUAACACCUCCCCCUGCUACGUUACGUAGAGAGGUGGUACGUAGCUUCUACGUGGAACCAUAGCGGACGUUAUUUUUAAAGGGGUGGGACUUUUAAUUUGUACCCGUUUUAAUUAAUUUGUCGCUCACGACUCACGAGCAUGCAUUUGGAGGAAUUAUUGCAUGCCUACUACGAGUAUGCUCGCUCGUUAGAUUUUUUUUUUUUAAUUAUUAUAUUAUGCUAUAUUAUUUGUUUGAAAGGUAGAUAUUUGAAUUUAAAAUGAAUGAAAUGGAAUGAUACAUUAAUUAAUAAAUAAAUGGACAAUGCUCGCAUAUAUAUAUAGAGCAGUGGACACGAUUAGUAAACACCGUGGAGUUUGGCACUAAUUAAUUUGUCCCAUACCGAUCAUGUCUAGAGCAAGUGGCAAAAGCUUGAUGGAUGGUAUUUGAGAUCCAAGUUCGAAUUCUAAUUGAUUCAUAUUUCCAGCUAAGUUUAUUUCUAAAUGAAAUAAACGAAAUGGAUAGCAUGCUACUUAUUUCCAAAAAAAAAAAAAAAAAUUUAUCCCAUAAAAUUUAUUUAUUAUAAUAAUCACUGCCAUAGCUGUUAAUUGUUGAUUGUUAUUCGAAAACGCUGUCGAGCACUAAAACAUCUAUAUGUAUAUUUCAAAAUUUGGGAUUGGACUCUUUUUUGAUUUUGGGUUUGGGGAGAGAGAGCCUGAAGAAAUGUUCGCGCGCACGCGGAAAAAAAAGAAAAAAAAAAAAAAACCUAGGGCUCUCUCUCUCUCUUCUCUAAAAAAGAAUACAUUCAAUUAGUCUACUUAAUUAAUCACGAGAACUCAUGCUUUAAAUUAUUUUAGCCUUGUAUCAGACUAAAUGCUUGCUUGGAGCGGCUUUUAGGAUUGAGUGGGUGUUUGGUUGUAUAGUAUAAUCUAAUGGUUGAAAAUGAUCCGAGAAGUAGAUCUAACGGUAAAAAACUUACAAGCAUCAAAUGCUUAGUGCUUUUAUAAGCACCAUAGCUAGACUGAUAUAGAAUUGAGCUCCUAUACUUUUAAAAGCACCAAGUUAUUGAUGCUUGUAGAUUUUUAGCCGUUGGAUUAAGAGAUAUGCGGUUAGGAUGAUAUGGGCCUCCUAGGGUUGAGUGGGUGUUUGGUUGAAUAGUAUAAUCUAAUGAUUGAAAAUGAUUCGAGGAGUAGAUCUAACGGUAAAAAACUUACAAGCAACAAGUGCUUGGUGCUUUUAUAAGCACCAUAGCUAGACUCUCUCUCUCUCUAUAUAUAUAGUCCAUCUACUAUCCUAUUAAUAGGAUUGAGGAUAUUGUCCUAUCAAGUCGUUUUGAAUGAUCGAAACUUCAAAUUAAUAAUCGGUAUUAUUGAAAUUGAUCUACGCAAUUAGAAAUCUUUAGAAACCAAAUUUUGUAAUAUUUAAAAAUCAUAAUCAAGUUCAUCGAAGAGUUGAAAAAAAUAAACGGCCAUAAAUGAAUAACCUUCUUAAAAUAUAAAUUAGACUUUCUCAAUUCAUAAUCAGAGUCAUCAAACAUUAUCUAGAAUUUUCUAUAAAAAAUUCAAGCAAUUUAGAUCUUGUGUAUUAUUAGGAGUACGUAGGCCUUCGUGCUCCUAAGUUGUUUCUGAUGAUACAUAACAAAUUUCAAAUUAAAGCUUUAAUUUUGAGCUUUUUGUUGCAGCAGCAGCAGAAAGCAACUAAAAUAACGAUUUCAUCGAAAGAUUUUAGCAGACCUCAAUAAGUAUUUUUUUUUUGGAAAAGCUAAAUGCGGCAGAAGAGGGGGUAAAAUUUUGAAUUAUUAAAGAAAUUAGGAAAUGCAGUUUUAUUUUCUCAUAGAGAUGUUUGUAGGUUAUACAUUCGCGAACUCAAGUCUCUUUUGAUCCAAUAACCUUAUUUACGCAUUUUAUUUGCAUUAUUCCUUAACUAGCAUGAUUUCUAUUUUGUUAUCUUAGACAAAAAUGAUGUUUAUUCUUAUGCAUAAGUUUUGCAGUAGAGUUUAAUGCUAUAUAUAUAUAUAUAUAUAUAGAGAGAGAGAAUAUAUAUGACUGAACACUUAUUAUCAGUAAAAACCUUAUUUGCUAUCAAGUUUUUAAUCCUUGGAUAAAAUUUAGUGUCAGAUGAUAUUAUCGUUAGAGUUGAGUGGUCUCCACUGGGUUACAGUAUUAAUUCAAUAUUAGAAAUAGAUGAAAAAAUUAAUCCAAAGGCUAAAAAACUGGUAGCAACAAUGGAAUUUGCUACUAAUAGUAGCCCAGUCCAACUCAUAUAUAUAUAUAUAUAAUAUAUAUAAUAUAUAUAUAUAUAUAUAUAUAUAUAUAUAAUAUAUAUAUAUAAUAUAGGGGUCCGGCUACUAUACUAUUAGAGUAAGAUCGCCUCGUACUCAUAAGUUGUUUUUCGAUGAAGAGCUUUCCGAAUGACGAUUCACACCAUAAACGUUUUAUCUACAGCAUUUAAACUUCUAGAAAUUAAAUUUAUAUAAUUUUCGACAUCAUUACCUUACGAUCAAGAGCACAAUUUGACAAUUUUAACGGCCGGUAUGGGAUACUUGCUAGUUAGGGUGAAAAGAAUCCGGAAUUUAUUGAAGUUUUGAUAGAAAAUUCUAUCCAUUACAUAGAUAAAGACAAUAUUCCGAUCUGAAUCGAAGGAUCCGAUCAUCUUUUUAGAACGUCGUUCGAUUUUGACCGUUCAUUUAUGUCCACUUCAUAGACUUUAUAUGAUUUCAAAAAAUUUACAAAUUUAUUUUCUAGAAGUUUUCAAAUACUCUAGAUCAUAUUUAAUGAGUGAUGUUCGAUUCGGGAAGCUCCAUCAUUGAAAACAACUUAUGAGUACGAGGACUCCAAUACUCAUAAUAGUAUAGUAGCCAUGGCCUAUAUAUAUAUAUAUAUAUAGAGUUCAUCUACUAUCCUAUUAAUAGGAUUGAGGACAUUGUUGAUAGAUUUGAAUGAUCGGAAUUUUAAAUUGAUAAUCGGCACUGUUGAAAUUGAUCUACACAAUUAGAAAUAUUUAGAAACCAAAUUUUAUAAUAUUUAAAAAAUAUUAUUAAGUUUAUCUUAAGAGUUGAAAAAUGAACGGUCAUAAAUGAAUAACCUUCUUAAAAUAGAUAUUAGACUUUCUCAAUUCAUAAUCAGAGUUAUCAAACAUUACCUAAAUAGUAUAAAGAAUUUUCUGCCAAAAUUUCAAGCAAUUUGGAUUACUCUACACUGUUAAACAAGUAAACGGCUCAUACAGGCCAUCAAAAAUUGUCGAUUUUACGACACUUUGAUCACCAUGUAAAUAAUUUUUAAAAUUUAUAAAAUUUAGUUUCUAAAUAUUUCAAAUACUCUAAAUCAACUUCAACGGUUCCGAUCAUCGAUUCGGAAUCUCUAUGAUCAAGAAUAAUUUGAUAGGACAAGUGCAACUAUCCUAUUAGUAGGAUAGUAGCCCUAGCCAUAUAUAUAUAUAUAUAUAUAUAUAUAUAUAGAGUCCGGCUACUAUACUAUCGGUAGCACGAGGCCUCCCGUGCUACCAAGUUGUUUUCGAUGAUGCGGCUUCCAAAUCGACGAUCGGCUUCGUUAGACUUGAUCUACACUAUUAAAAGUAUUUGGAAACUAAAUUUCAUAAUUUUUCGAUAUCAUUUACCUAUCAAACAAAUAGUCUAAAAUUGAACGGCUGAAAAUAAAAAUCUCAUAAAAAAUGAUGAUAAAAAAUUUAAAUUCAAGAUCAGAUAUACUGAUCUUACUCUAAAUAGUGAAAAGAAUUUUCUAUAAAAUUUUCAUCAGAUUUCGAUUGUUUUACACCGUUAAACUCACAAACACGCCACAUCGGCCAUUAAAAUGGUCAAUUUUGAGAUCUUUUGAUCACUAGUCAAAUGAUGUCGAAAAAUUAUGAAAUUUAGUUUCCAAAUACGUUUAAUAGUGUAGAUCAAGUCUAACGGAGCUGAUCGUCGAUUUGGAAGCCGCAUCAUCGAAAACAACUUGGUAGCACGGGAGGUCCCGUGCUACCGAUAGUAUAGCAGCUGGACUCUAUAUAUAUAUAUAUAUAUAUAUAGAGAGAGAGAGAGAGAGAGAGAGAGAGAGAGAGAGAGAGAGAGAGAGAGAGAGAGAGUUCGGCGACUAUGCUAUUAAUAGCAUAAAGCACUUUGUUUCUACCAACUUUUCCACCGUUAGAUCUAUCCUUUUAAUUAUUUUCACCUGUUAGAUCAUAAUAUUCAACCAACCAUCCACUCAACCUUAGAAGGCUCAUAUCAUUCUAACCGCACAUCUUUUAAUCCAAUGGUCAAAAACUUGAUAGCAACAAUGACUUGGUGCUAUUAAUAGUAUAUUAGCCUAGUUUUAUAUAUAGAGUAUGGCUACUAUGCUAUUAAUAGCACGAAUAAUUUGGUGUUAUCAAAUUUUUUGCCGUUAGAUCUACCCUUUUGAGUAUAUUUCUUAUAUAUAUAUAUAUAUAUAUAUAUAUAUAUAUAUAUAAAAGAAAAGAUAUUACUGAGUAGUUCAAGUUGAAAAAGCAGUAAAUGAAAUUCUCACCAUUAUAUAUUUCUCUCGUUACUAGAAUCAAAAACACCAAUUUAUAGUUGCCUCUUUGGAUGCUCAAAAUGUUUUUAGCCAUAUUGGAAGCUUAGAAUUUUUUAUAUCAGUAUUAUUGCAUGGCUCUCAUAAUGUUGUCUAUACUUAUUUAUAUAUUAUUAAUGUCAUGGUCCCCAAUAAUAUAAGAAUUUUAAAGAAAAGUAAUAGUUGUAAACUUCAAAUUAAAGGGAGGUAGACAUCUUUAAUAUUUUGGAUUUUUAAUAUUUUCUUUGAAAAAGCUUGACAGGAUAAGGGAGGCCUUAGAUGAAGGGAUAUAAAUUUUAGAACUAAUUACAUAUAGAUCUCUACAAAUAUAAUAAAUUAUAAAUAAGGUUAAUUUAAUACAUGUCUUUGCAAAUAUAGUGAAUUGCAAAUAUAUUUCUACAAAGUGCAACUUUCAUAUGUUAUCUCUACCAAAGUCCUAAUGUUUUCAAAUAUCCCUACUGUUAGAAUCCGUUAGAAAAUUUUUGUUAAUCAUAAGUUAAAUAUUUAAAUCCCUAGUUAGUUUAUGAGAUAACUUGACAUUUUUGCCGACCUUAUAUUGUACUAUUGUGAAGAGGGACAUAUUUGUGAUGACAAAAAUGACAUUUUACUUAAAAUAUAAACAGUUCUAUAACGGCAACAAAUCAAAAGAAUAUAUUUGAAAACAUUAAAACUUUUACUGAAACAAUAUAUAUAUAUAUAUAUAACUAUAAUACUAUAUGUAUAUAGUAUACUAAUAUAAUUAUAAGAAGAAGAGAGAGAGAGAGAGAGAGAGAGAGGGAGAAGAGAGAGAGAGAGACCGCUGAUAUCUAUCAAUCAGUACCAAGGAUUCGGUGCUAUUGAGUUUUUCACCGUUAGAUUUACACCUUGAUUAUUUUUUUACCCGGUUAAAUUAUAUCUAUCAACCAACACCACUCAACCCUAUAGGGUCCACUCAUCCUAAUCACUCGUUUCUCAGUCUAAGGGCUAAAAAAUCAUAGCACCAAUAGCUUGGUGCUAUUGAUAGUAUUCCAGCCUAGUUCUCUCUCUCUCUCUCCUCUCUCUCUCUUCUCUCUCUCUCUCUCUCUAUAUAUAUAUAUAAUAUAUAAUAAUAUAGAGAGAGAGAGAGAGAGAGAGAGAGAGAAGUAGGUACUAUGCUCUCGAAGCACGGAGCCUUCCGUGCUUCCAGGUCGUUUUCGAUAUUGCGUACUUUCGAAUCUCGAUCGCUCCGUUAAACUUGAUCUAGAGUAUCGAAGUAACUUAGAAAAUAAUUUUAUAAAUUUUCUGAUAAUCAUUUCCAUAGUCAUCGAAUGGGCUCAAAAUCCAAUCGGCUUAAAAAUAAAAAUGUUACAAAACGUGAAUAAAGAACAUGUAAAAUUUUAAGAUACAAACAUAUGAUCUUGUUUUAUAUAGUAAUAGAGAUUUUUCGCUAUUCGAAAUUUCACGUGAUUGAUAUUUCUAAGCACAAAGUUAAACUUGCAAACGGCUCACCUACAGCCCUUUAAAAUAUUGAUUUUGAGCUGGCACUUCGAUCACUACAAAUAUAUCGAAGAAUUAUAAUAAAUUUCUUUCUAAGUACUGUUCAAUACUCUAGAUCAAAUUCGACAGUCGCAUCGACCGAUUCGAUAAGUCCAAACAUCGAAAAACGAUACUGGAGCAAGCGAAGGCUCCGUACUUCCAGAAAUAUAUGUGACCUCACUAUAUAUAUUAUAUAAUAUAUAUAUAUAUAGUAUUUAUUAUAUAUAUAUAUAUAUAUAUAUAUAUAUAUAUGUGAAAGUUGUACUUUAAAAAAGUAAUAUGUACAAUUUAUAUAUUUGUAGAAAUUGUAUGCAAUUAAUCAUAAAUACUAAUAUAUUUUUUGGAAAAUUUCCUUGGUGCGCCCCUCAAAACAUGUUAUUUACACGGAAACACCCUUAAAAAUUGAAUAAUAAUCUUAAAUGCCUUUCUACACAUAUAGAAAACUUUCAAAAAAUAAUCCUUUCAACAAACACCAGUUUGUUAACAAUCUAGCACGUAAUCAGCGAACCAAAAUACCCGAGAUUACUGCCUGUUUCAUAAUGCCUUUCUAAGUGUUCCAACUAUUACUAAUCGAAGGGUAAUUUCAUUCAUACCCCUGUGAAACUUGCCAAAUAUUUAAAUACUCCCUAAUAAUUUGUGAUAUAUUACAAAUAUCUUCACAAAUAGCUAAUCUUAAAUUUUAUCUCUGAAUUUUUAAAUUUUUUGAAAGAGCACUUUAAGAUAUGAUGAAUGACAACAAAUAAACGUUCAAAACUGUACCUCACUAGUAAUUAGUUAGAUAAUGAUACACAUAUUCAAUUUAAAUACAUUAAAAUAUAAUAAAUAAUCAAUUCACACUCGUUUAUUUAGACAUUUGGCACUUCUCUAACCUUCGAAUUCAUACAAAAUUAUCAGAUUAAUCUGAGUAUUUUUUAAAAAAUUUGUAUAAACCAAACUAAAUCAUUUUUAUGUAUUUCUAAAAUCUAAGUAUAUUUAUGGCUUUAUAAUUAAUGAUAAAACUUUGUAAUUUUCAGCUAUUUAUUAUUUUUCUCUCCAUUUAAAAAAAAAUUUAGAAUAAUAAUAUAUUUGAGUAAGAUAAAUCAAAUUAUUCUUAUAGAAUAUAUAAUUCUUGACAGAAAUCAAAGUGAGAACUAAACUGAAUAACUUUAAAAUUUGUAAAUCUUUUAAAUUACGGUAUUUACAAAAGUUAAAAAUUAAUUACUAAAAUUGAACGAUUUAAAAGGCAAAAUAGAAGGUAAACAUUGGUAUUUGAUUGUUGUUAACGUAGAUUUUAACGAAAAUGGUUUUGAAGGGCACCCUUGAAAGUUAUCUAAUAUUGAGAGAGGUAUUUGGAUUUUCAAUUUUAUGAUGGACAUUCUAUAUAAAUACUUACUGGUUAGGAGGGGCACACAGGAAAUUGCGCCCUAUCAUUGUUUUUUUCAAAAAACAGGAGCCGUGAAAUUGACACAGGUGGUUCCAGUAACUCCUAUCAUCAUUAAAUAAAUAAAUGAAUAAAAAAUGUGUGGUUUGAAAAAGUUAAAAGUGAUUAAAUCCAAUCAAUCAUGCGCCUCCUCCCCCCGUCCUUGGAACCAACAAUCCUCUCCUCCUAACCUUUAUAUAUUAUAAUAAGGUAAGAAUGCGCUGGCACUCGUGGGCAUGUUACGCGCAAAGGCACACCGCAUCAAUUGCUGACACAGAUAGCUACAUACACGUCAGCAUGAUCAUAGCUUCUGGAAUUUCACAUUUUAUUGCUACAAAACUGCUGUGGCCCCCACAAACCGGUGACUGAACACAAAAGCUUGUGUGUCCACAGUACCCACACGACAUUUCCUCCAUUCACAUAUACGAUUUCACAAAAAAAGAAAAACGAAAAGAAAAGUGUAGAUUAAUUGUGCCCCAAGUCACACAACAUGCAUAUGAUAAAAAACAAAAUUUUAAAAUAUAGCAUUUCUUUAAAUAUACUAGUUAUAUACUGACGUGAUAUUUUUAAUUAAUAAUAAUAUUCUUGUUGAAAUUCAUCUAUUUUAUCAAGAUCAACAGAAAAAAUAUUUUUGCUCGUAUUUUUUUUAUUCAAGAAUAGAAAUAUAAUGGACGUUUUACUGAUAUAGGAUCUGAGCGGGUAGAUGUGAACGAAUAGAUUUUUUGGCUAUUUUCGACAUGAGACGUGUGAGUCUUACUGAUAUGAAAAUUUUAUAAAAAAAAUAUAUUUUUUUUUAAUGAGCAAUUUGAUUUGAAGAUGAAUCAAGAACCCUUCGUGUGUACGUACCAUUGCUCUUUUAUUUGUUUUGUAUUCAAAUUAAUUUAUAAUACUUAAUUUUGUUGGGACGGAUUUUUUUUUGUGUUGUUAUUGUUGGCUGUUUUAUUGAAUGUUCGAUUAAGUAAUAACGAUAUUUAUUUUCAAAGAAGUUUUGAUUGUCCAAAAUUGUUGAUUUUUAACUUUUAUCUUUUAUAUCAAAUAAAAUCCUUGAAUAAAGAAUUUCUCCUAUAUUUUUUUAAAUAUCAAAAUUUUAUUUAAAAAAAUAUUAAACAAUACUAUGUUCAUACUGACCUAANNNNNNNNNNNNNNNNNNNNNNNNNAAGAUGAUUGAUUAAAGAAGGUAGCCUAAUAGGUACGUGAAGUAUACACUACAAAUUGAAAUAUACCAUCAUAGUAUAUAGUAGGUAUAUCGAUGAAAAUCACUUCACACUAUUUUUCCAAUAUAGUAAUUUUUCUUUAUAUUCAAAAAUAUGAAAUUUCAUUCUUUUAUUCGUUCAUGUAAUUUCUCACAAAAUAUCUUUUGCGUCCUAAAGAAUAAGAAUGGCGAAGUAAUGUACGAUAAACAAAUUUUAUGCAUUGAAACGUGCAAUGGACUUUAUGAUUCUUAUAGUGCUAGGGACUAUCUAAUAGGUACAGUAUGUGGCGUCUUGAAAGAACCACCCUUUUUGAAUUAUGAAUGCUGAAAGGUAUAUGAGCGUUAAUUAUAGUUUUACUAUAAGAUACUAACCUGAAAUAUUAGCAAAUAUAGUUUACGUAACAACAUUUUAUUUAUCUUUUCAUUUUUUUAUGUUUUAACAAAAGUUCAGUGACAUUCAUUUAUAUUGUGUUACCAUCUGGUUUGUUACUGUUAGAUCAUUGUUUAUUUCUCAACAGUAAAUAAGUAAAAUUAUAUUUUUGUUCUUAUAAAUAUAUCUCUCCAAAAGCCCCGACUAUUAGAAUUAUGUAGCAAUAUCCUCGUAAAAAAACAUUUUACCCAAUUAUAUAAGAGAGGUAAAAAGAUCAAUUUAACCAUUUACUAAUCAGUAUUAAGUAUUUUACUUAUGUUUAACUAUAUUUUUUAACGGAUCCUAAUAGAAGGAGUAUAUUUGAAAACAGUAGGACAUUCAUAAAGAUAAUUUUAUAGAAAAAUGCAUCUACUAUUCAAUAUGUUUAUAGAGAACUAUAUGUAAUUAUUUCUAUUUUUUAACAUAGAAUAAUAUGGGUGUGGUCAUGCAACAGCCCACAUUAUGCCCUAAAUACUAUAUAUACCUGCAUCAACAUCAAUAUUUUGAACUCUCUGAUAAAUAAAAGAAGGGUUAAUUUCAUACAGGUUCUUAUAAACAUAAUAAAUUAUAAAUAUAUCCUUAUAAGGUUCUACUUUUAUAUAUUGUCCCUACAAAAGUCCUAAUAUUUUCAAAUAUAUUUUUGCUGUUAGGAUCCGUUAGAAAAAAUUAGUUAAUCAUAGAUAAAAUACUUAACCUUAGUUAAUGAGGUGAAUUGAUAUUUUUACCUUUCUUUAAUUAACAUUUUUACCUUUCUUUAAUUAAUAGUUGGAACUUUUAGAGGGACAUAUUUGUAAUUUCAAAAGAACCAUUUCACUUAUAAAAUAAAUAGUAUUUUAACGAUAACAAAUCAGAUGAACAUAUUUAAAAUAUUAUAACUUUUGUAAGGGACAACAUGUGAAAGUUGUACUUUAUAAAAGUAUAUGUACAAUUUAUUAUAUUUGUAGAAAUCUGUAUGCAAUUAAUCAUAAUAUAUAUAUUUUUGGGAAAAUUUCCUGUGUGCCCCUCUAAAAGCAUGUAUUUACACGAACACCCCUAUAAAAAUUGAAAUAUCUUAAAUGCCUUUCUAAAUAUAGAAAACGUUCAAAAAUAUCCUUCAAAACACAGUUUUGUUAAAAUCUACAGUAACAGCAACCAAAAUACCGAAUUUACCCUUUUCAUAAUUGCCUUUCUAAAUGUUUCAACUAUUACUAAUGAAGGGUUAAUUUCAUUCAUACCCCUGUAAACGUUCAAAAUAUUAUAAAUAUCCCUAUAAAUUUGAUUAUAUUACAAAUAUCCUUACAAAUAAAGCAUAAAAUUACUUACUACAUUUGCACUUCUCUAACCUUGAUUAUAAAAUUUAUCAGAUAAUCUGAGUAUUUUUUUAAAAAAUUUGUAAACAAUACUAAAUCAUUUUAUUGUAAUUUCAAAUCUAGUAAGUAAUUUUAUGCUUUAUAAUUAAUGAUAAAACUUUGUAAUUUUUCAGCUAUUUAUUAUUUUCUCUCUCCAUUUAAAAAAAAAUUUAGAAAUAUUUAAUAAUAUUGAGUAAGAUAAAAAUAUUAUUCUUUUAGAAUAUAUAAUUCUUACAGAAAUCAAUGUGAAAAUAUAACUGAAUAACUUUUAAAUUUGUAAAACUUUUAAAUUUACGGGGUAUUUACAAAAGUUAAAAUUAUUACUAAUAAUUGGAACAUUUAAAAGGGCAAAUAUGAAAAGGGUAAAAUUGGUAUUUUGAUUGUUGUUACUGUAGAUUUUAACGAAAAUGUGUUUUGAAGGGCACCUUUGAAAGUUUUCUAUAUUUAGAGAGGUAUUUGGGAUAUUUCAAUUUUUAUAGGGACAUUCAUAUAAAUACUUACUGUUAGAGGGGCACACAGGAAAUUGUCCCUAUAUUUUUUUUUCGAAAAAACUGGAGCCGUUGAGAAAUUGACACGGUGGUCCAGUACUCUAUCAUCAUUAAAUAAAUAAAUGAAUAAAAAAUGUGGUGUUGUGAAAAAGUUAAAAGUGUAAAUAGGAACCCAACAAUCCCCUCCUCCCCCCCCCUAUAAAGCUAUUAUUAUAUUAUGAAUAGGUAAGAUGCGCUGGCACUGUGGGCAUGUACGGCAAAGGGCACACCCAUCAAUUGCUGACACAGAUAGUACAUACACGCAGCAUGAUCAUCAGCUUCUGGAAUUUCACAUUUUAUUGCUUACAAAAUGCUGUGGGCCCCCACAAACCGUGACUACACAAAGCUUGUGUGUCCACUACCCAACAACACAUUUCCUCCCAUCACACGAAUUUCACAAAAAAGAAAAGAAAAGAAAAGUGUAGAUUAAUUGUGCCCAGUCACACACAUGCAUAUGAUAAAAAACAAAAUUUUAAAAUAUACCAGUUUUUAAAUAUACUAGUUAUAUUACUGACGUGAUAUUUUUAAUUAAUAAAAUUAUUUUGUUUGAAUUCAUCUAUUUUAUCAUAAUUAACAGAAAAAUAUUUUUGCUGUAUUUUUUUUCAAGAAUAGAAAUAUAAUGGACGUUUUACUGAUGAUGAUGGCGGGGUAGAUGUGAUACAAUAGAUUUUUUUGCUAUUUUCGACAUGACGUGUGAUCUAACUGAUAAUGAAAAUUUAUAAAAAAAAAUAUAUUUUUUUUAAUGAGGCAUUUGAUUGAAGAUGAAUCAAGACCUUCGUUUGGUACGUACCAUUGCUCUUUUAUUUUUGUUUUUGUACAAAUUAAUUUUAUAUAACUUAAUUUGUUGGAGGAUUUUUUUUUUGUGUUGUUAUUGUUGGCUGUUUUAUGAUAUGUUCGAUUAAGUAAUAGACGAUAAUUUAUUUUAAAAAGUUUUGAUUGUCAAAAUUGAUUGAUUUUUUAACUUUUAUCUUUUAUUAUCAAAUAAAGAUCUUGAAUGAAAGAAUUUUGCUCCUAUAUUUUUUAAUAUUCAAAAUUUUAUUUAAAAAAUAUUAAAAACAAAUACUAUGUCAUACGUGACCUAAAUAAUUUAGUAAAUAAUAAAGAUUAUAUUUAGGAUCCUUUAGUUCAAGAACCAGAAAUGUUAUAUAUUUUAUAUCUUGAAUGGCAAAUUCGUUGCUAUCUUAUUAAGCUAUUUGAGUUGGGAGGCUGCUAAAAACUAGCUAACAAACUAUUAUUAAAGGACUACUAAUUAUUUACAAUGUAUAUAAAAAUGGGAAUAUUUUCUGGUCCAUGAUAAUUAAGUAUUGUUACCAUUGAAGAAUCUACAAUUAAUGAAUGAUAAAAUAAUUUGAAUAUUUUAAAUAAAAAAUAUGAAGAAUUAUUGAAAUAACAUUGACCAUAAAUUAAACACACCCUUAAAAUAAUACAGUGUUGCUAACAAAAUCAAAGUUAUUAUUGAUAAGAUGUCUAUAAAGUUUAAGUGUAACUUUUGUGCACCAUUCAUCCAAAAGUCUAUAUAUAUGUUUUCACUAUUCUUAUUAAUUUUUUAUUUAAUAGUAAAAUCUGAAAAUAUAUCUAUUUUUUAUUAAAUAGAUAAAGUGCAAAAUUUUAUGUCUAUAUAUAAGUAGACAGAUAGCAUUUUUCUAAAGAGCCGCUUGGUUAGAUGAUAAAUAAAUGCAGUAUAAUUAAAAAUAUAUACAGUUAAAAAUACAAUAGUUACAACUAUAUGAAUCCUGUUUGGUUGGAUGUAGUAGAAAACGUAAUUUGUUUGGUUGCAAAUAGUUGAGAAAUAAUUUUUAAAAUUUUAUUAUUUUAUAUAUAUGAUGAUGAGAUUACCUCCAAUGUAAAAAAUAUAUAUAUAUAUAAUUUUUGUUUAAAAAAUAUUGAGGUAAGUAAAGUUAAUCUCUUUAAUUACUGCAGUUGGAAUUGCGGCCCAUUUGGGUGUAAUUCGAAUUAUUACAGUUGGGCCUCCUCCUGCAAUUCCUACUGCAGUUGUUGGAGUUAAAUAUAUCAAAUCAAAUACGAAAUUUGUAUUUACUUACAGUUACAACUGUAGUGCAGUUACAACUACUAUAUACAAUCAAACGGCUUCUAAUAGUAAGAGAGAUUCGUGGUGUUGCACGAUAUUUAUUAAUUUAAUAAAAUAUACAGAGAUGGUAAUUGAAUUCAAUAAAGCUAUCAAUCAGUACUAAAAUUAAAUUUAAAAAUCUUAUUAUCUGCGCAUUUUUUUAACAUUAAAAUCACAUCCGUUAACACCAUCACCUACAAAAAUCUGGACCCUACCAACCCCCCCUUAAGUUGAACAACAACCAACAGAUGCAGCAACCUUUUCCACCAUUGUUGCCACUUGUCAACAAGUGUGAAGCUCCACAAAAGAAAAAAGAAAAAAGAAAAGAACAAAAGGAAACAAAAAAAAAAAGAAGAAAAAAGAGUAGCUUAAAAAAGGAGAUUCAUAUAAUAUAAGAUUCGCAACACGUAUUGUCCUGUAACCACGAGAAACACGAAAAGGAAAGCGUGCUAUAUCGCCCAUCCUUUCCCCCACGACUCGUAACGAAGAAGCACAUACAUUGGUUCUUUUCAUGCAUGGGACGUGGCACAAUUCAAAUUAUUUGGGUUACGUCGCAAUUAUUAGUUUUAGGAUUAAUUACAGUUUUGGUCCGCAACCGUUUUCAAACUUUAUUUUAUUAUUAUAACUUUUAACUUACUUUUUAAAAAUUUAUUAUAAUUAUAUUUUAUAAUAUAAUACUUUAAUUAUUAUUAUAUUAUCAAUUAUAAUAUUUUUAUAUUAAUAAUUUUUCGAAUUUAAAGAUAUCAAAUAAAAAUUAUAAUAAAUUAGAAUUUGAGAGGACUGGAUAUAUAAAUUUUUUCUUGUAUUAUUAUUAUUAUUAUAUGUCCCCUACGCAACACUAUCCAUUGAUACCAGGUCACGUCAAUGAAGUGGGGUUUGUAUUGUCAAUGGGGAUUUACUUUGAUAAAAAAUGAUACAUGUUAUUGUUGGACCAAUGAAAAAGGUGGUGGGGAGAUAUCGUGUCCUUGCCAUAUCUCGAUUGGGAAAAAUCAUUCACAUUCAAACAAAAAGAAUUGAAAAGAAACGUACGAAGACCCACUCAACGACUCGUGAUUUUGAUUUUGAAAGCGUUUGUGUCCCCCCUCGCCAUGAAUUGUUGACCUAUUAAAUAAAUUUUAUUUUAUUGUAUUGUAUUGGGUUAAUGUUAAAAAUAUCAAUCAAAAACAUAUAAACAUGGUAUAUAUAUAUAUUGUUGGACGAUAGUAAAGAUGUAUAAUCUACUAUUAAUAAUAUACUAUUAAGCAUGUUUGUCACUUAUCGCGUGUUUAUUGGUUCACAUGUGCUUAACGUUCUCGGCACAACUGUAAAUGAACAAUCCAAACCAUUAUUCUUUUGAGCUAAUUAUUAUUUUUAUGAUUAACAUCUUUCGCGCGCUUUGAGAUUUUUUUUCAAUUAUAAUACUAUCGAAGGUUAGUAUUUUGUUAACUCUGACAACUUCUUUUUGUUUAUAGUUAUUAGUUAAUGACUUCGUUCUAUGUUCACACGAACGAAUCGCCAAAUCUUUUAAUUAACUAUAGCUAAUGAUGGGAUAAUCGAUUAAAUUAAACAAAAUAUCUAAUACAAUACUUGUUGAUGGAGAAAGCGGAGUUAGGUAUUUUAUUUAAAAAGUGGCCAAAAACAAUUUAGGAGUUUUUUAAUUGUAUGUUCUCCAAAUGCUUGAACUAGAGCUGGAAUUGAGUUAGGCUUUAGUUCCACUUGGAACCUGGUUUAAAUUACGCGUGUAUUUUAAACCUUGAGAUCGGUCUAAAGGGGGACCAUGCAAGGUUUGAUGAAUUAAUAAAUUUUUGUACCAGAUCGAGCCGAGUCAAUCAGAGAAACGAAAAGAAUUAAUCCAUGUUUGGCCCAAAUUAUUUGCUUAUCUUGAAUUUUGAGGUAUAAUUCGAUUUGACUCGAUUAGGGACGCAAAUGGAUCCUGGUUGGUAAAGCUCCCGUCCCAAUCCGUCCGAAAUAGCAAGUGAGGACCAUCGUUUUUUGAUCUGCCAAAAAUUUGUCAGAUUUGCUCCAAAUGGAGCGGGGACCCAAAAAACAAAAAGAUAAAAAUCAAAUCUAAAUAUUUUAAAUCAAAUUUAAUAAAAUCAAUCGUCGAUUCAAAUAUCUCAUCAUCGAAAAUAGUUUGUUAGCACAGAAGCAUUUAUGCUCCUAAGAGUACAACAGGCCUAUAAUAAAGUAUAUUACUUAAGAUAAAUCCACAUUUAUUUGAAUGAGAAGCAUAAUAUGGAAACUCAGAUCAUUUGCAUUGUUGGGAAUGCUAAUGUCUUGGGUACUUAUGGUUUGCAUGUCCUUCCCCCUAGGCCCAGUAAAAUGCCCACUGAAGAAUGAAUAGAUUAUAAUGGGCCCUUUGAAUACAUUAAAUUUUUCACUCUCGGAUCCGAAAUAUAUGAACGUUACAGUGAAAAAAAUAUUUGCUCAUAAGAAACGUCCAAUUUUCAUCAACAAAAACUCUAUGCACCAGUUUGGUUCGGGGUUAAGGGGUAGAAUAAUCCCUUAACCUCGAAGUUAUCAAACACCCAAUUUGGGUUGUCGGGUUAGCUAACCCGAUCCCCAAUGGGCUAUCCCGGGAUAGCUGAUUUCGCCCCACCCCACUACUCCAACCAAACAAAAUACUAUUUAACACACUAUCCUUCUUAUCCCUCCUACUCUAACCAAACACUAUUUUACCUAUAUCUAGACUAAAUCCAAUUCUCAACCAAACAUAAAAUUACUCUAACCCACCUUAACCCUGAACUUAACUCUAUCUCUGGAAUAACAAGUUUUUACUUAACCUUGAACCAAACGGUGGCGGGACUGUUUGGUUGCACGCAUUUGCAACUGCAUUGCAGUUACAAAUGUAUGCAACCUCAAUUCAUGUGUUUGGUUUAAUGCAGUUGAGUCCAACUGCGGCAGUUGCAACUGUAUAAGAAGGUCCAAAUGCUGUAGUUGGAACUACAUCCAAAUUGGCUGUAGUUCCAACUGCAGCAAUUGAUGAGGAAUAGAAUCACCGAUAAAUUAAAAAUAAUAAAUAAAUAAAUUUUAUAUAUAUAUAAAAAUAAACAUACUUACAAAUAAACUCAUACUAAUAAAAUUUUUUAGGCGAUACAAGUUUUGUGCAAAAAAUUAAAUUUUUUUAAAUUUAUUUUAUUCAAAAUAUAAAAAAUAAUUUUUUUCUUAAAUCUUCAUAGAAUAUGAUUGUGUAAGUCAACUUAAUAAGUUUUAAUUAAUUAUAAUUAUUAAAUUUGGAAAAAAAAUGAGAGAAUCGUUUAAAUUUUUAAAGUUUGAUUUACAUGUUAAAAUUAAAUAAAUUAAAAAUUUUAAAUGUGUCAAUUGAUAAGUUGAAGAAUUAUUGAAAAAUAUAAAAAUAUUAUAUAUAUUCACUUAUUUAUUUAUAGAUAGUAAAUUUAAAUAAUUAAUAAAAUUAUACAAUUAUUUUAUGUAUAGCAAAGGUAAUCUCACCGCUCUAUCUUAAGGAUGUCAAUGGGUAUGGAUAAUUGAAAUUUUAUCCGAACCCGAACCUGAAUGAAACGAAUAUAUCCGAUGGAUAUGGAUAUGGAUAUGGAUUCGGAUAUUGACAUAAAAAAUAGAAACCCGACGAAUAUGGAUUCAGAUAUAGAUUUUGAUUGUACCCGACCCGAACCCGACCCGAACCAGAAUUUAUUUUGUAUUAUAUAUAAUAUAUAUAUAUAUAUAUAUAUAUAUAUAUAAAUUUGAUGUUAUAUUUAAAUUUAUAUUUUAAAAAUUUAGAUUUAAUAUAAUAUGUUUUGAAAUAUUGAAAAAAGAAAUAAUUAUUUUGGGUUUAAAUUUUCGGGUUCGGGUUCGGAUUCGGUUUCGGAUUUUUGGUCGGGUUCAGGUUUGUAUAUGAAUUUUUAAAAUCCGUCGGGUUCGGGUUCGAAGUCGGGUUCGAGUUUUUAAAAAUUCACCCCGAAUCCGACCCGUUGACAUCUCUACUCUAUCUAAAGAGGUGAUAAGAUUCACAAAUACAACUAUCAACUUCAAAUUACCAAACAGAAAAAAUGCAACAGCAACCGUUGUAUCUACACAAAACCAAACAAACUAUAUGUAAUUACAACUACUGAAUUUUUAACUGCAUGCAUUUUUAACUAUACUGCAUUUACGACUACAUCCAACCAAACGACCCCCGUAAGGAGCUGCUUCUAAAACAAACAAAAGCAAUGAUGCAAUGCAAUGAAUAUUAAUUCGUAUGUCCCGAGUAUCAAACAAAGUGGCUGCAAAAGGGAAGAGUUUAGAUUCCUUUCAGUGCAAACAUUGUCGUGAUAGUAUCCUUACAUUUCGUAUCAGCUUUCCCAGAAAAGAAUUUUGAUGUCACUUGGAAAUAACAAUAAAACCAAUUUGAAACUAAAAAAUUCAGGGAUUGUAUUUGAUUAUCCCUCCAACAAGUUUGCUAAUCUUUCCAACCGUCUUUUGCCGAUCUCCGUGAGGCGAGCCCUUUAGAUGAUGGAGUCGAAGAGGGUUUCGACGGCGUUAUGGGCGCCUCCACAUCGUCGUCCCAACCAUCUCCCCAAUUAUUAUCCCACAAUUCCGACAGGUCGGGUUCCUUCUUCCCCCCACUCGAAACAGGCAGAGCCAUGUCCACCUUCUGGUACGCGGAGCUGCCUUCAUGAGAGUGCGGCCUCCUCCUCCAGAACUUGAUGCACAACAAAGCCGAUCCUAUAAUUCCAACUGCAGCGAGAAACACAAAUAUCGACGCUGCACGUGUACGCCGGUUAAUAUAGCUGGACACCCUAGAUGUUUCUCUCGCAUUACCGGAGAGCGUGUUCCGCAGAUUGAGGCUGCAUUGCCCCUCCCCCGCUUUCAAUACUAUCAUGGUAUCAUUUGCACCAUCACGAAGAGAAACAUUGAUCUGCAAAAUUUAAAUCCAAAACGUAAUAUGUCAUCUAAAGGAAGUUCCUCAAAACAAUUGUGAGAAGGUUAGCAUUCAACAUAUAUUAAAAAAUGGCUGAUUCAUGCAGGAAACAAUCUUCAUUUAAGCCGAUUAAUGUCAGAAAUCUGAAUCUCAGAGAAUGGGCAAAACAGUUAGAAGCCAAACAGUUAGAAGCCUUGAUGAUGAGCCACUCAGAAACUUCAGAUGAUAUGUGAACAGUCUAAAAGACACAAAUAAAAAGGCUGCCGUAGGAUGCGGAAUGGAUGCCUUCGUUCAUUAAGUUGAUAGGAAACAUAAAUUUAUGUGGCCAAUGAGAAGAUUUUUUAGGACAACACAUAACUUUCAGAUAGUCAACUCCAAAUUUCAGAUAGUUAUGCUGUCUUGUGUACAUUUCAAUAGAAACUUCUGGCUAGCAAUCACAGAGCCAAAAUAACUGGCCGACCGUAUUAUUCAUGUGUUUGGUUGACAAAAAAAAUCCAAAGCUUCACUAAUAGAAAGCUAAAAUAUGUUUUCGAGCCCAAAAACAGAAACUCCGAGUUGAAGCAGCUUCUGAUGCAACAACCAGCUCUUCAGAAGAUUUUCAGACCAAACAGGCCUUAAGUAAUAUAGACAGAAAAGCAGCCACCAAUUUUAUGAUGCAACUAUACAUGAUGACCCAUUUAAGACUUGCAAGUAAUGAACUCCAUCUCCUAUUAAUACCUUCUUCUUCUCCUUCGCUUGAAGCUGGACUAUAGCUUGCUCUAGUGUGACAAAGUCGGGGGCAACGAUGUGAACAUCAAGAGAACCUGUUCCUCUGUUCUCUAUAAGAAGUGAAAGAUCUAGCGAAUCUGGCAGAAGAAUUGCAGGUAAUCUUAUUACGCUCAAGCAUUACAAAGAUUCAAAACAAAGCUAAAUAGAAAGAUGUACAGCUUGCAACUUUGGAAUCCAUCAUACUGCCACAUUUUAAAAUAAAGUAUAGCGAACAUAUUAAAAAUUGUUGAGUACGCAUGAGCAAGCAAGGAAGCAGAUACCAGAAGAACCACUUGAUCCACUCAAGUUGUAAUUUACAAUAGCAUUCUGCUGAAUUGAAUACAGAAGUAUUAGCUUUAGAUAUAUAUUUUGGUUAAAAUUAUUGAAAACUAGGAUUUUGACAUAAGUUUUACUUUUUUAUGGUACUAUUUCUGCUAAAACAAGAAUACCAUCUAAUUACAAGUUUACCCUCAUCAAGUCUACAACUUACAGUACCUCAAAAUUAGACAUAAAAUUGAUUUUGUAUUAUGAGAACAAUUUCAUGAGUAAUAAUUUGAUCCGAGGAUUUCCGCAAGUUCUAUCAACAAGCAAGACCUAAGCAGUGUAUAUUACCUAUGCUGAGGUUGACCACAUACUUAGUUUUCUCCAAAUCACAUUAUCUAUUAACCAAAUGCUUUUUGGCAUUCCCAAAAACAGGGACAAGGUAAUCUAGCUUAUCGAAAAGCCUUGAAUCUUGAUCCCGUACCUUGUCCGGGGACUCUUAAGCAAGCAAUGAACUUCUUCUUCUCAUCAGUGCAUCUAUUGGACGGAUCGCACUCUUCAACAUAAGAGUCCCUCAACGGCUGCGUCUUAGACGCCAAGCUCCCAUCUGAACUCCCUUCCCCAGAAUCUUCCUCAACCUUCGUCUCCUUCACCGGCUGAUCUUUCCUCUCAAGAGAACUUUCACUAGAAUCAUCCUUCUCAUCAUUUUUCUUAGUACCAUUUUGCAAUCCUUUGCCCUGUUCUAUACGCUUUUUCUCUCCUCCCGCAUCAACCGGAUCUGGCGGAGACAUCUCUGCCGCAUUGGAAUGUUUAACAAUGGUGUCAUUGUUCGUAGUUGAUGGGAAACUAUCGGAAUCACCCUGAAUUCAACAAAACUAUCAAUGCACUUUAUCCAUCUAAAACAAAAUCUACCAAUAUUUUUCUCAUUAAAAUGGAUCAACUAAGCCUCCUUCGAAUAUGAUACUUAAACAAUGCGAAUCAAAAAAAUUCCACAACCAUGUCGGUAAAGAUGCGACCUUUACUCAAUAGAAUGCAUCAUAAGCAAAUGUAAACAAAUGAGUUUUGCGUAAUUUAAUUGGCCUAAUACAAACAAAAUCCCCCCAAAACACACUGAUUCAUCACAAGAACAAGCUCGUAGAAUAUACUAAAUUCUACAAAAAAAAAAGAAAAAAGAACUAUCUCAUUGAGUAGAGAUCUAAAUUAACUAUAUAAAGAAAAACAAAUCUCACUCACCUCAGAUGCAACGAGGGGAAUCACGAGGGCGAUUAAGAAGAGGACACCGAUCCCCUUCAUCUAUUCAACUUAUUCUCGAGUAACAAGGAGGCAACGGAACUAGAGAAGCGAUCUACUUUGCUUCACAUCCGAAACCCUAAACCCCAUUCGCGACCACUUCGUUGACCUAAUCGGAGACAUCGAGAGGACGAAGAAGAAGAAGUAUAAAAAAAAAAAAAAAAAAAAAAAUGGAGUUAAAUAAUUUGCCACCCUUGCAUGGCUACAAUGUGCACAGCUCUUUCUUUACUACAAGACAAUCAUAUUUUUAANAUAAAAAAAAAAAAAAAAAAAACAAAUGGAGUGAGCCAACCGAUUUCUUGGGGAAUCGGAUUCGGAUCUACUUGUAGCUCAAGCGACGCUUCGAAUAUCAAAGUGUCGGACCGGUUCAGUAUAAAAAAAUCAGUGGAGAAUCAACCGUGACUCCGUUAAGACCAAGAGCGAGUCAAACGGGGUUAGAUAAGCCGGGUCGGAUCGGACUGGGCCAGUUGUGGUUGUUGAUCCGGCCAUAGAUUUUUUAUUUUAUUUCAUUUUAAUUCUGCGCGUACGUCCCUAUUAUCCCACUACGAGAAAACGAGCCAAACACGAAUGAGCCGGAGUAUCCCACUACGAGAAAACGAGCCAAACACGAAUGAGCCGGAGUAGCUCGUGUUCACUUGUUUUAUAAAACGAGCUGAAAGCUCGUAAAAUAUCGAGCUGAAAAAUUCAGUUUGUAUUCGACUUGUUUAUUAACGAGUUGAACCUGAGCUAACGUACAAACAGCAAGUUAGAUUACCAACCUUACUACUCGAUGAAAACUUAAAAUAAAAUUAAAAAAAUUAGAAUCUUAAUUUUAAUAAUUAAAAUUUACAAAAUAUUAGUCUCUUUUUAUUUGGAUCAGCCUAAACCCAGUAGAGAGAUCAAUUUGGGCCUAAGGAAUCUGCAAUCUAUCUGGGCCAUCAAAUUUCCAAAUAAUCAGGUUAUCCAUUUUGCGCUCAAGCUAUAGAUAGCGCACCGCUUCGCUAUUGUUGUUGGGUCAGCAAAUCUCCAACUAAUCAGGUCAUCCAUUUUGCGCCCAGGCUAUAGAUAGCGCACCGCUUGGCUAUUGUGGUUUCGCAUGCCGUUCCACGCGGAACUGCAAGAAAGAAUGGAUCCGAUAAAGCUCCGAAUCCGGCGAUGAGCGGUGGUGGGCCAAACAAGGCCUUUCUAUUGCAACUUUUGUAGCCCAUUGGGAAGAGGCCUAAUAAGUUCCAUCUAUUUUUGUGAUUAUAUAUGGCCCGUUAAACAAACGGUCUAGGGCGUGUGUUGAUGUAUUGAGAUCACUCACUACUUAUUAUUGCGAAGGCCACAAGCGCGAAAGAGAAAAGCCCAUUAGAAUUUGCCUAUGUUUUUGAGCGUGUAGGACUUGGUUGAAGCUAUUGAAGAACUAGUGUAAUAACCCGCACGAUGUGUCGAAUAAAAAUUUUUUAGUAAAAAUUUUUAGAUUAAAUGAAUAAAUAUAUAAUAUAAAAAAGAGACAAAAAUAUAUAACAACAUUUGAUUGAAUUUAAUAAUAUAAAAAAUAUAUUAAAGAUUUUAGAAUAAAAUUAUAAUUCAAUGCAAAACAAUGAAAGAUAGAAAAAACUAUAAAAGAAGAAAAAUUAUUAUAUAAAUAUCGGACCCCUUUGCACUCUUGUCUAGAGCAUUUUCUACUGACAUCGACGAUUUCAUGAGAUACCACAGUGCCUUUAACCGCUUCCCGACAACUCCGUAUUCUAGCUGAUACUUUUCGUCUUCGGGGGCCAUUACAGGAGGGGGAAGCAUCUCGAUCCUUUGUAUAACUAUACAAUACAAAUUUAGAUACAAAUAUUACACAUCUUCACCGACCGUUUCUAGAGCAAGUGGCAAAGGGUUUGGUGGUUGGUACCCGAGAUCCAAGUUUGAAUCCUAGUUGAUUCACAUUUCUAGCUAAAUUUAUUUCUAAAUGAAAUAAACGAAGCGGGUAGCAUGCUACCUAUCUCUCAAAAAAAAAAAGUACACAUCUUCUAUAUAUAUAUAAUAUAAAACCAACAACCAAAAAAAAAGUAUAUAAAGAAAAAAAAAAGUAUAUUGAUUUAGAGAGAAAAAAUAAAUAUCAUCAAAUUUUCUCAAUUAAUUAUUAAACAUAAAAAAAAAAUGGUAACGAAGAAAGAUAGUACCUAAUUGGUGCGGCCAUUGAAAUUAGUUAAUUAAGAAAAAUUUUCUACAUUGAUGAUUUUGGGUGAAGAUGGAGAGAUGGAUGGUGAUUUUUAUAUAUAAAGUAAAUUAUUUCAACAUCUUUCCAAUUUCAUCUUUUAUGGAGGGUGGACCAAAGGCCACUGAAAAAAAAAAAAGAAGAAGUAAAUAUGAAUAAAUACAAUGGAAAGCGAAGAGCCAUUAAAAAAAACAGACUAAAUACAGUUUUUUAGAGUAGAAUAAAUAGUUUAGGGCCCAUUUUCUUUAAAUUAAGGAGGUGCAUCCACAUAAAAUUUAGAUAUGAGAAUUUAUGUAUAGGUAUGAAUAUAAAUUGCUAUUUAAGAAGAGCUGUUUAAAAAAAUACCAGUAAUUUUUAAACUCCCGCCUACAACUUUUCGCGGUAGCAAAAAAUUCUUUUGGUGGGUUAGCUUUUAGGGCUCAGUAGUUGUUUCAUAGAUAUCAAAAACGUAAAAUUUAUUCCUACAUCGAGAUCGGGGAAUCUUCAUGCAUCGUUCGGAGCUGACAACUCAAUCUCAAUGGGCCUAUUUCGAUGCCCAAAUUUUUUGUUUAGGGCAUCUCUUUAUUUACUUAAAAUUUUUAAAAAUUAGUUGACGAGAAAUAAAAUCAAAUGACCAUAAAUGCGUAGUUGCAUAAGAAGAUAUAAACUAGAGAUUGUAAAGUCAUAGCCAUAAUAAGUAUAUUGAUGCGGACUAAAAUUAAAUUCAUAGGACACUGCAACGACCCGCAGAAGAAAAAAAAUACAAUAUUGUGAAAAACAAGACAUCGAACAAUUCCGGUCGGUUAUUUUACACAAUAUCAGCGUAGGUGAAUCUAAUUUUCAGAAGCAUUUCAAAGGAACAUCGAUUUGUCGGCAAUAUAAGAUUACGGAGAUCCAAUCAAAGGCAAUGGCGCUACACUAUCGUUGACAAAACCCGUCACUUAAGACGUUUACAAAAGGCGCUUUGAAAGGGAGCGCUUUUGUUCGACACUGAUUAAUAAGCUCAAAAAAACGGCCGGUCAACGGUCGCAAAUAUGGGUUUCUAAAAUUGAGUCUAAUUCGUGUUAAUUACGUGUAAUGUAGUUGGCGCUAUCCGGGGUCAAAGGGAAACGUUCGAGCAGUGGCGAGGCGACACGUGUCCCCCGUGGUUCACGCCCCCGCCGCUGCGCGACGCGGUGGGCCCGGUUUUUGUGAAGUCAAAUGUCCCCCCAAGCUCACGUGGGCGGUGGUCCACUAUCCAAUGGUAGUAGUACAUGUGGCAAUACUGGUCCCAAGCUCACGGAGCUUCUCGAACAUGGGGCCCACUCUUUCUAACUCUACUAUAUCAUAUUUAUAUUAUAUUAUUAUAAUAAUUAGUUAAUUAUAUAUAUAUUUUUUUAAAAGUAUUUUAAAAAUAUAUUUUUAAUAAUUAUGAUGGGACAGAUGAGCUCUAAAAAAAAAAAAAAUCUAAUUGGCUAGGGACGCCACAUUAAUAAUAUAAUUGAUAAAUUUUAGACUUUUUCAUCUGCAUAGACACUCUGCAAUUAAAAAUAACUUUUUUUUAAAAAAAAAAGAGUAAAAUAACAUACUAUAUAUUUUGUUUUUUUUGUAUAAAAAGUAAAUUUAAUUAGAAAUAUAAAAUAAUUAGUUUUCAGACUUAAAAUUUUGAUUAUUAAUAAUUAAAUUUUUUGCCACUUACAGCACAGACCGGUCGGUAAAGUUAUAGUAAUUAAAAGUCAAACAAUCUAAUUCGUGAGUAGGAGAAUGUGCAAGAAAUUUACGGGUUGGCAUUUAAAUUUGCAUCCAAGGAUGAAAAUGAAACAUAAAUUUUCAUUACUCUCAAGAGCAGAAUACAAAAUAGUUCCUAUCUCUAUGAAAAUUCUAACUUCUAAAUUCGUUCGAUACUCUACUCUAAAUUCGCAAAAAAAUUAUAAAUAUAUUUAGAUGACUGAAUUGAACAAGCCCGUCAAUACGCGAUUAGGUUUGUAUAAUUGAGGCCUCCACUGGAUUUGUACUGGCGUGUUAUGUGGGUCAUAGACCGUAGCUUUCAAAGAAAUCGUCGAAAAGUUCAUCAUUAAUCACCUUUCCUUCAAAUUUUGUUAGGCCCCAAUAUAAAUCGACCACUUUGACCUAAUUUCUAUACUUGUGUUAUAGCAAAAUGCUGAAAUGAGCCUUUUAUGCUAUGGAAUAUAAAAUAUUAAAAAUAUUGUCUUAUGAUAUCUUAAGUUUUUGAAUGAUAAUGCAUAAUGGUUCUAAUUUCGAGUGUUCUAGACAACUUUAUGUAAUUUCAGGGGUCUAUUCCUUGUGUGAACAAAUGAAGAUAUUAUUCAAAAUAGCCGAAUCAUUUGAUUAUUAUUAAGGGUCCGUUUGGCAUUAAGGAUCACCCAACGUUAGUAAGAAAAAUCAAAGUUAGGAUAGAAGCAUAUAGAAAAUGUUUCUCUACUUUUCGAUAGGAUUGCAGAAAAUAUAUUAUAACUACAAUGACCCGACUUCCCAGGGGGUCAUCCAUCCUAGGACUACUCCUCUCCUAGCACGCUUAACUCUCUUAACCUCUUGGGUCUUGUCACCACCCAAAAUGCUUAAGCCAGGUUAAGAGUUUAGCUCUAUUAUAUCUUAUAUAUAGGACUAUCUGGGGUCUCACAAUCUCCCCUCCUUUAAGCCCUGACGUCCUCGUCAGGCUCAGACUCAUAAGUACCAGACGAUGUGAGACUCGUUUUGCUAGCCCGUCAUCCAGACCCUCGCUCAGCCGAGACUCAUCUCACACUUCCGGCUGGUAAUUGGCUCUGAUACCAUCUUUGACGCCCCGACUUCCCAGGAGGUCACCCAUCCUAGGACUACUCCUCUCCUAGCACGCUUAACUCUCUUAACCUCUUGGGUCUUGCUACCAUCUAAAAUGCUUAAGCCGAGGUUAAGAGUUUAGCCCUAUUAUAUCUUAUAUAUAGGACUAUCUGGGGUCUCACAAGAACAGACUUAUUGCAAUGUACGAAAUAUGAGAUUACUGUAUAAAUAAUUAGAAUGUAUUUUAAUAUUAUACUUUUUUAUCAUACAUAACGCAAUUUCCAUGUAAUAUCAAAUGUACCCUUGCUGAUAGAUACAUUGAAAGUGACUGUGUAACAUUCACAUAUAUAAUUGGUUCUGUGGCAUGACUAAGUGGCACCCUGUGUAUGGAUUAGCUUUAAGUAUUUUAUGCACACUUUACCUAACAUAAUUUGAUUCAAAAGAUACAAAAUUGACUCAUCAAUAAGGUACAAGAAAUAAUUCAACUCUUUUACAUCACUAUUUAUACAUUCUUGGAUUUCAUGACCCUACAUUCAAAGCAAACAUGGUCUAACCGACCUUGAAAAAUCUUAUUUGAUUGAUUGGUAAACAUUUUGAGGGAUCUCUAAUCAUAGUAGUACAUACAUAUAUGUAGCCCAGCAUAUGCUGUAUUUCUAUUAAUUGUCAAAAGAAAUUAAUAAUGUGAAAAGAAAUUUGUUUCUCAACGUGUUGGGAGAGCUUAGGUUUUUACUUUCUUUUUCUUUUUUUAACCCCUAAGAUAUGAUAGAAUAUUCCCUCCUAAAUUAUUUAGGCCAUGUUUGGAUGCAGAAAUAAGUGUAUGAGAAUUUUAUUAUAGCAUGAUUAUAAACAAGAAGUUUGGCUUUUUGCUUCUUCAGAGUUGCGCGAUUUAUGAUUUUGUAGAAUAAUAUAUUUCACCUACAAGAUAAUUUAUAUUAUUCUGAAAACAUGACUUUAAAUCUGAAUAUUAUAUAAGAUAAUAUUUAAUAUUUGACCAUACUCUGCAUCAAUCAAAUAUAUANAUUUUAAUAAAUUAAACAGAUAUGCCAAAUAAGAUUUUGAUGCAUCCAAAACAAGAACCUUAUUAUUGUAAAAAUCAUUUCAACCAAUUGAACUGUGAAUCAGCUCUUACAGUAGUCAAUGAAUAUUUGGUAGCUGGUGAAAGAGAUCCCAAGUAUGUGUUUAUAUAAAUAGUGCUGUUUUUAGAAAAUAUAGUAAAUCACACAAUAUGUGACAUUAAUGCAAUUCAAACCACAAAGUACAUAGUUCAUCAAUUCAUUGUUGCAAUAUCUAAUAUUCCAAAUCUACAAAUUAAAUCUGUUUCACCCAUUUGGCCUCUAGAGCUACUAUAUAUUACUAGUCAAGGCUAAGGGUUAGCAUGAGCAAAGCAUUAAUACGCAAUUUAUAGGUGAUUACCAACCUCUCAUUAUUAAUUUGUAAUGUUGAUAAUCUAAAUCGACGGCGAUUUAUGAUGUCUAUAUAUACCAUUGAAUAGUUGCAGUGGAACCUAAAUUCAUCUAUAUCUUUGAUUUCUACUAAAAAUUUGUUAUAGCUAAUCAAUGCUACACCCAAGUGCUAUGUCUACCCUUUUUUGAAAGCACACGCAUGGAGAUUUGGAAUGUAAAUAAUGGUUGUUCCAUUGGCUAGAAAUUUUCAUUAAUUACUUAAUUUAUUACGACAUGCGAGUAGUAAUAAUUGAAUUUGAACUAUCAUUAUCGUAUGCAACGCAAAAUCACUCACAGCAUCGCAACUGCCUACGUAGCUCAAAAUCACUACUUUUCGUGCUAUCACUUGUGCAGCUUUGUGCUACUGUAUGAACUACGUAAAGAACGAUUAUUUCAUCAAACAAAAAGGACCUUUGAACAUAAGGGGAUUUUUUUAAUAAAAAUUUAGAAAUUUUACGAGAAUAUAUGAUUUAUUUCAAAAGUUGCAAGAACAUAUAAUCAAUAUAUUAUAUGAAUUAUGGUAAAGUUUGGGAAAAAAAAAACAUAGCAAUUAAUUUGGAAGUUUGCAAAAUAAAAUACACCAAUAAUUAACUCUACAAUCAUGUGAAAGAUUCCUCCCAAAAGGUGGUAGAGGAAUUCAACUAAAGGACAAAUUAAGUACACAACAAAGGCAAAGGUUUGACAAAAUAUUGGAUUAAUUUGACCAAUUUACGAUCAUGUUGAAAGUGUCCUAAAAAGUUGGAGCUGUUAAUGUUUACUUCCCCUUAAACUAAUUUUUCUUCUAGAAUGGUUAAUUAUAAGCCAAUAACACACAUAGUCACACAUCUCACUCCCAACAAACAAAUUGAUUAGGAUUAAUACUAAAAUAUGUCAGGGUUGAGGGUUCUCAUAGUAUAUAUCGGUGUAUUAUUAUUAUUACACACAUGAUCGCAAUUUGUCAAUAUAUUGAUUGUGAAACAACUUACUAUUCUAAACGAUUUAUACUUUGUUGUUUUAUACUCAAUGCUCUCACCGACUUCUACGGUAGAGACUUUUUACCUAGACCUAAGACUUUGAACUUAUAUUAACCAAUAGCAAAUUGAAUAACAUUCGGAGCUUAGUAAGAUUUGAAAUCAAUACAAAAUAUUAAAAUAUUAUUCUUUAAAAUAGUUCGAGUUUUUAGAGACAAGAGGUUACUUCACAUGAUUAAUUUAACAUGGUAUAUUCGCGUAGGAGAUCCUUAUAAAUUAAAAUCUCACCAGACUCUUAAUCUCAUUUGAUUAAUUGUUUCCCAUUUAAUUUAAUUCUAUAUUUAGGCCUAUCAAAGUUUUGAGACAUGCAGAUAUAUAUGAAAGGAAAUAUUGAAUGUAAAACAUAUAAUAAAUAUGAAGAUAAUAUAUUCCCUGAGACAGAUUAAGCUUAAAAAUAUCGUUUUCUAAUCACUUUCGGUCUUUGUUAAGAACCGCUUACUUUGAUAUCAUAUGCAGAAUUAAAAGAUAGUAUUUUGGGAGGGCCAAAAGAUUUCUAAUAAAGAAAAAGCAAAGUCAUAGACGCUUUGGAAUUACAAUAUAUAUCUACAGUGAGGUGACACUCCAAGAUGUGGGAGAGGAGCUAGAUUGUGAAAAAGAAGGAACCAAAAAGAAAGGCGUGGGCUUGGAAUUCACAUGGAGAAAAUAGCCACUACAUUAUCUUGGUGGCCUUUUGGUUUGGUUUCCUUCACAUUCUACGUCGCUUUUGCUUUGACUUUCUCGUGCCGUUCCUUUUGGUAUUUAAUGGUGAGUCGACAAGCACAUAUGAGCUACUCUCUCCGACCCAUAUCGAUCCACACUUUAAUUAAACAUAAACACACCUUACCUGUUAGGGAUAUACUUUGUGAAGUGGAACCUUUUGUGGACCCAAAACUAUAUUAUAUACAAUACGCAAAAGAAACUCUCCACCACUUAAUAUAUUACACCGAAUUAUUUAGUCAUAAGUUUAAGCUGAUGAAAAAUGAUGUGUUAUAAUUUGAGAUUAUGAUCGUCUUAGCAUAGUUAAUUAGAGCUUUUUUGCAAGUACUAUUGGAUGAUUAAAGUUGUUUGUAAAAAUAAUUCUUAAUAAUUUUUCUCUAUAGUAAAAGUAAAAAAAAAUAAUAAUAUUUUUUGAAAUAGAGGAACGAUUUUAGAAACUAUUUCAAUACCAUUGUAGCUAGCUAUCCGAUUCCUCCAAAAGCUAAUUAUUAUCCUACACUAUAAUAGCAAGGCUCUAUUAUUAUGUAUGGUGCAAAAAUUAGUAGAAUAUGCUAGAGAGAGAGAGAGAAGUGCCACGUAUGUGAGCUUUGGAAAAGUUGCCCGUAUUGUGUGGACUUUGCUUUGUGUUAGAUUGCGACUGCAGCGAAAAGAGAAUAAAGUUAUAUUUUGUAUUUUUGUGCUUUUAUGUAUUAUUAUGAUUUAUUAUUGUUAUGAACAGUGUGGGGUUGUAAAGGUGUGGCUUGGCUCACUCUUUACAUGACUUGAGCUUGUGGCUUUACAGGGAAUAAGGAUUUUGGCCCCAGUUCACCUUCACCUGCUUUGGGCUGUUUGUUUGCCCUGAUUUUUCAGACUGACAAUGAGAUUUUUAGUUGAACUGAGAGUGAAGUUUUUUUUUUUUCUUUUUUUUUUCUUUUUUUUUUUUCUUUUCUUUUGAGAAAUGCUAGCCUUUAAUAUAGUUUGGCCCCAGUUUACUAACAGGAGUAGCCGUUAGAUCAUACUAUUCAACAAACCAUUCACUCAAUCCUAGAAAACUACUAUCAUCCUAAUCGGAAUCCACUACCAUCUUAACUGCACAUUCUUUUAUCCAAUGACCAAAAUUUUAUAAAUACAAAAAAAUCUAUACUCAUAAAAGUAAAGCAGCCACAAGAAAAUAUAAAAAGUUACAACAGUUAUUUUUUUAAUUAUUUUUUGUAUUAUCUUUUCUUCCAUAAUUGACAUUGGCACUAUCUAUAUAGGUUGAAGUCAAUUAAUUUGAGAAAAUAAAGUUCCAAAGGAAUUUUAUUUAUAGUGAACCAAACAAUAUGAAUGGAUAAUUAUGACUGAAAAUAACUUUACUUUUCUUUGAUUUCAGUGCAACAAACAUACCCUACAAAACAACUUUAGAUGGGCUCUCCCUAGCUAGUGUCGCGAAGAGGCCUUGGCCCAUCACGCAUCGAAACUCUUCUAGUGCACUGUUCUUAAAGCAAGCAAAAUAUCGAUUACUAUAAUAUCGGUAGUAUGUAGGCCGCCGUUUGGUUGGGGUAUAAGGGGUGGGAUAAAGGUUAUCCUCUUUCUUAUAUCCAAACAAAAAAAAAGGGUGGGAUUGCUAUCCCACUCCUUAACGGGUUAUUCUGAAAAUUUAAAACUUUGAAUUUUUGAAUUUGAGGUUUUUUAAAUUCAAAUUUUAAAUUUUAAAUUUUGAAAUUUAACCCUUAUAUAUGUAAAUUUAAAAUUUUAAAUAUAAAAUUUAAAAAUUUUAAUGCAAAUAUAAUAAAGAGGACAAUAUUAUUUUUUAUUUAUAAUCCCUCACUAUUCUUCUUAAUCUAUUUACUCCAACCAAACAUCAUUUUGUUUAUAUCUGAAUUAAAUCCAAUACUCAACCAAACACAAAAUUAAUCUAUAUCCAUCUUAUACCUCAUCUUAUAUCUAUUUCUAAAACAACUAGCUUUUAAUUAUACUCGAACGAAUAGGAGUUUGGUUGGUGGGGCGCUCCUUAGCAAGUACUAGAGCGUACUAAACAUUUUAUUCAUUUUUUAUUCCCGAAUAUUUAUUCAGUCAUCAACUGCUCUGUUACUAGACGGAAAAAAAAAACAAAAAAAGCACUAUAGUUUAACUUAAUGCCAAACAUCUAAUCGUUGUUUCUCGAAGUAUAAAGCUGUUUCGAAAGAAAAGAAAAGACGUGCAAAAUUCGUAAUCUAUGAGCUUCAACAUCAUGUGGUCCGAACCGAAACUAGAGAGUCUACAAUUGAGUAGCCAAACUUAGUUAUCCAUCUUUCACCAUGUGCAUUGCAUUUAAAUGGGAACAGUUAUUCGAGAUCAUAGCAAAGGAUGCUCACGUCCUAUGGAGAUAUUAUUCCAAGGACUACAUGUGGUUUGCUCAUCGAGAGGGGAACAAGACAUGUUCUCCACGAUGUGAGAACUAAUUAGGGUGGAUCACUACUCCUGUUGUGCAUUUUAAUUCAGACUAUGUUAACUACUUCGCUCCCCCUUAAACACUCGAUAACAACAAUUACUUUGCCACUACAUUGAAGUGUGAUCUACACUUGCCUCAAAAAAGCGAGAAAAGUGAGAAAUUAAGUGCGAUACGAAGACGCUAAACCUGAAAUCUUUGAAUAGAUAAGCGAUUACAGUAGGGUCCACCGCAUUCAAUCAACGGUAUGUUGGUAACAUGUUUCAACAGGGUUAGAGAAGUACGUACGAACUAACGUAUGCUGUGGACAUAGUACGUACGUUCCAAACCUGUGAUGAUAAGCUGGCGAGUUUAAUUAAUUACUUAUUUUAAUUAUAUACUGGAUCCAGCUCCAAUAUUAGCUAAAAAUUAUCGUAACUAGGGUCGAUUAAUGCUUUCUGUACCAAAGAAUGUACCUCAAAGUAAGAAUAUUUCGCGAUGAUUAUAAGUUCAACAUAAAGUCGACUACGCUUUCGAAGAUCUUCACAUUGCCUUCCGCAGUGAAUUGCACAACAAAUUGUGUAGAGAACAUUGGAAGAGAAAGGAUUCGCGGUUAAGGACAAAUCUCUUACUGAUGGAAGUGCAAAUUUGACUUAAGCAGACUAAAAUUUACUGCCCGUGAUUACUUCUCAUAUGCAUAUUUAUGAUACUUUGACUUGCUUCGUACUCGUUCGUUUUGAACUUCGUCAAUCAAAUCAAAAAUCAAGUACCAAAAUCGAAUUGCUCAGUUUGCGGAAUGGGCAAUACUAUUUGUACACUCAUUAGUUUAUAGGCGUGAGAUUUUUGUCUACUCUUUCAAACAUUAAAAUUUACUUGUGUAAUCAAUUUAUUUUUUUAAAAAAUACUGAAAUCCGAAAGAGGUUUCUCUAUUACAUCAAUUUAAUAGCAUCAACAAUUACAUUAUUGUAAAAUUUAUUUUAUUACAACAGUUUGUGCCAUUACCAUUAUGAUAAUGCAAUCUUAUUAGUUAGUCAUUUAUUACCACAAGUAUAACAACGAUUUGCAACGAUUCUUAUUUAUUGUACAAAAUUAUUACUGCAACUAAUAGUUAUCAAUUGACAAUAAUAUUUACUGUUGAAAAAGAAUAAAUUUCAAGUGAUAUGAGAAUGACAUACAAAGGUAUAGCAACUUAAUUUUUUAGGCCCUACUUGGCACAUAAAUAUGUUAUUCAGUAUAUUUUUUCGAUUUUUAAUUAUUCUGCGAUUUCAAUAAGAUCUUAGUUAUAGUAGUUUCCUAACAAGUUUGAUAUUUCUUUUUUUCUUUCCGACAUGCUAGAUUCUAUCAAUAAUUGAUUUUAUCAUGUUACUAAAACAUAGGAUAUAAUUAAGUUAGGUGCCAUUCGAAUGAUUUCUGGUUGGCCUCUUAAAGCUUGAGGACACUUGGAGACGAAUUUAUUUAAUUUCUUCACUUGUUUUAGGAAAAAUAUAAAAUAAUUUGUUUCCGUACUCUAUGUAAGGAAAAAAACACACCUAUCUUAUCUGAACUAUGAACUAUUUUAAUUUGACUAUUUAGUUUUUUAAAUUUUAAUUUUAAUUUUAAAACUAACAAAUAACUCUAAUCAAAUAAAUUAAAAUAUUAAACAGUAUAACCAAAUUUUUUAAAGAUUUAAGUAGAUGAAUGAUAGCUCAGAUAAAUUCUAUACGAUUUUAUCUUUAUAUAAAUAAACAAUUGUAUUAAAGCUUAAAGCCGUUGAUGACUUAGAAAUAUCCCAGAAUCACAAGUCAUUGGUUCAAGCACUAGAUUAAACAGCAUUACCAUAAAAUUAUAAAUAUUUAAUUAUUAUUUUUUAUAGUAUAUAAUAAAAAAUAAUAAUCAAAGUAUAACACUAUAUUAUUUUUGAAUAUUUGAGCACGGAUUGUUAAAAUACUAACAUACAAUUUCAGCUGUUUAUUACACUACCGUCCCUAGAACAAAUGAUAAAGGACUUGAUGGUUGGUACCCGAGACCCAAAUUCGAAUCCUAGUUGAUUCACAUUCUAGCUAAGUCUUAGUUUGGUAUUGAGAUUUAUCUAACGCUAUAAAAUGGAGUUGAGGAGGGGUAUGCUUCUGCACUCUCCAAUGGGACCGCAGAAAAUAUAUCGUAACCGACUCAUCGCGAUAUGCGGAACGCAAUAUUACAUACGCAAUAUUACGUACGGAAACAAACAUGUAUUUUUCCAAAGUACUUUUUUACCGCAUGUAAAGUAAUUUUUCCGCAUUCCCAGCAUUUCCAAACGUAGCCUAAAUUUAUUUCUAAAUGAAAUAAACGAAGCAGGUAACGUGCUACCUAUCUCUCAAAAAAAAAAAAAAAAAACUAUUUAUUACACUACCAAAUAAGAAAAAUUCGGCGGAAUCUUAGAAAUUCUGACUCAAAGCAAAUUUUAAAUUAGUCCGAUUAUAUGAGUUGAGUCGAAUUGAUUUGUGCAGCAAGUCACGUCCAAUCAGUUGAUUUGAUCGAUCCGAGUCCUAAAAUACUAUUAAAGGUAAAUUGCACAUUCAGUCCUCAAACUAUGAGGAGGCUACGAUUUAGUCCUAAAAAUUUUAAUUCAUUAUAAUUUGUCGCUUGAGCCUUCAGAAUUUUUGCAAUCAAAUUUUACAAUCCAAUUUAAAAUUAUUGGCACAUCAUUUUUUUUUAGAGAGAUAGGUAGCACGCUAUCGCUUUGUUUAUUUCAUUUAGAAAUAAACGUAGCUGAAAAUGUGAAUUAACUAGAAUUCGAACUUGAAACUUCGGGUACCAACUAUCAAACCCUUUGCCACUUACUCUAAACACAUCAUCAAUCAGCAUACUACUAUAUUUUUUUUUCUAUAUUAGUAAUAUAUUAAUACUUAGUCAACUAUACUGAGUUAUAAGAUCUAGUUGUAAUAAUUCUGAAAAUUAAAAUCAGAAAUUAUUAUAGUAAAUUAAAGUCUAAAUAUGAAACCUCGAAUAUCAUCCAUUAAAUUUUUUUGUCACUUGCGAUAAGGACACAGUCGGUCACUUGCGAUAAGGACGGCCAGUAAUUGAUUGGAUAUGGUUGAUGUAGCGUAGGUGUGAUAUAGCAAGACAUUCUCCUAUUGGGGUGGGGCGGAGUGGAGCCAAGCCGAGCUCAUCGGGUUGGGCGGAGUGGAAGCCAGGCCGAGCGCUGCUGGGACCGCGGGCAGAGAGAUGGCCACGAGUUGAAACGUGUCGCUGGGCGUAUGCCAUCGGUACAGCCAGGGCCUCAUAAAUACCAAAAGUUUGCUUUUUAGCUUUCAGUGCCGAUCUGUCCCGAAACAGUUCGAUGUCAUGUGGACCCAAACCCAAACCCAAACCCCAGCCCCACUCCUCCCUCGCCAUUCUUCUUUCAUACUAUAUAUAUAUAUAUAUAUAUAUAUAUAUAUAUAUAUAUAUAUAGNAUAUAUAUAUAUAUAUACUGUACUAUACGAUUGAUUUUAUUUAUAUUUAUAUUUAUAUUUAUAUUUAUAUUUAUAUUUAUGUUAUUAUUAUCUAAUCUAUUAUCACUCACUCUCCCUCCCUCCUCUGAAAGCCCCCUGUUUUUCCGAAAAUACCCUCCGUUUCGACUCCCGCCUUGAGCGCUCUCCUAGAGGGCUUUUUCGGGAAGUGAAAAAUGGGAAGAGAUGAGGGAGGGAACUCUCUCUGCCUAUAAAGCAAGAUCCCGUUCGGUUCGCUCUCCCCUGUCCACUGCGAGCUCGGAGCGUAAACGGAGAACGAACGCUCUCUCCUUCGACUCUUUUAAAUAUAUCCCCACCCCCCCCCUCUAAAAAUCUCUAUAUUUCCCUAUCACUCCUCUAAUUUUCCCUCUCUCUCUCUCUUUUUCUUUUUUUUUUCCCCCCCUUGGCGGGGGAGUGGGGGAGGGAAGGGAAUUAAGUUUUUGGAAUUCUCCUCCUCUUUUCCCUCAGCAAUUUAAUUAGCUUCGAAUUUCACCCAAAAAUCGAAGGAACAAACGAGAAAUUGACGAAGUUAUGGAGAGAGCAAAGCGAGAAAGCCUAGCGGAGAUAGCGUCGUUUCCGAGCGACAUAGGCUCCGCCAGCUCCGCCGUGUCGAGCGUCCUCCUCUCCGGCACCAACGCCCUCGACUCCAUCUUCUCCCACCUCCCCCCUCCGCUCCCUCCGCCGCCCCUUCGGCCGUUUCUCCCGCCGCUCUCCGCCGCGGCUGCGCCGGAGCAGCUCGGCUCCGGCGUCUACCUCCGGCAGACGGAGCUCCUCCGGCGGCUCGGCGUGGCCCUGGCGCGCGCGCACCCCUGCUACGCCCACCGCGGAGGGUUUGGGGGGGCGGCGGCGGCGGCGGCGUCGGCGCGGGGGACGAAGCUGUACCGCGGGGUGCGGCAGCGGCAGUGGGGGAAGUGGGUGGCCGAGAUCCGGCUCCCGCAGAACCGGGUGCGGGUGUGGCUCGGCACCUACCGCCCCGCCAAGCCCAACCCCAAGCCCAACACCAACCCCAACCCCAGCAAAAAAGAUCCCCCGGCAAACGACGAUAGUAAUAAUAACAACAGCAACCAUAACAACAAUCAGAGUAUCAAUAAUUCUCACGCGGUGGUAGCACCAAGUCCGUCCCAGGAGUGCCCCGCGAACACGUCGUCGUGGUCGUCGUCAUCGUCUUCGUCAUCAACCUCCUCGGAGAGCGCGGCGACCGUCGGAUUCGCCGAAAUGGACGGCGAGUGCUCGCUCGCAAGGAUGCCGUCGUUCGACCCCGAGUUGAUAUGGGAGGUGCUAGCUAAUUGAGCUUCCCAGCCAGGCGCGCAAGGUACUAGUUCUAGAGUUAUGCAGAGUGUACAAGAUACAGCCAUAUGUAGAAGAGAAGGAAAUUUACAAAUAACCAACCCUCUGAACUUUAUGAAAAUUUUUAGAAAUCCUCUCGCUCCGGAGUCCGGAGCAGUCCCAGACCUGUCAAUGAUCUAGUUGGUUUUGUUUAGGUGACCUUUUAAUCAGCUUCAAAUUCAAAUUUUUGCUCAAAUGGUUUUUUUGAACCAACUAAAAGAUAUUAUAAAGUAAGGGGCGGUUUGAAAAUUUUUGUUUAUGUUUGCUCGUUCGUGGGCAACUUGUUUUUGAUAGUUGUUAUGAAGUAAUCACGGCGGGAGUUCAAGUGGCAGGUCAAGGAUUUUUUUUUUUUNUUUUUUUUUUUUUUUUUAAUCAUAAAGUUCAGGGGUUGUUUGUAAACUUCUCACAAGAAAUUGAGAGUUGAUGUUGGUUGCUGCUGAGUCUUAACAGAGCAGCAGUUUGAGUUUGUAUUCAAAUCCGAAUUUUACAUGGAUUUUAUUGUGAGUAGAUAAUCAUGUGUAUGUGCUACUAUGGGCUUUUUUUUUUUUUUUUUUUUUUUUUUUUUUUGUAAGUUGUAUGCGUAUAUGUAAUUUCUUGAAAUUGAUUCUCUGCUUGAUGAUCCCCAUGUGCAUGAUUUAUAGAGUUUAUGAAGCAAUUAUCCCCCAGAGGUAGCGUACAUGAUUUUGCUACCGAAUUCGCAUGCUUGCAGCAUUGUACUUGGUGCUUGUGCACAUGACUUUGGUCCUCAUUGUCUUGAAUGCACAACACUACAUAAGUAAGCAUCAAGUUUGUUGGUGCUUCUAGUUGAAGCCUAAUUAGUUUAUAUUUUUAACUUGAGUUUAUAUUUUUUUAAAAUAAAUGAACCGGAUAGUAUGUUAUUUUUUUCUCUCUUGCUUAAAGAAAAGGGUUGGCACUUUUUGCCCACGGCAGGUUAUAUCCUUUUCUCUGGAAGACGGACCAAACAGGAGCUAAAAUACAAAUAAAAUUGAGUUGAGUGAGGUAAAAUCGUUGGUUAGGAUCUUUGUAAGCUAUUGCUAAGAUGUAGGCACUAAUAUAUAAAAUUAAACAUUGAACCUCAAAUCUACAUAAAAAGGAAGCAAAAGUCUUAAAUGCGAAAAUCUAAAUCGGGCUUAAUGGACCUAUUCAGGGGCCCAAGGCCUAAUCGCCGGCCUAAAUCUAAGCCGAGCUCAGACAUGGUUCGGCCCUAAAUCAAAAUGGACGUUGGUACGAACUCACUGGGCCUAUUUCUGUGUGGACCGCACCUGAUCGAGGUUCGAUUUGGGUAAAUAACGUAUCGAAUGUAUGAUUUAAACUCUCCACUCUUCUCCCGUAGUCUCCGUAGGAAAUUUUAGUCACUCGCGGUGGGAGAAGAAUCCACGCGCGCGGGGUGAGGUGGUGCUUUGAGAAACCCCUAACUUCAUGCAACCGAACACUUGCUACAAACCCUCUGCGCCCCAAAACUGCCAUAAAAUUACCGCAACAACCCCUCUGUUUCGCAACAGCAACAGAGCAGGCGAAGGGCAUUUCCGUCCUAAAACCCGUUAAAUGUGGGAGUCGACCACGGCACACGUGCUCGGUGAUUCUCCUCCUCUCUUUCUACACUUGUUCGCAUUAAAUAAGAGGCCUACGUUUGGAGUGUGAGGGAGAGGACAAAGAGAGGAGGGACAAUUUGUGAGAGAAUCAUCGGUUUUCCAACUAAUUAUUCUCUGGUAACCCAAAAGGUUUGAUGCACACCAACUAUUUGAUCCAUGACACCACACUAAUCCAGCUUUCGGGGGUGAUUCCCUACUCUAUUGUAUUUUAAUCCGGUGGGUUAGUGGCUCCUUCUCUGUUAUCCACACUGGCUUCCACGAGACCUCCUCGCUUUUCUUGCAAGUUUUCUAUAUGUUCCACCUGCUAAAGUAAAAAUAGUCUCUCCGGUGCACCACGUCAGCUCGUGCACUGCCUCCUCUUACAACCGGUUACUAUCUUAUCCACUCAAAAAUGCCUUGCAUUGAUAAAAUAUUAUGUAGAUCAACUUAUUAAAGAUCUCCUAAGCUUCACCUAUACGUUUCACUUAUUUUCCACAUUGUUUAAACAUACUCGCUCCAACCCCUUUUUCUUUUUUUUUUUUUUUUUUUUUUUUUUUUUUUUUUUGUGCGACUCAUACGUGUUUAUGGAGGGUAAUAUACCGUCCACGAUUCCAACAUCUUUUUGCUAUUCUCAGGAAAGUUGUUGGUUUACAAAACGUAAAAUCCGAAGAUAGAAGUGUCGCUUUCUGGAAUUUGUCCUCAAACUUAGUAUCUCUUUUUCUUAAGAUUUUAUUAUUUUGGUUGGGACUUGGGACGGAGAUCCCAAAGUACCACACUUCACGACACCGUGCACACACUUUGUUUUAGUUGUUCCAUCGAUCGCCGUCCGUUAUGCCACGUCAGAAGGAUGUGAUCACAUCGGACGGUGGAUCCUCCGAACGCAUAGGCCUUAUAAAUGUACUUGCGUAGGGAGAGACGUCAUGUGAUUAAUGGGCAUUUAUGGCAUUUCACCAUCUUUCGCGGUUUCGUGGCUUCUCUAAUUUUUAUCUAAUUAAUUUAUAUAUUUUUUUAAGGAAUUUUGGUUUUACUAUUAAAGGGGCGAUUAGCGAUCACCAAUGGAGGAUGGGGAAGGGCGAGGGCGUGGACGAAUUCAGAUUACUAAGUUUGGUAACCUCGUCGAGAUCACAGCGCCCCUCCUCGGUCGAUAGCGAAAAGGACGAGAAGAAGCAGCAGCAGAGGAAGAAGAAGAAGAAGCAGCAUUUGCGAUUCCCACCACCACCGCGGCGGCGGCGGCCGCGGCGGCGGGGAUCAUGGCGGUGAGCGUACCUGGUGCGUCGGCGGCUCCGGCGAUCGCGGCGGCGGCGGCAAUGGGGAGCAGCCCUAGGAUCGUCGGCGUCCCCGCGACGAAGGAGUUCGGCGGGAUCCGGCGGUCGUGGUCGGAGCCGCAGCUCCGCUGCUCCGUGAUCGUCCCCCGCGCCGCCGCGCUGAAGAAGAGCCGCUCGAUGGGGGUCUUCCCCUUCUCGAUCUCGGGAUCGAUCCUUCCCGGCUCGAUCCGGUCGUUCCUCUUCGACUCCGACGACGCGCGCGGCGAGAUGCGGCUCGUGGACGCGGAGGAGGGCGACGAGGAGGCGGGAUCGGAGGAGGAGGAGGAGGCGGACGAGAAGGCGGAGAGGGCGAACUGGGUGGAGAGGCUCCUCGAGGUGAGGACACGGUGGAGGGAUCGGAAACAGAGGGAGGAGGAUAAUGCGAAUUACGAUGAGGAGGAGGAGGACGAGGACGAGGAGGAGGACGAAGCGGAUUACUACUGCGGCGUGAGCUACGACACGGAGGAUGAAGAGGAGGAGGGAGAGAGCAAAGUAUCGGAUCGGAUCGCCGAGUGGGAUCGCGACUCCUUCUCGAAGCUUCUAGUCCGAGUCCCCUGGUCCGACGCCAUGCUCUUCUCCCAGCUCGCCCAUCUCUCCAACUUGGCCUACGUGAUACCCGAGAUCAAGGUAACCUAAUCGCUCCCCAUCCUACCCGUCCAUUUCUCAACGAAAGGCCCCUGAUCUCAUCAUUACUCUUUUUUUUUUUUUUCCCUCCUUUUUUUUCGUAUGUGCGUUGUUAAGCGCGAAUUUGUGUGUUCGGUGGCAUCACUACUGCAUGUGGGGCCCGCGAUUUUUAUCUAACGUCGAUUUCAUAAAAUUUUAGGCAGCGGAAUUGAGGAAGUGGUACGACCUGCUGUUCGUGACGUCGUCGCUGGAGAAGAAAGCGGAGGCCGCGGCGGUGGUCGCCAAGCUCGAGCUCGACUCAACCCGGCCCAGCGCCGGACCGGCCCGUUCGGACUCGGGCGCGGCCGAGCCCAAGCGCCCGGUCCGCCCCGCGGUCGCGUACGACAUCGCCGCGUCGGCCGCGUCCUACGUGCACUCCCGCGCGAAGGGCCUCCUCUCGCUGGGCGCGCGACCCGAGGGGGUCGAGGAGGACGAGGACGACGACGAUGACGACGUGGCGAGUUGCAGCGCGGCGCCGUACAAGUCCGAGGUGGCGGCUUACGUGGCGGCGUCGACGAUGACGUCGGUGGUGGCGGCCGAGGAGGCGGCGCGGCGGGAGGCCGCGAAGGACCUGCGCUCGCUCCACUCCUCGCCGUGCGAGUGGUUCGUGUGCGACGAGCCCGCGACGCACACCCGCUGCUUCGUCAUCCAGGUGAGCGUGUGAAGUUACGCAAUCACCCCUAGCGAAGGUGUUCGAUCGGAGGUCAACUUCGAAAAAUAGUAUUGGAGAAUAAAUUAACUAUAGACAAUUUUUUUUAAAAAAAAAAAGAAAAAAAAGAAAAGAAAUCUUAGCUACCCAAUGCCCCGCCAAACUGGGCACGUACGUAUAGUAGCAUUACUUAAAUGUUCUGUAGUUGCUCAAAAUAAUUGUUUACUCUAAUAUGUUUACUUAUUAGAGUAGUUAAUUAGUUAUUAUCGAAUUGCUAUUUACCUCAGCGUGCAUCUCGAUCUUAAAGUGGAAAGAUCAAUCUUUGGACUUCUCAAUAGCGUAUUUUUUUUAUUUUUCGGAAAUUAGAAAUUAUUUGUCUCAGCGUGCAUCUCUUGUUCACAUUACACUUUUUGCCAGUAUAAACACCUUUAACAUGUUGGACGAAAUGGGCAGGGAUCGGACUCGCUGGCUUCGUGGCAAGCCAAUCUACUGUUCGAACCAACUAAAUUCGAAGUAAUUAAUUAAGCUCACGCAACUCAUUAAUUACUCCUCUCUGUAAAUUUCCUACGACUUCCCCACUGAGGUCUCUUACGUGAGUUUCUUAACGCUACUUUACCCAGAACACUGGAGUUCCUGUACAUAGAGGAAUAUACGAAGCCGCGAAGGGGAUCUACGACCAGCUGUUGCCCGAGAUCGAGGCGCACUUAAAGGCCCACGGCGACCGGGCCAUGCUACGGUUCACGGGCCACUCCCUCGGGGGGAGCCUGGCGGUGCUGGUGAGCCUGAUGCUGCUGGCGCGGGGCGCCGUUGGGCCCGGGGCGCUCCACCCGGUCGUCACCUUCGGCACGCCCUCCGUGUUCUGCGGAGGGCAGCGCGUGCUGGAACGGCUCGGCGUCGGCGAGGGGCACGUGCGUGCGGUGAUGAUCCACCGCGACAUCGUGCCCAGGGCUUUCUCCUGCAGCUACCCGGGCCACGUCGCGCUCGUGCUCAAGCGGCUCAAUGGCGCGUUCCGAUCCCAUCCCUGCCUCAACAACGAGGUAGAGUCCCUGAAUUUGACGUUAAUUAAAUGCCGACCGAGUAUUAGUCAAUGUCGCAUCGCUCGCUACCUUGAACUGACCUAAUUAGUUCUACUUGAUUAAUCUGACUCUUUUCUUGAUGUUCUGAACUUUCCUUUUGUUAAAUAUUCAAUCUCUAUUUAAUGAAAGACCGGCUUGUUACUGGGGAGUCACUUACGUACUAGUCCUCUCAGUAAAGGCAUCAAUAUUAAAAAAGAAUUAAUAAGAGUCAAAACUUUCUCAUCCAAUGCUUUUCCUUCCUGCCUGUACGGCUCCACCAAUAUUAGCUAAAGUGUCAUUUUAAUAUAAUUCUUAGCGACCGUGGUCGCAUUCGGUAAUAUAAUAGUUAAAAAAUAUUAUCUUUAUAUUAUAUUAUUUUUACCGCGUAAAUUUAAAGAAUCUUUUCUCCAUUGGGCGAAGCAGAAGGUGCUGUACUCGCCGCUGGGCCGGACGUACAUCCUCCAGCCGGACGAGAGGUCCUCCCCACCGCACCCAUUCCUGCCCGACGGCGCGGCCCUCUACGCCCUCAAACCCGCCGGCGGCGCGGAGCGCGGAUCGCGCCUUCCUGAACACGCCGCACCCGCUCGAAACGCUGAGCGACCCCAAGGCGUACGGCUCGGAGGGCGCCAUCUUGCGCGACCACGACUCGAGCAACUACGCCAAGGCCAUCAGCGCGCUCCUCAAGCAGCACACGCGCUCCGUGGUGCGCCGCUCCCGGGCGCAGCGCCUGCACCACUGGUGGCCCCUCCUCACCCGCCGCGCCUGCCCCGGCUCCAACGCGCCGGCGUUGGAGACGCGCCGCUUGGUCGCCGAGGAGCUCGUCACCGGCGCUUAGGCACUUCUCGCACGACUGAUGUUGCGGUCUCGGUCCGUGUACUCGACUUAAAUUGCGUCCGUCGAGGAAAAAAAAUAAAAAAAAAAUAAAAAAAAUUAAAAAAAAAAUAAAAUAAAAUUGGUGGGCUUGUUCUUUGCAAAAAAAAUUUCCUCAAGGAUUCCUGUACAUGCUAAAAUGGGCCGGGCUUGUUCAUUCGUUCCUUUUGUAUCUUUUCUGGUAAACAAUUAUCCGGAUUCAGUUUAUGUUUCAUCAGAGAUUCAGAGCACAUGUAAUAUCUUUCUCGCUCUCUACUCUCACCCCAGGCCCGGACCAGGUUCAGGUCCAGGUCCAGGUCCAGCUUUCAUCGAGCCACAAAUUUUUAGAUCCCACCCCAUAUAAUGAACCGGGUCGGGUCUGAACCGAAUGCAUGGAGCCGGGACGGGCGAUCCUGGUCGGGAAGAUCAGGUGGGAUUUUCUUAGUUAUUGACUCUCGACGCGAGUCCGAGACAGAAGAUGUUGAAUGGACUUCGUGGAUCAGUUAGAAGGAAAUCCUCGAACAAAUUACAAAUUGAAGGAUCCUUAAACGAUACAACUGUGUGUGUUGUAUACUUCUUUCUUACCUGUAUGAUGGGGAAAAGAAUAGCAAAUCACGGGGCAACAAAAUUCCUAAUUUGGGAUCAAAUUUAGAUCCUUGGGCCGACCCACAGAUCCCAUUAGUGAUAGACCUGCUUUUUCGACGAUCCGAGGCUUGUCGAGCAGGUCAAGCCAGAUGUUCAAAGAAUCAAGUCCUCAGAUCAUUCGGCCCCGGUCUCGCCUAUAGCUGGGCUCAAGUGCAGAGCCCAGUAAUAUAUUACAUAUGAGAACUUGAUGUGUGUUGGAAAGGGCACGAACGUGCCUGGGUUGAUAGAUGAAAAUUUUUAUACACAUUAUAUACAGAACAGUAUCCUUGUUUAGAUCCAAUGCGAGAUUUCCUAACAAUUUCUUGACACAUGUUAAUUACUACACGGAAUAAUUCUAAUAUAUAUAUAUAUAUAUAUAUAUAUAUAUAUAUAUAUAUAUAUAUAUAUAUAUAUAUAUAUAGUUUCUGUGGAUGUCAUUGUUCAUCCUGUUUCCAUUUUUGUGUGAUUUCUGCAUUUUUUGCAUAACGUCAAUAUAUGAUCUUCGUACUACCUGGUUUAAUGUUCAUACACCUGGUUUCUAGGUGAAAGUAUGCUAAUCUUAUAGAGAUAAANACGGAGCCUUCCGUGCUUCCAGCUCGUUUUCGAUGUUGCGACUUUCGAAUCGUCGAUCGACUCCGUUAAACUUGAUAUAGAGUAUUUGAAAUACCUAAAAAAUAAAUUAUGCAAUUUUUCGAUAUUAUUUACCUAGUGAACGAAGGGGCUCAAAAUUAACGGCUGAAAAUAAAAAUAUUACAAAACGUGAUAAUAUGACAUUAAAAUUUUAGAUCAAAGAUAUUGAUCUUGUACGUUUUAUAUAGUAUAAAGAAUUUUCUUUCAAAAUUUCACGUGAUUUGGAUAUUUCUACAUCGUUAAACUUGUAAACGGCUCACUACGACCAUUAAAAUUAUUGAUUUUGAGCCCCUUCGAUCACUAGGCAAAUGAUAUCGAAAAAUAAUAAAAUUUAUUUUCUAGGUACUUCAAAUACUCUAGAUCAAGUUUAACGGAGCCGAUCGACGAUUCGAAAGUCGCAACAUCAAAAAUAAGCUGGAAGCACGAAAGGCUUUGUAUUAUGGCAAAUGAAAUCCCACUCAAUUAUGGCACAGAUCCAACCCACAUGCCUAGUCCCUUAAACAACUACAUGCUAAAAUACAAUUAGGUUGCAGGCGGAUAAUGUCUCUUAUAGAUCACGUCUACGGUGUUGGAUCCUCGACUAUUCAUAACAAAAGGCUUAAUGGUUGGUAUCUGAGAUUUCAAAUUCGAAAUAUAGUUGCUUUACAUUUUUAGCUAAAUUUAUUUUAAAAUAAAUAAACAAAUUGGACAGGCAUACUAUUUUUUCUUAAAUAAUGAAGUGCUUCAACUCAACUCAAUGUAUGCCUCCUAAUCAUAUUUAAUUAUAAAAAUUUAGAAAAUAGAGGUGCUACAAAUUAGAAAUAGAUCACUUUAUUAAUCUUUUCUCAACUUUUUUUUUUUAGAUUGAAAGAUGAUAAGCUAUCGGUUAUUUUUUUUUAAAACAAAUAAUUUUUACUAAAAUCACGAAAUAACUAAAAUUCGAACUGAAAAUCUCGGAUACCAAUCAUUAAGCUCUUAUCACUUACGCUAAGGUAUAAUUUUCCCAACCCGAUUACGCCAUUUAUCGAAUUGUGCGCGCCAAAAAUGAAGAGGCCCCAUGUCCAAAGCUAAGGAGCAUACAAUGCCACUGCCCUAGCUACCAUUUUUUUAUGGCCCCGUCCCACUCUUUUAUCUCUUGGGAUGUUCUCAGACAAAACUCUGAACAGUAUUUUUUUUUCCUUAAAAAAAACAACCAAAGCGCCUUUACCAGAAAGGGUGGAAGUGGAUAAGCACGCACACCGUACCGUCCCUCUACGCAUCCACGAAGAGCCACGCGCCGCGUUGCGCCGCUCCCAUUCGUCCACGCGUCCCCGUUCCCACUCCCACGGACACUGUACUACGCGGUGGAGAAACUGUUGCGUCGUCCGAGGUUCUCCGAACACGAGAACGAUUAAAAAAUGAUAAGCACGAACUCAAAUGCAGAGUUGUCGGUGUGGAGUGUUCUAGCUAAAUUACAACUCCUCGUACAUUACUAAUUUUCCCUGCCGUAAAUAUCUAUUUGUUGCUAAUAGAUAGGGAUGCAAACGGAUCCGGAUUGGUGGUGCUCUCAUCCCGAUCCGCUCCGACGGAGGCAGUAAAUGAGAGAAAGUAAUCGGAUUCGGAACAGAAAAUGGGAUAAGUUUUACGAUCCGAGACAGAUUCGGGGCAGGAAACGAAAAAAAUUUUGACCCGCCCCGAAUCCGCCCCGUCAUGAUCCGCCCUGAAUCCGCUCCGAAUCCGCUCCGAAUAUCAUUUGUAUUUUUAAAAAAUAUUUUUAAAAAAUAAUAUAUUUAUAAAAAAAGUUCAAAAUACAAAUAAGUUAUUACUCUCAUUUCUAAUGUAUUUGAAACAUUUGAAUUUGUUUUGAAUUGUGAUUCAUAUUUUUAAUUUUUAUCAUUAAUAUUGUUAAAUUAUAUAUAUAUAAUAUUAUUAAAAAUUAUUAUUUUAUAUUUUAUAAAAUAUUAAUAAUAUUAUAAUUUUAUAAAAAAUAUUAGUUGGCGGGGCGGAUUUGGAGCGCCGGUAGGAGACGGGUUACGAGGCAGGGCGGAUUAUGGGAUGUAUUUUUUAACCCGUUACGGAUUCGGGGCGGGAGGCGGGGCGGGUUUUGCUAGUUGGGGCGGGAGGCGGGGCGGGUCUCCCGCCCCCAGAUCCGCCCCGUUUGCAUCCCUACUAAUAGAACAGUAAGAAUAUUGCUCCCAUAAAAUCGACUGUUCCUUGUGCAAGCGGUAAAAAUUUUGGUUGUUGAUAUUCGAGAUUUUAAAUUUAAAUUUUUGUUGAUUCACAUUUCCAACUAAGACUUAGUUUGGUAUUGAGGCUUAUCAAACGCUAUUAGAUAAAAUGAAGUUGAGGAAAAAACAUAUAGGGAUAUGCUUCUGCGUUCUCCGAUGGGACCGCAGAAAAUAUAUCGUAACCGACUCAUCGCGAUAUGCGAAAUGCAACAUUACGUACGGAAACAAACAGACUAUUUUUCUAACGUAUUUUUUCACCGCACGUAACGCAAUUUUUCCACAAUUCCAAAUGAAGCCUAAGUUUAUCUUAUAAAAAAAUAAACAAAGCGCGGGCAGCAUGCUACCUUUUUCUUAAAAGAAAUAUUACUCCGAUAAAUAACUCUUCUAUAGAAUUCGUUAAUUAAUAUCCGAACUCAUUAGCUGAUAUUCAUGAGUCCGGCUGGGAUACUAUUGAUAGCACCAAAUAUUUGGUGCUAUUAAGCUUUCCGUAGUUAAAUUUAACCCUUUGACUAUUUUCAUCCGUUAGAUUAUAUUAUUAAACCAAUAACUCACUCAACCCUAGAAGGCCCACAUCAUUCUAAUUAACUACACAUUUUUUCAUCAAAGGGCCAAAAAUUUAAUAGCACUUACCAAUAGCUUUGUGCUAUUAAUAGUAUUUCAGCCUAGAUCUUACAUUUAUUUGUCGGGAGGAAAAAUUGGUAAUAAGUACAACACCGCCCAUUUUGAUUCUAUAUUUGUUCGAAUGAAAUGUUUAGCUAAUUCUAUACGUCGAACCAAAAAAUUCUUUCUUUUUCUGAUUUUUCUAUCUUUUCAUUCAUUUUCGACGGACCCUUCGUCUUCUAAUAAUUCUAUUUAUAGAGAAAAAAAAAUAGCUAUCAUUCUUUUUUCUGACGAAUCACGUAAUCGUACAAUGUUGUGACUAAUAAGGUCAUUAAAUGAAGUGUGACCGCAAUUGAAAUGAUCGAUAAAGAGAUAUAUAUAUGAGUUAAUAUAAGCUCUAAGGUCCCCGUUGAUGUUGUUUCCAAUCCCCUACGCAUUUCAUCCUCCACCGGAAAUUUUCUCUGCUCCUAUCGUACUCCAGCUUGAUAGUUUCCACCGCCUGUUCAAGGUUGAGCCCUAAAAUUUGACGGCGGACUUGACAAGCCACCAAUAAGCGCUUUACGCCCAAUUAUUCUGAAUAACGCUUGCAUCCUUUGUCUUAUUGUGGCUACCGGUAUAGAGAGUUAGCUGAUACUUAUUCCUCUGAUAUGUUCUAUCUAAAUUACAAAACUCGAUUUUUUACAAAUUUUUACAAAUCUCGUGUAUUAAUUAUCAAACUUCUAGCUAACUAAAUUGGAUAUAACCAGUAAAAUAUUACACCAAAUAGUCAUACAAAAUAAUAGUACCAUUAAGAUAACUUCUAUAUUUUUUUUUAUAAGAUUGGCAUUUUAGAUAAUAUAAUAUCAGAAUCAACCCUAAACUCAUUAUUUUAGAAGUGCUGAGACGUAAUAUAUUUUCAUCUAUUAUUUUGUUGCCUUCCUCGCUACCUCUUCAGUCAUUCCACAAUAUAUAUAUAUAUAUAUAUAUAUAUAUAUAUAUAUAUAUAUAUAUAAACAUUAAUUUCAGCUUAUAUAUUUUGUGUUAGCCAUAAAAGUCAUCAAUUAAGCGAGCAAACAUCAGUCCGACUCAGCUCGAAUUAGAUUAAGAGAAAGCUCGAGCUUGCAAGAAGCNAUAUUAUAAUUUGAUUAUAAAUUUUAGAAAAAACUUCAUAUAUUUUUUCUAUAGUUCAUCACUUUUUAAUCUUAAUAUUUUAUAAUUAUAACUGUAUCACUUAUAUACCAUGUGGUUUCUGUUCUCAAUUUCUAUUAGCACCCCGUUAAAAUAGUCAUGUAGCGCGCACGUGUGCGUCAUUGAUCCUCACUUUUUUUCUUUUUUUUUUUUUACCGUCGAGGACUCUUCAAAUACGAUCAGAAUUAACCACUAAGGGAUCGAUCUCAUCUCUUUGCAUGUCGAUUUUCUGUGUCUUUUUUUAUUAAUUUUGUGAAACAUUUUUAACCCACAUACGCGACGCAUGAUUUUUUUUUUUUUUUUUGGAGAGAUAGGUAGCAUGUUAUCUGUUUCGUUUAUUUCAUUUAAAAAUAAAUUUAGCUAGAAAUAUGAAUCAACUAGAAUUCUAAUUUGAAAUCUCGGGUAUCAACUAUCGAGUUCUUAACCACUUGCGUCAGAAACUGUCGGUGAUACGCGAUCAUUAACUAGUUCCCAGAGGAGGAAUUCUACACUGUCACACUUGCACCACGUCAUCAAUAACAAGCCAAUCACAUUCCUUCUUUUCAAACGAAAGUACAAUAAAAAUACUUUUGACAUAUAUUUUUAAAAGAAUUAACUUGAUUGGUUUGUUACGCCACGUCACUAAUAUACCCGUUGCAUUCUAGAAAUUUUCUUCCCAGAGAGGCCCAGUUCUACAAAUCAUGGUCCAUGCAAUAAUUUCUCGAGUGACAUGGCUCAGGUAGCUUUUUCCUAUUUGGAAACCAAAAAUAUCUCUGAUCUCUUUAGCCGGCACACUCUCAACAAUCCCCAUCCCACAGUAACGGAAUAAAAGAGGAACCCACCCACGCACUGCACUGUCCUUCUCACACGUGGACGUCUCCCAUUGGUCGAUUAUUGUGCGGACGUAAAUGAGCCCUCUCAAAUAAUGAAGAGGACACCUGGCACAAUACCAUUGGCCACAUAGUCACGCCCCCCUCCCUUCGUGUGUUUAUUUAUUUAAGAAGAAACUUCAAAUAUCUCUUCUGUGUUUCACAUUUUUUCACUUUAAUAUUUUAUAAUUUAAAAUAUAUUAAGUUAGUAUCUUGAGAUUUCGCACUUUGUUUUUUUAAUAUCUUUUAAUUUCAAAUGUAUCAAUUUAGUAACUUGUGAUUUUAUUUUUGUAUCAAGUGAGUAUCCUGUGAUUUUUUUUUUCUUUUUAUUAUCUUUUUCGAGGUAUAUAAUUUAACGAAAUAUUAAACCAAAAAAUACUAAAGUGAGAAAGUGCGAAACCACAUAGUACUAACUUGAUAUAUUUAAAAUCACAGGGUACUAAAGUGAGAAAGUGCGAAAUCACAUAGUACUAACUUAAUACACUUUAAACCAUACGAUACUAAAGUGAGAAAGUGCGAAACCACAUAGAAUAUUUAAAGUUUCCCCUUUACUUAAUUAAGUUUUUGGAAUGGAGCUACGGCACCGGAGUAAGUGCGGCACACUUACACCAUAUGAGAAAUAAUAAAUUAAUUAGAUUUAUUUUUAAAAAUUAUAAUAAUUUUUUAAAUUAUGAUAAGACAGAUUAAUUCAAAAAAAUUAAUUUGAUUAGUUGAAAAUAUCAUAUCACUAGCAUAACUGGUGUAUUUUAAAAUUUUUCAAUGAUGAACACGUGGCAAUGCUCGUUUGGGGUUUUAGGUUGUCCCUUUUUUUUCCUUUUUUUUUCUCCGUACCCACAACUUAAAAAGUAAACAAAGUAGGGCCAUGUUUUACUCAAAAAAUAGGGCACCAUGCUUUUCCAAAAUUUGGCAUUUUUUGAAACAUGUAACUGUUGUUAUUAAUUGGCUUUAUCUUUGAAGGAUACUUCUUGUUAAAUCUAAAUCAUAAACAUUUAAUGGAUCAAGCAAUCACCGUCCGUUGCUUUAUCCAUUAAGGAUCGCGAUAUGAUUGGUGCAUGCGCAUUUCUCGAUUAUAACAAAUUGUGUCCAGCAUCGACUGUCCCUAGAGCAAGUGGCAAAAGGUUUGGUAGUUGAUACCCGAGGUCCCGGGUUCGAAUCCUAGUUGAUUUACAUUUUCAGCUAAGUUUAUUUUCUAAAUGAAAUAGAUGAAGCGGGUAGCGUGUUACUUAUCUCUCAAAAAAAAAAAAAACAAAUUAUGUCCAGCUGAAGUGCUAUUAGAAACAACAAAUUUUUGACGCUAUUAAUUUUUUCGUCCUUGUGUUAACUUUCUUGACAUAGAGAGCCUAAUUAAUAGCGGAGCUAUUUAAAAAAUCACUAUAUCUUUUUAGUUAAAAUUGUUUCGACCAACUUCUGCAACACAUAUUAAAAAUAAAGUCUUCGGGAUAGGAUUUUUUCUAGCUUUUCGUCACAUCAAAAAGUUAUAGGCUUUUGUCAGUCAAACCUUUGUUUGCUACACCCGAAGUAAACAACCAGCGAAGUAAUCACGAUCGCACCGACUUCUUAAUAAUCUUAUCCUGUUGAAUUCAUUGUCAAAACUAUUGCCUGAAAAUGUGGGAAUUAAUUUUCAUACUUAUCUUUCCAAAUUGAAGAAAUGUGCUACAAUAUCUACCAAUUGUUUUGCACUUAUCUUUCUCCUUCGAUUUAAUGUUGUUUUUCUAAUUUAGUGUCAAAUCAAGUACAACUCUCAUCGAGAAAAAUAAAUGAAUAAUAAGUAGAUGUGUAAAUUGAUUAUUCAAACUUUACCUUUCUUUUCUAUUAACAUGGCUUUUUAAGUUCUUUGUAUUAUGAUUAAUUUUAAUUGGAUAAAUAGUUUAAAGAUUAAAAUUUUGUUAAAUUUGAAUUUUUUUUUUUUUAGUUCUCUAAAAAGGUUCAAUAACAGUUAACAGCCUAAAUUAUUAGACUUUAUUAAAUAUAACCUAAACUAAAAUGCAUUAAAAAUUAAAAUAAUAUAAAAAUAGGACUUAAUUUUUAAAAUGGUUUAUAGUUAAGUGGUCUCCAUAUAUAUACAACUACUAGCGAACCCGCGCUUCGAAAUAAUUGUAUUAUUUUAUAAUUUAGAAAUAUAUAACUUAUUAGUAAUUUUGUAUUGUUGUAUUGAAGAAAAUUAUAUCGCAUGUAUUACAUAUUAUAUGGAUACGUAAUCCACAUAGGAUCAAUGUCUAAAAGUUGUAUAUAAUAACAAAAAUAAUAAAUUUAGAUAGCAAUUUAAUAAGGCUAUAAAUAUAAGACUCUUUUUGAGUAGAAUAUAUAUAAAUACAUUUUAUGAAGUACUUAUAUAAAUAGAUGAUAUAAAUAAUGAGGACUCCAUUAAUAUCAUGGAUGAAUUUAUUAUUUUUGUUAUUAUAUACAACUUUUAGACAUUGAUCCUAUGUGGAUUACGUAUCCAUAUAAUAUGUAAUACAUGCGAUAUAAUUUUCUUCAAUACAACAAUACAAAAUUACUAAUAAGUUAUAUAUUUCUAAAUUAUAAAAUAAUACAAUUAUUUCGAAGCGCGGGUUCGCUAGUAGUUGUAUAUAUAUGGAGACCACUUAACUAUAAACCAUUUUAAAAAUUAAGUCCUAUUUUUAUAUUAUUUUAAUUUUUAAUGCANUGAGUAGAAUAUAUAUAAAUACAUUUUAUGAAGUACUUAUAUAAAUAGAUGAUAUAAAUAAUGAGGACUCCAUUAAUAUCAUGGAUGAAUUUAUUUAUUCUUUUAUAAGAUAUAUAGGCAAAUAUUUAAUCUAAAUAGGAUCUUAUAAAGAUCAUAAUAUAAGAUUACCUUUUAAUAGACUUUUAUACACAAAUUUUUAUAAAGAGUAACGCAUACAUGAUUUUUAAAGGGUCUUAAGAAAUUUUUAUGUAAAAAAUUCAAAUAGGAACUGAACCAUUAAAUCUAAAAUAUUAACCAAUACGAAUUUUUUAUAUAAAGUAUAUAAGUUGAAUAAAUUUAUAUAUAAAUACCUUAUAACAAUAAAAGUCCAAAGACUUGUAUAUAAAUACUAAUUUUAAAGACUUGCGCAUAGAAUUAUAUUUACAAGUUGUUAAUUGUUAAGGAUUUAAAUGCAAAAACUACAUAACGGGCGAAAUGGUAAGAUCAAAUGUGUUAGAAUUUGACUAAGAAACUGAUAUAGUUUAAUUCAUAUUUUUAAUAAAUGAAACGAAUAAUGUACUACUCUUCUCUAAAGAAGAAAACCGAAUUUGACAAAGGAGUAUUAAAGUACUUUUAUAUCAUGCACUUUACAUACGCUAUGUAUAUUUUGCUUACAAAGCCGAGUGUGGAUAAAUGAUGGUAAGAAGUAAUCGGAAUAAAGUGACACGUGUUCACUUCAGGCCUUCUCAUAUCGAUAUACACUAGUGAAAGACCCGCGCGAUGCUGCGGAUAUAAAAAUAUUUUAAUAAUAAAUUUUGAUUUAUAUUUAUAUAUAUUUUAUAUAGUUUUAUAAGUCUAAUUAUUGAUUAAGUAAAAGUUAUGUUAAAAAUAAUUUAAUAAUUAAAUAUGUUUAAAGAAAAAUAAUUAAAACUGGUAUAUGUGCAACAUAAAUUUAUAUAACAGUUUAUUAAUAAUUAAAUUAUUUUGUAAAGAUUUAUGUGAAAAAGAUUUGAGAUAAAUCUAUUCAAAUAAUUUAAAUAAAUCAGUAAAUAAAAGAAAAAUAAAUAGUAGAAGAAAUUGUUUAUAAAACUAUAUUUAUAUAUAUACAGAGAAACACACACUAUGUUUAUAAAUUGUUAUUCCAGAAAUUUAAAUUUUGUAUUUUUUCAUAUGUCGACAUUUUUCAUGAUUUAGAUUGUAUCUACCAGAAUGGAUUUUAUUACGCAAUUUAUUAUGCGUAUUAUUAAUACAAUUAAUUAAUUAUAUAGGGUUUAAGCGUUUAAAUUUUGAAGUUUGAAAUUUAGAAAUAAAUAUUAUAAAAUUUAAAAUCUGGAGCUUAAAAUUUGAAAUUAUAAACUUUAAAAUUUUAAUAUCUAAAAUUUUAAAUUUUAAAUUUAGAACUUAAAAUUAUAUAUAUAUAUAUAUAUAUAUAUAUAUAUAUAUAUAUGUAUGUGUGUGUGUGUGUGUGUGUGUGUUAGUGUGUGUAGAAGGAGAGAGAAAUGGAGGGUUGGGGGGACACGUGUCACUCUAAAGUCCUUCCAAACCAUUUUUUAAUGUAGUUAGAUGGAUGUCCUUACACCAGGUGGGUGCCACAAGUUUAACCUUUUACGGAUGAACUUUUCAUCAAUCACAAUUUUUUUGAUGAGAUAUUGAUCCAACAGUUACAACAAAAAGGAUGAAAAUUCGUGAAUGCCCUCUUUAAUUAGAGGUUGUUUCGAAACAGCCUAUCUCCUGAACCAUUUUAUUGUAAUUGAAACUCUCAAGUUCUUUUUGUUUAAUUUGAAUUUAUGUAUUUACUUACCAUUAAAAUUUUAUCAAAUUUAAUAAUUUUAUUAUUAAUAAUUAUUGUUGAUUAACUUAUUUUUAUUUGUUAAAAUGUGAUACGGAAGUAGUUGUUUAUAUUCUGAUAGACCCACGUCAUCCACCCAACUAGAUGUCUUUACACCGACGUCUAUUUUUUUUGUUCAGCUAUCCAAUCUUAAGUGAAAAUAAAAUAACUUUUAGGAAUAAAGAAAGGGUAUACAACGUGGAUUGAAAGUAAUAAUAGGACGUGAUGGCGACAAGAAUCAGGAUCAAUGUAAUAGUUUUUUAAAAUAUUGGGCUUGGGGAGAGAGAAUUUUAUUAAUUCACACUACCAUCCCCAUUAAUUAUUGGAAAUCAAGAAGAUUCCAGAAAGCAGUAUGAUCUAAAAUUAAUGUUUAAAAAUAGUAGUAGUUGAUGCAGAUAAGGGACCUUCUCUUGGCACUAAUGAAAUCUAAUAAUGACAAUCCUAUUGUUGUAGAACUGGAGCAAUUUACAAUGAAAAGCAACACACAAUGUUGAAAGAAGGAAAGAGUGAGCACAUAUUAUAUGUGUCAUGUGUGGGGCUUUGCACUGAUGUUUUUUUUUUUCAAUUUAUUUUUUGAGACAAAUAAUUUGUUGUUACUAUGCCUGGGGACCAUUUUAAACAUAUAUAUAUACCCUUCAUUUGGUGUAAAAUCACUUUGUCACACUUUGUUUUUACUGUUUGGGGAGAUUUGAGUUGGCCCCAAAAAUAGAUCAAGAAGAUAUAUAUCUACAUGAGCAAUUCUUUCUUCAAAUUAAACCUCUCUGCUGCAUAAGGUGAGACAGCCAGGAUCUCAGAAGGGCGGAAAAGCAAAAAGACAAAGGUUCACGAAAAAAGACUAAGAAAAAAAAAAAAAGAACUCAAGACGAGGUCCAAACCAAGAAAUAGCCGUAACGCAGGGCUCACUCUUUUGCCAACACUUCGAUACGAUAGGCUGUUAGAUGAAUGAAACAGAUAGCAUGCUACGUUUUUCUCCAAAAUAAAUAAAAUAAAAUAAAACCUCUCUGAAUUUUGCCUAACCAGCUUAUAUUCCCAUUUUUAGUAUAUUUGUGGUAUUUGCUUUUUGUUUCACAUAUCUUAAUAAGUAUUGCCAUGUAUUCUUGAGACAUGCAUGAUUAGUUUCCUUAUUCAACCUCAUCUAUGACACUCUUAUGCUCCAUCCAGCUCAUGUGAACUAUUUAUAGGAGUCAAACAAAUAACUUAUCAUGAAAAAGUUGGCACCCAAACUGCUAGCUUAUAGUCUUGGUCAAAAUUCCCUUUUUGGACAGGUAAGGUUUGAGAAAAUUGUACCUUAGGACCAUGCAUGAGUGUCCCCUAAUAAAGGGCCAAUUUAAUAAUCCAAUCGUCUCUAACGCAAGUGACAAAGAACUUGAUAAUUGAUAUCUAAAAUCUCAGAUUCGAAGUAUAGUUACUUUACAUUUUCAGUUUAAUUUAUUUCUAAAAAAAACAAACAAAACGAAACAGGUAGCAUGCUAUUUUUUUUAAAAAAAAAAUUUAAUAAUCUGAGUAGUUGUUACCUAGAUUUAGCGCACUAUAUAUGUUAAUCGUAGAAAAUUUUGACUGCCAUCCAUCUUAUCUUUAUAUCAAACUAUCUCGAAUUUAAGUUUGGAAGAGGAGAUGGAAUGAAGAGCAAAUUAAAGAGGAAAUGAAUUGAAGAGCAGAUUAAGAAACGAUACGUGUAAUUUAUAUUAAUAUGGUCUUGGCACUCCUGUUCAUGUAUCUGUUGAAAAUUAGGUAGGCUCGUCGUGUACACCGCCGACGAAAGUAACAUAAGAAACAACAAGGAGGAGUUUAUAUUAAGGGCGUGUUUGGUUCGCUUUUUUUUCACCCUCGAAUUAAAAUUGGAAUGGAUAAAUUCGUUUGUGGGUGUUUGGUACGCGAGAGUCCCAUUCCGAUUCCGAUUUCGAUUCCCGAGUGGAAUGGGAAUCCCCCAAUCACCUCUUUUUUUAAUCCGGCCUACGAGACCGGAUUGAAAGUUGAAUCCGGACGUAAUGAAUAUAUAUUUAUUCAGAUUAAAUUUAUUUUUUUUAAUUUUUUUUAAUUAAAAUAUAAGUUAAAAUUUAAAAAUUAAAUAUAUAAUUUUAAAUUUUAAUUUAAACUUAAAUUAAAAAUUAAAAUUUAAUCAAGUAUUUCGAAUCUAACUUAUGAAUUUGAAUUUAAAUUAAAUUUUAAUUUAUAUAAAGUUUUUAUUCAAAUUUUAUUUCAAACUUAAAUUAAAUUUAUGGAUUCAAAUUAAAAUUUAAAUUGUAAUUUUAAGUUUGAAUUUAAAUAAAUUAAAAUUUAAUUUCAUAUUUUGAAAAUUUUAAAAUAAAGUGUUUUUUUUAGAAAAAAAUAGCACGCUACCUGUUGCAUUCAUUAGAAGAAUGAAUUAAACUACAGCGGUGAAACAUCACAGGCCUCGAAAGGUGCAGUAAAAAAAAAUAAAUUUCUGAUUACGCUACCAAUUACAGUAGUGACUAUUUACUGAAAGAAGUUGCUCCCAUAAGUUCGUCGAUUGUUUAAUUUUAUAGGCUGUUCAGAAAAAAUUUGACUGAAUUUUUCAGAAGAUCACGCCAUUCCUGACUGCCCAAGUGACCCACUAAAAUUUGUCAUUUGCGAAAGUUUGUAAAUCGGAUGGCCGGUCCGAGUAAAAUCAGGAGAUUGGCGAGGGCAUUAAUGUCAUUUCGAGUGAAUAACGCUGCGCGCUGAGGCGGCAAAACGAUGCACGUGACAAAAUGUACGGGCGGUCGAAAAAGGCCCGGGGACAGUGCCGCAUUUAUUUUUUAUUAUUUUUUUUAAUUAUUUUUAUUUUUUAUUUUUUAUUUUUUAUUUUGGUUAUAAAUUGCUAAUUUUCACAGCACUAUCUCCUGCUCUCCCAAGCAAAGGCGACGAGCGAGCGAGCGAGCGAGCGAGCGAACUCCACUUCUUGUCCUCUUCUCCUUCCCUUUUGCUUCGUGCGUCGUACCCGAGCCCGAGAGAGCUAGGGUUUCGGAUUGAGGAGGGGGAGGAGGAGGAGGAGGAGGAGGAGGACGCCAUGGUCGGAGAUCUCGCAGAGGAGGACGCCUCUCCCCGCAGCGGCGGCGGCGGCGGCGGCGGCGGGGGCGGCGGUGGGGGGUGGUGGGCGGAGGAGAUGGACGGACGCGGAUGCAGCAGCGCGGAGGAGGAGGCGGAGCUAGUGAGGCGCCACCACCGCCACGAGGUGGCGGAGAACCAGUGCUCCUCCCACCUCGUCAAGCACAUCAAGGCCCCCAUCCACCUCGUAUGGGAAGAGCAGAACCCUAGUUCUAGCCGCGGAUCCGAGCGAUCCCGUCGUCUCCCUCUCUGUUUUUGAUCUUUGAUAUCGAUUUGGUGGCGAUGGUGAUGCAGGUGUGGUCGCUGGUGCGGAGCUUCGAUCAGCCGCAGAGGUACAAGCCGUUCGUGAGCCGGUGCGUGGUGAGGGGGGAGGGGGAGCUCGAGAUCGGGCGCGUGCGCGUGGUGAACGUGAAAUCGGGGCUCCCCGCGACGACGAGCAUGGAGCGGCUUGAGCUCCUCGACGACGACGAACACGUCCUCAGCAUCAAGAUCGUCGGCGGCGAUCACCGCCUUAGGGUUCGAUUCUGAUCCGACACUCUUUCCUUCGCUUCUAUUCUUCUGCAGCAUAUAACUUUAGCUUGAUUUUAGUUCAAUAUACUUCGAAAAUUCUCGCUAUCCUGAUCGUUUUUGCAGUGUUUUCAUGUAUACAGUAGUAGUAAGCAAAAAUGAACUUAGAAUUCUGAGUUCGAAUAAUUCAAUGUCCCCGCGAAUUUGGUGGUCGAAACUUUUUUCUACUAAGGAGAAUGCAAAAACUUGAUCGCCUUGUUCUUCGAUUUUAUUGUUUGUUUUCUGCAGUAAUCAAAAAUUAGAAUUAAGAAGAACUAUGUUGUUGACCGCGUCAAUAGACUAACGACAAUUCUCUUCAUGUUGGAGUUCAUUUGGUGCUUCAUCCUUAUCUUUCGUACAAAACACAAGUACAGUGACCACCGGUCCACAAUCUUAGCCAUUAGCUAUUUUGUAUCAUUUAAACUUUUGCUCUGUCUCUGCAUUAUUGCAUCGCAUUUGGAUGGGAAAUAACAGUUAAUAGUAAUUUUCAGUGUGAAUGCUAUGAAAAAAAAAAAACAACUUUGAAGCUCACCAGUUUAUUCCAAUCGGUAAGUAAUAUACUGUGUCUACGGGCCUGUUUGGCUCGAGUGGAGCUUCUGUAGCGUGCGAAGAAGCAUCAGCAGCUUUUCACUUCAAAUCUCCACCACAUUUUUCUUUUCUUUUUUUUUUUUUCUUUUUUUUGAGAGAUAGGUAGCACGCUACCCGCUUCGUUUAUUUCAUUUAGAAAUAAACUUAGCUGGAAAUAUGAAUCAACUAGGAUUCGAACUUGGAUCUCGGGUACCAACCACCAAGCCCUUUGCCACUUGCUCUAGGGACGGUCGGUUCUCCACCACAUUUUUCAAAAUGAAACUUUUCACUUUGGAGGGUGCGCAGGCUAAUUUUACGGUCGGCCACACUAAGUCCUGGUUAAGUGCAAGUUACUGUUGAAUCCUUCUAAACCCCUGAAUAUUUCAAUUAAAGGGUGUACUUCCAGUGUCACACCCAAACCUAUCUAAUCAUAGAUAUGUGAAUUAGGGGGGAAUCGAAUGUUCCGGAAUACAUAUAGCCCAAAUCUCAGGCCCUAUUAGAUUUGCCCUUGAUAUUUGCAAGAUUAAAAAUAUUAUCUUCUAUCUAUCAUUCAAAAAGUGCAUCUUUAAUAGCUUGCCCUGCUCUCUAAUGUAUACAGUAUACAGAAUAAGUGGAUCAGUUCUGGGAAUCAGCUUUAUAGGUACUAAUAUCUAAUCGGCUCGUCCAUCGGUGGAUUCAGGUCUAUUGAUUCUCUCCCCACUUUGCUUUGCAGAACUAUUCUUCGAUCAUCACCGUCCAUCCGGAGAUCAUCGACGGGCGGCCGGGGACCCUGGUGAUCGAGUCCUUCGUGGUUGAUGUGCCCGACGGUAACACCAAGGACGAGACCUGCUACUUCGUAGAGGCCCUCAUCAAAUGCAACCUCAAAUCCUUGGCCGGCGUUUCUGAGCGGCUCGCGGUGCAGGAUGCCACAGAACCUCUCUAUUAGAACCUCGGCUCUCGGCCGCAAUAAUGACUAUUGAGGUUGUUUAUAGACGAAGAUGGUUACGACCGAAGCCGCGAGGGGCUUUGAGAUUCUUCGCGCCAACUGCAUUAUGUCAUCUUGUAGUGUUUUGCUAUGAUUUUGUAGCAUUGAACUCGGAAAAUAUUGGGUGGCAAUGGAAUAUAAGUAAAAACACCAUUGCCUUAUCUUAUUAGCUUUCCCUGCCCUAUGCCUUGACUAGAAGUUUCUGUAUUUAGAUGUAACUCCCCUCUGACCAAAGGGUUUAAAAUCCCAUUUGUGUUGCUUGUGUGCAUAAUCAUGUCUCUGGUGUUGAACAGUGGUGAUUAUUCAAUAUAACCAGAAAUAGUAUAGGUACAUCUUAAACGCCAUAUUGAUUUCUAGUGCAACAUCGGCUAUUUGUAUUUUAAUAUUUGGAUUUUGUAUUCCCUAAUGUGUUUUGAAAUGAGUUGGCCAUAUAAAAUCUGAAUGGUAAAUGGAAGCUCAUCUCACCUCUAUUUCAAACCUCAACAACCUACUUAGCUGCAGCUUUGUCAGAUAUUUUUUUAAUAUAUAUAUAUAUAUAUAUAAAUAGAGAGAGAGAGAGAGAGGGAGAGAGAGAAAAAGAGUUGUGUUGGAUAUUAUUAAUAGUACAAUGCUAUCAACUUUGUAAUUAUUGGAUGCCUAGAAUUUGAGUGGAUGGUCAGGUAAAAGUAAAUAAUAUGUAUCAUUAAUAAUAUUCUAGCUGGACACUCUCUCUCUCUCUCUCUCUCUCUCUCUCUCUCUCUCUCUCUCUCUCUCUCUAUAUAUAUAUAUACACACAUUGGAUAUACAAAAUUUGAGAUUAAAAUAAAUGGCUGAUUUCUCGGCGGUCCAUAACCCAGAUGGAUCAAGUUUAGCCAACGAUUCUCCCUUACACGGCUGCAGUAAAAGAAUCUCGAUUUGCUAUAUUUUCGAGAACUCAUAAUUUUGUUAUAGAGAUCAUUUUUUACAUAGAGAUAACAUUUUCGUAUACUAGGUUGUGUUUAGUUCGGAUAUAAAUAAGAACUACUUAUUUUAAAGACAUUUACAAAUUCAGGUCUAAGCAAGAAUUAGACCAAUUUUACGAAAAAAAUUAGGUUGUUCUUUGAAAUAAGAUAAAUAGUGUUUGGAUUGUUAGAUUGGAAUAGGAGGGAUAAAAGUUAUAAUUUUAAAUUAAAAAUAUUUUAUCUAUUUAAUUAACAUCAAAAUAUUAAUUAAAAAUAAUUUAAUAAAUUAAUAAAUUUAUUAGCUAAGAUAAUAAAAAUAUAUUAAUUAAUUAAUUAAAUAAUAAAAAAAUAAUUUAACUUUUUAAUUAGUUAGUAAAUUAUUUUAGUUAGAUAACUAGUAAAAAAAAUUAAUUAGAUUAAUAAAAAUAUUAAUGAUUGACCAAUACAAAUAUUAGUUUAUGAAUAAACAUAUUAAAUUAUUGUAAUUAAUUAGCUAAUUAAUUAUAAGUAAUAAAUUAAUUAAUUACUUUCUUAUUUAAGAAAUACAUAAUAACUUAAAUAUAUUACUUAGAUUAAUUAAUGAUUUAAUAUCAUAAUUAAAAUUAAAUUUAGGCUUUGAUUAAUCUUGUUCCUAUUUGGGAAUAAGAUUGUUCCAGAAAAAAGAGUGGAACAACAGCUCUAAUCUUAUACUGAAUUAUACUAGUUUAUUCUAAAAAUCUGAGAACUAUUGUUUUCGGGUACAAAAAUUUAUGUUUGGAAAUAAAGGAGGGAAUAAAGACUUGUUCCUCAACUUGUUUUUGAGCCAAACGCUCUCCUAAUACCGAAUUUUUUUACACACUUAGCAUUCCGAGAGUUUGCGAUAAAAAAAAGGGUUAAUUUCAUAUAUAUUGCUGCAAACAUGAUGAAUGAUAAAUAUAUUCCUACAAAGUUCAACUUUCAUAUGCCGUCUCUAUAAAAGUUCUAAUAUUUUCAAAUAUGUCCCUUUUUGUUUGUUACAAUUUAUAUUUUAAUUUUGUCAUCAUAAAUAUAUCUCUUUAAAAGCCAUACUAAUAUAAUAUAAAGGAACAAAAAUAUCAAAAACUAUAUUGGGUUAAGUAUUUAACAUAUGGUUAACUAACUUUUCCUAACAGAUUCUAACGGCAGGAACAUAUUUGAAAAUAUCAUGACUUUUGCAGAGAAAAUAUAUAAAAGUUGAAUUUUGUAGGAAUAUAUUUACUAUUUACUAUAUUUGUCAGGACAUAUAUGAAAUUAACCCAAGAAAAGAAAGGGGGAGGAAAAAAAACAAAAAAUGAUCGUACCUGUGGAUAAAUUUUCGAAUACUUAGGUUUAGGUGGGCAAGCGCAGAAAAUCCCGACGCACUUGUCCGUAGAGUGUUAGUGUGUCAUGUCCUGGCGCAGGUGAUGCAAUUUUUUUUUCCUGCAAUAAAAGAAUGAGCCCAAAAGUGUUAGUCGGCGCCGUAGGAGUGACCUCUACGGACCAGAUGUCGAACCCUGGUGGAAUUGCCGCAGUAGGACGGAGAAGAUAACGGUAGUGGUCGGCUGAAACGGUCACCGCCAUCUCUUGUCUCCGGACUUUUUACUCGCGCUUAUGUAUGUCUCCAAUUUUACUUUUCAUUUUUAUAAUACAAUAAUAAUCAUAAUCUAACUUCUUCUAGCAGCUAUUGUUAUACAAUUAUUACUUUUAAUUGGAUCUCCUGAGUCAAAAUACUGUGCGGAUUUGGACAGGAAUUGUCGUGUGCUGGGACAGCUAAGUUACAUCCAUUCCCCAGAGACGAAAAAAGCUAGUCAAUAAUCUACUGCCACAUAAUAAUAAUAUCUAUUAAUUAACUAUAUAUAUAUAUAUAUAUAUGAUGAUGAUGAUGCUCGUAAGUUAUUAUUAUGUGCAUGAAUUAGUCAACAGCUUCUUACAUCGAGCAAGGCAAUGAAUGAAUAACAAAGCAAGAUCUGAGGGAACUCGCAAGUUUUCUGAUGACAACGAAGGGCCACCUCCUUUCUUUCUCGGGGCUGCUAUGUUCAAUGUCGACGCAGUGAAUGUGAUGCCCCCCGUGGUUGCGUGGCUCCCAGUCCUCGUGUUUUAUUAUUUUGUAUUCAGCUCUACAAAGUCAUGAAUUUGCCUGCAGCAGGCUUUUUCUCCGAGCUUAUCCCCCUUCAAACUUUAAAAGCUUCGCUCCUCGGCGGUUGAGUGCUCGUGCGACCGGCUCGUGGAGGGGGUCGUCUUUUAGGCGAGCGAUGAUUGAAAAGGCGUUCGAUUUACGAGAUCAACGAUGGCGGUCACAUCCCCCCAAGAAAAAAGUUGUUGAAAACUUUUUUUUUUGAGAAAUAGGUAGCAAGCUACCUGCUUCAUUCAUUAAGUCUAAUGAACUGAGCAUAUAAGUUGGUGGCAGCUUAGGCCUCCGAGUAAGCGGAAAAAAAAAAGAAAAAAAAGAAAAAAAAAGAGGAGGUACGUGAGGGCGUCAGAGCAAUGUACUCCAAGAGUUGAUCAGAGCUUUGAGGCGAUCAAGAGACCCAGAAACCAUGGGCGACUUUUCAUUGAAAAUAGAGUUGUUUCUAUCUGUCCAGAUUACCCACCAAGUCGCAGCCAGAAGGACCAAGCGUUGGUUUCGCAACGUGGCGACAGGAAUUUCAGUACCUUUGGUCCAUAGAGCUUUAGCAUCACCAGUGUUGUCUACGUUUGCGUCCGGUAGUCCUCCCAUACUGAGAAGAAGAUACCGAACGUAAACACAGUCGUUGAAAAGGUGGUCGCAGCUUUCCGUAUGAACUGCGCAGAAAGCACAGUUCUGGUCUACGUGCAUGCCUCGGGCGAGCAGUCUGUCGGAGGUGGGUAGUCUAUUUCUAAGGAGUAGCCAAAUGAAAAUUUUAAUUUUAACUGGGAUUUUGAGCUUCCAGAUGUGCUGAUUCGUCAGGACACGAAGUCCAGAAUCCGUGAUGAACUGGUAAAGGGAUUUAACUGUGAAUAGUUGGUUGGAGGUCCAUCGCCAUUUCACCAAGUUGUUGAAAACUACAACUACUACAUCAACCUGUAAGAUCAAGUAACUUCAAGUGUGCUGUGUGCGCGCGCGCACAUAUAUGCAUAUAGUUCUGCAACUUAUUGUUGGGUGCAGAGUUCACGCAUAUAUGCAUAUAGUUCUGCAAUUUAUUGUUGCGUGCAGAGUUUGAUCGGCCCCAAAGAACUGCUUAGAAAACCCUCCGAGGCUCUGACUAUUGCAUCUUUCCAUCUUCACGAAAGUGAAACCAAGUAUUAAUCACAUUGCGAGUAAUAUUGAAUACCAAAGCUAUUGGUUAGUCAAAAUCGUUACUCUCUCCAUCAUCUGAGAGUAGCGGCAUUUAAACCACAGCCGCAUCUAUUACAUCGACAGCGCUCUUCUAACAUUCGAAAGAUUUGAAUCUUGAACAAUUUAGUAAAGCACUCAAGAGAGCAAGCAAAAGAAACCACUCUCAGUAAAAUCACCCAAAGCUAUACUAGAUAUGAAAAGUUACAAAACCAAAUAAUAGAGACAAAUGACAUGACUAACCAAGAGUGCUUAAUUGUGACUGCAACAACGUGUCAAAGUUGAGAUAAUUUAUCUGCAAUCAUGUCGCCCACCAUAACAACAAGACCAUCCAAGAAAUUCAAGUAUAAAGCAUCAUUACUGUAUAUGUGUCAUCAGUAAUAACACUGCAGCAUACAAGUUACAGCAGCAACCAAAACUGAAAAUUUGUAAGCAUAGAAUCUUAUUAAUGGACUGGCCUUUUGUAAACCUAAAAAUAACAAAAGAGCAUGAAAUUGAAAUAACAAGAGCACACAAAAUUUCAGCAACCUGAGCUCUCCUUUAACUGCUGCUCUUUACAGCUAUUGCUGACACAUGACUAGAAAAGUGUUUCUUUUACGCUCUGACACCCUCAUUCAUCAGUCCCCCAAUUUCAAGUUUGAAGAAAUAUGAUAAUUCCCGCAUCUCCUGAUGGUAACCAAUUAGCGGAGAACGUUUCUGUGGCUACAAAUAAUAUUUUCUGAUAUCACAUCACUGUACACUGCUUUACAGUUGGGAAAGAUUGGUCUACGUCAAUGCAAGCUCCUCCAAUUGAUUAGAAAGCUCAACUUCUGGGUCGGGGUUGAGGAUUUGCUUAAUCUCAUCAGCAUUUAGUGUCUCGUACUCAAGUAGCGCAUUCGCUAACGCAUGCAACGCCCUUUCAUGCUGAAAAUAAAGAGUUAGAAUUUAAUGAGAAAAGACAAUUAGAAAAACAAAAAUUAGGAACUUUCGAGAAAAAUUAGCUGAUGCAGAAUGGCACAACCCCUAAAAACAGACCUUUCAAAUUAUCACAAUGAUGCAACCUUUCAGAUCUCACUACCUUCAAACUUUCAAACAAAUAAAUGAUCACAAACAACCUUCAAGCCAAGGAUGAAAUCUUGAUCUUUCUUUCUUUCUUUCUUUCUUUUUUUCCUUUUUCUUUUUAGUAAUCUAAUGAAUGCUUAUGCUAAUCAUCAUACCAUCUAUCCACAACUAGGAAGUAAAGCAUGCACUAGUCUGCAGUCAUCCAAUAUUCCCCUGCAUAAACAGUUGUUUAGACUAAUCUGUUUUUACAACACCUGUAAAGAUUACUAGCAAUUGUAUUCAGUAAUCUGUUUUUACUCCGUGUAAAGAUAAGCUAGCAAUUGUAUUCUUGCUCCCUAUUUCUUCUUUGUAUGAUGCAGGAAGGAGUAGCUUCAUUCAUUCUAGAAGUUUGCUGAUGGCAAUAAAUAACGGAACAACCAUUAUCUCAAUACUUUGAUCAGUAUGGCUAAAAGGAAAUUGAAAAUGUACAUAGAUGGAGAACUGAUGAUACAAAGGCCCAUGGACAGUUAAAACGACACAUUUCAGAGACAAACCUUCUUAAGCAAUCGUUUGACUCGAUCAUAUGCUUCUCUCAGAAGUUUGACUACCUGCAUGAAGAGAAAGCUUUUAGUCAAUUAAGGUUCUGUAGAACAAUACCAAGAUGCAACAGAUUAUCAAAAUAGCAUACCUCAAAUAAAUCAGAUGGCAAUUAAGAUUGUAAAGUAUCAGAAAAUAUGUUGAAACAGCGACUGACGCUUCCUUAAUAGUAAAUUAUAAGAUUGGCACUAAAUCUAAAAAAUAUUGAGGCUGAUAAUAUGCAAAAGGCACAGACACAAAUUUCAGGCGGUGACUCAAAACUCAGUCUGGUUAUAACAUGGGAGUACUGAUCAAUAAUACCAGCUACAGCCAUGCAAGACAAUAUAUAAUGAACAGUAGAUAUUAUAAUCUAGAUAUUUAAAAAAGAUAUGUAAGAUAAGGUUCGUAAAACAUGCCUCUGCAUCUAUCCGUGAUUGCAUCUCUGAACCUGGUCUCUCUUUAACAUGAACAGGGCCAAUUGCAUCACUCAUCCCACAAGUUGACACCUAAGAAAUGUAUAAUAGGUUCAAACGUUUAAUAUUGACUAAAAAAGAAAAUAAAAAAAGGAGGUUUUCUGGACAUAAUAUUGUACCAUAUAAUGAGCGAGUUCUGUCGCUGUAUGGAGAUCAUUACUUGCACCAGUCGUAACAUAAUCUUCACCAAAGAUAAGCUCUUCAGCAACUCUCCCUCCCAUGCAGACAUCGAGGCGUGCUAAUAGCUGUUUCUUGCUAACAGACGUUUCAUCUUGAGAAGGAAGCUGUGUGACCAUCCCAAGGGCAGAACCACGUGGCAUUAUAGUUGCUUUAUGGAUAGGAUGAGCACCAUCGGUAUUAAGAGCAACAAUGGCAUGGCCACUCUCAUGGUAAGCAGUAAGCUAGAAAGAAGAUAUAAUACCAUUGUUAAUACCAUUGUAACAUUCCAUGGUUCUCUUAUAGUCAGUCUGGCCUAGUUGGAAUUUCUGUAGAAGUGUUGUUUAAAUAAAUCUGUUUAAAGAAGCACUAAUAGCAUUCUUUGGAAUCUACUCAGUAGCUUCUUGCUGACAGAAGCAGAAGUUUCAUAUUUAAGGUUCUGCUUUUGGAGAUUGAUGGUGCAUUAUAGCAAAUUGCUGCAAGCAAAUGCUCCAGGUUUUUUAUUAGCCAAAUCUUGGAGCACAGCCAGGCACCGAAAACAGCUAAGCAUGGCCAGAAACUAAUUGUCUGAAGCGAAAAAAGGCAACAGCUCAAGUUCACAUGUGAAAAGAUUAUCAACACACCUUCCUUGAUUCUUCAGAUAUAUACAUAGUCUUUCUUUCUGUUCCCAUUAUUAUCCUGUCUUUUGCAAACUCCAACUGAGCAGCAGUUAACUUUUCAACGCCUUCAACUGCAGCCUUAAUGGCUGCGAUAUUAACCAAAUUUGCAAGAUCUAGCAAAUAGUGGAAAGAACACUUAGUGUGGCACUUUAGGAACUUCUGGGUGUUAAGAAAACUCAGAUUUCAAAUGCUGCCAAACAUGGUGCAAUUAAUAAUUACUAAUUAUGUCCAUAGAUAUGGUUUAGAAGUAAGAAAGCAGACCUGCACCGUUGAAACCAGGUGUACCACGAGCAAUUGCAUUGAUGUCUACAUCAUCAGCCAUUGGUUUGUCCUGCAAGUAGAGCUCCAGUAUCUCUUGUCUGCCACGAACAUCUGGAUUUGGGACAACAAUCUGCAAGAAAAUAAGAAAUCAGAAAUGAGGAGGGAAAAAACCAAAACACAUUUUUUGCACAUUUCAACUUCCUUGAAAACUAGUGCAACUAAUUAAUGCAUUUGUUCAGUAAUUUCCUCAUUAAUGAAGCUAAUGUUUUCAUCGACCUAACUGCAAAUGGAGCACCCAAACAAUAAGCAAAGCUCUUGAAGCACCCUGAUCUAAGCUUAUUCAUCGAAUAAAGUUAUAUCAAGUCUCUGAGCCGAUGUUUGAGUACAUUUAUUUCCUAUUUUCAGGUGCUUUUAAUGAAUAUGCCCAGAAUUUUUAGGAGAACUUAUACUCUUGACAAAAAAUCACAGAACAAAGAAUUCAUCCCUCAAACUAAGAGAGUAAAUAACUAACAGCACAAUUUUGCAGAGUCUGACUUGUUCCCAAUAAUACGGGACUCAACCUUUUUUUACAAUUGUUUUUUCAACAUAUUCCAACAAUUUAUUUGCAAAAACUUGUCCUGUAGCAAAGUUUGAAUAAUACUUACAUGCCUGUCAAAUCUACCAGGUCGUGUCAAUGCCGGAUCAAGAAUGUCUGGCAAAUUUGUUGCAGCCAUCACUAUUAUGCCCUGUAUAGAAAAUUAAUGCACUUAAGAAUUACAUAGUGGCUUGCCUCAGGGUACUACAAUUAUCAAUAUAAUAUACCUCAUUCUGCUCAAAUCCAUCCAUCUCAACGAGUAGUUGAUGCAAGGUUUUCUUUGUAUGCCCCUCCCAUUGCUUUCUAGUGGAACCGACAGCAUCUAUUUCAUCAAUGAAAAUGAUGCAAGGCGCCUAUGAUGAGCACAAAAAUAUAGAUAACAUUGAGAACAAAUAAUAUCUAUUGAGAACAAAUAAGACAAAUAAAAUGAUAUGAAUUUAAAUUGUAGCACAACAGGACGAUGAGCAGGAGAGUAUGUUUACCUUCUUCUUAGCAGCCUGAAAUAAGGACCUUACUCGCCGGGCACCGACGCCAACAAACCUAACAUAAAAGAUCAAGUUGGACUCUCUAGUUGUAAAAAAGGACAAUGUAUACUCUACAUUGAGAUAAUAAAAAAGACAUAAUUGCACAUGAGUGAAACCUCAUAAAUUCCCCAGUAAACAAAUAUUCUUUUUAUCUCCAUAAAAUUUCUAAUCAAGGGGAGAUUUAACUUAAAACCAAUUGAUUUGUUUGGCAAUUGAUUCCUAGCAAAUAGGCAAGAGCACACAGGAUGCUGGCUAAGCAGCAAAUCGAUGACAAUACUUGUUAAGACUUAAAGAGGGACCAAUCAACAUGCCAACUAUUUGCAAUUUGACAACAAACUGAUAAUAUAGAUUGCGCAAUCCAAAAUGGUAGCUUACAUUUCCUCGAAUUCUGAACCUGCUCGAUAGAAGAAAGGCACCCCAGCUUCUCCAGCAAUAGCCUGAAGCAACAAACUCAGCCCAUCAGAAAAGUGAGUUUCAGUUAUAAACAACGAGCAAUUCGCAUUGGCCUUAGAAAUUUAGAACAUGUAUAUCAACAUCAAAUGUUGGCAAUUUGGCAUCUGGUGGCUGCUACCCAGCAUGCAAGAAAUUCAAGAUUCCCUAGUAAUACCUAGAAUGUCUGUCAAAACUUAUCAAUUAGAAGUGUUUUAAUUCAUUAAAUCAUAUCCACAAAAAUGCAUGUACGUUAUCUGCAAUCAUUCAAUAUCAACAUGCAAUUAGAGCAGCGGAAGACUGAACAAAGACAUAGUCUUUUGACCUAAACAUUUCGAAACAAUUUACUUCAUCAACAGGCAACCAAAUAUCAAGUCGAUAUAUCAUAACAAAAAUUUAUUUACUAAAUUGGCGUAAGCACAUUAGGUUGCACAGUGAAAGUGUAUAUUACUGCUCAGGGAACCUUUUUCUCACGAAAGAACACUUGAUUUUCUAUUAUUUAAAUAAGUUUAAGGGUCAAACUAACUAAAAUACCUGUGCCUUAAAUAAUCAAAGAAGAGUGAAAUAUCAAAUUACAUGGUAGAUAAACUCGCCUUAGCAAGCAAAGUCUUCCCUGUUCCAGGUGCACCAGUCAAAAGAAUUCCCUACAAAGCCAUUAUUUGUCAAGUUCAUGAAGCAGUUCAAGAGAAAUUACAAACAAUAAUCAAAAUGAUAGCUCGAACUAAUUGAACUUUGGCAUACCUUCGGUAGCUUUCCCCCGAGGCGAGUAAACUUUGAUGGAUUUUUAAGAUACUCCACUACUUCUUCGAGUUCUUUCUUUGCAUCAUCACAGCCUUUAACAUCCUUAAAUGUUUUGACAUUCUAUAUACGGAAAGUCAUGUAGAGCAUCCUCCAUCAAUGAAAAGUUGGAACAACAAACCUUUUUUCAGAGUAAAGCAACAAGAUGCAAGUAACUAAAGCAAUAUGCUGAACAACAUGUCAACAAACUACUGUAUAUUGUUCAGCAUAUUGCUAUUAUUUAAGCAAAUGAAGCUUAAGCACAUGAACAAACUAUGAGUACGCAAGAAUGAAGAAAGUUGAACCUCAUAAAAAUAAAAACUAAAAGAAUAAACAGACAUAAUAGAGCCAUACUACCUUCUCUGGCAUAAUUUCUUUGUUCAACUCUUUUGGGGAAUACGUAGCACCAGAACCAACACCAGAGGUCCCUAUGCCACUCAAGCUGCCAACAUAUUUUUGGAGUGCAGCUGCCCCCAUUACCCUGGCAAUUACAAGGAGCCACUAGUGAACCAGACAGAAAAAUACAAGAUCACAUUUCAGUUGAAUUGACCAGUUUGAACCAUCAAAAGAAGCUAAGCAGCAGCAUCUGAUUUGUUAAUAGAACUUAAAAGUUGCAGUUGGUUUUCAUAUAGUUUGAAGAAUAGAAUAAUGCACAUCAUAGAAGCAGGAAAAUAUUUUUUUUUCAAAGUAUACAGUGAUAUAUUGAAGACUCGAGAUGCAAUAAUUCAGCAUACAAGAUCCACAACAUAAAUACAGUGGAAAGAAAGCAAAAAUAAUUUAGACCCGAGGUGAUAAAGAGCAAACUUCUAUUUAGAUACAAGAUGUUAAAAACGCUUGAUGUAACAAUAGCCAAAAUUAAAAACGCACCACAUCAGACCAACAACAACUGUGAACAGGAUUGUUGAGAGGAGCUCCUGAGCAAACCUUGUUGACCUACUUGAUGCUUUAGGAUCAACCUGAAGCGAAAAAACAUGAGAAAUAGAACAAGAAAAGACAGCAAAAAGCCUAAAGCACUUGAUUGAUACUACCUAUAUCUUAUAGCACUUUUCCCAUCACAAACAAUGUCCUAACAGAAUUUCUGCUAUAUACUUUAACUUACCAUAACCACAUGCAAAGGAUGCUUCUCUGAUAUUCCAGGGUUCAAGAAUAGUUCGUCCUCAUUCCCAGAUGCUCGUUGCUUCAACUCUUGCAACUACUGACAAAAAAUUUAAAUUUCUGGGAAAGUCAAAAGUUCGUAGCAGCAAUAAGAAACUCAUUAAAAAUGAAAAUUUGAUAGCAAUUUACAGUUUCAAACAACUCCAGUAAACAGGUAGAGAAAAAAAAAAAGAAAAAGAUAUCAAGAAAAUGUUGAAUUGGUCAGUGUUGGUAGUAAGAUUAUAAAACCCUAGAAAACUUUUGCACUUAACAUUCAACUAUUCAAGAUCAGCAAUGUAGCUUUCUAAAGGACGAUCAGCAAAUUAUAGUCUAAAAUUUGUUAAAGAUGCAUCUAUCAUUGUUUACUCAAUUUUCAACAAAUGCAAGACACUUUUCAAGAGGAACAAAAGAACAAAAGAAGCUAGAGAAAAAUGGUCUUAAGAGCAAAAGAAAUCAUGCAUAUAACAUAAUGAAAUAAAAUCAUCCAUAGCCCAGUCAAAAUUGAUAUAUAGCAUCAUUAGAAAAUAAUCAACUUUUAGAUUUAAUGAAAGCAACAAAUGCUUAAGACAAGAAAGUAAUUAUCCAUGAUUCGCAAUCUAAUAACAAGGUGAGAAUUAUGAGUACCAAAUUUGGGAGAGUAGAAGGUUUCCCUGACUGCUCGUCUGGUAGAUAUUCUGCUAUAGCAUUAGUCAUAACAAGAGCUCGUAGAUAUUCUGCAACUCCUUUGCUGUCCACUGCAUGGCUUCUUUGCUCAAAACGCCUAAUUACAGACUCAGGACUGCCAAAAAAGAAUUAGGUGCCGUUCAUUAGUGUACCUAAAAGUUAUCGCUUUUAGAAAAAGAAGAGCAGGCAGUAGUGGCACUAGUGAACAACCUCUAGCAUGGGAAAACAACUUUUUAAAUUCACAAUGUAUUCCAAAGAGAGUAGAUAUGAACAUAGAACUUGAAAAUUGAUUAAAAGAUUAUUGAUCAAAAAAUUGGCUCUCCUUCUUUCAUUUUUUUUUUUUUUUUCCUUUGAUGCAUUAGAUAGACAAGCAUUUUCAUUGAAUAAAGAAUCAAAUUUACAUCAAGUAGUACAAAGAGCAGGUUUUAUGAAAUGCAACAGGUAAUUAGAGUGUGCAGACUUUUUAAGUAUUGCUAGUAUAAUCAAAAGAUGAGCUCUCUACAGUACUAAUCCAGGUUCUUGUACUGGUUAUCUCUUAUAUGAUCUUUUAACAAGUUCCUUCCUUUUCCAAUCGAUCUUCUACAAUUUUGCAAGUCUUAACAAGAUUAGUGAUGUCCUAUAAGCAAGGUGCUAAAGAAGGCCCCUGUACUCUCUAGUCUCUGCUAUCUGAUUUUAUCAUUUUAGUAGUUGAUCCAUCUCUGUUCUGCUUGGACUCUCGUUUUUCCCUAACUCGAAGGAUCGUCUACCGCCGUAGAUUCAUAAAUAUCCAACUUUGCAUCAAGUUCAAUUUGCUUCCACUUAAAAAGAUCAAAACUUUCAAGGACUGCGGCAUCCGGCAAAUAGAACUAACGAGGAACAGAGAAAGGAAAGAUGAAAAUAAACAGAAAUUUGACCAGCUAAAGGGAGAGAACCUAGAAACCAAACCUGUGUUUAUUGAGCUCCGAGAGAAGAGCGCUCUGCUUCGCGGCGUCUCUAGGGUUUGCAUCGGCCUCCGCAAUUAGCCGCUCCAACCUCUUCUCCUGCCUCCAGAACGGCCACCAGCUUAACCACUCCGACAUCGCCAAUGUAUCGAGCCCCUUCCUCGCCGAAGCAAGCACCCCGACCAAAAACGCCACUACGGGCAACCUACUCUCCGCCCCCUUCCUCUCCCCCGCCGCACCAUCCGAUUCCGCCACGGAAAACACCGCCCCAUCCCCAACCCACCCACCCUCCGCCGCAUCCUCCGCGGCCCCCGCCGCGCCAUCUCCGCGGGAAAGGUCGGAGCUUCCGACGUCGCGGUACUCCACGAGCGGGUCCUCGCCGGGCGAGGCGGGCUCCCGGCCCGAAUCCGCGGCCUCGGGGGGCAAUGCGCGGACGCGGAGGCAGUGGCGGUGGCGGUGGCUGGGGCGGGACCUCGGGAGGGCAUCAACGGAGACGAAGGCCGAGGCGGCGCGCUUCGGGCGGCGGAGGAGCCGGACACACGGCGGCGACGGCCGGAAGAGGAGGAGGGAACCUUGCAGCGCCGACAUGGUUGCUGCGGCGGCGGCGGCGGCGGCGGCGAUCGAGUUCCUCGUAGCUCUCUCCGUCUCCGCCUCGCUCUCUCCGGAGAAGGGUGUGGGGGCGAAGAGGAGGAGAGAGCGAGGGUUUUGAGGUUAAUAGCCACACGCGAUGGGGGGGGCCUUAUCUCGAGCCUUUGGGUGUUUUUAGUUUUAAGUACGAAUGGUUUGACUCGUAAAUUAAGGGAGAAGAAAAACGAAGGGACGGGGAGAUGGAGAGAGGUUGUGGCGGCUUUUUAUUAAUUAAUUAAAUUAGUGUGUUAGCCUCGGGCGCAAGAAAAGUUGCAUAGAUACUUUGAUUGCUGUGGCUGCAAUUCGAUAACUUGUCCUCUCUCCUUCGGAUCCCUUUUUCGGGUUUGAGUAGUCUUAUGCACAAAUGUAGUAGUUUUGAAUCCCAAAAUAUGAUUUUUCUUUUCUUUUCUUUUCUUUUUUCUUUGUGCAAUGCAAUUUUAAGUUAGGCCUUAAUUCUCUUUUAUUAACUAAAAUAUGUUUUAAAAAAAGUGCUGGAGAUCUUAUCUCAUCCCUUAACCGCUUCAAACUAAAAAAAUCUGAAUACAAACAAAUCGUGCUUAUUAUGAGCUAUACCAUAUUUGUAACUUGCUCUCUGGAGCAAAUAAUGUGAUAUAGUUAAUAGUUAAUUAGGUCGAGUCAAACAGCGAUCAUCUUUGGAUUUGAAAGAACCCAACCCAACCAUUAUUACACUAAUUAAGAUUAUAUUGGGUCCAACGUAAUCUGUUAAUCAAAUUGUGUUUGGUCGGCUCAUAUGAUCAUAUCAAACUCAACAACAUUCAGACUAUUGCUGAUAGUACAGUUAGUACAUCAGAAAAUGGGAAAAAAAAAAUUACAUCGUGUCUAUCCAUCCAGCAUCAGUAAUUUUACACUAAUCUUCUUAUAAUGUUUUUUUUUAAUAUUCUAAACUUGAAAGAAAUGUUGAGCCAUCAACUGAACCGUCGUAAGAUUUACAUUCUACUUUUAAUUUAAGCGAAGGAGCUAUCUUAUUAUCCAAGAGGCAGGUUACAGAUCAACUUAGACAAAAUGUUCCCCUCUGCAAUUAAAACUCAAAUGUAAGAUACGGAAAUCGCCACAAUUCCAAAGCACCAAGAACUCAGCUGCAGCCUACAUAUCAUGUCCUUCGUUUCUUGCCAGCGACGGGGAACCGCGUCCUAAUGAACCGAAACCGCUCUCGCCUCCUCGCCCGGCCGGCGCCUUCUGCUCUCCUCCCAGUUCAGCGGGACUCGACCUUCCCUGUCUCGACUGAGCCUCUCCUGCGCCCCGCCACGGAGCUUCUCCAGCCUGAGUCCAUCUGCUUGCUGCAUCUCAAACACUUUCAGUACAUUGCAUAGUCCUCCGACGAAGAACAGCAGGCUCCCAAACAGACACAACCAUGCCCAGCUCUUUGCCUGCACGUAGUCGGUUAGCAACCGUAUGACUCAGUUUCUAAAACAACUUCAGUAAUAUCAAAUAAAGUAUAUGAAGAUCAUACAUUAAAGUUAACUUUUAAAGCUUGUUUCUGCAGAAACCCUGGUGGCAAGUAACAAGGUUCUGACUGCUUGAAUAGCUGUGGAAGCUUACCAUGAUCUCGGACUCUGGAUGAGGCGAACCGGAGACGUAGUGCCGAUUGAAGAAGCCGCCAACCAAGAAGAGCAAGCUACCCAUGAGGAAUGGGAGGUUUACGCUUGAUUGCAGGAUCUGGGUGCGGCCGUCGGCUCUCUCGUAAACCUGGCACGCGUUGAGGAUCGAACCCACGAGCCACAACAGCGGCCCGGCAAUCAGUGCAUUCAAUGCGUGCUUCUCCAGCCUAUAACUGUAUCCUCUGUUUUCCUGCAGGAUUAUUUUCAUAAUAAUAUAAACUAUGAUUUGAUUAGAUUAAAGCACAUCCGGGCCCAAAUUAAGCGUUUUAGGGCAUAACUAUGUAUCUUGGUCUCAAACACCAUUCAAAUCGUUUAUGUUUAGUUAAGACUAUUGCUAAAUUGUCUCCUAACACAGAGAAUUAUGUUGAACAAGGCGACAAGGAUUUAUCAGGGCAAUUGGAUUAUGGAAUUCAGAUUUUGCUGAAGAAGUGAUUAUUGGAUAUGAAAAUUCUCGUCAUAGUUCAUCAAGAUCAUUCCGCAACACGCUAAUCAACCAUUAUGCCUCGUUUAUUUAUUUAUUUGGUAAAAACAUAUCGAACUUAUGUAAAUUAUAAACCAUUUUUAAUUGACUAUGUAAUUUUUUUUUAUAUAUUUUUCCACUCAAUUUUUUUAAUUUGUUUAAUUUGAAUCAGUCAACGGCACCUUACCUUUAAAAUUAAUUAUUUUUUCAGAUUUAGUUACGAUACAUUAUACAAUUCUCACCUUUAUAAAUUUAUUAAAAUAAGUAAUUAGCUAAAAUUUUAAAUCAACGUAAUGUGUACCAACUCAAAUCAAAUAAAAAUUUAAACAAAUUAAAAAAAAUAAAUAAUAAAUUAAAAUUUUGAAAGAUUGGAUAAUUAUUCAAAAAUGGUGAACAAUAAGUUCCGUGAGUUUUUUUUUUUUUUCUUUUUUUCUUAAAUCCGAAGCUCGGGCUUACACUGAAAUGUGUGUGGAGAGUUUUGAGUAUUUGAGCGCCGGACCAAAAUUAAUGCACGCACCUGACUCAGUAGUAACAGCACUCCGACGAAGCUAAGGACCGAUCCCAAGAAGCACACCGCCGGCACUGCAAACUCGACGAGCCCCAGCUGCAGGUCGAAGCGCACGAGCCCGACGCGGCAGUCGAUCCCGGCAGCGUGCGCGGCGAGGUCGUGCGCGCUCGCCGCCGCCGCGAUCGCCAGCGCCACGAGCGCCACCACCAGCCCGAACUCGCUGCUUCUGCUUCGCGGGCCAGCAGCGGGGAGCUGCGCCGCGAAGCCGGCGAGAAGCAGCAGGGAGGCGAAGACGUAGACGCCCGCGUUUAUGUACUCCCAGCGGUUGCGCGCGCCGCGGGGCCCGUACGCGCGGCUCUCCCGCGCCGUCACGAGCUUCACCAUGUAUAUGUUUUUUUUACUAAUGAAUUACAAAUAGCUCAGUGGGACAGAGAAAAGAAUAGAGAAAAGAUUCAUAUUUCAUAAGAAUAUAUGUACAAAGCGGUGGUGCAGGUCAGGAAUGAGAGAAGCGUGAAGGGAUUGAGGGAAUGGACACGUGGGUUGUUGCAUGCAUGGGAUCGCGUGAAGGGCACUUGCGUGACACGCAUGACUCUGGUGUAUCAUGUAUGGGUGGAAAUGUAGAAGAGGAUUUAUCCCUGUGUCUGUGUGCGUCGAAUUUUACUUUUAUUUUUACCAAUGUUAAUUAAUAUUUGCUAGUAGUUAUAUUUAUUUUUCUUAAAGAAAUUUAAUUGCAUAUGUGUCCUUACAAGGCAAUCUAAUUGCAUUAUUUGUUCCUCAAAAUUCUUCUAAUGUUGCAUAGUUUUUAAAUAUAUUUAUCUCUAAUUAAUUUUUUUUCCUACAAAAUAAUUAUUAUAUUUUUAAUUUCUUUAAUACCAAAAAUUUAAAAUAAACCGUCUAAACUUUUGCUAAAGAGAGAAAAGCACUGUUCAAAAUCAUUUUAUUAAAUAGUGCUACAUUGUUUUAGUAAUAUUUUAGUAUAAAAAUCUCUCUUUAAUAUUAUAAUAAUUCGGAUCCGGGUUCAUCCGACCCGACCCAUACUGUAGUCAACACCAACACACCGAACUCGAAUCAGCGUCUACGGCUUUCACCUCGAUCGGCGCUCCCCCGUCCUUCGAGCCAGUAUCCAAAUGCCGACGCGGCGGCGCGACCGCCGCAACCCGCCCGGUCCAUCCGAACCGGCCAGCCCGAACCGGCCGGCUCAGACCCCACCCCCCGCCGCAUCAAAACCGCGCCUCCUCCUCGUCUUCUUCUUCUUCCUCCUCCUCCUGCUCCUGGUCUUCGUAUCGCUGCUCGCCGUGCACCGCUCCAAUCGCGGCUCGCCGAACGCCGGUGCACCCGCACUUUCGGUCUACGAGAGGGGCCUCGUCAAAGCCGAUGUUGCGUUCCGAGAAAUCCUCGCCGUACGUUCCAUCCUUCUCUAUUCUCUUUCUCUUCCUCACUGUGAUCGAUACAUAUCUCCUUUAGAAUUCGCGACAUGUGCUUAAUUUAUACAGGAGAAUGCUAGGGUUUCGGAGAACCGAUCUCGCCGCCACUUCCCGAAUCCCGUCUUGGCCUACGUUACUCCCUGGUGUGUUCUUCGUAUCGCGAUUUUUUGAGUAUUUUUGUGUAAUUAUUCUAUGUAUUUUCCCCAAUUUUACAAUUCCUAGCAACGGGAUUAGAUAGAGGUUAAGUUUCUCGCUUUUUAGAGAAUCUAAAAUGGGCUUCAUUUUGGAGCUUUUUGCUUCUAAUUGCAGCUUAAAGCUGUUUGUUUCACUGUAACGACUUUUAUAUGGUAGGUGACAGGAUUUGCUUUACUCAUGGUUAUUUAGAGGAUAAAUUAGUUGAAUUGUCUUGUGUAUUUUGAUAUUGUGUCAGAUUUGUUAGUUGCAUUUGAAUGUUCGGAGUAAGGAGGUAAAUGAUAAUCAUAUAUAUAUUCAUGAUGAUUAUGCAGUUAUCACCUGAGUUUCUUUUGCAAUCUCUCAAUUUAUUUUUUUUUAUUUUUUAUUUUUUUAUUUUUUUAUAUGGUUUGCUUGUAUUUGGUGUUAUUUCUGGAUGUAUUAAUGUAUAAAAAGUAUGUAAUGCAGGAAUUCCAAAGGCUAUGAAAUGGCGAAGCUAUUUACUUCAAAGUUCACGCAUCUGUCGCCUGUGUGGUAUGAUCUGAAAAGGUAUGAAGAACAUUUCUUAUUGAAUAACCAACUGUUGUUAUUUCGUCCUACUGUGUGUGUCGUGUAUUCUUUCAGUCUAAUAACCUGCUGCUGCUGCUUCUGCUGCUUCUGCUUAGCGAAGGGAAGAACCUAGUUCUCGAGGGACGACAUAAUGCUGACGUAGGAUGGAUAUCAGAACUUCGCAAGAACGGGAAUUCUCUGGUAUAUCAUUAUCAUCCAUUCCGAUUGUUACUGGAACUUGUUAAGUCGUUUCUUUGAAUACAUUAUUGUUAAUUUAAUGAUGUUUCGAGUGUCUUUAUGCAGUACGUAAGUACGUUGGCACUUAAUUUUGGAAAAACAACACGGAGAUAGUGAUUCUGUGAUUGAAUGCAUAUUUUUGCAAUCUGUUGAUAAAUAUAUCGUCUAGAAAUCAAUGACUGUUUGUUCUUGUAUUUGUAAUUUGAUGGUAGUAGUAAUAACCAAGCAAACUAGAUUUAUGUUGUGGCAAACUUAAUAUAUGUCUAGUAGGUGGUCCCUAGAGUUGUCCUAGAAGCAUUUCCUGUGGAGAUACUCUUGAAGAAGAAACGGUGGAGUAAGGCGAUCAAUUUAAUUGUAGAUGAAUGCAAGUAAGUCCUUUUUUUAAAUAAUUUUUUACCAAGUAUUGAUGUUACAUUUUAACUUAACAUCUUCUUGUGAAUUCAUAGGGAAAUGGGAUAUGAUGGUAUUGUGCUGGAAUCCUGGUCAAGGUGGGCAGUCUACGGUGUUCUGAACGACCCAGAGUUGCGGAAUUUGGUAUUUUCAUUAUUCACUAAUGUUUAAGUAGCUAGUUACGAUUUGAAAUGUUAAAUUUGCAUAGACUAUGGUAUGGUUAUCUGGUGGCUUUUUAUUUCCUUUAAUAUGAUGUAUCGAUAAAGAGUGGACAUUGUUAUGCCUGAAUAAGUUGAGUACUUCCAGCUGAUAUGCAGCUCAUUCUCUUAGCCGAUAAUAGUUGUAUGUUUCACAGACGUUGCAAGUAUCUAGAAACCCAUUGAUUUGGGAUCGUAUACAUCAAUUUGGAAUGCAUAGUAUCAUGUGUGCAUUUGAAUACACUUCUAAAUUCCAUUCACGUUAAAAUGUUUCUCUGCUGUUAACAUGCUAUAUUAUUAAGAUUCUUUCACAGCCUCACCAGUAGUAUGUUAAAGUUGUCGAAGUUUUGUUAUCUACUUGUCUAUUUAUCCAUUAAGUGUCAACUGCAAGUUACCAGCACUAUUCUUAUGUUUCAUAAAGAGAAUUUUGCUCGAUGUAACAUGCCUAAUUGCUUAGCAUCUUCAUUUUAUCACUUCUCCAACUUUAGGUAGAUAAUUUUAUCUCUCUUAUCUCAUUUAUAUAUGUAGAUGAAUAAGCUAGUAUAACUGCCUGUGCUCCGUAAUAUAUUUUUCUCAUCCUUUCAUCUUGCACAAAUCAUUAAACUAAUUUCCUCUUGUUCUGGUGAAACAUAGGGGCUACAAUUCAUUAAUCAGUUAGGGGAGGCUCUUCAUUCAGUCAACUCGAAGUCAAAUCUCAACCAUCAGUUAGAAUUGAUCUAUGUCAUCCCACCCUCACAUUCAGAGAAGCUCAGUUAUCAUGAUUUUGGUCCACAAGAUCUUCAGCAGCUAGGUACUGCUGUGGACGGCUUUUCUCUUAUGACCUAUGACUUCUCAGGGCCACAAAAUCCUGGUCCAAAUGCUCCUUUGAAGUGGAUACGCGCUUCUCUCGAAAUGCUUCUUGGUGGUGCUGACUCUGAACAUGCUCCCAAGAUAUUCCUUGGUAUCAACUUCUAUGGCAAUGACUUCGUUCUCUCUGGAGGUAAACGUUUGCUAUUUUGGCCUGAGAAUAGAUUUUGAAAAUGUAAUAGUUGUUCCUUCAGAGACGUGUUGCAGUGAGAAAAGGACAAUCACAUGACAUUCAACAAGAUUAAUUUUGACCAGAAAACCUUUUACUCUCUUUUUCCUUCUUUUCUAUGAAUUUUCCGCUCUAGAAACGUAAAAGACAAAUCCCAGGCACGGAAAUUUCCUUAAUAGAGUGGCACAAAAAUUUGGAUUGAUCGAUUUACUACUGUUAAUCUUUUAUCCGGCAUGUUUGACUUGAAUGCAAGUAAAUAAUGCAUUCUACAUUAGAUGAUUUGACUAUUGUUGGUUCCUUCACUAUUCUGUGGCACGCAAUACUGCUUGUAUCUAUAAUUACUCAUUUCGUGACCGACUGUCACAACGAUAAAAACUUGGAAGCCUAUUCAGAGCAUGUUUAAUUGAUGUUCCUACAGGGAAGAAAUCAAUCGCCUUAUAAAUACAUGAAAAGAAAACCUUUACUUGCUUCAGUGAAUUUAUCAUUAUGAAUCUCUGAAUGGUUUCAGGUGGAGGAGCUAUCACUGGGAGGGACUACAUCUCCUUGCUGGAGAAGCACAAACCAAAGCUGCAGUGGGAGGAGAAAAGUUCAGAGCACUUCUUCGUAUACUCACUUAACAAUGUGAAGCAUGCCGUGUUUUAUCCAUCAUUGAUGUCUAUUUCCUUGCGGUUGGACGAAGCGCGAGCGUGGGGGGCAGGUCUCUCGAUUUGGGAAAUCGGGCAGGGCUUGGAUUACUUCUUUGAUCUUCUCUAAGUUUCUCACCUUUCCAUUAGGGCGUUUUGUUCGCAGAAACUGUAACUUAAUCAUGAGUCUCAUUUUGUUUUGACUGUUGAUAUGUCUUCUAUUUAUUACCAAAUAGUCCUAAUUAAGUUGUGUAAAUUGUGCAGCAAAUAGCUUUUCAAAAUUUGUAUUUACUCUUGGCUAUUAGGUUGGAUUUUUUUCUUCUUUCUGCGAAAGACACCUUAAUACUCAGCUAUUUGCUACUUACUAGCCCAUAAUGAUUCAUGGUGGUCUCCUAUUUUGGAGUGUUUGAUUGUAGGUUCUUUAGUAUCAUGAAUGGAAAUUUGAGAAUAUGUACUUGCCAAUCCUGUUCUUCUUAUUUCCUUUUCUUUUAGAUUGUCUCUGUGGACCACACUAACGCAUCCUAUUUCUGAUGAUGAAGUGGGAUACAAAACGGAAACCUCGUGCCCGAUAUAUAUAGCAUGCUUAUCAAUUUCUCUAAACAGUAGAGGUUGUGACUUAUUUACUUGAUUUGUCAUAAAAUGUAUUAAUGGAUUUGUCAAUAAUUUAUACAUUUAUUUAUAUUUUCGACUGUAAAGCAUAUGCUUUUUUUUUUCCGUCGCUUCAAUUUAAUAUAUUAUUAUAUUAAAUUUGAUUGUAAUUGUUCUUUAUCUGUAUUGAGAGCCUAAAUACAUCAUUUAAGGGCCCGUAUACCUUUUAAUCUGCGCAAAAUAUGUAAAUGUUUUCUGAAUAGGAAAUUUUUUUUUUUUUUACAAGAGCAAUACUACAUAUAGAAUCUAAAGCGAGAUGUACAUCUUUCAUCCAUUUUUAUCCAAAACUGUUAAUACUUUACUUAUCAUAUUAAUUUUUUAAAAUUUUUGCUAAAAAUUACUUGCUAGGAUGGAGGAAGUAUAGAAAGUAUUUUCUUUUUUUUUACAAAAAAUACUAGGUCGAUUUCCAAAACACGUCCCUUCAUUUCAAAUUACACUAAUGCGCACAAUCUCGCUUAGUGGAGGGUACAUACGCAAAUAAUAUUUCUCGGGGCACUAAUAUGCAAAAUCCUCUGAAAAUAUCCACAGGGGUUUUUGUUUCCCCAAACCCUCCAUUCCUCGUGCCGAGAACACAAAAGGGUGCUCAACCCCAAUCUCCUCUUCUUCAAAGUUCAAACACCUUCACUUCACUUCAUGGUAUGCUCCUCUCCCCUUCUCUAAUCAAAUUUAUAUAUAUUUUUUUCCCCUUUUAAUCAACUAAAAUUUUUUCUUAAUACCACCAAUUUUUUCCUCCAAUUAAACCAUUUUUAUGGAUCCAAAACUCCUCUCUCUCCCAAGAACACCAUCUCCAACCCCUUUCCCCCUUUUCCUCUCUUACCCAAAUUCCUCUUCCAUCAAUCUCCACAACCCAACCUUAUCCUCAAAAACCCAUCUUUCACUUUCCCUUACAGCCCCCAAAAAGUCAUCUUUUUGGGGAAAAACCCUUCCUUUCCAUGGGAAGAAGCCACUGCUCCUCCUGCAGAAGAAGAAAACGCAUUUGCCCUUACACCCAGUAUCAGCUGUUGUGAAGAGGAGAAAGGAGGCCCCUUUUGAUAAUGUCAUACAAAGGGAUAAGAAACUGAAGCUGGUGUUGAAGAUUAGGAACAUACUUGUGAACCAACCUGAUAGGAUUAUGAGUUUGAGGGAGUUGGGAAGGUAUAGAAGAGACCUCGGGCUCACGCGGAAGCGCCGAUUCAUCGCUUUACUGAAGCGGUUUCCGGCCGUUUUCGAUAUAGUGGAGGAGGGCGUCUACUCGCUGAAGUUUAGGCUUACGCCCGAGGCGGAGCGGAUUUAUCUCGAGGAAUUGCGGGCGAAGAAUGAGAUGGAACAGUUGCUGGUCGUGAAGCUGAGGAAGUUGCUGAUGAUGUCCUUGGAUAAGCGAAUUCUCAUCGAAAAGAUUGCCCAUUUGAAGACGGAUCUCGGUCUCCCUCCCGAGUUUAGGAACACUAUAUGCGAAAGAUACCCUCAAUACUUCAAGGUGGUUUCGACCGAUCGUGGCCCGGCGUUGGAGUUAACUCACUGGGAUCCUGAGCUAGCAAUCUCGGCUGCUGAGGUGGCGGCGGAGGAGAAUAGGAUUAGAGAGAUUGAGGAGAGAGAUUUGAUCAUAGAUAGGCCUCCUAGAUUCAAUAGAGUGAAGCUUCCUAGAGGUCUAAAUGUCUCCAAGGGAGAAAUGAGGAGGAUUUUGCAAUUCAAGGAAAUGCCGUACAUAUCCCCGUACUCGGACUUCUCCGAGUUGAGGUCAGGUACCCCUCAGAAGGAAAAACAUGCUUGCGGGGUCGUUCACGAGAUACUUAGCCUUACUCUUGAGAAGAAGACGCUUGUUGAUCACCUCACGCAUUUUAGGGAAGAGUUUCGGUUCUCGCAGCAGGUGCGAGGAAUGCUGAUUAGGCACCCUGACAUGUUCUACGUGUCUUUGAAAGGCGACAGGGAUUCGGUGUUUCUACGCGAGGCUUACAAGGACUCUCAGCUCAUUGAGAAGGAUAAGUUGUUGCUGUUGAAGGAGAAGCUGCGUGCGCUUGUCGCUGUCCCGCGAUUUCGCGGAAGGGGGGCGGGAAAGAGUGAUGAAAAGGAUAAAGACGGCGAGGCACUGGAAGGACGAGAUGGUGAAGAAGAUGAAGAAGAUGAUGGCGAGCAUGAUGAUGAUGAGGAAUGGUCAGAUAUCGAUGAUUCGUUGCUGAAUGUCUUGGGAAGCGAAUUAGAGAAUGUUGAUGAGGAUUAUGAUGAAGGAGGUGAUUGGAGCGAUGAUGAUGAAAAGGAAGAAUCUCCACCACAUUUUCAUGAUGGUGAGAGCAUAAGUUUUCAAGAAAGCAAACCGCAUAGGAGUAGUGUCUCGAAACCUACUGAUGACAAAGUGCUUGUUCCCAUGUUUCCGGACGGUAGGCUGAGGGACAGGUGGUGAAAAAUUUAGUUGUGUUGACUGAUCGAAGCCUUUGCUGCAGAGUAGAAAAGGGACAAUGCUGAGUUUGUUCUUUCGCAUAAUGCUUCAAUCGUAGGUGCAUGCAAGACUAAACUGUCGCUGAAAUAUUGAAACGAGACAAGAAAUUGAACAAAUUGAGAACUUUUGACAUGUCAGGAACCUGUAUCUUUGCUUGUGGGUAGGAGUUGUAUUCUUUUCACAGUGCAAACAAAUUAUGGACUUUUUUUGUUGUCUUUUACAUAUACUAUUGUGGUUCUUCCUUUUAAGGGCUUUUAUGUAGCUUUUUUCUCUUGCAUAACUUUUCAGAUAUUUAGACAGUACUGCCAUGUUUGAUAUUCUAUAUUCUCACCUCAUAUUGCUUUAGGGUAUGUUAAGCUUUGUGUUCAUUAAUUUUUUGUUUUUCACACCGCAGAUGGUAUUUUGUUUUGUGGAUCAGAUACUAUACUGUGCUUGAGAAAAUAGGUGAUCAAUCCUUAAUUCUCUUUCUGCGUGAACCUUAGAAAAUGAGUUAACUUCAUCAAUCAUCUGAUAGUUUCUUUACAAAGAUAACUACACUCAAUAAUGUCAAAAAAGGUUUUCUUCAUUUUAUGAAUCAUGUUAGAUGAAGGAUUUCUUUUUAAAAAAAAGUGCUUUAUCUCCUGCUGUUUGAUCCACUGUGGGCCGAAUUUCAUUCUUACUGCAUCAAAUUCCAGUGAAUUUUUCUUUAGGUAUGAAUGCUGCAAACUAACAUUUCAGAUGACACCAUAUGUAGACAAUAUGAACAUAGUUCAAGCUCGUAUAUGAACUGAAUACUUAUUAAAUGCCGAUGAAUAUUUUCUAAUUCACAGAUUCAUCAGCUUUAUAAACUAUAGUACAAACAAAGUUACACAUGAGGUCUACAAAUUUACUCAAUUUCAGAGUAAAAUUUGCAUGUGAUCAUUUGCGACUAUGAUAUCCUGUAAAAUGAUAUACAGAACAAAAAGCUACAAUAAUUGGAAAUUAAAGAGAGGCACAAAUACAAUGUGUCUAAAAAUCAAACAUAUCUACGGAGGUAGUCGACCCGAACGGGAUGUUUGAGCUUCAUAAGUGCUUUUAGUUCAUGCUUACGGACCAUCUCUCUCGAAAUAUUGAGGUUCCCUGCAAUCUCUCCCAAAGUUCUGUUGCCUUUGCCGUCGAGUCCAUAUCUUUGUCUUAUAACCAGACUUUCUUUAGGUUUAAGUGAAUCUAGCUGCAGAAAAACAUCACUCAGUGAGAGAACUUGCAAGCAUCAAUAUCAAAUUACUCAAAUUCGCAAGCAAAUCAAAUGAACCAUAUAAUGAAAAUUCUGCUAGAUCCUAUUUGAACUAUUUCUUGAGAAGAACAAUGUUUCAGCAAUUUGUUUAUCUUGACAUUUACCACAUCAUCAAGAGCAAGUCGAAGAAGUGCUGCAUGUCGACGUUUAUCGCCACUGAUACCAUCAAUAUCGGUUAUCCCCUUGAUGAACUCUUCUUGUGUCACAGCAUGCCUGGAGUUGAGGGAUAUGACUGGUUUUGAGGCCUUGAUGAUAUCAUUGUAUCUCUCUGGUGAUACUCCUACUCUCCCAAUUAUUUCUUCCUCUGUUGGUGACCUCUCAAGUUCAAAUGACAACUUUAGUUUGGCCUUCUGGAUCUCUUGCCUAAUCUGCAAUGUCCAGUUAAGAGUGAUUAUUAAACCAGGCUCAGGUUCUUAACAUUCUGAAUUACACAAUUAUUCAAGAAUCUCAGCAAUUUAAUGCAUUUUUUUUUUUCUGAAAACAAAAGGGACGAAGAUCAAAUUCUUGCCCCAAAAAAAACAAGUUUCUUAACCAGAAUUAGUUCAAAUACAGAGAAUCAAGAAGGAAAUCAUAAACAUCAGAUGAAAGUAAAGAGGACCUACAAAAUAAUAGAUUGCAGCAACUAAAAUAACCUUGAGGAUGAUGAUAACUAGUUGAUCACAAAAUUUUAUGAUGAAAAGGGGGAAAGCAGCAGGAAAAACCCCAAAAAUGGCAAACUUAUCUUUUAAUGUUAAAUAGAAAAGCCAAGAUAAUUUUUUUCUCCAAUUUACGUAGUUUGUCCCUGACACUCAUCUAACUAAUGAUUUCCAUAUAUUACACUAAUACAUCAAUCACAACGCCGACAGUGAAAUUAUUACACACAACUCCAAUCAGCUCUAAUAGGCUAUCCUUAGUAUGCAGCAUAGAUUGAAAACCCAAAUACUCAAACACAGAAGUUGCCUAUAAGAAUCGUAGAAUCUCUUUUCUUUUCUUUUUUUCUAAGAGAUGAAGAAUCUUGAAAUUUUCUGUGUUUAUUCUUAGAAAGUAAGAAGGAAGCUCAUACCGACUCGAUUCCAAAGGGAACCUUGGUGAAGCUUGAGAGCGUCAUCGACCGUAUUAUGGAAUGACGGAUCCAGAAGAGGCCAUAUGUGGAUAGACGGAAGCCGCGCUUCUGUUCAAAUCGAUCGAUGGCUGUUAUCAGACCCUUUACACCGGCUUGGCAGAGGUCUUGGAACUUCUGGCCACUUGCGAUCUCUGGAAAGUAUUUGUUGAUGACAAACAACACUAACCGAAGAUUAUGCUGCAAAAGGUCCGAUAGAACAUAAUCGGUCUUCAACUCGUGGCAAUUAAAUAGAUUAACUUAAUUUGAAAAAUAAAAGGAAGCAUCAUGCUGAGAAAAUUAACUUUGGCGUAUGUAUAUUCAAAGCACAUUAAUGAGCAACAAUAGAAAUGUAAACUAUCAAAAAGCUUUAAACUAAAAUUACACAUUGUUCUAGCUAAAAAAGUUAUAUUGAACUAUGUAUGUAAUAAUUUAAACAGCAAAAUAAAUGCGUAUAACUUGAAAAUUGAUAGUUAGAAAUGAACUAGUUACAGAUACCUUUAUUAGCUUGUUUCUUGCGGCCCGACCAACCUCUACAUGUUGUCUCAACCGCGAAACCCUCAUGUUCAUUGCCGCUGCCAUUUCACUGUCAGUCGGCUCCCUGAGCAGAUCUUUGUGCAAGCUCUCCUUCAUCUCGUAAAUCACCUAUGUUUUAACGGUAAAAGAAAAGAUCAAACAGUAAAUAAUUUGCAAAUAAGCAGUUCAAAGUAGUUUUUCAGAUUGCGAGAUUGUCAAAUGAAGCUAUAAACUACUUAAGGGUGAUCUCAUCAUCAACAAAAAGCAACCAUUUUGGUUUUAGUUUUCACCAACACAAUUCUGAAGCCUAGUAGAUGUAUUAAAGCUAUUAUUGUUCAUUUUGCGUAACAUGAUAUCAGAACCAGUAGUACUUAGCACCAUUUGUUCCCGACGACAUUCAUCAUCUAAUCGAUUAUAUUCAUAUCCUUUGCCUCCCCUAUCAAUGCGAACACGUAAGCAGAGAUGUUAACACUGUUCGUGCUUCGUCUCGUACAAUUCUCAACCAAAAAGCAAAGGAGGAAGAUAAAAAAUAAGAACGAGGAGGCUCACCUUCAUCGGCUGCAUCAGCUCGAACAGCCUCGAAUGCUCCGCCGAACCGAGCACCGGCGGUAUCCUCAUCCUCCUCCAGUCCAAGCACGCCAAAUCCAUCGACGCCGAGUUGUCCCUCACCAGCUCCUCCACAUCCCCACCGUGCUCCCUCCUUUCACCCUCCCCCUUCCCCCUCCUCAGCGCCACCCUCUUCUCAAGGCUCAACCUUUUCGCCCUCCUCCGCCUACUCCUCACUACGCCCGCGUCCCCGUCGCCCCCGCCUAAGCGCUCCUCGUCGGAGACCUCGCCGGGGCUCAGCUUGUAGAUGUUCUCGAGCGCCGCGGCCAACUCGUCGUAGUCCAACUCCGGGGCGCAGGGAGGAGCAGGAGCAGGAGCGGCGCGGGGGGGGGCGUUUGCUCUGGUCGGGGCCGGGGAAACCAGCGUCGAACACCUGGUGGGCCGGUUCGAGCCGAGGGCCAGGAAGAAGAUGAGCGGCCGCCGCAGCGGCGGNUGAGCGGCGGGAGGAGGAGGCUGCGGCGCCGAGCGGUGCCGGGGGAGCCGCGGCGGCCGCUCCCAUGCCCCUGCGCGCGCGCGCGAAUCUGGGAGCAGAGGGGAUUGCGGUGGACGGUGGGGAUCGCGUGGCCGCCGCGGGUUCCGACGUUGAGAGCUCGUGUAACAGUAGAGGGGGUGGAACUGUGGAACUGUGGAAGAUCGUAAGCGGGUGGUAAAUGGCUACCACAAGCUCGUCGUGGGGCCCCAAUGGGAUCGGACGGUUGAGAUGUGCUUUUAAAAGGAUGGAUCGAACGGCCGAGGAUUUACACGACGUGGGCAUCGCGGGGAAGAGAGAGGCGGGUGGGGGGAGAGAUAUAUAUUAUAUUUAUAUUUUAGGGGGAGAAAAGGUAACCCGUGGAUGGCGUUGUUGGCACGUGGAUGACUCUGAUUCGUCGACCGAUAUUUCUGGGAUCCACGUGUGGGGCCCGUUACACUUACAGGUGGAUGAUAAAAUUGUGUGUUCUCCGCGCGACGCUUUCUUUAUGGCUUUUUGUGAGGCUGACAUGUGGGGCCUGAGAAUAUAAGAUUGGGUUAUUUAUAUAUACACCCGGCGUAAUCAUCUGUUUACACUCUUUUUAAUAUUAAGUAUAGUUUGUUUAAAAAAUAUUCUACUUUCAGAAGGUUAAUAACACAAUUUUCUAAAUUUUGAUAGAUUCAUCAAUAAUUCAAAAUUUUUGAAAUAUUUUCUUAAGUGUCGUCCACAGCCCAUGGGAGAGGAUAAGAAAAUCACGAGUAGCUUAAUAUCAUUUACACCCCGGAUUUUUUUUUUUUUUUCAGAAAGAGAAAUGCGGCAAAAGAGUGAUAUAAUUAAUGUGGGAGCAAUAAAGAGGAUCUAAAGUACAACCUGUAACAUUCACAAAGGAAUCUAUGAAAUAGACAAAGAAUCAAAUCGAACCAAGUAUUAGAAGUGGAGUAGUACUCUGUACGCAACAGGUAAAUAGACCACGGUGAGAGAUGAGAUUGUACAAGGGUUGAUCCUUAUUCCUUAGGCCACUGUUUGAUUCGGGGUUAAGUAAAAAUUUAUUAUUUUAGGAAUAGAGUUAAAUUCAGGAUUAAGAUAAGGUUAGAGUAAUUUUGUGUUUGGUUGAGAAUUUGGUUUAGUCCAGGUAAAGAUAAAAUAGUGUUUGGUUGGAAUAGGUGGGAUAAAAAGGAUAAUGGAUAAAAUAGUAUUUUAUUUGGUUGGAGUAGUGGGGUGGGGUGGGGUUAGCUAAUCCCACCCAAAUGGGCUAUUCCGGAAUAGCCCAUUUGGGAUGAGGUUAGUUAACCCCACCCUCCAAAUUAGGUGUUUGGAAAUAACUUCGGGGUUAAGGGGUUAUUCCACUCCUUAACCCUGAAUCAAACGCGUGCUUGGAGUGUAAAACAAACCGAGUUGCCACCAGUCCAGUUCGGUCCUGUCCGGUCCGGCCCGGCUCAGCUCCUAACAAGCCUAUGGCCCGACACGACAUUGCUCAUGCCCUAAUGUGCGGUCUGUACUGUCCCGUGCCGAGUCUUGCAGAUCUACGACCCCCGCAUGGCACGACCCAUCUGAGCCGUGCCUAAUGGGCCGACUUAUCUUGGCCCAGUAGAUUUUCCUUUUAUAUUUUGUAUUUUUUGUAAAUAUAAUUAAAGUUAUUAUAUAUAUAUAUAUAUAUAUAUAUAUAUAUAUANAUAUAUAUAUAUAUAUAUAUAUAUAUAUAUAUAUAUAUAUAUAUAUAUAUAUAUUAAAGUUUAAAAUAAAUGGUUAUAUAUUUUACAAGUAAUGUUAAAUAAAUUAAGUGUAAAAUAAAAUUUUUUCUUUCAGUUAACUCUCCGACUUUCGACUUUUGGUAUCCUAAUGGUCUCGUCCAUAUCUGAUUCAUCCUUCAAAACCAUAUCACAUCCUAAUGAUCCAGGAAGCAAUUCUGAUUCAUCCUUAAUUAGGAACCAUAUUACAUCCUAAUAAUCAAUGACGCAAUCCUGGACGUGAGGAAUUACUGAUUUAUGGAUUGGAUUUCACUUGACUUAUCAAUUCUAGUGGCUUUUGCUAUUAUGACCUUCCCAACCACGGAGAACAAGCUAGCUCUCGAUUCAAGUGGCAUUAGAGUGGAUUCGGUGUAAAAGAGAUAGAUCAAUUCAAGCAUGAGAUAAUGACAUUUUUUGGCUUCUCCAUAAUAUUGAAAAAGAAAAAAAUUUUAAAUACCAUCCUUGUAAUUUUGCACUUUCUCACUUUGGUGCUUUAUUAUUUAAAGUGUAUUAAUUUAGUACCCAAUGAUUUUAUCUCUCUUUUUAUUAUUCGUUUUAUUAAUUUUUUUAGUAAAGUUAAAACUAAAGUGUAUUAAAGUGAAUAUUGGAUAAACCUAAAUGGGAUAUAUAAAACUUUUUGUAUAUAAUUUAACGAAAUAUUAACGAAGGGGCUAACGAAAAGUGAAAAAUAAAAUCACAUGACACUAACUUGAUACAUUUUAGACCACAGGAUACUCAAGUGGAAAAAUGUGAAAUUAUAGGAAUAAUAUUUAAAGUUUACUCUUAAAAAAAUGCAAUGCCCUCUCUAUAAGAAGUUUAAGUUGCGCAAAUAUUAAAAAAAUCACUAACUAGAUUGUGAAUUUUGGUAAUUAGAAAUGUAACUAAUCCUUGGCAGCAUGAUUCAUAGAGAAAUAGGCAUAGAAGUAGGGGUGUCAAACGGGCCGGGCGGCUCGCAGGCUGCCCCGCUCCGCACUAGAGCGGACCGAGCCAGGCAUGACACGAGCACUGUAGCAUUCGUGUCGGACUGGGCCGGCCAGUUAAAUCGGGUUGUGCUGCGCCUUGGUCUCACGGUGCGGUGGCCCGGCACGACAUGGGCCUAGGCCGUGCUGAGCCUGAGGGGAUGCCACGGCCCGGCCUGGCACGGCACAGCCAGGCCCGUGUGGGAAGUGCCUCCCGAGCUGGACGCAGGCAAACAACCCAACUCCCAAAGCCCCCUUGGGAGAUCGGCCUAUUGAACUAAAAUGUCCUUCCCAACUGUCAAAAAUUUGACCGUUGGGAGGGUAUUAUGGUCCACAAAAUUUAAAAUUUUAAAAUAAUUUAAAAUUUUAAUAUUUUUAUAAAUGUAUUUCAAAAUUUUAAAUUAUUUUACUUAUAUAUUAUUUUUUUUAAAAAAAUAAUAUUUUUAUUUUUAUUUUUUAAAAAUUUUAAAUAUUUUUAAAUAAAAUUAAUAAAAUAAAAAAAGGCUGGCUCGAAGCCCGGCCCGGCCCGUACAAUCCGGGCCGAAGUGCCGUGCUCGGCUGGGGUCUAAAAACUUUGGCUCGGCACGGCACGGCACGGCACGACCCGACUUUGGGACCGGGCUGUGCCGGACUGGCCUUCGGCCCGUUUUGGGCCGGGUAAAUGUGGGCCGUGUCCCGGCAAGGCUUACAGUACAUCUCUAAGUGCACCAAAUGAAACAUCGUUUUUGAAUCUACAUACAGUAAAAACUGCAAUACAGACUUGCUCCCUUGUGUAAUCGAGUAAUCUUUAACUAGGAUUAAUUUGAUCAUACCAAUUUAUAGGAUAAUAUAAAAAUAAAAAAAUAUCUAUUAAAAUUUUGGAUUAGUUGCAUACAAUUCUGUGUAAAUAUAUCGAAUAGCAAAUAUAUCCUUACAAAGUUCAACUUUUAUUUUUAUCUCUACAAAAAUCUUGCCGUUUUCAAAUAUAUCCCUGCUGUUAGGACCCGUUAGAAAAAAAUAAUUAACUAUGAGAAAAAUACGUAACCAUGGUUAGUGAAUCAGUUAAAUUGAUAUUUUUAUUGUUGGGAAUCCAGUACUCGCCCCGGUACCGGAUCUUGUGAAUCCGCAACCCGCUCUGAUACCGACUGCUGUGGAUUCGGUACCGAUUGUUGGGAUUCCGCAACGGAAGCGUCGAAUCGGGUUUUUACCAUAAACCCGUCUCCUCAGCAGAUGCCGAUACAAUCAUAAAAGAGAAAAAUAUGCAGGUAAAAUAAGAUUCAUUAAAUAAGAGAAGAUUACACCUGACUCCUCUUCUGCACAGAGUAGCUACAACCCGAGCCCUCUCUCUGAAUCUCUCCUACCCUUCUCUCGUCUUCUAUACUCCCAGAAGACAUCUCUUUCAUCCUGUGCAUCCGUGCACAAGGUAUACCAAUGACCCACGGCUACGAAAGCCGCACACGUCCUCUUGCACCCAUGCACUAGGUGCAACCAAAAUCAUGACCAUAUUGGUCAUGCCAUAUGGGUGUGGCUAAUCCAUACCACCACCACCCUUCUCUCUUUUUUUCUCUCUCUGGUACGGCACCCAAGAGGCCUUUUCUCUCUUUCCCGUACUCACCCUCAAAAGCAAACCCAUAAAGAGCUAUUUAUAAGGCUCCACUAAAACGCACCUCAAUCCUAAUAUAUUUAGGAUUUCUACUCCAAUUAAUAUCUAAAUCUAUCUUAAUUAAUCUCUAAUAGAUUUAAAUAUUAAUCCUAAUCUAGUUAGGUUUAUCCUCUAAUUAAUAUUUAAAUCUUAAUUUAUCUGAAACAGAUUUAAAUAUUAAUUCUAAUCCAAAUAGGAUUCAAUUACAAAUCUAACCAAAUCCUAACAUUUAUCUCUUAUAUUAUUAGGUAAAAUACUUUUUUGAGAGGAUAUUUCUGAAUAAUUCUAACGAUUAGGACUUUUAAUUUAGAGGGAUAUAUUUUUAAGGACAAAAAUGUCAUUUUAUUUAAUUACUGUGAAAAAAUAAAUAGUAUUUUAACGGUAAGAAAUCAGAGAGGCAAAUACGAAUAUCACAUUGCAGGAAGGAAAAUAAAAAAUUAAAUUUUAUAAAAAUAUAUUUGUUAUUCAAUAUAUUUAUAAAAAACUAUAUGCAAUUAAUUCUAAUUUUUUAAAAAAGCUUCUAUAUAUAAAUUAUGUAUUUAUUAAUUUAUUGCUGUGUUUGGUACAAAAUUGCUUUCAUCGGCUAGGGCCGCUAUGCUGUCACCAGAGCUUUUUGUUACAUUAUUGAGUGACAAAGAAACUAUUUUGUUUUCAUUCCAAAAUGGUAUUUUUAUUAUUGAUAAUAAAACAUGCAGUGAUAAUUAUUUUGAUCAUUCUAGUAACGUAUUUUGUAAUAAUUACACCAUAUAUACGAACUUAUACUAAUGAUAUUCUCGGUGUAGUUAUUGCACGUACCUGAUGGAUCGUAUGUUGCUCUCUUAAAUUUAAAUUAUAAAGAUUUGAAAAUUGGAAUUUGAAACUUUACAUAUAAAUAAAGUUUUUUAUAAGUAAGUUGGGCUUUAUAUUUAGAUUGGACUAAAAUUUAAAUAAUAAGAAUUUAUAUUUUAUGUAUUUAAUUACUUAUAUAUAUAAAUAUAAAAUUAUAUAAAUUAUAUAAAUAUAAAAUAAAUGUAUCUAGUUGUUAUCGAGCCGAACAUGAACGAGCUGAUACCAGUUCGUGCUCGACUCGUUUAUUAAAUGAGCUGAAAAUUUCAGAUCGUAUUCGGCUCAUGUUACUAAACAAAUAAUUCAAUCUCGUGUUCAUUUAGAAUCGAGCACGAAAUGGCUCGCGAACGAGCUGAAUUGCUACCCCGACUUAAAAAAAAAUGAUUUAUUAAACUAUGUGAUAAAAUUUUAAAAAUAUAAUCGUCAAAAUUAAAAUUUCAUAUAUGCCCGCUUGCAAAAGAUUUAAAAGUUUUUAGGAGUUCUCUCUACUUUUUUUUUCCAAUUUUUUUUUAUUCUAUUUCGUGUAGUAUAAUUGAUGUAGAUACAUCAACAUACGCAAAGCAUGCAACAUAAGUUUUAUCUUUUACAUAGAAAGUAUCUGCGCUGAUUAUUUUACAUAAUUUUCAUUUUUAGUAGACAAAAAUGCGUGUACCCAUUUUAGAUGUUAUGAUCAUGACAAAGAUUAGAGUUCCCCUUCUUUUAGACCAUUUUCUUAAGUAUUGCUCCGAAUUUAAUUAUGAACUCCUCAGAUUUUUUUUUUCUUCUUUUUUGAGAGAUAGGUAGCACGUUAUCCACUUCGUUUAUUUCAUUUAGAAAUAAAUUUAGUUAGAAGAAUGAAUCAACUAUGAUUCAAACUUGAAUCUCGAAUACCAACCAUCAAAUUUUUUGCCACUUGCUCUAUAGAUGGUACGGUAACUCCUGACAACUUGUUGAAACAAACAGUUUGCCAUUUGUUUCUACAUAAAUUACGGAGGAAGCACUAAACACAAACUGCAUAGCUUUACAAUGUGGUUUCCUAACUAUUCUCUUUGAAUAGAUUUAUUUAAAAAAAAAAAAACAAAACUAUCUCUACACUCUAGAUUUAGUGCGCUCUCUUUUACCUACGAUCUAACGAUUUAAAAAUCUCUUUCAAGAUUUUUAUAUUAAUAAAACAAUUGUUGAAAUUAAUGUGAAAUUAUUAAAAUUUGAAUGAGUAGAAUGUAAAAUUUAAACUCUAAUUUUGGAUGUACAAGUAUUUACUAUAAACCAAAAAAAAAAAAAAGAAAAAGAAAAGAAAAGAAAAGUGACCGAUGUACUAACUACUAACUCUUCAAGUACAAAAGUGCAAUUCUUACUUUCUUCUUCUUUGCAAAUAGCCCCAUAUAUAGUUUCUCCUCCUCGCGUCUCAUUUGAGGACGCACGGAGCCAUGAACAGGGCGAAUGCGAAGCUCGGUUGUGCCCUCGCCAUGGUUUUGGGCUCUGCGCUCCUCGUCGCCUUCUCCCACUCCGACGCUUCCGAAGCCGAGAUCGUGAGAUCCGUAGCUGGGAACAAGUUGAAGAGAGGUGCAUGCGCCAUUACCUAUUUACCUUCGUUUAAUUUGUGUUUUUUUUUUUCCUUCUUUUUUUUUUUUUUUUUUUUUUUAGAAAGGGCGAUUCGAUUUUUCUUCUUAAUGUGGUUUAGUUUAUUUUAUGUUGUUGCAUUUUUAUUCUUCAAUGUGAAAAUUUUAAAUGUNUUUUUUUUAGAAAGGGCGAUUCGAUUUUUCUUCUUAAUGUGGUUUAGUUUAUUUUAUGUUGUUGCAUUUUUAUUCUUCAAUGUGAAAAUUUUAAAUGUCAUACUCUAUGCAAAUUAACGAAGUUACAACUUCACUUACCUUACAUUCAUUAUAAAUCUCUAUAACCUAUAUAUAAUAUUGUUGAACCUACAUUAAAAAAGAAUUAAUUUGCUAUACUAUUUUAUAGUAAAUUUUUUUAGAUAAAGAUAGAAAUAAACAUUAUAAAAUAAUUAAGUGUAUUUUUUAAAACUAUAAAAUGAUAGAGUAAAAAUAAGGUGAACUAUUUGCAGGCAAAUUAAUCUUUAAAAGAAGCUUAGACCUGAUUUGGCAUCAUUACCGUUAUAUAUUUUAAAACAAUAAUUAUAUAAAAUUUGAUACACCGGUAAAAACAUUACAGGUUAAUUAUUCCGGCCAAAUAAUAAGUAAUAGCUUUGUAAAAGGGGUAUUAGGCAAUUUUUUUUUUUUUUUUUUUGAGAGAUAAGUAGUAUGCUACCGUUUCGUUUAUUUUGUUUAGAAAUAAAUUUAGCUGGAAAUGUGAAUCAACUAGGAUUCGAAUUUGGGUCUCAGAUAUUAACCACCAAACUCUUUGCCACUUGCUUUAGAGACGACCGAUAGGCAAAUUUUUAUUUAUCUCUCUUUUAACAUGUUCUGCAAUCGUAUGAAACGUGAUGCAGAGCAAUGCGAUCUCUUCGCCGGGGAAUGGCUCCCGAACCCUUUCGGGCCGGCUUACACGAAUGCGAGUUGCAAAUUGAUCGAAUUUACUCGAGAUUGUUUGACAAACGGGCGACCCGAUACAGGUUACCUCUACUGGAGGUGGAAACCAUUUGGUUGUGAAUUACCCAAAUUUGAUGCAGGGAAAUUCUUGGAUUUAAUGCGAAAUAAAGCUUGGGCGUUUAUAGGUGAUUCGCUUCUUCAGAAUCAAAGAGGGUCACUGCUUUGCCUUCUCUCUAAGGUGCUGCAUUAAUUUCUCGUAUAUCCUAUCUUAAAUCUUUAAACUUUAUACUAUAUUUACAUCCUCGCUCGCAUUAUUUAAGAAAAAAAUCAGAUGAUACUAACUAAACUUAUAUAUGCAUCUUUUUUUUUCCCAUCUUUUUGGACGCUAAUGCACAUCAUCAUGCACAAUUUAUAGUGCUAGUUUGUAAUAGGGGAGAGUAUGCAGAGUCUUAUAUGAGAUUGACGUACAUAUUAGUAUUAGUAUUAAUAAUUAAACUUAAAUAUUUAAAAACCGAUUGCUUAGGCCGAAUAAAUUGUUAUUUACUCUAGUAUGGUAGGUUGAUACGUACGCAUUGUUAAUUUUAAUCUGAGUCUCUACUUCCACUUUAAUUUUAAAACUUUUUUCUCAAAUUCUGUGUAGUUUCGUACCUUUUUUUUUCUUCUGCUUAACUAAUAAUUAGUCCAAACCUUGAAACCUUUUACUGUGACCCAACGCUUCACAAGAGUUACUUAGGGCCCGUUUGGAUACCUCUAAAAAUGUAGCAUAGUUAAACUAUACUACGCUAGUAGGAAAAUAAUCCUAUAAAGCGUUUGGAAGAAAAAAAAAAUGACGUAAUUUUUAGAGUAUAGUUAUACUAUACUCCAAAAAAUGGAGUAAACUUACAAUCCACUUUAACCAAAGGAAAAAAAUUUCACCAUUUUGGGCUCCCAAAGAUGUAUCAAUUUUUAAAUUUUAAAUUUCAACAUAAAAUUUUAGAUUUCAAAUUUUAAAAUUUUAAAAUUCAAAUUUAAUUUUGAUUUUAAAUUUUAAAUUUUAAAUUUCAAAUUUCAAAUUUCAAAAACUUCAAAUUUUAAAUUUUAAAUUUCAAAUUUCAAAAACUUCAAAUUUCAAAUUUCAAUUUUUAAUUUUAAAAUUUCAAAUUUCAAAUUUUAAAUUUCAAAAAGUUCAAAUUUUAAAUUUUAAUUUUCAAAUUUCAAAUUUCAACUUUCAACUUUCAAAUUUCAAAUUUCAAAUUUCAAAUUUCAAAAAGUUCAAAAUUCAAAAUUCAAAUUUCAAAAUUCAAAUUUCAAAAUUCAAAUUUCAACUUUCAAAUUUCAAAUUUCAAAAAGUUCAAAUUUCAAAUUUCAAAUUUCAAAUUUUAAUUUUAUUUUUAAUUUUUAAUUUUCAAUCUUCAAAAUUUAAAUUUAAACUUAAAUUUAAAAUUUUAAAUUUAUAAAUAUGUAAAUUUAUAAAUUAUUAAAUUUGAAAUUUAAAAUUUUAAUUAUAGAUUUUUUAAAUUUCAAAAUUUAAAGUUUAAAUGGUAUACUUUAAGUUUUAAAUUUUAAAGUUUCAAAUUUCAAAUUUGAAAUUUCAAAUUCCAAAUUUCAAAUUUCAAAUUUAAAACAUAAAAUCUAAUUUACUUUUUAAAUUUUAAAUUUUAAAUUUUAAUUUUAUAUUUUGAAUUUUUAUGUUUAAUUUUUAAAAUUUUAUUUUUAAAUUUUGAAUUUUGAAUUUUGAAUUUUGAGUUUUGAAUUUUGAAUUAUAAAAUUUUAGAAAUUUAAUUGUUAUAAAUACUGUGGAAUUGUAUGAUAUGUAUCCAAACAGCUUAAAAAUGAGGCUGUGGAAUUUUUUUGUAGUUACAGGAUUCCGUAUUUCAUUUAGACCAAAACCAUAGAAUAAAAAUUUCAUGGAGUUUUUUAACUAUGCAUCCAAACAGGGCCUUAGCCUUUUCUACUAGCUAAUAAUAGACUUUUUUAAAAUACUAGUGGCCCAAUUUGUCUAUUAAAAUUAUAUGAAAAUAUUGAAUAGAAAAGCCUAAUGAACUCCUCGGAGAGUGAGCAAAAUUGCAGGCGAAAAUUUAUUUUGUCAGAACAUGCACGUUCCCUAGGAAUAUAAAAAUUCCAGAUCCAUCAAAUUGUUUUUCCCUAUGCUUUUUGGAACUCUACCCCAUUACCUAAAAUCUUAAUUAGCAUAUAGAUAGGGGCGACCGUGGGCCGGGCCGUGUAAGUCAGGAUCGAGCCGUUGCCGGGCCCAGCACGGCCCAGCAUGCCCGGGCCAGGCAAGGUCAUGCCAUGGGCCGGCUGGGCGCGGCCGAGCACGGCCCUAAAUCCAUCUUCUCUUAUAUGAAAUCUAUGUCUCUUUAUGCGUGCUUAGGUCAUCUUUUUUGUUUGGGCAGGUAACAUGAUUUAUCUGAUCUUCAUUCUGCACAUGAUCAGCGAGCGUUUACUAAUUCUCUUGCAUACAUUGAUCUCCAGGUGGAAGAAGCUGUAGAAAUUUAUCGCGAAGCGUUUGCAUUUACAAUCUGGUACUUUCCUUCUUACAACUUCACCGUCACAGAUAUAUGCGCUCCUUUUCUGCUCAAGGCGGAAAACGAAGCAACGGAUCACACCAUGCUGCACCUCGACGCGCUCGACGCGAAAUGGACUAACAAUUACCAUAAAUACGACUACAUUGUGAUUUCCGGCGGAAUGUGGUUCUGGAGAACAGCCACAUUCCUGGAGAACAAUGCGAUUGUGGGGUGCCACAACUGCGCUGCUGCAGGACAGAACGCGACCGAAUACGGGGGCGACUUCUCGUACCGAAAAGCCCUCCGGUUGGCCUUCAGCUUCAUGCUCAGCUCCGACCACAAGCCGCUCGUUCUCUUCCGGACGUGGAACACGGAACACUAUGAGUUCGGCGGCGACGGCAUGCUGGUCUGCAACCGCACCGUGCCGUACAGAGCCGGAGAGUACGACGGGCGCCCGACGGAUCAUCUAAUGCGGGGUGUGGAGGUCGAGGAGUUCCGCAGGGCCGCCGCGAGGAGCGGGGCCCGGAUUCGGCUCGUCGACACGUUCCGGCUCUCGGUUUUGAGGCCGGACGCGCAUAUGGGACUGUACUGGUUGGUCGACCGCGACCCGGGCGACAAGACUAUGAAUGAUUGCACGCAUUGGUGCUUGCCUGGGGCCAUAGAUACUUGGAAUGAUAUAGCUAUGGAGAUUUUGAUGCGCGAAGGAGAGUUCAGGUAUUCGUCAUGAAUUGUCGAUCUCGUCGUUUGUGUUUUAGAAAAAUGUUUUACCUAAUUUUAUGCGCGCGCCCAAAUGCCGUGAGUUUAACAGUGAUUGCUCUGUUUUUCAAUAAAUAUUAGCUGUGCUGUUGUUUCGAUUUAUAACUGAUACGUUUGAUGAAAAAAAUCUCUCUCCAGGCUCUCUCUCAUGUUUUCUUCUUAGCUAGAAUUUUUUUUAGAAUGAAGCUCCAAAUCAAAUAACAAGGAUUACAAGGAUUUAAAAUCGUAAAAUUUCAAUUCUAUUUGGAAAUGAUUUUCACCGUCCAUCCGAAUUUUCGUUUUAUUUUUAGCGGUCGAUCUCCUAUUAAAGCCCUCUUUAAAAAAUUCCAAACCAUCCUUAAUCUUAGAGUAUAAAAUCAAAUCAAACUUGGGCCGAAUCCAGUUUAACUUAUUCGCCGUGUCUUAUAGUACGAGUACUAAAACAGGAGUUUUGAAACGGGCAAAUAUUGUAUGGGCAUCGUCAUCAGUUUGGGGACGAUGCCGAUGGGCGCCGCGUGGCCUGUCACCCUCCAUUGCUCUCCAUCAUCUUCUCUCUCUCUCUCUCUCUCUCUCUAAAAAAUUCAGCUGGCAAAGUUUUUUUUCUUUUUAUCCCAUCCUACUUCACUACUCCAACCAAACAAAACACUAUUUUAUCCAUUAUGCUUCUUAUUCCACUUACUCCAACCAAAUAUUAUUUUAUUUAUAUCUGGACUAAACCCAAUUCUCAACUAAAUACAAAAUUAUUCUAACCCCAUAUUAAUCCUGAAUUUAACUCUAUUCCUAAAAUAACAGAUUUUUAUUUAAUUCCGAACCAAACGAUGGGUUAGAGUAUAAAAUCAAAUCAAGCUUGGCCCGAAUCUAGUUUAACUUAUUUGUCAUGUUAGUACGAGUACUAAAACAGGAGUUUUGAAAUGGGCAAAUAUUGUAUGGGCAUCGUCAUCAGUUUGGGGACGAUGCCGAUGGGCGCCGCGUGGCCCGUCACCCUCCAUACCUCUCCAUCGCCUUUUUUUUUUUUUUUUUUUUUUUUUUUUUUCUCUCUCUCUCUCUCUUUAAAAAAAAUCAGCCGGCAAAAUUUUUUUCCUUUUUUUUCCCGUUUUCGGCCAUGUGAUGAGCACGCCUGGGCCACGUGGUGCCCAUCGGUAUCGUCCCCAAACAGAUAGUUUAGAGACGAAGCCAAUACAAAUUUGGCCCUUCCGAACUUCAUAAGCUCUGGCAUAUGACAUGUACUGGUGGUACUCACAAAAAAGUAUCAGUACUCCUCCAGCUGACAUCGUCUCCAAACUGAUAGUUUAAAGACGAUGCCCAUAUAACUUUUGUCCUUACAAAACUUUAUAAUUAAGCUCCGGCAUAUGACAUGUACCGGUACUCACAAAAAGUACCAGUACUCCUCCAGCAGCUCAACAAUAAUAAUUUCUGAGGAACUUCAGUCUGAAUGCCGAAACUCAUUGAAGUUUCGAAAUUUGGCAUACACUAACUUUAAAGUCCCGACGUUUUCACGGUGAUAUCGAUCUGCAACAUGGUUUCUCAUAAUCCAACAUUAAUUAGAUACACGUCUUGAAUCCUAGAAAAAUAAUAAUAAAAGUACAAAAAAAAAAGGAGAAUUUUAUGCUAAAUAAUUUGGUCCAAAUACUAUUAAACGGAUAAGUAGGAAACCAAGUGAAAAGCCAUACUUUGAAAUGGUCAGACAUUCUAUCUCUUCUUCGUCUUUUCUCUCUCUAUCUCUUUUCUACUUUAUGGUUCAUGUCCUUUUUGAUGGAGAUGCUGACUCGGUCUUGUAAUAAUUUUUUUUAAAAAAAGAAGCACACAAUAUUCAACUUGAUUGGAGCCCUUAAAAGGAGCAUAGUCCUUGAUGAAAAACGCAUGCAAUGCAUGUACAACCUUAAACACCACCAAGUCAAGUGCCAAUUUAUUUAUUAUUUAUUUAGUUAAAUACCAUCCCCCACUUUUUCAAGCUCCGAGGCCUACUUAUUAUUGUUUGAAAAUGGUGAACAAAAGGAGACAAGAAAAUAAUAAAAUAUAUAAUUCAAAAAAGAACAACUUCAAUCCAGUGUCUUAGAAUGUUUAAUUUUUAGAUAAAUAUUUUAUUUACGAUGUCAAAUUUUAGUUGUUGGUGUAUCCACCCAACUAAGUCGAUAGAAAACGAACCCGAAUUAGUUUUAAAAAUCUUUUUAAAAAGAAAAGAUUUAUAGCUAGCACAGGAGGUAAACAAACAAAAAGACUUAUGAUUUAUAUCCAAGAUUAGUUUAUUCAUAUUUUUAAUUAAAAUUAUUUUUUUUAAAAAAAUAAACAAAAUAAACAAUAUGCUAUAUUUUUGCAAAAACAAAGGGCACUUAGGUAAGUGUGUUUUAAUAUAUAAAUUAUAAUAAUUAUAAUAAUAUGACAAUAAACAUAAAAAAGUGUACGUUUGCCCUUUCCACACGUUUGUAGAAAGUAAUGUGUACCCCUUAAAAGCCUCUCCAACAUGUUUCCGAGAAGCGAGACGGAAGGCAGCAAGGGAACUGUGUGUAAAAUACCAUGGGGGUAAGCCUCAAGUUGUUCUUGGGUAGGGAUGCAAACGGAUCCGGGUUGGUGGAGCUCCUAUCCCGAUUUGCCCCGACGGGGGCAGUAAAUGGUAAAAAAUAAACGCAUUCGGGGCAAAAAUUGGGGUAAAUUUUAUGAUUUGAGACAGAUUCAGGGCAGGAAAAGGGAGAAAUUUUGACAUACCUCAAAUCCGCCCCGAAUCAGUCCCGAAAAUUAUUUAUAUUUUAAAAAAUAUUUUUAAAAAAUUAUGUAUUUACAAAAAAGAUCAAAAUACAAGUAAGUUAGUACUCUCAUUUCUAAUGUAUUUGAAAAUUUUGAAUUUUGUUUUGAAUUGUGAUUGAUAUUUUUGAUUUUUAUAAUUGAUAUGGUUAAAUUAUAUAUAUAAUAUUAUUAAAAAUUAUUAAUUUAUAUUUUAAAAAAUAUUAAUAAUAUUAUAAUUUUAUAAAAAAUAUUAGUUGGCGGGGCGAAUUCGCGGCGCCGGCGGGACGUCAUGAAUUCUGUGCGGCAGACGGGGCGGGAUUUUUGCUAGUCGGGGCGGGAGGUGGGGCAGGGCUCCCGCCCCCAGAUCUGCCCAGUUUGCAUUCCUAUUCUUGGGUGAUUUAGCUAUAUUUACUUUACUAUAAUCUAGUUUCAAAAAUUACAUUAAUUUUUUUGUAGUAUUAUUUUAUUUUACAGCAGAAUCUAUCGUUAAGCAGAAUAAUAAAAUUAUAUUUUUGCAGACCACUGGUGAUACCGUGAUAGAGCAUAAUGCUUUAUUAUUAUUAUUAAAAAUAUAUAACAUUUAUCUGAACUAUCAACUAUUUUGAUUCGGCUGCACGACUUUUGAAAAUUUUGAUGUUACUAUUCAAUCUUUCAAUUUGUUUGAUUUGAGACAGUCAACGACAUCGUGAUUUCAAAUUUUAAGCUAAUUGCUUAUUUUAACAAAUUUAUAAUAAAAAAUUUUUAUAAAAUAUACUAAUUAAACCUGUAAAGAUAAAUAAAGCAUUUAAAUUUUAAAGUUAAAGUACUGCUGAUUGACUUAAAUCAAACAAAUUAAAAUAUUAGAUAGUAAAAUCAAAAUUUUAAAAGGUCGGAUAGCCAAUUCAUAAUGAUUUAUAGUUUAAAUAAAUUUUGCACAUUUUUCACCUUUUUUAUUCUAUAAUAUAUAGCUUACUAUUUUGCAAUUUGUAAAAGCUAUUAUUUAACUACGCCUAUUUAGCCAGUAGAACUUCACGGUUAAACGAAAAUAAAAUUAUAUGGUAACAAUGUAUAACAUUUUUAAACUAUACAGUAAUAAAGUAAAAAAUGUACUAUAUCUUAAGAAAGACAAAUUAAAAUUUACUCUGAAAUAAUAUGUUUAAUGUUAGAUAAUAAUCCACAUGUUGUUUGGUUCCGAAUAAUAACUAGAAUACCAAUAAUCCAAUACAUCCAACGAAAUUCGUGACCGAAAAAAAUUUAAAUUUUAUUAUAUUCGGCAGAAUAGCUGAUCAAAAUAAAUGUAAAUUUUAAUUAUAUUUGGUCAUUGGCGAUUGAUGUGAGGUGUUUUAUUUGGCAGGUAGUAUUGGAAGUGAAAUGAAACAGCUAAGUUCCUUGUAUCUACUGUUCCAAAAAGUUGCUCUAUUAAUUGUCCUUUUCUGAGAAUAAAAUGAUUAAAAAGUAAUACUGAAUCAUCAACUGAACUUAAUAAGGAUAGUUAAUUGACUAAAAAUUUGAUAGUUAGUAUUUGAAAUUUUAAGUUUAAAUUUUAGUUUUUUUUUUACCCUACUAAUUGAAUUUAUUUUUUUUUCAAAAAAGAAAGAAACGGAUAGCUUGCUAUCUGUCUCUUAAAAAUAGAAAAAUAUAUUGAAUACGUGGCUUAACAAUAACAGCAGCAGCAGCAGCAGCAGCAGUGACAACAACAGCACUAGUAAGAACCAUUUAAACUUUGAUCACUUAAGCUAUGUUAAAAUUUUAUAUGUGAGAAUAGUUUUCUAAGGAUCAAUAACAAAUUAGAGAAAGGGAAAGCACUAACAUAGGCAAAGACAAUUAAAAUUUUAUAUUAUUUUUAUUGGUCCUAGGUGACAUGUCCUAUUCUUGAGCUAAUGUAUAGUUUGAUAAUUUUGGCCCACUAGUGAUUUUUAUAAAUACAUCAGAGGCGUAUAAGAAGGUUUUAUUCUUUGCACUUAAAUUUUAGGAAAAACGUCCAAUACUCUCCUUGUGGUUUCACUUUUUCUCACUUUAGUAUAUAUCCUAUGAUUUAAAGUGUAUCAAGUUAUUACCUGUGAUUUUUUACUUUUUCACUUUAGUAUCUUGUGAUUUAAAGUUUAUCAAGUUAGUAUUCUGUGGUUUCGCACUUUAUCACUUUAGUACCCUGUGGUUUAAAAACCAUAUGGUACUAACUUGAUACAAAAAUAAAAUCACAGGGUACUAACUUGAAACAAAAAUAAAACCAUAGAGUACUAACUUGAUACACUUUAAACCACAGAGUACUAAAAUGAUAAAGUGAGAAACUAUAGGGUACUAACUUGAUACAUUUUAAACCAUAGGGUAUUAAAAUAAAAAAGUGCGAAACCACAUAGGGUUUUUUUAAAGUUUUCCCAAAAUUUAAAUUCAUGUUUUUCACUCGCCUCAAAUUGCUUAGCACUUACAGCUUGGAAGUGGUAAUCUGCCAAAAUCAUAAAUCAUAAUAGGAACUCCAAAUAGAUCUAAUACAAACAUACUUGUAAUGAAAAAAAAAAAGAAAAAAGAAAAGGUUAUGAACCCGCCGCUUCCUCUGUUUCAGGAUUGCUUUGAUACCAAUAUAUUAUGACAAAAACGGAAAGAAUCUAGUUCGUCGAGUAUAAAAAUAGUAAAAUUGAAUGGGAGAAGAAAAAUAAAAUAUAUAAAUAUUUAUAUAAUUUGACCACUGACCUACGUCCACAGAUGAAGAUGGAACAGAGACUUUUAUUAUAAUCAAAAUGGUGUAUAAAAUAUGACUUUUUUACAAAUUCCUAAUCUCAAAAUAUACUCCUAUUCUAUUUCAUCUGCCGGCUACCGCACUAAUACAGAAUAAAAAAUAUAUUUAUAAUUGCGGCUAAAUCCUAAUAUAACUAGAAAUACAAAUCCAACGAAAAUUAGCAAUAAUUUUAAUAAGAUUAAAAAUAAUCUGAACUUAACUUAAUAUGAUAAUCAAAAUAAAAUAGGAUUAGAAAAUCUUUCAAUUCUACAAUUUAAAAUAUAUCUAAUAAAAAAUAAAAACAAAAAUAUGAUUAGUUCUUUCUUAAUUGGCAACUCAGAACGGUCCAUUUACACACCCAAAAAUAUAACCAUAAAUUUUACAUACGUUCAUUCAAUUAAGGAUCAUUUGUUUUAAUUAUACGAGUCUUUUUGAAUUAUUUUCUAUAUUAAAAUUUUUAAAAAUUUUCAAAUUCGUGAUUGGAUAGAUGCAAAUUAAGUUUACAAUCUACUUUUUUGAAUAUAAAAGUAGAGAUUCUCUUUAACAAAACGAGUUUCCAUUGAGCCUAGUAGGGCCACGUACGGUCUAAAUGAGACCAAACUUGUGUCCCUCUUUGUCCUCAUUAAUUAAUUAAUUAAAAGAUAAAUUAGUAAACCUUGUCCCAUCGUUUUCUUCUAAACGCGCUUCCACAUUUCAUUUUCAGCCACAAUUUUAAACAUUCUCCAUCUCCUCCCAUUUACAUUUUCUACACUAAUUUAAUUGUCUUUUUUUUUUUUUNUAGUAAACCUUGUCCCAUCGUUUUCUUCUAAACGCGCUUCCACAUUUCAUUUUCAGCCACAAUUUUAAACAUUCUCCAUCUCCUCCCAUUUACAUAUAAUACACUAAUUUAAUUGUUGUGCUUCACGUGUGAUGCUCUUUCUCGUGCACAACCCAUUUCUCUCUCUUUCUCUCUCUCUCUCAAAAACUCUUUUUUAUCGCAGUAAAUUCCACAUAAUAAUAAAAUAAGAACUUAGAAAACUUAUUUUAAUCGUAAAAUAUUUUGAUUUGAUUAUUUGUUUUUUUAAAAAAUUUUAAGUUUGCUAUCCACCUUUCAAUUUAUCUAAUUUAAGUCAAUCAAUGAUAUUUGGACUUUAAAUUUAAGCUAAUUAUUUAUUUUAAUAAUUUUACAGUUGUGAGAAUUGCAUAAAAUAUACUAACUAAAACUGUGAGGAAAAACGAUGCAUUCAAAUUUCAAAAUUAAGGUGCUGUUGACCGACUCAAAUCAAAUAAAUUGAAAGAUUAGAUACCAAAAUUCAAAAUAUUAAACUAUUAGAUAGACAAAUCAAAAUUAUCUAUAAUUCAGGUAAUUAAGUUAUGUAUAUUUUUCUAAAAAAAAUAAUAAAAUCUAUCUUUCCUUUAAAUUUUGCAUGCACACUUCAUCACCCUAGAAUAAUAACAUGAGUUCAGAAACCUAACCCUCAAAAUUGCACUUAUACAUAUCAAUCUCAUGGUCGGCGCUCGAAUUCCCAACCAACAAGUUAUUAAUAAUUUGAAUAUUGAUAACAUCCAAUUAUUUAUUUCCAUUUUUAAGAUGUUAUUUUAAUGUGAAGUUAUUAUUAUGUUAUUAAAUUUUUUACUAUUUCAUAGAAUAAAUAUAACUAACUUAAAAUGCAAUCCUAUGUUAUGUAAGUGUUAAAAAGAAAUUUUUUUAAAAAAACUUUUUCUUCCGUAGGCGCGUUAACUUGUUCUCUCUCUCUCUCUCUCUCUCUCUCUCUCUCUAUACCGCGUAAGGAGAGUUGAAGAGUCUUCUUGGUCAGUUUCGGAGCAUCUUCCACUCUGACCACAAACUUUAACACGUACCACUAAUUCGUGUCCAAUGGCAUGUAUACAACAAAUAUUUUUUUUAAAAAGCGAUAAUUAAUCCGAGAGUUAGAAUUGGUCAAACAAUCGUACAAAAAUUUAUCUCUUGUGCCCGGUUCAUCCGUACAUUUCAUAAACCAUGCCAUUAAUUAAUAGACACGUUAAAACAUGUAUUUCGACAUUCAAAUGAACUACGCUCUUGUCUUUUUCUUAAGAAAAAAAUUAGAUCAUGAAUUUUGGACACAUGUUUCUUGUAUAGCGAACAAUAUUCAUGCAGAUCAUGUUUGUUAAAUUAAACUUUAAUCUAUAAAGCUAUGAAAUAUUAAGAUUUCGUUUGGAAUUGUAGAAUCAACGUGCAUGAUUUCAUACUUCGAAGGAUUCGAGUAAAUUCAAAAAUAUUUCGAAUGUUUUAUUCUUUCAAUGUCAUAAGAUUUAAAUUGUCAUCGAAGAAUUAAGCACUAUUUAUAUUUUUUGAUGACUAUUUUCGUACUAGAGAUUUUAUUUUUGUUUUUGUUUUGUUUUUUUUUGGCGCGCUCUUUGUAUAAAAUUAGAGAGUGUGUGUAUAAUUAGAAAAUGUAAAUUUCAAACUAAGCUUCAUGUGUGGCACAAGAGACGUACGGAUGCGCCCAGCGUAGAAAAUAAUUGCUUAAAUGAUAAGCUCUCUCGCGAUUCGUUAUCAUUGUGUGAAGAAGCGAAAAAUGUAGAGUCAUUUUCCUUACUCCUUAGUCAAUCUCCUCAGUUUGAUUCUACACAAAAGAUUAAUUGUUCGGAAAAGCGCUUCUCUCCACCUCACCCCUAUAAAAAAGCCCCUCCAUUUGCUUACUCCCCACCCAACACAAACUUAAUUCCUAGUAGUAACAUAGCUUUCCCAAAGAAGAGCACAAAAGAGCGCUUCUUCAGUAGAUGUGCUUCUCCAAUUGAUACCAACUAAGUAUUAAGCACGCUAAUUGCUGUAAUUAAUGGAGAACACCUUUUCCCCUCUAAUCGCGGAGCUAACGCAAAUUAAGGAGCUUAUGAUGCAGCUAGAGGCGCAACUGGAUCAGCCGUUUCCGAUUGAGUUGAGCAAGUCCAUGGUGUCGAAAGCGCUUCUCGCCACCGAGAAGUCGAUCUGCAUGGCGAAUAAGUCGAGCUUCUGCUGCCCCAACUGCGGGCCGGAGGGGGUGUCGCCGCCGCACUCCGCUAGCGGCAGCCCCCGGAGUGAGGGCUCCGACCAUGCGUCUAAGUUUCACGAACGAAGGGAAUUCCUGAAGAAAAGGUAACGAAUCAAUCCUUCUAAAUUAAUAAGAAGAAAAGCCGAAAAUAUUAGUGUAUUCUUACAUCGAGAACCGUAAAUUUAUCGGUCUUUUUUAUCGAGUUUGCAAAAGUUAUUAUUUCAUUAGGACCCUUUUGAGAAGCUUUUUAAUUUGUUUGAAAAGUUUUUCUUAAUAGCAAAGUAAAGUUUUGAGUUUCUACCUAUGAGUUUAUUUAUUUAUUUAUUUAUUUUUUCCCUCAAACAUUAUAGGAAGGCACUGCCAACAUGGAGGAGUCAAGUAAAGGUGGGCGCAGAGAGUGGAUUUGAAGCUCCUUUGGAUGAUGGAUAUAGCUGGAGGAAAUAUGGCCAAAAAGAUAUUCUAGGAGCCAAAUAUCCAAGGUUAGUUAUAGUUUACAUAUAUAUAUAUAUAUAUAUCCUACACUACACUCAUAUAAAAAUAAUAAUAAUAAUAAUACACCUCACAAAACAAAGUUAAAGGGUUUUUUUGUAUUUAUGUUGUGUCAGAAGUGGUACUAGGGUACCCCACACAAGGCUACAGGGUACCAUAAACCCUGGGACAACAAAAUUUAAAGGGCCUUGUUGCAUUUAUCUUGUGUCAGAAAUAGUAUAUGGGUACCCCCACCAGAUACCAUGAAGUUUAUUUUGAUAAGUCAAAAUUUAAGUCAGAUAUUUUAAGUCUGAUUCAUAGACUAUAGUUAAAAAUAUAUUUACUUUAAAUAGUUUAUUUUGAUAUUAUUAAUGUAAAUUUAUUGAAUUGUAAAGAUAAUAUUAUUUAUAUAAUAUUUUCUAGUUAAAACUGAAAAAGCGCAAAUAAUUUUUUUUUUUAUAAAUUGCAGGGGCUACUACCGAUGCACCCACAAAAACACGCAGGGUUGCGCCGCCUCAAAACAGGUCCAACGAACGGACGAGGACCCAACGGUCUACGACGUCACCUACCACGGGGUCCACACGUGCCAACAGAGGCCCCACCCCCUCCCCGCACGUGCGAAGGACCAUGAGCAAAUUACCCACCGUGGCCCGGCCCACGUCGGCCCACUCCACCCUCUCCGACCGGGCCUCGCCGUUAAGACCGAAGGCGCUUUCGGCCCGUCGUCGGCCCACGAACAGUUGAAUUUUGUCCCCUUCGCAUUUCCCUCCACAACUAUUGAGAGCAGCAACAACAACAACAACAACAACAACAUCUAUUUCUCAUCUCACGCCUGGGAGGAUUGCUUUCCGGCGGCCACCGUCGGCGGUGGAUUCUCUCCGUCCUUCGCCUCCCCGGCCACCUCCGAGUCGAACUACUUCUCCCCGCCUUUAAGAGGGCUCAGGCUUCAUAAGUCGGAGUCUGACCUCACUGAGGUGAUCUCCGCGGCCACAUCCACGACCAAUUCGCCGAUGGCGGACAUGGAUUUUAUGCUCGACGGACUCGAGUUGCACCCGAGUUUCCAUCUUGAUGCUUCUAGCUUCUUCUCAUGAACUUUGCACUUAGGGGCGCAUAAGUAGAUAUGGCCAAGUAAUUUUGGCUUUUUUUUAGGCUUUAUAUAGGUUGAAUAUGUAUGCAUGGUAGGUAUUCUUUGCUAUGAUGGUUCCUUUCUUAAGGAGAGCUUUUUUUUCUUUUAGGGGAUUUCUAUGUCUUCUUUUGGACUAAUUAAGUCACGAGGAGUAAUGAUUGUAGUGACAAAGAUUUAGGUGAUUUAAUCAUGUCUUUUUUCCAAAAAAUGUAAGCUUGUUGUAUAAUCAAGUUGGUGGUUUGCACUUCUUCUAGAGUAAUAACUUUGGUAGCUGAGUAUAUACUUAGCAAUGCAGUUAAUGAAUUAGUUUUACACAUACAACAGUAUUAUGGCGUCCACUCUGAAAAACUGAUAGAAUUAUUCUUAGUAAUUACACACCAAUUUGUUAAAAAAGUUUAUCAUCAUCAAUGACUUGAAAUACUAUACGAACAAAAUUUUUUUUUUUUUUUUUUUUUUUUUGAGAAAUAGGUAGCAAGCUACCUGCUUCAUUCAUUAGGUAAAAUGAACUGGGCAUACAAGUUGGAAGCAGCUUAGGCCUCCGAGAGGUCGGCAAAACACAAAAUUAAAUUAAAAGCAAAAGAAAGAGGGAGGGAGAUCAAAGUCCCAACGGGGAGUGGAGCAGGGGGUGGAGGUACAAGAGGGGCGUCAGAGCAAUGUGGUCCAGUCGUCGAUCAGUUGUUUGAGACGUUCUAAAGAUCGAGCAACAUUGGGCGACUUUCCGUUGAAGACGUAGUUGUUUCUGUCCGUCCAAAUUACCUACCAGGUCGCAGCCAGGACAAUCAGGCGAUGUUUUCUCGACGAUUCGACGGCGAUUUCUGUAGUUUCGGCCCAGAGUCCUCUAGCGUCGGCUGAGCUGGCGUUGUUUGCGUCCAGUCCUCCUGUAUUGAGGAGGAGAAAUCGAAGAUAAACGCAAUCGUUGAAGAGGUGGUCACAGCUUUCCGUGAGGACUGCGCAGAAGGCACAGUUCGGGUCUACAUGCAUGCCUCUGAUGAGCAAUCUGUCGGCAGUGGGUAAUCUUUUUCGAAGGAGUAGCCAAAUGAAGAUUUUAAUUUUAACGGGGAUUUUUAGCUUCCAGAUAUGCUGAUUCGUCGGGGCACGCAACCCAGCGUCCGUGAUGGUCUGGUAAAGGGAUUUAACCGUGAAUAAUUGAUUGGAGGUCCAUCGCCAUUUGACCGAGUCCUUACUGGCGCAUGGUCGGAGGUCUCGGAGCAAGUCUUUAAGCAGCGACAGCUGUCUGCGACUUUCAGUAGAGCGAGCGGUCGUGAAGCCACGACAGAUAAAGCGCCAUCUCCAGCCGCUUUGGUUCCAACAUUGGGAGAUCCGGGCUUCCUUAUUGCAGAUGUUCGAGAAGAUAAUCGGGAAUAGGGUACGAAGAGGGGCUUCUCCAAUCCAGAUGUCGGACCACAUCCUGAUAUUUUUUCCGUCUCCGAGCUCGUAGGUUACUCCACAUGAGAAGAUAUCUCGACAAUAGAGCACGCUUUUCCACCACUGCGAAUAGGGAACGAAGGCUCUGCCCUCCAGCAAUGGCUUUCGUCUGACGUAGUAGAGGGAUCUAAGCAAUUUACACCAAAGGAGGUCUGGGUUGGUAAAGUAACGCCACCACCAUUUGGUUAAGAUUGCCAGAUUCAUAGAGUUUAGUUCUAAGAUUCCAAGUCCGCCUUCUCGUUUACUUUUGCAUACUGUAUUCCAGUUGACGAGACAAGCACCACCAGUGAUUUUGGAGCACCCCUUCCAGAAGAAGGCUCUUUUGAGGCCCUCUAAUCGAUUUAUCACCUACUUUGGCGCCCUAAAGAUGGAAAAGUAGAAUAGUGGCAGGUUGGUGAGAACCGAGUUGACGAGCGUGAGUCUUCCCCCUAGCGAUAGUAGUUUGGCUUUCCAGCCUUCUAUUCUCGCCUCAACACGAUUGAUGACCACAGCCCAGUCUUCCUUGCGAAGUUGCUUAUUGUGAAGUGGUAGGCCCAAAUAGCGAAGCGGUAGGCGUCCCACUUGGCAUCCCAAAAUGUUCGCAAGUCUAGUGGCCUUACGAUGGUUGGGUCCCAAAUAGUACAGUUCCGAUUUCUCCUUAUUGAUGCUGAGGCCAGAGGCCCAUUCGAAUAUGUUCCAGAGGAACAGCAGGUUGUGCAUAAAACGUUUCCUUGGUUCACAAAAGAAGAUAGUGUCGUCGGCGUAUUGCAAGAGCACCGUUUGGCAGUCAUCAGAUGGUCCGAUGCCUUGUAGCUGAUUAUUUCUCCUCGCAGUUUCAGUUAGUCUGGCUAGACAGUCGGCGACCAAUAAGAAUAGGUACGGGGAUAGGGGGUCCCCUUGCCGGAGCCCCUUCAUAGGUUUCAACCAUUGGGUCGGGACAUCGUUUACUAGAAUGGCUACUUUAGCAUUGCAAAUACAUUGCUCGAUCCAUGCCCACCAUUUGUCGCUGAAGCCUAGCCAGUGUAGGAUACGUUUAAGGAAGGACCAUCUGACGUUGUCAAAAACUUUCUCAAAGUCAACCUUGAUGCUUGUGCAUUCCCUGCCAGAUUUAGAGCACCAGUUUACUAGUUCGCUUGCAGUAACGAAUGAGUCUGUCAGUAGUCGGUCUUUAAGGAAAGCCGAUUGUGUAGAGGAGAUAAUGAACGGUAGUUUGAGUGCUAAUCUGUUGGCCAAGACCUUAGAGAUAAUUUUCUGAAUUCCGUUGAUGAGGCUGAUGGGUCGGAAGUCCCUAGCUUUGCGCGCGCCCUCCUUUUUUGGUAUGAGGCAGAGAAAGGAAUAGUCUGUCGGGCCCGUGAAAAGUGUGCCAUCAUAGAGCUCAGAGAAGACCUUAAGGAUGUCGUCCUUGACCACAUCCCAGAAGGUUUGGAAGAAAAUAAGUAGAAAGCCGUCUGGUCCGGGCGCCUUAUCGCAACCUAGUUGGAAGGUGGCAGUCUUGAUUUCGUCGAGGGUGAAUGGCGUCAUUAAGGAGUCAGGAUCGAGUAGUCUGUUGGAGUGGUAAAGGCCACUCCAGUCACCGAGUGACGAAGGUUCGUCCGCAUGAUUCCCAAACAUUCGUUUGAAAGAUUGGUAGAAGUACGAUCUCUUAUGCUCUUCAUUGGUUAUCUGUUGGCCGAAAUCAUCCUCGAUGGCCACUAUUGUGAUUUCCUCCUCCUCUAGUAUUAGUAGGAGGUUUGACUUGAGUUCGGCCCGUUUAUCGAAGGUUUCCUUGGGCAAAUUUUGCGAUUCCUCGAGUUGGUCAAUAGCUUGGAGUUCAGAUUGCAAUUGAUUUUUGACCUUGGUGAUACUGUGGAAAUGGGUCUUGCACCAUUCUUUUAUCCGGACUCUGCAGUGUCGGAGUUUAGCAGUGAUAGAUAGGAUGGCCGAGCGUUGACCGGUAGUUUCAUUCCACCAGACAGGCACGUUUGAAGUAAAGUCCUCCCUGGUAAGCCAAACCCUCUCGAACUGGAACCUACGCGAGGCAGGUGGCGGCCCUGUUGUAAGCACAAUCGGGCUAUGGUCAGAAGUGAUCUUGGGCAGAGCUUUUACCUUGCUGAAUGGAUAAGAAUGAUCCCACUUCGUCGAGAUGAGAAAUCUGUCUAGCUUGGCCAGAGUGGGGCUUUGUUGCAUAUUAGACCAGGUGAAGUUUUGGUUAGACAAAGGUAGGUCAAUAACAGCGAGGCUAUUGAUUAGAUUGGAGAACAUGCUCAUGGCUUUGAAGCUCCAAGGCUUUCCUUUCCUCUCAGAUUGAUUCUUGGUGAAAUUGAAGACUCCGCAAAUUACCCAGUCGGAAGAGCAGGAACUGCUAAAGGAGAGGAGUUCGGCGCAAAAUUCUUCUUUGCCGCCCCAGGUUGGCAGCCCGUAGACGUUCGUGAUAAAAAAUAAUUUCCUACUAGCAAGAUGAGUCAGGUGGAGAGUUAGCAAGUGUUUACGCACUAAAACUGCAUCACAAGAGAAACGUCUAGAACUCCAACAAGUAAUUAAGCCCCCAGAAGCCCCGGUUGCGGGAACAAAAUGGCACCUGUCGAAACUAGAGCCGCAACAGGAGCGAAGAAAAGACCGGGACACAGAAUCCACUUUGGAUUCUUGGAUACAGACCACAUAACUGAAAUACUUAGAGAUGACCGACCUAACGCAACGACGCUUGACAGGGUCGUUAAGACCACGGACGUUCCAACACAAAAUGUUUAACAUCAAACUACGACACACACCUAAAGGCAUAAAGCGACACACACCAGAUAGGCAACGCAGACAUCAACACACUACGCCCCGACGUGUAUGAACCUGUGAAGAUCCGAGGCUUCUGCGUCCGAGAGAUCCACCCCGCACAAAAGGCUCUUGGACUUAACUUUCUUCCUAGUCAGUUUGCGUGCCUUGGUCCUGAGUCCAGAAGAUGUACCCUCGAGUAAGACGGCUUUUCUGCGCAUGGCCCUGCUGAGGGUGGAGUCCGUUUGCGCGUUCCGGAGCCGCGUGCUUGAUCUGAGAGGGUCCGGGGUGUUGUGGGAGGUAGCUGAAGCAUCCGCCUUUUUGGGAUCAUCUCGCACCAAAGCAGCACCAGAUGGGGGGGCUGUACCUGUAUCUCCGAGUGGCCCCGGUACGACAGCUGCUGUUGAGAGACCCCCUGCCCCUCAUUGAAGGGCCCCCAUCGCGGCCAGAUUUGCCUCGGGGUCGACUAGGAGGCGGGGGUUGGUGUCCGACUCUCCCUCAUGAUCGACGAACAGGCGAGGGGAAGAAGGGUAAGGGCCGGCGGUCGCAGCGAAGGGCGAUGAAUCACCGUCCCCGAUCAGCUCCAAAGAAGCGGCGAGGGCAUCGUGCUUCGCUCCUCCGACUCCUUCGAGAAGCACUGUUGACGAUCCGAUAAUGAAAACCGAAGGGCCCCGACCACUAAGGCGAUCCGGUCCAAGGGCCCGAAGAGCAAAGAAACCACCCCGCAGGAGCAGGCCAGGAAAGGGUGAUGUGGGCCUGGCACGAGGCUCCAGCUGAGGCCCAAUAACUAGCGCAAAGGAAAGCCCACCCAUCGCAAAGGAAAGCCUACCCAUUGCCCUUAGAGAAAAUAAGGUGGGAAAGGUGGGCCCAGAGCCAGAGGAUAGCAUUGGUAGCUUGGGGCCCGAGGUUUGACCCGUGACGUUGAUUGUCUCGGGUCCAACAACGAGGCUGCAUGAGUAAUUAGCCUUCUUAGGUGAAAUCGCAACCCGAGGAUCUCUGGUAGGUGAAACCGCAGCCCGAGGAAGGCUAUUAGCGCUGAAAUGGCAAGGAGGCGAUAGGCGAAGCAUCCUGCCCCCGCUCUGUCCUCUUACCAUUUCUGAGCAAACCUCAGGGGUCGCGCUACACGCAGUCCUCGGGGCUAGCCCUCCCUCCGCCUCGGUCUUCGAGCGAGAUCUGCCCGUUGCGGCCCAGCCCCACCGGCCUGCCGCCACACCGAGCAACCCCAACCGGCCUCCCUCCGCACCGCGCAGCCUCGGCGCCCGACGGAUAGCCGGCGCUCCCGCCGACCCCGCAGCACGACGCCCCGCCGCCAUCGGUUGGGCCCUCGAGGAAGCCGACGUAAGCAGGCCGGACCUCAGAGCCCUGUGAUUAGAGUGGUUUGUCUCCGCUUCCUCCAACUCCCCAGGAGCGUCCUCCAUGGCCUCAUCUUCGCUUGCCUGGUUGCCGUCUGCUUGGCGUUCGUGGUUCCGAUUGGCUGGGCGCUCCCCGGGGUUGCCGUCUCCGUUGCGUGGAGGUGUGGGAGGUGCGGGAGGUGCAUCAACCCCGCCUGCGUCAGCCCGUUCCCAUCGCUCCAGGUGGACCAUGACCGGGAACAACUCCUCGCCGAUUAUCACAGAGAGGUUCUGGGGGAUGUUGUAGAUCGAGUCGAGAGCAAUCUGACAGCGAAAAGCUCGCAGAUCCGUCAUCGCCCUAGAAACGCUGUCCGCCUUAAUGAAUCGGCCGAAGCUGCUAACCAGCGCCGCCACUCUCGCCACUGACCAGAUCUCGAAGGGGAGAUUAAUAAGCCGGAUCCAGGCCUUGUAUUGGACACGAUGUGGCCGAGCGUCCCGGUAACGACCCCACGGCCAACACCGCAGCCAGAAUCGGUUAAGUGUAAGAAUCUCUCUUCUGAUGAGCACGUCGGCCGGAACCCAAUUCGGCAAGAAGAUUGCGUAGUUUCGCUCUCUGCAGCGCGCGACUGCGAAGUCCUCAGUAUAUCCCCCAAAGCGACUGGCCAAAGCAGUCUUAAUGACCGUAAUCGGCUCCGGCCCGAGGUUCGCUGGCUCGAUGACAUCCGCGAGGAUGGCGUUCCGACGUAGCUCGAUUCGUCGCAGGUACUCCUCCGUAUAGGGGACAAAGACCUUGUGGGGAGGAGCUCGUGCCCUGAGGUUAGCCGCUCUAUUUAUUGCGGCUUUCCUUAAGCCAACUGUCUCUCUGCAGGUUGUCGCUCGAUGGCCGGUUCUCCAGCACCUAAGGCACCGCACGGGGUCGCGACACUCCACAACAGCGUGGUCAGUCGCCAAACACCGGAAGCACCUCUUCUGCGAUCUUCUUGUGGAACGGUCUCUGUAGGUUCGAGGUGGAGGGGGGCGAGUAUGAGGGUGGUGGGAGCUGAUUGCCUUGGGUUGAGCAGUUGGCUUCCUAAGCAAGGCCUCCUUAUAAGAUCCUCUGAUCAAAGGAGAGCAUUUACUAGGAUCAACUUCCCCCCUGGUCAUCACCUCGCCCCGCGGUUCUUGAGUCAAACCCCGAGUUUUACUCCAUUGGUGUCGAACUGCAUGGAUGCCACAGCGCUCAUGAGUGGAACCCUUGCCAGUUGCAUGAAACCUCCUCUCCUCAUCUUCAAUACAGCUGGAGGGCCUCCUUAACUCCCCGCCUCUGCUAUCUUCAGGCUCUUCGUGUGCAGCCGCUUCUUCAUAAAUAUUUCAUCUAUUUGGUCCUCUUUAAGAUCGCUCCGCUUGCCUCGGACGGAGCUCUUGCUGGAAGCGGGUAACUUCCCUUUCUCCACUUCAUGAUCUCUGCAGACCGCGAAUAAAUCUCUACCAACCUCGUCUGCCCGGGCAAACCUCGUCUCAUCAUCUUCUUUACAGCUGGAUGGCCUCCAUAACUCCCCACCUCUGCUACCUACCUCCGAGCUUUUCGCAUGCAGCCGCUUCUUCCUGGAUUUUUCAUCAUUUCGGUCCUUAUUGAAACCACUCAGUUUGCCUCGGGCGGGGCUCUUGCUGAAAGCAGGUAACUUCCCUUUCUCCACUUCAACCUCUCUGCAGACCUCUAGUAAAUUUCUACCAACCUCGUCUGCCCAGGCGAGCCGUUUCACCGUCUUUUUCUUCUUCGCAUUGAUGCAUGUGACCUCUCCUCCUAGCGUCUUCUUCUCAGCUCCCAGCAUCUCAGCUCCGAGAGAGAGUUACUCAAACAGUCCCCAAAAGAAAAGAAUUUUUUUUUUUUUUUUUUUUUUANACGGAGAUGACACAUUGAUUAUUCGAUCCCCCAUUAAUCCCACAUCAAAUAAGUCAUUAUUAAUAAUUUGAUCUUUAACACCCACAGUUAGAAGUCAAUAGAUAAAAGUUCUUUUGAGCUGAAAAGCCAUUUGAAGUAAAACCAUCCAAGAUCAGAAGUCAUUCAAGUACUUUCCAAGACAAAAAGAGAGUUGUCUGAAAUGAAGACCAUCUGAGCUACUGCAUCUGCCCAGUUCCCCCGCAAUCACCAAAACAAUCACUGUAUAAAAACACAGUUAUUAGGAUGAAAAAUGUAGCUUUACAAGCAAAUUCACAAAUUUCAUCUGUUCCGCGAAUGAAAUGUUACUAGCAAUGUUUAAUACACCGGGUCUGAUUACUCUGUACAGUUACCUAGACAGAAGUUUUUUCUUUGCUUUCCGAAACAGCUCGAGAACUGCUUGCUUUUGCUUCUCUCAUUUUCCUCAGAGCCUCUCUCAGUCCCAAGACAAUAAACAAAUUGGUGAGAGUAAGCAAUGAUUCCGCGCCACCGUGCAGCCAGUCGACGUUGGACAAGGAAGUUCCGUAGUGCACUUUCGCUGUCGACAGUAAUUAACUUCAUGUUAUGUAACAGUGUGCAUAGAAACAACAUAAAUAGGAUAGAUUGAUUUAAAGAUGAUUACCGUAUAUUCCAGCAGGAACUAUUUGAAGAAUACGAAGAGAUAUACAUGAAAGAAAAAGAAAGAGGUUAAUGCAAGUCAAAAAAUUAGAAAUUCCAUAAAGGUAAUAUUUGAGAAUAAGUAAACUAAUGACUUAGAAAGAAGACCAACAAUGUUUGCAGCAAUGUUCUCGCAACAUUUAGCUCAAGGUAUACGAAUAAUUGACGGUUUCUUCACUCAAAAGGGGCAGUUCGGAUUAUUUUUUUUGUGAUAUCGAAAGUUCAUUAGCUAAAAGAAAUGUUUAAGUACGGCAACUGUAAAUAGAUUUCUAACCAUUCUGAAUAUGUAUUAUCUACAUCUGAGGAAAAGUCGAGCAGAAUAUUAGAGUGCUCAGGGGUGGUUUGCUAAGGCAGUGGGAUACUCGAAUCGGACUCGAACUCGAACUCAAACUCGAACUAGAGCAUUAAAACAGUACUUGGAUUUGAAAAUUGAAGGGAACUAAGCAUCCCAAAGUGAUCAACAACUACUAAAUUUUUUCGUAUUUACUCUGCUUAUCAGGGGAGUUCCAAAAUGGCACCUCUAAUCAAUCUUUCCCUAAACCAUUUUCUAUCAAAUUGAUCUUUCUGGUAACAUCAUGCCAAAAGUUACUACUAAACAAAUCUUGAGUUUCAUGUUAUUUUUAUUGGCUUAAAUAGGCCAGCAUUCUGUUCUGUAGUUGAGAGGUCCAACGCACGUUCGAAAUGUUCGAAAUGGCGUGAGGCUAGGUUGGGCCUAGUCAUGUUCGAAAUAGAGUGAGAAUGAUUGGGCCAAAUCACAAUCGAGAUUUGCUGUAUCUGUACACUAAGUGAAUUGGUUGCGUAUUUCUAGCGGCUCAAAUUUUUAGCAUUAGUGCCAUCGAUCCGACAAUUCUUAUUUACUAUUAAAUAUUAAAAUUAUCGUUAUCUUAGAGCUCUGGAGACAAACAGUAGUUAAAUAUACUAUCCAGACUUGUAGUAUUAUUUAAUAUAUAUCCCUUCAUCUAAUUGAAGUCUAUAUUUUUCGAACCAUUUAUCCUAAUAUAUACGAAUUUUCUUAAAUUCAGAAAAAAAAAUGUAAUUUCACACUUGGUUAAUCAAAAUUUAAAACCAACCAAAAAAAAAAAAAGAAAAAAGAAAAAAAAGGAGAAGAAGAGGAAAGGAUAAGGAUAGCAUACUUGUGGCUCCGACAAAGGCGAGGAGGAAAUAGAAGCCAAAAAGGGUGAGCUUGGGCGAAGUGUUGGACUUGGUGAUGAAGUACAAGAAGCCCAAGUAGGGGAAGAGGGAGAAGGCGAAAAGCUGAGAAGCGAUGCUCUGGGAAUCGGCGGUGGGCGCCCAGGGAUCCACGGGCAGAAGCCCACACACCACAAUGCCCAACCUGCUGCUGCUGCUGCUGCUGCUGCUGCUGCUAAAACCGCUUCUGCGUCGAAGAAGCGCUUUUGAGGGUUGGGGGAAGGGAUCUGGGGCAAAGCGAUUGUGAGCGCCGGGGGGUAGAAGAAGAGGAUGAUGGGGUUUCCAGGGGGACUGCGAGGAAAAGCAGCAGCUUCGGAUCAUUUUUUUGGGCUUUUGCUCUCCUUCGCCCCUCCGCCGGAAGUAAAAAGAUCUGCUUCUGCUUCUAGUGCUGCCAUUGGCUAAAAUGUAUAUUAAAGGCAUUUCAGCAGUACUCUGUAUAAAAUUAGCUUCAAAGUUUAUUAUUUGGUACUAUUAGAUUUUUAAUUCUUUGAUAAAAAAUAUUAUGCGGUCAGAAUAAUAAUAAAUUUUUAAGAGUUGAGUAAGUAGUUGGUUAAAUAGUAUGAUCUAAUGGAUAAAAAUAGUUAAAAAAAAUAAAUUUAACGGUAGAAAGUUUGGUAAUAUUAAAUACUUGAUGCUAUUAGAAAACACUCUAGUCAGACUCAUAUAUAUAUAUAUAUAGAUAUAUAUAUAUAUAGGCUGGGACUACUAUACUCUUAUGAGUAUAGAAUCUCUUGUACUCAUAAAUUUUUAACCGUUGAUUGAUGGGAUGUGUGGUUAGAAUGAUGGCGGUUCCCACUUAGAAUGAUAGUGGUCCCCUAGGACUGAGUGGGUAGUUGGUUGAAUAGUAUGAUCUAACUGGUAAAAAUGAUCAUAGAAUAAAUCUAAGAGCCGAAAACUUAUGAGUAUAAGGGAGCCAAUAUUUAUAAAAGUAUAGUAGCCGGACUAUAUAUAUAUAUAUAUAUAUUAUAAAUUAUGCUGGAAUAACUAUUACAUAGCAAAACGCUCUUUUUGUUAUCAGUUUUUAAUCGCCUUGAUGUCACAAAUGUAUGGUCAGGGAUGAAUUAGUCCGUUUAGAGUUUAUGGUUCCCCUAUCGGAUUGAGUGGCCCCACUGGAUUAUAUAUUUACAUCUAAGAUUAGCAAAUAAUGAAAAGAGUUUAUCGCAUAAUAGGUUAAAAAACUGAUGAGGCAAUCAAUAGAAUUUUGCACUAAUAAGUAGCAGUCCACUCUCUCUCUCUCUCUCUCUCUCUCCCUCAUCUCUCACUCUCUCUUCUCAUCAUCAGUCUCUUCUCAUCUCUUCUGCUUCCUCUCCUAUAUAUAUAUAUAUAUAUAUAUAUGAGUCUGGCUACUAUACUAUCGGUAGUAUGGAGGGCUCCGUGCUACCAAGUUGUUUUCGAUGAUGUGGCUUCCAAAUCGACGAUUGGCUCCGUUAGACUUGAUCUACACUAUUGAAAGUAUUUGGAACUAAAUUUCAGAUUUUUUUCGACAUCAUUUGACCUGUGAUCAAAAGAUCUUAAAAUUGACAAUUUUAAUGGCCAAUGUGGUGUGUUUGUGAGUUUAACGGUGUAAAAUAAUCCAAAUGCGAUGAAAAUUUUAUAGAAAAUUCUUUUCACUAUUUAGAGUAAGAUCAAUAUAUCUGAUCUUGAAUUUAAAUCUUUUAUCAUCAUUUUUUAUGAGAUUUUUAUUUUCAGCCGUUCAAUUUUAAACUACUUGUUUGAUAGGUAAAUGAUAUCGAAAAAUUAUGAAACUUAGUUUCUAAAUACUUUUAAUAGUAUAGAUCAAGUCUAACGAAGCCAAUCGUUGAUUUGGAAGACACAUCAUCGAAAAUAACUUGGUAGCACGGAGCCCUCCGCGCCACCGAUAGUAUAGUAGCCUAGUUCUCUAUAUAUAUAUAUAUAUAUAGAGAGAGAGAGAGAGAGAGAGAGAGAGAGAGAGAGAGAGAGAGAGAGAGAGAGUUGGGCAAGAAUACUCUCAAAAGCACAAUAGAUUGGUGCUUUUGAGUUUUUAAUCCUUGGAUGGAGAAAUGUNCCUCUCUCUCUCUCUCUCUCUCUCUCUCUAUAUAUAUAUAUAUAUAUAUAUAUAUAUAUAUAGGGAUAAUUGCCUAUAUACCCCUCAUACGUUUGGAAAUAUCCGAUUUAUCCCUACUUUGUUUUUUCUUUCUAAAACACUUCUCAUAUGUUCCACCGUUAUUAUAAAAUACCCCCGCAGUUAUCUCCUGUUAAAUUAACAUGGGUUAAACGUGAGUUAAAUAUCUACCACAGUUAAAAAAAAUUAAAAUAUCAAUUUUGCUCUUAACGUAAGGGCAAAUAAGAAAGGUUGGUGACGGUAGAGGGGUAUAUUGGAAAAGACCAAAAGUCAAAAUACUUUUUAUACCCCCUGAUUUUAAGGGCAAAUAAGAAAGAAAGUGUUGGUGGAAAGUUUUAUAUGAAAGGGUAAAAUAGUAAUUUUACAGAGAUAACAGAGUUACUUAACAGGUUUUAACUCUAGGGGUAUAUUAGAAAUAGGUUGGAACGUAGGAGGGGUAUUUUCAAUAUUAGCCUUCUAAGAAGGGUAAAUCAGAAAGUCGAAAAUUUUUCAGAGGUAUACAAGCAAUUGCCCCAUAUAUAUAUAUAUAUAUAUAUAUAUAUAUAUAUAUAUAGAUAGUGCGGCUAGGAUGCUUAUGGAAGCACGGAGGGCUCCGUGCUUCCACUUUGUUUUCGAUGUUCGGACAUUCGAAUCGACUAUCGGCUCCGUUAGANNNNNNNNNNNNNNNNNNNNNNNNNNNNNNNNNNNNNNNNNNNNNNNNNNNNNNNNNNNNNNNNNNNNNNNNNNNNNNNNNNNNNNNNNNNNNNNNNNNNNNNNNNNNNNNNNNNNNNNNNNNNNNNNNNNNNNNNNNNNNNNNNNNNNNNNNNNNNNNNNNNNNNNNNNNNNNNNNNNNNNNNNNNNNNNNNNNNNNNNNNNNNNNNNNNNNNNNNNNNNNNNNNNNNNNNNNNNNNNNNNNNNNNNNNNNNNNNNNNNNNNNNNNNNNNNNNNNNNNNNNNNNNNNNNNNNNNNNNNNNNNNNNNNNNNNNNNNNNNNNNNNNNNNNNNNNNNNNNNNNNNNNNNNNNNNNNNNNNNNNNNNNNNNNNNNNNNNNNNNNNNNNNNNNNNNNNNNNNNNNNNNNNNNNNNNNNNNNNNNNNNNNNNNNNNNNNNNNNNNNNNNNNNNNNNNNNNNNNNNNNNNNNNNNNNNNNNNNNNNNNNNNNNNNNNNNNNNNNNNNNNNNNNNNNNNNNNNNNNNNNNNNNNNNNNNNNNNNNNNNNNNNNNNNNNNNNNNNNNNNNNNNNNNNNNNNNNNNNNNNNNNNNNNNNNNNNNNNNNNNNNNNGGGGCCCACAUCAUCCUAACCGCACAUCUCUUAAUCCAAUGGUCACAAACUUGGUAGCACCAAUAACUUGGUGCUAUUAAUAGCAUAGUAGCCUAGUUCUAUAGAGUCCGGCUACUAUGCUAUUAAUAGCACGAAGCACUUGGUGCUACCAAGUUUUCCGCCGUUAGAUCUACCCUUUUGAUCAUUUUCACCCGUUAGUUCAUACUAUUAAACCAACCACCCACUCAACCCUAGGGGGCCAUAUCAUCCUAACCGCACAUCUCUUAAUCCAAUGGCCAAAAACUUGGUAGCACCGAUGACUUGGUGCUAUUAAUAGCAUAGUAGCCUAGUUCUAUAUAUAUAUAUAUAGGCUAAAGCUACUAUACUCUUAUGUGUAUAGAGCACUUUGUACUCAUAAGUUGUUUUCAAUGAUGGAGCUUCCGAAUCGACGAUCCACUCCGUUAAAUAUGAUCUAGAGUAUUUAAAAUUUUUAGAAAAUAAAUUUCGUAAAUCAUAAUAAAGUUUAUCAAGCGGGUGUAAAAUGAACAGUCAAAAUCGAACGACGUCUUAAAAAUGGAUGAUAGGAUCCUUCAAUUUAAGAUCAUAAUUAUUGAUCUUUAUCUAUGUAGUGAAUAGAAUUUUCUAUCAAAAAUUCAACUGAUUUUGAUUCUUUUACACCGUUAAACUGACAAAUAUUCUAUACCGGUCGUUAAAAAUUGUCAAUUUUGUGACCUUCUGAUCGUAAGGUAAAUGAUGUCGAAAAAUUAGAAAAUUUGAUUUCUAGACCUUUUAAAUGCUCUAGAUAACAUUUAAUUGUGUGGAUCGUCGAUUCGGAAACUCUAUCAUCGAAAACAACUUAUGAGUACGAUGGCGACGUACUUAUAAGAGUAUAGUAGCUAGACUAUAUAUAUAUAUAGUUGAUCUAGGAUACUUUUACAAGUAUCAUCCCCAUGUUGCUAUCACGUUUUUAGCCAUUGGAUCUACUUUUUGAUUACAAAUAGCCCUUGGAUCAAACACUAUUUCACCUACCACCACCUACCGCCAUUAUCUCAACCUCACAUCUCUCCAUCCAAGGGCUAAAAACACACAAGUAUCACUUGGGUGAUACUUGUAAAAGUAUUCUAGCCCUACUCUAUAUAUAUAUAUAUAUAUAUAGUCCGGCUACUAUACUCUUAUGAGUAUAGAGCCUCUUGUACUGAUAAGUUUUUUACCGUUUGAUCUACCUUUUAAUCAUUUUUACCCGUUAGAUUAUACUAUUCAACCAACCACCCACUCAACCCUAGGAGGCCCAAUAUUAACCUAACCGUAAUCACUCUCAUCCUAACCGCAUAUUUUUUCAUCCGAACUUCUAAGUUUCUAGCCCUCGGAUCUACUUCUUGAUUAUUAAUAGAAUUUGGAUCAAACACUAUUUCAUCUAUCACCAUCAUCUUAGGGCCCGUUUGUUUUGGUGUAAGUGGAGUGAUGGAACUCAAGUUCCAUCACUUCCGUUAUUUGUUUUGGUGUAAGUGAAAAAUAUAAUGUAACUCAAGUUACGUUAGAGCUCCACUUCACCUACUCUCGACUUCCGGCUCUAAAGUACCGAACUCGACUUCCACCACACUCAACCUUCUCUAAACAAUUUAUUAAACAGUAAAACCUAAACUCUACUUUCUUUAUAAUGGGUUAGAAUUACCUUAUUUAUAAUAAAUUAAGAUUAUCUUUAAAUAAUAAUAAAAAAUUUAAUUAUAUAAUAGGUUAAAUUUUAUAGUGAUAAAUUUAUUACUAUAUUUAGGAGAUAAUGGGAUCCACUUACUUACAUCAAAACAAACAACGGAACUCAAAAAACUAAUUUUACCAGCACCAAGUUACAUCAAAACAAACAGACAGAGAAGUGAUUGAAUUUAACUUUCAGUGGUACGAGUUACGUCAAAACAAACAACAGAAAAAUAAUCACACUUCAGGGAAACUCAAACACCACUACACUUGACUUACGUUGAAUCUACAAAUUCGUCAAUCCAAACGCCCCCUUAACCUCACAUCUCUCCAUCCAAUGGCUAAUAACUCUAAAGCACAUCUUCAUAGUGCUUUUGAAGUAUUCUAGCUCAACUCUCUCUCUCUCUCUCUCUCUUUAUAUAUAUAUAUAUAUAUAUAUGACGAAAUACGUACAAAAUUUGGCUAGACUAUAAUUUUUGAAUCAAAUUUUGGAUCAGCUAUCCAAUUUUUAAAUUUUGAUUUACUGUUUACUUUUUAAUUUGUUUGAUUUGAUAGACUUUAAAAUUUAAUAUGUCGUUUAUUUUUAAGAUUUAGUAUUCUUAAUUUAAUUUUGCAACUAUAGUUUUAUAUAAAAUAAAUAAUUGACUUAUAUUUUAAAGUCAAAUACUGUUAAAUGAUUCAAAUCAAAUAAAUUAGAAAAUUUAAAAAAUUAAAAAUUAGAAUAGCUAAUUUAAAAUGCAUAGUUGAAGUAAGUCUUCGACCUCUUUAGCUUUUUUCUUUUUUUCUUUUUCUUUUGUUUUUUUUUUUUUUUUUUUUUGUUUGGUGCAAGUUAGUCCAUUAGAGAUUUUUUUUUAGUCUGACUCUCAAGUCUCUUAGAGGUCGUUUGAUUGUAUAUAGUUGUAAUUGUACUGCAGUUAUAAUUAUAUAUAAAUACAAAUUUAGUGUUUGAUUUAAUAUAUUUAAUUUCAACUACUAUAGUAGAAACUACAAGGGGAGACCUGUAGCAGUUAGAAUUAUGUCCAAAUUAAUUAUUACUAAAACUACAGCAAUUAAAGAGAGUAAUUUUAACGAAAAGUAUGAUUACCUCCUUACUAUACUUUUAUGUUCACCAAACAUUGGCGGUGUGUACCAGGUGGGGUAACCGUGAGGUCCGGGAAAUAAUGAUAAAAAAAUAAAGCACUUAAUAUAAUCAAUUGUUACAAUAAAAAGUUGGUAGUGUGAUUAAUUGAAAUGAAAAUAUUUAUCCACAAGAUUUUUCUUGCAGUAACUUUUUACAAGCUUGCAAUUUUUGUACUAAGCUCGGAAGUUUACACUAAUAUUAAUUCUACAACAAUCAACAUCUUUUUUUUUUUUUUUUUUUUUAAAAGAAAGAAAAUUCUAGAGGCGAAGAUCGUUGUAAUUGCCACUCCUAUUCCUCAAAUAAUCAAGAGCCGUACGUGAUUCUUGAAUUUUGUACAAACUACAUACAGUACAAGCCGACCGGCGAAUAUCACCCGAUCACAUACUGGGAACGCGCUCAAUCUACGACAUUAUUACUGAAUAACUUAAACUGGUUGGCAUCGAGAACGAGCUUCCGAAUAGAGGAGAAGGCACCGGUGAUCCCGACGCCGGUGAAUAACACCAUGACAGAUACAUUGACCCAGUAGACGGGGGAGCUCAUCCGCGGGCGGAGGGCCAUGUUGUAGAGGAGCAUCGGGAGGACGAAGUCGAGAGGGAUGAACCCGAUGGCGCCCACCACCGCCGCGAUGUCACCGAAGAAGGGUAGCAUCGCGGCCACGAACGCGCAGAAGACCAUGUAGAGUGUUCGUAGGAUUAUUCUCGGGAUCAGGUUUCGCUUCGAGAACUUGCCUUGCUUUGCGUCGGCCGAGUUCUUCUCCAUAAUCUCGUAGGCUACUUGAGAGUAUACCUGCGAAUUUUGAUACAAGUGUGAUCCACAUGAGAAAAUGACUAGUCGGCGGAUAUAACGUGAUUCAAUAAAUCUAUCUGUCAAUAUCAAAAUCAAGUUGGUAAAUAGUAGUACACUUUUAUCGAUGCCGGUAAUUACUUACCAAGCCAAUGGCGAGCAAUUGGAGGAGGACGAAGAUCACCGUGAUGCCCAGAAGCCACGUGGGAGCGAGCGAGGGCCCGUUAUCCGGCAUAAGGCUCUUCAGGACGUUGGAGCUGACCUGUUUACCGAAUGCCCAGUAACCCGAUAUCGCCGUGGAAUAGAAGGCGAAGAAUAUGACCCAAUAGCACAUUAUCAGCCCCUUAACCAUUUUUCCGGCCGCCGGAGGAGCCAAUGUGGCCUGCAAUGUCGUUUUGUUAUAUGGGUUAAUUAUCAACUAGUUUAUGUGUAACUGUGUUUGUGUUCCAAGCUGGUCCAAUUAAUUAAUUAUAGAAAUAAAAUCAGGGGUCAAAAUGAGAUUUUGUUCAAUUAUUACCUUUUAUAUCCUCUAAAAUUUUUGGUUUAUGAUCAUUUGAUUAUAAGAAAAGUUAGUUGCGAAAAGCAAGGAGUGUGGCGUUUAUUCCGUAUUGUUCGUCUUUUUCCGACUCCAUAGUUUAUAUGUAGAAUUGUACAUUUAUAUAUCUUUUAAGAAAAGAAAAAUUAUUAACCUGAAUCUCCGGCAAUAUCCCAUUGCCGAAGACGGUCGCCAAGAUGGAGAUGGAGGUGAAUGCGUCGAAGGACCGCUCGGAUUUGGAUGAGCUUAGUGAAUAGUCCUUUGGCGGAGCGUUUCGCGAUACACCUGGUUCAAUUCAAUGAGAGAAAAAUCAAUGUCAAAGGGUCCCGGAAGAAAUUGUUCUAUGAUAACGCAGUGGACUGGGUUUAGUCGACAAUUUCAUUAUAUGUUGUUUUUUAUGAUGGAACUUUAUAAGAAAAAUAUUAUAUUUUCAGUUCCUUUGCUUAAAUACAAGAUGCGCUAACAAAUUAAGCUUUGUAGAUCUAAUCUCAACAACUUUUCUCAUUUCAAAAGAAUUAAAUGUGGAUAAAUGGUGCAACAUUUAUGGGUGCUAACAAAAAAUAGGCAUCAUCUAAUUCUCCUUACCUAAAUAAGCUACGAAAUGAUGACAAUGCUUUUCUAACCAGUACAUCAAAUAUUUAGUGCAUGCUUUCACUAGCUUCUAGAUCGAGCAAUUGUUUUAUGCCAAAAGCCUACAGUAGAGUACUACAUAAACAAAAAUAUCACUAUUUUUGUUAUAACGAAAAGUUGAAAUAAUUUUAAACCUGAAGCGAAAAAAACAAAAAAAAUCUAAUUUUUAAAGUAAGAACAAGGAUUGAGCAAAAUGACCUGCGCGGAUGCAACCGACGACGACAAAGAAAGUGUAGCCCAAGCUCAGGAGGAGCGACGCGAGGUUGAUAUGGCGGAGAGAGUGGAAAGAGGGCAACUGGGAGAGAAGGAUCAAUACGACCGUCACCACGAUGAUGAAAUGGUACAAUUUUAGAGGGCCAUUUGGGAAAAGGCUCGAGUACAUUAUCUUCGCGCAAAAAUGUUACACAAGUUAAUAAGAUAGUCGAUAGAUUCAACGAAAAACAAACUUGUAAUAGAUGAGCUUAAUUCCAAAUAAAUAGCUCCAAUUUAGUAGCGCUAGCUAUUUAUAUAGUAAUUUAUCAAACAAUGCUGCAUCUUAAUUAACAAGACCGUAUAAACUCCUUUACACAUUACUAAGUUCCAAACUACGUCGUUGAAUCUAAGGCCAAAUCAAUACUCAUGAUUAAAAAAUACGUAAUUAGUCGCAGAACUUAUCUUAACAUUAUAUUAACAUCCACACUAUUUUCUAAAGUACGAAACAUAAUUCAAAAACUUACUUAUUUAGUGAUUAUUUAAAGGUUGUAGCACCAUCCUCAUGACAUUAAUUGUUAAUGACGAAUAAGCGAAAUGAGAUUUCUUCUAAAUAUAGUCCAAAAAUGCCAACUUUUUAUGCAAAUUUUUAACAAAUUUUAAUAAUUUUUCAACAACGAGGAGAGGCCAAGUCCUUCUCAAUGAUCUCCUAUUCAUGAUCAGUUUGCAAAAUGAUCCGACUUUUUUUUUUGGCUGCAAUUUUUAACAUAAUGGGAAAGUUCUAACACUAAGAAAUGCUAUUUUACAAAUAGAUUAAUUACAAUAAUUUACAAAACUAUAAAAUUAACGGUCAAACCUUAUUUUUGUCCCCAUAAAUAAACCCAUCAAUCCAUCGUGGUCAUCAUUCAAUUAAUUAAAUAUGACCAUGUAAAAUACCUGCUUGUAAAAGAUUGUAAAAUUGAUUUAUGAGUACAACUUAGUGCCUCCACAAUUGAACAAAAAUUCUCUGGGGAAUGGUCCCAAAUUAAUUUACUUUGUGGCCACUCCCUUGAUAAGGGCCAUAUUGCACCGCAGUCACGCGACGUCCAUUAAUAAGAGGGUCAAGAUGUUCAUCGUUCCCCAAUUCUGGGAGCGUAGUGAAAAUUAUUUGGUGCACUUGAAAAUUAUUGCUUUAAUUUUCUAGGGCUCAGGGUUUAGUAUUUACUGUUUAGAAUUUAGGAUUUUACUCUAGGGUUUAGGAUCUACACAGUCGGAUUAUUAUAAUAAAAAAAUCCGAAGCAAAAUUCCAUUCCCAAUAUCACGAAAACGACAAAAAGGAAAUUUAAUUAAAUGGCGAAUAAAGUCCAUUAAAAAAGAUAAAUUGCAAAUAAGUACUUGAAAUUAAGUACCUCAAGGCAAUCACCCGCGAGCAAAAUGGAUCCAAUCGCCACCCCCGUGUUAAUGGUCGUUUGCACACACACCACAAAGUAGAACAUAAAUCCCGACCCUAAAUUAUUAAAUCCAAGGCACUAAAAUUAUAAGAAUAUAUAUAUAUACUUUUUAUAAAUUAUAAAAGCCCCUACAUUUGAAAAUAUAUGAACGCGUAAAAUCAUGCAUAAAUUGCUAAAUUUGGCCACGAAGUUCAAUUUCCUACUCUAGUUUCUGAAUGAUUCAAAAAACGUUAGGUACUUAUUAAUGAUCUUUUUGCCCGCCAAUUAAAAAUUUUCGAGUCGAAUUGAAAUACAUUAAUGUCAAAGUGCACCAUGCCCAUGCUUUGGCCAAAUUUACACGCAAAAUCCAGCUAUAGUUGUCGAUGCCAUUAGUUUUUGCCAAAUUUACACGUAAAAUCCAGCUACACGGUAACGGAGUUCUAUCGAUUGCGAUCCAAUAGUUUUAAGUGAAGAUUCAAUAAAGGGCACAAUAUGUGCAUACCGAGGACGUCGGCGGCGAGCUCGCGGAAGCGGAUGUGGCGGCGGCCGUGGCCCUCGCAGUGGUCGAGGACUCUCGACAUGAGGAGGUAGGCGUAGAAGGUCACCGCAGCCACCACGGUCAGCGACGCCAAUCCCAGCCACCACCCCAUCCCCCUCAGCGCGUACGGCAGCGUCAGCACCGUCGGCCCCAUGAUCGCCGUCGUCAGGUGGAACCCCGCGUGCCACCACGUCCCUAAUAUAUCGCCCAUAACAAUAUAUAUUAAAAUUAUUUCUGAACUGUUUUCUAUCAUUUACGUCAUUUUAUGAUAUGAAUGUUAUACAUGGAUAAACGUGUUAAGAUUAUUUCCAAGCUGUUUUCUAUUCGUCGAUACCUUUGGAUUCGAGGACGAAGGCCGCGCCGGCAUCGGGAGCCGGGGCGGAGUCUUUGAGGGCAGCGGCAUGUUCAACGUGAAGUGUUGUGUGCGGCGACGGCGACAGCGACGACAUGGACGGUGUUUUGGGGGAGAGGACGAAGGGAGCAGUGUCUCCCAUAUGAGAGAGAGGGAGAGAGAUAACAAUUAAGGAGUGUGAAGUGUGUGGCGAUAACAAUUAAUAGAGCACGGGAAGGGGAUAAAAUUGUGAGCAAAUUAAUUAAGAUUUAAUAAGGGAGGCGUGGAAUCUACGCUCUGUUCGUUAUUCUUUGUGAUGGGAUUGCAGAACAUACAUGCAGGGACAGAGAGAUUGUAAAAAUCAAGGAAACGGAAAAUUAUAAAAAAAAGAAGAAGGAAAGGGAGAGAGGAGGGAGAGAAAAAGAAUAAAUAUUAGUGUACCCAUCAAAUGAAAAAUAUCUUAAUUUAUAACUAAUUAAUACCUACAUAAUAAAAUUAAAAAAUUAAUACGUAAUUAAUAAUAAAAUCAAGAGGAUGGAUCCAAAUUGGUGGAGCUCUCGCCCUAAUCAAUCCCGAAUGGGGAUGUAAAUCGUAGUCAAUAAUAUAGAUUUUGAUCGGUCAAAAAGUAAAAUAAAAAAUAAAAAUAUUUUUCUUAUUUUAUCCAUUUUGAUUCAUUAAAUAUUAACUCUAAUUCCCAUAUGCUAUAAAUAGAGCGAGAAAUAUCUCUAUGUUGACACGUAUUUUAUUUAUAUUUAUACUGCACCUGAUGUAUUAUAGAUCCUAUUACAAUUUUUACAAGACUUGAGAGAGAAAGGGUCGUAGGAUGACACGUGGGGCCGGCAAGAUAUGUGGAGACGGCACUGUUAAUGGUUUAAAAAAAAGGAAGGGGCUGCAGCUGUUCGUUUACCCACGCUAUAAAUUGGGAAGGGAUUUCGGACGCGGAUCUGUUACCAAAAUAAAUCUCGCCGCCCCAGGUAGAUCCAGCCAGUGGUUGUGAGAACCUUCGAAAAUUAAUCGAUCUAGCAAAUUGCACAGAUGACCAAUUCACAGAGAUUUAGGCCAGACCAUGUUGGAAUGCAUAAAUAUUUCAAUAAAAUUGAAUAGAUUUCUAGUCGCCGACUCAGCCAAAUGAACAACUCACGGAGAGUUAGAUCAUGUCUAGAUGUAUGAACAUCUGGGUAGACAUUUUUUCUGAUUUAUUCGAUAAAUAUGUAAUAUUUGAAAGAUAAGCAGUAUGAUCAAAUAUCUAGAAUUAAUAUUAUAUUUAUUUUUAAAAUUAUUUUUUUCAGAAUAAGAUAAAUUAUUUUACUAUAAGAUUUUUCACAAGUAUGAAUUCUCCUUAAAAUGGAUAUAUAUAUAUAUAUAUAUUGUAAAUAUAUUGACAUAAAUAAUAUAUGAAUGUUUUUGAAUUACUUCAUGUCUUUGGAGGUUGGUACUUGAGACCCAAGUUCGAAUCCUAGUUGAUUCACAUUUCUAGUUAAGUUUAUUUCUAAAUGAAAUAAACGAAGCGGGUAGCGAGCUACCUAUCUCUCUCAUAAAAAAAAAAAAAAAAUCUUUAUAAAAUAGCGAUUGUCACAUUAUAUCACUAUAUUUUCAUGACGAUUAGCUAUUACUCGAUCUAUAAAUUAAAACAACAUUAUUUGCAGAAGUUCCAGCGCGACGUCUAAGCUGGGUUUUUGUCUCAGGUCAAGAAGUCAACUAUUUGUGCAUGCACCCGAGUCUUAAUUAAAGAAUCCACUUCAAAGCUUAUGUGAAUGCCAAAGUGAUUUUUAAAUGAGAACAAGGGGCUCUAGUGUUGCAUAGAUUAAGGUGACAACUCAGUAGUAAUGUAAACCAAGUCAACGGCUUGUAAUUAAGUGCAUAGUUUCAUAAACAAGUGAAACACAAUGAACACUUAAUUAGUAUUAUCCAAAUUAACCUGCACAAGUUGGCCUGAAACUUAAGAUUAAUGUACCUUUCAUAGUUGAUAUACAAUUGCAUAAUUACGUGAUUAAUGUUUAUUGGAUUCUACCGUGAGAUCGAUCUAUGACCACAUUAUGUUAAUGUUCAACAAGUUGCAAAUAUAUUUUGAUUACAAGCUAGUCUCAGUGAUUAUGUUUAAAAUAAUAAAUGAUCUCUAUGACCACAUUAUUUUCCCCUUGUUAUAGUUUGUGUUAGGGCAACUAUAUAUUCAUCUAAUUAACUAUUUGUUGGAUUCCACUUCGGAACAAAAUGAGUCGAAAAAUUGAAACAUAUAUAUGGAGUAUAAGUAUAGUAAGUUUUUGCUAACCAAUUUCAAAUGGAAAUAUAUAUAAACAGUUUUUCAAGCAAUAUGUUAAGGAUCUCUACCUUAUCCUUUUUUCAAAAGAUUACGAACAACAGUGGAUGAGAUAUUUAUUUACAGUAUGUCUCUGGGUCUUUCUCUGCUUCUGAUUUCAUGGGCUAUGACACUAAAUUCUAAACUAAUCUCGAAUUUAUAAACUAAAAUAUCUCACGUACACUACAAAAAAAUCUCAAUAUAAUGACGCUUUUAGAUGACGCGUAGAAAAAGCAUUCCUAAGCUUCUUUACAAUAUACCAAAUGCCAAUGCUUCAAAAAGUGUUAUCAUAUGAAUUCUCUAUUGUGUCAAACUAAUUUAUUAAAUAAUAAAUUUUAUUAUUAUUUUUAAAUUUCUGAUGCGUUAAAAUGUCAAAAUAUAUUUUAUCGAUAUUUGGUAUAAAUAAAGCAUUGGUACAUAUACGACGACUCUCCAUUUGUUGAUGAUUAAAUUGAUAAUUUUAAAUAUGACGCUAGACUAUGUUGAGACACUUUUAAAUAUCAUUAAAUAUAUAAAAAGAUGUCCUUAAAUGUUAAUUUUCUUAUAGUGGUAGUGAAUUUACAACAUAUUUUUUUGUAGUGGUAGCGAAUUUACAACAUUUGCAGGUUGUCAUGUAUUUUUUUUUAAUUAGAUUUCUCAUAUUUAGCAAAUCAAAGUAAUUUUACACUCGUGCCAAAAAUUGAUAGUGUAUACUGUGUGGGCUUUUUUNGGUUGUCAUGUAUUUUUUUUUAAUUAGAUUUCUCAUAUUUAGCAAAUCAAAGUAAUUUUACACUCGUGCCAAAAAUUGAUAGUGUAUACUGUGUGUGCCUUGUUUGUACGGGUGUAAUGUGGGCCAUACCGAGCGUGCGCGGCCCAUAUUUUUCGGGCUGAAACGGGCUAGUGGUUGUUGAUACGGCCCGACCCGGUUUCAAUUUCGGGCCGUGCCGGGCCGGGCCCGAGAUGCCUAUCCUCUGGCCCGGCACGGCCCUUUGGCCUAGAAGGCACGGACCGUGCCGGGCCGGGCCUUCGGGCCACCUCUAGGGCGCGGAUGAUCGUUGUCUCCGUCGAGUACCGCCGUGCCCCGGAGCACCCGCUCCCCGCGGCCUACGACGACGCGUGGGCCACGUUGCGCUGUGCCGCGGCGCGCGUCGACCGGUGGCUCGCCGAGCGCGGCAACCUCGCGCGCGUCUUCCUCGGCGGGGACAGCGCCGGGGCGAACAUCGCCCACAACGUCGCCAUGAGGGUCGCCACCGAGGGUUUAGGGGUCAAGAUCGAGGGCUCGAUCCUGAUCCACCCGGUUCUGGGGGGAGAAAGAGAUCGGGGUGGAGGAGGCGGAGAGGAGGAGGGGGAAGAUGAAGGCGUUUUGGGAGGUGGUGAGCCCUGGGACGGAGGUGGCGAAGGAUCCGAGGUUGAAUCCCAUGGCGGAUGGGAAAGAGGAGAGGUUGAGGACGCUCGAGUGCGAGAGGGUGAUGGUGGCGGUGGAGGAGAAGGACGCGUUGAGGGAGAGAGGGAGGGAGUAUUACGAGGGGUUGAAGCGGAGUGGGCUUGAGGGGAGAGUGGAGCUGUUGGAGUCGGAGAGGGAGGAACAUGUUUUCCCUCCUCCCCAGUAGCUUAGGCCCUUGGGCCUUAGGAGUCUGGGCCGUGUUGGCCCGGCUGGCACGGUCCAAACGAGCCAUGCUGUGCCGGGCCGCCUGUCUCCCCUCAGCCCAACAUGGUCUAUGCCCGUUUCGGGCUGUGUCGUGCCGGGCCGUCAAGCCACAGAGGAGAGGCCCAGCACAGCACGGAGGUUCGGACCGGGCCGGCCCGGCACGAGGCCGUGUCGGGCCGGCUGGCCCACGUGCCGCCCGGCCCGUUUUACACCCCUACUUGUAUGAUAGUUGAACAGAAUUCAUAAAUAAGUUGAAUAAAACAGAAUAAAAUACAAGUGUAGAGAAAAGAGUAUAUAUAUUGUGCUCUUAGGAUCAUUGAAAUUUAUAAGACAUAUCGAAUAUAGUACUUUCAUAGGCACAAUAAUCUAAUUUUACACUACCGUAUUUAACCAAGUAUAGUAAAAGGGCAUUAGUAGAAAUAUAUAUAAUUUAUAGAAAUUAGAUUUCUGAUUAUGUUGAAAUAAUAAAAAAUGCUACAUACACGACCCAAACUUGCCCUAGUUUCAACCAAAGGCUAAGCAACGGUCAUUACAAUUUUGACAUGAUCCAUAAUCCAACAUAUUCUUCAUCCAUCUUUCAAAUUAAAUUCAAGACGAAUACCUCAUAUCGCCUUCGGUUAACGCCAUUUUCAUAACAAUAUAAUUCCAAGCAUCAACCGGCCCCGGUAAGCACCAAUGUAAGCAAUCAUUUUGAGUCUUCUUACUCAAAUCUGGAUGAAACCGCCGAUAUGGCCCCGGGUGUCCAUCAGGCCUUAAAAGAGAAAGAUGGUAAAUGUCCAAAAGCCGAAUCCGCGUCCUGUUCCGCAUCCCGACCGCCACCGCCUUCUCGAACUCCUCGAUUUCGACCCCUCGCAUUUUACGGUCCACAUCAUCUCCACUAAACUCGCCCUCUCUGUAAGGUUUAGUCCUAUUACAAACCCCUCCACUGUACCAUUCCCCGAACUCAAAGUGGUCCGGAGUCCAAGUCCUAAAGAGAACAAUUGGCUUGUGAUCCGAGCUAAGGAUGAAGCGAAAAGCCAAUUGUAGGGCUUUUCGGUACAAGAAGUCGCUACCGAUUUCAGGCAAGUUCGGUAAGUUCGUUCUGCGACAGUAAUGGCAACCGAUAGCUGUAUCAUUCUCGAAGAAUACAGCUGUUUUGAAGAACCAAUGGCCACCGGCAAUUACUACGUAGUCGUGGUCGUUGUAUUGGCUCGCCCAUGCACUGUCAAGGACGUCGAGAUGGAUACUGAUGUUAUAGACUUUGUCGCUCGCUUUGAGUAGAAAAGGAGUCCAAAUUGCUGCGAGUGUGAAGUUGUGUGAGGGGAAGUGCCAUCUACUAGUUUUGUAUGUUUCAUCCUGAGUAACUUCUUCGCCCUGGCGACCAAAAUGUACGUAAUUUCACAUGAUUUGGAUACUAGGCCUAACCUAAAGAUUCAAGUCGAAAUAGCAUGUACCUUAGAGAGGAGGCAAAGCAAGGAGGCUAAUUGAUUGGUAAGGAUCGAAUCGCCGAUGAAUACCCACGAUUUAUUUCGCAUCGAAUUUAAGAACUUCUUCGCAUUAGAUAGAGGUAAUUCGCAACCGUAUGGUUUCCACCUCCAGUAAAGAUACUCUCUAUCGGGUCGCCCGUUUGUCAUACAAUCUUGAGAGGCAUAAAUGAAUUUGCAACUUGCUUUCGUGUAAGCUGGUCCCGCAGGGUUUGCAAUCCACCUGCCUUUGAAAAGAUUGCAUUGUUCUGCAUCACAUUUCAGACAAAGUUAAUUUGUUGGAUUAAAAGAAAGAGAGUCGACAUGGUUAUGCGGCGCGAGUGUAAUAUUCAAUGACUAUGCAAAAAAACACAAUAUAUAAUAUAUAAUGAGAAGCGUGUAGAAGUCACAAUAAGCUCUUCUCACUAGAAAGUACAAUUACCAACUAUUCUAGAUAGACGAAUGCUUCAAUACACUAUAAAUAUUAAAAUCUAAUUCUUAAUUAGAAAAAAGUAUAAUUGGAUUUUACAUGAAGUAACUUGUUUAACAGGUUACCGAUUCGAAUUAGUUAAUAUGAUAAUAUUAAAAAAAAAAAUAGUAGUAUAUACCGAAUUUGUCACCAUCCUAUAAAUAUUAAAUAUCUUAUUUACUUUGGUAACUUACCAAAUUAUAUAAUACCCAAUUUGUUAAAUAUCCAGCUCAAAAAAAUAUUAAAUUUAAUUUUUGAAGUUGGUAUUGUAAUAUAAAAUUUUAAAUUUGAAAUUUAUAUUAAACUUUUAAAUUUGAAUCUGAAUUGAACUUUUAAUCUUAAAGACAAAUUUUAAUUUUUUGAUUUAAAUUGAAAUUUUGAAUUGGAAUUGAAAGUUUUAUUUUAAAUUUGUGUUUUACAUUUAAAAAAAUUGAAUUUGAUUUAUAAUUAAGUUUUAAAUGUUGUUUAGGAUUUAAAUUUAUAAUUUGGUUGUAAUUUGAAAUUCAAUUAUUGUUGUAGGCAUUUGAAAAUGUUACAGUAUUCUUAGUUGGAUAAAACUGGUUUUGUAGACCAAAAUAUUUUGCAAAGACCAAAAUACCCUUUAAAUUGGUAUCUAGUGAAUAAUACUUAUGUUUCAAUAGUAGGUCACCUCUAGAUUCAUAUUAAAUCUAACCAUCUAUUAAGAAAAAUAAAUGGUCAAGAUUUAUAUGGUGUAUUGAAGUAUUACUUAGAUAGAUAACGAUCGCUGAUCAGAGAAAAUAAUUAGUUUUCUUAUGUACGAAAUCUUGCUAAUUUCGGUACGACUUAUCCGCGCCAUUACUGGGCCAAUUUUGUUAAAUAUAGUCUUUGCUCUUUUUUUUUUUUUUUGGUAUAAAAAACAUAUUGGGUUGGAGUCGCAGUUGAAAGAAUUUUACACUGCCAGGUUCAAAAGAAGAAAAAGGAAAUAAAGAAAACUGUGAUACUGCAGCACCUCUCGGUAGUUUUCCAGUUGUGGCAUCCACCAACUUCGCAUCCUCCGCCGCGAAAGCAACGACAGGCAAGUGGAGGCCGAGGGCGCAGGCGACAAAGACGGUAGAGCACAAAACCAUGGCGACGGCACAGCCGAGCUCCGCCUUAGCCAUCAUACAUACACAAAAUGAAUACAACACGAGAAAGAAGAAGAAGAACCACACCCCUUAAUACGACCAAAAAGGUGUAUGCAUUAAAAGAGAUCAUACAGUGCAAAGUUGAUGGAAGGUGCACGAUUUGUAUAAAUACAUACUUCUCGGCAUGCAUGCAAUUAUUUUUGGCGCAUUUCUCAAAAACUAAAUUAUUUUCGGGCACAUGCAUCACAUAUCAUCAUGAUGAUGAUACACAUUUAAUUAUGGGGCAAUUACUUAUAUACCUCUGAGAGUUUCUGACAUUCUGAUAUACCCCCCUUAGAAGGUUAAUAUUGAAAAUAUUUUUUUUAUGUUCUAACUAUUUCAAAUAUAUUUCUAGAGUUAAAUUUCGUUAAUGAACCGUUAAUAAUAAUUGUUAUUUGUAUGAAAUUAAUUACUAUGUUACUCUUUUAAAUAUACCUUUCCACCAUCACCAACUCUUUUUAUUUGCUCUUAAGUUAGGGAUACAAAAAGUAUUUUGAUUUUUUGUCUUUUCAAAUAUGCCCCUCUACCAUCACUAAUAUUUCUUAUUUGCCCUUAAAUUAAGAACAAAAGAGACAUUUUGAUUUUUUUUAACUUUAGUAAAUAUUUAACUCACAUUUAACCCAAAUUAACUUAACUGUUGGUGACUGUAGCAGUAUUUUGGAAUAUCGAAAGAACAUAUGAGAGGUAUAUUGGAAAGAAAAAAAAAAGGAAUAAAUGAGAUAUUUCUGAACUUUUGAGGGAUAUAUAGGCAAUUAUCCUCUUAAUUAUUGUUGCUUUGGUUUAUAUAGACUUUGGCAUGUUUGGUUGGUUGGAAAAUAUUCCAGAACAUUUGUUUUAGGGUGUAAAAUUUUUUUCCGUAUGUUUGGCUUGCAAAAAAAAUGGUCAAUUUGUAUAAAAAAUCUACAAGUUUUGAGCUUUUGUAAAACUGGACCAUUUUUUUAAAAUUUUGUAGAUUCGAGUUGAAUUUUUAGAAAACUGGCCAAAAUAUUCUUAUUCCUUUCUCUCUCUUUUUUUUCUCGUUCUUUUUGUCCUUCUACGAAGAGAGAGGUGGAGGCAGAGAUGGAGGCGACCCGUCUCUCCUCUGCCCCCUACGCCAUCGCCUGCGUUCGUGCACCACCAGCCCUCCUCGCAACCUUGGUGGGGUCGGAGGUGAGAAGGACAGGUAGUGCGCGGACGCGUGCGAGGGUGCUGGAGGCAGAGGGGAGGCGGGCUGCCUCCGCCCCCGCCUCCGUCUCUCUCUUCUUAGAGGGAAAAGAAAAGAACGAGAGAAAAAAAAAAAUGAGAGAGAGAAAGGAAUAAGGGUAUUUUGGUCAGUUUUCUAAAAAAUCAGUCCGAAUCUACAAAAUCGAAAAAGACGGUCCAAUUUUGUAAAUGCUCAAAACUUAUACAUUUUUUAUGCAAAUUGGCCAAAAACAUAGAUAUUUUGAAUUUUUUUAUAUUUCACAAAAAAAUUUUCUUUUCGUUUUCUAAUUUUUUUUUUCAAGAAACAAAAAUUUUUAUUGCGAAUAUUUUGAGAAUAAAAAAAAAAAAUUCUUUUUCUUUACCACCCAACAAUCAUCUUAACCAUCUUCCAUCUUCAUCUCUAUCGUCCUAUAUAUAGAGAGAGAGUAGAGCUACUAUAUUAUCGGAAGUAUAAAGAAUCUGCUACUUCCGACUAAUACUCCUUUGGUCAUUUCUAACCUUUGGAUUAAUACUAUUACCCUGUGGGGACUACUCAACUCUAGGAGUACUACUCAACCCUAGAGGGACCGCAACCAUCCCAACUAUACAAUUCUUGAUCAAAAGGUCAAAAAGUCGGAAGCAUUAACGCCUCUAUACAUUUGAUAGUAUUGUAGCUCUACUCUCUCUCUCUCUCUCUCUCUCUCUAUAUAUAUAUAUAUAUAUAUAUAUAUAUAUAUAUAUAUAUAUAAAGCAUAAUUAUUUUCAUCUUCUAUCUGUCAGGUCAAUCAUUUCUAUCUCCCUUAUAAAACUAUUUUAUCUAUACCAAAAUAUACUUAAAAUUAUUUUUAUUUAUUAUUUAUUAUUUAUUAUUACGUUAAAUUUAAAAGGUCGGUAAUCUCACCCUUUUUAUAAAAAUUUUUUAUACACCAAAAUUAUCUACUAAUCAAACAAGUGAAAUAAAAAUAAAUUUUUUUAAAAAAUUUUUAUCUUUUCACCAUCCGACGACGAUGCAUGGAAAACUUAUUAUUUUUCCGUCCAAUCAAACAAUAGAAACCAAAAAAGAAAUUCAAAAUUUUUUUUCUCCGAAAAUAAUUUUCUACUAUUUUUCAAAAAACCAAACAGACCCUUAUGCAUCAACAGAAAAAGUUGUACCUUCAAAAAUUAGUUAUUAAUUAUUUAGUAACUAGAUUUUGUUGAGUACAAUUACACAUAUAGCUGGACAGCUGAAAUUUGGUUUGCAUUUAAUUUUAGCGAUUGUUCUACAUUUGGGCUCACUUGAGACAACAUAAAUAAAAUUAUAUUAUAACUUUUCAUAGAGAAAGUAUCCUGAACCCAUGGUACGUAUAGUGCGGAGAGAUUUUGUUCCGAGAAAUAAUUAUUAGCUAUUUAUUAUUAACUAACAUAGGUCCAACUGUAUGUACCAUGAUAAUAAAAGUUCAGGAAAUUAGUAGUUGAGUUUGAUGAGCCAAUAAGUUGAGUGCGAUUAUAGUCUAUAAUAUCUAACAGUAAGAGAUUCAACAAUAUACCUAAGUUCAGAUUGGUUGAGUGAAGUCCAAGUCCGUAAAUGCUAUGAUUGAGCGCUUAAAUGUAAUGAAUAUAUUUUUACUAUCAGUACGUGCUUUUGAAAUAGUUGAUUAGUACUAACGAUUCGCUAGUAAUGUCAGAAACAGUGGUGCAGAUGAAAUUCCUAAAAGCUGCAAUAAACAGUGCAGGUAAGCGGGUUCGAUUUUUAUAAGCUGUAUUAAAUGUUGCAGCUGAGCUCCAUUAAAAGGUGUAGAUGUUGGGGUUGCUUUUGGAACAGUUAAUUAGCACUUACAUCUACAAUAAUUGCAAAAUAAUAGGGAUAAAAAUUUUAUGGGCAUCAUGCCCAAACAAUUUGUCUAGGCACGGUGCCCGGAUGGGCGCCGCGUGUGUAGCGGCGCCCAUCCGCACCCUCAAAGAAAAAAAGAAAAAUGGUGACCUCAAAGAGAGANAAGGGAGGGUGCGGAUUGGCCCCACUGCACACGCGGCGCCCAUCCGGGCACCGUGCCCAAACAAAUUGUUUGGGCACGGUGCUCAUAAAAUUUUGGGAAAACUUCAAAAACCCCUCAUGUGGUUUCACACUUUCUCAUUUUAGUAUCUUGUGAUUUAAAGUGUAUCAAGUUAGUACCUUAUUGUUUCUCACUUUAUCACUUUAGUACCAUGUGGUUUAAAGUGUAUCAAGUUAAUAUCCUGUGGUUUUACACUUUAUCACUUUAGUACCCUAUGGUUUAAAAAACCACAGGGUACUAACUUGAUACAAAAUUAAAACUACAUGGUAUUAAAGUGAUAAAGUGCAAAACCACAUGAUACUAAUUAACUUAAUAAACUUUAAACCACAUGGUACUAAAGUGAUAAAGUGAGAAACCACAGAGUACUAACUUGAUACAACCACGGAGUACUAAAGUGAAAAAAAAUUGAAACCACAAUAGAGGUUUUUGAAGUUUUCCCUAAUAUUUUUGUCCAAAUAAUAGAAUGUGGUCCACAAUAAUUAAUUAGCGCUUGCAAUUAAUAUACAAUAAUUAGAAAAUAAUAGAAUGUAGUGGAAGUUAUCGUGUGGUCCUCACUCUUAUCUUUUGCUUAAUUAUUGCUUUUAUAUUUCAAUGAUCGAUUGUCACUAAUUUCUCGAAUUACAUCCAAUAGGGUGCUGAGAAUGAAUAAGAUUCUUUGAUCGAGAUUGAACUCGCAUCUUUACUCAAUCCUCGGAUCCGAAUAAACAAUUGCAAAAUCCAUUCAAAAACAUAAAUAAUUGCAAAACAGUAAGGUUGAUAUCUAUCGACCGCCGCCGCUGUUUCUAGAGCGCAAAAAAGGAAAAGGAGAGUGAAAGGGCGUCGUUGCUGCUGAUAGCGAGCCAACGCCGUUGCAUGAAGCCGAAGCUGCGGCUAUCCCGGAAGUGAAGGCAAAAAAGAAUUGAAGUGAAGCAUCAUUUUCUUUAUCCCUUGAGCACAUACAAGUGCACCCCAAACUAUAUUUUUAAUAAAUUUUGUGAUGAAUUCCCGUUGAAUUUCAUGCAGCAUUUGGUGGGAUGCAAAAUCAACCCAAUGCAAGCAAGACAUGUGAUCCCUUUGUUACUAGUAGCACUAAAUAUAUAUAUAUAUUAUUUAAAACUAGAUAAAUUUCAUCUUUGAGAGGUCAGCACUCAGCAGGAGCACAAGCACCUCAUAAUUUGGGUUCAUAUGCCUAUAAGUAUAUUUUUUAUUUUUUAUUUUUUAUUUUUUUUAUUUUUACUUUGAUUAACCCUUCACGAAUUGCAUUAUAUAAAAGUGGGCCCAAAUAAAAAAUUUCUUAUCAAACUAGUAUAUUAAAACUACGAUUUUAUGCAAUUAUGAUUAGUCCUGUUAUGAUUCUUACCGGUAAUCUUAUAUCUUAUUCUGUCCCAAGGUGAUACAGGUGAUGAUUGUCUACCCUUUUUUUUUAAAAUUUGUUUUAAAGACGAUAGUAUCCGGUAUAAUGCAUCUAAAUAAAUAGAAAAUUGUAUGCCCGCUCUGUCUUAUACUUAAAUUUGCUUCUAGUUCGAGUUUUACAAAUAUUCAGUAAAUUUUCUAUUUGAUUACUUUACUUGGUGCUUUCUACCUAACUAAUUAGAAGAGGGAUAUUCUAAUCACAACCAGCUUAAUCAGAGGUGGCCUGAAUGUAAUGAGAGGGCGUAAUUAACCGGCGGAUACCUGGGAAGCAUGAACCCCUUAUUCUCUGGUUCUUUUUAAGUCUAUUUAGACUGAUAAAUAAUUGCAUUUUGUUUUAUCUUAUUUAUUUAAAUUUUUUCGUUUUUUUCGUUGUUCAUUUUUCAGGAAAACAAGCUGGACUAAGUAUGAGUGUGGGAGAAUUUUUGAAAUAGAAUACACUUUACGUUUGGCACAAAAAUUUAUAAAACAAAUCAAAUACCGUAAUGUUGCAUGCUCAGCAAUCCGGCAUUAUAUAAUGCACUGAAUUAAAAGAAGUAAUACAGAAUUCAUAGUAAACUGAUUCAUAGAAAUCAGUUUUUUGAGUAUGUUGAAUAAUUAGAAAUUCAACAUACAUGAACCAAACGCAGCCUAAGUUUCCAACCAAGGCUACGCAAAAGGCAUUACAUUUUGACAUGACCCACACAUCUUAAUUUGAUACUAUAUAUAUAUAUAUAUAUAUAUUCUUGAUCCAUCUUUCAAAUCAAAUUCAAGAUGAAUACAUUAAAUCCCCUUCAUUUAACACCAUUUCCAUAACAAUAUCAUUCCAAGCUUCAAGGGUCCCCGGCAAGCACCAAUGCAAGCAAUCAUUGUAAGUCCUCGUUCUCAGAUCAGGAUGAAACCGAUAAUACGGCCCUGGGUGCCCGUCAGGCCUUAAAAGAGAAAGAUGGUAAGUGUCCAAAAGCCGAAUCCGCGUCCCGUUCUGCGUCCCGACUGCCACCGCCUUCUCGAACUCCUCGAUUUCAACCCCUCGCAUUAGAUGGUCCCAAUCAUCUCCACUAAAUUCACCCUCUUUGUAAGGUUUAGUCCUAUUGCAAACCCCUCCACUCGACCGUCUCCCGAAUUCGAAGUGGUCCGGAGUCCAAGUUCUAAAGAGAACAAGUGGCUUGUGAUCCGAGCUAAGGAUGAAGCGAAAAGCCAAUUGCAGGGCUUUUCGGUACAAGAAGUCGCUACCGAGUUCAGGCAAGUUCGGUAAGUUCGCUCUGGAGCAGUGAUGACAACCAAUAAUAGUAUCAUUCUCGAAGAAUACAGCUGUUUUGAAGAACCAAUGGCCGCUGGAAAUUACUACGUAGUCGUAGUCGUUGUAUUGGCUCGUCCACCGGCUCGCCAGGAUGUCAAGAUGGACUGUGAUGUUGUAGGCUUCGUCGCUAGCUUUGAGUAGAAAAGGAGUCCAAACUGCUCCUAGGGUGAAGUUGUGUGACGGGAAGUGCCAUAUACUAGAUUUGAAUGUUUCGUCGCGAACAACUUCUGCGGCCUGACGAUGAAAUUAAAUGUAACUUGCAUAUAUAAUUCGGGUACUAGCUUUCACCGAAAGAUUCGAGUAGAAAUGGAAUAAUGUACCUUAGAGAGAAGGCAAAGCAAUGAGAGUAAUUGGUUGCGAAUGAUUGAAUCGCCGAUGAAUACCCAUGAUUUAUUUUGCAUCGAAUUUAAGAACUUCUUUGCAUUGAAUAGAGGUAAUUCGCAACCAUAUGGUUUCCACUUCCAGUAAAGGUACUUUGUAUCAGGUCGGCCAUUUGUUAUACAAUCUCGAGCGGGUUCGAUGAAUUCGCAACUUUCAUUCGUGUAAGCCGGUCCUACAGGGUUUACAAUCCACUCGCCCUUGAAGAGAUCACAUUGUUCUGCACCAUAUUUCAUACAAAAUUAAUUUGUUGGAUUAAAAAAGGCAUGUUUAAGAGAUGUACAUGUUAAUAUCGAAAGAUUACGUACAUACGAUAAAAUGCAAAAAACACAAUAUGAUAAUAUGCAAAAAACACAAUAUGAUAAUAUUAUAAUGAGUGGUGUAAAUGUGCAGAGACACUCAAUAAGCUUGUUUCACGAGAAAUCAUUGCCAACUAAACUAUGAUUGCUGCUUGAGAUCAAAUAAGUAGUUUUUAUGUCCUAGAUGUUAAUUAAUUAUUUCGUCGAAUCUGCCGUAUUUUGCAAAUAUCUUCCACUAUACUGUUUUUUCGUUUUUGCUUCCGUCUUCCUUGAGGCCUUGUUGCCUCACUCAUGUUGCUUAUUUCAUCUACUAUUGAAUGAAGCGGGUAGCAUGCUACCUUUUUCUCAAAAAAAAAAAAAAAUUAUUUCGUCGAAUCAUUAAUUUCAACAAAUUUUUUCCCUUUUUCUUAAUUUUAAUGUAAUUGUUCAAAUUUUGCAAACCUACAACUCCACCGGUUGAACCAGAAGUACGACCUAAUGUUCCAACACUUACCUGGGCCAAUAUUUUGACAACUAUAGCCGAAUUCAAGUACUAGAAAUAUGUUGGGUUGGAGCCAGAUGCAGUUGGAAGAUAUUUACGAUCGAUGCGGGGGUCAGAAUAAAAAAAAAAAAAAAAGUAAAAGAUGAUCAUAAACUAUGUAUGGCACCACCGUGUAGUUUCCCCGCCAUGGCAUUCGCCAACUCGGCAUCGUCCGCCACGAAAGCGACGACGAGCAAGUGGAGGUGGAGGGAGAAAACGAAGACAACGAAGAUGACCGAGCCCAAAACCAUGGAGACGUGGGGACCGAGCUCCGCCUUAGUCAUCAUACAUACACAAAGAGCGUGUUUAGUUGAAAGAUAAAGGGGUAAGGGGUUAUCCCUCUCUUAUAUUCAAACACACACACAAAUUAAAGGUGAGAUAACUAUCCCACCCUUAUUUAAUUUUUUAAAAAUUUAAAUUUAUUUAGUUUUUAAAUUUUAAAUUUUAAAAAUUUAUAUUUUGUAAUCUUAAAAUUAAAAUUUUAUAAUUUUAAAUUGAUAUUUUAAAUUUUUUUAAAUUUAAAAUUUGAUAUUUUAUAUAUUUAAAUUUAGAUUUAAUCUUAAAUUUAAAAUUUAAAAUUUAAAAUUUAGAACUUUGAAUUUGAGAUUUAAAACUUUUAAUUUUAAUUUUAAUUUUAAUUUUAAAUUUUUUAAAUUUAAAAUUUAUAUAUUUCAAUUUAAAAUUUUAAAUAUAAAAUUUAAAAAUUUAAAUUCAAAUAUAAUAUAAGGAAAAUAUUAUUAUUUUCUAUUUAUAACUACUCAUUAUUUAUUUUAUUCCAUUUAAUNAACUAUCCCACCCUUAUUUAAUUUUUUAAAAAUUUAAAUUUAUUUAGUUUUUAAAUUUUAAAUUUUAAAAAUUUAUAUUUUGUAAUCUUAAAAUUCAAAUAUAAUAUAAGGAAAAUAUUAUUAUUUUCUAUUUAUAACUACUCAUUAUUUAUUUUAUUCCAUUUAAUUUAUCCAAACGUUAUUUUUCUUAAUCCCGAAAACAACUCAAUUCUCAUCCAAACACAAAAUUCGUUUAGUUCUUAUUUAUACCUAUCUCUGAAAUAAACAUGUCUUACUUAUAUUCGAACCAAACAAAGUUAAAAAAAAUCUGCCAGGAAUAAGGGGAAGAAGCACGCUACUACUCAAGAAGACCAAAAAGUGUAUGAAGAGAUCAUAUACAAGGCAAAGUUGAUGGAAGAUGCAUUUUAAAAUUACUUAUUAAUUAUUUAGUAACUAGCUUUUGUUGAAUAUUAUUAGAUAUAUAUAUAUAUAUAUAUAUAUAUAAUAUAGUAUGUAGUUAUAUAGCCGCGGAUAUUUGACACUUGAUUUAACGGUUUCUACAUUUAGCCUCCUUGGAGAAAAUAAUUAAGUGCUAAAUAAAAUUAAUUACAACUUUUUCUGUGGAGAAAGACUUUUGAACACAUGCUACGUGUGAAAGUUUUAAUUUAGCGAAGGAAUAAUGAAAAUAAAUAAAAUAGAAACGUGUGCAGGAUCAGAGUGUGUCCUACUCUCAUGCUUUGCUUAAAUUAGCUUUUAUUUCAAUGAUUGUCACUAGAUAGUUUCCUGAUGACGUGAGUAAAGUAAUUACAAAUCCAUUCAAGAUAUAAAUAAUUGCCAAAAUAGUAUGUACCGGAUUUAAAGUUUAUGUACUAAAGAAAUACUUCACAAGUUUUUUUUUUUUUUUUACUUUUAUUUUAAUUUUAUUUUUAUUUUAUUUUAUUUUUAUUUGGUCUUUGUCCGGCUUGCUUCAUCUUCAGAGGCUUUAUGUGCCUCACCAUUAUCAGCUACAUCAUAUUUAAAAUAAAAAAGCAGAUAGCGUGCUAUUUCUUUCAAAAAAAAAAAAAAAGUUUCUUAAGAGUCGCUGAAGUGUGAAAAAUGUUUGGUGGCACUUACGUAUGUUGGCAUUAGGUACCUGCCACGUGUUCACUCACUGGUGGAUAUAAUGCAUGAGAGGUACCUAAAAUAUCAAGGCAAUUAACCACAGUUACACAACUAAUUUCAAUUCGAACUAAAGGUUGCACUUUUGCUUGUGUAUUACUCCAGUGUAGAGCUUAUAGAAAUCCUACAGAAAUUUUUUAUAAAUGUAUUGUGUAUUGAUUUAUCUUGAUGUAAGUUUACGAUUACUAAGGCUACAAAAUAACCUCAAAAGUAUUAUUGGAAGAAAAGCGGGUAAUGUAUUGCUAGUGUGUUUAUUCCUAUACACAUGAAAAAUAUAAAACCAGCUGAGAGUCUAGUCAGCCUGCGAGAUCACGGGCGCACCGCCAAUCUUGACGCAAAAUUAGCCAUCUUGGCAGAGAUCAGAUUCACAUUUCCUUCUUUUUUUUUUUCUUUUUUUAUAUUGUGGUUCCCUUCCCUCUCCUUUUUUCUCUUUUUCUUUCUUAGUGUGACCUCGAUUGAUAUCUCACGUUUUUCACUUAAUUUUCUUCACACGACUGAAGUAUGUUAAGGGCUCUACUUAGGCUUAGUUUGGUAUUGAGGCCUAUCAAACGCUAUUAGAUAAAAUAGAGUUGAGAAAAAAGCAUAUAGGAAUAUGCUUCUACGUUCUCUAGUGAGACCGUGGAAAAUAUAUCGUAAUCGACUCAUCGUGAUACGUGGAACGCAAUAUUACGUACGGAAACAAACAUGUAUUUUUCCAACGUAUUUUCUCACCGCACGUAACGCAAUCUUCCUUCCUGCAAUCCUAAACGAAGCCUUAAUCUUUUGCUUAAAAAGAAAAAGAAAAGGAAAAUAAGAUAUUUGCCUAAAAUAUGUCUGUUGGGCCCUUCUCUGCUUCUGAGUUGCUGGGCUUUGACUCAAAAUGAACUAAAAUGUCUAAAGUAGGCCUUAGAGAGAUUCAUAACUAUUGCAAUUUGUUACUCUCCCUUGGGGGAAGACUAACGCUCGUCAACUCGGUACUCUCUAACCUGCCACUAUUCUAUUUUUCAAUCUUCAAAGCACCACAGUAGGUACUACACUGGAUAGAAGCCUUAAGACGAGCAUUUUUCUGGAAAGGGUGCUCCAAAAUCGCUGGUGGCGCUUGCCUUGUCAACUGGAAAGCCAUCUGCAAAAGCAAGAGAGAAGGUGGCUUAGGUAUCAAGGACAUGGAAUCAAUGAACACGGCUCUCUUGACCAAAUGGUGGUGGCGCUUCUUCAACGAGCCAAAACUCCACUGGUGUAAACCGAUCAGAUCCCUCUACUACGCCAGAAGAAGGCCACUGCACGAAUGUAGGGCUUUCGCCCCUUACUCACAAUGGUGGAAAGGUGUGGUUCGAUGCCGCGAAAUUUUCAUCUGCGGCGUAACCUACGACCUAGGCAAUGGCCAAAACAUCAGGAUGUGGUCCGAUAUUUGGAUUGGAGAAACCCCCCUUCGGACCCUAUUUCCGGACAUUUUUACGGUUCUUACGCACAAGGAGGCCCGAAUAUCUCAAUGCUGAAAUGCAAAUGGAUGGAGAUGGCGUUUCAUCUGCCGUGGCUUCUCGACAGCUAAUUCUGCUGAACGACGCACACGGCUAACGAUGUUCAAAAACCUGCUUCUACACCACUCCCCCCAUGACAGACCUGACUCGUAUAAAUGGAGGUGGACAUCCAACCAAAUAUUUACGGUCAAAUCUCUCUACCAGUUCCUUACUAACGCGGGACAAUGAACCUCGUUGAACUGCCAUAUUUGGACUUUGAAAAUUCCGCUCAAAAUCAAAGUCUUCAUUUGGCUAUUACUUCGGAAGAGAUUACUCACUGCUGACAGACUGUUUCAACCGAGGCAUUUUCGUUGACCAACAAUGUGCCUUCUGUGCUGUAUCAAUGGAGAGCUGUGACCACCUUUUCUGUUCCUGCGUUUAUGUCCGAUACCUAUUUGUCAGUGUGGAUCGAUUGGAUAUACCUACUGCCACCCUUGGUGACGUUCGAAGUCUUUGGGCCGACUUAGCUGCCAUUCCUGUCAAAUCGUUAAGAAUGCGAAGUCUAACCCUACUAGCUGCGAUCUGGUAGGUGGUCUGGAGGGACAGAAACAACUCUGUUUUCAGACAACUACGCCCGAUGCGGCCCGCUCUCCGGAACGUGUUAAUCUUCUUACGACCGACUGGACCGUGCUAACAUGAAGCGACAUUAGGUUUACUCUUCCUUUUCACCCUCUCACAUCUUUUUUUCCUCUUUGACCUGUUAUCUGUUUUUCUCUCGGAGGCCUAGGCUGCUUCUAUCUCUGUAUGCUCAAUUCAUUUUACUUAAUGAAUGAAGCAGGUAGCUCGCUACCUAUUUCUCAAAAAAAAAAAAACUAUUGCAAUUUGCCAUUUUUUUUUUUAUAAAUUAGAUUUGUCAUAUUUAGCAAAUCAAACUAAUUUUACACACGCAAAAAAUAAAAAAAUUAUUGUGUAUAGUUUUUGACGCAUGCUUUCCACCACUUUGAGGGCUAAUUGUUUUUCCACUUCCAUAAUAGUUGAGUAAAAUAGUUUAUAAAUAGUUGAAUAAAAAGGAAUAAAUAUGAGUGCAAGGAUAUUUUUGAAAUAAAAUACAUUUACAAUCAAAAUUACUAAAAUUUAUAAAACACACCAAAUACAAUAAUUUCACAUUCUUAGUAAUCCGAUUUUAUAUAUGACUGCAUUGAAUCAAAGACAGCAACACAGUAAUAAUAGUAAUCUAAUUUAUAAAAAUCAAUUUUUUGCUUAUAUUGAAAAAACCACGAAUUCUACGUGCGCGAAACAAAUACGGCCUAAGUUCUCGACCAAGGCUAAGCAAUGGCCAUUAGAAUUUGACACGAUCCGUGAAUCUUUCAAAUCAAAUUCGAGAUGAAUACCUCAAAUCCCCUUCAUUUAACACCAUUUCCAUAACAAUAUCAUUCCAAGCUUCAACGGGUCCCGGCAUGCACCAAUGCACGCAAUCAUUUUGAGUCCACUUUCCCAUAUCAGGAUGAAACCGAAAAUACGGCCCUGGGUGCCCGUCGGGCCUUAAAAGAGAAAGAUGGUAAGUGUCCAAAAGCCGAAUCCGCGUCCCGUUCUGCGUCCCGACCGCCAGCGCCUUCUCGACCUCCUCGAUUUCGACCCCUCGCAUUAUAUGGUCCACAUCGUGUCCACCGAACUCGCCCUCUUUGUAAGGUUUAGUCCUAUUGCAGACCCCUCCCGUGUUCCAUCUCCCGAACUCGAAGUGGUCCGGAGUCCAAGUCCUAAAGAGAACAAGCGGCUUGUGAUCCGAGCUAAGGAUGAAGCGAAAAGCCAACUGUAGGGCUUUUCGGUACAAGAAGUCGCGACCGAGUUCAGGUACGUUCAUUCCGGGACAGUAAUUGCAACCGAUAACUGUGUCAUUCUCCUGGAAUAUUGUUGUUUUGAGGAACCAAUGCCCACCGGAAACUACUACGUAGUCGUAGUCGUUGUAGUGGCUCGUCCACUCGGUCUCGAGGACGUCAAGAUGGACCGUGAUGUUAUCGGCUUCGUCGCUAGCCUUGAGUAUAAAAGGAGCCCAAACUAAUGCUAGGGUGAAGUUGCGCGAAGGCAAGUGCCAUAUAAUAGAAUUGAUUGUUUCCUCGCGAACAACUUCUUCGUCCUGCGGACCAAAAUGUAAUUUUGCAUAAUCCAGGCACUAGCCUUAACUAAAGGAAUCAAGUAGCUAGAAACGGUAUGUACCUUAGAGAGAAGGCACAGCAGUGAGCCUAAUUGGUUGCGAAGGAUCGAAUCGCCGAUGAACACCCACGAUUUAUUUCGCAUCGAAUUCAAGAACUUCUUCGCAUUAAACAGAGGUAAUUCGCAAUCGUAUGGUUUCCAUCUCCAGUAAAUAUACUCUGUAUCCGGUCGCCCGUUUGUCAUACAAUCUCGACGGGCUUCGAUGAAUCUGCAACUUUCAUUCGUGUAAGCCGGUCCUGCAGGAUUUGCAAUCCACUCACCGGCGAAGAGAUCGCAUUGUUCUGCAUUAUAUUUCAAAGGAAAGAAAGUAAUGUCGAAGGAUAUGUUUGGCUCCUUAAAAAAUAAUAGAAAAUUAUUUUUUGAAGAAAAAAAAAAUUAUGGAAUUUUUUUUUUCUAGUUUCCGUUGUUUGGAUCAACGAAAAAGAAAAGUAGUUUUCAUAUUUGCUUGUUUGGUUGGUAAGAAAGAAAAUUUGAAAAAUCAGUUUUUCAAUUCUAUUUCAUUGGGUGGGUUGGUUGGAAAAUUUAGGCCCCGUUUGGUUGGUGGAUAAGCGGGGAUAACAAAAGUUAUCCCCGCUAUUCCACCAAACGGGGUGAAAUUUGGCCGGGAUAUUUUAUCCCGGUCAAACCUUGCUAUUCCCGGUUAUUCCGGAAUAGCAAGGGAUUUGCUAUUCCACCAUUUUGGUGGAAUAGCACUAUUCCAAUGCUUAAUUUCAAACUUAAUUAAAAUUAUAAAUUGAAUUAAAACUAAAUUAUAUAAAUAUAAUAUGUUAUAUAUUACAAUACAUUAUUUUUAUUAUAAAAUUAUUAAUUGUACUAUAUUAAUACAUGUUAUUUAUAUUUAAAUAUUAUAAUAAAAUUUAUAAUAAAUUAUAUUUAAAUAUUAUAAUAAAUUCUUUUUAUUAAAUUUAAGUUUAAGUAGAAUUUUUAAAAAAUUUAUAAAUUUAUUAUAAUAAAUAGUUUUUAUUAAUUGUUCCCACCCCUAUUCUUAUUUUAAAAAUUUAAAAAUUAAAAAUUUAAUUUUUUAAAAUUUAUAUAUUAUAAUACAUUAUUUUUAUUAUAAAAUUAUUACUUGUACUAUACUAAUAAUUAUUAUUUAUAUUUAAAUAUUAUAAUAAAAUUUAUAGUAAAAUAUAUUUAAAUAUUAUAAUAAAUUUUUUUUAUUAAAUUUAAGUUUAAGUAGAAUUUUAAAAAAAAUUAUACAUUUAUUAUAAUAAAUUAAUUUUAUUAAUUGUUCCCACUCCUAUUCUUAUUUUAAAAAAUUAAAAAUUAAAAAUUUAAAUUUUUAAAAUUUAUAAUUUAUAAUCUCAAAAUUAAAGUUUAUAAUUGUAAGGAAGUGAAUUCUCGAAAUCCGAGAGUUCUAUUUCGUCCAGGAUCGACUAUUUGUUGAGAGAAUACCUUUUAGGAAAGUUAGAGAUGUCCAAAGCACAAAGAGUGCCUUGGAGUUGAGUCCACGAGAGCAAAUGGUGCAAAUUGCAUCAUUGGGCUGAUGUUACUAUCGGGGACCGGUCUCUGGAGGUGAGAGACCGGUUCCAUCGACUGGGUGUAGCGGGAUUGCUUGAUGCAGCCGGUCCCUGACAGGGAGGGACCGGUCCCCAAACGUGGUCCCAACGAGAAAUGCCGAAAUUUGGCUAAGUGCUGAAAAUUCAGCUCUCGAGAACCGGUCUCUCCGAGAGGAACCGGUCUCCCGAGGACCGGUCUCUGAGAGAGAGACCGGUUCCCGAACGCGUGCGCCCGAGGAAGGCUCUCGGGGACCGGUCCCAAGUCGGGGAGACCGGUCCCUCCACGCGAAUUCUGCCUAGUAAAGGCAGUGCAAGGAUGGAAAAAUGGAGGGGUUUAAAUGCAAAAUGGCCAUCAUAUGAGAGGUGUAUAUGGAAAAUUACCCUCUCUCCCUCUCAUUCCCAUCCCCUCACUCCCUUUAAUCACUCUCUCUCUCUCUCUCUCUCUCUCUCUAGAAAGAGAAGAAGAACAAGAAGGAGAUGAAGGAAAAGGAGAAGAAGAAAAGGAAGAAGAAGAAGAAGAAGGAGAUCAAGGAGAAGGCUUUAAACAUCUCCCUCUCCCUCUCUUCUUUCCAUUGGUGUAGCUCAAGAGGUAAGCUUCAAACCCUAGCUUGUAGAACUUAGAAUUUUUGGGUUUUGAGCUUUGAAAAUAGGGUCAAAUGGACUCCUAGCACCAUUGUUGGUGGAUCAAAGCUAGAGUUAGGGUUUCAGAUUGCAAAUGGCAAGAUGGGAACCCUAGGGCACCCAAAAUAGAAUUUUUGGUAAAGUAUGAGAUUGAUCUCAUUUGAGGCCUCGUAAAUCUAAUUGGUAGGUCACAAAACGCGGGGGCGAAGUCGAUUUCGCAAUUCGACUAGUGGAUUGGGAGCUAUCGGCGAAAUACGACCGAUUUAGCCUUGUCUUGGACCAAGAAGGCCGAGACCUCGUCAUAAGGUUCGCCGAGGAGCGUUUCUAAAGCCUCUACAUCGAUAGAAGGUGGGGAGUGCCAUCCCAAAGCUUUCGAAUUUCUUUCUAUGUCUUAGAUUGCAUUUAAUCUCAUCUCUUACAUGUUGCAUUGUAGGAUUGCAUAGUAGUUCCAUUCCUUAUGCUUUCUAAUUGAUAACCUAGUGUACUUGAAACGCUUGGUAACUUAGAUAGGUGAGGAUUGGGUCGGAACGUGGAUCCUAUGAUGCGAAAGAAAAGAGAUGAACCCGAUGGGGGUUGGUGACAUAGAAAGUAGUGUUUAAUGUUAAAGAACAAACGAGUGGCAUCCAACUAUUAAAGAAUAACGAGUGACAUUAAUGUAGUGUAAAUGACACUAGAGGUUUGAGAACCUAGGGAUAGAUGGAUCCCUUAGGAAAUACCUUGUGGAUAAAGAACUUAGUAAACCUAAGUACCCUCACUUGGAGAGGAUUUGAUUGGGUUGUUGACCCUAGUUGUAGUGCAUCCUCACUUGGAGAGGAUUUGAUUCGGUUGUUGACCCUAGUUGUAGGGUAUCUUCACUUGGAGAUGAUAGAUCUAGCUCACUGUCUCCAUUUGGGGUGGUAUAGCCAUCCAUAUCCCCACAUGGAGGGGAUUGUCGUCGAGUACUCCGGAGUGUCGAGCAAUUAGGACCAUUUGGAGGUCCGGACCACAUGGAGGUCUGCAGACGGUCCCGGGUUUGGGCGCACUUGGAGCUCCCUCCCCACUUUGGGAUUGAAAGGUGAGUUAUUGGCGAACCCAAGGGCUUCGCCACAGAUUGGAUAAAAGAACAGUGAACAAUGUCAUUGAACAUUAUUAUUCGAAUAUGGAUCGAAUUCGUUAGCAUGAUAGUAAACCUUUGCUAUAUGAUGCAUGCAUUCAUUACAUAUGAUUAUGGGCAUAGUAGCAUAGCUUUCCUUUUUGCAUUAGUACACCUAUGUAUUGAGAGAGAUUCAUUGUAGGUGAGGAUUUGGAGAGCUAUGUAUUUUAGAUGAAAGAUGUAAUCAUUUAAAGAAAAUGAUAUAAAUGAAAAGGAUGAACUAUUGUAAUAGUUAGUAAAGUACUCUCUUUAUUUCACAUGUUAUUCCUGUGGAUUACUUGCUGUUGUAGUUGCUGGCACUAUUCGUGCUCCGUUGAAUGUGUAUAUUUAAAAUUUAAAUUCCUGAAAAAUUCUUGUACACAUUCUUAUUGUGGGUCUUCGGCGGACAGGGGAGGUGCUGUCCGUUCGGCGGUCUGCUUGCCGCGCCCGAAUCGUGCCAAAUCGGCAGCGGUUCCGGGGCGGGGCGUGACAUAAUUUUAAAAUUUAAAUUUUAAAUUUAAAUUUUGAUAUUUUAAUUUGAAAUUUAAAAUUUGAUAUUUAAUAUUUUUUAAAUUUAAAUUUGAUCUUAAAUUUAAAGUUUGAAAUUUAAAUUUUAAAAUUUUGAAUUUAAAAUUUGAGAUUUUAAAUUUCAAAGUUAAAAUUUUAAAUUUAAAAAUAUAUAUAUUUAAAAAUUUAAAAAUUUAAAUUCAAAUAUAAUAAGAGAAUAAUAUGAUUAUUUUUUAUUUAUAAAACCCACUAUCUUUCUUAUUCUGUCUUACCUAACCAAACGCUAUUUUUUUUAUUCUCAGGAAUAACCUAAUUUUCAUCCAAACGCAAAAUUGAUUUAACCCCUGCUUAUACCUCAAUUUANAUUUAAAAAUUUAAAAAUUUAAAUUCAAAUAUAAUAAGAGAAUAAUAUGAUUAUUUUUUAUUUAUAAAACCCACUAUCUUUCUUAUUCUGUCUUACCUAACCAAACGCUAUUUUUUUUAUUCUCAGGAAUAACCUAAUUUUCAUCCAAACGCAAAAUUGAUUUAACCCCUGCUUAUACCUCAAUUUAUACAUAUUCCUGAAAUAGUCAUUUUUUGUUUAUCCUCGAACCAAACGAUACCUUAGUGUAUAAAACACCUCUUCUACUAAAGAAAACUAACAUCCCCAAUAUUUUAAAAUUUAAUAUAAUACUCACAAACUCUUUACAAUAUAAAUAGUAAAUAAUUAAAUAAAAAUAAAUUUUAAAUAAAUUUUAAGUGUAUUUUGGUAUGGAUAGAUUAGUUUGAUAUAAUGGAGAUGAUCGGUAAAAGAUGGAAAUAAUUCUGCCAUGUGUUUAUAUAUAGUUUGGACAAUAAAAAUGACGGUGAGAGAUGAUAGAAAUAACGGGUUUAAUAGUAAACAUACAUAAAUAUGUUAGGAAAGACUUACUUGGGCCAUUAUGUGACCCGAUUUUGAUAAGUGUAGCCAAAUUUCGAUGUUAGAAACGUAUUGGGUUCGAUUUGUAGUUGAAAGAAUUUUAUAUUACAUGGGUCAAAAAAGAUUAAAAAAAAAAAAAUCCUUGAUUGACUAAAAUCAAAUAAACAAAAAAUUUAUAUAGUAAAAUUAAAAUUUUGAACAGUUGGUAGUCAAAUUAAAAGUGAUCUAUACUUCAAAUAAGUUCUAUAUAUUUUUACGAGAAGAAAAUAAAAAACUAUAGCACCUCUCUGUAGUUGGCCAACCGUGGCGGUCACCAACUCAACGUCUCGGGCAGCGAAAGCUUCAACGCACAAGUGGAGGCGGAGGACAAAGGCGACAAAGACAACGUAGCACAAAUCCAUGGCGACGGCACCGACGAGCUCCGCCUUAGUCGCCGUAUAUACACAAAAAGACUAUGCGAGAAGGAAGAGGAAGAAGAAUACUACUCAAAAUGACAAAAAAGAUUUAAACAGAGAGCGUUUGCAACACAUAAUUGAUGAAAAGGUGAUUUAUAUAUCUCCCACGGCAUGUAAUUUCGGUGCAUCUUUUCUCAAAACUAAAUUAUUUUCUUGUAUGCAUCUAACUAAAUGAUGGUUCGAAUAGUAUAAUAUUAAAAAUUAAUUAUUAAUUAAUUGUUAAAUAGUUUUGUUGAAUAGUGUUAGAUAGCGAGAUCUCCGAUAUUUUAUUUGCAUUUAAUAAUUUUGGCGAUUAUUCUACUUUCGCCUUACAUGAGACAAGACUCAAGAGUGAAGUGAUAAUUCAAAUUGUUGCAAUUUCUUAUGGAGAAAGUGCUCUGAAAACAUGUUAAAAGUCUAGGAGAUUUUGUAAUUAGCAGAGAAAUAAUUGCAAAAAUCCAAUGGUGCAUUGUUCAUGGACGAGCUCACUCACCCUCACUGAUUGCUUAAUUAUAUUGCUUUUUCUUGUCAUUAAGUUUCUCUGAUUGGACAAAUAAUUGGAAAAUCCAAAAAAAAAAAAAAAAAAAACUGCAUGUGGGUGUGCUUUGUCCUCCGAGUGAACGUCCCUUAUAAAACGAGGGAUUUGAAAGUACUUUAUAUUUAUACUAUUUUUUGGUGCUUAAAGUUUAUUUUUAAAUGAAAUUGAUUCAUAGUCAUCAAGAUUGAAACUUUUUUAAAAAGAAUUAGAAAAAAAAAUGGAGUUGUUUGACCCCUAUUGAGAGCAGUUGCCCAUUGUUUAGUAGCCUAAAAGAUGGAUUAUCUCAUCACAACCACUACAAUGGGGAAAAUUGAGUGGCUCCUCAUUCAAUUUUAUUGGAUUCUUUCUAAAUUUGUUGUUCGAUACGGUAUUCAGAUACAGACGAAGGACUUCUAAAUUGAAAUAAUUCUUUAAAAUUUGGAAGCAAGUAAAAUCAUAUUGAUAUACGUAGCUGUCUCAACAAGAACUCAUUGAGGAGCUUAAUGAUUAAGUUGCGAUAACUACAAUGGGACCUCACCAAGCCUUUCUAGCACUACAUCUAAUUGGACAUAAAGUCUAAUUGUGACCUCUGGUUAAGUUGAUAGUAAACUUCACCCAAGCUAAUUCAAGUGAUGAGAAUGUACUUGACUCGACCCAAGCUUGUUUAAAAGUGAUAAUUUUGAAAGUAAUUUUAAAGACAGUUGAUGUGUCUACAAUAUAUAACAUAUGUUUACAAGUUUCGGUAGGAGGCAGUGAUAGUAUGAUCGAGGGGCAACUGCUUAUAUAACUUUAAAAAGUUUUUGACUUUCUGAUUUACCCCUCUUAAAAGAUUAAUAUUGAAAGUACCCUUUAUACGUUCCAACCUAUUUUAAAAAUACCCCUAGAGUUAAAAUAUGUUAAUGAACUCUAUUAUAUCUGUAAAAUUACUAUAUUGCCCUUUCAAAUAUACCCUUCUAUAAUUACCGACUUUUUUUAUUUGCCCUUAAGUUAGGGGCAUAAAAAAUAUUUUAUUUUUUGGUCUUUUCAAAUAUACUCUUCUAUCAUUACCGAUAUUUCUUAUUUGCCCUUAAAUUAAGAGCAAAAGUGGUAUUUUAAUUUUUUUUAACUGUAGUAAAUAUUUAACUCAUAUUUAAUCCAAGUUAACUUAACGGGUGGUAACCGUAGAGAUAUUUUGAAAUAAUGGAGGAAAAAGUGAGGGGUAUAUUGGAAAGAAACAAAAAAAAUAAAGGAAAUAUUUUCGAAGUUUUGAGAGAUAUAUAGGCAAUUAUUUCUAUGAUCAAUGUGCCACGAUCCAAAAUCCCUCUAUUUGAGUCAUAACGGUCGCAUCUCCAUAAAAGGUCAAAUUCAAUUUAAAUCUGAACCUCAUAAAAACACAAAUCAUUUUUUCUUUUGUUUUUUCGUGCUUUGGUGAUCUCCUAAUCUCUCGUACUUUUCGCUUGUUUUUCUUACCGAAGUAUGUUAACGGCUCUAACUUAUCUUUUCUUUUUAAACAAAUAAAAUAUGUGUGCUGGGCCUCUCUCUGCUUCCCCUUUGAUGGGCUUUAAUGUUAAACUAAAAUAUCUCGCAGAGGCCCAUAAUCACAGUGACAUUCAUAACAGUUGCAGCUUGUCAUUUUUUUUUCUUAAAAUUAAAUUUAUCAUAUUUAGCGAAUCAAACUAAUUUUACACUCAUUCAAAAAAUUCACUGUAUAGUGUUUGAUGGAUGCCUCCACAACUUUGAGUGCUAAUUACUUUUUUUUACUUGUAAGAUACUCGAACUCGAAUAAAGCAGGAUUAAAUGUGUAGAGGCAUUUUUGGAAUGGAGUGCAAUUUACUUUGGGGAUUACUGGAACAUUUAAGAUGAACCAAAUCUGACAUUAUAUUACGACAGAGAAUCAUAUAUAGUAAUACAACAUAAGUAAUCUGAUUCACAAGAAUCAAAUUUCUGAUUAUGUUGAAAUAAUCAGAGACGCUACAUUUGCGAACCAAAUGCACUCUUUAAGUUCCAACGAAGGCACGACAACUUUGAGAUGAUACAUACAUCUUAAUUUGACACUUAUUUGCGUACUUAAUAGUCUAAUCCGACGAAUUCUUUGAUCAAAUGUUUCAAAUCAAACUCAAGAUGAAUACUUUAAAUCCCCUUCGUUUACCAACAUUUCCAUAACAAUAUCAUUCCAAGCUUCAACCGGCCCCGGCAAGCACCAAUGCAAGCAAUCAUUUUUAAGCCUCUUACUGAAAUCUGGAUGAUGCAGCCGAUAUGACCCUGGGUGCCCGUCAGGCCUCAAAACAGAAAGAUGGUAAGUGUCCAAAAGCCGAAUCCGCGUCCCGUUCUCCGCCCCGACGGCCACCGCCUUCUCGAACUCCUCGAUUUCGACCCCUCGCAUUAAAUGGCCCACAUCAUGUCCACCGUAUUCGCCCUCUUUGUAAGGUUUAGUCCGGUUGCAGACCCCGCCGUCGAACCAUCCCCCGAACUCGAAGUGGUCCGGAUUCCAAGUCCUGAAGAGAACGAGUGGCUUGUGAUCGGAGCUGAGGAUGAAGCGAAAAGCCAUUUGCAGGGCUUUUCGGUACAAGAAGUCGCAAGGAAACUCAGGUAAGUUCAUUCCGUAGCAGUAAAAGCAACCGAUAACUGUAUCAUUCUCGCAGUAUAUAGUUGUUUUGAGGAACCAAUGGCCACCGGAAAUUACUACGUAGUCGUAAUCGUCGUAUCGGCUCGUCCACAGAGGGUCAAUUGCAUCAAGAUGGACCGUGACAUUGACGUAUUCGUCGGUAGCUUUGAGUAGAUAAGGAGCCGAGAUUGCUGUUAGAGUGAAGUUGUAUGAAGGGAAGUGACAAAUAAUAGAUCUAUAUGUUUCCUCACGAACAACUUCUGCGUCCUGCGGACCAAAAUGUAAUUUUGCAUAAAUUCGGGCACUAGCCUUAACUGAAAGAUUCAAGUAGAAAAGCUAUGUACCUUAGAGAGAAGGCAAAGCAAUGAGGAAAAUUGGUUGCGCAGGAUCGAAUCGCCGAUGAACACCCACGAUUUAUUUCGCAUCGAAUUUAAGAACUUCUUUGCAUUAAACAGAGGUGAUUCGCAAUCGUAUGGUUUCCAUCUCCAGUAAAGGUACUCUGUAUCCGGUCGCCCGUUUGUCAUACAAUCUCGAAAUUCUUCGAUGAAUCUGCAACUUUCAUUCGUGUAAGCCGGUCCUUCAGGGUUUGCAAUCCACUCGCCCUUGAAGAGAUCGCAUUGUUCUGCAUCACAUUUCAUAAAAAGUUUGCUGAAUUAAAAGAAAAGAAGCAAUGUUUACAAAAGGUCAAUGCAAUAUAAAUGGGUUGUAAUCUCUACUGUAACGACCCAGCCCACUAGCAAUAAUAACUCGUUGGGCUUAACCACCGGCCCAAAAUGCUUAGGUUCAGUUAUUAUAACUAGUGUCUAAGUCUCUUAUAUAUUCAAUCACAUUCUCAUUUCUAUCCGAUAUAGGAUUAUUGGAGUGUGACAUAUACAACCUCUUAUCCAGGGGGAUAAGAGGUUGUAGGAUUUACUAAUCCUAGAUUAAAAAAAAUUGAUAAGAUAAGUAGGAAAAGAAAGGCUUUUGAAUGAGAGAGUUGUAGAGAUUAUAAUCCAAAAUGAAUUGUAUUUGUAGCGUUCCUCAUAAAACUACAAAUAGUAUUGUAAACCUAGCGCUCCAUCGGUCAAAUCAGCAGUACGAUUGAUCAAUUACCAAAUGUCCCAACGCUUAUCCGGGCCAAUAUUCGGCCCGAUUUUGACAACUAUUUCGUUUAUUUUAUUUAAAAGUAAAUUUAGCUAGAAAUGUGAAUCAACUAUGAUUCAAAUUUGGAACCCAUAAGUACAAACUCCUAAGCCCUUUGCCACUUGUGCUAGUGAUGAUCGGUUACUAUAAUAGAAUUUCAUUAUUAGAAAUAUAUUGGGUUCGUGUCACAGUUGAAAAAAUUUUAUGAUGUCAAAAAUAGAAAGAGAAAAUGAAAUGGUGAUAAACUACGUCGUCACCUCUGUGCAGUUUCCCAGCUACGGCAUUCACCAAAUCGGCGUCCUCGGCCGUGAAAGCGCCGACGAACCAGUGGAGGCGGAGAGCAAAGGCAAAAAAGAUGACGGAGCUCAAAACUGUGGCGACUGCACGGCCGAACUCUGCGUUUGUCGUCAUGAAUUAAUACGAGGAGGAGGAAGAAGAAGAAGAAGAAGAUCAAACUACUCAACAAGACGAAAAAUGCAUAUCUAGAGAGAUCAUUACAUUAAUGCGAAGUUGUAGGAAGGUGAUUAAUUUAUAGACUUCUCAGGGCAUGCAAUUAUUUUCGGUGCAUCAUUUUUCAAACAGUAAACUGUAAUUCUCUCGCAUGCAUAUACUGAUAACUGGUUAUGGAGGGAGUACUUUGAACGCAUGCUACACUGUGGGAGAUUUUGUAAUUUAACCGAGAAAUAAUUGCAAAUUGAUAGAAUGAUGCAUGCCCAUGAAUGAGUGCUCACACUCAUUGUUUGCUUACUUAUUGCUUUUGUCUCUCAAUUAUUUUCACAUGGUUCUCUGAUUUGACAAAUAAUUAAAAAUAUAUAAAUAGUUGCAAAACAGUAAAAUAGUAGUAUAUAUUCAAAAUUUCGGUAAGGACAAUUAGAUGAAAAAUUAAAUUUGCGUAUGACUCUGAACCACGACUUGGAUUUCUAAGCUCUUGUCCUCCACAUGCUGCUUCAUCCUUGUAAAUGGAUGCCCAGGCAAGCUGCUUCAUCUUCGACGGGGAUUAAGAUAGGCCAACCCAAUCUCACUUUAUCUCUUUAUCCUUGUGGCUGAUGUUUUACAAAAAUUUGUGGAGCAUUCUUCAAUUGCCAAUCUCAUUCCGUCACCCUCAGGCAUUACUGGCCUUAGCCCUCUUUUGCAAUAUGCAGACGACUCUCUCCUAUUUUGCGACGCCAACGUCAACAACUUUCUUAAAUGCAAGACGCUACUUGAGGCUUUCUGCCGUUCUUCAGAUUUAUCCAUUAAUUUUGCGAAGACAUCACUCUAUGUUGUCAAUCUUGCCGAAUCAAUUCAUGAAAAACUCACUUUCCACUAAUAUACCUUGGACUGCCACUUUCGCCAACUAAACUUCCAGUGUGAAAUAACCGUUAUACUCUAAAAGCGCUUUUAGAGAUAUUUUUAUAUUUAACAUUCUCCCUCGCAUCUGGAUUCGAGACUUUUUGCAAGGCGCAUGUCGUGGACUAAAUUAAAUGGAAGAAAUUUAAUAAUAUUAGGAGCUUCCCGCGACUCGAAUUUAGAACUUCCUGCUCUGAUACUAUAUGAAACAAUCGUUGUACUAUAAAAACUUAAGUUGUUAGAAAAUGGUGUUUAUAUCUUUUUAUAUUUAACACCCAGCAUGUGCUUUCAACCCUCUUAUUGACAAAUUCCAAAAAAGACUUUUAGGAUGGAAGAGUGCUUUGAUUUCACAAGCUGUUCAUGUCUUUUUGAUUGAUUUAGUCCUUACAAAUUUAUCAAUCCACCACCUCUUUGUUUUAUCAUACACCAUCUGUUGGAGCUCCAGCGGCAUUUUCUUUGGAGCAAAUCCUUUCCUACAAGGGAAGGUUUACCUCUAGUCGCCUGGGAUGUUGUGACUCGACCUAAACCUCUAGACAGACAUGGAAUCGCAAACAUCAGCCACCAGAAUUUGUUUCUUCUCUGUAAGUGGCUUUGGAUAUUUCUUUGACAACCGAAUUCACCUUGGGCAAUUUUAAUUAAAUCGGUGUAUUAUUCCAUCUUCCCUCUCGGCUAGAAGCAUCCUGAACAGACCUCUCAUUUUUUGGCAUUGUGUGCUCAAGACAUAUUCUAUUUUCAAAUUUUCACACUCUUUUGUUAUAUGUCGUGGCUCGAAGACAUUUUUCUUAUUAUCACCUUGGAUUGGCGCCCCCCUUAUGGAUCAAUUUUCGGUUCUAUUCUCCUUCUCGACUCACAAAAUUCGCUCGCAUCCGAGGCAUUUAUUGUUAAUUUAACCUCAUUACUAAUCAUCUCUUACCUCUCCAUCAUCGCAGACUACGAGUUUUUUGUACUUUGCCGCAGGUUUCGUGAUUUUCAAAUUUGUUCCGAUCCUGACAUUUGCUAUUGGAAAUGGAAUCCCAAUGGCACCUUCUCCACUGCAUCAGUCUACAAGUUGUUCUUUGCCGGCUCCACAUCUGACUCGAUCUCGAACACAGUUUGGUAUUGUUCUGCGCCUCCUCGGGUGCAAUUUUUUAUGUGGCUUCUGUUUAAAGACCGAAUUUUAACUCUUGACAACCUCCGGCGUCGUGGUUGGAUUCUGGCCUCUAGAGGUGAGCUUUGCCUCAAUGCUAGCGAAGAUAUUAUCCACCUGUUUCUCCAAUGCCCCUACUCCACAGCAGUGUAGGCAUCCCUCAAUCUACCUCUUUGUCUGUCGCAGCCAUCAAUUUUUGGACUUUGGAGGUUUUUGGGCAAAUUGGUCAUUUCUCUUACCUAAGCAUAGUCGAAGUAUUGGAACACUAUCUUCAACUGUUUCGCUUGGUCCAUCUGGUGUGAGCGGAAUAAUCGUAUCUUCGACGACACUAGCUCUACUGCUAGUUGUAUUUGCAAGCUAAUUGCCGAUGUUGACCUCUUGCCUUUCGCAUGAUAGUCUAGAAUUUUUCCAGUCUUUUAAAUUCAGACGCUACUUUUUAAUGAUAGUCUGAAAUUUUGUACUCCGCUUUUAUCUUUCACUAUUAACAUUUUGGUCAACCUAUUUGGGCUGGCCUUUUCUUUUUGCAAAAAAAAAAAAAAAANACGCAAUUGGCAAAAAGCUUGGUGGUUGAUAACCGAGGUCCAAAUUUGAAUCUUAAUUUAUUUAUAUUUUCAACUAAAUUUAUUUCUAAAAAAAAAAAGAAAAAAAGAAAAAACUCUGAACGUCCCUUGAACUUGCAAGUAAUAAUAAGAAAAUUUUGUAGUGCUUUUUUUUAAGAGAGAAAGAUAACAUGCUAUCUGUUUCGCUUAUUUUUUUUAGAAAUAAAUUUAGUUGAAAAUAUAAAUAAAUUAAGAUUCAAAUUUGGACCUCGGUUAUCAACCACCAAGCUUUUUGCCAAUUGCGUUAGGGACAGUCGGUGAAAUUUUGUAGUACUAGUUGUUACGUCGCAAUAGUUAACUAUCAUAAAAACCUACAUUGGGAGGUUAAUGAUCCGAAUUGCCAAUCAAUAAAUUAUUUUUUUUUUUUUAGAGAGAUAGGUAGCACGCUACCCGCUUCGUUUAUUUUAUUUAGAAAUAAACUUAGCUAGAAAUGUGAAUCAACUAGGUUUCGAACUUGGAUCUCGGGUACCAACCACCAAGUCCUUUGCCACUUGCUCUAGGGACGGUCGGUCCAAUCGAUAAAUGUUGAGCACUGUUUAAUUUACCCGUCUCAUGUUCGUGAUAUUGUUGUAGUUUUUUUUUUUUUUUUUUUUUUUUUUUUUUUUGAGAGAGAGAGAGAGAGAUAGGUAGCAUGUUACCCGAAUCAAUUAAGAUUCGAAUUUGAAAUCUCAGGUAUCAAUCACCAAGUCCUUUGCCACUUGUGUUAGGAACGGUCAGUAGAUAUUGUUGUAGUUACCAUCAACUAGUUGCCAAGUUUCAAGGGCUAGUUAUUGGAGUCGGAGCUCAGAAGGUACCAGAUGAUGGAUUAGACCCGUUAUGAAGGAGGCCCAGUAAUAUGUUUUUAAACACAUGGUGAACGGGUCCAGCAGAUCAAUCCGUUAUCUCUGUUGCCAAUUCCAUCAACUAAAAAAUUAUAGUUAUUCGAGUAGAUAUUUCUCUAUUUAGUAGAUGCAAAUUCUGAAAGAACUCUAUAUAAAAGAUUGUAAAAGGAGGUAUUUGUAAGUACUUUAGAUUCAUAGUAUAUAUAUUUUUUUGUGCUUUAACAGUUAUUUUUAAAUAAAAUUGAUAGUCAAGAUUGAAAACUUUCUGAAAAAAAAAAAAAGAAAAUAAUAUUAGUUGGCCUUCAUGUAGUUGAUUUGACCCCCACGAAGGUCAUCACGUCCACUAUAAAAUUUAGAGAAAGAGAGAAGUUUUUUUUUUUUUUUGAGAAAUAGAUAGCAAGUUACCUGCUUCAUUCAUUAAGCAAAAUAAAUUUAGGAAACAUGAUGGAAGUAGCUAGGGCUUUCAGACCGAACCGGCGACAGAGGAAAAACAUAAAGAAAACAAAACAGAAACACAAAUAAAACAUAGAAAAUCAACAAAACGGGACUACAAAUGUGCUUAGAGCAGCGGAUGAAAAAACCCGGGAGAGAGAAGUUCUUUAUUCAUUUUUUUUGAAUUCUUUUUUAAGUUUGCGGCAUUAACAUUCGUAUAGAAAGCCUCUAAAUUAGAUAAGAUUUUUAAAUUUGAAUAUUAAUUACCCAACUGUUUCGAUAAAAUUUCAUUAAGAAGCUCUUCAAUGAAGCUGCACUAAGCUGUUCAAGCAAAAUUUCUAAUUUGAGCCCAAAGCCCAAUUACGACUGUGGAUCAAUUUAAUUGUAAUUUUGCCCAAGCUAAUCCAAGUCAUAAGAAUGUACUUAGCGUGGGCCAAGCUAAGCUAUACUCUCGAAUGUUACGACAAAAACAAAUGACGCGUGUUUACUCCUGAUGGCAAUCUGAUGGGUUGUUUGGACGGACAGAAAUUCGACUAUAUUCCAGGCCACAUCCCCCAAUGCCGCCAGAUAAAUUAAACGUGUCAAACUUUUGACCUCUGACUGGACUCUAAUUCAUUGAGCUUGCACCCCUCCCCUCUUCAGCUCUUCCUCUCUUCUUCUUUUCUACUUUUAUUUUAUUACUUUAUUUUGUUCUGCUCUCUUUUUUGGGUCUCGGAGGCCUCAACUGCCUCCAACUUGUACGCUUAAUUCAUCUUACUUUAUGAAUGAAACAGGUAGCUUGCUACCUAAUUCUCAAAAAAAAUACGUAUAUACAAGUUUUGGCUUGAGAUAUUGAUAGCAUAUGUAUUCUUUUUUUUCUUUUUAUUAUUAUUAUUUUUUUGAUUGAACAGGCGUAUACCUUAUUUGAGAAAAUAUAACAUACAAGUCCAGAGACCAACUGGAAGACUCAAAUUCAAGAAAAAUACCUAAAAUCCCCCUCAUUUAACACCAUUUCCAUAACAAUAUCAUUCCAAGCUUCGACCGGCCCCGGCAAGCACCAGUGUAAGCAAUCAUUUUGAGUCCUCUUACUCAAAUCCGGAUGAAAGCGCCGAUACGGCCCCGGGUGCCCGUCAGGCCUUAAAAGAGAAAGAUGGUAAAUGUCCAAAAGCCGAAUCCGCGUCCUGUUUCGUGUCCCGACCACCACCGCCUUCUCAAACUCCUCGAUUUCGACCUGUCGCAUUAACCGGUCCGCAUCAUGUUCACUAAACUCACCUUCUUUGUAAGGUUUAGUCCGAUUGCAAACCCCUCCGCUGUACCACCUCCCGAACUUGAAGUGGUCCGGAGUCCAAGUCCUAAAGAGAACAAUUGGCUUGUGAUCCGAGCUAAGGAUGAAGCGAAACGCCAAUUGUAGGGCUUUUCGGUACGAGAAGUCGCUACGGAGUUCAGGUAAGUUCAUUCCGGGACAGUAAUUGCAACCGAUAGCUGUACCGUUCUCGUAGAAUAUAGUUGUUUUGAGGAACCAAUGGCCACCGGAAAUUACUAUGUAGUCGUAGUCAUCGUAUCGGCUCGUCCACCGACUCUCAAGGACGUCGAGAUGGACUGUGAUGUUAUCGACUUUGUCGCUAGCUUUGAGUAGAAAAGGAGCCCAAAUUGCUGCUAGGGUGAAGUUGUGUGAAGGGAAGUGCCAUAUGCUAGAUUUAUAUGUUUCGUCGCGAACAACUUCUUCGACCUGAGGGCCAAAAUAUAAUUUCACAUAAUUAGGAUACUAGCCUUAACCAAAAAGUUCAAAUCGAAAUGGUAGGCACCUUAGAGAGAAGGCAAAGCAAUGAGGCUAAUUGGUUGCGAAGGAUUGAAUCACCGAUGAAUACCCACGAUUUAUUUCGCAUCGAAUUUAAGAACUUGUUUGCAUUAAAUAGAGGUAAUUCGCAACCAUAUGGCUUCCAUCUCCAGUAAAGAUACUCUGUGUCGGGUCGCCCGUUUGUCGUACAAUCGCGAGGGGCGUCGAUGAAUUCACAACUUGCAUUUGUAUAAGCCGGUCCUGCAGGAUUUGCAAUCCACUUGCCCGUGAAGAGAUCACAUUGUUCUGCACCAUAUUUCAUACAAGGUUUGUCAGAUUUUUUUUUUUUUUUUUUUUUAAAGCAUGUUUAAGAGAAGUAUAUGUAAUAUCCAAAUAUUGCAGAGAGUAAUUUGCAAAAAACACAAUAUGAUAAUACUAUAAUGAGUGGUGUGAGUGUAGUGCGAGCUAUCUCUUAAACCCGUAGGAGCCAUCCACCUCUUGAACCCAUAGGAGCCACAUAUAGAACCUCACAUGGUCUGAUAAUUCUAAUUCUGAUUUGUCUGUUUGGAUUUGGACCUGAUGAGAAUCCGAUGUGGGAUACUGAUUCCAAUCAAUUUAUAUAAAGUCUCGCACGCUAGUAAUAAAAAACUGGAAUUAAAUAUUUUGGGCCGGUGGUUUGAGCCCAACAAAUUAUUGUUCCUAGCGGAUCGAAUCGUUACGGGUUAAACCAGACCAAAUGUUCCAACACUUACCCGGGCCAAUAUUUGGUCCAGUUUUGACAACUAUAGCCGAAUUCAAGUACUAGAGAUACAUUGAGUUCGAGUCCAAUGCAGCUAGAAGAAUUUUAUGAGGGGGUUUGAAAGAAAGAUCAAAAGAAAAAUAAAGUAAAAUGUGAUCAUAAACUAUAUAUGGCACCUCUCUGAAGUUUCCCAGCUAUGGCAUUCACCAACUCUGCGUCCUCUGCUGCGAAGGCAUCGACGAACAAGUGGAGGCGAAGGGCGAAGGCGACGAAGAUGACAGAGACCAAAACCAUGGCGACGUCGUGGCCGAGCUCCGCCUUAGUCGUCAUGAAUACACAAAAAGAAUAUGCGAAGAAGAAGAAGACGAACUAAAGGAAAGUAAAAAAGGUGUACGAAGAGAUCAUUUACAUGCAAAGUUGAUGGAAGGUCAUGAUUUGUGUGCUUCUCAGGGCAUGCAAUUAUUUUCCUGCAUUAUAAUCUCAAAAAGUAAAUUAUUUUCGGGCAUUCAUCUGCAUGAUGGCAUGCAUUAAUGAUUAUUGUUUCAUCAACCCAAAAAUCCAAAAGGAAUCCCAAUAUGGUAAAUCGUAAUUAAAGAACUUAUCUGAAUUAUAGAUUAUUUUGAAAAUAUUAUGUGAUAUAUCAAACUUUUAGUUUUAUUAUUCAAUUUUUCAAUUUAUUUAAUUUGAGUCAAUCAAUAAUAUUUUGACUUCAAAAUUUAAACUAAUAACUUAUUUUAAUAAAUUUAUCGUUGUGACAACUGUAUGGAAUGUACUAACUAAAUAUAUAAAAAUCAACGAUACAUUCAAUUUUAAAGUCAAAAUAUCGUUGAUGGACUCAAAUUAAACAAAUUGCAAGGCUUGGUGGUAAAUUUAAAAUUUUGAAAAGUUGGAUAAUUGAGUCAAAAUAGUCUAUAGUUUAAAUAAGUUUUUUAUAUUUUUACCGUUUUUUUGAGAGAAAGGUAGCAUGCAACCUGCUUCGUUUAUUUUAUUUAAAAAUAAACUUAGCUGGAUAUGUGAAUCAACUAGUAUUCGAACUUGGGUCUCAUGUACCAACCACCAAACCCUUUUGCCACUUGCGUUAGGGACGGUCUGUUAUUACCUUUUAAAAAUUAGUUAUUAAUUAUUUGGUAACAAGUUUUUGUUUAUUUUUUUUUUAGGCAAGAAAAAAGUUAAUAUGCUAUUCACUUUGUUUAUUAAAAAAAAAUUUAACUAAAAAUAUAUAAGUAAUUAAACUUCGAACUUAAGAUCUCAUAUAUCAAUCAUUAAAUUUUUUAUCAUUUGGGCCAGGAACGAUCAAUGUUUUGUUGAAUAUUUUUAAAAAUAACUAGAAUGGUGGUCGCUGGAUAUAUAGACAGAGACAAUUGUGUAAGUGCAUAAUUAAAAUUAUUAUAAUUAUAGAGAAAGUACUUUGAACUCAUGAUAAAGUGCAAGAAAUUUUGUAAUUUAGCCGAGAAAUAAUUGCAAAAUAAUAGAAUUGUGCAGGUUCAUGCAUGAAUGAGCCCACACUAGCUCCUCCUGAUUGCUUUAGAGCUUUUGCUAUUAACAGAUAUGGUUUUCAAUACCAACAGAAAAUUUUAUUAAAUUUGAUCGCUAUUCCCUGAUCGAAUUUGACUCAAUUCAAUACAUCUGUUUUGUCUUACACCGAGUGCAAAUCUCUUUUAGUACAGUUCGUGAGCCCGCAACCCAACAGGAGAGGCAAGAAGAGUCUCAUUUUGCUGCGCAAAUAUCAGGUAUUGAACCUUAAACAUCAAGCUCUAUAUGUCUUAAUAAUCAGCAAAAAUUAGGGCAAAGAUGAUUACAAAUAUGGAAAAUUAACUAUCAAAAAUGUAGUCACAAAUUAACAUGAUUUACUAGAUAAAAUAGCACAAAUUGCUCUCUCCAAUUUAUAUAGCGAUUAAAGAGGUUGCUUUUUCACUUUUGAGUCACAUAGUGCGAGAUUUUGAUUCUAAUUUAAUGUGUAAGAUUAAGAUUUAAGCCACAGAAAAAGACAAUCCAACAAACUAAUUGGGUUGGUUGUCCACAUGCGCUUUGUUGGAUUGUAAAUAUGUCACAAUUUUUUGGUUCAAGCACAUGGAAACUGCUUCGCUUAAGUACCUAAUCUAAUUAAUGUUUAAUUUUAUUUAGACACUCAUGUUUAUGUAUAACUUUAGAUCCAAAAAUAAAUUAAGUAUUAAUUAAUUAUUGCAAUGAACAUAUAUAAAUAACGGAUGACCUGUAGCUAUCGAGUAUAAUUAAUCCAAAUGCUUCUGAGGAAAAUGAAACCAAGGACUUCAUAUUGUAUCAUUUUAUUUUUUAACAUAUCAUUUUGAUUUCUAAUUUCUAAUUUUAAUUGUUGUAUAAAGGUUUCCACGCCCAAUAAAUAGAUCAAUCAAUUUAGAAACGUACGGCUCCGGAGUUAAUCGGUUCAAUCAAAAUUUAACUUAGGACCAACAUUGCACAACAAUCUGUCCAGCUCCAGCUAAUAAAUUAAAUAUAAUCCAUAUUAUUUUCUUUUUCUUUCAAAAUUCGUGUUAUUAUUUACUAAUUUUUAACUUUUUCUUCAAGAAAGAUAAAUGAUUUAUAUAGUUAAACAAAGACUAGAAAAAUGAGAUAAAAAAUAAAAGUAUCAAUGAUAUGUAGCUACCUACAAUGUAACUUCCAUGUUUUUACAUUUGCAGGUUAGGAUACAUAUAUGCAUAUACAUAACAUGCUUUCCAAUUAUACAAGUAUAGGAUACUACCUAUUCACAACAACUAUUCUACUUAUUAAAUGCGCCAUCUCUGUCACUAUCCCCAACCAAACCACACUCACACUCUUAUACAUAAUGGCAAAGCAACAUGGCCAUUUUUCUUGUACGUAUGUGUCUCUUAGAUGGAGCCAAAAGUUGGGGAGGAGGAAGAAGAGGAAGGAAAGAAAGAGGGAAGGUUGUGUGUGUGGGAUUGCGGGAGCCCGCUCUAUGACGCCUUCGAGCUCGUCUCCGUGUCUCACCUCAUCGACCGACAUGUCAUGGCGCUGCCCUUUGUGAAGGAGCGCAACGCGUCGUCCGUGAGGUUCGAGUACGCCGUGUUCGACGGGCGCGACGUCGAAGCAGCGAGAGGAGGGAGGAGGAGGAUGAAGAAGAUGUUGGUGGUCAUGGGGAGGAGGGGACAGAAGGAGGUGGCCAAGUUGAGGAGAAAGGUUAGGGUGAGAUUGCAUGGUGCGUUCAAAGCCAUAUAUGCAUGCUUGUUCGAGAGGACUAUGAAGUGUGUGUAAUCUUUUGUAAUUGCCUUUUUUUUUUAAUUACUCGAUCCAUCCCUUGUUUCCUUUUAUUUUGUUGCUUAACUUGCUUUUGAUCGCAAUGUUUUUGGACAUAUAUGGUAAGUUGCACCAAUAUUUAAUGUGAGACUAUUCACAUAUACUGUGAAAAUUUGAACAUCUAAAGAUGCCCUUCAUAACUCAAUUUUCUAGUUUGCAGGCCCAUCAAGUGGGAUCUGCAUGUAAUAUUUAUUUCUUGAAAAUGUAUAGAAACUUAUCUCUGAACCAUUUUGAAUCAAAUAUUCAACCUUUCAAAAUUUUAAUUUUACUAUCAAACUUUUCAAUUUGUUUGAUUUGAGUCAGUCAACGACACUUUGACUUAAAAUUUUAAACUAAUUAUUUAUUUUAAUAGAUUUAUAGUUAUGAGAAAUACGUAAAAUAUACUAACUAAAUUUAUAGAGAUAAAUGAUACAUUCAAAUUUUGUAAUCAAAAUAACAUUGACUAACUCAAAUCAAACAAUCUGAAAAAUUAAUAUUAAAAUUAAAAUUUUAAAAGAUUGAAUAGCUUAUUUAAAAUAGUCCAUAGUUCACGUAAGCUAUGUACAUUUUUACCUAUAUUUUCAUAGGUAGGCUCUCAAGUUUCCUUUUUCAUGAUCUGGAAAAGGAAAAUGUUUAAUUGGGUUCAUAAUCAGAUGUUAUUAUUUCUACAUGAAAUAAAAAAUUUCCAUCAAUAAUUUGCUGUUACAAUGGGCCCAGAGCUAAAUUGCACUAGAUAAUUUGUUCCACCAGAAAGGAAAAUCUAAUUAAAAUUUUCUCUACAUUUCAUUUAAUUUUGAGUGAAGACUCUUGAUUACAUUUUGUUGACCAAAUACAAGUUAGAUUACAAGGACAAGUGAACUCAACGGUCAAUGCUUGGGUAUGACUUAGUUGACCUUCUCCCGAACAUUCCGUCAAUUGCAUAAGCCGAAUAUGAGCUAGCUCGUCAAAGUAUUGAGCCGAAAAAUUCAGCUUGUGUUCGGCUCGUUUAUUAACGAGCCGAACAUGAUCUGGCUUACGAGCUGACCAACGAAUAAUAAAUUAAAAAUAAUUAGAUUAAAUAUAUAUAAAAAAUAAAUUUAUCAAAUCUUAUCCAUUAAAUUUUGAUCUAAUAAUUAAAACUUUACAUAUAAAUGAAAUCUUUUAUAAUUAAGCCUCGCAUUUAUAUUUUUAUUUACUAAAAAUAAAUAAUAAAAAUAUAUAUUAUAUAUAAUUAUUUAUUUAUAUAUAAAAAUAUAAAUUAAAUAAAUUAUAUAAUAUUAAAAUAUAUGUAUUCGAGUUGUUAUCGAGCCGAACACGAGCGAGCUGACCCCAGCUCCGUGUUCGGCUCGUUUACUAAACGAGUGAGCCGAUUCAAGCUCAUUUCGAGCGAACAUGAGCUGGCUUGCGACAGUUGAGGCUGAAUUGCCACCCCUACUUUUGGAUAACUAUUCCAAAAGUAUAUACCGAUAGAAAGUAUGCAUUUUAUCAUACUUAAGGACUUAACUAUUAUGCUCAUGGACUUCAAUCUGACUCAAUUCAUCUGGAUAUUGAAUAUAUUAUUAGAUAUCUUCCCGUUGAGUCAAUUAUAAACCGCAACCUCAUUCAACUUAUUUGACUCAAUUCAAUUAAAUUUAUUAAUUUUCUGUACCUAUUGUCCAAUUUAAUUUAUUAGUAUUCUAGAUCAAUUAUGGGAUGGAAAGUUGGGUCUAUUUCAGCCAACAUUUCCCCCCCCCCUCCCCUUCCUCCAUCACUGCUAACUGACUAUUCUAACCGUAAAUGCCGAUAGGAGAUAGGCAUUCAUCACACCUAAGGACUUAGCCACAGUAAUCACAAAUUUCGAGCUGACUCAAUCUAUCUAAACAUUGGAUCUAUAAUUGAGUCUCUUAUUAUUAAAUCUACUAUGCACUGCAGCCUCACUCAACUUAUUAGUCUUCUAAAUUUAUUGUCACAAGACAAAAACUUAUACCUAUCUCAACCAACAUAUUUUCCGCCAAAAUUUAAGCUACUAAAUAAUAAUAUUUUUAUAUUUUUAUAUUCAAUACUUCUCUAAAAGCUGUUUCAAUCGGAAUGCGAAAAAAUAUACAGAAAAGUAAAUUAAACCUAAAUUGUUUUCAGAGGAAGCAAAACUUACAUGCACAUACAACUUGAUCAAAGCAAAGAAAACACAGAGAGAUACCCUAAUCACAGCAGCAUUAAGGACUCAAAAGCAGCAGCAACAAAAAAAAAAAAAAGAGAGGUCAAAAACAAAGAAAAAAAAGAGAGCAAAUAGCCUAGCUUCCAUAUGCAGUACUUAAGUAGUUCUUGAUAACAUUCCUAGACAAUAUCUGCAAUACCAUGCUGUUCGACGGGCCGACACACCGUGGCGUCUUGAACUGGCUCACUGCCGCGCCGAGGCCCAAGUAAUGGUCUAGAAUAUUCUGAAAAGUCCCUUUCCGAAGGACGCGGAGCUCGAGCGGGCCGAUCGCCUUGACCUUCCUGGACGCGACGUAGCCUGCGUCCAGGAAGGCCAAGUCUAAGCUGUUGCAACAGCUUUGUAAGACCUCCUCGCUCGCGUCGGAGCUCAGCUCCCAGAAAAUCACGUAGUGGCCCGGGUCCGACGAGCGGUCCACCAGGCUCGUGAAGUCCACAACCUCAACCUUCUCUGCGGCCAAGUGCUUCAAAGCGGCCUCCACUGCCAGCUGGAGGUCUUUCUCGGUGUUCUUGUCGAUGUUGAUGGUUAGCAGGAGGCUUCUCCGGCACAAGAACUGCAGCUCCGGAGUGGAGUUGUGGAAUCCCGCGAUCUUAACCACGUCUCCCAAUCUGUAUCUGUACAAACCUAUUUCGUAUCGAGGCAACACAAAAAUAAUACGACAAAUUAAAAGUCUACUCUUUAAGGAGAGAUUUUUAUGUCCUACAACUUGGUAUAUGAGUUGGUCCGGCAAGAGUGAGACGUCACCAUAUAUUUCCUUCAAAUAUGACGCGAAAACGGAAUCAGCGCAUCCAUUUAUUUUUCCCCUUCAUUUGUGAAACCUCAUUAAGUCAAAAUGGCGGAAUAAUUUUACCAGUUAGUAUUAUUACCAAGAAGAAAUCCAGUAUAGUUGAAUAAGAUUGUGUGAAGAACCGGUCAACAAAGCAAGAAUGUAGUCUCUUCUUUUCUUUUUUGAGUCCUGAUUUGUAAGCUUUUCUGAUUGUUCUUAAUUUAACUCAACUUGGUUUAUGCUCACCCAUCAUCCAUAAAUGAAUUCGACCUCCUAGACGUGACUAUAUAGUAUGCUGGAAGAAUAAUUAAAGUCACAACACUCGACUUAAUUUAGAGGUCCAGGACACAACUAGAUGUAGAUAAUUUAUCCUAACGAGUACAGUGGAGAGAUAGCUCGAAGCUUAAAAAUGAGAAAAAGGAAGUCGAUAACAAAUGUAUGGUACAAUUUUGACUUCAAAUUAAUUAGUUCACAAGGCGACGGCAAAAGUUUUGACCCAGAUAAGAUCUUUGCAACCUGUUUUUUCAAUUUGGAAGCUUAGUUGGAGUGAAAUUACCAGGUAAUUUGAGCUUUACACCUCACGGCAUAACUACUCAUUCACAAUUUACUCCUAAAUCCGCACAUCAGAAAAGGAAAAAACAAAAGAGAAAAAGAAACGACUUUAAACGCUAAUAAAUGUUCAGCAUCUGCAUUCAACCAAACAUUAGGCCGGGCCUGUUAUGCUGUAGACCAGCAGUGUAUUCAAUUAUGCCCCCUAACUCCCCCUCUGUCCAACCUGUCAAUGCCUACCCAAUAAUAAUCCCUAUGUACUUAAAUGAGGAACCUCAACAAGUUGGUUCAUUCACAUGUUAUCAUGAACAUAAAUAACAUGACAGAGACAAAGAGUACAUAGGUACAAACAAGUUCACUACGUGGCAAAACGAUGACCUCUUAUGAAUCGCUAGUUAUCUUUAUAGCCUGUCAACAUGAAUAAGCAAACAAAUUAGCGUAUUUUCUAAAUUUUGUUAUUCAAUAAACAUUAUAUGUUUAGUACAAAUUAUUUCAGCCCGUUGAGCUACACUUAUAUUGUACUGCCGAAUUUUACAAGCCAUCCUACAAACUACCAUUUAAUUCUAAUAAUAAUAAUAAUAUCAUCCAAACCAUAAUUUUGGAAUAUUCUUUGUAAACUUUUCUAAGCAUUCUAAGGAGACAACGUGAGCUGCAAGAACUAAGCGAAAGCGAGCAGAGAAAUAAAAAGAGAAAUAAAGAAUGAAGUACCUGCAAAAUUCGUUAAGACGACUUCAUACUCUUUGCCGACCUCGACCUCCGUCAAUCCAACAGGCUCCGAUUCCACGUAAUGAACGGAAGCACAAUUAUCCGCCUCCUCACCUUCAGGUUUCUCCAAAGGGAUAAAUUCAAAGUACCCAAUAUUUGGCAGUACAGCAAAAGUCACCUUUUCCGGGGCCAACUUAGGGUCUAUGUUCGCGCCGAUCCAUCCUUCCGAGGAUCCAUAAUCUGCACUCAUUAAUGGUAAAUUCCCAGCAUAAUGCCUCAGUUUCUUCAAAUACGGCUCCAUUGAUCCGGUCAUAAUUCCAUACACAUAUUUCGCAUUGGGCCACAGUUCGGGUAUCACACCAUACCAAUUGCUUAAGCCUGCACAUUUGUUGUAUAUGGCGUCGGCUAAAGCUGGGUUGGGACUUAGAAUUUUAGAAACGGCCGCUCGGAUCGAGGGGGAAGUGAUUCUACUGGAGAGGACCCCUUCUCUUAUAUCAGUACAUAGUUCCUCCCAUACUAGCUCGAAAGUACGGAACGCAUGAACAAUGCUAUGAGCAAAUGUAGAGAAUAUAAACUGCACUUCAUUUGAGAGGAUUAGGCCACAGAGCAAGUGACAGUAAAGGGACUGGUGGAAGUCGGGACCAAAUAUGACUUCGUCGGGGCUACAACACUGAGAUUGGAUAUCCUUCAUCGCGUUCUUGAAUUGGUCAUUCCGGAAUAAGUUUGUCGUGGCGGUCGUGGCGACGAUGCCUCCUUUCGUCAUAACCUGCUUGCUGCCGUAAAUGAAUUGCAGGGCUUUUCCAUUGCCAAUCGGGUACUCCCUACAAAUAACACUCAAACAAAUUGAGGUGGAAUUCAAAAUAUAUAUUCUAUUGAGCUAUGAAGUGACUAAGAUCGUCCUCGCAUUUGGAUCUAUGAAUAUGAGAUUCAUUACAUACGAAGGAAAGUAAAUUAAAGAGACCAGUGGCAAUUAACAAAUGUAUUAACCGGCGAAUCCAUUUUCACACAAUUCAACGAGAAGCAGCGCUUUUAAACACCAAAAAGACCGUAAUUUUAGGAGAAAUUAAAAACCAACUACUGUUCAGGUAUACAAUAAGCAAUGGUACAGCAUUUAGAGAGAAUCAAUUUGGGUCUUUUUUCUUUUUCUUUUUUUGGUGAAAAAGCGAGCAAAUCCUAAGUACUUUGGGGUUUUCAAUCCCUACCUGUUCCUGAACGCAUAAGAGGUACGAUAAAUCUGUAUCGUCGAAUCGAGCAACUCUUCAUUGAACGGAAUAAAUUUGGGCUUUCCCUGUGUAGUCCCGGAACUGCGACAAAAACAAUAAAAGCCAUCCCGAAAUUAUCCACAAAAUCAAUCCGCGUAUAAAUGAUGUGAAAAAAUCUUUAACACCUCCAUUCACAUGCAAAAUAGAAAUCAGAUAAGCAUUGACAAAAGUAGAAGAACUGAGCAAACUUCUGAUACCAUAUUAUCCGUGUUACCAAAAUAUCGACACGACAAAAAAUGACACGCAAAUUGUUGACUCAGAUACCAUAUUUACCCAAAUUAACCAAGAUAUUGAUAUGAUAGAAAAUGACCAAAAAACGAAAAAACUGUCCUAACACUUACUAGUACUACCUCAACCAAAAAUUCCAAACUCUUGACACCCAAGAAUUAAAGUGCCGUGGCACAGAAUCGUGCCGAAAACUUGCUGGCACGAUGCGACUUGGCCGUGCUGAUACGUGUCGGUAAAAAAUUAUGUGUGUGCCGACACGUAAUGGCAUGAAAUAUUUAUUUUCUAUCACAACAAAUAUAUCAAUUAUUUAUUAUAUAUUUUUAUCAAAUCUUUUACAUUUUGUUGAAAAAAUUACCUACUGAUUUCAAAAAUAGAGAAUUUUGAGUUUUGCCAUCGGUACAUAAUUCUGCACGGUGAAUACGGUCAGUGUCGAUAGGCAUUUUAAUAACAGCACAUUACCCAUAAUAUCUAAAUUAUAGGUAUCAUAUGAAAUGGCUCAGAAAUAGUGGUAACACUGACAAGUAAUACCUGAGCGAGAUCGCGGUGAUGGGUUUCCCGGUGAGGAUGGGGGAGUUGUCGCCGUCGACGAUCCGCUGGAUGAACGGCUCGAGAUCGGAGUGGGUGACGAGGGGCACGUACGAGCGGAAGCUCGCGGCGUCGGUGCGGCCGCCGAGGCCGAAGCGCCGGAGAUACUCGGCGCCGCCGUUCUCCUCGAGGAUCCGCCGCAGCGUCUCCGCUUGGACGCGCCCCGCGUCGCGCGUGAGCGCCUCGAACUCAGCUAUCACCCUCUCCUCGCACGAGAUCGUCAUACUCCCCACUACAGAAAUGCAAAAACAAAAAAAAAAUUAAAAAAAAAGAGAUUUUUAUGCGUAAACAGGGGGAAAUAGGGGCGAAUUGAGGCGAAAAAAGUGGAAACGAUGCGAUCUGUAGGUACGAACAGGGGGUUUUCAGGGAAGUGAAAAAAUGGAAAUUGUUCAAUUUUUAUGCAUAAAAAAGGGGGAGUUUUAAGGUGUUAACUGAAGCGAAAGAGCGGAGAAGAUUCGAUUCUGAUGCGGGGAUAGUUGAGCGGAAAAAUAAAAUGGAAAAGGUUCGAUUUUAUGGAUAAAAAACAAGGAUUAGUUGAGAUUGUUAUGCAUAAACAGGGGAUUACUAAGCGAAAAAGGAGGAAAAUCUUCGAUUUUUAUGCAUAAACAGUGGCUAAUAGAAGCUUUUAUUUACGCGAUAAACAGGGGUCAACAGAAACGAAAAAAUGGAAAAGAUUAUAUAUUUUAGGCAUAAACAGGGGCUAAUUUAAGCGAAAGAAAUUAGGGAAAGGUUCGAUUUUUAUGUACAAAAAGGCUUUCGUUAAAUUGAAGCAGAGGAGAGAAACUGAGUAAAGGGAUCUGAGAAAGGUAUUUAAAGUACUAUUUUUUUUUUCCUUUUCGCAAAAAGACACCCAAAAAACUAAGAAUAAAACAAAAAAUUCUAAUAUUUUACCUUUGAUUAGAGCCUUCGCUUCGUUGGGAACUUGGGAGCUCGUUGGGAACCAGAGCCUCGACUUUGGCCGAUAUUUUGCUGGGGAGGGGGCAGGUGAAAGAUUCUUUGUUCUGAGGAGGAACCAACAACAACUAGAGAAACAAGACCAUCAAAAACAAUAGUAGUACUAUUAUAAUAUUUAUAAUAAUAAUGUUAUAUUAAAGCUGUCCUUUUCUAAUCUCUUUCACUCUCUCUUCCCAGAUAAGUAUUAGAGAACAAGAAAAAAGAAGGAAAAAAAAAAAUAAAGAGAGAGAGAGAUAUAAAAGAGCUCUUCUUAUUGCUUCUUAGAUUGGUUUUAGCUUCCUAGGAUGGGUGGCCUCAUUUAUAGCCGUGAAACCUCAUGGGCCUUUCUCUCUCUCUCUCUCUUUGCGACAAGAGAGAGAAUAUUAAGAAUAGCCUAAUUUUAUUAAUGUGGACAGUGAUUAGAAUAAAACUUCAGUGGAAUCUCACCAACGACAUCUCAUCAUUGGAGAGCCUCGAUUUACAGUUACUUAUUAAUUUUAUCUUUAUCUAAUAACACAUUAGAUAUUCUUUUAAUAUUAAAAUUAAAAAAUUAAUUUUAUAGAGAAAAAUUAUAAUUUUUAAAUAGAAAUAAAACUGAGACUCCUUAACGAAGCAUUAUUGAGGAACCCCCGCUAAGUUUUUUUUUUCAGUGAUUAUAUACAUGUUUGAGGGUUUUAUUAUUUUGUCAGCUUCAGUCAUGUUAUAAUUCUGGCAGUAUCUUACCAUUGUAAUGUAAAAAGUAAUUAUUUAUUAUACGCAUGGAAGUGGAAAGAGAAAAAAUCUCAUUUGUUUCUUAAUAGGUUGUCGAUGAGUGGAACACUAGCGAGCCGGGACCGUUCGUGUUCAGUUCGUUUAAUAAAUAAGUCGAGCACAAGCUAACUUGUUAAAAUAACGAGCUGAAAAAUUCAGCUCGUUUAUUAACGAGCUAAAGUUGAACUUACUCGCGAACAAUAAAUUAAAUUGUAAAUUUUACUAUUCAAUAAAAAAUAAAAAAUAAAAAAUAAAAAAUUUUAAUUUAAUAAUUAAAAUUUAUAAAAUAGAGAUUUAUUUAUAUUUGAAUUGCUCUAAAAUCUAAAUUUUAUAUAUAUAUAUAUAUAUAUAUAUAUAUAUAUAUAUAUAUAGAGUCCGGCUACUAUACCUAUUUAUGAUAGCCCCUUAGAUUUAUUCAAUGAUCAUUUCUACCCGUUAGAUCAUACAAUAUCCAACAAACUACCCACUCAACCUAGGGGACCACUAUAAUUCUAAGUGGGAACUACCAUCAUCCUAAACCACACAUCCAUCAAUCAACGGUUUAAAAUUUAUGAAUACAAAAGGGUUCUAUACUAAAAGAGUAUAGUUAGCCAGCUCUCCAUCCUCUCCCUCAACCACCACCCAUCCCGCCCGACACUCCGCCUCACCUAUAUCUCCCCCCGUACUCUCUCUCUAUAUAUAUAUAUAUAUAUAUAACUAAACUAUAAUACUAUCAAUAGCACCAAGCUAUUGAUGUUAUUACUUUUAACCUUUGGAUUGAGAAAUGUGUGGUUAGGAUGAUAUGGGCCCCCUAGGGAUGAGUGAGUGAUUGGUUGAAUGGUAUAACAUAACAGAUAAAAAUAAUUAAAGAGUUAUAUCUAACGGUGGAAAACUCGAUAGCACCAAAUCCUUUGUGCUAUCGAUAGUACCCCAGCCGAACUAUAUAUAUAUAUAUAUAGAGAGAGAGAGAGAGUCCGGCUAAUAUUCUUUUAUGAGUAUAGGCUCCUUUAUACUCAUAAAUUUUCAGUCCUUAGAUUUAUUUCAUUGAUCAUUUCCACCCGUUAGAUCAUACUAUUCAACCAACUACCCACUCAACCCUAGGGGACCACCAUCAUUCUAAGUGAGGACCAUCAUCAUCCUAACCACAUAUCCCAUCAAUCAAUGGUUAAAAAUUUAUGAGUACAAGAGGGUCUAUACUCAUAAGAGUAUAGUAGCCCCAGCCUAUAUAUAUAUAUAUAUAUAUAUAUAUAGAGAGAGAGAGAGAGAGAGAGAGAGAGAGAGAGAGAGAGAGAGCGAGAAGGACUGCUGUGCUCUCAGGAGCAUAGAGGCCUCCGUGUUCUUGAGCCAUUUUCGAUGAUGGAAUUUUCGAAUCGACGAUCGGCUCCGUUAGACUUGAUCUAGCGUAUUUGAAGUUUCUAGAAAAAAAAAUUGCGAUUUUUCGAUAUCAUUUACCUAGCAAUCAAAAGGAUUCAAAAUCAAUAAUUUUUAAUGGCUGAAAAUAAAAAUCCUAUAAAACGUGGUGAUAUAGCACUAAAAUUUUUGAUCAGAAAUAUUGAUCUUGUUGUAGAUAGUAUAAAAAAUUUUGUAUCAAAAUUUUAUCUGAUUUGAAUACUUCUAAAUCGUUAAACUUGAAAACGAUAGAUAUCAACCAUUAAAAAUUAUUGAUUUUGAACCCUUUUGACACUAGGUAAAUGAUAUCGAAAAAUAGCAAAAAUUAUUUUCUAGAAACUUCAAAUACACUAGAUCAAGUCUAACAGAGCCGAUCGUCGAUUCGAAAAUUCUAUCAUCGAAAAUGGCUCAGGAGCACGGAGGCCUUCGUGCCCCCGAGAGCACAGCAGUCCUGUUAUAUAUAUAUAUAUAUAUAUAUAUAUAUAUAUAGAGAGAGAGAGAGAGAGAGAGAGAGAGAGAGUACGUCUCCCGUGCUUUCGAAAGUACGGAGGCCUCCGUACUUGUAAGUUAUUUUUGAUGAUAGUACAUCCAAUUCGACGAUCGACUCCGUUAAGCAGAAUCUAUGCUAUUGGAACUAUCUAAAAACCAAAUUUUAUAAUUUUUUGACAUUAUUUACCAAGCGAUCACAGGAUCUAAAAAAUGACUAUUUUAAUGGCCGAUGUGUCACUUUUUAAGUUCAACGGUCUACAAGUAUUCAAAUUACAUGAAACUUUAAUAGAAAAUUCUACUUAACAUUAAUAGCAAGAACAAUACUUCCGAUUUGAAAUUUGAGUCAUUUAUCAAUAUUUUUUAUGAGAUUUUUAUUUUCAGCCGUUCAUUUUGAGGCUACUCGUUCACUAGGCAAACAAAGUUAAAAAAUUAUGAAAUUUGGUUUCUGGAUAGUUCCAAUAGCAUAGAUCAUAUUUAACGGAACCGAUGGUCGAAUCGGACGUCCCAUCAUUAAAAACAACUUAUAAGCACGGAGGCCUCCGUACUUUCGAAAGCAUAGGAACCUAACUCUCUCUCUCUCUCUCUCUCUCUCUCUCUCUCUAUAUAUAUAUAUAUAUAAUACUAGGCUUGAAUACUAUUAAUAGCACCAAGCUAUUGGUGCUAUUAGUUUUUUAGCCUUUGGAUUAAAAAAUGUGCUUUUUAGCCUUUAGAUUAAAAAAUGUGCUGUUAGGAUGAUGUGAGCCCCUAGGGUUAAGUGGGUAGUUGGUUGAAUAGUAUAAUCUAACGAGUAAAAAUAAUAAAAGGGUUAAUCUAACGGUAGAAAACUUGAUAGCACCAAGUGUUUGGUGCUAUCGAUAGCAUAGCAACCGUACUCUCUCUCUCUCUCUCUCUCUCUCUCUCUCUCUCUCUCUCUCUAUAUAUAUAUAUAUAUAUAUAUAUAUAUAUAUAUAAAUAUAAAGAGUCCGGCUAACUAUACUAUCGAUAGUACAGCCCUUGGUACUAUUUGAGUUGUGCUACCCAUUAGAUCUACCCUUUGAUUAUUUCCACCCGUUUAGAUUAAAUAUAUAUAAUAUAUAUAUAUAUAUAUAUAUUAGAGUACCCUACUAUAACUACCGAUAGUACAAGUGCCCUUGGUACUAUAUGAGUUUUCUACAUUAGUAUCUACCCUUGAUCAUUUCCACCCGUUAGAUUAUACUAUUAACCCCAACCACACACUCAACCCUAGGGACCACUAUCAAUUUAACUCCGGGGAAUACUAUCAUCCUAACGCGACAUCCUUGCAUCCAACGGCCGAAAACUCAAUAGUAAAGGCCUUGUACUAUUGAUCAAUAAAGUAGCAUAAUUCUAUAUAUAUAUANNNNNNNNNNNNNNNNNNNNNNNNNNNNNNNNNNNNNNNNNNNNNNNNNNNNNNNNNNNNNNNNNNNNNNNNNNNNNNNNNNNNNNNNNNNNNNNNNNNNNNNNNNNNNNNNNNNNNNNNNNNNNNNNNNNNNNNNNNNNNNNNNNNNNNNNNNNNNNNNNNNNNNNNNNNNNNNNNNNNNNNNNNNNNNNNNNNNNNNNNNNNNNNNNNNNNNNNNNNNNNNNNNNNNNNNNNNNNNNNNNNNNNNNNNNNNNNNNNNNNNNNNNNNNNNNNNNNNNNNNNNNNNNNNNNNNNNNNNNNNNNNNNNNNNNNNNNNNNNNNNNNNNNNNNNNNNNNNNNNNNNNNNNNNNNNNNNNNNNNNNNNNNNNNNNNNNNNNNNNNNNNNNNNNNNNNNNNNNNNNNNNNNNNNNNNNNNNNNNNNNNNNNNNNNNNNNNNNNNNNNNNNNNNNNNNNNNNNNNNNNNNNNNNNNNNNNNNNNNNNNNNNNNNNNNNNNNNNNNNNNNNNNNNNNNNNNNNNNNNNNNNNNNNNNNNNNNNNNNNNNNNNNNNNNNNNNNNNNNNNNNNNNNNNNNNNNNNNNNNNNNCGAGAGAGAUGAAAGUAGAGCAGAGAGAGUCGCGCUUACUAUGCUUUAAUUAGCACGAAGCACUUGUGCUCAACCAAGUUUUUCGCGCGUUAGAUCUACCCUUUUGAUCAGUUCUACCAUGUAGAUCAUAACUAUUCAACCAAACCCGACCACUCAACCCUAGGAGCACAUAUAUCCAACCGCAAAUCUUCUUAAUCGCAAUGGCCCAAAACCUUUGGAAUACAACAAUGACUUGUGCAUUAAUAGCUUAGUAGCCUAGUUAUAUCUAGAAAUAAUAAUAUACUAUAUAUAUAUAUAUAUAUAUAUAUAUUAUAUAUAUAUAUAGAUGAGGCACUAUCAUCGGCAAGUAGAGCCUUCUGUGCUCCCAGUCCGUUUUUCGAUGUUCGGACUUUCGAAUGUCAUCGUGCUUCGUUAACUUGAUCUAGUAGAUUUGAUACUAGAAAUAAAUUUUAAGAUUUUUCGAAUAUCAUUUGCUAGUGAACGAAGGGGCUCAUGAUCAACGGCUGAAAAUAAUAAUCUUACCAAACGUAAAUAUCACAUUAAAAUUUUUAAAUGCAAAGAUAUUGAUCUUGUUUUAUAUAGUAUAGAGAAUUUUCUAUCAAAUUUCACAGUCGAUGUGUUAUUUCUACACCGUUAAACUUCACAAACAAGUCUCACUGUACGCGCCAUUGAAAUUUGCUGAAUUUUGACCGACCUUCGAUCACUAAGCAAAAUGAAAAAUUAAAUAAAAAAAUAAUAAAUUUAUUUCUAGGUACUCCAAAUACUGCUAGAAUCAAGGUUUAACGGAGCCGUAUCGACUGAUUCGAAACGCCAAAAUCGAAACAAGUUGAGAGAGCAGGAAGCUCACCAGUGCUUCCGAAUAGUUAUAGUACUUCCUCGUAUAUAUAAUAUAUAUAUAAUAUAAGAGGAGGAGAGAGAGAGAGAACGAGAAGGGGAGAGAGAGGAGAGAGAGAGGAGUCCGACAGUGAGACUACUAUAUUGAUUAAACCACCAAGUCGUUGGUGCUAUCAAUUUUCCACCGUAAGUUUAACUCUUUGACUAUUUUUACAGCUGUUAGCAUUAUACUAUUAAAUAAUAACUGCACUGCUAGCCGCUAUGGGCCACAUCAUCCAUAACGUGGUAUUUUUUAUCCAAAACCGGACAACCUAAUAAUAUCAAUAGUUUGGUGCUAUUGAUAGUAUUAGUUAUAUAUAUAAUAUAUAAUAUAUAUAUAUAUAUUAUAUAUAUUAUAAUAUAUAUAUGAUACUAUUAUGAUAGUAUAUAUAUAAUGAGCUAAAUACUUUUAGAAGCACCACCUGCCUGGUGCUUGUAAGUUUUUAAGCCUUAUAUCUACUCCUUGAUUAUUAAUAGCUUUGGAUGCAAUAUAUUCUACCUACAUCACUCUACCACCACCUACCCCCGAUCAUCCAUACCGACAAUUUUUCAUCCAAGCGGCUAAAAACUCAAAACACGCUACCUCUUUAGUACUUUUGGGAAUGUAUCCUAACUCAACUCAUGUAGUAUAAAUAUUAUACUAUAUAUAUAUAUAUAUAUAUAUAUAUAUAUAGAGCUAGGCUGGUAUACUAUCGGUAGCACGGAGGCCUUCGUGCUAUCAAGUUGUUUUCAAUGAUGCGGCUACUAUACUCUUAUGAGUAUAAAAUCCUUCAUACUCAUAAGUUGUUUUCGAUGAUGGAGCUUCCGAAUCGACGAUCCACUUCGUUAAAUAUGAUUUAGAGUAUUUGAAGCUUUUAGAAAAUAAAUUUCGUAAUUUUUUAAAAUCAUAAUAAAGUCCAUCAAGUGGGUAUGAAAUGAACAGUCGAAAUCAAACGACGUCCUAAAAAUGGAUGAUCGGAUCCUUCAAUUUAAGAUCGGAGUUAUUGAUCUUUAUCUAGGUAAUGAAUAAAAUUUUCUAUCAAAAAUUCAACUGAUUUCGAUUCUUUUACACCGUUAAACUACUAAGUAUCCCACACCGGUCAUUAAAAAUUGUCAAUUUUGUGACCGUUUGAUCUUAAGGUAAAUGAUGUCAAAAAAUUAUAAAUUUUGAUUUUUGGAAGUUUUAAAUACUCUAGAUAAUGUUUAAUGGUAUGGAUCGUCGAUUCGGAAGCUCUAUCAUCGAAAAUGACUUAUGAGUACGAGGGCGAUCGUACUCAUAAGAGUAUAGUAGCCGGACUAUAUAUAUAUAUAUAUAUAUAUAUGUNNNNNNNNNNNNNNNNNNNNNNNNNNNNNNNNNNNNNNNNNNNNNNNNNNNNNNNNNNNNNNNNNNNNNNNNNNNNNNNNNNNNNNNNNNNNNNNNNNNNNNNNNNNNNNNNNNNNNNNNNNNNNNNNNNNNNNNNNNNNNNNNNNNNNNNNNNNNNNNNNNNNNNNNNNNNNNNNNNNNNNNNNNNNNNNNNNNNNNNNNNNNNNNNNNNNNNNNNNNNNNNNNNNNNNNNNNNNNNNNNNNNNNNNNNNNNNNNNNNNNNNNNNNNNNNNNNNNNNNNNNNNNNNNNNNNNNNNNNNNNNNNNNNNNNNNNNNNNNNNNNNNNNNNNNNNNNNNNNNNNNNNNNNNNNNNNNNNNNNNNNNNNNNNNNNNNNNNNNNNNNNNNNNNNNNNNNNNNNNNNNNNNNNNNNNNNNNNNNNNNNNNNNNNNNNNNNNNNNNNNNNNNNNNNNNNNNNNNNNNNNNNNNNNNNNNNNNNNNNNNNNNNNNNNNNNNNNNNNNNNNNNNNNNNNNNNNNNNNNNNNNNNNNNNNNNNNNNNNNNNNNNNNNNNNNNNNNNNNNNNNNNNNNNNNNNNNNNNNNNNNNNNNNNNNNNNNNNNNNNNNNNNNNNNNNNNNNNNNNNNNNNNNNNNNNNNNNNNNNNNNNNNNNNNNNNNNNNNNNNNNNNNNNNNNNNNNNNNNNNNNNNNNNNNNNNNNNNNNNNNNNNNNNNNNNNNNNNNNNNNNNNNNNNNNNNNNNNNNNNNNNNNNNNNNNNNNNNNNNNNNNNNNNNNNNNNNNNNNNNNNNNNNNNNNNNNNNNNNNNNNNNNNNNNNNNNNNNNNNNNNNNNNNNNNNNNNNNNNNNNNNNNNNNNNNNNNNNNNNNNNNNNNNNNNNNNNNNNNNNNNNNNNNNNNNNNNNNNNNNNNNNNNNNNNNNNNNNNNNNNNNNNNNNNNNNNNNNNNNNNNNNNNNNNNNNNNNNNNNNNNNNNNNNNNNNNNNNNNNNNNNNNNNNNNNNNNNNNNNNNNNNNNNNNNNNNNNNNNNNNNNNNNNNNNNNNNNNNNNNNNNNNNNNNNNNNNNNNNNNNNNNNNNNNNNNNNNNNNNNNNNNNNNNNNNNNNNNNNNNNNNNNNNNNNNNNNNNNNNNNNNNNNNNNNNNNNNNNNNNNNNNNNNNNNNNNNNNNNNNNNNNNNNNNNNNNNNNNNNNNNNNNNNNNNNNNNNNNNNNNNNNNNNNNNNNNNNNNNNNNNNNNNNNNNNNNNNNNNNNNNNNNNNNNNNNNNNNNNNNNNNNNNNNNNNNNNNNNNNNNNNNNNNNNNNNNNNNNNNNNNNNNNNNNNNNNNNNNNNNNNNNNNNNNNNNNNNNNNNNNNNNNNNNNNNNNNNNNNNNNNNNNNNNNNNNNNNNNNNNNNNNNNNNNNNNNNNNNNNNNNNNNNNNNNNNNNNNNNNNNNNNNNNNNNNNNNNNNNNNNNNNNNNNNNNNNNNNNNNNNNNNNNNNNNNNNNNNNNNNNNNNNNNNNNNNNNNNNNNNNNNNNNNNNNNNNNNNNNNNNNNNNNNNNNNNNNNNNNNNNNNNNNNNNNNNNNNNNNNNNNNNNNNNNNNNNNNNNNNNNNNNNNNNNNNNNNNNNNNNNNNNNNNNNNNNNNNNNNNNNNNNNNNNNNNNNNNNNNNNNNNNNNNNNNNNNNNNNNNNNNNNNNNNNNNNNNNNNNNNNNNNNNNNNNNNNNNNNNNNNNNNNNNNNNNNNNNNNNNNNNNNNNNNNNNNNNNNNNNNNNNNNNNNNNNNNNNNNNNNNNNNNNNNNNNNNNNNNNNNNNNNNNNNNNNNNNNNNNNNNNNNNNNNNNNNNNNNNNNNNNNNNNNNNNNNNNNNNNNNNNNNNNNNNNNNNNNNNNNNNNNNNNNNNNNNNNNNNNNNNNNNNNNNNNNNNNNNNNNNNNNNNNNNNNNNNNNNNNNNNNNNNNNNNNNNNNNNNNNNNNNNNNNNNNNNNNNNNNNNNNNNNNNNNNNNNNNNNNNNNNNNNNNNNNNNNNNNNNNNNNNNNNNNNNNNNNNNNNNNNNNNNNNNNNNNNNNNNNNNNNNNNNNNNNNNNNNNNNNNNNNNNNNNNNNNNNNNNNNNNNNNNNNNNNNNNNNNNNNNNNNNNNNNNNNNNNNNNNNNNNNNNNNNNNNNNNNNNNNNNNNNNNNNNNNNNNNNNNNNNNNNNNNNNNNNNNNNNNNNNNNNNNNNNNNNNNNNNNNNNNNNNNNNNNNNNNNNNNNNNNNNNNNNNNNNNNNNNNNNNNNNNNNNNNNNNNNNNNNNNNNNNNNNNNNNNNNNNNNNNNNNNNNNNNNNNNNNNNNNNNNNNNNNNNNNNNNNNNNNNNNNNNNNNNNNNNNNNNNNNNNNNNNNNNNNNNNNNNNNNNNNNNNNNNNNNNNNNNNNNNNNNNNNNNNNNNNNNNNNNNNNNNNNNNNNNNNNNNNNNNNNNNNNNNNNNNNNNNNNNNNNNNNNNNNNNNNNNNNNNNNNNNNNNNNNNNNNNNNNNNNNNNNNNNNNNNNNNNNNNNNNNNNNNNNNNNNNNNNNNNNNNNNNNNNNNNNNNNNNNNNNNNNNNNNNNNNNNNNNNNNNNNNNNNNNNNNNNNNNNNNNNNNNNNNNNNNNNNNNNNNNNNNNNNNNNNNNNNNNNNNNNNNNNNNNNNNNNNNNNNNNNNNNNNNNNNNNNNNNNNNNNNNNNNNNNNNNNNNNNNNNNNNNNNNNNNNNNNNNNNNNNNNNNNNNNNNNNNNNNNNNNNNNNNNNNNNNNNNNNNNNNNNNNNNNNNNNNNNNNNNNNNNNNNNNNNNNNNNNNNNNNNNNNNNNNNNNNNNNNNNNNNNNNNNNNNNNNNNNNNNNNNNNNNNNNNNNNNNNNNNNNNNNNNNNNNNNNNNNNNNNNNNNNNNNNNNNNNNNNNNNNNNNNNNNNNNNNNNNNNNNNNNNNNNNNNNNNNNNNNNNUAUAUAUAUAUAUAUAUAUAUAUAUAUAUAUAUCUUCAAAUUAUAUCGAUCCGAACAUGAGCGAGUUGACUCUAACUUAUGUUCGGCUCGUUAAAAUUAAUUUCAAGCUAGAGAGUUGAAAAAUUCAGUUCGCAUUCGACUUGUUUAUUAAAUAAUGAAUUGAACCUGGGCUUAUUUUUUAUUCGAAUAUGAGCUAAUUUACAAACAGUGAGCUGAAUUGCCAACCCUACUAUUGCUUAUAAAAAAAAACUACAAAUGUUGAGAAAAAAAGAAUAUUUCUUAUUUAGAUAUUAGUUGUUGUCAGAGACAUCUAAUUUGUCUUCAUUCCUUAAAAUUUUGACCACAACAAAUUAGAAUGGUACGAAUUUUUUUCCGUACUUUACAGUUAUAUAUACAUUGUAUGGUGUGUUGAAGAUUGAAAUUUUAGAUUCAAUGAAUGACAGAUGAUAAGAAAUCCAAAAUUGAAAUCGGGGCAUCAGAUCAAGCUCAGACAAUUAUUUUUGGCCGCAUAAUUAACCAUCAAGUAAUAAUAGGAAAACUUUUUGUUAGUACCCAAAACAUUGGAGCAAAGGACAAAACAUUAGCAUUUACAUUUGCUAACUAAGUGGAGCCAUUUAUGAACACAAAUAGGAAAAUAAAAAAAUCACUCUAUUAAGAUCGUAAAACAAAUGAAUUUCAAAUUAAUAUGAACGGUAAAUUAAUGAAUUAUCUUACAACAGAAACACGAAUACCGUCUAAACUUUUACUUUACGGAUCAUAAAUAUAUAUAUAUAUAUAUAUAUAUAUAUAUAUAGAGCAAGGCUACUGUGCUAUUAGGAGCACAGCAGUCCUUGUGCUCUUAAUUUUCUAACCACCCAUCAUGUUUGAUGGGUGGUUAGAAUGAGAAAGAGAUGAGAUAUUGAGGAGAAAUUGGAUGUUUCAAUUUCUCAUUCUUAAAUUUCUCUCUCAAUAUCUCAUCCUUCUCUUAUUCUAACCACCCAUCAAACUUGAUGGAUGGUUAGAAAGUUAGGAGCACAAAGACUACUGUGCUCCUAAUAGUACAGUAGCCCUGCUUUUUAAUAUAUUGUCCAUAAAUAAUCUAUAAUAAAUCUUACAUUUAAGGACAUUUUAAAGAAUAACUAGUAAUACUUUAAAGUAUCGGUAAGAAUNUAUAUAUAUAUAUAUUUAUUUAUUUAUUUAUUUAUAUGAUAUUUCGUCGAAAAUAAAACUAUUCCUUAUUGUUAUAUUUUAUUCUGCGAUACAUUAAAAUUUUCAUAAAAUAUAUAAGAAAAAAAAAAGAUGCUAAGCGAUGAUAAAGUUAUUUUGGGAAAACAAAGUCCAAUUAAUCAAUUUGUCUCGCCGGAAUUGGCUGCCGACACUGUACAUUCGAGAGUACCUUCCAUGCAGCCGCUGCAUAUAACUGAUUCUGUCUCUGACACGUGGGACCCACGACUGUGGGGACCACGUGUCAGAUAAGUAAGCUUCGUAACCACCGUGACACUGAAAAAUGUUCAACCGCAGGCAAAAUUUAUACUAUCACACUUACACCACGUCAUCAAUAAUAAGCCAAUUGUAUUCCUUCUUUUCAAAUAAAAAUAUAACAAAAAUAUUUUUUUACAAUCAUGAUGGGACAUAUACCUCUAAAAUAAGACAUUUAAUUGAUUGAUUAUGCCACGUCACUAAUAUACUCGUUGCAUUCUAGAAUUUUUCCAGCCGCAGAGCAGUACUCCGUGUAUAUCUUGUAUGUAUCAUGUACAAUGUACCACACUUUAAUUAUUAUAAUAAGAAUAAUAACAAUUAUAGUGAUUAUUAUUUUAUAAAUUACAUUUUUUAAAAUUUACCAUUCAAGUGCGAAGUAUCCAUCAGUUUUAAAGAAUCUAUAUAUCACAGAAAAGGACAGCAUUUGAUUUAUAAAAACUUAAGUCCAAAUACGAUGAUUUUUUAUAUUUAUGUUUUCGGAGAACCUCAAAAAAAAAAAAAAAUAGAAAGCGAAUAUUUUAGUUUGCUUGUAUGAUGACAAGAGAUAAUGAAGAAUAAAAUAUAAUAACACAAAGAAAAAUUAUAUCAUUAAAUAGCCGAUGGAAAAAAAAAAAACAUUGUAUUUAAAAUUAUUUGCAAUGAAUAGAGUGUUAAAAUUGAUUUGAUAUUGAUACCAUACGCGAAAGGUCAUUUUUUAUAAAAAAAAAAUAUUUUAAUAUUUUAUAUUUAAUAAUUUAAGCUUUCUAAAUACGAUACAAUACAUUCGUUAAAUUAAUUCUGAUUUUAAAAUAUUUACAAUAAAAAAUAUGUGAAUGGUAUGUGAGAAAUACAUACACACCCAGUAAGUGCAUUUGGUAGUGGCCCAAAAAAGAUAAAGUGCACAAAGUAAGUAUCAUGGGUCAGUGUUAUUCCCCUUUGCUUUUAUAACCAACUUAGCUUUUUGCCACCGACCAUCCCUAGGACAAGUCGCAAAGAACUCGAUGGUUGGUAUCUGAGACCCAAAUUCGAAUUCUAAUUGAUUCAUAUUUUCAGCUAAAUUUAUUUCUAAAUGAAAUAAACAAAACGGACAGCAUACUACCUAUCUCUAAAAAAAAACUUUGUCUUUUGCCUUUUUUUUGUUUUUUGCUUUAGUUAUCCUAUCUUUUCUUAAUAAUAAAAUACUUCUUUUUGAAACUAUUAUUUUGGGCAUCCACGUAGGUAGGAUGGAAUUGCUGAUGGGGACAUUAAUGUGGCUUGAAUCUGGACAAAAAGUGAGGUUCAAUGUAGUGUAGGUUCAUUUGAGUAAUAUUAUUUUAAUAAAUGGACCAGUUUAGUGACACGAUUUAGCUAUAUAAAUAAGCAGGUGGUAUUACAGUAAAUUGUAGCAUUUGAUCCUCAAACUACGAGCUGUGUGAUAUUUUGAUACUCAAAUUUUACUUUAUUAUAAUUUCUGACUCGAAUUUUUAGAAUUACUAUUACAAUUAUGUUACACAAUUCAAUUUAGUAGAUUAAAAAAUUGACGUAUCGCUAAUGUAAAAGUGGGUUUGCAUUUUAAUUAUUUGUCUAUCAUCAAUCACAAUACCGUUACAUUACUUUCAUAUUAGUGAUACAUCAAUAUUUAGUCUACUAAAUUAAAGUAUUGAAUUUAAUUACAAUAAUUUUAUAAUAAAUUAAAGUUCGAGAAAGCAAACUUGCAAUUUAUUUUGGUAUCUAUUUACACAUAAAAUAGUCUUGAAAAUGUUUUAAAGACUAUAAAAAAUUGUUUAAGUACAAAAAAAAAUUGUCUUUUUUAGAAAACAAAUCAAUAUUAGAAAGUAAAUUAUUUCUCCUUUGUCUUUCUCUCUUUUGUCGCCUCUUUUUUGUCCUUCAAACUAAAUAUGUAUAUUUUAAAAAGAGUUAAUUUUAUACAGAUCCUUGCAAACAUGAUGAAUAACAAAUAUAUUCCCGCAAAAUUCAACUUUCAUAACUUAUCCCUACAAAAGUCGUAACGUAUUUAGAUAUAUCCUUGCUGUUAAUAGCCGUUAGAGAAAUCUAGUUAACCACGAUUAAAAUACUUAAUCAUGGUCAGUUAAUAAGGUAAAAUAAUAUUUUUAUCCUUUUUUCUCUUCCCCCUCCUCUUCUUCUUCCUCUUCCUUUUCCUCUUCCUUUUCCUUUCCCUCUCCUGCCACUUCUUCUUCCUCUUCUUCUUCGUAUCCUCAUUUUCCUCCUCCUUUUUUCCUCCUCCUUCUUUUUCUUCGUCGUUGUCAUCGAUGAUCCAAUCGUCGUCGCCGUCGUGGUGCCCGCGUGGGCCAUCGUCACGGGUGCCUCCGACAGCAUCAGCCGCGUCAUGACCCCGACAAGCUCUGCAACCCCGUUGGGUGCAAUCCUGACAAGCUCUGCAAGGUCACCGUCGCCGCCGCCGCCGCCGUCCGCUCCCACAGCCGGAAGAGAAAGAGGAAGAUGAUGAGGGCAAGGGCAAAAUAGUCAUUUCACAAUUCUACUGUUAAAAAAUUAACAGUUCUCUAACAGAUCCAAACCAGAGAGACAUAUCUGAAUACAUUAGGGCUUUUACAAGAAUAAUUUAUGAAAGUUGAACUUUAUAGGGAUAUAUCUGUUAUUCACCAUGUUUGCAGGAAACUGUAUGAAAUUAAUCCUUUUAAAAAUUAUAUUUUUCUUGAAACCUUAAAACGAAAGUGAACUCAUGGAUAGCAGUCCUCUUUUCUUACUUUGAGCUAAGUUUAUUUAUAUUUUCUUUAUCCUAGCUAGAAAUGUGAAGAACUAUUGGACUUCAAACUUGAAAUCUGAAUACCAAUCAUUAAGGGGCGUUUGGAUUGAUAAAUUUUUAGAUUUAACAUAAUUUAAAUACAGUGGUGUUUGAAUUUUUCUAAAAUAUAGUUUUUUUGUUGUUUGUUUUGAUAUAUUUCAUACAAUCUGAAAAUUAAAUCCAAUCAUUUCUUCUGUUUAUUUUAGCGUAAAUUGAUAUUGGUGAAAUUAAUUUUUUGAAUUUUAUUGUUUGUUUUGAUGUAAGUAAAUGAAUUCUGUUAUCUCUUAAAUAUAGUGGUAAACUUAACCUUACAAAAUUCAACCUAUUAAAUAAUUAAAUUUGUUAUUAUUAUUUGGAAGUUAUCUUAACUCAUUGUAAAAAAAAAAAAAACUUUAACCCAUUCUAAAGAAAGCAGAGUUUAGGUUUUAAUAUUUAAUAAUAAUUUUUUCCAAAAAAGUUGAGUAUGAUAGAGCUUAAGUUCGAUACUCUAGAGGAAAAAGUCAACAGUAACUAAAGUGGAGGUCUAAUAUAACUUGAGUUACAUUAUUUUUUUUUUAUUUACACCAAAACGAAUACUGAAAACGAUGGAACUUGAGUUCCACCCUUUUACUUACAUCUAAUUAACCAAACAACAUCUAAACCCUUUGCAACUUAUACUAAAAUCAAAUCAAAUCAAGUAGUAUUAAUUAAUAUGUGAUAGAAAAGGUUAUACUACAUAAUUCACUACUCUAUUUAAUAUUAUGUUAAAAAAAUAUAAAACAACCAUUAUUCUUCAGUAUCUUAAUAAUUUACCAAUCAAUAAUUUUUUUAGUAUUAUAUAAUAUAAUAUAUUCAUUAUAAUAUUUAAUUUAAAACUUUCAGGUCCAAAGUAAAACUUGGUUAAAAACUUAAAGUUCAGAAGAUUAUAGGAAUCCUCAUGUUCGAUUUUUUUUUUUUUUAUAUAUAUAUAAGUGCAAACAAGUCCUUGUAUGCAGCUAGUAGGAGCAUCUUAAAUUCUCAACUCCUAUAAUUUAUGUGGAGACGAUGGAUUCCCUCAUGAAAACAGAAAAAACGUGGGUUAAUUGGUUGAUGCAACCUCAUCUUAAUUUCUCUCUCUCUCUCUCAUGAAAACGACCCAUAUUUUAUCUUAUCGCAAACAAAUUGUGCAAAUAAUAAUAAUUUUUGGUGGAUGAUCUGGCGCAAAAGAAACGACAUAAUUUUUAUGAACCAUUCAUUUGACCCUUUUGUGAUAAUUAGACGAAUCCGAAAAGUGAGCCAAAAAUGGAUUGAGUUUUGCUCCUUUUAGUUACUUGAUCUCGAGUGAAGAGUAGAAGUAGUAAUUUUUCUACCACUUUUUCUGUUUGCUUUUAUUUGUAUUUUCUGUUUUGUUUACCUUUAAUAUUUUCCCAGGCUAUGUUGCCUCAACCCCUGUAGCCAAAUUUAUUUGCUAAAUGAAAACAGAUAGCGUGCUAUAUUUUUCUCAAAAAAUAAUAAUAAUAAUAGAAAAAAAAAGGAUUCGCUAUAGAUAAAUAUAUGGAACACGGACAUAUAUGAUACGCACGUACGAAGUGGUAUUUUUGGGAGCUCGAUCACCUUAGAAUUUGGUUCGAAUUUUUUAUUUUUCUUUUUUAUAAAAAAAGCAAAAGCUACGUACGGUCUAAAGUGAGAGCCACCAGUAUGUACGUGCAUGAUUCGAAAUUCCAUCGAAAAGAAGCAUUGCUUUUGCUAGAUUCGGUUCCUCGAUUUUCUUUAUCAAAAUAAUCUGAUAUACUAUAAAAUAUUCAAAUUAAUAUCAUUAUUUAAUUAUAAAUUUGUGUUUUUUGAUAGACUUAUUGACCGUCUACAUGCAUAAUUUCUAAUGAUAAUGUUUUAGUUUUAGAUAAUAAGAGCAUUUCAAAAAAUAUAUUCAUAUAUUUACCUGUGAUUUUGUUCCAUUAUUCAUUAAUGCAUCCUACCAUUUUAUUAUAAAAGUCUCAAAAAUAAAAAUUAUUUUUCUAUCAUGUUAAAAAAUCUACGAAAAUAUAAGUUCUAGGUGUUUAUUUUGAUCUUAUAUAUGAAUCAAAUAUUAUCUCCCUCUACACUCUUGCUUUUUUGAACUAUCGAAAUGUACAGUGAAUACAUUUUUACAUAAUUAUCUUUUAGAUAUCGAAAGCUUGAUGAAUGCAAUAAUUUCUCCUACAAUGGCAUCAAACUUUGUUAGACUCAUCAUGAAAUUUCGAGGCCAAGUACAAAUAAUUUUCCAACAAAACCAACAUCACACUUUCACAUAGUUUUUUUUUUUUUUUUUAGAGAGAUAGGUAAUAUGCUACCCACUUCGUUUAUUUUAUUUAAAAAUAAAUUUUGCUGAAAAUAUGAAUCAACUAGAAUUCGAACUUGAAAUCACGGGUACUAACCAUCAAACUUUUUACCAUUUGUUAUAGGGACAAUCGGCACACUUUCAUAUGGUUAAACACUCGAACUAAUCCAUAAUAGUUUCCGCAUGCGACAUUUCCUAAGUUGACCCAUCACCUUAAACGCAUCACAAAAGUGUUCUGGUAAAUUAAUAUAUAUUUUACACACACGUAGAACACACUCGACACCUGCACGUACUUAAUUACAUGAUACCACGAAUGUGAAAGCAUUAAUUAUAUGGAUGCCGAUUUGAGUCCAUCUCUCGAGCAUAUGCUUUUGUUGGCUUUGAUCAGUCAAAUUGUCUUUUCUCUUCUUUUUUUUUUAUUACAAAUUCGCAACAAGUGAUAGUAAGGCAGUGUUUGGUUCGUCGUAAAACCAUUCCGAAAAUUUUUUUUUUCGUUGAAAAAUGUAAAUCUAGUGUUUGUUUGCCCGUAAAAAUUUUUUUUUCGAAAAAUCUUUUUUACGGAUUGUGAGUAAAAGUAGAGUUUUCGUUUUCCGCUAGAUUCGAGCUGAAAACAAAAUAGGCACGGCGUUGGGCACUCCGCGCAGCGGAAGAAAUUCAUGCGGUCCACGAAGUCUGCUCCACCUCGUGGACCACAUGAGGACCUCUCUCUCUCCGACUCUCCAUAUAUAUAUAUAUAUAUAUAUAUAUAUAUAUAUAUANAUUAUAGUAAUUUAUUAUAUAAUAUAUUUUAAAUUAUAUAAUAUUUUAUUUAUAAAAAUAAAAUAUAAUAUUAAUAUAUAUGUAAUAUGAUAAUUAUUAUAUAUUAAUAAUAUAUAAUAUAUAAAAUAAAUAUAUUUGUAUAUAUAUAUAUAUAUAUAUAAUAAUUUUUUAUUUAUAAUUUUUUUUUCUUUCUUUUAUUUUUACGUUCAACUAAUCAACCUUUACCGAAAAUUAUUUUUCUUUCCUACGAAUCAAACACUAACGAUGUAAAAAAAUUUUUCCUCCGAAAAUUUUUUUCUACCGAAAUUUUUUUCCACAGUUUUACGUGGAACCAAACACACCCUAAACUGCAAAAAUAACUGUUGAGCUCUAGCGCGUGUUGCGUGUUGCUAACAACUCUGGAGGGUAUCUUGGGAUUUUGGAUUUAAGUUACAUUUACUAAUAAAAAAUAUAAUUAUUUAAUGCACACACGAUUUUUACUUCAAAAAAAAUUUUAAUUCUUAAGGUGGGAGUUUGAUCCGAACUCUAUAGUACUCCCCCCCCCCCCCCCCCCCCCGUCCAAAAAAAAAAAAAAAAAAAAAAAAAUCUCUUGUCUUCUCAGAUAAUUAAUUAUAUAGUAUAUUAGAAAUGGGUCUUAAAACUAGCUACUUCUUGGAAAAAAGAAAGGGGGGGGGGCAAAGUAAAAGCUAAAAGACAAGUUAGAACUAAUGGCCCCAAAGAUUGGCACAAAAUCACAUGGUGGGUGUUUCCAUCAGCAGACAAAAAGAUUAACAAGAAAAUUCAUCAUUUAAAAUUUUGGUGAUAGAAAAGUAUAGAGAAAUGCUUGGGGGACCCAUUUUUAGGUGCCCCAUUAUAUUAUUGAUGAAUUAACUUCUACAUAUGUAUAUAUAUUAUAUAUGUAUGUAUGUAUGUAUGUAUGUAUGUAUGUAUGUAUGUAUUUAUGGAGGAAUUAGGGCUUAAAAUUUAAGGUACAAUGAUUGCACUUAGAAUUUAACAUUUAAAAUUUAGUAAUUAAUAAUUAUAAUGUAAUGAUGGUAUAUUGUCACAUUAUCAAUAAUAUUGCAGGAUGUAUUGUAGUAGCACUUGAAGGCCCACUUUUUCAUGUAUUUGUAUGGAUCAUAUCUUCCUAAUAAUUACAUAUUAAUUAUCUGUUCUACAUCUAGUAUUUUAUUUUUUAAACUUUAAUUUAUUAUUCUUUAGUCUUAAACAAGAAAAUGGGCUCGUUGUAUCGAUCUAAGUUUUACCAUUAUUUUUCGCUCUUAAAUAAUGUGAUUAAGCACAAGGAAUUACUCGAGUGGUACGAAAUGGUUUGACGGAUAUACAGUAAGAAAGUGAAGACAUAAUAAAUCAAAGUUUGACGGAUAGUAAGAAAACUAAGACAUGAUAAAUCAAAGUUUGACGACUAAAUGUGCAACCGACACAAUAUUUUAAUAUAUACAUGUACAGGAUCAUCAUACUUCACCAUUACAAUAUUAAACCAAAAGUGAAACUAUGUAUAGCUUUGUCCUCAUUUUAACUUUGUAGCCGAGUGUAGGUGGGCAAUACCAUCAAUAGGUUUCAUGAGCUUUCGUUCUCCGCAUAACUGUAACGCAAUUCCACCUAUAGUUUUCAUGUCUCUUAAUCACAAAGAAGUCGAUCCUCAGAAGCCCUUGCAAGCAAAUAAUGUGAAAUGACAUCUUUGGAACACUUCAAAUUAUUUGAAGCAUCGUCCAAUUUAUAAUAUCAUUAAUUAGAAGGAGCACCUUCAAUUAUCCUCCUGCAGAAACACACAAAAACGUGCAUCUUAAUUAAAGUAUACUAAAUUUUGCGUAAUUCGCGGCAUUUUUAGCUACUGGUGACUACAUUUUGAUCGAGCGAAAGCGGUGUUUUCGGAAUUACUCGACUUGUCGAUCGGGCGGGUUAAGUUCCACUAAAAUCAAAGUUUGAUAGUACUUCUUUAUCUUUCUUAAAGGGUAUUGUUAGGCUGUCGACGUUAUGUAUUUGCGUGGCCUGUUUUUCAAAAUAGUGGAGAAUUAUUAGAGAGUCAAACUCAACUUAUGAAACAAUUAUUGUACUUUAAAAGUUCAAACUGAUAAAAAACGAUAUUUAAAUAUUUUUACAUUUAUUUUUUUUUUUUUUAUGUCUGGACUCGAGACUUUUUGUAGUUUUACGGUUUAAACUGAUAGAAAAUAAUGUUUAAAUAUUUUUAUUUUGAACAUUUUUUCUCACGUGUGUGGACUUGAGACUUUUUGUAGGCCCGUGACAUGGACUUAUUUUUUAGAAUAGUAGAGAAUUAUUAGAGAGUCGAAUUCAGGUUGUGAAACGAUCAUUGUACUCUAUCAAGUACUAGAUCUAAAAGUUUAAGUUGAUAAAAAAUAGUGUUUAAAUAUUUUUAUAUUUAACACUUUUCCUUAUGUCUGAACUCGAGACUUUUUGUAGGUCCACAGUUUAAGUUGAUAAAAAAUAAUAUUUAAAUAUUUUUAUAUUUAACAUUUUUUCUUAAGUAUAGGCUUGAAACUUUUUAUAGGUUUAUGACAUAGACUUGAAUUAAAUGGGAAAAAAUUAUUAAAAAAAUUAAUAAUGCUACGAGCCAUACAUUAUUGGAACUCAAAACCUUCUAUUUUGAUAUCAUAUGAAACAAUCGUUUAUACUCCAAAAACUUAAACUGAUAAAAAAUAAUAUCUAAAUAUUUUUAUAUUUAACAAAGCUGUGUUUAUGGAAUGAAAAUAAGUGCGAGAGCUAGCUUUAAACCAUAAACUAUAGAUAUAUAGUUUGAAUUUUCUAUUUUUAGACAUUGAGUUUUACAUGAUUAGUUGAUUAAAAUAUUUUAAUCAAAGAGGGUGAUCAUAAGUUCCGAAAUGAUCCAAAUUUAUAUCAGUUUGGAAGUAACAGUGGCAAGAUCGAAAUAAUCAAAAUUUAAUUGACUUGUGUUCAACAAGUACUAAAAAAAAAUAAAAAUUGAGAUAAAAUAUGAGAUUAAAUAUCAUUGUAUUCAAAUACAUGAUAAACCGAAUUAAAUUCGCGUUUUUGAUCUAGUGUACUUUUGAAAUUACUUGGGUAUGUAUAAUAUCUCCACUCAUAUAGUGGAGGUGCUGUAUAAUGUGCAUGGUGAUGAAGCACGCACCCGCGUGAUUUUUAUGCGGGAAUUAAGUCGAUCUAUGCGAGAAAUUAGGUCAACUAACCAAAGAAGCCAUGGUAGAUGAUGAACUUAACUUUUGUACCGACUGUUCCUAGAGCAAGUGGCAAAAGGCUCGACGGUUGGUAUCUGAGGCCUCAAGUUCGAAUUCUAGUUGAUUUACAUUUCCAGCUAAGUUUGUUUCUAAAUGAAAUAAACGAAAGAGAUAGCGUGCUACCUAUCUCUUAAAAAAAAAAAAAACUUUUGUUGCAAUAGUAGGUUCGUGAGAACACCUAACCAUAUUUUGCUCAGUACAUUUUUUUUCCACAAAAAAAAAGUUGGAAAUUAGUGUGACUUUGGGUUCACGAGUCACCAUCGAAAAUUCCUUUGGUCCCCUCUAUAUAUAAAUAUAUAUAUAUAUAUAUAUAAAAGUUGGACUGGGCUACUAUUAAUAGUAAAAUCUCAUUGUUGCUAUCAGUUUUUUAGUCUUUGGAUCAACUUUUUUUCAUUAUUUCUAACAAUUGGAUUAAAUACUAUAACCCAGUGGGGACCACUCAACUCUAACCGACUAACAUCAUCCUAACCCUACAAUUUUUCAUCCAAGGAUUAAAAACUUGAUAGCAAAAAGAGUGUUUUACUAUUAAUAGUAUUCCAACCUAAUUCUAUAUAUAUAUAUAUAUAUAUAUAUAUAUAUAAGUAAUAGGAGCCACCGAGGCUAACUACAAAAAUCCUUUUGGGGGCGCUUCAAAGGUCAAAAUGUAUAGUAUCAGUAAACUCCCACAAAAGAUAUGUCCAUUGUAAACCCUUUUUCAGAUAAAUUAAACUUUUUUUUUUUUUGAGAGAUAGGUAGCACGCUACCCGUUUCGUUUUAUUUCAUUUAGAAAUAAACUUAACUGUAAAUUUGAAUCAACUAGGAUUCGAACUUGGAUCUCGGGCAUCAACUACCAAACCCGUUGCCACUUACUCUAGGGACGGUCGGUCAGAUAAAUUAAACUACUAUCAGUAAAUUUGUUACAGUCACGAAAAACAUGAUGGAAUUAUGCUGCAUUUUUUGUAUUAAUGUGUGUAUUUGCUACUCGUGUCGUGUUUAAUUUUCUGUAGAACCUUUUCAUCUAUCUAUUAUAAUUUAGGUUAGGGGCAUCGAAUUUUGAUGGCAUUUAGUUGGGUUCAGAUUUUAAUUCUAUAUCCGCGUGUUGACCGAGUUCGGACCCGGUGAUCAGAACCUGAUCCAAAUUCGAAAUUUAACAAACUUAAUAAAAAAAAAAGAAUAGCCAAAUUACUAGACAACAUAUAAGUUUUACAAAUAAAAUUACAGGGUACCAACUGAUCAUCGCUAGCGUGAGUGACAAAAAAUUUAAUGGUCGAUACCAAAGAUUCUAAAUCUAAAGUCUAAUUAUUUUAUAUUUUUAGCUAAGCUCAUUUGUAAAAUAAAUAAACAAAGUAGUAACAUACUACUAUAUAUUCUCUCGAAAUUACUAGUACCAACAUGAAAAUACACUAUUGUACAUGACUCACGUCAUGUUUCAUAUAAGAGCAAUGCUAUCUACCGUCCAUAUAUAGCACAGUUAGCUAGGAGCUUAGGGUGCGUUUGGUUCGCGCUAUCUUUUAAAAAUUUCUAGUAAUUCAAUGGGAAUAAAAAAAUAUGACGGUGUUUGGCUAAACGCAUUAAAUAAUCUAGUUGGUAAUAUUAGAUUCACUUGGGAAUAAGAUUCACCCCAAAGUACUAAGCUCAUUCCCUUGAGAGAUGGUGGGUAUCCUCAUAUAAAUGGAUUGGGAUAAUCAUAAUAUGUCUAAUCUCUUUCUUUCUUCUUACCCGCCGGGUAAUUGAUAUUAUUUUUCUUUACACUCUGACCUUAUAUUUCUCUCUAAACUUAUUUUUCUCUCUAAAAUUCAACUUUUUUUUUCUCUCUCUCUCUCUCUUUCUAAAAUUUCAACUCUUUCACUCCCUCUAGUUUCGACUAUAUUUUUCUUUCUAUUUUUUUAAUUAUGCUCUCUCUCUCUAACUUAUACUCUCUUUUUUUUUUCUAAAAAGAUGUUGAAACUUUUGGUAACAUUAUCUAAAAUUAAAUAAAUAAAUAAAUAAAUAAAUUGUAUAUUUUUUGUAAUAUUAAAUAACAUGGCUAAUUAAUAUUACCGUGCGAACCAAACACAGAAAUUCCACAUUCUUAAUAAUAGGAUGAAUAGAAAUAAGAUUCUCGGAUAUCUUUUAUUCCUAGUAAUCUUUCAUAGUGCGAACCAAACGCAUCCUUAAUGGUAAGUACACGUGCUAAGUUCAAAAUCUAAUUGAUUCACAUUUCUAACUAAAUUUAUUUUUUUUAAAAAAAGAAAUAAAGUAAACAACUUGCUUCAUUUUUAAAAAAAAAAAAAAAAGAAGCAAUGCUACUUGUACACCCGAAAUAUCCAAAAACCUUUUUUUCCCCUUAUUAGUCUGAUUAUAUUUUUUUACUAGAUUCUUUUUUUAAGAUUUUGUACAAUCUAAGAUGAAAAAGACAAAAUUAUACCUGAGUGGAAGCUGUGCAAGGAGCAUUGUCUUGCAUAUAAGGAUGCAUAUAUAGUGAUUUGACAAUAGUGUGCAUAGAUUCUUGUUUAGGAUCAUCAUGUACAUGAAGGAGUCGAACACUUACAUACACCUACACAUGAAAGGGAGGACUCAUAGCCAUCCAUGCAUUAUCUCCCUUUUCGACACCACCACUUUGGAUCGCCAAAAAAACAGAACUUGUGCUGGUGCAUGAAUAUGUUGCUUGGUUUGAAAACAUGCAAAACGUAUUGUGCAAAAUUAUUUCGACUCAUCAUUACAAGGUAAAAGUAUUUUCCUCGUCAAAAAGUAAAGGUUAAAGCAUUGGCCAUGGAUCGACGCCACCUCUACACUCAAAAAAGUAUUUGUUAUGGAUCCACGCCGCCACUACACGCUCAAAAGUUGAUGUUUAUAUACAUAAAUACCUCGCAUCUUCACUGUUCCCCGGUCAACCUUUUCAUACUUUUCCUAACAUUUUUCUCUUUUUUUUUUUUUUUUUUUUGAUGUUUGCUUAAAUUUUAAACUUUUAAAUGACGAAAGCAUAAGAUAUAUACCUAAAAGUUAGAUGGCCAAUUUGUAUAAAAAAGGGUAAACUUUAAAUACCCCUUGUGGUUUCAUAUUUUCUCACUUUAGUACCAUGUGGUUUAAAGUGUAUCAAGUUAGCUCCUAUAGUUUCGCAUUUUCUUAUUUUAAUACCCUGUGGUUUAAAGUGUAUCAAAUUAGUACCCUGUGGUUUUAUUUUUCUGUUUUUAUUAUCCAUUUCACUAAUUUUUUUUCGUUAAAUUAGUGACAAAGUUAAAAUUAAAGGAUACUAAAGUUAAUAUCGAUAAACCUAGGUAGAGUAUCUGACGUUUUUUGUAUAUAAUUUAACGAAAUAUUAACAAAAGAAAAAAAAUCAAUGACAAAUUAAAACUAAAGGGUACUAAAAUAAAUAUUCGAUAAACCUAGGCAAUGUAUUUGAAGUUUUUUGCAUAUAAUUUAACGAAAUAUUAACAGAGGAGCCGAUGAAAAGAGAAAAAAUGAAACCACAUGGUACUAAAUUGAUGCACUCUAAACCAUAGGGUACUAAAAUGAGAAAGUGCUAAACCACAGCAUACUAAAUUGAUACACUUUAAACCACAGAAUACUAAAGUGAAAAAAAUAUGAAAUCACCGACCGUCCCUAGCGCAAGUGACAAAAGGGCUUGGUGGCUGGUACCCAAGACCCAAGUUCGAACCCUAGUUGAUUCAUAUUUCCAGCUAAGUUUAUUUCUAAAUGAAAUAAACGAAGCAGCUAGCAUGUUAUCUUUCUCUCUCAAAAAAAAAAUGUGAAAUCACAAGGGUGGUAUUUGAAGUUUGGAGAUUUUGUGAAGAUAGGCCAUCUCUUUGAAUUUUACAGAUUCGGACCAAAUUUUUAAACAACUGAACAAAAUACUCUUAUUUUUUUUCUCUCUCGUUCUUUUUGCUCUCUCCGACCUUUCUUCACUGUCUCCAUGGCCCUCCACGAUACUAACGAGCGCAGCAUCACAUCCUCUUCCUCCGCCACCGCCUUUGCGGCCCUCUGCGACGGUAACGAGGACAUCGCCGCGUCCUCUUUCUCCGCCUUCGCCGAUGCAAGCACUGACGCCACUACAACAAGAAUGAUGUAUAUCGACACUUUUAAAUGUCUGUACAGAUAAAAAAAAAUGCUGCUGGUUAAAUUACCGAUACUUUUUAAAAGUGCAUGUUGCUAUAUGUGAGGUCGCUAUAUAUGGGGCCGCCUUAAUGUUUGACACCCACUCUUCCAGCAACCUGUGGUGGAGGGACAUUUAGCGAUCGUAGCCCUUUAUGGACCCUACGAGAUCUACACGAUCAAACUCGAUCCAGCCGCCGGAACCCUACCUCAUUGGCUGCAGCGGCGGAGGAAGAGAAUGGGAGAUAAUGAUCAAUUUUUCUUUUUCUUUUUUUCCUUUUCUAUUUGUAAUUGGGCCAAGUAGGCUGGGUGGGAUUGGUUGAGUAGCUUUUUAUUUUUGAUUAGAUUAGGCUUUAUAUUUAGGCUUUAGUAGAUUUUUUUAAAAAGUUUUAGCAUAAAUGGGACGCUUAUAUAAAAGUGUCUCAAAAAUAUGUCCCUAUAAUCUAAUUCUGGCACUAGAGGAGGAAGAGGAUUCGGAGUGAGCGCAAGUGAGAGCGGAGCAAAUGGAGGCAAUGAGGUUGUGGUCUUGCCAGUGCUCGCUGUCGCCCAUGAGGGUGAGGAUAAAAAUCACACUCUUCGAAAGCACCCUCGCCGGAAGCGCUUUUUGGAGAAACGUGGGCGCGUCUUCGUCCUCACUCUCAUGGGCGACAGCAAGCACUGUCUGGGCCACGAUCUGAUCGCCUCUGUCCAUCUUUUUCAAUUUUACAGAUUCAGACCGGAUAUCCAAUGUACCUCUAUAAACGGUAAUAGUAAAAAUAUUAUUAUCUAGAAAAUGUAUUAGAUAAGAAAGAAUCGAAUCAGAAUCCUUUCCGAUUCAAAUGAUUUUACUGUUACGUGCUCACACCGACACACGUGACGCUGCUAUGUAACAUCAAAAACAUAUUAAUUGCGAUCUUUCUCUAAAGUUUAGAUGAAAUAUUGUUUAUAGGUCCCUAAAAGAAACUUUACUUCUCACCUCACUUAAACCGAUCACACAAAUUAAAAACUAUGCAUGGAUGUAGCUAAUACAAGGGGGAAGCACGAUCUAUCAUGCGCAAUAACUUAAUGUAGAUAAUAUUAGUGAACAUCGGCUCGUUUCAUGCCCUCUAGGACUUUUUCUGCUUGUAGUAUAUAUAUAUAUAUAUUCAUAUAUAUAUAUAUAUAUAUAUAUAUAUAUAUAUAUAUUUUUUGAGCCCGGUUGUCUUACGCUGUCAGUUUAGUAGCUUUAUCAUUUAAAUAUACAUGAAAGGGGGUAGCAUGCUACGUGUUUCUCAAAAAAAAAAAAAAAAAAAAUGACAGAUAAAAAGAUUUAGAGAGUUUUGUUUUUAAAAAAAAAAGUACACAAUAUGCAUUGUGUCAUUUUGAUUACUAUUUUGUCUUUUAAUUGCCCUUCCUUUUAAAUAACCCCCUGUUUACACUCUCCAAAUGUUGUCAUAUUUAUGGGUUAAUUUUGUUUAUUACAACAUUUCUGCAAUUAAAUUUGUACAUUAUAUUAAUAUAAUAAUUAAAUCUCCAACUCCUAGUCCUAUCUAGCUUUCGCAUUCAUUAAUUAUGCACAUGCCUAAAAUAUGAAAUAUAUUUCAAAAAUAAUAAGCGUAGAAAUUGAAUUCGAGAUCUCUUACAAAUGAAAGGGCUUAAUUGUAGUGAGACGCACACUUAUUCCUACUCGUUUGUCACUACUUUCUUUUACUAUAUAAGUUCAUGAAACACGCACAUUGACUAGUGUGAACUAAUGGAAAUUUUUAUUUGUUUGGUCUUCAUCAUGUUGCUAAAAGUUCCGAGUAGCGAUCUUCUAAGAAGAGUCGCAAAUGAGAAAAAUCAACAAAUAUACCAGAAUAGAAAGCAACCCGAAGAUGGAUAUUCACAGGCGGAAAUUACUCUAGCUAGUAAUUCCAAAAUAGUAUAAGCCUACACAUACAUCAAAUUGUAGUUUAAAAUGUUCGUAUGAAUCAAUUUUACGUGCAUAACAGGAGGAGAUUAGUUUAACUUCUUAAAUUUUAAAGAUAACAGCUUAUAUGGACAUCAACUUCGAUAAGCUAACCACAGACUAAUUACUAUUGUGUGUAAAACUGAUCCAUCAAUAAUAUUCUGAGUUACAAUUUGAGAUGCAUCUAACGUUACUCUUUCCUACAUCUGUCUUGAUAUGUAAACUUCUUUGGAGCAUUUAAAUUCUAAGUGUUCUACCUACCAAUCUAAGUCAACAUUAAUUGAGAGGGGCAAGGGGGGACUUUUUUUUUUUUGGGAGCAGUAUAAAGGACAAGUAUUGGGUGAAGUUAAAGGUUAAUUAAUAAAAGUUUACAUUUUUUUGUGAGCCCAAAUUAAGCAUAUAUACACAGGUUUGUGUUUAACCAAGCACAAGUAUUAGGUGAAAAGAUUAGUUAAUUAAUUAAUAAGCCUUCUCAAGAACUCAAUAAGGAUCGAUUUCAUUUCAAACUUUAAUGAACCUGUUUAUUUACAAGAUCUAACCAAGUUUACUCCAACCUCAACUCUUGAAACUGGACCUGAGCUUGAAUCUACUAAUGUAAAUGUUCGAAUAUAUAUAUAUAUAUAUAUAUAUAUAUAUAUAUAUAUAUAUAUAUUGAAGUUUACUAUUUCCGCUCAUCCUUGUUGAAUAUUUUAGCAUCUCUUGCUCUAGUACCAUAUGGAAUAACCGUUCUUUUAUAAAGUAACUAGUAUCAAGUCAUACUCAAUAUUUUUUUUUAAAAUUGUAACUAUAAUAUUGGGAAUGAAAAGUGCUGAUGACCCUAUAGAAAAUUCAUAAGGCAAGAGAUUUGAUAAUUCAAGUUUUUACAGCAAAAAAAAAAAAAAAAAAAAAAAAAAAAGCUCAAAUGUCCAAUACAACAAAACUUACAUGUAGAAACAAUUUUAAGUUGCCCCAAGCAAUUAAAAGGCAUAUUUUCUUGGGCCCCUCUACUUGAAACAUGUUGGGCCUAUGUUUUUGGCUGUGUGAUUUUCUUACUCUAGAGCUCAAGAACAUGUUCAACAUUCUUAAAUACCAUUUUUUCACUCUAAACCUGAUUCUAUGGUUGAAUCAUUUGAUUUACCCAAAACUAGGGUAAAAUACUUUAGUUACGAUAUGUAGACGCAGGCCCUCACAUCGAAUAAAAUAGUAUCAUUCAUAGGACAUAGACCUGACCGAACGCCGGGUCAUAUCGGAUCAGAUUUAUCUUCAGGCCCAGAAUUUUGCGCCGAGACGAAUAAUAAAACUAUAGGCGACGGCCGAGUCAAUCAAAGAAAAGGCGAGCCUGGUCCUAACACCCAGAUAUUUUUCAGCUCUCUUAGUCGACCAAUCGAGCUGGGCUGGGCCCAAUCACAAAAGAUUAGGCCAAAUGGGUCGGGCAAAUUUUGCGCCAAAUGGGCCAUUUGUUGACGUGUCGUAGCUCACGUCCAUUGGGCGGACCUUUAGACAAGGUUUUUCUUGAGCUUUCUUAGUUUUUUUUUUAGAGAGAAAGAUAGUAAUAUAGUAUACUAUUCGAUUUGUUUAUUUUUUAAAAAAUUAAAUUUAAUUAAAAAUAUAAAUUACUAGAAUUCGAAUUUGGGACCACAGGUAUCAACCACCAAACCCUUUGCCACUUGCGCUUUAGACGGUCACUAGUUUUGUAUGCUUUUUAAUUGAUAAAUUGUAUGCUUGGUCCUCAAACUUUCCUAAAAAAGUUUUAUUUUCAUUCAUAAUUCUUUAUUUUUUUAAAAAAAAAAGUCAUGCAACACAUUAAACUUGUAUGAAGGUUUAUACAGAUCGUUCCGUAGGAUCGAUGGCAUACCUAACGUGGCUAGUUGCAAAGCAUGAGUUUUUAAAAUUUUUUCAUGUCAAAUUUUAUUUGCUGUUGAAAUUUUAAAAUGUUUAUACAACACCUUAUCCACUUAAAAAGUUUUACCAAUUAAAGUGAACAAAUAUUAUACUUAGGAAAUAACAAAAAUUUAUUAACCAGCAAAUUUUGGUUAAAAUAAAACACGACAUUCCACCAAAAAAGGAGAGCCUGUUUAGUUUUUGAGAAAAGCUACCACUUUUGGUAAAAAAAAAAAAGAAGAAAUAUUUGGACACCAUUUAAAGAUAAACUUAUAAAAUUUAUAUAUAUAAUAGAAACAGUGUGAUAUACCCAACAUAUAUACGUGUAUGUGUGUGUGUGUCACUUUUACCAUCACAUACUAUUUCUCAUUAUCCAAAAACCAACUAAUAGGAUUCAAGUAAAAAAAAAAAGAAAAAGAAAACUGAAUUCUCAGCCACUUAUUUUUUUUCUCAGAGGCAAAACCGUAAAUUCACUCAAACUCAGCUUUCAAAAAUGUAAAAUCAUAAAACUAAGUGCAUACCUAUUUUAUCAAAAAUGGAGCAGGAUAAAAUUAAUUUCAAAAGUCCAUUUCUGCAGUUUAGUUCGACGUAAAUUAAUUAAACAUACUCAUAACUUCAUUUGUCUAAUAAUAAAUUUUAUUAUAAAAUAUAAGUAAAGUUAAUUACAAAAGAAAAAAUAGAUAAUAUAAUAAAAAUUAACUAUUAUUUUGCUUUUACACCCUCUAAUAUACUAGUCUUAUAAUUUUUAAUAAAAUAAAUAUAAGAUAAUUUUAUAAAAUUUAGUUUUAAUAAAUGUUAUUUUCAAUACGACAAUUAUUUACGGACAAAUAGAUAUGCCCUCACGAUGAAAUUAUCACGCCACUCGUUCUCAGCGAGGGCACAAUAGUCAAUUCACCUGCUAAACGACGUCAUGUCCAUGCCAAACGGAUGCUUUGAGGGCAAAAUCGUAAAGUUAAGCGACAAUCAUUACGCCCGCACGACCACACAUUCGCCCCGAGGGUAAAAUCGUAAAUUGGCCGGAUAAACGGGGCCCAUUCGACACGGUCGGGAAGGGGGCGCCCGUGCGACGGAUUUAGGUUUCCGUUUUUUAUAAGUAACAGGGGAGGCGCGCACGUUAGCAAGCGAACCCCCCGAGGCUCCACUCUCUCUCUCUCUCUCUCUCUCUCUCUCUCGCUCGCUCUUCCUCACCCCUUCUCUCUCUCCCUCUCUCUAUAUAAAACCCUCCAAUGGAUAGCCGCCACUAAACCCCAAGCUCGGAUCCUCUCCACCACGCCUCUCUCCGCCGCCGCCGCCGCCGCCAUCUUCGCCGCCGUCGCCGCCUCCGGAGAAGAGGGAGAGAGGCUCGGGGGAUGGAGGAGGCCGCGCUCUGAUCCAGCUUCGCACGAGAUCCGAUACCCUCAUUCGCCCCGGCCGGCGAAGACGACGGAGACGAUUUUGGUGAGGAUCGCGGCACCUAGGGUUUAGUUUAGUUUUAGAGGGGGGAGGGAGCGGGGCGGGGGGGAUUCGUCUAGGGUUUUUUUUAUCGUUUUGUGAUGGCGUCGGAGGAUGUGGUGGGGAAGAGGACGGGGGAGUCGGCGGUGAACACGAUCGUGAACCUGGCGGAGGAGGCGAAGCUCGCGAGGGAGGGCGUGAAGGCCCCCGGCCACGCCGUCCUCAGCAUCUGCAAGUCCCUCGUCGCCGGCGGCGUCGCCGGUGGAGUGUGAGCUCUCCGAUCCCCCUUCCCAUUUCCUCGAUCUUUGCUUCUUAUGUUUCCCCGAUUAUUUCGGUUUUGAAUCCUCUCUUUUGAUGCAGAGCUUGUGACUUGUAUUGAUUUUAUGCGUAACCAACCCUAACCGAAACUUGAUGCUUCUAUGCAGAUGACUUGUUAAUGUAUUUGUUUAUAGAAAUGCCAGUGUCUAUAGGGAUAUUUUGUUAACCUGAUGCGCAAUUUUUUGCAUAUAUUGACUGUGUCAGAGACAACCUCAUUGUAGGAGCGGAAAUAAUUGGCCAUGCUGUGGUAUUUUGAUGUCAUGCAACAUGGAGUCAAGCUUAUUUUAAUCUAUUUUUGGUGUUCGCGUCAAUAUUCUGGGUUGUUGUGACUAUGUCAUUAAGUACAAUUAAUUAGAAUUAAUGGAUGUGCCUGUACUGAUGGUUGUGCCUUACUUGUGGCUGAGAUGUAGAUGAAUAAUUUUGCUGUGCAUAGAUGGCUGUACUGUAUUUGUGGGUGGUAUGUAGAUGAAUAAUUUUGGCGAUUUGUGAAACUAAUUUGUUAAAGUUGAUUCGGGAAUCAAAUGGAUGUCUCCCGCUGUAAUUGGGGCGACUAGCUUGACACAAUCCAUACUCUCUGCAAAGGUCCCACAUAAUGCCAAAGCGUAUGAUAUUCAAUGCACAAAGUUUUAGAUAUUCAAUGUACAUACAAUCAAGUUUAUUAUGACUGACUCGGUCGAAACUAAAGUAACCCAAACUAGAUUCCUUUGGCUGCAAAAAUAUUACAGGUUUUGAAAGCCCUAAAUUUACGCCUUAUAUUUCCUUAAAAUUGGUGAUUUCUGAUCCAUGCGCCAUCAAAAAGAGGAAGAGGAAGUCUAAAUGACAUCAUCAAAUGUCAUUUAGAAAGAUAUAUGUCUAGGGGAGGAUAUAGCUCACAAUAGGAUUGUGUGGCUACAACUAAUAUGACCGUCAUGUACAACUUCUGAGGAUUUAUAUUGCGGUAUCGCCAACCCUAAUAUUAUGGGAUGAGUAACUGAGACAUUCUUGAUGUCUUGUUUGAUUGACUAUGAAACUAUGAAUAUUAGGUGUUCUCAUUGUCUCGUGUGCCAUUGCUUCUGUUUGUUUCUGCCUUCUACCAUACAAAUAUCUCAUGAUAUGGUGUUCUUCAUGCAGAUCGCGUACUGCUGUUGCUCCUCUUGAACGGUUGAAAAUCUUGCUCCAGGUAAAGUUGCGAGUUCUUAGGAUAUUAAAGUUGCCUUGUGUUCUAUUCCCGUUCCUUAAAUUGUAAAAAUUGCAGGCUAUUCAUUUUAGCAACUUGUAGGGUGCGUAUCAGCAUAGACAACUCUAUUUCGAUGUAUUGUUAGGUGAUAAUGUGACAUGGGAUUGUCCUUGGCGUAAGAGACAUUAGAUCUAGGUUGUUAAAGUACCAACAGGCAUGACUGCUGCCUUUCGUUCAAGUUUCGGCAAUCUAAUAUUUGUUUACCGGUUGUGUUGUUGUACACGCAGUAUUGGAUGGACUUUUUAUGAUCAUAUGACACUAUUAAUCGAUCUUAAACUCUAAACCUUAAACUUAGUCAAUGAGAUUAUAAUCUUCUUGCUAUUGUUCGUAACAGUUUGUUUAAUGCUAUAUUAUUGCAUUGUUAGGAAAUAACAAAUUGCAUAUCUGCAUGUAGAAACCCCCUUUCUAUCCAUUUUUGUUCUUUCAUUACUGGCAUUACCUUGAGUUCUGAGCUUAAUAGUGAGGUUCUGUGAUUGAAUGAAGGUAUUUGUUUUGUAAAAUUUGCUCCGUUGCUUUGUAGUGUUGCUAUAUCGUAGAGAGCUUUAGCAUUAUUUUGCAUUAUUGUAUUUCUGGAUGUCAAUCUUCUAACUGUGAACCCUUAGCUCAUAUUCCAUUCUAACUCUAUUUUUUGUCAGUUGUAAAUAUGCUGUUGGUGCAAAAUAGUUUUUAAUUUCUGGUCUUCUGUUUGUAAAUUUGUUCUAAAUUUUCAGUGUUUGUAUUUGUUAAACAUAUACUGUAGGUCCAAAAUCCUCACAGUAUCAAGUACAAUGGAACAAUUCAAGGUCUUAAGUACAUUUGGAGAACCGAGGGAUUUCGUGGACUUUUCAAGGGCAAUGGCACUAACUGUUUACGAAUUGUCCCCAAUUCGGCUGUCAAGUUCUUUAGCUAUGAACAAGCAUCCAGGUUGAUAAUAGCUUCACAACCUCCCCAUUUGGUUAAUUGGUCAAAUUAGUAAGACUUUUUUGGGCUUAAUGUUUCAGGUGCUUUUAAUCUCAUAAUGCUGUCACGUGCUCCCUUCUCUAGCUUGUUAGAGUACAAAAUGGGGCACAGAGCUUAAUAUUGACUCUAUUGUACAAAUAAAUGAUUCUGUUUACAAAACCCAGAGUUUGCUGUGCCUUUUCCUUGUUUCCAAAUAUAUGCCUCGCCUCCUCUCUAAGAACAUACUACCAUCCAUAUUUCUUACAUUUACUUGCGACACAGACUACUUUCCUUUUGCAAUGCAAUUUGUUUUCUUAAAUAUGUUGGUAUGAUUGGAGAAAUAUUGACUUUUAUCAAUGGGUUAUUUGCUUGAUUAAAAUGUCUUUUGUAACGAACUGACUAUGUUGCACAGAUACGUAUACGGGGAUACGGAUACGACACGAUAUGGAUACGGUGAUACGGCAAUUUCUAAAACUUCUAGGAUACGAUACGCGGGAUAUAUUUAAAUAAAAUAUUAUUUUAAAUAUAUUUAAAUGUAUGUUGAUUAUAUGUAAUGAUAUAUUGAGAACAAUUAGAAUAUCUAGACUAUAUUAAGGAAUAUAUUCUAAUAUGCAUUAACUUGUAUAAUUAUUCUACAUAUGUUCAUAAAAAAAUGAUAAUCAAUCAUAUAAAAUAAUAAUUCAAAAAGUAUCAAACCAACUAUCAUUCAACUUGAUCAAAUGAUAACAAUAAAUAUAUGGUCGCACAAACUAGAUAAUUAGCCAUUCAAUAUAUAUGUCUGAUUUGUUAGUUCUAUUAUGAAAAUAGUAAUAAAAAAAUAUGCUAACAAUUUAAUAGAGAAGGAAAAAAAAAAAAUCAUAUUUUCUAUAGCCUUUGUUGCUUAAUACUAGGUUGACAAAUUUGAUGGAAGAGAGUAAAUACUGUAUGAAGAUAGAACGAGAGGGAGCACCUUCUACCAUUCAAGAACAAAAAAUAGAUGAAAUGACAAAUUGAACAGAUAUUGGUGUUUUUCUCACUCUUUUCCUUCUUUCCAAUAGGUUUGGACGUGAGCUUUUAAAAAAAUUUUAAGUUUCAAUCAUUUUAGCCAAAAAAAAACCUGGCCGUGUCCCCCCCGUAUCCCCCCGUAUUCCUCACGUAUCCGAGUCGUAUCCGAUAUUUUUUUAUUUUUUAAAAAUGUCGGAUACUUCAUUCCCGUAUCGGGCGCGUAUCGGUAUCCGAUACGGAUACGGCAUGAAAUUUGAAGUAUCCGUGCUUCAUAGCGAACUGAGCAUAGUAGGUGAAAUUUCUGUGCAUGUGCUGCAUGUACAUAUAGUAUCUGCUUGUCUGCUACUUCAUAUGAUCAUCCAGCUGGUUAAAUAGUGAUACACGUUCCACCGGAAAUUCAUUUUUAUUUAUUUAUUACUCAAAAGAUAUAUACAUUCAAUGAUGUAGUCACUCUUCCCUGCAUGCUAAUACUUGGUAUUUGUAACAGUGCAAUUUUGUGGCUUUAUCGGCAGCAGCCUGGCAAAGGUAUGUCCUGUUUUCUGUUGUUUUCUGCUUUUGAUAUAUUUGUGACACCAUCUUUGGUCCUGGACUCUAGUGACUUCUGUAAAAAUUUCCCAUAUCUUGCAUGAAAUCUAGCAUUUGUUAUUUUCUACAUAUUUAUAUGUGCUUUCACCAGCACACACAAUUGCAUGGUGCUGUUGAACCUUUCGAAUGAACUUACAUGCCUAUAUGUACUUCACAAGAGCAUGAAAUUGUUGGGAACUGGCUCAUGACGUAUGAUUGGGCCAUAUCUAUUAGUAGAAAUAACAUGCCCACUUUACUCAUUCCUGAAUACUUGUGCAUAUGUGGACCUAAUGGCAAGUUUUCAGUAAAUCGUUAUGUACUUGUUAAACUUUGAUUUCCUUCAUCAUCUUAUUAGGAAGUGUCUAAUUUGCUAUUCUUUUUAACCUUCUGCAGAAGAUGCUGAGCUCACUCCAGUGCUGCGCCUUGGAGCUGGAGCCUGUGCUGGAAUCAUAGCUAUGUCUGCUACAUAUCCCAUGGACAUGGUUCGAGGAAGGAUCACCGUCCAGGUGCUGUUUAAGUUCACCAUCACUCCUUAUGUGUGCUUGUUAAUUUCGGCUAGUGGCCCAGAUCACUUCACUUAUACUUAAUAAUUCUCUCUCUCUCUCUCUGACCUUUAAAAAUUUUUCACCUCUUCUGCAGACUGAGAAGUCGCCUUACCAGUAUCGAGGAAUGCUUCAUGCUUUAGGCAUGAUCUACCGUGAAGAAGGCUUUCGUGCCCUGUACAGAGGCUGGCUUCCAUCAGUUAUAGGAGUUGUAAGUUCUUUCCGACAGUAUUCCCACUGUCUGCCUGGCUAGAAUCAUAUAAUCGAUUUCAAAACACCUAAAGAGUUGUCACUCAUAUUUGACACACCUACAUAUGUUGAGUUCAGCAAAGGAGACUAGCAUUGCUAAUACUUUUAUUGAUCACAGCAUUUUGGUUCAUCAAUUUACUUUUGAUGAGUUUCACAAAUGGUUUUUGCACGCUAAUCUAGUAUGUGUAUUAUAUGUAUAUUCAAUCAGAAUUCUAGGAACCCCAAUAAUGUACAUUUUGGUUACAUAGAUGAUUGGUCUGAAUGCAAAAUUAUCAAAUAAUUUACUUUGAAACAUUAAAAUUAAUUAUUAAGGAUGCUGAUCCUACUAUGCACUAGUUAUCUCAAGAGGAGGGCCUAGCCAUUUUCAUGCAAAGGAAAAUGAAUUUCAUAGUUGUUCUCCAUAGGCAAAUAAAAAGUUUUGCUCUUUUCUGGUUGUAAUUUACAUGUUUCAGAGCUUAAUUUCUGCUUGCGCCUACAGAUCCCAUAUGUUGGCUUAAACUUUGCUGUCUAUGAGUCGUUAAAAGACUGGCUAAUCAAGACCAAGCCAUUUGGUAUUGCUGAGAACUCAGAGCUGAGUGUGGUGACGAGGCUCGCCUGCGGUGCUGCCGCAGGUACUGUGGGUCAGACUGUUGCGUACCCUCUCGAUGUAAUCCGGAGGAGAAUGCAGAUGGUGGGUUGGAAGGAUGCUGCUUCCAUUGUGACGGCCGAAGGGAGGAGUAAAGAGUUACUGGAAUAUACUGGGAUGAUUGAUGCCUUCAGGAAAACCGUGCGUCAUGAGGGCUUCAGAGCAUUAUACAAAGGCCUCAUCCCCAACUCAGUGAAGGUAUUCUUUUUAUCACUUAAAUUGCUUGUCUUUCAACUACUCCUGGUUUGGUACAUUGGUAUCAGUUUUUGAUUUGGGUAAAAUUUCAGUUUUGGCGGUUCCACUGCAUGUCUGUAUUUGUUGAGAACUGAGUUUUCAGACAUCUCGAAGAGAAUUCAAAUAAAAAUGGGAAACAGAAUUGUGAUGAUAUUAAAAUGGCGGUGCAUUACAGCCCGUUUUGAUUUAUUUGGAUCUUUUGAGCUGAGCCUUCUUUAGAGCGAGUCGAGUCAAAACCAAAAAUGUUUCUGUUUCUCAUCAUAUUUAGCUUUGAAAGUUUGUAAUCGAAACCUUCAUAUCCUGAGUUCUGAUAUAUAAAACUCCAAACUGUCCUUACAAGCAGGCAUCUUGGUGCCUUUUGGGCUUUUUCGAAGAAUGCGGCAGUUUAUUCGGAGUUUAUUUUUGCCCUAAUAGAGCUCUUUCCGUUUGUUUUUCCAGGUGGUGCCGUCCAUUGCGAUUGCUUUCGUGACGUACGAGGCCGUGAAAGACAUUCUUGGAGUCGAAAUGAGAAUAUCGGACUGAAGUGCAAGGGUUACAAAUUCAACUGUAAUUUUUGCAAGUGGGGGCAGCCAUCAAGUGUUGUUUUCUAGGCGAACAGUUAGUUACCUAAGCUAGGAAAAAUAUGUCCGAGUAUAAAGGCCUCUCUGGCCAGUGUUGAUAUAUUUAUCCAGUACUUAUUUUGCAGCUCGAGAUCUUGAUUAACACCUCAAUGUUGUGGAAAUAAUAAUGUAGUUGCAGGAGCUUUUUGUAAUUUCGUUGGUAAUUUUAAUAAAUUAUUUCCUACGACACAUUUAUUUACCUGCCUUUUAUUCUUCUACGCCGGUCAUAUUAAUUAUGCAGGAAAUUACGAAAUCUUUAUCUACAUAGCUGUAUUCAUUCAGCACCAUUCAGCACCUUCCGUGUACCAUAAUAUAUGUCGCGCGGCCCGAAGCUUUGGAAUUUGCUUCAAAAGCCCCUAAUCUUUUAGUUCUAUGAUACUCCAUCAGAUUAUUGGUUACGUCCCACAUCUAUCCCUAAUUUUCUACGGGACUCGUAUACAAUGAUUAAAAAAAUUGAAGCAAGUAAGGUAUACGACCUUAUGCAUAAUCAUACAGGAAUUACGUUCAUCUUCUAUAGUAUUUACGUGUAUACGUCGUCACUGGGAGGGGGUAUUUGUACAAAUCAAAUGACUCUACAUGACACAAAGUGGAGAGACUAACAAUAUUAUCUUUAUAUCAAAAUGGUUUCGGGAUAACAAUGGGCCAAAACGACUGACCGCCCCUAGAGCAAAUGCCAAAGAGCUUGGUGGUUGGUACCUGAGGUCCCAAGUUCGAAUCCUAGUUGAUUUAUAUUUCCAGCUAAAUUUAUUUCUAAAUAAAAUAAACAAAACGGGUAGUAUCUAUCUCUCAAAAAAAAACCAAUGGGCCGAGACAGAAUUAUAACUCCCACAACCACUCAAACCGACGUGGAUUAUUACCAGGCGUGCUUGUUCGACGCAGGCAAAUGUUACUUGCGCCUAACCAUCAAUGACAUUAAAAAAAUGAAACAAGACAAUCACGACUUAAGUCAGCAAGCGAAUAACGAAUUCACGAGCACUUACACAUAUAGCCAUUCAAAGACUCGGGGCUAAAGAACGCGCAAAUAGAGAGAGAGAGAGAGAGAGAGAGAGAGAGAGAGAGAGAGAGAUCCGGAUAGAAAAUGAACGCAAUCAAAUUUCGGAGGAAGGAAGAUUGGAAGAGCACGAAUGAACUAACCUUGCAAAGAAGAAAAGUCUCAAACCAUUUGGAUGCCUUGCAGACUCGGAAGUUCCUGUGAACGAAUUGUACGUUUCGAUGAAGUGCAGUAUCAAUUUAGUUAAAAAAAAAAAAGAAAUAAAAGAAAGAAAGAUAGUUUCUAUACCUCGUUGUACGUCAGUUUUAGAUCCUAUCCCCCUCUUAGUAGCCAAAAUUAAAGUGAGAAAAGGAUAGGCACCACCAGCGAGUGAUUUACGAAUGCGUGAUUCUUUCAACAGUUUCAGAGAAGUGCUUAUGCAGGUGAUUGCAAAUUUCACGCUGGUGCUCAAACAAGAAGCACUUUUGGCUUAUUGCCUCUCUUUCCUUCUCAUUUCUAGCUACCAUUUCCUCUUCUUUCUAUUUAACCCUCCUCUUAAGCUCUGCCUCCUCUUCAUAAUCGUUGAGGAAAUGGCAGCUUUCAAUCUAACUUCCUCGUUCCUGUUCGUUUUUCUCAUUCUCUGCAUCCCCUUUCCGUUGACUGUGCUGGGCAUCCAACGAAGAUAACCUUUCACAAUCUUGAUCACUUUGUUGCCGCAGAGACUGCAAAUCUUUUUCUAUCCGAGUAAGCGUUUGGUUUCUCCGGAGGAGGUGGGACUUGAACCUUCGACACUCGCCGCAUAGCUUUGCAAUCUCUUUACGUGCACCAGCGUUCUCUGUUUCACAAAGUUCAAGUUUUUGUGCCAGUUCCUUGCUGCGCUUCUCUAGCUUUCUUACCUCUUCUUCUGCUUUACUCUUUUGGGUGGACAGGAGAUCAUCCUCCUUUAGGUUGAUCUUAAUCUGGCCCAGUACUGAAUUUUCAUCUCUCAACUGUUUCAGUUUCUUUUCUAGCUCUCUCAGUGUACUGUUCUCCUUCUUUAACUCGUCAACAAUCUUUGAAUCUUCACCUUUUGUUGCUUCCAGGUUUGAAGCAUCUUUCUCUUUAGCUUCUAGUCCACGCUGCAGUUUCUCGCACUUAGCCAACAAUUCCAUGUUCUCAUCCUCUUUUGCUUUUAAUUGCUCUUUUAGCUGCUCAGAUUCGAUCAUCAGGUUUUUUUUGGCGCUUUCAGCUUCACGCAGCUUUUCUUCUGAGAUCACAAUAUCUAAAUACAGGCCCGUUUUCUCUCCUUCUGCAGCUUUCAGCUUAAGAUUUAAUCUUUCAUUUUCAGAUGACAACUGUUCCGCCUGGCCUGAAUCAGCAAUCUUCUCAGCCCCCUUUCGCUUGAUCUUACUCUGUUUUAGUACUGAAUUCUCAUCCCUCAACUGUUUCAGUUUUUUUUCUUGUUCUUUCACAGUAAUCUCAGCCUUCUUUAACUUUUCUAUAUACUCUGAAUUUUCGCAUUCUGUUGCAUCCAGAGUACAUUUUAUCAGGGAAAGUUUCUUUUCUCUGUCUUCUAGUUUUUUCAGCAGUAUUUCAUGUUCAGCCCUCAACUUCAUGCACUCUACCUUUAUUUGCUCGUAAAGCUCGUAUAAUUUUCCUACUUUGUCCUCUUCUGGGGAAUCUAAAGAAUAAGCUUUAUCUUCUGCUUUUGUUUGCUCUUUUAGAUGUUUGGAAUCAAUUGAUGGGAUAUUUAUGGUGCUUUCAUCUUCUCGAAGCCCAAUUGCAGGGGUCAUGAUCUCUGAUUUUAAGCUCCCUUUCUCUUCUUUUGCAGUUCCCAGUAUAAGAUUUAAGUUCCUAUUUUCAGAUGACAACUGCUCAUUCUCUGAAGAGAACACCACAGUUUCCAGCUUAAGUUUUUCAGCAUGGUCCUUGAAGUCCUUCUCUAGCUUCAGAGUUUGAAUCUUCACAAAAAUCUCUUUCAACACAUCUUUUUGUUGCUUAUAGUUCAUACCAAGCUCACCGAUGCAGCAUUUAAGGUAUGAUAGCCGAGUUUCUUGAGCCAAGAUUUUGCUUGCUAGCGUUUCCUCCAAGUUUUUCAUCAGAAGCUUGUACUCCAAGCACCUCUGUUCAAGUUUUUUCACCUCUUCUUCUACUUCACUCUUCUGGGUAGACUGGAAGUGCGGCUCUUUUUGGAGUUUGUUUGCAUGCAUAGUGUUUUCAUCAAGUUUCUCCUGGGUAGCUUUCAAUCUGCUUUCUAAAUCAGAAUUUUUUCUGUACAAGUCUUUCUCUGAUUGCUGCAGUGUAGAAGCCUCCUUUCUCAUUUGCUCUAAUUCACCCUCAAGGUUCCUUAUUUUAGUGUCUGCCGAUGAUAAUUCUGAGGCACUCAUAUUUUUCCCUUCACGUAAUUCCAUGUUUUCCUUUUUCAGAUCAUCCAAGUGGGAAAUCGCUGUUUCCUGUUUCUGUAUUGCAGCACCAAGGUCAACCUGCAACUUAGUAUUUGCAUCCCUUAGCUGUUGUAUUUCAGCCUUGCACGAAUCAGCAAUCUUCUCAGCCUCCUCUAGCUUGAUCUUACUCUGGUUUAGUAUUGAAUUUUCAUCUCUCAACUGUUUCAGUUUGUUUUCUAGUUUUUUCACUGUACUAUUGGCCUCAUUUAACUCGUCAAUAUUCUUCAAAUUUUCGCCUUUUGCUGCUUCGAGUUUCUGUUUAAUAUCUGAAGCAUCCCUUCUUUCAGUAUCCAGUUCGUGCUUCAAUUGGUUAUACUCAGCCAACAACUCAGACUGUUCAAUCUGCAAGUCUGUUAGUUUCAUCACUAAUUUUUGUCCUUCUUCCUCAAACUGGGAAUUCAAUGAACGAACUUCUUCUUCUUUAGCUUCUAACAGCUUUAUUAGCUCUUUAAUGUUGAUAGUCAGGUGAAAUAUGAUUGCCUCAUCUUCUUUCACCUGAUUCGAUAAGCUCACAUUACCUUCUUUCUUUAGGCCCUCAAUCAGCUGCCCAUACUGGUCAUAGAGAUCUUCGUAGCCCUUGUGAAAAUCCUUUAUGAGGGAAACUGCCUCAGAUUUUGCUUCGUUGCCCUCUUCUAUUAGCUUCAAUAUUUUCUCCACGUUCUUCUGAAUGUCUGAAAGCAACAAGAAAAAAUUCAAAGUUUUUUUUCCAUCACAUUACAUUACGCUAAAUAUCAUAAGAUGAUUAACUAAUAAGGUAAUAAUCCAGAAAAAUUCUUAUUUUUUCAGUACAAAUCAUAGUCUGAGGAAUGAAAGAUUACUUCUAACUGCUAUAGGAAAGCAUGUUAUGUGGUCAGACUCUGCAUCCUAGACGAUCUAAAUAUGAUUACAUAGUGUGGGUGAUAUUUGCAAAGAAUUACCUUUCUUCUUUUCGUGUAUAUGGGAGUUAUCAGAAUGAAUGUCAACCCCUAAUAUGGAAAACAGCUCUUCAAAGCUCUGCUUCUUUGUCAUGUUGAUGACCUCUGCUUUGCUUACUAUUGGAAUUGUCUUUAGAAAUCCUAUGUCCUUUCUGGCUUUGCUGUGUUUGAUCUCUUGCACUCAACAAAUCAUGGGAAAAGGAGUCUUUUCCAGGAUUUGCAAACAUUGAACUACAUGAAUAACAAGCAGAUUGGUAAUGCAAUAACAAGUUUUUCAUAGAGUCAUUAAUGGCACCAUUUCUCCUAAGAAACAGUUGUAGCUGAAAAGCAAAGAAUCAAUUAUUUAAGAUAGGAAAGAUGAAAUUAGCAAAACCAAAAAAAAAAAAAAAAAAAAGAAAAAGAAAAAGAAGAAAGAAUAGAUACUAUAGCAUGCUUCUUUUAAUUAUUAAGAUCAAUUCCAAACAUUAAAAACAAAAAUGCUUCGGUGCUUGAAAAUGACAAACAUCUCACGACGUUUGUAAGCCAGAUCAAGAACCCAAGUCUCUUACUUUCUCUAUUCACUCGUUAAUCAACCACAACCAUACAUUUUCUUUAAUGAUCCUUGUUACUAGUCUUAAAGAAUGAUCUAAGCACAUCCAAUCCCCAAAACAAGAAAGGAAAAAGACAAAAGAAUGGUGCAAACACACAAUCAGAGCUCAAUCCAACAAGGAAAUCGAGGCAAUAAUUAAGCUCAAUUUAGACCCCCUAAAAGCCAUCUUAGAGCACAUCCAUAUCCCUAUUUGGACUCGGACAAUUAAUUCUUCACAAGAGCACAAGAUAUAUAAAAUUACUUCCAAGAAUCUACUCCAACAACAACAACAACAACAACAACAAUAAUAAUCCAAAUAGUAGCAUCAUGCAAUAAAAAAAAUGAAUAAAACAUAAAAAAAUAAGAGCAAAAAUAAGAUAAAUUUGUUACUAAUUAAGUGAUUUAUGCUAUGAUUUCUUCUUCGUGGUAGAUCCUUGCAAAUUAAUCAUGUAAACUCAAAUCAUCACAAUAGAUCCCAGCGCACAUCCAGCAUCACAAACGAAACUCUAAAAGCAAACCUCUCAACUAAACGAUCCAAGAACACUUAUCAAAUGCAGAGUAAUCUACUUAUCUAAAUGUGUAACUAAUUAAGUGACUAUGCUAUGAUUUCCUCUCCGUGCUUGAUCCUUACAGUUAAUCAUCUCAAAUCAUCACAAUAGAUCCCAAGGCACAUCAAAUAUAGAAACGAAAACCUAAAAGCAAGCCUCCCAACUAAACGAUCCAAGAACACUCAUCGCAUGCCGAGUAAUCAACUUGUCUCAAUCCAUUUCACAUGCAGUAUGCAAAUUACUACCAUAAAUGAUAAAAAAAACUACUAAAAACGAAUCAAAAAGUAGGAAAAAUAAAAAACCAGAAAUCUCUUCUCCUUCCUCUUCUUCCGAUCCUGUCAAUGAUCGAUCCGAAGCCAACGAAACACCAAUCUCCUCCUCUUCUUCUUCUACUUCUUACGAUCCAAACAAAAGAGGAACAGGGAAGAGAAUAGGGUUAGAAUAGGGAGGGAGAAAGAGAGAGAAUAAGAGAGAAUAGAGAAUAAGGAGAUGUACGCAACGAGUUUAAAGUGGAGAGGGGGACGAUGAAGUGGAAGUAGGAGAGUCGGGGGUUUUUGUAGUGGGGAGUUGUGGUAACGUAACUGCCACCAGGUUUGGAUUUUAUUACGAAUACGCCACGCUCGUUUCUUCGGUGUUUUUGUGGCGGCGCGAGCCGGCUCGUAGAAAUUAGCCACACGUAUGGCCAUUUCUUUUAAAAAAAAAAAAAAUUCCCUGAGAAAAAAUAUAUAAAAAAAGAAGCAUAGCAUAGCCAUUGGCCAUUCUCUUAAUAAGUUUUUAAAUUUUGUAUGCAUUUGUUUUAGCUAAUUAGAAUUUUUUAUAAUUAAGUUACAAUUUUUAAGUUUUCUACAUUCUUUCUUCUAACCUCUCAAGAUGUCAAUUUUGUAUUAUGAAAAUUAAGAAAAUAAUAAUUAUUUUUAGUGGUCAAAAAUUGAGUUUCAAAGAUACACCAAGAAAUAAUUAAUAGUGAGAAUAAAAUGGUCUGUUUUCAUUCAUCUUGAUUGAUGCAAUUUAAUAGAACAAUUUAAUAUAUAAAUUGGUUUUGAGUUAGAAAUAAAAACUAAAAGAAAAUAAUACAAUUGAUUUUUUUUUUUCUGAAUUCUGUCGGGAGGCGCCAGCGCUUGUUCCGGAGACGGCUCGCGCCGGUUUGUCGCCCACUUCGGCUUCCCGCCACAAUUGGGUGGGAGGGGUCCGUUACGCGCUCAACCGUCCGAUCUUUAGGAGGUCCAUGAUCAAAGUUUUAGUAAAGCAUCGGACGGUCUAAACUUGUCGAAUGUGGUUCCGGUUCCACGUCAGAUGAUCUCUACCCGAUGCUGUUGUGGAAUUUUUUUUUUGUUUUUUUUAUUGUAACAGUUGUACAGACGAGUUUAUUCACCAGUAAAAUAAUUAUUUUAUAGUGAAAUAAUGCUCUAAAAAAAUUAUCUUUUAUAUUCUUUUCAUAUAAUAAUACGGAGAUAUUUGGUUAAAUAUUAUAAAUCUUAUGUAAAAUAGCUGUAAUAGAGAAGAACUGUCUGUGGCCGAAAAUGAGACUCAUUUUAAGCCAUCAACAGUUAAGACAAAACGAAAUACAGAGAAGGAAGAUCUACGGUUGAUAUCCUCUUACAUUUUUAAGAUCUGCACCCUAGUUGUGCAAGAAAAAUUCAGGCACGAUAGAGAAUCUAGCAAUCCCUGCACGCAGAUCAAUUCUACAGCUCAUCAACGACGGAAGGUUGAAUCAGAUCUCUAAAUGUGAAAAAAAAAUUGGUACAUCAGGGAUCUAAAAAUUCAAGCACAAAAUUUAAGAUAAUAUAAAUUUAUCAACACAACAGCUGUUUGUUUGUUUGUAGGAGACUCUUUAUAAAGCUCACAAAGUAGUUCCCUUUCGUCCCUCCACAAUAUCUCGAGAAUGAGCUAUCAAAGAUUUUAUAUAUAUAUAUAUAUAUAUAUCAUAUCUCUUUUUCGAAAAACAAAGUGCCCACCUCGGCAUUUAAGGCACAUAUAAAUCGACCCAUGAAGUGGCUCGUUUCGAAGCUCAGACAGUUAGAUGGUGAAACAAUCAUUAUUCUCUCAAAACUUAACUUUAAUAGCUUAAUGCUAUUAAAGAAUGAUGUUCUAACGAUUUAUAGACAACAACUUCACAAUUUGUACAUUCUAACAAAGUACAAAUGCUAUUCGCCUCAAUAACCAAUAUAAAAGUGAAUGACGAAAAGGAAUAUAGGAAAGAUCAGGGACUAAGGACUAAUCUAUUAGCGACGGGUUCUUUUGAGUGUUGCAGAGACAUACUCGCGAAGAUGAUUGCAAUUUUCGCGGUGGUAGUCGAUCAAAAAGCACAACUGCCUUAUUGCCUCUCUUUUCUCUUCAUUCCUAGCUGCCAUUUCAUCUUCUUUUUCAGCCAAUUUAGCUUCGACAUUCCUGGCCUCAUCCUUCAAGCUGGAGAUUAUCCGAUCUUUAUUUCUCAAUCUAAUUUCCAGCGCAUUUUUCUCAUUCUCUAGUACCUCCUUCUCAUGAAGAUGAUUACCCAAUUUCUUUCUCAAGAUCUUUAGCUCCUCUAAGCAUUCAUGUAAUCGGCCCAUGAAGUGGGCAGAUUUCCGAGCAAAUACUGACUCAAAUUCAUUAACUCGGUUUCGCAAAGCUGAAACACCCACCUCGGCAUCUUCAUUCGUUUGUGUGAGCUGGGCUUCCAACGAAGACAACCUCAGACAAAACAUCAGUGUUUCUUCUCCUAGUUCCCGCUCUUUCUCCUGCAAAUUUGUCACCAAUCUCUUGUAAGUUUCUUCUUUAUCCCUGCUUUCGGUUUCGGUGAUUUUAAGUUUCUGGUUUGAUAGGCGAAGCUGGAAAUCAAGUGUUUCAAAGUCACCACGCAACUUUGCUAUCUCUUUAUAUGCAUCAUUCUUUUCAAUCUCAGAAAAUUUAAGUUUUUCCACAAGUUCCUUGCGGCUGUUCUCUAGCUUCCUUAUCUCUUUAUUCUGCUCUAUGCUAAGAUUUUCCAGAGUCUCUAGCUUCAUCUCCAGCUCACUAAACCUAGCUUUUAGUUGCUUACAGUUCUUAGAAAGUUCAUUAAAACAACCUUCAAUGUCUGCAAGGCGAGCUUCUUGAUUGACAAUUUUGCUUGCUAGUUUCUCUUCCAAAUUAUUCAUCAAAAGCAUAUUUUCUGAGCAUCUGCUACUAAUUAUUUUCACCUCCUCUUCCACUUCACUCUUUUGGGCGGAUAGCAAAUCAAGCUCCUUUUGGAGAUUGUUUGUAUGAAUUGUCAUUGCAUCAAGUUUCUCCUGAGUGGAUAAUACUUCGAUUCCUCUCUCUUCCAAUCUUCUAUCUAAAUUGGUAUUAUUUCUGUGCAAAUCAUCCUUAGCUUUCUGCAAAAUGGAGAACUCCUCCCUCAGUUGCUCCAACUCACUCUCAAGAUUCCUGACACGAGCCUCUGACUCGAGUAAUUCUGAGACAGUUCUAUUCUUUACUUCUUGUAAUUCCACGAUCUCCUUGUUCAGUUCAUCCAAUUGCUUGUUUGCUCUUUCCUGUUUGAGACUCACACCAUCAAGUUCAACCUGCAGCUUAGCAUUGACAUAGUUUAGCUGUUCUAUUUCAGCCUUGCAUGAAUCAGCGAUCUUCUCAUACUCCUCUAGUUUGGUUUUACACUGAUAUAGUACUGAGUUUUCUUCUUUCAACUGUUCAACCUCUUUCUCUAGUUCUCUUACGGUAACAUCAGCCUUCUUUAACUCAUCAGCCAAUCUUGAAUUGUCAAAGUUCACCUUAUCUUUUUCUUCCACUAAACCACCAAAUUCUCUGUUCCGAUCAUUUAGCUGGUGUUUCACUGCCUCUAGUUCAAGAUUCAUAUUAUUGAUCUGGAUCUCCAACUGAGAUUUAUCAACAACUAGCUGUUCUUUCUCAGCUUUUAGACUAUCAAUUUCCAAUCCCAAUGAUUGGUUUUCGUCUUUUGCUGCUUCCAGCAUCUGUUUAAUCACGGAAGUAUCCUUCUCCAUAGAUUCUAGUUCACGCUUCAGGCUUUCAUAGUUAACCAACAACUCAGAGUUUUCAUUCUUCGCAUUUGCUAAAUCCGUCAGCAAUUCUUGUGCUCGUAACUCUACCAGCUGGGCUUUCUCUAAUUGGGAGGCCAAAGAAUUAGCUUCAUCUUCUUUUGCUGUUAAUUGCUCUUUUAUUUGUUCAAAGUUAAUUUUCAGGCUAUUUAUGGUGCUCUCAUCUUUGUGCAGCUUCCCUGAUAAGCUCAUAAUCUCUGACUGCAAGCACCUUUUCUCUUCUUCUACAGCUUCCAGUUUAAGCUUCAAGCUUUCACUCUCAGACAACAACAGCUCAAUCUUUGAAGAUAACUCCUCUGUUACUGAUUUUAGUUUUACAUCAGACUCAUCUCUGAGGUCCCUCAAGACCCUUUUCUCUUCUUCUACAGCUUCCAGUUUAAGCUUCAAGCUUUCACUCUCAGACAACAACAGCUCAAUCUUUGAAGAUAAUUCCUCUGUUACUGAUUUUAGUUUUACAUCAGACUCAUCUCUGAGGUCCCUCAAGACCCUUUUCUCUUCUUCUACAGAUUCCAGUUUAAGCUUCAAGCUUUCACUCUCAGACAACAACAGCUCAAUCUUGGAAGAUAACUCCUCUGUUACUGAUUUUAGUUUUACAUCAGACUCAUCUCUGAGGUCCCUCAAGACCCUUUUCUCUUCUUCUACAGAUUCCAGUUUAAGCUUCAAGCUUUCACUCUCAGACAACAACAGCUCAAUCUUGGAAGAUAACUCCUCUGUUACUGAUUUUAGUUUUACAUCAGACUCAUCUCUGAGGUCCCUCAAGACCCUUUUCUCUUCUUCUACAGAUUCCAGUUUAAGCUUCAAGCUUUCACUCUCAGACAACACCAGCUCAAUCUUGGAAGAUAACUCCUCCGUUACUGAUUUUAGUUUUACAUCAGACUCAUCUCUGAGGUCCAUCAAGACCCUAUUCUCUGCUUCUACAGCUUCCAGUUUAAGCUUCAAGCUUUCACUCUCAGACAACACCAGCUCAAUCUUGGAAGAUAACUCCUCCGUUACUGAUUUUAGUUUUACAUCAGACUCAUCUCUGAGGUCCAUCAAGACCCUCUUCUCUUCUUCUACAGCUUCCAGUUUAAGCUUCAAGCUUUCACUCUCAGACAACACCAGCUCAAUCUUGGAAGAUAACUCCUCCGUUACUGAUUUUAGUUUUACAUCAGACUCAUCUCUGAGGUCCAUCAAGACCCUCUUCUCUUCUUCUACAGCUUCCAGUUUAAGCUUCAAGCUUUCACUCUCAGACAACACCAGCUCAAUCUUUGAAGAUAACUCCUCCGUUACUGAUUUUAGUUUUACAUCAGACUCAUCUCUGAGGUCCAUCAAGACCCUCUUCUCUUCUUCUACAGCUUCCAGUUUAAGCUUCAAGCUCUCAUUCUCAGAUAACAACAGCUCAAUCUUUGAAGAUAACUCCUCCGUUACCGAUUUUAGUUUUACAUCAGACUCAUCUCUGAGAUCCGUCAAGAUCCUCUUCUCUUCUUCUACAGCUUCCAGUUUAAGCUUCAAGCUCUCAUUCUCAGAUAACAACAGCUCAAUCUUUGAAGAUAACUCCUCCGUUACUGAUUUUAGUUUUACAUCAGACUCCUCUCUGAGGGCCAUUAAGCCCCUUUUCUCUUCUUCUACAGCUUCCAGUUUAAGCUUCAAGCUUUCUUUCUCAGAUAACAACUGCUCAUUCUUUGAAGAUAACUCCUCUGUUACUGAUUUUAAUUUUACAUCAGACUCAUCUCUGAGGACCAUUAACGCUUUCUCUGCCUUAUCUAUCUUGUUCAAUAAUUCAAUGUUUUCAGCUUCUAAUGACCCCUUCUGCUUAAUUGCAUCAUUUACUUGCUCAUUCAACUCGGCAAUUAGCAAAGCUCUUUCCUCCGCUUCUUGUUUCAAAACUUUUAUUCCCAUUUCAAAUUUCACCAAUUCUUCUUUCACCUGACGUUUCUCUAGUUCACAUUCUUCUAUGAGUUUCUCAGCCUGAUGUAACUUGCUAAAGGCUUCUGUUUUUUCUGCUCGCAGUGUUUCAUUUUCUUCGUGAGCACUUCGUAUCCUUUCAUUCAAAUGAAUCUCUUCCUUCAGGAAGGCCUCCACUUUUUCGUUAAGAAUUACCUUCUCAGCUUGCAAGAUAUCAACACUCUCGAGCAAUUUGUCUUUGAGUUUUUCAAGCUCAAGAAUCUUGGCACUUUUAUUGUCAACUUGAUUCUCGAGUUCAAAUUUUUCCCUUCUUGUAUACUCUAAUUGCUCCUGGAGAGUUUGGUAAUCUUGAAAAGGAAUUAACUGAGGUUUGCGACCUUUAGAAUUUUCUUCUGCAUCUGAAUCUGAUGAAUCCGAAUCACUUGAGCUGCCUCCUCUUUUGUUGUGGGCUUUCUUCUUUAGGCUCUCAAUCAACUGCUCAUAUUGUUCAUAGAAAUCUUUGUAACCCUUAUGAAAAUCAUUAAAAAGAGAAGCUAGCUCAGAUUUAUCCACUGAAUCCACAGAGACAUCUGGACCAUGCUCCUCCCCUAAGAGCUUUUGUAUUUUCUCUGCAUUCUUCUCAAUAUCUGCACGAAAAAAUAUUAAUAAAAAUGAUUGUCUCAAACUACAUACAAUUUAGCAUCAAACGAUGAUCAUUGAUCAUGGGAAGAGCAUAAGCAGAAAUGAUUUUCAACCGAUAAAAAAGCACAGAUAUUUUGCAGUUCUAUUAAACACAAUAAAAAAGAUAUUUUUAUUUAUUUACAGCAAAAUUGACAAAAAAGUCAACCAACUGAAAUUUCUGGACUCAUUCCAACUAUCAAAAGGAAAGUUUUGCAACCCUUUUUUCCAUCUGAAGCAUGUCCUCUUAGUCCAUCAAGCAAACAGAGAAAAGGCACAAAAUCUAUACAGCUGACUAAAGCACUUAAUUUUUAUAAUAUAAUCUAAAGGGUGAGAAACUUUACGCAAAUUAUUACCUUUCUUCUUGUCCAGUAAAUGAGAGUUAUCAGAAUGAAUGUGAUCCCCAACUAUGGAAGAUAAAAAGUUCCUAAAUCUGUGUUUCUUCGUCAUGUUUGAUGACCUCUGUAUAGCUCAGUUCGAGAGUUAUCUUUGAGAAAUUCUGAACUCCAUCAACUUCGCUGUAUUUGAGCUCCGGCACUUGGUACAGGCAACAGAGAUUUUGCCAGCUCCAAACUAGGUCUUCUUGCAGUGAUCUACAAGAGUAAUAUAUAUAUUAGAAUAAUAGUGCAAUCAUAGGUAUUCUCAAAAGUCACUAAAAUCAAGUUCUCUUGUAAUAAACAUUUACAGCAAAGAGAAAAAACAACAACAACAGUUCGGACAUAAAGGUAAAUUCUGGUGCAAUUCUCACAUUGAUCAAAUUCAACCAUUAUGUAGCAAUUUUGUCAACUUCUUUCUUAAAGGUAGGUAUAUGGUAUACCAAAUUAACUAAGCUAUUCUAGAUAUGUGACUUGCUAGUUGUACGAAACGACUAUUUCGUUGCUCUCUCCUAGUUAUAGAGAAACAGUAGUUUGACAAGUUCAAAACAGAAAUUUAAGGCACCAUUUGGGAUCGCUUACAUAUUUCAUUUAGGUCAACUCAAAUUCUACGUGAUUGGAUUCACCGGUAUCGGCGGACUAAAAGGAAAAAAUGCAAACUCAGUAGUACCCUAUUUUAGUUGUUCUUAAGAGAAUAGAUGAUCCGGAAAGUAACAAAAAGUAACUACAAGGGAAAAGUUCAUCCGCCGGUACAUUCAAUUGCGUACAAAUUAUAUUUGAAAAGAAAGGUUUAAGGUUUUUGUUUUCGAGUAAAAAUAUAAAAUGAAAUCUGAAGUUGGUAAAUAGUUGCUUUGAUGAUAACACUGCUUAAUUUCAACGAAUAAUUGACACUGCCCUUUUGCACCCCUUAUCACCGCAGCCGUAACUCUUUUCCUAGGGUCGGGGUUUGGAUUGUCGUAAAACCUACUUCGAUGUAAGUCAAGUUUAGUGAGUCUAGCAACAUUACACUGGGCAUCUACCAUGAUGAUGCCGAGGAGAUCCACCGCGGUGGGCUGUAUUUUGGAUCUCUCCUCAAAAGACGACUCCGGCCGGCUCCGAAGGUAAACUGUUUCCAUUUCUUGGUGGUGGAUCUCCGCCUCAACAUCGUCGUGAUAAUUAUAAAAACUAAUAUUUCUACUCUUACUGAACUCGAUUUACGGCCGAAUUGCUUGCAAUUACAUCAAUCCAAACACCCCCGUAACGAGCAAUAAAACCAAAACCCCAACAAUAAAAUAAAAUGGUUAGGGAUUAUUAAAUACUAUAACUCUGUUUCUCCAAACUCCAUGCUCAAUCUUCUAAUCUCUUCUCCCAUCUCCACUUAACAAUCAUCAAAAUUACAAUGGAAAAAAUCCCCACCUACGUCAAAAUUAAAUAUACAAACAAAACCAAAUCUAAGAUCUAUACUAAAGCAAAACCAGAACAAAAAUUUCAAAUGAAAAUACCUCAAAUCUCCUCUUCUUCGUCUUCUUCUUCUUCUUCUUCUUCUUCUAAUCCUCUCCCGGCGAUCCAAAUCAAACCGAACACCACUCUCUCCCAAUUACGAUCUAAAUCGAACGAAAAAUAUUGAUGGAGGUACGGUGAUUUGAACCUAAAAGAAAAGAAAUUGAAAUUAAAAUUAAAAAAAAGGGGGAAAUUUGGGAGGAGCGUUAGAGAGAACGAGCACCUGGAGCGUUUUGUUUAAUAUUUGGGGGGGGGGAACAUCUGGGGAUAUCAGUAGAGUAGAGAGAGGGAUCCAGUCAUCCAGUGUGUGGUAGAGGAGGAGGCAUUGUGGUUUUGGAACUUAUCGAAACGCAUAUGCCACCAAUUUCGACUUUAUUACGAAUAUACCACGAUACUCGAACGAGGUUGCUAGGCCCUUGGUCCGUAGUAGCCGGCUAAGCCGAGCGAGAACGUGCGUGGUGGAAUCUUUGUCGCCGGCGUUGGUAUCUUCCCCGGCCGCCAAAGACUUUCAAAAAAAUAUUUACUAAAUAUAUUUGAAAAGAUUCACCAUUCAAUUUUAUUUUUAAUAUAAAUAUAAUUAUAUACAACUAGCAUUAUAUAUAAUAUAUAUAUAUAUAUAUAUAUAUAUAUAUAUAUAUAUAUAGGCAAGAUAUCUCUAUUUAUAAACUUAAGUUUUGAAUUAAUCCAAUUCUAAACUUUUUUUAAAAUUUUAAAAAAAGAAUUUAAUUUUUUGGAUCGUUUGAUGUUUAGAUGUUAAAAUAUAUAGCGUCGAAUUCUCUUAUACUCUCAAACCGAAUGUUAGUCUGAAUCUUCAACCUAGUAUCUUUUUCAUAUAAGAUUAGACAAAUACGUCUCGAAAUAUGAUCAUUUAGGAAUAAUUUAUUUAAUAAAUUUAUAACAUUUAAGAAAUAUCGUAUGUUUUAAAUUUGUAAUGGCAAAUUUGUUAUCAACUAAUUAUAUCGUUACCAAAGGCUGAUGAUGUUGGGAACUUCUGUGUUUUUAUUAAUAGACUGUUCAUAAUUUUAAUCAAGCAUGAAAAUAAUCAAACCUCUUCACUUACAGUAGUGUAAAUAAUUUCAUAAUUUCAUUGACCUCUUUCACAACUUUUCAACUUGAGUUACAUACCGAUGAUUUUAAGUAUAUCGAAUAGAAAAAUAUAAAAAUAUUACAAUCGGUAAAAUAAAAAAAAGGGUCAUUUACAGAUCACAUAAUGAUUUAAUGAGGCGGAUUUAAAGGUGUAGAUGUGGUGGACCAGGUCCAGGGGACAACUUCUCCACCGCGAGGCAGCUACAGCCGGCUAGUCGGGGCUGCGACGGCUCGCGCUGAUUGGUUGCGUGCUUUUGCUUCCCGCCAGAAUAGGCAGGUGGGGUCCACUUUAUGUUUGGCCGUCGGAUCCUCGUUAAGUACACAAAGACCGAUGACUUCCAGAUCGGACGGUCUAUAUUCGCGGAUUUCAGUUUUGUAUUCCACGUCGCGCUCUUUGAAAGUGUGCAAGGUACAGGGUUGCGGACCAUGUGAUGAGUGGGCCCGUCCCGUGUGGGCCCCAACAGUGGAAGCGAUUCUCAUUGGACAAUACCAGCAAUUGAGACAAAUGUUGAGAUGUACGGUUCAGAUGCUUUCAAAAAUUGGUAAAAUUGUACAGAGACUCCUCACCUUUGGUGCAUUUUGAAACACACCUUUUUUAAUUUUAAAAAAAGUGAAACUUACCUAUUCUGAUUCAACUAUUCAAUCUUUAAAAAUUUUAAUUUUACUAUCAAAUUUUUUUAAUUUAUUUGGUUUGAAUCAUUUAAUGGCGCUUAAACUUUAAAUUUUGAAUACACUAUUUAUUUAUAUGGUCUUAAUUAGCAUAUUUUAUAUAAUUUAUGCAACUAUAAUUUUAUUAAAAAAAUAAUAUGCCUAAAAUUGAUACCGAAAGAAGCAUUAAAUCGCUUAUAUCAGAUAAAUUGAAAGAUUCAAUAACGAAAUCAAACUUUAAAAAAAAAUUUAAAUAGUUGAAUCAAAAUAGAUUGAAGUUCAUGCAUGUUCUAUACAUUUUUACCUUUUUUUUCCCACCAGUUGAUAAAAUUUAUAGUUCUGUCAAUUGAAAAAAAAAAAACGUUCAUAGUUAAAUUUAAGCAGAAUAUCAAAUUUUAAAAAGUUUUAAAUUUAACUAAUACAAUACAAUUAAGUUAAAUUAAAAAAAAACAAAAUUUUAAAAAAGAAUAAUAUUAAUUAAAAUAAAAAUAAUUGAGAGAUCUCUUUCAGAGUAGUCUAUAGUUGGGAGAGUUCUAUAAAUUUUUUCCUUUUAAAUGUUGGGUAGGAUAUAUACAAGUAUACAACCAUACAACACGGAUUAACGGCAUGAAAUUUGCAGAUCCCGUGCGGUUUUUGCAUGUGGGUUGAUGUUUUUUUUUAAUUUUACUUUAGAGAGAGAUAGAUAGCAUGCUAUCUGUUUUGUUUAUUUUAUUUAGAAAUAAAUUUAGCUAGAAAUGUAAAUUAACUAGGAUUCGAAUUUGGGAUCUCAGUUACCAACCGUCAAAUCCUUUGCCACUUGCGUUAGGAACGGUCCGUCAUGUGGGUUAAUGCUAAUGCCAGCGAGCAAGUGAUUAGGAUUGAGAGUUCCCCAAAAAAGUUAAAAAGGUUAAAAAGCCUUUAAUAAAAAAAAAAAACUUCUAAAAAAAUUAAAAAAGUUAAUAAAAAUAAAACAGCAAUUAAUAUAAUGUCAAUAGGAUUGAGAGUUCCCCACAUGAGAUUUAUUGCCCUUAAUUAACCUUUCUUCUGCAAGUUACAUUAUUAUUCCAGGUUGGGAGAAGGUCUUUAUGUAAUUCCACAAAAUAAAUCAUAUUAGAAGACAUUAGGGUAUAUUGGUCACUAAAAAAAUGAUAAAAAAUCCAACCAAUAUAACAUAAUCUCUUAAGUUAAACUAUAUCUAUAUAAAUUAUUGUAAUGCUUUUUUACAUGAUGAAGAUGAUUGAUGAAAUGUUGUCAUUUUUCCUUAGAUGUUGUCCUGCAUACCUGUCCACAAUUGAGGUAUUUAAGAUUUCAAAACUAAAAUUUUCAAAUUUAUAUGAGAUAAUUAGUGUGGUAUACAGCAGCUGACUGACGAGUCUAUGUAUAAAAAUCAUGCUUUUAGAAAUCCAAUACUGAUCAGCUGUUGUAUAAAAUCUUUUUUUCGACUUUCUGAUUUAUCCCUCUUAAAAUGCUAAUAUUAAAUAAAUUCUUUUAACAUUCUAAGUUAUUUUAAAUAUAUUUCUAAACUUUCUGUUAGUAAACGGUUAGCAAUAACUGUUAUCUCUGUGAAAUUUUUAUUUUUUUUUGAGAGAUAGGUAGUAUGCUAUCCGCUUCAUUUAUUUCAUUUAGAAAUAAACUUAGCUCGGGAUCUCGGGUACCAACCACCAAGCCAUUUGCCAUUUACACUAGGGAUGGUCGGUAUUUCUAUGAAAUUACUAUUUUACCCUUUCAAAUAUUUGCUUCUACGAUCACCUAAUUUUCUUAUUUGCCCUUAAUAUAGGAGCAAAAAAAAAUAUUUUGAUUUUUUGUCAAGUAUAUCUUUCUAUUAUCACCAGCUUUUAUUAUUUGCUCUUAAGUUAAGGACAAAAAAUAUAUUUUAAUUUUUUUUAGUUCGGAUAAAAAUUUAACCCGGUUUAAUCUGAGAUAACUUAACAGGUAUUAACAGUGAGAAUAUUUUUGAACAAUGGAGAACUAUAGAAAGGAUAUAUUUAAAAAAAAAAGAUAAAUUAGAUAUUUCAGAAAUUUUCAGAAACAUACUAGAUAUUAUCUAUAUUUAUUACAUAUGACUAGCUAGUAUGCUUGUAAGUUGUUUUUUUUAACUUAAAGCAUAGCUGAAAUUUAAUUAUAAAAAUACCAAUUUCUUGACACUUGCACUCCGUUUUUUUGAUGAAGAAAUAUCUGAAUAGAUGAUCGACAUGGUUAAAUACCAUUUUACGUCUCAUGACCUUCUUAGGAUUCAAAUUUUAUGAUAUUUGACUUAAUCUACCUAGUAAUCAAACAGUCUCAAAUACACUUUAUACAAGCGGUUAAAAUUUGUUAAUUUUGAGACAACUUGAAUAACAGGCAAAUAGUGUUUUUAGAAAGUUUAUGUAACGUAUAUUACAUUCACUAGUAUCGAUUGUCAACUUCAGAUAUUUCAUCAAUAGAUGCUACGCGGGAGUACUGGAGAGUUGAUGCUUCUAGAAAUAUUUUAACUCAUAUAUAACUAAAUCUCUGCAUUUUGAAACCGGGCUGGGUCAGGAUCGUUUUGGGCCGGCCCAUUUUCAGAAGUCCUUCCCGACGCUUCACCUCCGUUAUCUCGCUCUCUCUCUUUCUCUCUCUCUCUCUCUCUCUCUCUCUCUGCGGCUUAUAACUUCCUCCCAUUUUUUGGCUUGUCAUUUUACCAUUUUACCCCUCCUCCUCCUCCUCCUCACCUCUACUUUGGAGUUUGUACUCGGACUCGAAUGGCGCGAAAUGACUCAACCGACUCCACCUCCGCCACUUCCGACGAGCCCGACGACUUCCCCGCCCAUUCACGGGAACUCGAACUCCUCGCCCCGACGCAGCUCGUUUCCCUCCUCAAGUCCUCGUUCCGGAACUCCGACUUCUGGGAAGUGGCGAGGAUUCUGAGUUCUCGGGAACAAACCCUAAAGGCCGAUCUCGCGAAAUCGGAGGGGACGAUCGUGGAGCUCGGUCGGAAAAUUGCGGAGGAGAGAGUGAGGUUCGAUCGGUUGAAGGCGAGGUACGACCGAUCGGAGAGGGGUCGCGCGGAUUUGGAGGGGGAGGUCGGGGUGUUGCGCAGGAGGGAGAAGAGGUUGCUGGAUGAGAUUAGGGCGAAAGAGGAGGAAAUUGGGAAGAUUAGGGCGAGCGAGGAGACUCGUCAGCUAGGGUUUAUUGUCAUUAGCGACGAUGAUGAAGAGAUUAAUGCGAAUUCGAAUGUGAUUUGUUCUGGAUCCAGGGGGACUGCUUCAACGAUGGCCGUAUCGGCGCAAAGGAAGCGUUUUUAUGAUGUGGUGAGUAGUGAUAGUGAGGAUGAUGAUGAGAUGGAUGAUAAGGUACCACUUAAUCAGUUGAAAUUGAAGAGGUUUGAGAAGAGGGUUUGUGAUAGUAAAGAGCCCAGUAGCAGUUCAUUAAACCAAAUUUGUGCUCAGACAUUGUGGGAAAGGGAAGGAGAAAAGGUUUGCAAAAGAGAGGAUUUGUGUCUGAGUGCUGAAAAUGAAGCCGCUUUUAUCACCGGAGACUAGUAAGAUGACCGCGACGAGUUUUGGAUGUUCAAAGUAUGUAGAUGAUGAACUGGGAAGAAACUAGGAGGAAACUAGCCUAGAAAGGGGCGAAGGUCGCCUAAUUGUGGAUUUCUUUUUGCAAAAGAUACAAGUAUGAGAUGCUAUAGAUAUGUUUGUUUAUACUAGUUCACCGAGUUAAACACAUUGAGUAUACGUUGUAACUGCGCUUAUAUUCGUGUAUGUUAGAACUCGAGUAUCUGCUUAUUUUCUUUCUUAACUAUAAGAUGCUGUACAUAUAUUUGUUUAUACUAGUACACCGAGUUAAAUACAUGAGUAUUUCGAUAUUGCUCUACUCAUGUUAUUUAUGCUGAAAAUGCUUCUUGAGCUGCCAUAAAUGCUGUUCUAAAUCUUGCUCCGGUUGAAUGUGGGAUUUACUGCUGGAGAUACACUUGGAGCAACCGUAGAUCCUUUAACUUGUUUUCGGACUCACUAUGUCCACCAUUCUAUAGUUCUAGACUAAGGUCGAUUGUUCAGAUUGGGGUAAUGAGUUCUUGGACUUCUUACUACAAAAUGAUACUUAGCAGAAACAUCGCGACAUCUUGAAGUUGUUUUCUUCCCAUUUUCUUUGGCGUCGGCCCCUACUCGAUUUGUAUCGGAUCACUAAACUGCUCGCUGCAUGUUCAGUUAUCUGGGAGAAUUCAUAUAAAUGAAUGUUCUCUUAGCUUUUCUUUCUGAGUGUACUCUUCUGCAUCUGUUUUACCUCCUCUCUCCACAUGAGUGCAACAAACUGCUCGAUUCUCAGCCUGUGUUUUCCUUGAAUACUGUUUUUUUUUUUUGAAUAGGUAGCGUGCUACCAGUUUCAUUCAUUGGAUGGAUGAACUAGGCUACACAGGUGAGGUAGCCAGGGCCUCAGAAGAAACCGAAGGAGAUGAAAAAAUAAAAAAUAAAUAAAUAAAAAAAGACCACUAAUAUCGUUGGAGGAGGAAUUCUCACGAAUGUAGUAACAGCUUAAGCCUUUGUACAGCCAAAAUCGGAUCAGGUAGGAUAUUUCAAAAAAUUAGAUUAUUUCUGACCUUCCAAAUCGUCCACCAGCAGACAGUUCCGAGAGGCUGUUUAGAUCAUAAAAUUGAAUACUGUUUAGAUCAUAAAAUUCGUGAGGUCCUCUGAAACCACAGCGAGAAAGUUUGUCUAAUGCUGAUUAUUUAGACAAUGCUAGUUCGAAUGCUUUUUUAAUUUAUUGGAACACAUUUGGCAAAGCGGCUUGAUUACUUUAGCAAAAUGGCAAUCAUUUACUAUAAUCAUUUGUUUGAUAGGAUCAAAACAGUGGGAUCAAAUAAUUUCGUUGGGAUGGGAUUAUUGAAUCACAUGGUUGGAGAUUUUGUACAGUAAGCAGAAUUUUUUUUUUGCAUAUAAUAGAUUUUGAAGUUUUGUGAUAAUUCUUAUAUUUUGAUCCCUUUUUUUUUUUUCAUUUGUCAUUGUCGAUAAUAAGCUGAACUGUUUCUUACACAUGCCCAAACCAAUCACCAUGCUGUAACAAAGAACUUGCUACGACCAUUAUCUCGUCCUCUCCCUGAAUUCCAAAGCAUCUCCCUUAAAAAAAAAAAAUUAUAUUCGUACUUCAAAAAAAUUAAAUUUAAUUACCAAUAAUUUCUACAACGACGCUUCAAACGUUGCGAGCCCACAUUUAAAUCCGCUCUUGGGAAAACCCGACUUUUAAAGCAGUUUAUAAUUUGCGGCUUUUCAUCGCGCUUCCCGAUGGCGCCCAAAUCGGCUUCGGUUGCAUUCUCACGCCACGUGUCAGCCCCACCGAAGUUAUUUAUUCCAUACCUCGCCGUUCACUGUUCAGUUACUAACUGAUCCCCGUGCCACGUGGCCGCAGCGCAUCCCACGAAACCCCCGCGAAGAACCGCGGGCCCGUGACGUGGCCAUUCACAGCCGUCCGAUCGGCCGAUCGGUUCCACGUGGCGCUUCGUCACCUCAACGCCCACGUGCGGUGCGUGCUCUCCGCAACUCCCCGGUGCGUCGUCGCGUCCCACGGUGAACAGGAGGAGACGUGGCCACGUCCCCAGCCACGGAGCUCUUCGCCCUCGAACACCGAACACCGUUACCGUCCAAUCCGAUCUGUCGGUGCGCCGGUCCUCCACGCCUCUAGUGACGUGGCCUCUCCUCCUUGCUCCGCAACCCGAGAAAAUUGUCGGUGCACCCGGUCCACAAUAAUAUCGUGGACCACUCUAUUUCAUCAUUUUUUUUCCUCCCAAUCCCCAAGUAAAUUAAGAAAAAAAUGAUAUUUGAAUUUCCUAAAGAGUAAAUUCAGCCGUAGGUGUCCAUCCCCGCACCUCAAUUCUAGAAUUUAAUUUUUUAUUUUUUUUCUGAAUCAGCUAAAAAGAUUUCAAUUCAUACGAAAGAAUUUAAUAAACUUAUUUUUUAUUCAUGAUUUAAAAUCAAAUAUGAUAAAAGUUCUAAUAUUCUUGUAUAAAAGUACAGUAAAACAUUCACAUUGGGAUUUGUGAUGUCAUCUUAUUUCAACUUUCGAAAGCAACAAAUAGAAGCUAAAAUACAAUUUUAAAAAAAUUCUGUUUCUGAAUAAAUUCCGGUUCACAAGCUAUGUGGUGGACGGAGUUCCAGCAAUAAUUUCUCGUAAGACCCGCCUCUCCACCCACCAAUCAGAACCGUUGAUUCCGAUGCUCCUGCGGAGCAUCGCUAUCUGGAACACCGGAACGUCCCCGCAGCCGCUCGAUCAAAAUCGUACGGCUAUUGAUGGCGCGGCUUCGAAUCCCCGUCCGUUGAUUCGGCUAGCGUAAAAGGAGCGGAUAACCAUACCCCCACGUCGCCGUAUACAAACCCGGAAUAAGUUAUCCGCGCGGAUAACGUUAUUCCCACUCGGCGAGUUCGUAUACGGACAGGGAGUCAGGAACUGCUUGGCGCUGGAGAGGCCAACCCACUCCUCACAUCCACUAGAAUAUAAUUUUAAAAAAAAUAAAAAAAGAAUAAUCACUUUUUUAAAGCUUUUUCAGAAUUUGUUUUUUUCCCUUGAUAUCUAAGGUUUCAGAGGCGAGUAUUUUAAAGGGCAUUAAAAUAAUGGCGAAAUCGGCGCGACACGAUAAGAUGUUCCCCCCCAUCCCCUUUUUCGCAUCCGCGAAUUGAAUUGCUGCGUCUCUCGAAAGCUCUAGAGAGAGAGAGAGAGAGAGAGAGAGAGAGAGGGUGAGAAAGGAGGUGGGGGGAGAGAUUCUGUGUGGAGGUAAACCUCGGUCGCUUUCCAUUUUUGGAAAUUUUAGGGCUAAAACGCGUUUCCGUGUCGAUUUUGGGGGCAUCGAUUAGGGAUUCGAACAAGGUUUAUGUCCCGUUUUGAUUCGUUGGUUGAUGAUGUGUCGAUUUGUUUCCGCUUGAAGCAACCUGUUCGGGCAUUCGAAUAGGUGUUAGGGUUUGUUUCCGCUUCGUUUUCGUGGGAUUUUUCUUUUCUUCCUUUGUUAGGUGUUUAUUUACGUAAAUCAUAGGUUUUUCUAGGUUUUUUUCGUUAAUUUAUUUGUUAAUUUUGUUCCUGGUGUCAUAGAUUUUGUUUAUCUGAUUGUUGGUUCAAGAGAAAAAAGGAUCUUUGUUGUGGUUUGAGGAAACCCUAGGGCCAGGUUGUAUAGAUCGUUCUCCUGUUUCCAAGUCCACUUAAUUUAGAUUUUUGUAACAAUGUUGAUUGUUGAAGUUUUUUUCCCUUUGUCUACAGACGUAUAAAGCUAGCGGUGGAGAUGAAUUGCUGAGUGAUUCCAAAAAAAAUGUUUCCUUUUUAUACCUUGUUUGCCCCAUUUUGUUCACAAGCUUGGAUUGAGCUCUUCUCUUAAGUAACAUUGUUCCGGUCGUCUAUGGAAGGGACCACCGAAGUGAAUGAGACAAUCGAGUGCUCGCCGGAGGCUCCCCACAUCAAAACCAAAGAGAACGACCAGCCUCCUCAGCAACUGAACAGCAGUAAUGCGUUGGAGACGCCCGCCCCAAUCACAUCCCGAGAAGCCGAUUGGCCCGAGCACUUCUCGCUGCUUCGGUUACCGGAAGCAUCUCUGGAUAACAUAGAGGGCAGGAGUGUUGAUUCGCAUUCUGGGUCGCAACUGCUUUGCACGAGUUCCCGCUCUUUGGGCAGCAAUCCUGUGGGUAUGGUGGAAGAGCUGACAUUGAAGAACUAUAAGAGCCCUAACCUAUCUAUAGACGGCAGCUCGAGCAGUGGAGAGAAGCCGAUUGUAAGAAAGGGCUUAUGGCUUAAUUUCACAAGGUUGGCCGGAGGAACGAGGGAAGCUCAGAGGGCUCAGAGGCCACAGGUAGGCGAAAGUGAGAACCCUGUGGCUGCAAGCAGUAAUAGAUGUAGUAGAUUACCUGAUGGAAUCCGGACUAAGGUUUUAAGUGCCUCGAAAACUCCUGAAAUUUUCGUCAAGAACACUUUGAAGGGUAAGGGGGUUGCCUAUCUAGGUCGACCCGAAACAGUUGUUCGAGGGCAACCUAGUGAAAGGCCUAAGACCAAUGUAGAAACAACUUAUGCUUCUUUGCAGAGAGUUUCUAGAAAAGCAGAUGGCAUAUCUCUCUUUGGUGGUGGCAAUGGCUGUGGUAGAUUGGACUCCCAUCGUGGUGGGAUUAACCUUAGGGAGCAUCUUAAACCCAGGCGCCAAAAAAUAAGUAAGAUUGAGAGGCUUCAUAUAUUUAAUCAGAUCGUUGAACUUGUUGAUGUUUCUCAUUCCCAGGGACUCGUUCUAAAGAAUCUGCGACCAUCUUAUUUCAUUGUCUUACCUUUGAAUCAAGUUAAAUAUAUCAGUUCUUUUGGUCCUCAAGAAUUAUCAGGCUUGACCAAAGGGGGUAACUUGGACAGGAAAAGAUUGUUGGAUCAAAACAAAGAGUCUGAUGAGAUUUUGAUAUCGAAGCAUCAAAAAGUUAGUGGGUAUGGCUAUAUUGGUAUUCAGCGUCAGAUACAUCCUCGGAGGAGUGCUUCGAAGUUAGACGGUGAAGGGGAAAGCGUUGAUGCUAGCGCUUUCAAGCCUGGAAAUUCUGGGUGUGAUUUUAGGGAACAAGUGAAUGUGGGAGAACCUUACCAUGCUAGCAAUACAUCUCAGCAAUUGGCAUCUGAAUUCAGGAAAUUUGAGGAGAGGUGGUAUGCUAGCCCGGAGGAGCUAAAUGAGAAUGUGUGCUCUUUAUCUUCGAACAUCUACUGUCUGGGUGUCCUUCUUUUUGAGGUGUGUGGCUUGUCAUUUUAGAUUAUUGGUAUCAAACUUAUUAAGUGGCUUGUUGAAUUUGUAUCUGCAAAUUAUCCUUGACUUAUGCAUAUACUAGGACUAAUUUUUUUAUAGAAUUUUUGCAUAUCGCCAUCCUAGUUGUUGUUUGCUGCCUUGGUUGCAUGGUAGAUGUUGGAAUCUUGUUGAUGCCUGCAAUUAGUCUAGCUGUCAGAUGAUACAGUUACUUAGCUGACUUUUCCUUUCAACUUUCCAGCUAUUUUGCUCUUUUGAAACAUGGGAGGUGCAUUCUGCUGCAAUGUCAGAUCUUCGUCAUCGGAUUCUCCCUCCAAACUUUCUUGCAGAAAAUCCCAAGGAGGCUGGUUUCUGUCUUUGGCUGCUGCACCCAGAACCUUCUUCUCGGCCGAAGGCUAGGUUAGCAUAUGCUUGCUUUCUUCUUAAAUCCUUUUUGUGUGUGCAAUUGCUAAUGUUAGCUAAAUUGUACAAACCCAUCAUUUUUUUUAACUCCAAUUAAGGUUACGUAUGAUGGCUAACAUUUGAAUUUGGGCAUGCCUGGUGUCUGGCUGGUGAAAAACCAGGAGAUUUGUGCAAUUUUGUAUUGAGGUUAACCUAGAGAGAGCCCAGAUUUAUGCAGGAAAAAAAAAACGCAAAUAGUGCUUCUGAUUGGUAAUAGCGAACUUCUGUGGGUGAAGAUGGAAGAGCCGAAGAGGUGACGACCCCAUUAGCAAUUAUGGAGCAGAGAAAUACUGUGGCAUGAAAUGUUAUCGAUAUUAGAUGCUAUUUAUCAAAGGCUCAUAUGUGUUUAAAUGUGUUGGCUUUGUACUUAAUGACUUGCAAAAUAGUAAUAACCGAAAAACCAAUACCAUGGAACCACAAAGUCUAAGCAAGAACUUCUCUUUCGGUGAUGGGAUUGUAAAUUGAGGACAAAGGUUACGUUUGUCUAAAUCUCUCUCUCUCUCUCUCUCUCUCUCUCUCUCUCUCUCUCUCUCUUUUCGUGACCCAAAUCAAAUUAUAGAACUAUAUAUGCCUGCAAUUGUGGCUCCACAUGCGGGUAGUCCUGUGCUUAGUAUAUGAAACGGACCGAAAUAAUAGGCAAUGAAUUGUUGAGCCUGCUAUUAUUCUAGGCUGAUGAUUUUGGCUUAGUUGGAAAUGCCACUUACUCAGGUUGAGCCAGCUGCCAGCAUAUGUUGACUUUGUCAGGUUAUCUGGAAAUGCUACUAAAUAUAUACCUAUACAGUGAAUAGGAAAUUAUUGUGUAUUCUCUCUCUAAGGAAGUAGAUUAUAGUAAUAUCAUACUGAUUGUUUUUGUUGUUUCGAUAUACUGAAACAGGCAUAUCAUCCAAAACUCUGAUUCUGUUAUAAUCUUUUGUUAGAUGUCGUCUCACCAUAUCUUGGAAUUAGUUUAAAACUUUCUGGUGAAUAUCUCUUACAAUGUAAGUAAUGCCGGAGUGCCAUUACCCCUCAGUUUGAUCCCUCACCCCUUUUUCUCACUUGUCCUGUGGAGGCUUUGUUCAUGCGUUUUAACUUAUGUUGUAUAUGUUUUAUGAAUUUUUCAAUUAACACAUGCUUCAAAUUGACUUACAUAUAUUAGAUAUUUCAUUGAUUUUACAUAUAGUAGAUAUUUUGCAACUUCUUAUUUGCUCCCUCUGCAACAUGAGCUCUGUGGCCUCUUGCCUGUUGGCCUGUGCAUAAGUAGUCGACCUAUUUUGCACGCUCUUAGUCUGCUCCUUUUCACAACUAUUUUGUAAAUCAUCUUAUUUUGCUUUUUUGAAUUUAUGAAUAUUAGCCUGCUAUAUACAUAAUCAAUGAUAUAGUUGAGCAAUAACAUGUUGCAGUCCUGCCAAAAGUAAAUUGGAAGGAUUGAAGUUGCUGAAGUUUUUAGGAGGGAAACUAUCUGGCUUUUAACUGAAGGAUCAUGAUACUUCUCAUGUAGUAAUUUUCUUCAAAAGAUUAUAUUAGUUACAUGUAGGAUGUCUAAUAUUCCAUCUUUGUGGAAUCAACCUCUAUAUGCUUACAGCCUUAACUCCAAGUCUCUAACCACAUUCUUGAGCUUCUUUUUCUAUUGUAAGUUCAUUCUUGAGUUGAUACAAGAAAGGAAGAAAUGCUUUGAUUUUCCUAUAGCAAAUGAGUAAUUUCACCCAUCUAACCUUCACACUUAUGGUGGUCCUUUUCUUUAGUAUAAAUUUGACAUAUUUGCAUCAUGAAUAUAUCUUUUACAAUGAGCGUUGAUAUAUUUUGUUCCACUUUCCCAGAGACAUUCUGUUAUGUGACUUGCUAAGUGAAUGCCGCCGAGAUAACUCUUUGUUGGAUCAGUCACCAACAUCUAUUGAUGAGGAAGACGCAGAAGCCGAUUUGUUAUCUCAUUUUCUCUCGUACUUGAAAGAACAAAAAGAAAAACAGGCUGCUAAGUUAAUAGCUGAUCUUGCAUCCUUACAAGGCGAUAUUGCAGAGGUUGAGAAAAGACACUUGUCAAGGGCUCAGUUUCCUUCAGAAGACCAGAACACACCAUCAAACUAUAGUGAUCGCUCUCAUCGCAAAGAAACUGUGGAAGCAGAGUUAAUACCAAGCUCGUCCAAAUCAAGCAUAUAUGAGGAGAGGCUGAUGAGGAACAUAAGGCAACUAGAAAAUGCAUAUUUCUCCAUGAGAUCCAAAAUUGAAGUAUCAGAAGCUAAUGCCAUUAUGCGUUCAGACACUGACGUGUUGAAGAUCCGUGACAGUUUUUAUCAUAACAAGAAUGAGACCGAUGUUCUCAAUGAAUCGACUGACCGUCUCGGAACAUUUUUCGAGGGUUUAUGCAAGUACGCACAGUACUCUAAGUUUGAAGUACGCGGAAGUUUGAAGAAUGUUGAUAUACUGAACUCUCCAAAUGUCAUUUGUUCUUUAAGUUUUGACCGGGAUGAGGAAUACUUUGCUGCGGCUGGGGUGUCAAAGAAGAUUAAGAUUUUUGAGUUUAAUGCUCUUUUGAACGACAAUGUUGAUAUUCAUUACCCAUUGAUCGAGAUGCCGAGUAGGUCCAAGCUUAGCUGUGUCUGCUGGAAUAGCUACAUCAGGAAUUACUUGGCCUCGACAGAUUACGAAGGGGUGGUUCAGGUUAGUAUUUUUCUUCAUGCAUACACAAGUCACCGCACAAAAUAAGUGCUCAUUGCAGAAGGAAAUUGUAGCAUUAUUAUGGCUUUCUUUUCUAAUGUGGAUUGGAUUGCUUGGGCUAAUGGUUUUACGUGCUGGACAUUAGUGAGCCCUUUCUAUCUUGGCAUGUGUAGGCAGAUGCUAUGGUUAGUAGUGUACAAUCACCACUUGCUCAUAGGCAUGGCAAGGCUUGCUUGAAAUGCUUAAUAGUGUACAAGUGACACGCCUAGUUUGUUUCAGCCAAAGAAAAAACAGCUAACCCAACUGUAACUAUGUUAGCUGUAUUUUAAGAUGAGUCAUAAUUAUUUUGCUCCUUUUUUUUGCCUUCAUUUUCAAUUUUCAGCAUGUUUCCUCAUCAUUGACUCAAUAAAUGCAGACCUGGAGUUCUGUUCCAAAUUAUCAUUUCUACUUCUUGACUAGGUUUUCUUGCAAGGUUAUGUAAUUUGACUGGCGUCGUGGCAUGCAGUUAUGGGAUGCAAGCACUGGUCAAGGAUUCACGCGGUUCACAGAGCACCAAAAGAGAGCUUGGUCGGUCAAUUUCUCACAACUAGAUCCCACUAAACUAGCUAGUGGAAGUGAUGACUGUUCUGUAAAAGUUUGGAGCAUUAACGAGGCAUGUUUUUAUAUUUAUCUUGCAUCAUUAAAGAAUUCUCUUUCUUAUAAACUCGUUCUUUUUUUUUUUUCUUUUUUCUGAAGAUGCAAGUUUGAGCUUUAAUACAUCAAUCAUUUUUUUGUCCCCAAUUGAUUAUUAGUUGGACUUGAUAGACUUACCGUGCUUUUGCUUGAAUCUUUGUUUUUCCUCUCAGCAGAAAAGUUGCAUUGAUACAAUUCGGAACGUGGCAAAUGUAUGUUGUGUUCAGUUCUCCUCAUACUCCUCGCGUUUUCUAGCUUUCGGCUCUGCCGAUUACAAAAUUUGCUGCUAUGAUCUACGAUAUACAAGAAUCCCUUGGUGUACACUUGCUGGACAUGGGAAGGCUGUUAGCUACGUCAAAUUUUUAGACUCGGGAACACUUGUUUCUGCGUCAACUGACAACACCUUGAAGAUCUGGGAUCUUAAUCUGACAAGUGCAAGUGGAUUAUCCACUGGAGCCUGCAGCCUUACUUUAAAAGGUCACGCUAAUGAGAAGGUUUGUAGUUUUGCCUGUUGUUUUCAUCUCCCCACCCACCCCCCCCUCCCUCUCUUUCUCUCUCUAUAUAUAUAUGAUCUGUCGGGUAUACCUGAUAAAAUACUAUUGUCGAUGCAGAAUUUUGUAGGAUUAUCUGUUUGUGAUGGAUAUAUUGCUUGUGGUUCCGAAACAAAUGAAGUAAGUAUUUUAAUUCCUUUCUUAUAGGUUUACUUGGAUUUGUUUAUCUGAAAAUGAAAAUGUCCCUGCUGUUAACUUCUAUCUGAAUACCUAAACCAUGUUGUCUCUCUAAUGAGAGAAUUUGUUGCUUCUCUUAUGUUGUCUUUUCUAAUUAGAGAAUUUGUUGCUUCUCUGCAGGUUUAUGCAUACUAUAGAACAUUUCCCAUGCCAAUAACUUCUCACAAGUUCGGCUACUUCGACCCAGUCACAGGCCAAGAGACAAGCGAAGAUAAUGCUCAGUUUGUCUCGAGCAUCUGCUGGAGAGGAAAGUCGAAUAUGGUGAUCGCCGCGAACUCCAGUGGAAGCAUAAAAGUGUUACAACUGGUUUGAGGACAUAAAUUCCUCAAACAGAGGAUACAAGAAGAACAAAUCACCUAUCUUGCCUAAUUCGGAUGCUCCAUAUUAGGCACAAAUGGUACAAAAAAUUGAUCACCUUUUUGAUUUCUUCAUCUCUUGCGCUGCCCCUGACUCAGACCAAAUGCCCCCCACACUCCCAUGUGGCUCGAGCUAACAUUGUUAGCUGGAUUUGGUUCGACGACUGGAUGUGUUCUUUCGAAUCCGUAGCUACAAAACCGACGAAUUUUGGAAGUGUUCAGAACCAAUCCAGUUUGCACAAAGCAAAUUUAUCGGCAUGGCUAAUAAUUUGGUUUUGGUUUUGUAUAAUGGGUUCUCUAGAUCAUAUGAAGAAGUGAGCAUUCAUCAAAGAGUAUAGAAAGUCAAAGCGAAACAAAUGUGUACAUUUCGUAGAGAGCUAGGUAUGUAACCAUUUUGAUGUAUUUAGUUGGCAUUUUUUCUUAAGGAAUAGGUAGUCCAUAUAAUCAACGAAAGGUGCAUGAAAUAGUUCAUCUUAUUACAAAAAGAUACUUGUAUGCUACUUGGAGUAUUAAUACUAAUAUAUAUAUAUAGACCAUUCUUUACUUAGGGAUGAGAUUUUUGUUCCAUAUUGAUUCGUUAAUGCUGUUGAUAUGUGCGCUGUUUGGACUGUGAUGCAAGAUGUGGGCAAUAAAUUUUCAUUAUUUUUCUCGUUUGUUUUUGUUUUUGUUUUUUUUUUUUUUUUUUUUCUCCUUUGGAGAGAUUUGUUAUUUGUCUCUGUUCUGCUUUUUAUCAUGGUUUUUUGUUUUUGGGUUAUUGGAUUUUCCCUUUUUUUUUGCUUUAUGUAAUUCAGUUAAUUCAAAAUAAGCCUCUAUCGAGCUUAAAAAUAUAUUCUCAUUAUCAAAAUAAAGUUCGCUUUAGGAAAAGAAUUAUAAAGCUAUGUACAAUCGCUGGGAGAGUAAAACGCAACCAAAUUUAGAGUAAUUUAAAAUAGAAGUUAUAAUUUUUUGCUUGUCCUUAUGUUUUAGCAUCUUGCGAAAAAUGAAUCAACUAGGGAACAGCUUUCAUAUACUUAAUUUUCUACUUAGAUAAACUGUAGUGCAUGAUGAUGUGAUGAUGAUAUGAUAAUAACACAACAGUAAUUAACAUACUAUAUUAUCUAUCAAAUCAUAAUAAGACUUGCUAAAACAAGCAUUCUAACUGUAAAAUAAAUUAAUGUUUAAAGUUUCAAAAUUACAUUCCAUCGCAUACUUUUAGGACCAUCAAAGCAGUCUCCCCAAAAAAGAAAAAAAAAAGGUAAAAUAAAAAAAUAUAUAUCCUCUCCCAAAUACCCUAAAAUUAGAUGAGGAUAAUGUCUUUGGGUUAGUUAAGAACCUGUGAUGGCUAAAGAGAGGCAUCUAAAUUUAGAAAAACCACACCAACGGUAGAAAUCGACUUUAAAACCUCUCUUUUUGAUUCAAUAAGGGAUUUCUCUUUUACCUUGCAUUCAAUUAGAAACUUUUCCCCCUUCCAUCAAAAAACAUUGAGAGGAAGGAGGGGAGAAAUAUUACAUAUAUAUUAAUAUUAUUAAAAAAAUGGCCAAAGCCCACGUGAUGUUAUUGUUCCUCUCGGCGUUUACUAUUGGGUGCCUUGUGGUGGGGUCCAUGGCCCACAAGGAUCACAUUGUGGGAGGGAGCAAAGGGUGGAGAUUACCACCCAACCAAACUUUUUACCAGGAGUGGGCACAGACCAGGAACUUCAGCCUUGGGGACAAAUUGCGUGAGUAUUUUGUUCUAACUCAAGAUUCUUCCUUUUUGGGCUUAAUGACAUGAAGAAUUUUCUUCUUCUUCUUUUUUUUGGCGUAAUCAAAUCACCACUAGCUAAUGCAGUUGGUUGGCAUCUGAGGUCGCCAUUCAAAAUAUCGGGGCGUUCGGUAUCUUGCAUGUGCGUUUGAAGCAUGGGAGAUUCAGUCUCCUACUUUCCUUUUACGCAUUUAAAAUUGGAGGAUUGCAUUUGCCAUUUUAAUUAUUUCUGUAGUGAUGCUUUUAGUUUUUCGUACAAUGCAAAUGAAGGGAUGGGCUGUUGAGAUUAAAUCUUUAAUCUUAACUUAGAUUGUACUACUUUUCUUCUUUCUUUUUUUUUUCAAAUGGAAAGACAUAAAUUAAUAAUGCUGGGAUAUAAAAUCAAGCAGGUUGAAGAGCGAAAAAUGUUGAAUACGGCAACUAAUUGUGCAAUCAAACAUUACUUGCAAUUAAUAAAUAGCAAUUGAACAUCAUAGUUUACAUGCCAAUUAAGUAUCAUGACACACAAUUACAAACACUCAUUAACUAUUUCUUCUUCUUCUUUUUUCGAAAAUAAAUACUAUAGUGCCUUUGAUCCAACCUCGGACCCUCACAAACUAAAGUUUCCACACCCUCACAAAAGUAACAAAUAUAUCUCUCCUUUGAAAAUGUUUAUCAACGAAUUUGAUCUUUGUUUGAAUUGUGUCCAGUGUUCCCGUUCCGGAGCUCGGUGUACAACAUUAUGGAGGUGUCGAAGGAGGACUUUGAUGCGUGCACUCAAAAGAACGUGACCCAACGAUUCCACGCCGGGCCGGCCAUCGUGGAGCUGACGGAGCCCGGCCCGCACUACUACUACUGCGGGAUCGGCCUGCACUGCGAGGCCGGCCAGAAGCUCAGCAUCGACGUCGCUGCGACUCCCGCCGUCGACGACGCUUCGUCCUCCGCCACCAUGACCGGCCCCACCACCGCCGCUCCAGUCGCGGGGUUUCUCGCCUACUUGUUGUUCUCUUUGUUUAUGUGAUUGAAGGGAGAUUGCGUGAUGCGAAAGAAGCAGGUUCAUGGGAGAUUCGGGAUCAUUUCAUUUGAGAUUCGGGAUCAUUUCGUUGUACAUGAGAUUUUAAUGCAAUUAAUACAUGGUUUUUUAAAUUUUUUCCCCUACGUGAUGAGUAAAGGUUAAUCUAGUUUUUCCCAACUUGAGAGGGACAUAAUAGUGUAAUAGAUAGAUACCACGUAAAUCAUUGAAUGGUUCAAAAAUAAAUUAGAAAUUUUAGAUAAUAGCUAAAAGAAACAGCUAAAGUAAAUUUCUGAAUCAUAAACGAUAGCAACAGAGUAAGCAACGGCAGAUUCUCUGUCGCCCAGUUUGCGGAAGAUACCUACGACCUUGUACUUCUUUACUCUCAAAAUAAGUGAAUUCAACAGCAAAAACAAAUUUGAUAAGUUUAUAAAAAUGACAUUGACCAAGAUGAAAUUGGCUUCUGCUUCCAGGUGCAGCAGUUCUAAAUUCUGUCCCUCUUCUAAAUUCAAUAGGAAGAGCAAACAAAGGACAAGAAAGCAGCUCUUUUUGUCCAAACACACAUUUCCAUUGAAAAUGAUUAAAAUAGAACAACAAUGUUUACUUCUUCACGGCCUUCCUCACCAGUUUCCGAUUACGUUAAAUGAUACAGUGACAUAAUAUUUUGUACACAUUUUAGAGACAUAAAUCAAACUACAUUAACAAGGCAGCUAAGCCGUGUGAUCUCCCACCAUCUUUUGAUGCUAUCCCAUCGCAUACUUCUGGGUCCAGCUCCUCGCAGUUGUCUCAUACUUGUUCUUAUCCGUCUUGUACAUGUGCGCGAUCUCUGGAACCAACGGGUCGUCUGGGUUCGGAUCCGUCAGUAGGGAGCAAAUGGAUAGUAAUACCUGAAAGAAAAGAGCGAGAACCCCUUCAUAUUUUACUUCAAACAAAAAGGAUAAAACUUUGCUAUCUUUGCUACAUUUAGUGCGAGGAAGCUUGCCAGCAUCAUGAGGAACAAAUGCGAGUAAAAGGUAACAAACAAUUAGAUCAACGUUAAUUAGGAAAAUGGGGAAAAGGAAUAAAAACCUUCGAUAUGGUCAAAGCAGGGCUCCAUUGCUCCUUCAAAAUGUCAAGGCAGAUGCUUCCAUUGCUAUUAAUAUUUGGAUGAAACACCUUAGUCCUAAAUGCUACCUGCACACAGAAAAAUGCAUUAAGCUGCAAUAUUGAUGGUUUAGGAUAUAGGAAUUUCAAAUAGGUGUUGCACAUUCUGCAGCACGAUAGAAUGAUUAUUCUCCUUAGCUAGCAAUAAGUAUGCAUACAGACCAUCAAGCACGAACUUAUGAGCCAUUCUGGGUAUGAUGCAUUCAUGCUAUACAGCUAUCUUAACGCCGCUAGGAAAACACAAAAGGACAGCAAUUUCCAUCAUAAAAGUCAUCCAUAUUCUUUUACAUCAACAUAAGCUAAAAACAUCCUGGGCUACAAAUACAAAAUAUCCAGGUGCUUUGUUUAUGAAUGAUACCUAAAAUGAAUGAAGGAAAAAGCCAGCGGAUUCUGCUCAAGAGUUGAAAGUUACAUCAUUAGCACUGAUUGAAUAAUUUAUCAUUAGCGCACAUUAUUCAAGUUUAUGUGAAAUUAUUUUUUUGAACAUUAGCAAGUAUAGAAAGAAAAUUCUCACCGGAUGAUGUAAACAAUAGAGCCUGGAUGAUGUUAUAACAGUCAUUCUCUAGUGUAUCAUGUGUUCAGAAUGACAGGAAAUACCUAUUAUUACCUUCUUAUGUUUUUCAUUUACUUGGAUUGUGGAACACCUGUUAAGCCCUAUUUACUUGCAUUGUUAAAAGAGAUAGUCAAUUACCAAACACUAAGUUGAAGUGACCCUCUCCAUUACAUUAUAUAUCUAACCCGAGAGGUAUCUAAGUCAUGACAUGUUGGUGUAUGAUAUGGCAUUAAACCUCAAAACACAGACUACAAGACACCGAUCAAUAAAAUAGUUCAUUACUUACAUGGCAUAGACAAUAAGGAUUAGUAACAUUUAUGCUCAAAAAGAGCUCUUACAUUACCUUGGGAGGCUUAAACGGAUAAUCCGGAGGAAAGUGAAUGUUGACUAGAAAGACUCCUCCUGCAUAAGGACUAUCUGGUGGGCCCAUUAUAGUUGCUUGCCAGUGGAACAUGUCUUCAGCCACUGGGCCUAUAAAAUGGAUUAUUAUUUCAAAAUGUAAGAAUCGAAAGGCUGAAAAGAAAAUAAGAUCUGGUUCAGAUUCACAACAAGAGCAUGACUGCGAAACUUGCUAGCCGAUUCACAGUUCAAACAGAUUGCUGAAAUAGGAACAAGAAGAAACCAUCACCAUCUUCACAACAAGAACAAAGUAGAAACAUCUAAUUACAGAAUCAUAUUCAAUUCUGGGUUCAAAUAGGUGAAGUCGUACAAAUCUAUGAGUAUGCAAAUGCCUGAUAGUAGAAAAUAGAUUAGCUUACCUACUUUAGUAAGUCGUCUGCAUCUAUUUCCAGCCUAGAUUAUUGCUGCAAUAAAUUUUAUGUCACUAACACAAAUUGGGUGUGCCUAGGGUUUCCACAUGGCACGGAAGAAACAUGUGAGAAAUUGUCUAAUUAAAUAUACAAUUUAGUUCACCAAUAUUACAAUUUUGAAUAAGUUGACCACUGAAACAACUGAAUCCCUCCAAUAACACAACAAUAAGAUAACUACGAACCCUGCAUGCUCCAACACCCUAGAAAAAAAAACCUUAAAAGACCAAAAUUUUCGACUUCUCAUUCAAAGGAGCGUAUGAAUCAGCGAUGCCGGAGUGGUAUACUACUAUCUUUCUUUAAAAAAAAAAAAAAAAAAAAAAAAAAAAAACACAAACAUCUAAUAACAGCCGAGAAAUCAACGGCACAAACUAAUCAUCAAUUAAACAUAAAGAUGUUCACACGAUUACAAACGAAGUCAUCGAAAACAAAAUUAGACGGCCGGAUCGAGCUCAGCACUCGACAAUAACACCUCAAAGCAUGCAAAAAUCGGGGAAAAGGAGGAAUACGGGGAGGGAGAAGCGAGGGAUUCGGAUCCGAGAUACCUGCGCUACAAGACGUGGGGGGGUCCUUUUGGAGAUCCUUGAGUUCCUUGACGAUCCGCUUCGACGCCAUGGAUUACUACGAUCUAAUCCCUCGAGGAAGAAGACGAUCGAUUAGGGCACAAGGAGAGCAAGAGGAGAGAGAGAGAAUACGCGAGAACAGGGGAGUUCGGAGUUUUGGAUCUCUCUCCGCUCUUUCUCUCUCUAGACGUGGUUGGUCGAGAGAGAAAGAGAGAUUAGUGUUUAGUAGUAGUAGUGGUUUAAUUAAUUAAGGUGAUAAAAUGGUGAUAAGGUGAUAAUUAAUGAUGAUGAUGAUGUUGAUGAUGGGGAUAGUCCAUCCACCGUUCAUCGUGCUUUAAAAUCCGCACUCAUUUAUAUGAUGGACGAUAGAUCGAACUGUCUCACCAUGGGGAUCUUCCCCAUAAAUUUUUUGUCCCGAUAAUAGGGGCCCAGCGCACGAUAGAUGAUUUUUUAAAUUAAUAAUUAACACGGGGGCCGCCCCUAGUUUUAGGUGCAUGUCUUGUCACGUGACAUGCACGUGGCAAUCAUGAGUUUAUGGGGAUACAAAUACAAUGUAUGUAGCGGUCCGUGUCAGUCACUCAUGGGCCAUCCCCCAUGCGAUCCAACAACAUAGAUUUUUUCUUUUCUUUUCUUUUUUAUAACUUCCCCUUCUCUUUUUUUUUUUUUAAGAGAUAUUUUAUUUUAUUUUAUUUUAUUUUAUUUGAAGAGAAUUUGCAGGUUGUGGACACCUGUACGUAUUUUGGAUUAUUUCUUCACCCUCUAAAUUUUUUUUAGCUUAUGGUUAUACUACAAUCAUUCUGAUAUACUGUAACGGUAAUGUACCAAGCUUUGGACCUAAUUAAAGUUUGGUUUUGUUGUAAUUACGUAUCACUGUUACAAAUUUGCAAAAUUCAUAAGGCUCGGAGAAUCCUCUAAUCCUCUAAAACAUCAAAGCAGAUGUAUUUGAACAACAUAUUUACACCAUGUAGUCGCGAGACAGGCACAUGGGCUGCUGCGUGCGAGAAUACUGUAGUUUUGAACUAGUCCAUUGGAAUUUGGAAAGCAAUGCUUUUGCACAACUAUUAAAGUUACCAUCAACCUUUUAUCCUACAAAUAUAGCUCAAUGCAGUAGGCUGCAAUGAAGAUUCUUAUCCCAAAAAGAGAGAGAGAGAAUCCUGCUCUGAAGAUCAAAAGUGCAUGGAACAAUUUUAUUCCACAUAAGCAAUCACUAGUGACAGCAAUUGUUUUCUACUUAAGUAUUUUAUGGCAAUGAUCUGGACCUGGAGCCGAAGCUAGAGCUCUUUGGAACAUGUACCAGUAUUGGUUUUUGUUUUUCGUUUUUGCAACAAAUAUUAAAAGUUGUGACAAGGGCUCCUAUGUUUGGAGUCUAAAAGAUUCCAUUCUAGUUUCUCAAAUAGAAAAGUUAUUUCUUUUUUUUUUUUUUUUGAAAGAGAGCAAGGUAGCAUGCUACCGCUUCAUUCAAUAGAAAGAUGAAUUUAGUAGAAAGUUGAGGCAACUAAGCUUCAGGAGGAUCGUCGGGAAAAAAAAAAAAAGACCUUAACCAAUUACAAUAACCUACCUAUUACAAAGAGAAAGCCAAUGGCUUCUGUACGAACGAAUGUCCGCUAAAAGUAGACUAGGGGGGCUCUUCUUUUUGUCGAAGAUUCGUCUACUCCGCUCCAACCAAAUGGCCCACCAAGUAGAAGCGAUUGUAGUUAACUCCCACCCCCUUAUGCCUCCUACUCUACGGCAGCUAUCAUCCCAGAGGUGGUUUACUGAAAAGGCCUUCGAAAUUAAAGCUUUGUUCGGUAAUAAGCAACCCAGCAGGGAUCUAGUAUUAGCGCAACCAACAAAAAGGUGGUGCACAAUCUCGGGCUCCUCCGUGCAAAAAACGCAGCUCACCUCCCCCUGCCAUCCCCUUUUCAUAAGAUUGUCCACUAUAAGGAUCUUGUUUUUCAGUACUGUCCACACAAAGAUUCUUACUUUCAAUAGAGCUCUGGUCUUCCAUAGCUGAACAAACCGCCGGUGUUUAAUCCCGCCGUCCUGUAGAAAGUUAUACAUUGAUCUGACCGAAUACCGUUUAGACUGUGCCCAUCUCCAUCUAAUUUUGUCCCUACCCUCGUUCAGCGUAAACUCCGAGAGUGACUCUUGUAACCUCAAUAUCAGCUCAUAUUCGUGCCUCUCUAGGGGUAAAAUCUGCCAAGAUUUUACUCUAGUCCCAUGUACCCAUCAACACCAUAGCAAGCUCCCGCCAUAAAGGUCCUACACCUUCUCUAAAAAUGUAGGGGUGUUGGGACAUUAAGGAGGAUUGUCCACACCAAAUGUCCAACCAAAGACUUAUUUUGCUACCGCGAAGCUAGUUCCACAUCUGAAGAUGUCCCUAGUCCCUAACACACUCGACCACCACUAUGAAUAUGGUCUGAACAAUGAACCCUCUCUAAGUGGUUUCCUACGGGAGUAGUAGAGGCCAUCAAUAAGAGAACCCCACAAAUGGUUCCUAUCGGCUAAGAACAGCCACCACCAUUUUGCCAAAAGGGCCACGUUCAUACUUUCUAAGUCCUUCACUCCUUUUCUUCGCACUAAAUGAUAGUGCGAAGAAAAGAAAAACUAAUGGAAUUCUAUUCAAGGUAUAUAUAUUUCCCCACCUCGUAAUAUCUUUGGUUUGAACAAAUCAAAAAUAAAAUUAACAACUUAUAAAUAAAUACCGAAAAAAAGACGUGAUAUAAAUAUUGCAAAGCAUGCUAACUUCUUUUUUUUAAAAAAAAAAAUUGGGGCUACUCUUAAUUCUUAUCCAACUUUCUCUGUGGUGAUUAAAACACCCUCAGUGACAAUUAAUUGAUGUCGUACGUACAUCAUGUAUGUCAACUUGCAAUUAUUAUCUGGCAUUUGGCAAGUAGCUAAGCUUUAAUGCAUUUAUUAUAUAGCUUCUGUUUUGGAAAUUUUGUGUAGAGAAAUACAUAUAUAGCAUGCAUAUAUGAUGAGGUAGAAUAGAUUUAUUGAACCUGAUUAAUUACUGACUAAAUUGAAUGAAUUUGUUUGUCACUACAGCAAUUUUAGAUAUGUUAAUAUUAUCACUCUAAAUUAAUAUAUACAAACGUGUAUACGAUGUACAUUCAUAACUUGUUUAGAAAUGUACGUAUUAAGUUUAAUUUGAAGCUUUAAUUUUAUUACAACAGAAAAAUCAUUGGAAGUAUUUGCAUUAAAAUUUAAAGGUUAAUAAAAUGAGAUUAAUAUUAGAAAAGUUUUACAACUUUUACAACUAUGAUGUAACAUUUUCUUUAUGGUUCGACUUGAUUGUGAUUAUUAUUUUGUAAAUUGCAUUUGUCAUCCAAUUAAGUUCUCCAUAAUGUAGUUAUAAAAAGUAUAUAUAUGCAUGUAACUUUAUAAUUUGAACAAUAAAAACGCUUAAAUAAGCCGACAAAAAAAUGCCAAACUGUUAUUCAUGCGUGCAUUUUCCUUGACAAUGGAUUUUUUUUUUUUUUUCUGUAGUAGAACUAAAAUAAUGAAACACUUGGGACCUAUAAUACUUAAAAGCCAAAAAAUAUAUAUAUAUAGUAGUAGUUUAGCCAUUUUCCUAGAUAAGAUCUGAAGAUAUUAAUUUGUCAAAUAACUCUAAUUUAACUCAUAAUCUUAAGCUGAUAAGUCCAAAAAAAAUUAAACUGAGCCGGGAAUUAAUAAAGAAGGUAUAAACUAUAAUUCGCUACUAUGAUAAACGACUCAUAUUCAAGUCGAAAAAUUAAGCUAACACAAGAAAAUUCUUUCAUGCAUAUUAUAUAUAUACGAAAUACAUGUAUAAUUUUUAUUCAAUACGAAACUAAUAUAUAUUCUUUACACGACUUGUGUACGGCAUUAGAUCGAUCAAAUGAUCUUUAACAACAAGUCAAAUUGAUGUGGUUAAUUUAGCUAAUUUUUCAUCUUUGAUCCUGUACGUGAUGGUAUCUUCUAUUCAAACAUGAAAAUUUUGUUUUAUAUAUAUUCUACGAUAUUUCCACGUAGUUCGUGGACUUUGGACAUCACAUUGAAAUCUACAUCACUUGCAUAUUCCAUUUAGCUUAUAGAAUGUGUACCUUUUUUCCCAUAGAAAUUGUUUUUUUUUUUUUUUGACUUGAAGAGUAACACCUUUGCCAGUGGGCGGAAAUCAAGCAAAGCUUGAUUUUGCUGCUCAUUUUUUUUUACAUACGUUAUGGGGAAAGUGAGGGAAGAGCGAUCGAAGAACCUUCUUUAAUAUAUUAUGAGCAAAUCUCAAAAAGUUUCUGGAGUUUUAUGUUAGGAAUAUUAGUAUAUUGUCUCCAAUCAAAUUGAUACUUAUCGUAUCAUGGUAUCAGAGCUGAAUCUAAACACUCUUUGGUUGUAUCCAUUUUGGCUGAUAUUUGUCUCAUGUAUUUGGUGCCACGAGUACAAUUUGGCUGGUCUUUGUCUCAUGUAUUUGGUGCCACGAGUACAAUUUAUCUAAUCUUCACCAUGCGCGCAAAUACUAAAAUUGCUACUAACAACUUUUCUAUAAGUUCAAUUUUUUAAUAAUAAUUAUGACUAAGCAAAUAAAUCUUAAAACGGAAGAAAUAAGCCUUUUAAUUCAUUUCUUUGACAUCUCAAUGUAGGAUUUUUUUAAAUGUACCAUAGUCAAAAAAAUUUUAAAAAAAGAUAUUGAAAAUUAUUUGAAAAGUAAUAUAAAUAGAUGCAUUCCGCUUAUAUAAGUCCUGCACUAUCUACUUCCCCAGCCAUGCUACACACAUAUGUAACCCUUCUUUCUUGCAUUGAAUGUAAAUAUGUUCCUGCUGAAACAAGAGAUUUGAGAAAUUUUCUGUAUAUCAUUCAUCUAAAUCCAUUCUCUUAUAUAGAGAGAGGAAAAGCUUUACAUGGAAGUACAGGAUUAUAUCCUGUUAUACAAAGAAAUAAAUAAUACUAUCCUAAUAAGAAAGUAAUAUACAUAGUAAUAUAUAUAUAUUAUAUAUGGUAACAUAUAUAAUAUAUAUAUGGUAUGUAAUAUAUAUGUGGUAACACCCCUCCGCAAACUCAAGGUGGGUUAAACACCGAGAGUUUGGAUAAAAGAAAAUGAUGACGUUGUGUGGUAUGAGACUUUGUGAAGAAGUCGGCAAGCUGAAGACGAGAAGAUAUAAACGGUAAGGCCAGUGUGCCAUUAAGAAAAUGAUGCCGAACGAAGUGACAAUCAAUUUCAAUAUGUUUAGUGCGUUCAUGAAAUACCGGAUUAUUAGCAAUCUUGAUGGCACUUUGAUUGUCACAAUACAGAGGUGUCGGAGUAGAGCAAGUAAUGCCAAUAUCACCAAGAAGACGACGAAGCCAAACAAUCUCAGAUGCUGUAGCAGACAUAGCACGAUACUCAGCUUCGGCACUAGAUUUGGAGACAAUAUUCUGUUUCUUAGCUCGCCAGGAAAUAAGCGAAUCACCAAGAAAGAUGCAAUAACCCGUGGUGGAUCGACGAUCAGUAUGGUCCCCAGCCCAAUCAGCGUCAGAAUAAGCUCGAAGUGCAAGUUCCGAGGUAGAAGAAAAGAAAAGACUCUGGUUAAUAGUGCCACGAAGAUAGCGGAGAAUGCGAAGAACAGCAGCAUAGUGAACAGAAGUUGGUUCCUGAACAAAUUGGCUUACUAUGUGGACAGCAUAAGCAAUAUCUGGACGAGAGAUAGUGAGAUAAAUAAGAGCUCCAACUAACUCCCGAUAGCGCGUGGGAUUUGAAAGUGGCUCACCCAUGGUAGGAGUCAGUUUUUGAUGAAGUUGCAUAGGAGUAUUGACUGUGUCAUUGUCAGUAAUACCAGCACGAGAGAUGAGAUCCGCUGUGUACUUCCGUUGAGAUAGCAAAUAGCCUUUAGAACCGUAGGCUACUUCAAUACCUAGAAAAUAACGGAGAAGCCCGAGAUCCUUCAUUUCAAAUUGACGUUGAAAGAAAGCUUUGAUAAAAUGUAUAAAAUCGGGAUCAUCACCAGUGAUAAUCAUAUCAUCAACAUAGAGAAGUAAAACAGUAGUACCACGAGCAGAAGAGUGAAUGAAUAAUGCAUGAUCAUUUUCACUCUGACGAAAACCAGCAGAGAUAACGGCAGUCGAGAACUUCUCAAACCAAGCACGAGGAGCUUGUUUAAGACCAUACAACGCCUUGCGAAGUAAGCAGACAUGACCAGGCGGAUGAUUAAGACCAGGAGGUGGCUCCAUGUAAACUUCUUCGUGAAGAUCACCAUGUAAAAAAGCAUUCUUAACAUCAAGUUGAUAUAACGGCCAACCACGAGAGGCAGCAACAGCAAUAAGAACGCGAACAGAGGUCAUUUUGGCAACCGGAGCAAAUGUCUCCUCGUAAUCGAUGCCAUACUCUUGAGUAAAGCCGCGAGCAACCAAGCGAGCCUUAUAUCGAUCAAUAGAACCAUCAGACUUCGUCUUAACUUUGUAGAUCCAUUUGCAACUGAUUGGAACCUUUCCUGGAGGAAGAGGAACAAGCGUCCAGGUACCGGUGUUGUGAAGAGCCUUAAGUUCGUCAGACAUAGCAUCUUGCCACUCAGGAAUGGUAGCAGCUUGGCGGUAUGUUCGUGGUUCCUGGUGAGUAUGGAUGGUAGCAAGAAAAGAAUGGAAAUGGGGAGAAAGAGAAUGUGAGGUAACACAACCAAAGAACCUUUUGGGCUGGCGCUCUCGAAGGGGAUAGCGACGCACGGAUGUCGGAGGAUCGUCGGUUGGAGCUUCGACAGAAGGACCAUCAUGAGAGGCAUGAACUUCACUUUCAUCUGCAGGAGAGGUAUUAGGAGAGAUAGAGUCCUCAGGAAAAGAGGAAUGCUCUGGAAAAGAAUCAUGCAAAAAGGAAAGAUCGAUAGGGGCAGAUGAAGAAGAUGCAGUGGCUGGUGUGGGUUGGGCAUAAUAGAGAAGAUGCUCAAAGAAAAUCACAUCACGAGAAAUCCGAAGACGUCUCGUGUUAGGAUCAUAGCAACGAUACCCUUUAUGCUCAAGACUAUACCCUAGAAAGAUACAAAUAGCAGAUUUAGGAGACAGUUUAUUUCGUUCGUGAGGAGGUAGCAAAACAAGGCAAGUGCAACCGAAGACUCGUAGAUGAUCAUAUGAAGGAGGCUUGGCAAACAACCGCUCACUAGGAGAGACACCUGAAAGGACACUGGAAGGCAUAAUGUUGAUUAAGUAAACAGCUGUAUUGACAGCAUCAGCCCAAAAUUGUGAAGGAACAGAACUAUCAAAAAGAAGAGACCGAGCAGUAUCCAUGAUAUGACGAUGCUUUCUUUCAGCAACCCCAUUUUGUUGAUGAGCAUAUGGGCAAGAAAGCUGAGGUAAGGUGCCUUGACUUGCAAGAAUUUGUCUGAAUUCAGAAGAGAUAUAUUCACCACCAGAGUCUGAACGAAAAAUUUUAAUAUUUGUGCCAAAUUGAUUUUGAAUCAUAACUGUAAAAUUUUUAUAUAUUUGCAAUAGUUCAGACCGGUUGUUCAUAAAAUAUAUCCAGGUAAAACGAGAAUAGUCAUCCACAAAGAUCACAUAGUAUCGAUUACCAAUACGUGUAGAAAUAGGAGCAGGACCCCAAACAUCAGAAUGAAUUAAAUCAAAAGCAGCAUGAGAGACAGAGUUACUAGCAGGAAAAGGUUGAGUAGUAUGUUUAGCAAGUUUGCAACCCAUACAACUAAGAUUAUUGGAAACAGAAAAUUUGCCUAAUACACCACGACGAACUAAAACAUUAAGAUGUUCGAAAGAAAGGUGACCUAAGCGACGAUGCCAUAAAGUAGAGCUAGAGAUGGUUGAAGUAGUGGUGGCGUUAACAGAGUUAUGGUUGGAUGGUAGAUGCAGAUGAUCCAUGUAGUACAAGCCAUCACGCCUAUGGCCCUGUCCAAUCAAAGUCCCUGUUCGACGAUCCUGAACACGACAAGAAGAUGAGUCAAAUGUAACUGUACAAUCAUGAUCAGUAAUUUGGCUAACAGAUAAAAGAUUUAAAGAAAGUUUUGGUAUGUGUAAAACAGAGGGCACAUAAAAUUUGGCAGAAUUACCAAUGGUAGGUGAUAAUGUACCAUAAUGAGUAACAGGAAGUGGUGUACCAUCAGCAGUAAAAAUAUUGAGCGGAGAAGACAAUAGGGAAGGUGAAGAAAGUAAUGAAUCAUGUGGAGUCAUAUGAAAAGAAGCACCUGAGUCUAGAACCCAGGAAUUCUUAGAAUUACCUCCAAAGCUAGGUGUUGAAAGGGAACCAAAACCUGGUGGUGCUGAUGAUGUCUGAGGACUGGAUUCUGGCUCUUUUGGAGUCGAGUUAUUCAGAUUGCUCUGUUGAAGUAGCUGCAUUAGUUGAGGCCAGCUGAGUUGAGUAGAAGCAGUGUGAUGUCCUACGUUGUUAGAAGAAGUAUUGAAAGGAUGCUCGAUCUGCAAAGUAGAAGCAGCAGCAGGAUAACCACGUGGAGAAUGUCGUUGUUGAUCAGCCCACUUCUUUUUCCUGCAAUCUUGAAUAUGAUGCCCCCAGAGUUGGCAAUAUUUGCAUUGGAUAUUGCGUUUGUUCUUUCGAGGAACAAACGAAUUAGUAGAACUCAAAGGCUCAGGAGGAACUUGAUUGGGAGCAGCAAGUACAGUCGGUGUUGAAGGACUGGAGGAAUGCAAUACUCGAAGACGAGUUUCCUCUGCAAUAAGCUCUGCAAGUGCAGCAUCAAUGGUGGGUAGCGGAGAUCGAUGAAGAAGUUGGCCUCGUAAGGCCUCGAACUCUGGCCGUAGACGCAUAAUAAAUUGAAAAAGACGCUGUUGAUCACGAAUUUGCGUUUGUUUGGUAGCACAAGUGCAAGCCAAACAAGUCUGGCAUAAUGAUUCGUCCAUGAUGGAUAGUUGGCGCCACCGUGCUUGCAUAAAGCUAUAGAACUCCUGAAUGGAGCGUUCACCUUGAUGGGCCGAUGUGAUCUCUUGGAAUUCAGCAUAUGAUUGAGCAUGGCUAGAUUGCUCAUAUAGUUUUUGAAGAUGAGCCCACAUUUGCUGAGCUGUAGUGAAACUCACCAACUGCAUUCUGAUGUCAAUUUCUACAGACGUGGAUAUAAUUCCACGAGUACGUCUGUCAGCAUUAUUCCACUCUUUGAGUUUCUUCUCAUCAGCAGGAGGGCUAGUGUCAUUAAUAUGAUCUGUUAAGUCUAGGGCAUCAAGUAAAAGUUUUACAGACACCGACCACUCCCGGUAAUUAGAACCAGAUAAUUUGACAUCUAGUUGAGGAAAUUGAUUGGUAGAAGAUGUCAUAACUUAAAUAAAUAAAGAGAAGAGAUAGAAUGGACAAAUCUGAAGAAGUGGCUUGCUAGAGACUCCUAGCAACUUGGUCAGACGUAUGUCGAGAUAUGAUGCGCAGCCACACAGACGUGAUGAUGACAAUCGCAGCCCCAGUUAACCACUAGGAUAGGAUCGUGUCGUCCUCGGACGUGGUGCUGAUCUGGACGAACAAUUCGCCUUCUGAGGAGAUGAGCAAAAGUCGUCGAAAGAGAAUAAAACCCUAGAAGGGCUCUGAUACCAUGAAACAAGAGAUUUGAGAAAUUUUCUGUAUAUUAUUCAUCUAAAUCCAUUCUCUUAUAUAGAGAGAGGAAAAGCUUUACAUGGAAGUACAGGAUUAUAUCCUGUUAUACAAAGAAAUAAAUAAUACUAUCCUAAUAAGAAAGUAAUAUACAUAGUAAUAUAUAUAUAUUAUAUAUGGUAACAUAUAUAAUAUAUAUAUGGUAUGUAAUAUAUAUAUGGUAACACCUGCGAACUCCCCCUCACGUCUAGGCUCGUCUGGGCUCGAGACUUUUUAUAAGACCCAUGACGUGGAUUUGAAUUAAAAGGAAAUUAAUUAUGCUAGGGACCUGGCAUGACUUGAACUCAAAACCUCCUGCUCUGAUACCAUAUGAAACAACCGUUGUACUCUAAAAACUUAAGCUGUUAGAGAACGGUGUUUAUAUAAUUUUAUAUUUAACUGUUAGAGAACGGUAUUUAUAUAAUUUUAUAUUUAACACUAAUGCUAAUUCUUAUUCAAGGCCCUAAACUUUCAAUAAGAUUAAUUAAAUUUAGUUGACUCUAAAAUUUUAAUGAUGUUUUACUAUAGUCCUUACCUUGGAGUAAAGACUACGUUAGACCUUAACUUCCAACAAUAUUUUUUGUUUCUACACCAUAAAUCCCGACAAUCAUUAAUUAAUUUAUCCACUAAUACUUUUUGUUUGAUGACUUAAUUUUUCAAUAGAAAAAGUCAAUCGAUAAUAGGGUUGAAAAAUGCGAUGGGAUAAAAGAGUAAUAAAUGCACAGAUGCAAUCGUUGUAGGCGAUAGCUUACUAAGUCAUCUAUAAAAGUUUGAAAAAUGUUACUUCAAAACAUAAUGGUCAUUUUCGAAAUAAAAUUCAGCUUCUAACGGUAAAUCGACGCGGCGGAUUUGUUUACAAAAUUGGUUUUAAGAAAUAAGCCUUUUAAUUCAUUUCUUUGACAUCUACGUUAGUCCUUAACUUUCAACAAUAUUUUUUGUUUCUACACCAUAAAUCCCGACAAUCAUUGGUUCAUCCACUGAUACUUUUAGUUUGACGACUUAAUUUUUCAAUAGAAAAAGUAUUAUUACUCAAUCUACUAAGUCAUCUAUAAAAGUUUACUAAGUCAACUAUAAAAGUUUGAAAAAUGUUACUUCAAAACAUAAUGGUCAUUUUCGAACUAAAAUUCAGCUUCAAACGGUAAUUCGACGCGGUGGAUUAGUUUACAAAAUUGGUUUUAAGAAAUAAGCCUUUUAAUUCAUUUCUUUGACAUCUCAAUGUAGGAUUUUUGAAAACCAUAGAGUCAAAAAAAUUAAAAAAAAAAAGAUAUUGAAUAGUACUUGAAAAAUAAUAUAUAUAGAUGCAUUCGGCUUAUAUAUAUAAGUCCUGCACUGUAACCUAGCUACUUCCCCAGCCAUGCUACACAUAUGUAACCCUUUUUCUUGCAUUAAAUAUAAAUACGUUCCUCCAAAUUUUCAAUAUUAAUUAUCUAACUUUAUAGAACUUAUAUUAUGAAACAUAUUUGAUCUCAUAAAACUAUAUAAACUGCCAAGUUUUUUUGUCCAAUGCUAAUUCUUAUUCAAGGCCCUAAACUUUCAAAAAGAUUAAUUAAAUUUAGUUGACUCUAAAAUUUUAAUAAUGUUUUAGUAUAGUCCUUACUACCUUAGAGUAAAAACUACGCCAGUCCUUAACUUUCAACAAUAUUUUUAGUUUCUACACGAUAAAUCCCGACAAUCAGUAAUUCAUCCACUAAUACUUUUAGUUUGACGACUUAAUUUUUCAAUAGAAAAAGUCUUAUUACUCAAUCCAAAAUAGGGUUGAAAUAUGCGAUGAGAUAAAAGAGUAAUAAAUGCACAGAUGUAAUCGCUGUAGGUACGUAAUAAUUUACUAAGUCAUCUAUAAAAGUUUGAAAAAUGUUACUUCAAAACAUAAUGGUCAUUUUCGAAAUAAAAUUCAGCUUCUAACGGAUUAGUUUACAAAAUUGGUUUUAAGAAAUAAGCCUUUUAAUUCAUUUCUUUGACAUCUACGUUAGUCCUUAACUUUCAACAACAUUUUUUGUUUCUACACCAUAAAUCCCGACAAUCAUUGGUUCAUCCACUGAUAUUUUUAGUUUGACGACUUAAUUUUUCAAUAGAAAAAGUAUUAUUACUCAAUCUACUAAGUCAUCUAUAAAAGUUUACUAAGUCAACUAUAAAAGUUUGAAAAAUGUUACUUCAAAACAUAAUGGUCAUUUUCGAACUAAAAUUCAGCUUCAAACGGUAAAUCGACGCGGUGGAUUAGAUUACAAAAUUGGUUUUAAGAAAUAAGCCUUUUAAUUAAUUUCUUUGACAUCUCAAUGUAGGAUUUUUGAAAACCACAGAGUCAUAAAAAUUUUUAAAAAAAAGAUAUUGAAAACUACUUGAAAAAUAAUAUAUAUAGAUGCAUUCGGCUUAUAUAUAUAAGUCCUGCACUAUAACCUAGCUACUUCCCCAGCCAUGCUACACAUAUGUAACCCUUUUUCUUGCAUUAAAUAUAAAUAUGUUUCUUCAAAAUUUCAAUAUUAUUUAUCUAACUUUAGAGAACUUAUAUUAUGAAACAUAUUUGAUCUCAUAAAACUAUAUAAACUGCCAAGUUUUUUUGUAUAAUGCUAAUUCUUAUUCAAGGCCCUAAUGUUUUAUUUAGUUGACUCUAAAAUUUUAAUAAUGUUUUAGUAUAGUCCUUACUACCUUAGAGUAAAAACUACGCUAGUCCUUAAUUAGCUUUCAACAAUAUUUUUAGUUUCUACACGAUAAAUCCCGACAAUCAGUAAUUCAUCCACUAACACUUUUAGUUUGACGACUUAAUUUUUCAAUAGAAAAAGUCUUAUUACUCAAUCCAAAAUAGGGUUGAAAUAUGCGAUGAGAUAAAAGAGUAAUAAAUGCACAGAUGUAAUCGCUGUAGGUACGUAAUAAUUUACUAAGUCAUCUAUAAAAGUUUGAAAAAUGUUACUUCAAAACAUAAUGGUCAUUUUUGAAAUAAAAUUCAGCGUCAAACAGUAAAUCGACGCGGUGGAUUAGUUUACAAAAUUUGCAAAUAAUUUGGGGGCAAAAUCACAACUUCGCAGGUGUAUAUAUAGGAGCAUUCCUGUUCCUUUGUUAUUCACAUACCUUUUGAAACAUUUUGUUUCUUCUCCAUCCACCACCUUGUUCCAUAACGUUUCCCAUAUAUGCAAACAAUGGGGUUCAUCGGAUCCGACGACUUCUACAUGAUGUUCGCUCCCGUUGUAGUUUACUGGGCGUAUUCGGGGAUGUAUGAGGUGUUGAGCUCUCGCGUGGAGAAAUACAGGUUACAUUCGAGGAAAGAGGAGGAGACAAAGAAUUUGGCGUCUAAGAAAGAUGUAGUUAAAGGUGUUCUUCUGCAGCAGGCCAUUCAAGCAGCUAUUGCAUUCACUGUGCUCCAGGUUUGUGACCGUGGCUUAUCCUACAGUAUCUCUUCAUUUUUUUUUAUUUUUGUUGUAUCAAUUUCUUUUUAAGCCUCUGUAAGAUUUUUCUCUCUUUUCUUGAUCUUGUUAAGGAUUCGGAUAAUUAAUAAGAGAGUAAAUUAUUAAUUUAUACUAGUUUGUAGGCACUUAAACUUGUAGAUUAAACGGAUUUUAUUAGAUAUGUCAUAUUCCUACACUCAUCUGGGCCUAGGCUGGUCACAGAACUGUCUAAUAAAUCUGCGCGCGUAAGCUAUUAUCCAAAAUGCUGUGGUUUUGAGCGCCAUAAUUUUGAAAUGCAUGAGUAUGCGAGAGUCCGAAUCUCUAACUUUUUAAGUAGCAGUUGACGUAACAAAUUAACCACUAAUUAAUUAACUAGCUGGGCCUAUGUAGUGGUGGUUCCUUUCAGGAUCUGUUGCUAAGAUAAAGAGAAAAACUUAGUCAAGAUAAAGUGCUUGAUCAUCAUGAUCUUUAAUGGCAAAUUUAUAGCUCCUUUAAACAUGAGCUAAUUAAGCAUUUAUUUUGGCCUAGUAUCUAAAUUUUUUUUUAUUUUAAGAAACUUAAACACACGUACCAUCCCUAGCGCAAGUGGCAAAGGGCUUGAUGCUUGGUAUUCGAGGUUCUAAAUUCGAGUCCUAGUUGAUUCACAUUUUCAGCUGAAGUUUAUUUCUAAAUAAAAUAAAUGAAGCAGGUAGCAUACUUUAAAAUUUUCUACUUUUUACAACUACAGAAAGUUAUAAAAUAGAACAGUACUUUUACAGGGAGCUCCGACAGGGGGCGGAGAACAGAGAAACCUUUCCCCACAUAGAGAUGUUUUGCUUGAUAGAGUAGGUUUACGAUCGUGUUAGUUCACAAUUGUUAGGCUAGCAAUGCUCUAUCCUAAUUAAAUCCCUACUCUAUUGGUCAAGACAAGUCAAAGGGGGUGUUGGUCCCCUCUUAACCCAAUUUAUUCCAUUUGAUAUGUACAUGUAACUAGAAUUUAAUUUUAAUAUAUAAUAAUAAUAUCCACAGCUAUUGUACCUCUGAGAAAGGUUCGGAAUCAAAGUAGACCCCCAUCAAAAAUAUUCAAAUGCAUUUAUUUAUGAGAUUUAAGCACGGAUUGACUGUACGUGCGGUCCCGAGCCGGUCGUGCCGUACUGUGCCAAAGUUGUGCCUACAUGUUUUUCAAUAUGUUUGAGCUCUUUUAGAGCUAUUUCGAGAUAAAAAGGUUAUAAAAUAUUUUUUCUCAACUUAAAACAUGUAUAUAUCUUGUUGAUCUAACAACUGUUUGAUCAAAUAAUGGAUCCUAAUUGUAUAAUUAGUCGGAUUAUAAUAAAAAAAUAUGAAUUUGAAGAUUGCGCCUAAUUUCUUUUAUUAUUUGUGAUUUAGUGCGUGUCUUUCUACAAUUGACUUUAAUUUCUUCUCCGUGAAUGCAUUUUUGUUAUAACAUGUUAAAAUAACAUUCUUAAAUUAUCAAGAUGUCUACGCUCUAAGAAACUCCUUUCUUGUAUUGGCAAGUUCGAAUCAGUUUCCAAAGGGCUUUUUUUGUAAAUAGCCCCCUGACAAAUUUUAUUUGCGAAAAUAGCCCUGUCCAAAAAUUAUUUACAAAAAUAGCCCUGCCCCUACCACGCCAGCGCCACAUCAGCGCCACGCGGGCAGGGCGGGCCCAGAUGUUUAAGUUGAACACGGUGAACCAUUCACCGUGUUUUGUAUUGGACACGGUGAAUGGUUCACCGUGUCCAAUACAAAUACCCCAACAAUGGCUAAGUUAGAGAUAUUUGUAUUAGACACGGUGAACCAUUCACCGUGUCCAAUUAUUUGUAUUGGACACGGUGAAUGAUUCACCGUGUCCAAUUAGCUAUUUUAUAUUGGACACAAUGAAUUAUUCACCGUGUCCAAUACAAAAACUUUAUAUUGAACACGGUGAAUGAUUCACCGUGUUCAACUUAACCAUCUGGCCCAGCCCCGCCCGCGUAGCGCUGACGUGGCACUUGCGUGGCGGGGUCAGGACCAUUUUUACAAAUAAAUUUUUGACAAUGCCAAAUUUAAAAAAAAAAUUUGUAAGGAGGCUAUUUGCAAAAAAAGCCCGUUUCCAAAACACUGCUAACAACUACAUCACACCUUGGAAAAGCUGUGUACUGUAUAUCCCACCUCCCAUUGGCAGUGUCAGUGACAGUAACAGUAACAGUAACAGUGGAUAAGGGGAGUUGGGUUCAGCAAUUACCCCUCAGGCCUCAGGUUCAUAACACUCGACCCAUUAUCCAUAUAUAGUUUGGACCAUGCAUGAUUCACCGGCGCAUUUUCCUUAUUGGAUUCGAAUUGUUUAUUUAUAUGCAUGUAAACGUUUGUGAGUAUAACAUGUAAGUAAAUUCAAAGUAUUCAUCUGGUUACUAUCCCGCAAGAGGACUUGUAACUGUCGACCGCCUGCUCAAACGUGGCAUUCUAGCAGUUCAUCACAGCGUCUUUUGCGCUUUCGACAUGAAAACAUGCGACCACCUGUUUAGUCAGUGUGUUUUUGUCCGAUACCUUCUCCUCACUGCGGAUGGACCGCUCUUAUUCACAGAGCUCAUGGAAGACGUCCGAGAUCUAUGGAUAAGGGCUUCUAGCCUUAACGAUGUUGGUACAAGAUCCCAAUGCCUAACCCGCCUGGCGGCUGUCUGGUGGGUGAUCUGGACCGUGAGGAACAACUUCCUCUUGCGCGAGAUACCCCCGGUCCCUUCUCUCUCACUGGACAGCGUACAACGUUUGAUAUCAGUAUAUAUGGAGCGAGCUUUCGGCAGUGUUCUGACUCAUAUGUUUUACUUUUACUUUUACAUUUACAUUUACUUCUAUUUUUUCUUUACUUUUUAAUUAAACUUUACCUUUAUUUUCUUUUGUUGCCUUUUUUUUUUCUUUUAGGAAGUCUUAGCUGCUUUCACCAUGUAUGCCUAGUUUAUUUUACCUAAUGAAUGAAGCAGGUAGCUUGCUAUCUUUUUCUCAAAAAAACAUGUAAGUAAAUUAGACACUUGUUGUUUUUGUGUUGACAGCUAACAGGCGAUCGCGCUCAAAUCGCUGCUGCUUCUGCCGCCGCCACAAGCCCGCUGCAUUCUCUUCUCGUACUCGCACAGCAAUUCCUCGUCGCGAUGUUCGUCUUCGAUGCGUGGCAGUACUUCAUCCACCGGUACAUGCACUCCAACAGGCAGUUGUACCGCCAGUUCCACUCCUGGCACCACCGCGUGGUGGCGCCGUACGCGUUCGCCGCGCAGUACAACCACCCGGUGGACGGGGUCGUCACCGAGACCCUGGCGGGGGCAGUGGCAUACUUCAUCUCGGGCAUGUCGCCCAGAACUGCGGCCUUCUUCUUCUCGGUGGCCACCGUCAAGGGGAUCGACGAUCACUGCGGCCUCAUGCUGCCGUGGAAUCCGUUCCACGCCGUGUUCCGCAACAACACGGCAUACCACGACAUCCAUCACCAGCUCGCAGGCAGUAAGUGCAACUUCUCGCAACCGUUCUUCGUGAUGUGGGAUCGGAUUCUCGGGACGUACGCGCCGUACACGCUGGAGAGAAGGGAGGGGGGCGGCUUCGAGGCGAGGUUGGUUCGGAAAGACAAAGUCGGCCACGAUUCUUAAAGUAUCAGCCGCAUUCUGUACCAUGCUGCUUGCGAAGAGCAGUAUAACACAGUUCUAAGGUUGAGCAGAUGUAAAACUAACAAACAAAUUACGAAUAAAAGCUUGAGUAUAUGUUCCAAAGUAUAAACACUCAUUUUCAUACUCUCCGUUUUUUUAAUAAACAAACAAAAUUUGAAAAACAAAAACACUACUCUUCCCAAGAACCAAUUUGACAAAAAAAAAACUUAGAUCAAUCAGAAAUCCAUUUUCCGAAAUAUUUCCCCGCGAAAGUGCGAAACCCAACACCCCCAAAUGGAUUCAAAGACGGAAAAAGCCAAAGCAAUUUGGUGAUACUGUGGUAUUCAAAUAAUGCCAAGCUCUGACUGAAAAUAUACAACGGAAAACAUUUGAAUACUGUUUCAUACGCAAAGAUUUAAAUUUUUAGAACAAUCAAAAUGUUCGCAUUUAUAACCAAAGCAGUGGUUAAUCUAAAUCCCAUCAGACUACUAAUUUUAUUUAAUCUUCUUCCCUAGUCACUUCAAAACCACACCACAUAACCAUUUUAACUGACAACAUUCUUUCUUCACAUCACCGUACCGUCCGACAUCCGAUUCCAUCAUUUUCCAGGAGAUAACAUGCAGGCAACCAAAAUCUGAACUAAAGAUGAAUUCACAGCACACGAAUAACAUAAGCACAAAACUGAAACAGUAUAACCUUUAACCAUUGAACACUAGUAUUAACUACUAAACACACAGCACAAAAGAUGGAAAGGUGUUUUGAGGAACAAAAGUGAAAGCCUUUCUUAAAUAUUUAUAGUUAACAACAGUUCUUUCUUAAAGUAUAUGUCCCUAACAGCAGUUCUCUUUCCAAAUGACCUCCACAUGGGAUUCUAAAACAUUCCAACUCCAUGAAUGGGAUCACACAACUUAUAUAAACACAUUAUAAAGUUAGAGACAAUAAUAUUACAAAACGAGUUAAUAAAAAGAGUCCGAAAGGAAGGUUACCUCAUCUGUACCUAACCGCAGGCUAGUUCAAUCAAAUUCCCAGAAUGAUGUUAAUACUAGGCAGUAGUUUUGGGCUGAUAAACUUUCCCAAAAGUACAAGAUUAGUGAAGAUCAGUUCGCGGCAACAGCAUCCGUUCGCUGGCUCGAGCCCAGAAGCUGGCGAAGCUUCGCAGGCUCCUUAUUGUCUAACUGCACACCUCUGCUAGCUGAGUUAGGGUUAUCGAUCAUUGAUAAGAAGUUCUCGACAACAACUGAUGAAGAUCCAUCAGUUUCCAUUUUGUCAGGAGAUACCUCUUCUAUUUGGGUCAUUCCGGCGUUCUUGAGUUUUUCCUGAAAGUCAAAGAAAUAAGUAGUUCAGAAGAUGAAAAAACUGAUAUUCUUCAAGCAGACACACGUAGAUUAGUUUAAAUGUUUUGUAAAUUCGUUCUCCAUUGCCAAAGAGAGAUUUUAAAUUAUCAAAGCACAGUGUCACUAUCAGCACUUAACAGCUAAGUUCGUUUUGACACCAAAAGUAGUUUCAGAAAAUCUGAGUUACCCUAGAAAUAAUGCACAGAGAAUAGUUCCAUCCUCCACAUGGAAUAGCAUCCCAUUUUUCCUCAUAACUACUAAAAUUCACCCCUCAAAAUUUUUUGUUUGGGCAAUCAUAGAACGAAUGUAUAUAUGUAUAUGCACAUGCGCAUGCACAUGUGCAUAUACAUAGAUACAUUGGUUGUGCAUGCACAUGCACAUGCACAUGUACAUAUGUAUGUAUGUAUAUAUAUAUAUAUAUAGAGAGAGAGAGAGAGAGAGAGAGUUGAGCUGGAAUGCUAUCGGUAGCAAACGAGCUCCGUUGCCACCCAUUUGUUUUCGAUGAUGGAGCCUUCAAAUCGACGAUCGGCACCGUUGAACAUGAUCUAUAUCACUUAAAGUAUCUAGAAAUCAAAUUUCAAAUCUUUUCAACAUCAUUGACAUAAUGAUCAAAGGGUUUCAACAUUCGUAAUUUUAAUGGUCGAUAUGAGGCGUUUUCUCGUUUAACGGUGUAAAGCUAUCCAUAUCAAUUGAAUUUUUGUUAAAAAAUUCUUUAAACUAUUUAGAACAAGAUCUAUACUCUCGAUCUUGAUUACAAAAUUCCUAUCAUCACUUUUUAGAGGAUAUUCAUUUUCAGCCGUUCAUUUUUACGCCCACUUGAUGAACAAGAGAACAAUAUCGAAAAAGUAUAAAAUUUGAUUUCUAGAUACUUCAAGUGGUAUAGAUCAUUUUCAACGGUACCGAUCGUCGAUUUGGAGGCUCCAUCAUCGAAAACAAAUGAGUGGCAACGGAGCCCGUUUGCUACCGAUAGUAUUCCAGUUCAACUCUAUAUAUAUAUAUAUACAUAUAUUAAAUUUUCAAUCAUAGCAGGAUGAGCCAGGAAGAGAAAAAUGUUAUGCCACACAAAUAUAUCCUCAGCUGAAACUGUCUUGAAGUACCAUGAGAGCAGAAUUUUCUAAUCUGAGCUUCUCCGAGUUCUCCGUCAGCUGAUUUAUUUCAGAUCUAAGGGACGAAUUCUCAGCACUUAGUGACUCAACUUUUAUGGCAAGCUCCUCGGUCUCAGCCUGCAAAUGCAAACAUAAGAAAUGUAAUAAGUGAAGAGACAGUAAAAAUACUCAAAUAUGAGGUACCGAUGUGAAAUACCUGUUUCCUCAGCCUUGACCUUCUCGCAGAUUCUCUGUUCGACUGCUUUCUCCUUUCACGUUUCAGUUCUCGUUCAUCCUGGAGAAAUAUGAGUUAAAAACAGAGUCAGUCAGCUAGAAGAAACCAUAAUUGCAAGUGUAAAGCCAGAAAUCAUCUGAUGUACAUCUAUCUAUUCUUGCAAGCUUUUCCUUGAAGCCACCGCUCUAAACCAUAUCAUAAGAUUUUAGACCAUCCAAGAAAAGUCUAAAGAUUCACCAGAGCAUUUCCAAGAUAAAGAUAAAAGACAGUCAAGGAAAACAGGAGGAAAGGAUAUCUAUACCAUAUCAUAAGAUUUUAGACCAUCCAAGAAAAGUCUAAAGAUUCACCAGAGCAUUUCCAAGAUAAAGAUAAAGGACAGUCAAGGAAAACAGGAGGAAAGGAUACAAUAAAGACAACAGCUUUAGGACAAAGGGGUAGGUAGGGCUGGAUCAAAAUAAAGCACAUGUUUGAAGUAAAAUAAGAAGCACAUGAAGUGAUCAUCGGAGUAGGAAUUGCCAGAUUACCAAGAUUCAAGGACCUGAUUGAUGAUCCAUUCAGGGCUUCUGCAAAAUUAUUUAUAGAGCAGCACGAGAAAUGAUGACAAUCUGUUUAUCACAUCUCCCAACGCAUUCAUGCUAAAUCUAGAGGAAGAGAGCUCAAAUUGGAGCUCUUACUUCUCAAGUAGAGAAGAAGUUUCAAAAGAUGAACACGCAUCAAGUGGCCUUCAGAACACGCAUCAAGUAACAACCAGUAGCAUUCACACCAAUUAAGGUAAAAUUUGAAGAGAACAAACAGACCUUUGCCCAUAAUUCAGGAGGUACUCCAUUUCGACCAGUAAUCAUAACGCCAGCAGGUGGUGGAACUGGCGUGCCAAUGGCUUUUACUUUAGUGAUAUCGAAAUCCAUCCCUGAACCACUUGAAGGCACAGAGCCUACUGGAUUUCCCACGACAUUUGCUGUUGCCACUGUAACACUUAAGGGUAUUUUUGAGCUGUUUGUUCCCCUGCCUUUGGAUGCAUUGGCCCUUUUGUCUACCUUACAGUCAUCUGUGCAUACAAUUCACUGUUAAUCAAAGACUAAUCACUGUGGAAUCCUAAGAAAAAACUCAUGGCUUUGAAGAGAAAAGCAGAAAAUGAAUUCAUUUGAUGCCCACUUGGCAGCCACAUAAACAGUCAAACAACUCUAACAGAGAAAUGAAAUUGCUUUUGCCGUCUAAGCAGUUAGAUGCUACCACCCUGCCUAGUCGAUAUAUUACAGUAGGAAACAAAAGUACCCGAUGUUGGUCUGUCAUCUGAGCUCCGCUUUCGUUCAUUUCCAUUCCCCUAGAAGUAUUGAGACAAUUUUUAAAAAUGUAAAGAAGUUAUUCCAACUGCACCUGCCUGAAAAGAUCUGAAAAUUAUUUAAAAAGGAGAAAAUUGCAGUACCCCAGAUUCACUACUUCCAUCACUUGAGCCGUCUGUACUAUUGUACCCACUGUACAAUUUGUACCCACAAAAAAAAAAAAAAAAAGAGAUCAGCCGACAAUACAUAAUCUAUUAGUAAAAGGACAAAAGUAAAGAGGUCUAACCUCCCAGCAUCAGCACCAGAUUUAUUUUCAGCAUUUUCAUCAUCCACUGAAACAGAAAUUCCAUCAAGCCCUUUGAGUUUUUUUGUCGGCCCUUUGUCCUUAUUACUUGCUGACUUGGCAGGUAAAUCCGUGCUCGAAGGAUUCGCCGUCUUAGGAACAGAUGUAAAAUGAAAAACACAAUUACCAAUCAAAGUACCAAUAUCAAGUUCAGCACACAACACAAAGAUCUGUAUUUGAGGUGUAAUACUAGUAUAUAUUCCGACAGCAGUAGUAAAAAAACAAACAAAAUUAUCAAUCAGAAAUAGGUAAAGAACCCCAAAACAAUAUUUGGAAUGUAAGAGCAGCACAUGUCACAGAAACAAAUACCUAACAAACUAUGCCUACCACUAGAGCUCCGCGAGAAGCGGAAGAUGGUGAGACCCCUUGAGAAUGCACAUGAGAUCCCUGAGCAUAAAUCAAAUUAUUGUUGAGUUGAUUCACCUAUAUCUGGACUAGGUAUGUGCAGCACUUACAAUAGUUCUUUUACAACAUCCAAAUUUUUUUCAGCCAAGUUGAUUCAAAUAUCAAGUUAAAGCACAUAUGAUGCCAUCUCUGACUUACAAUGGGCGCAGAUGGAUGAGAGUAGACUCCCCCAGGUGAGUAUAUUGGAGCAUAAGGUGACCCAAAAGGCGGCAGCAAAGGCUGAGUCACAAAAAAAUUAUCAGCGAGUAAAUAGCAGGAAUGAUGCCAAAAUCUGGGUCAUGCAAUAAAAUAUACUAGAUAACUAGACAAGGAUUUUUUGCCUAAGCCUUGAAAUUUUGAAUAUAUGUCCAGUACUGAGUAUGCCGACUUGUCAACACAUAACAUGAUGGCUCUGUUGAAAAACUUUAUGCUCUUCAUUAUGUGCCCCAAACAAAUAUUAGAAAUUUUUAAUAGAAAAUCCUUUAGCAAAACCUCUUGGAAAUUGCUAAAAUACACAUUUGGUGAGGUUUUAGUUUCUGACAAUCAGUUCUGACCAGGGAUUUUAGAAGGAACUCAAGGUCCAAUGGAAAGAAAUCUUCAAAAUAAAUAUUUUCAAUGUGGAAAUUCGACCUUUACAAACAUGUUUCCUGACACAUUCUUACAUCAUGUGAAUCAUUCAGAUGCAAGUCUAUAACAAAACCCCAAAUUUACAAAGGAUUUAAUCGUUCGAUACAUGCUAAAUACCUUCACUGCAUAUUGUCUUCCAACAUGUGAAGUUCAAACUUCACAACUUAAAUUUUUUUUAAAUUUCACUUUACAGAAGUUCGAGUUCCGUGAUUUACUUCUUGUCCUGGCACUUUCUUUCUGUCUAACAUGCAUUCUCUUCUACAUCUUUCUUGUGCAUCAUUAGGCAAUAGGCAUGUGAAGAUAAGCGAGACAUGCUGAACCAACGAAAUAGGUUCUUAUUCUUCAAUGUUAUAAAAUGCAAUUUUGCCAGUAGAAUUGAGCAAUCAGGUGAACUCUUAAAACUGAAAGUGUCAUCGUAGUUAGUUGGUCAUUCUGUUCAUCAAAUAAUAUUCUUGAUUAAUAUACUGCCUAAAAGGUUGUUGAAUGUUGAUGACAAUACCUAACCAACUGGUUGAUGAUGUAACUUUUUAACAUGUCUACGCUAAUGAUAUUAUCUAACUUAUCAGUCGCAAAUCCCUAUUACUUUUCAAAGCGGAUGUUUACUUGGAAAAUGGAAAAUUUCAAGUUGCACAACAAGGUAUGGAACAGAGGAAAUAAAAUUCAAGUACCUGAGGAGCCCACAUAUAUGGAGGAGGUGCAUGACCAGGGGCAACUGCUGCGCCAAAAUAUGGAGGCGGCAUCACACCAGGCCCAUAGUAGGCCUAAAUGGAGAAGGAACUAGAUUAAUACAUAGUGCUAAACAUGUUGUUGAGACAGGACAAAUAGAAAGAUUCGGGUAACCAUACCUGCAUAGCUGCCCAAUCAGGAUAUGGGUAUACAACUGGUUGAUCCUGCAAGCAUGAAAGAAACAAUUGAGCUUACACGGUUUGGAUUGACUAGAGUAGUGAGGCAAGUGGAGACCAAUUAUUCUAUUUUUGACGUUCACAGGUGAUAUAACUAGCUUUGGGGCAACGCAUACUUUCUAAAAUACCAUAUGAUUUAAGAAGAUCUUCAACAUUCCCCAGCAUUAUUUACUUACCUGAACAGGUGAUGCCGAUUUAUCAGACUUGGGAGGGGCUGCAGCUUCUUCAUUUCCCAUAGAGAUCCUUACGGAAACCUGAGCAAGGAGAAAUAUAGUUAUUACACUCAUGAUUGAUUAUAAUUUGGACAGCUACCUCCAGCAUGAUAGAUCUGCAUUUAAGGAAAUUGGAAGCAUUGCAACACAUAUAAAUCGCGGUUGUCCGCACUCUGUGUCGCAUUAUAUCUAUCUUUUCUGGAAAACCCACGAAUAGUUUACAAAAUUUUAUGGUUGGUGGAAUAGUUCUCUAUGCAAGAAACCAUGAUCUAUGCACAAAUGAGACAGUUUCAUUAGUUUAGCUCUGAAAAUGGAAAGAGAUAACUGUAUAAGAAAACUUACUUUUAUGUCAUACUUUAAAAGUUUUUAUCAACCAAACAACUUUUAACUUUUUUUCCCCUAAAUUUACAUUUUGUCACUUACUCAAACUUUUCAACCCUGCCGAAUUUAUCCUAGCCAAAAUUUGUGAUUAUUUGUCAUGGUCUUGCAACUAUAAAUCUUAACUCCACUGGGGAAAAAAUGCAACACAGAGAAGCAUGUGCUUAAAAAUUACGUGUUCUCAAUUGCAUCCUCAUAGACCCGAAACGAAGCCUAAGUUCUUAAAAACGAAAGGAAAAAAAAAAAAACAAGUAUGAUAUAUUUUAACUAAAAAAGAAAGUUUGUUAAAUUAGAUAUAUCCAGCCAGAUGCCUGCUUCCAUAGACAAGAAUAACAGAUAGACAAAUUCUGAUUUCUGCAUAUUACAGCAAGCAGUAAUCCGAAAAGCCAAAAAGUAAAUCAUUUAAAGCCUUGAACAUAACUUUAUAAAAGAGCAAAAAUAGAAACAAUCCAAAAAAAAUGAAGAUCCAUACAGAAAUAGCAUCAGAUAGUAAACAACUUUAAACCAACUGACCGACCGUCCCUAGAGCAAGUGGCAAAGGGCUUGGUGGUUGGUACCCGAGACCCAAGUUCGAAUCCUAGUUGAUUCACAUUUCUAGCUAAGUUUAUUUCUAAAUGAAAUAAACGAAGCGGGUGCUACCUAUCUCUCUCUCAAAAAAAAAAAAAAAAAAAAAAUUAAAACCAACAGUAGGGCACACAAAAAAAAAGGUUUUGAGUCAUAUUAACUGCUCAAAAAUUCAAUUCUCACCUACAGAAGAAUUUUCUCAGGGAUUAAAAAAAAAAAGCACAACAAAGGUGUGAUAAAUUUGAAAGAUGAAAGAACAAAAAAAGAUUCUUCACAGAGCAUGCAAAAGUUAGCUUUUUUUUUUUUAAUCUGGGUUUAAUUAUCCCUAUAUCCACAGGGAAAAAAGGUAUAGAGCAAAUUAGGCAUGUGUAAGCUCAUACAAAAAUCGCCUUAAUUUGGCUGAUGCGGAAUUUGCUCGAUGUGAUUUAUCCAUAACUAAAAAUAUUUGUUUUUUAAAAAACAAACUUACUAAGAAACAAAAGAAUUGAGAAAAAGUUAAAGUAAUCUGGAAUUUUCCUUGAAGGGUGAAGUGAAUUGAACUCUAGAGCGGGGGCAAAUUUGUCUUUUCGGGGAUCAGAAGGCACAGGUCGUCUAACGUGUCUACUUUGAACGGUCAGCGAUGAACUCGUUGAGAUGCGAAAUGACGAAAAUACCCCCCACCCCACGAAACAUAGCAUAGUCGAUUUUUUUCGCGACUCGUUCGCGAUUCUCCAAACCUUCUCGCCAAAUAUUUAAAAAAAAAAAAAAAAAAAAAGCGCUCUACCUCGAAAUUUUCACUGCAUCCAAUUUUAAAUACUUUCGCUACGAUCAAUCUCCUCUUUUUCUCUCGCAAUCGAAACAAGUUGUAGAUCACAUGAUCAUAAAAAGCGAACGAUUCUACUUCAAAUUCUAAGUAAAUUCCCGAGUAAAAAGCAUUACGAAUCACAAAGUCGCACAUGACGAAUUGCGUAAAAGUUUUAAGCCCUAGAGAUCAAUAGCAACAACUACUUAGAACCAAGUAAAGUACAAAUCCAGCAUUCUUAAGCACAAACUCCCAAAAUUCCACGUUACCUGAAACUUCUCCACGAAGAACACCUCGCUCUAAACCCUUCUACGUGACGAAGCUCGAAUUUGAGAACGUUGAUUUGAGGAAAGGAGAGGAGAGGAGAGGAGAGGAAACCGUAUACGAUUCUCUCCAAUUUCUACUCUUCCUCCAUUAGAGAGAGAUUAGAGAGAGAGAGGGAGAGAGAGAAAAGAAGAAGAGAGGAGGGUUGUAGAGAGAGAGAGAGAAAGAGAGGAGGUGAGGGAGCCAAAGAGAGAGAGAGAGGAAGGGGGAAGCGGGCGCCAAGCCAAUUGCCACGUCACCAAACACGUGUCCACAUCCGGGACUGGGUAUACGGCGUACGAGCGCGAUCCUAUGCGGACCAAAAAAUCCGCGCCACCAUUUGUGACCACCGCUACUGAACCAAACGAGAAAUUAUUGCGUGCACCCCGUGUAUAAAUAUUUAAUUUAAUAUAUAUAAAUAUAAGAAUAUACACCACACACAUAGAAAGCUAAAUUUGAAAAAAUUAAUAUAUCAAAAAUCAUCACUCUUUAUGAUUUGAUUUGAUUGGGUACACAAAUAUUUUAUUUUACAUGUUUUUUUACUUACUCAAAAAAAAAAUGCAGUAAUUAUUUGAUGACAAAUAUAAUUAGAUGUCUAGAAUAUCAAUCUAUACUUAUACUCUUAAUUUUUUUUUAAAAUAGAACAAAAUGAAUUAUGUUAAAUAUGAAAUGAAAUUUGUCUAAAAUCAUAGCUCUCUAAAGUUUUCAUAUAAUUUGUACGUAUUUGUUUAUAUCCAUAUUUAUUUUCCACGGCAAAGUUAAUAAAAAGUCCAUAGCUUUAAAAUUAUAAUUUUUCAAUUUUAUUAUUUAUUUGACAGUAAUACUUACUUCACUAAAUGUUCUCAUACUAACAUACAAAAGUUAGAACAAAAAUUACGUGAACUAAUUUUUUAUGGGCGUCACUAUCGGCUAGCAUUUUCAAAAAAAUAAUUUACUGACAAAACUCAAAUUACAACAAAUCAAAUAAUAAUAAUAAUAAUAAUAAUAAUAAUAAUAAUAAUAUUUAUUCCUGAAAAAUCCAACGAGGAGAACAGUGCUACGGAUACACCGUGAUCACUGAUCAGGCAAUCACCGGGUCGGGGGCCCACGGCAUUAGGUGGCGCACUGGGUACAGUUCGGGUGCGCAUAAUUUCUCCUUUUUUUUUCUUUUUUUCUUUUUUUUGAGGAGAGAGAGAGAGAGAGAGAGAGAGUUGGCCGUCGGUGUUGGGGGAGGGGCGUAGGGCCAAUAAAUAAAAUAGUUUAUUCCCCGUCAGCUGCGCGACACGUGUCGAGGGAUGGGGCGAUCUACGCGUCGACGCGUCACGGAUGUCGAGGUCCAGCUAAUAUCCGAGUCAUGUGGCUGACGUGGUGAGACCACACCCCCGUGGGCCCCACUCUCCUACCUCUCCCCUAAAUACAGUAUCGCUGCGUCGACCGGGGGUGUGCGGUUAGGAGCCCAAACUCUCUCCCCGAUUGGAGGGCGCGGGGCGGGGCCCACUUCGGGGGUCCAAUUGGAGGAGAUCGUGAGAGCGGGCGUGGAGGCUUUUGUAGCAGCGUUUGUUUACGGGAGGGUUUAAGGCGAUUGGAAUAGCGAUUCACGUCCGGAAAAUGACGGGCAUCCGGGUCUCAGGAUCCCGCGUGUCCUCUCUUUUUUUUUCUUUUUUUAUUUAAGAAAGAUUUUUUAUUAGAGUUAAUUUCUUUUUUUUUUAUAUAAACAUAAUAAAUUAUAAUUAUACUAGGCUGGAAUACUAUUAAUAGCACCAAUAACUUACUGCUAUUAAGUUUUCUAUCCUUGGAUUAAAAGAUAUACGGUUAGAAUGAUGUGAGCCCCCUAGGAUCGAGUUGGUGGUUGGUUGAAUAGUAUAAUCUAACGGUUGACAAUGAUAAAAGAGGUAAAUCUAACGGUAAAAAACUUGAUAGUACCAAAUGCUUUGUGCUAUCGAUAGUAUCAUAGCCGGACUCAUUAUAUUCUUAUAAAGUUCAAUUUUUAUAUAUUAUUUUUAUAAAAGUCCUAAUAUUUUAAAAUAUAUCAUUCUGAUUUGUUAUCGUUAAAACGUGAGUUAUUUUAUAAGUAAAAUAAUAUUUUUAGAAUCACAAAUAUAUCUUUCUAAAAGUCCCAACUAUUAAUUAAAGUGGAAUAAAAAUAUCAAUUCAUCUCAUUAUCUAACUAGGAUUAAGCAUUUUAUUUAUAGUUAAUUAAUUUUUUCUAACGGAACCCAACGACAGAAAUAUAUUUAAAAAUAUUAAAACUUUUGAGAGACAAUAUAUGAAUAUUAAAAUUUAUAUGGAUAUAUUUGUAAUUUACUAUGUUAGUAGAAGCCUAUAUAAAAUUAACCUUUUUAUUGAUUUUAAAUACGUAGUUCCCAAUUGGCCCGUAAAGUUUGUGAAAAUUACAGGAACAACCCCCUCCCCUCCUAAUUUAUUUGAAAAGAGUAAAACGGCCUUCAAUUCAAUUUAGAGACUUAAACGGAGCGGAUCCGGAGGCAAAAAGAACUUGUAUAUUUCGCUUCGUUUUCCUAGCUGGUCAAGGCUUAUUAGGAAUGAAUUAAUUUUUAUUUUAUUUUUUAUUCCUAUGAAUUAUUUUUAUUCCGAAUAAGUUGGGAUAAAAAUAUCAGUCGAUCUACUUUUAUUUUCUUAGCUAAUUGGGUCGUACUCGGGAUAGAUUUUUCUUUUUUCUAUUUUUCACCCCCAACAUAUUAAUUUAUUCCGUAUAGAUUAGGGAAAGAGCUCCACUAAUCGGAUCCAUCUGCAACCCCACUAUUUUUGUGUAGAGAAAAUGAUAUUAUAUAAUUUUGUGGAUGAAAAUAAUAAUAAUAACAAUUUUACUGAUUGAAUCAAAAACUUUACAAAUUGAUUCCGAUGGGAACAGAGAAAUUUGUGAGCUAAUGUCAAGUUGGGCGGAGAUAGAGUUAAUUAGGGUGAAUGGGUUCCGUAACGAAUCCAACUACAACCUAAACUUGAUCGGAUCCGAUGCAAUCCAAAUCCAACGUAAAAUUAUAACUCCGUGUGUUCUAGUUGUCAUAUCAGAGAGGAUUGAAUAAACAUGGCUUGUCAUUUUGAUCUCAAUUUCCUUUGUUUAUAUUUUAUGCAUUAAAUUUGGCAUAAUAUAAUUCCAGGGUCCGGCUACUAUACUAUUAUGAGUACGAUCACCUUCGUACUCAUAAGUUGUUUUUGAUGAUAGAGCUUCCGAAUCGACGAUCCACACCGUUAAACGUUAUUUACAGUAUUUAAAAUUUCUAAAAAUCAAAUUUUAUAAUUUUUUGACAUCAUUUACCUUACGAUCAAGAGGUCACAAAUUUGACAAUUUUUAACGGCCGGUAUGGGAUACUUGCUAGUUUAACAGUGUAAAAGAAUCAGAAUUUGUUGAAUUUUAAUAGAAAAUUUUAUUCACUACGUAGAUAAAGAUCAAUAAUUCCGAUCUUGAAUUGAAGGAUCCGAUCAUCUUUUUUUAGAAUGUCGUUCGAUUUUGACCGUUCAUUUUAUGCCCACUUGAUGGACUUUAUUAUGAUUUCGAAAAUUUACAAAAUUUAUUUUCUAUAAGUUUCAAAUACUUUAGAUCAUAUUUAACGGAGUGGAUCGUCGAUUCGGAAGCUCCAUCAUAAAACAACUGAUGAGUACGCGAGCUCCAAUACUCAUAAUAGUAUAGUAGUCAUGGCCUAUAAUUCCAUUAUUAUUAUUAUUAUUAUUAUGUAAUCCAAC
rnacentral:lncRNA from 1 species